rnacentral:lncRNA from 1 species
GGGGGGGGGGGGUUUGGAAAGAUUUAUCUAACUAAAACUACAGCUGAAAUAAAACCUAAACUAACAUAUAUACAAGUGAUCGACAACUUCACACAAAACAAGAAAUGAAAACACUCAAGAACAUGUAACAAGUUAUGCAAGACAUUUGGUACAGCAGUUUCUACAUAUCCUAGAAUUUACUUCAAUUCAGACUCUGAUUUAGAGCCCUUCGCGGUUACUCCAAUCGUUAAGACUUCACAAGUAUUUAGAAUUAACUUCGCGUGUAAUCCUAAAUUGUAUGCUAACUCAUUUAAAGACACUUCGCGUAGAAAUUAAACAAGAAAACACAUAAGCACAGUAAGCCGAAUCAGAAACAUGCACAAGGUAGGGCGUCACUCAUCCUAUUAACAUGCAAGUUUUCAGAAUUAUACUUAACCACUUUUAAGCAACAAAGACCUAGACAACUUCGCGUAUGACUAAAAUCAUAUAUCACUUUGGUAGAUGAAAUCGCAACCCACAUAUCAACCAUGGCCUUAGGCUGUAUGCAACCAUUGAUUUUGCCUGCUCAAUUCAGAAAACUAAUCGAAUACAAUCAAGAACACAUUGAAACAUGCUGCCCCAAAUCUAGCACAUAAAAUAUCACAUGAACAAGUUUGUAACAAUCAUUAAGUUAUAAAUAUCAGAAAAUCUAAACAUGUUACAAAACCAAAUCGGCAACCAUAAAAACAAACAAUCUUCAUAGACAAAGUGUUGUAAAAUUACAGAAACAUAAACAGCCAUGAGAAGAAUGGAUCGCACUUUGUAGAAACCUUGAAUGGUUGCUGCAAAGGUGGUGGAAUUGGUGAUGGAAUUAUACAAAACAAAAGGGAGAUGGUGGAGGUUCGGCUGAUCUAGUUUCUGUCCAGAUGCUAUUAGUCUUUUCAGACAACUGCCUUUUUGUAGUGAGGCAAUACUUACUGAUUGAUUCUCUUGGACAUUAUAUUUUCCCCUUCAUCUUGAUUUGUCUUUGCAGUGUUUUGGAUAUGCCCAAUAAUUGUAGUUUACUUUGUCUUAAGUUUCAGACAUUUAUUAUAUGGAAAGAGGUAAAAAAAUGUAAAAUGGAGGAACUGCUAGAAAAUCAUCCAAAAAUGUUGAUUGAUAGUCUUCAACACAACAGAAGAAAUGUCCCAAGAGUGGAGAAUUUUUAACCAACCAUUUUCUUCUGCAUCUUUAGUACGAGAUCAUUUGUGUCAACUGGAUCUUAUCAAAAGAGUAAAUUUGUUGGUCCCUUAUUUGUCAAUGGGCACUAUGUUGGACAUUUAGAAACAGACAACAUUGUUUCUUAGUGUGCUGAUAGGAGCAUAAAAUGCGAUGUUCUUAAUAUGUUUUUAUCUCCAUUUAUACUUUGCUUAACCCUUAUUGUUGUAAUAUUGAGUCAUUUAGUCAAGUUAAGAGUUUCUGGUAGAGUCGGUUGUAUAUUGUGCUAAAACGAGCUGAAAACGCAGAAUUUGUCAAGAGUUUUAUUUAGAGUAGGAUUCCUUGUGCAACUAGGAAGCCUAGUUGGAUUAAAAGUCUUCAUUAUUUGACGAUUCUGUAAUAUUUGUGAUAACUACCUUGUCUUUAUUUUAUUUCUUCUUUCUUAUUGUCAGAAAUUAAAGAAGAGAUAAUGCAGCACGAAUUGAGGAUUAAACAAGGAGAUAAUUAGGAAGAGAAACAUGUAGAAAGCCCAAAAGAGGCCCAAGUCCAAGGAAGGAAGAAGAAGCAAAUUUGGAUUCCAACUCUAAAAGGGAUGAGAAAAGUCAAAAUUGUGGAGCUAGUCCCACAUCAUUAAUUGAGGAGGAAUUCAACUUGAACAAGUAAUCCUUGCUAUGAAGACUCUUGGAGGCUAAGCAAUGUAUCUGGACAUGAUUCAAUUUGAUGCAAAGAGCUAGCUCUCCAUUCUUUAGGCUCCCUCCUUAAUGGUUGUUGGAAGCUCAUGUUUGAAAUGGAAAAUGCUAAACUCAGCCAUAUAUUUUCGUGAAUCUAAUAUGAUUGUUGAUGUUUUAGAUAAGAGCAGUAUCUCCUAUGAUAUGGGAUUCAUAAGCUUGAACGACCCCCCNCCCNNNNNNNNNNNNNNNNNNNNNNNNNNNNNNNNNNNNNNNNNNNNNNNNNNNNCCCCCCCCCCCCCCCCUAACCUUCUCCCUUAGGCUUGGUCCUGGCCCAGUGCUGGCAGUUAAGCAUGUUAAAGUUUCGUUUAUGAUAUUCUUUGCAAUCUGGUUAUGUUAACUCUUUUAUUAGUAAUGCUAUGUUUGUGUUUGAAUAGACGUUAAAAUGCAUGUUAACGGUAUGCCAUGAUUUAGUGCUAUGCCGAUGUGGUAAGCAUUGAUCUGUAGUGGUGGAAACUAUGGUGAGUAGUUGAGAACGUAGGUUGCAUAGCAAUAAGUGGGAUUUCAUCACCGAGUUAUGUUCAAUCUCUAUUCUUUAGAACUUAAUGAUUCAUGUUUAGAGUAGACAGAUGCUUGUAGAAUUGAUAGCAGCCUAUGCAUGAAAUAAUCUUUGAUUGCGUGAUGUACGGAUUAAAGAUGAUAAGCUAAGAAGAAUCUAUGGGUGCAUAGCUGGAUCAGUAUGUCACUCGAGAUUGUUGCUAGUAGUUGAGUUGAUAUAAUUCAGACUGUUUAGGAUUGAAAUGUCUCUUUAAUUGUGGUUAGAAUUUGAGUCUCUCUCUUUAUUGAUGUGUUGAAUGAAUUGAUCACUUGUAUAUAUUAGUUUAGACUCUACCUUUAUCUUUUCGUAGGAAAGUUAAACUCUGAAAACCCUUUUUACCUUGUAUCAUAUGUAUAUUUGUAAAUGAAUACUUGUAUAUAUUGUUAGCACUAACUUUUUUACAGGAUUAUUACAUGAGCACCCUUAGUCCCCGGAUUGAUCGAACCUUAUUUGCCUUAUACUACGAUUGUCAAAAAGCGUUCUUAAUUGUCGUAUGCCCGGUAACGAGCACGUCAACAGUUAAAGUAAAUGACGUGCCCGUUAACGGGCGUGCGACAAUUAAGAACCCUUUUUGACAAUCGUAGUAUAAGGCAAAUAAGGUUCGAUCAAUCCGGGGACUAAGGGUGCUCUUGUAACAAUGGUCAUGUAAAAAGUCAGGAGUUAUCAAUACAGAUAUUUACAAGUAUUCAUUUACAAAUAUACAUAUGGUACAAGGUAAGCAGGGGGUUUUUGAGGGUUUGUUCAAACAUUCCUACGAAAAAGAUAAAGGCAGAACCUAAAUAUACAGGUGAUCAUCUUCAACACACAUCAACCAGAGAUUUCAUAAUGAAUCAAACAAGUAUCAACAUACCUCAAACAUAUAUUCAAGUUCAUCGCCAAUUAAUAUCAAAAACAAACUCGAAACACAAGCCUCAACGGUCAUGCAUUCCUUUAAUUCUACUUACUUUAUCUCCUAAGCACAGAGAAGUCUAGAACCUAGGAUAUUUCAUGCAAAGGCUGCGAUCGAUACUCUGUGUCACUCAGAGUACCCGUCUACACUAAACAUGAAUCAUUAAGUGUUAUAGAAUUCUGAAUUUGAACAUGCUCAAGUUUACAGGAAGCUGCUUAACCUGCAAACAUGUAAUACAUAGUCUCAGCUAUUAUUACACAACCUUCACUAUUGGAGAUCUACACUUACUUGAAGAAGCUUAGUAUAGAUCAUAGCAACACUAACUUGCAGAAUAGAGUUUUAGUUCAAACAAAACUAUGCAUUUAAUGAAAUCAACAAGGCAUAAAACGGAUCACAUGCUAUCAUAGACAAGUUGAAAUAUGCUUAAAUUUAUUCUGAAAUUAACCUAUUCAUGUUCUUAACAACCAGCCAAUUCCAACUUUGAAAUCUAAUAAAAGAAGACAAAUAACAAUAACAAGAAAGAAGAAACAAGACAUGAGUUACACUAUAAAUCUUCAAGGAAGCUUGAGAUGUUCAAAGGAACACACAGGCCUGAUGCUUCUCGGCAGCCUUCUGGAGAAGUCCUACAAAUGUGCCAGCUUGCAUUGCUUUUUUUCUGGAGAGAGGAGUUGAUAAGGAGAAGGAAGGCUAAUGUGUUUCACUAAUUUUUGUGUGAAGAAGAGAUGGGCUGAGAAGUACACAAGGCUGUGUUUAUAUAGAGAAAAUCUUGGUGAAACUUCUCUUCAAAAAUGAUGUGGGACUAGCUUCACAAGUUUUACUUUUCUCCUGCCCUUUUUAGACUUCAAAUCCAAAUUUACUUCUUCUUCUAAACUGAUGUGGGACUAGGAGAAAUGUUUGACUUUUCUCUUUCCUUUUUGGACUUGGGCUUUCUGCAUUUUUCUCUUCCAUCCUUGUACUACUUAGGCCUUCUUUUGUCAAUUAAGCUCUUUGUCCUCUACAAUCACAAAACAUGUUAUAAAUGGUAUUAUUAUGAGAAUAUCAUAGCUAAGUAGGGUAGGAAACACAUUAUAAACAUAGCACUUUGUGCUCAUAUCAGUAAAAAGGAAGCAAAAUACUUAUCAAAGUUAACAUUCAAGUGACUAUAAUACUCAAACUCGUACUCCAUCAGUCAAACUUGCAUUCAUUCUUCAGUUCAUCUCUUUACCUUAGGAUAAUAAACAAAACAGAUGGUGAAAUUAAUUUUGGUCUAAAGAAAGGAUUGUUGAUCUAAAAGUGAAAAUAAAAUUCAGUGUGAAAGACGAAUUCCUUUCCAGAUUUAUAGGAUCUAAACACGAUUGUCUUUCCACUAAGCUCCAGAGCUGUACAUUAAUCACCAAAAAGAAUUUUAAGCACAUUUAUUGAUAAGCUGAGCACACUUCUAGUCAAACCAAUAUCUCACCUCUUCAAUAUCUCCUCUGACAGAAACAGUCAACAUUGUUCAUUUCUUUAAUUAUUUAUGAAUCUCCUGUCCGUGGCCAAACUGGUCUAUUAAACCAAAAAAAAAAAUUAUUAAUGGGACAAAUUUUAACAAUUUCCUUUAUUCAAAUGCAAUUUCAUACUAGGCCAAAAGUAAUACCAGCUACAAAAAUACAUUGCCUAAAUACAGGGCCAAAAAUACAUGGCUAAAAUACUUAUAUACAUUACACAAUUAUACAUCAACUCAAGACUCUAUCUGCUCAUCUUUGUUCUUGUUCAAGAUGUAAGCUAGGUCUUCUUAAUUCUCCUGUCAAGAAUCCCCAGUAAAUCUCCAUAGUAAUACAUAUCAACAUAACAAGGAGACAUAACACACGCUGUAUUACAAAUCCGUAAUUGAAGUAUCAUAGUAAAAUUGAAUUUGAAAUGAUACUUACAAUUUACAGUAGACGAUUCCGGCUGCAAAAUUCCCAGAAGCCAUUGUUGCAAAUUCAGCGACCACAUAAGCCAAAUAUCUGGAACAAAGCCAUGAAAUCUCAAUCAUAAAUUACUGAUAAAGAGAGGAGAGAGAUUAAAUUCAAUCAGAUUAAAUUCUCAAACAUAAUAAAAAUAACUUCUUAAACUGCAACGAAUACCCAUCUCCAAUACAACUAAACUCCAGAACAAGAUCAACAACAAGCCAGGGGUCUUAUACCUUCAAACUCCAAAACUGGAACCCUAGAGCAGUUGCUCUCUUCUACCUCUGACGAGCUCCAAGUCAGUCUCCGAGUUCCUGAAGUCGAAAUCGAAAGCUCAUCAACAAAGGUCUCUCGAGUCUUGGAGGGAAAUCAACGCCGGCGUUGGGAAAAAAAAGGCUGAGGAGGUAAAUCAGAAAUAGGGAUUUGAUUAGAAUCGAAUUGAAAUUGUGAAUUAGGUAUUCUAGAAGGCAGAGGAGAUUCAGGGAGUUGAAGGAUUACCACAUGCAAGCUGAAUCGUGGCUGGAAAACGGAGGAACACGCUGGUAAAUACUGUCGUCCUCCUCGGGUUCUCCUCCAUCGAUCUCAUCCUAGAGUGAUUGUAUGUGGGAUUCGGGGCUCGUAAUAGGAAGGUGGUGACGAGGAGGUACUGAUGUGGGUGGUCCGGUGAUCCUCCCCCACUCUCUCUCUUCACUCAUCUAGAUUUAGAUCUAGAAUAUGAAAUCGGAAGACGAAAGUGAUAUGAGCACAAAGUGCUAUGUUUAUAAUGUGUUUCCUUCCCUAUUUGGCCAUGUUAUUUCCUUAACAAUACCAUUUCUGACAUGUUUUAUAAAGGACAUGAGAGCAUAAAUCAAGAAAAGAAGACUAAAUUAUGGAAAUAAGAGAAAAAUGCAGAAAGCCCAAGUAGUACAAGGAUGGAAUAGAAAAAUGCAGAAAGCCUUUGGCCCAAGUCCAAAAAGGAAGGAGAAAAGUCAAACAUUUCUCCUAGUCCCACAUCAGUUUGGAAGAAGAAAUAAAUUUGAAUUUGAAGUCUAUAAACGACGAGAGAAAAGUCAAACUUGUGGAGCUAGUCCCACAUUAUUUUUGAAGAGAAGUUUCACCAAGAUUUUCUCUAUAUAAACAUAGCCUUGUGUACUUCUCAAAUCAUCAUUCAUUCAUACAAAAGUCAGGGAAACACAUAGCUCUACUGAGUAGCCUCUCUCUCUUCUUUGCUGAGUUUCUUCCUCCCUUGCUGAUACGAGCACAAAGUGCUAUGUUUAUAAUGUGUUUCAUGUCCUGUUUAGCUAUGUUAUUCUUGUAAUAAUGCCAGUUCUAACAUGCCUUGUGAGUCUGAAGGCAAAAGAGCAGAAAAGCAGAAAAGGAAGCUAAAACCGGCAAUUUAAGAGAAAUCCUAAUCAGAGGAGGAUUCUCAGUGCUGCAAGAAGUCUCAUUAAGUCGCAAAAUCUGAGGAUAAGUCGUUUAGGAAACUUUCCUGUUUUGAAAAGGGAAACUUACCUAUUUCAUUUUAAGAAACUUUCUUAUUUUGAUUUGGGAAACUUACUACUUUUGAAUCUUUCCUAUUCUGACUUUCCUAAAAUAUUUAGGAAACUUUCUUUUCUGAUGAGACAGGGAAAUCAUUUGAAGUCAGGAAACCUAAUCCAACUUGGAAUAGGAAGUCUUGGAACGUGUAUAAAAGAGGAAGGACGAAUUCUGCAGUAAUCAAGGGAUUUAUGUGUGCUAAUAUAAUCAGAAAUGAAUCUUUCCUUUAAUUUCGUCAUUUGAAUUCUGUUAUUCCCUACCAUAUUUAUCUGACUUUAUUUCUCUUUCAGGAACCCUAAUUGCGCACCAGGAAAGGAAGGAAAAUCAAGGAUUUUCGUCAAAGGUCUGAUUGAAGGCAGAAGAAGGAAGGUUUUCACUGCUGUGAUUUCUUUUGGAGAGCAAGAAACGUACCUGGCCUCUAUUCAAGCCUCAUGCAAUGAAUUACUGCAAAAGACAUUCCAGAGAAUUCUAGGGAGUUCUAAAUUAAGAUUUAAAGCAAUAAUUCUGCACCGUUGGAUCAGAAAUUAAUCAAGGGCUAGGAGGAUAGCUAGGGUUCGGCCAGACCAGUAUAUAAAGGAGCAAAGGAGCAAAGGAGCAACGUUUUGGGCAUCACUUUUCACGCAUAGACUUCUGCCCUAACAUCAUAAUAGCCUUCUCUCCGUUGUUUUCGUCCAAGACAGCAGAGCCUCCUUCCAUUGAAGCUUGCUCUACCUUGGUGUUCUGCAGGAAGUCACUUCAGAAUAAAAAGUGUAACAAUGCCUCAAUCGAUUUCUCUCUGUUCUGUAGUAUUUUCUUUUGUUAGAUUUUUAGAACUCCUGCAUUUUGGAUUGAGAUUGAUGUUGAGAAUAUGGUUAUAUUAAUUUUCAGAUUUAUAAAGUUAUGUUCUUAAGUUGUUUAUGAGAUUUGCAUAAUUUAUCUUCAUGUCAUUCUUGUUGUUGAAAACUUGUGAUCUGGUUAUUUAAAUUACUAACUUCUGCAGGGUUGGUAGUGCCAUUGAUCUGUGUGAAACCGCUGAGGCAAACAUAGAUUGAAUAAGUGGCGAAAGCUUAUAUUCAUGGGAAUGGGUCGGAUUUGAUCAUGAGUUGCAUGUAGACUUGUUUAAGCGCUGAGAUAAACAUGUUUAUGUGUUUGAAUUCUUCUUUGAUCUUAAUGCUUCAUGUUAUAUGCUGUAUGGUUGCGCUGAGUAUUAACAUGACAUAUUGCAUGGAAUUUUCUGUGUUAAACCGCUAAGGCAAACAUAGGAUACAUAAGAAGAUUAUUAUAGGUUACAUGACCGCUGAGGCGUGUAAUUCUGAGUUCGUUUCAUAAUACUUGAUUGGCAUGAUAUUAAGUUGUGUAGAUUGAAACAACCUGUUUGCAUGAUUCUAUAUGUCUGUGCGUGUUUGAAGUCGAUCACUUGUACAUAUUUUAUUUUCUGUUUAGUAGGAACGUAGAACAAACCUUCAAAACCCCCCCCCUUUUAUCUAUUGUACCAUGUGUAUUUUUGUAACUGAAUACUUGUAAAUACUUAUAGUUACUGAUUCAUUAGUGUAACCGUGACUGCAGGAGCGCCCUUUAAGUCCCCGGAUUGAUCGAACCCUAUUUGCCAAUACUACAUUCUGAUAAGAAAAGGGUUUUUAAGUUACGCGCCCGGUAACGAGCACGUCACUUGCCAAAGCCUUGUCGGAUGUUCCACAAGAGCAGCAACUUUGGAGCCUUGAAGCCGGAGCACUUUUUAGAUGUCUACAAGCUUCUUGAAGACUGAUAAAGUGUAACCCUACCUCUGUUUUGUUUAGUUUUCCUUUACAAUUUCAGAAACAUGUUUUCGGUUUUCAAAUAUUGGAUUUGGAUGUUGUUUCGAUGGUUAUGUUGUUAGUAAAUUCUGAAUUUUAGUAAAGCAUGUUAAAGUUUCGUUAAUGAUAUUUUUAGCAAUAUGAUCUUGUCAAUUCAUUGGUUAGAAAGUAUGUGUUGUUGUUUGAUAUCCCUAUGUUAGAAUGAAUGCUAACUAAUGCCAUGAUUUAUGCUAAGCCUCGUAGGUAACUGUAGAUCUCCAAUGGUGUCACAGAUAUAGCUGAAUACAUAUACUAUGCAAUUCCAUGUUGUGACGUUCAUAAUAUAAUUGUGUUCAAUCUCUUUCUAUAGAUCUUAAGGACUCAUGUUAAGUGUAGACAUACUUAUAGUAUUGAUAGCAGUCUUCCAUGAGAUGUCCUAGCUCUAGACGUUCUGUGCUAGAGACAAGUAAGUAGAACUAUAAAAUGCAUGACCUCAUAGGCUUGUGUUUUGAGAUUGUUUCUAGUUCUCUGAAUUGGUAUGUUAUUGGAUUGCUAAGGUUGAAACGUGAACUUUGAUGUGUGGUAUGAAUAUGAGUUUCUCUCUGAUGGAUGUGUUGAAUGAAUUGAUCAUUUGUAUAUAUUAUACUUUAUUUUCUGUUUUUAGGAAUGUUAGACAAAAUCACUCUCAACCCCCCUUUUUUACCUUGUAUCAUAUGUAUAUUUGUAACUAAAGACUUGUAUAUAAAUGUAUUGAUAACUACUGACUUUUUACAUGACCAGUGUUACAAGAGUACCCUUAGUCCCCGGAUUGAUCGAACCUUAUUUGCCUUAUACUACGAUUGUCAAAAAGGGUUCUUAAUUGUCGCAUGCCCGGUAAUGGGCACGUCAAAGAAUGAGUGCAUACCUUGUGAGAUUGAAUCAUACUUGUCUGAAAUAUGCUGAGCUUAAAUAUCACCAUUGUUCUAUCAGGUCCUACGUGUAAAUAUGUGAUCUGUGCAUGGCAAUUAGCUUCUGAAAUUUCAUGGAAUGAUUCUUGGUUGAGUGCUAAUUUUGAUGCCAUGAGAAUAGAGAUUCUGAGACAAUAGUUAUGGGCAUCAGAGUCUGUUUGUUUUUUAUGUUAGUGUGUUUGUUAGAUUGGUUUUGCUAUGGGACUAGCAAAAGCUAAGUGUGGGGGAAUUUGAUAUGAGCACAAAGUGCUAUGUUUAUAAUGUGUUUCCUACCCUAUUUGGCCAUGUUAUUUCCUUAACAAUACCAUUUCUGAUAUGUUUUGUGAAUGUAAAGGACAUGAGAGCAUAAAUCAAGAAAAGAAGACUAAAUCAUGGAAAUAAGAGAAAAAUGCAGAAAGCCCAAAAGAAGGCCCAAGUAGUACAAGGAUGGAAGAGAAAAAUGCAGAAAGCCCAAGUCCAAAAAGGAAGGAGAAAAGUCAAACAUUUCUCCUAGUCCCACAUCAGUUUGGAAGAAGAAGUAAAUUUAGAUUUGAAGUCUAAAAAGGGCAGGAGAAAAGUCAAACUUGUGGAGCUAGUCCCACAUCAUUUUUGAGGAAAAGUUCCACCAAGAUUUUCUCUAUAUAAAGACAGCCUUGGGUACUUCUUAGGGCAUCUCUUCUUCACACAAAAAUCAGUGAAACACAUUAGCCUUCCUUCUCCUUAUCAACUCCUCUCUCCAGAAAAGAACCAAUGCAAGCUGGCACCUUUGUAGGACUUCUCCAGAAGGCUGUCGAAAAUCAUCAGGCCUGUGUGUUCCUUUGAACAUCUCAAGCUUCCUUGAAGAUUUAUAAAGUGUAACUCAUGUCUUGUUUCUUGUUUCUUGUUAUUGUUCUUUGUUUUCUUUUAUUAGAUUUCAAAGUUGGAAUUGGCUGGUUGUUAAGAACAUGAAUGGGUUAAUUUUCAGAAUAAAUUCAAGCAUAUUUCAACUUGUCUAUGAUAGCAUGUGAUUCGUUUUAUGCCUUGUUGAUUUCAUUAAAUGCUUAGUUUUGUUUGAACUAAAACUCUAAUCUGCAGGUUAGUGUUGCUAUGAUCUAUACUACUUACUUCUUCAAGUAAGUAGUAAGCUAUGAUCUAUACUAAGCUUCUUCAAGUAGUGAAGGUUGUGUAAUAAUAGCUGAAACUAUGUGUUACAUGUUUGCAGGUUAAGCAGCUUCCUGUAAACUUGGGCAUGUUCAAAUUCAGAAUUCUAUAACAUUUAAUGAUUCAUGUUUAGUGUAGACCGGUACUCUGAGUGACACAGAGUAUCGAUCGCAGCCUUUGCAUGAAAUAUCCUAGGUUCUAGACUUGCCUGUGCUUAGGAGAUAAAGUAAGUAGAAUUAAAGGAAUGCAUGACCGCUGAGGCUUGUGUUUCGAGUUUGUUUUUGAUAUCACUUGGAGACGAACUUGCAUAUAUGUUUGAGGCAUGUUGAUACUUGUUUGAUUCAUUCUGAAAUCUCUGGUUGAUGUGUGCUGAAGAUGAUUACCUGUAUAUAUUAGUUUAUGUUUUGCCUUUAUCUUUUUCGUAGGAACAUUAGAACAAACCUCAAAAACCCCCCAUGUUUAUCUUGUACCAUAUGUAUAUUUGUAAAUGAAUUCUUGUAUAUAUUUUUAUUGAUAACCACUGACUUUUUACAUGACCAUUGUUACAGGAGCACCCUUAGUCCCCGGAUUGAUCGAACCUUAUUUGCCUUAUACUACGAUUGUUAAAAAGGGUUCUUAAUUGUUGCACACCCGGUAACGGGCACGACCGUUAUGAUUUAAGUUGUUAGGUGGGGGAAUUCUUUCUCAAAAAAAAAAAAGAACAGGUUUCAUUUGGGCACGGACGUGUUCUCUUUAACUUAUUUUAAUCUCAUUUGGACAUCGUUUGAGCAUGGCCACUCACUUUUUAUUGUAUAAGGAUGUGAAACAAAAUAUGUGUACCUUGUUAGGGACGGAGACUGAAUUGUCCGUGGCUAUAGAGUUGGUACAUAUUUGUCACAGAUGACAAUUUGACUGUCCCACAUAUCUAAGAAUACCACGAAAUAAACUCAUCCCUACCUAUUUAAAAUGAGAUGGGGACGGAUCUAAAUUUGUUUGUGCCUAUUUAUUACAUAGGUAUUAUUUUGGGGACGGAUUAAAACUUGUUCAUGCCUAAAUUAUCCCCCUUUUACCCAAAUGAGGACGGAUCUGAAACUUGUCUGUGCCCAAUCAAAAUAUUUCCCAUGCUAUAUUGACUUUGACAUCCUUUCAGGGAAGUGAUAUGUUUAUAAUGUGUUUCCUGCCCCAUUUAGCUAUGUUAUUCUUGUAAUAAUACCAUUUCUAAUAUGUUUUGUGAGUGUGAAGGCAAAAGAGCAGAAAAGCAAAAAAGGAAGCUAAUUCGUCAAUUUAAGAAGAAUCCUAUUAAAACUAGGAAACAAGUCCGACUCAAGCAAGGAAUCUCACUAAGUUGCAAAAAUGAGUGAAUAAAAGGAUAAGUCGUUUAGGAAACUUUCUUGUUUCAAAUGGAAAACUUGCUUAUUUCAUUUUAAGAAACUUUCUUAUUUUGAUUUAGGAAACUUACUAUAUGUGAAACUUUCCUAUUCUGACUUUCCUUAAUUGUUUUGAGAAACCUUCUAUUCUUGUGCGACAAGAUUGAGUAAAAGAAGGAAGGGAAUUAAAGAGUUGACUUGCUGGAUGCGAUAGGAGCAAAGAAGGAAACCAGAAAUCUCUAAAGAUUUCUGGCCAAAAUUUAGGAGCCCAAACAAGGACUUAUUGGCUGCAAAUCGUUGAUGGGAAUCUUCCUCAAAUCAUGGAAUACUUAAUUGAUUCAAAAUCAGAAAAUAAGGAAGUUAUCUGUUAUUCCUUUUAUUAAGAUUCCUAAUUGGUCCAUAAUUAUGUCAUAAUCUGAUUUCCAUAAAUUGCAGGAUUAACUGUGUGCAUCAGGAAAGGAAAAGAUCAAAAAUCUUCCUCGAGGAUAUGAUUGACGCAGAAUAAAAUAAGGAGGAGAUUUUCUUGCAGAUUAAGACAUACACCUGGUCACCAUUCAAGCUACAUUCGAUGGACUAAUGCACAAGACUUUUAUGGCAAGAUUUUGAGCAAUUAUCCCAGACCGUUGGAUCAGAAGUUGAUCAAGGGCUUGGAGAAGACCUAGGGCUGGGCGUGUCCACUAUAAAUAGAGGCUCUCUACUUCAUAAUAAUCAUCAUUCAUUCACAUAAAAAUCAGAGAGGUACGAGAGCAGCAGCAGACCUUCAUUUCCUCCUUUGCCGAGUUCAUCUUCUCUUGCCAGACCUUGAAGGACUUCUCCACGAAGGUAGCACAGUUUGAGAGAAGCAUUGAAGCAAAACAUCCUUUUGACAUCGACAAGCUUCCUUGGAAACUAAAAAAGUGUAAACAGUGCCCUUACUUUGUUUUGAUUUUCUUUACAAACUUGAAAGCAUGUUUCGAAUGUUUAACUCUGGAUUUGUAAGCAUGGUUUGCUUGUUCUUGUAUUCAAUAUAUUCAGAAUUUUAGUAAAGCAUUUUGGAGUUUCUUUCAUGAUAUCUUCGCAAUCUGAUCUUGUCAAUUCAUAGGUUAGAAAGUAUGUGUUGUUGUUUGAUAUACCUAUGUUAGAAUACAUGCUAACUAAUGCCAUGAUUUAUGCUAAGCCUCGUAGGUGUAGAUCUCCAGUGGUGGAAGCUUUGUCACAGAUAUAGGUGAAUGCGUAUACUAUGCAGUUUCCUGUUGUGACGUUCAUAAUAUAAUUGUAUUGAAUCUCGUUCCAUAGAUUCUAAUGACUCAUGUCAAGUGUAGACAGAUACGUUGAGUAUUGAUAGCAACCUUACAUGAGAUGUCCUAGUUCUAGACGUUCUGUGCUAGGGACAAGUAAGUAGAACUAUAAAAUGCAUGACCUCGUAGGCUUGUAUUUUGAGAUUGUUUCUAGUUCUUUGAAUUGGCAUGUUAUCGGAUUGCUGAGGUUGAAAUAUGAACUUUGUUGUGUGGUCAGAAUCUGAGUUUCUGUCUUAUGGAUAUGUUGAAUGAAUCGAUCACUUAUAUAUAUUAUACUUUAUUUUCUGUUUUAGUAGGAAUGUAGAACAACCCUUCCAACCCCCCCCCCCUUUUAUCUAUUGUACCAUGUGUAUAUUUGUAACUGAAUACUUGUAUUGAUAAUUACUAGCUAUUUUGACCAUUGUUCGCAAGAGAGCCCUUAGUCCCCGGCUAUAACGAUACCCCGCUUAUUUUAUACUACAAUGCUGGGUUUUUUUUAAUUGAGAACGUCCCGGUCACGGAGAGCGCAUCAGGACGGAUGAAAUUUUUAUGUCCCUAUUAGACAUAUAAGGCCACAGACAAGGAGGUCGUCCCUAAUUUUGCUAUCUAUAUUGAUCGAUUUGCUAGUAGUGUAUGUUUGAUUAACAGCAAGCAGCAUCAAAUUUGCACAAAUGAAAAUAAAGAAGCAGGCAAAGCCAGUUAGAUAAGCUAUAUAAACAUCAGUGCAGUAUACUCUAUAAGGCCGGUUAGGAUUUGGCCGGCGGAGUGAUGGAUCUGAACCAAAUCGGCGCAAGAGAGACACCGGUCGCCGCUGGAGAUGAAGGCCUAGUGAUGAAGGGAAUCAAAUCAAAGGCGUGGACCGGGUGUUGAUGGAGCCAUGGAGGUGAAUCGAACUAGAUCGAGCCCGAGAGAGAGAGAGAGAGAGAGAGAGAGAGAGAGAGAGAGAGAGAGAGAGAGAGAGAGAGAGAGAGAGAGAGAGAGAGANNNNNNNNNNNNNNNNNNNNGAGAGAGAGAGAGAAGAAUUCAGAAUGGAGACAAGGGCUAGGGUUAGUUUAAUUGAAUUGAGGGUAAGUUUCUUUUUACUUAGAUUCAUUGGAAUUGGCUCAUAUAUAAGAUUUUCAUUGGAGUGGGCAUUAAUCUUGUUGUUUUGCUGUUUUUUGUAAAUAUGUAUUUUCCCAAAAUAAUUGUUAUUCCUUAUUAGGAGAGACUAAUUUAAUGAUAAGUCGAAUUAAAAUAUCUAUUACACUGCAAUUAGAUCGAAGGUAGGUAUUUUCGAGUACGAGAUGUUACAUCUUGUUCUCAAAAUUUAAUUCCUGCAUAACAGAAAACAUAAAGUGUGUUGGAAAUCUAGAAACUUUUCUAUUUAUACCAAUUUUUAUUGUAACCCGAAAACUUUCGUUGAACAUAACUUCUUCAUAUGAUGUCUGUUUUACGCGUGUCACGUGUUCAUGAACUCAUAUCGCCGUGUUCUACAGUUUUGGUGAAGGAAGUUUUCCAAGAAACCCAAAGAAUAAAAAGUCAACUUUUGACCUAUCAAAAGAAACAUUUUCAAGUAAAUUAUCGUCCGAACACUUCCGCUCUUCUUUCGAACAUCGAAAACACACUAACUCCUAACUUAAUAAUUUCCAAAUAAUAUUAGAAAUUAAUAUCAAAUUUCUGAUGGUUAGUAUCAAUUUGUUUGGUAUUUAAGUUAUGCUGAGGGUUAGUAUCAAUUUAGGGUUAGUAUCAACUUCUAAAUUAUAUGGUGAGGGUGAGUAUGAAUUUGUUUGCUAUUUAAGUUUUAUGGGUUAUGAGGUGUUUACCAAUAACUACAUUUCCAAGACUUUAAUUACCAGUAGCAGGGCUGAAAUAUUGGUAACCCACGUGCAAAAAACGGCAUGAAGAAACGGCCCACUAUCACUCCGUACCAAAUUACGGAUAUGCCAUCAUAUAAAUUCAUGAUCCCUUUGUUAUCUUUAUUUUCGUUUAUUGGUAGUUAAGCACGAUCUUACAAGAUUGCGAACGAAUUAAUGUUCUCAGAAUCUGCCGAAACCAAAGUCUUUGUUCUUCUUGGGAAUUAUAUACACCAAUGACAUUGAUUUCUCAACUUAUUUCAUCAAUUUUUUGAGAAAAUUGUUUGCGUUUUAUUGGCAAUUUAACACGAUUUUACAAGAUUGCGAACGAAUCAACGUUUUCAGAAUCUGCCGAAACCAAAGUUUUUUUUCUUCUUCUUGGGACCUCUAUGCACCAACGACAUUGAUCUCUCAACUUAUUUCAUCAAUUUUUUUAAGAAAACUAUUUGCGUUUUACUAGCCGUUUAAGUGAUCUUAUAAGAUUGCGAACGAAAAAAAUAAGAUUUGUUAGUGUCCCCUUGGUGAAUUAGAAUUGUUGACCAGAUGACUGCCCAAAUAAGAUUCGCAAUAUGUGCUUAAAUAAUAUUGAUGUGUGUCCAUUUGAGGACUUGAGCUUAUUUGUCCGCUGACUUAAGUUGUCCAAGCGGAAUGAAGUAGCUUGAUUUUCACCGUUGACUGGUCAACUUUAUCAACGUUUCCAAUGUAGAAUUAUGGAGAUUCUUCUAUACACCGCUGUGAAGGUACACGGCAGUUUUUUUUUACACGUGGCCAUAUCAGAGCCUUCCAUUUAAUGGUGAGAAUGAAGUCAUAUAAGCCAUAGAUUAAUGCUUACUUACAGAACGGUCAACGUGAAACUGAGUGAGUGAGGUAAAAAAAUGGGUAAAAAACUAUCCAGGUAAAAAUUCAAUAAAUCUCUUCCCAUCCCCGACUCCGGCUAGCAGAGUGUACAGAGCAACUCUUCUCCGUAUGGAAGGGCCAUAAUCGGCGGCAAAGGUGUAAAGUUUUAGACUACUCAGUCAGGUCCGAAUGUUUUUUGAGGGGUUCAGGGUUUAGAUUUCGAGGUGCGAAACGCGAUUUCAGGCUUUCAAUAUGAAUGAAGGGGGAACAGGUUGGUUGACUGCACGCACAAGGCAUCACCUCGUCUUGAGAUGUAAGCAUCAAUCGAGCAAGGCUACUUGGUAAUUUGAUUCUGGUUAGUUUGUAUCUUUUUCAUUUUCAAAUAUCUUUGAUUUUGAUGAUUUUUGAGAUCAAUUUUGUUCGUGCUAUACUAGGUGAUUUAGAUGUACUACAAAAAUAUUAAUUUGGGGCAUUGAUUUCUAAAGAGACUUCUCUCACCGGUUAUAGGUUAGUGUUUGCCGGGUUUGUGUGCUUGAAUUAAAGUUUAAGGUUUGGGAAUAACUUGCUCCGGUUGAAUUGCUUUGAAUUUUAUUGUAGAUUUAACAUUUAACUAUCAGGUGUAUGUUUUAGCACAUCAUUGUGAGAGAGAUAUAUGUUACCGCAAACUCUCCAACACUACACCAAGGAUGCAAAGUUUAUUUCUUACCACAUGUGCAGUGUAACCUUGUAAUAAUACAUGUUUCCUUUGAUUCCUUACUUUGUGACAAACAGAUAAUGUAUCCUUUCAUGAUACUGUAAAUUUGUGUGAGAAGAAAUUGCAAAUGAUUCUUACAAGUUACAAAACAACUCUGUUAGUCAUUUGAAAAUCUGCAAUCUUAUGUUGAGCAUAAAGAAAGGUACAAAUGAGAGGUGAGAUAUACAUGAGCGUAUUUCAUAAGUUUUCCUAUUGUUUUCAGAAGAUCGUAUGGUUCCUUUAUAUGGAGUUUGAGUGUUUGAUUGAUUCAUUCGCAGUGUGAUGGUUUAGGUUUUAAGAUUUCAAGUAUACUUCUAUGUUCUAUGUAUGAAUUAGGGUUGCUCCUUGCUAGUACAUAGAGGUAUCACAGCCUUUAGUUUCCUGGCUACUGUUGGGAUCAUGCAUGAAAAUAGACAUUCCAUACCAAAUCUCUUGGUUAUUUUUUAAUUCAGGUCUCUCUGGGGGAGUUCUUAAUGACUUGUGGUUUUGGGGUCUCCUUGAUUUGUUUAGGUAUGUGUUAAGAUACAAUGGUUAUUAUUUGGAUGAUUUGCACUUAAAAUAAGCUGGGUCAAUGGAGAUGAGAAAUAUAAACACCAGGUGUGUUUAAUGCUUUAAGUCUUAAAUGUGUCUAAUAUUGCAUGUAAUUCUUACAUUUUGGUUAUUACUCAGGUAAAGGUUUUAUUGUUAUUCAUUUCUUAAUGUUUCUUUUGCUAUGUUGAAGUUCAGAUGCAGGACUUAGGCAACUGUGAUGAUUCUUGCUAGUUGCUAUGGAUGAUAGUCUAUGGAUGUUCAGUUGCUUAGUUUGAUGCGCAGGUUGUUAAUUUAUUUAUUUAUUUAUUUUUUCUGUGUAGAAGUCCUUGCUCAUUUACACUUCCUUUUUUCUUUCAUUUAGUUGUCCUUAUGGUAGUUUGUUGGUACGUACAGUGAACUUAAUUUAUGAAUCUUUCUCUAUUCUAAACUGAGAAUCUAACAUGAUUCAUGAUUUUUUUAUCUGACUUCAAUCUGGUUUUUUCUUGCGAUGCAGAUCACUGUAUUUUUUGCAAUGAGCCAAAACAACCAACCUCAGCAGCAGACAAGCUGACUAGACAACUCUAAAGUGCUAUUGAAGAACUUUUGAAUUAGAUUGGAAAUGUAAUAUGUUUUGUUAAGGCUAUUUUUGUAACCAUAUUCAACGUCAGAUAGUAUGUUAGUGAUUACUAUUUGUUCUUUAUGGGAUCUUCGGCUAAAUCUCUUGCUUAUCUUCCAUACCCCCAUCUUGUGCAGUUGCAUACUUGCAUUGUUUGCAUAUCUAGACUUUGAGGGCAGUGAUGGUGAUGUGGGACGGCACGACGGUGUUGCAGGGCUGCACGUCGACACGAAGGCACUGCAGGCUUGUAUGAUGGCGCUGCUGGAAUUGUAAUUUUUUAUGAACACCAAUUGAUAUAGUUGUCAUGCAAUCUUGACCACAGAUGAAGCAGUAAACAUUUACAGUGUGAAGCAAAGAUGACAUAAGGCAAUACUGUUCUUUUGAGCGAAAUGAUCAGUGUUAAAUUUAUUAUGUCUUCCUAAAAUCUGUCAUUUAACUAAAGAUACCUGAACCUUUAUUUACUAUAAAAUUCUGUAAAAUAUGAGUGGUUGAUGUAAUUUUCAUGUAGCACCGGGCAGCUGUGUUGUAUUGAAUUUCAGCAGGACUUGGUAACUCCAAUUGAUCUGAAAUUUUGUGGCGUUGUACUUCCAGGUGUGUAUUGUGCUGUGUUUGAAUUGCUUUUGUGAGUGUUGGUUUCGAUCUCGAUCGGAGUCGGAUACGGAGUUGGUCAAGCGAGCUCUUAUCGUAGUAGUCGAAGCUUGAGGGCUGAGCGUUGGACUCCUCUGCCGGCGACGACAAGAGUCGAGUAUUUUUGGGAUUUGGGUGAACGCUGAGCUUUUGCGUUCGAAGAUGAGGAAGGCAUGGGCCUCUAUUGUUUGUAAUCUUGUGAUUCUGUAAGAUAGGCUCUGAAACGGUGUUUCGAAUGUCGUCGUUCAUAGAACAGAUGCCGACUAGAAACUUGUGCUUCAAUUUCUUGUUGUUCGUAAUUGAAUGGAUGAUUGAGUAUUGGGCUCUUGGGCUCUGAACUCCGAUCGGAAAGGAGGAGCAAAACAGGUGAGAGUUGGACUCCGAACGGUAAUCCGUGAAGAAAAUUGGAGCGCUGGGUUCGAGUGCUGAUCGAAGGCAGGGAGAAGAAGGCAUGGGUGCCCAUAGAAAAUUGUUGGGCGCUUCAACGUGAAGUUCCUUCAAUCGAAGUUUCCGGUCGAAGUUGACCGCUGAGAUCGAAUUUCUGCUGCAAUUCUUUCGUGUUCGAAGGUUCAAUUUAGCUGUUCGGAGCUUGAUGCAUGGCUGCCCUGGCGACUUUGUUGUUUGGGUGCCAAGAGUAGCUUGCUGUCUCUGAUGUAUAAUAGUUAUAAUUGUUGAUGAAGAGCAUUUGCUUUGUGUUUCGAUCGGUAGAUUUGUCUUUAUGCAUGAGAAGAACUGAAUGUCCUUGACUGGACUCCUUCCAUGCAUGUCUAAGACCACGAUGAUGAUGAUGCUCUUGUAUGUAUGUGGGCAAACUGAAGUACUAAACAUGAAUUGUUUACUUUGUUACUUUCCCAUCUUGUGAGUCUCCAUCGACUUUGCAUAAUUUGAACUUUCCAUUUGGGUUAAUUAGAUGGCAGCUUGAUAUCGUGCGUGGCCCUUCGUGGGUCAAAUUGGCCGCUCGAUCGUGUAGAUAUGGUUGAAGAGCUGAGCGCUCAUGGGAAUGGGGCCGAUCGUGGGCGAGAUGAUUUCGUUUGUAACUGCAAAUUCAGAAUAAAACAUAUUAAAUUUGUGUUCGAAACUGCAAUAUAAUUAUGAGAUUGGUAAGGAGAAUAGAAGUAUGAGCGUUGGGCUCUUAGUUUAUUGUUCCGAUCGAGUUUGUUGAUCAAGCAUGGUGUUCGUCCGUCGUAAAGAGCUGGGCGAACAAGCUGCUAUAAUUCGAAGCCGAUAUAGCUAAUUUUGUGUUCGUCGAUCGAGCAAUUUUAGAAUCUUUAGUGAGCUAGGCGGUUCCGCAUGGGUGACCAAAACAAAUUGCUGGGUGUAGAGAGUAGAAGUUCUCAUCCCGUAGCUUACUUCGGCUUGUCAGGCUUGAAGGUGCAGUUGCUCUGAGAUUCAUAAUCAUCAUUGUAUGAAUGUAUUCGAUAGCUUGUUUUGUUUUCUUGUGCAUUUUUCCAUUACGAUCGGUGGAACUUGGCUCCAUAUAGCAAGUUCUCCAAAUUUGCAUGGAAUUUGGUCUCCUUGCCUUGUCUUUUGUGGCUUUAAUUAAGCAAUGGUGAUUGCCUUGUUGCCUCAAUGUGAACACAGCUGUGCAUUCUCACACAUGAAUUGUAAUUGAACCGUUUCCAUGCAAAUGUUGUGCGCUUGCCCUAGUAUUUGUAUCUUUGGAGGAGUGAGAUCGCUGGGACCGAGUGCACUCAUUUGUGAAUAGUGCGCAGUGCCUGCACGGGGUUGGACCCCUUGUAGAUGCAUAAUCACGAGCGGAUUGAUCGAGAGUAGAUCCAUUUUGUGCAUGGCCGAGCGUAAGUGAACUAAUCCCGAACGAGCAUAGCUUUUCCAUGCGAUCCAUGCGAUCCAUGCAAUGUGAGGUCCAUGCGCUGCUUUGGUAACUAAAGGGUUGGACCCGUGCACAUGCAAUCAUCCUCCAAGCCUCAAUUUGCAAACAGAUGGAGGAGGAAUAGUUGAGUUUGGCCAAUCGAGAGACUGAUCAUUAUGAUCAAACGUGGAGGUUGGUCCGCGGUCAGCUCUUUGGUAGAGAACGUGGCUUUUGGUGUGUGGGAUUAUGUGGUCAAACGUGGGAUGAAAAUUGUCCGAAGAAAGGGUGUGCGCGACGUGUCAUUUGUCCGUGCGCGACGACAUUUAUCCGCGCACGAUGGCCAUGUGAGACCAAUUUGUCCGCGCACAAUGGCCAUACUAGACCAAUUUGUCCACGCACAAUGGUCAUGCGAGACCAAUUUGUCCACGCACAAUUUGCCCGUGCGAACUGAAUUAUCCGAAAAUGCCCAUGCGAAAUGAUACAUGUUUGAAGAAAAAAUAUAUGAUUUCACAUAUACCGAGUUGUGCAAAUACAAUGUAUAAUUGAUUCACAACACUGACUGCACGAUAUUUCUUAAUUGAUAUUAGAGCUUAUUCACAAUAGUAAAUACCCAAUGUGUUUCCUUAUGGUUAUUAGAUUUGAUUCACCAUGUGCUUCCUUGAUGGUUAUUUUCUAACUAAAGACUAUUGCCAUUGUUCAUCACCAACACCUUUGAAAGAUGAUACCUGCAAAGAAAAGAAACCAAUAACAGAUAACCAAAUUGAUGCUUGCAAGCUGCAACACACUAUACUUUAAAAUGACUUUCAUCAUCUGCCAAGGGAAAUGUCAUUAAACUGUAAUAUUAGAACAUACAUAUACAGUUUAUGCAUCCAAAAAACGGAAAUCCAGACAAAGGUUUUACUUUUUCUGGUUUGACAGAGAAGGGUGCGAUGGUCAGGAACACCACCAUUUGGCACUUGAUUUGAUUAUGGGGUACUAUCAUCCAAUAUCAAAAGGCCAACACCAUAUCUUGUUAUGCCUAAUUGCUAUAUCAGUGAAGCUUGUAUUUUUAGUUCAAAGUUCAAACCAACCUAAUAUAACAAGUCACUACUAAUUAGCAUAACAAAAUUUGCCAAGAAGCAAACACACCAAACCUAGCGCUUCUGCUGCUCUUCUGGCUCUCUUCGCUGCAAAUGCCAACAAGCAUGCUCAUAAGAAAUUCCCUCUGAUCCAUUUCAAGUGUUUAUCCAAGCCUUGAGCCACCAUCUCCAUCUCAGGCUGCACAGUAAAAACCAAUCAUCAAGAAACUGAUCCCAAACGCAACAACAAAGUUAGGAAGGAAAGUCAAUUUCUCAUGAUGCAUGUGUACAUUGAUUAGAGGCCAGCCAGGUCAUUAAAAAAUAUUAUGUCUUUAUAUAUAUAUAGCUACAGACUCACAAUGUUUUUGAUUCAAAAAAAGACUCACAAUGUCGGUUUGAAGUAUUUACUGGGAUUGAGCAUAAGAUAAUUUUCUUAACUAGAAAAUGCAAAACAAAAACCAUUAAACAAAGAGAAAAUAUAUUCUUAAUAACACCGUAACAAAGGUAAAAAAAAUAUAGGUGAAGACUAUAUUGAAAAACUAUAAAGCAAAUGCCCUAAGAAAAAUAGCUCUCAGACAAUAUAGGAACAGGAAUAGAGGCUAUUAGUGCUACGAGUCAAAAAUUGUUGCUUUGUUAUGGUAAAGUUGUUUGAUGAAUUAUAGAGCACAUACCGAAGACUCCUCGGGAGGGAAAAUCCGCCAAACAAGGCAUAUCUUUGACAGUUCCACUACUGCUUCUGCAUGUUUACCUUGCAUCACUAAAUUAGCCUGCAAUCAACAAGAAUAAAACAUAAAGUGCCAAAAAUUCACAGUUAAGUUUCCAACUGUACUUCAUGGUUUUUGGAGUACAUAAUUGACAUAAUUUUCUAAAUUGAUUUUAGAAAAAUUAGGAAGUUCUAGACCACUGACAUUCACUAACCCAACUCAGCCGUAUGACAACUAGUGAUCAUUCAGGUGCUAGACUGCAGCACAGACAAAACCCGAAUCAGCUCAAAUCACGGAAACAGAAAACACAGCCAAAAAUAACAAUGCGCAUCACAUUCUUCAUUAGAUAAAACAUGCUGUUAUGUUUGAAAAGAUAGUGACCGAAUAUCAAAGCAAUUGAGCUAGUACUUACAUUCACCGUCUUUAGUUUCCAGCCAGGUCCAGUUAUCUCUCUAAUUUAGUAUUCGGGUGGCACUUAAUAGCAAAAAGAAGAAAGAAAGAAACGAAAAUCAGAUUGAAACUCAAAAAGAACGAAAUACAGUUUUCUUUAUUUGAGUAUAUUGCAUGUAAACUGUAACUUUACCUGAUAAACUGCUAAAAAAUGAAAAUCAGAUUAGCUGUAUACUAGAAUUCGGUGCAAUCGAUCAUUGAGGUCCUAGAUUGCAGAACAGACAAACGCCGAAUCAGCUCAAAUCAGGUUACGGGAACGGUUAUCCUUCGUGAAAUGAUAAGCUCAAUCUCAAACAGUAUAAAAACCACAUAAGAACGGAAUGAAAAAAUUUGAAAAUUCAAAAGCACUCAACUUAUCUAUUCGAUCUGAGCAGAGGAAUGGGAACUUCCCAAAUCUAUAGUCCCACGAAUCCAUCUUGGGGAAAAUUUAUAUUGCACUCUUUGCAUUCAAACACCAAUUUCAUGCCACCAAAAAAAAUUCAAAUGCAAACGCAAAAGCCAACAAAGUCAAGCAUAACAACAUCAAGAAUAUACCUGAGAAACUAACAAAUUGGAUCCCGCCCAAAAUCAACCAAACUCCCAGGCACAUGUUAACAAAUCCUCCAUAGAUUUUCACUUAAAGACAUCUCAUCGGCUCUACACCGAAAAUAAAAAAAAAUGGAUAGAACAAAAAGAAAAGGAUAAGAAAUACUGAGACAUUAGAGCUGCUCAAAAUAUGGACAAAUAAGAACAACAUGGUCUUCAAUGGUGGGACAUAUAUUUUUUUUUUACCAAGAUCAAAGGCCAAAGCGGCUUGAACUCUAUUUGAAUUAAACCCUGGACAAAGAGCAAUAUUAGAAUCUCAAAACAGAUCCGAAAAUAAAAAGCAUACAAAACAAGCACAAACCCAAAUACUAUUCUCUCUUUCACUUUAUCAAUGCUAGUCUUGCUUUAAAUUUUCUGCUAGUCUCAUUGACUCACGUUAUUGCUCGUUACAAAUCAUAUUCAGAUUAUAGAAAUAACCCAGUAGCACAAAAUGGAGAACUGUAAAGUACACACAAGAGCUUGCAGCAGUUGUUGCUGGGAUAUCAAUAACUAACCUGGAAAAUACGCAUACAUGAUUUUCAAUGGGAGCUGUUGCCAUAUGCAUAAAAUAUUUGAGCACAAACUAUCCCAUCGACAUUUCAUGUCAUCUGAUCGUCAAUCUAGACUGUUAAAAAAAUGAGGUCUAAAUAGGGUCGAAAACAAAACAUACCGGAUAAUAAAAUGAGUGAUAAUUAAGAGAAAGGUUUACUUACUUUUUGCCUAAAAAUUGGCCCAUUCGAGUCUCCCAUCUCCCACACUUAUGCAAUGGCAGUCCUCUAUAUUUUGAGCCGCCUCUACAGAACCGGUACUUUGUGGGCAAAGUACAUGCACACAUUCCUCCUUUGUUAAAUUGCUCAUCCGUUAGCAACAUAUUACAAAAGAAUAUAAUCAAUCUUCCCCAUAUCCACAAAAUGACGGAAAAAAAUAAAAUAAAUAAAUAAAUAAUUGAAUAGCUGGUUUUACUGUUGAUGAUACGUUAUAAAAACUUCAUCACCAAUAUGACAGAAAACAAAAACAUGAAUUUUCAAAACCUCGAUCCAAGGCUGUACUAACAAAAGCGCAUGUGUUACUAUCAGAAACACAUGCAAAAAACCCUCAUUUUGUAAAGAAACCUGCAUGGAAAAAGCUUGUGCAAGUCCAACUUGACCAUUACACCAAAUGUAUCUCUUAUUUUUAAAUGAAGAGCUUGUGUGUUGGGCUAACGCAUUGGUAUUAAAAGUAUCUCUAUUAAACUUGACCAUUACACCAAAUAUAUCUUUGUUAAACUUGACCAUUACAAAUGUAUCUCUUAUUUGCACAACGCAGUUCAAGAGAUUGACAAAUUGACCAAAGCAUUGUUAGAUUUGGUAAAAGAAUAAGUACACCAGAAUUGACAAAAUAUAAUUUCAACUCAGAAAGAAAGAAAUACAGUUUUCUUUAUACGAGUAUAUUGCAUGUAAACUGUAACUUUACCUGAUAAACUGCUAAAAAAUGAAAAUCAAAUCAGCAAGCUGUAUACUGGAAUUUGGUGCAAUCGAUCAUUGAGGUCCUAGCUGCAGAACAAACAUACGCCGAAUCAGCUCAAAUCAGGUAAUGGGAACGGUUAUCCUUCUUGAAAUGAUAAGCUCAAUCUCAAACAGUAUAAAAACCACACAAAAACGGAAUGAAAAAAUUUGAAAAUUCAAAAGCACUAAACUUAUCUAUUCGAUCUCAGCAGAGGAUUGGGAACUUCCCAAAUCUAUAGUCCCACGAAUCCAUCUUGGGGAAAAUUUAUAUUGCACUCUUAGCAUUCAAACACCAAAUUUCAUGCCACCAAAUGAAAACACAAUAAAAAUUCAAAUGCAAACGCAAAAGCCAAUAAAGUCAAGCAUAACAACAUCAAGAAUAUACCUGAGAAACUAACAAAUUGGAACCCGCCCAAAAUCAACCAAACUCGACCAGGCACAUGUUAACAAAUUCUCCAUAGAUUUUCACUCAAAGAUUUCUCAUCGGCUCUACACCGAAAAUGAAAAAAAAUAUAUAUGUAUGGAUAGAACCAAAAGAAAAAGAUAAGAAAUACUAAGACAUUAGAGCUGCUCAAAAUAUGGACAAAUAAGAACAAAAUGGUCUUCAAUGGUGGGAUAUUUUUUUUUACCAAGAGCAAAGGCCAAAGCGGCUUGAACUCUAUUUGAAUCACAUAACACAGCUAUGGGAACAAAUUUUACCCCGGACAAAUUGGUGAUAUACUGAAACUACUCCCCCACUUUAUAAAACAGGAAAAACCAUGAAUGGAUGAUAAGCCAAUUAAGUAUGGUAACUCAGUAAAACACAGCAUUCAAACCAUAAAGCUGAGCCACAAAGAAACAAUAACAUUGUAGGCAAAGUUGAAAGAAAAGACGAUACAUUUUAGAAUAGCUGCAAGGAGAAUAAGCAAGCCUGAAUCUGAAGUAACAGACAACAACAUUGUAACAAAAAUUGAAAAAGAAAAAAAAAGAAUAGACACCCUUACGGAGCAAUUGGUGUCGUCGAUCUUGAGGAAAAAUUAAUAUCAACAGACACUCACUCAGAACAUACUCCUUUAGUUUCCUGCACAAUAAAACAAAUGAAAAUGUGAAACACACCAAAACCACUGUUUGAUCUCAUUGAGCUAACCCAAAAGAUUGGAAUCCUUGAUCUAACUAAAAAAAUAUUAAAAUCCAACCAAAUACCAAAUACAGAUUUGACAAAAUAUGAUUUUUUCACUCAUCUUGAUCCAACACAAAGGAUUGAAACCUCUGGAGCUAAUACUUGCAUUCAUCACCAUAGCUAGUUUCCCGCCAGCUCCAAUUAUCUCUUCAAUUGUGAUUGCUUUUGGUAAAUCGAAAAUCAGUGGCCUGCAAACCCAGAAGAACAAUCAAAGUCAAGCCUCAGAUGCUGAUGCCCUUGCCACAAACAGUGUUAAUCAUGAACUUGGUUUCAUUGCUUUUGACCAUCCUCCCAACCAUGCCGCACAAGCCUUUCUAGAUGACAUUGAUGCAGUUUCUAGAGCUAGAAUGAGCUCUUCCACUAAUUUUAAGUCUCUUUUUUUUCUCCGUUGGGUCUUUUUGACCCGUUUGUAACAAAAAAAAAAGUCAAGCCUCAGAUACCUCACUCAAUCUCAGAUGUAAAAUACUUGAGUAUCCAUUCUUUCUCUCUUUCUAUUCUAUUGCAAAUCCACAGACAUUGAACUGUGAAUGGAUUUGGCUAGAAAACAUAUCUUGUUUGCAUAUACCGGAUGUAAAUUGUUUUUGGCCAAACACAGCAAUCAAAUCUGCAACUAAAUAUUUUUGCUCAGAACUGUCAUCAUUAACAUUCAACGGGUACAUUUUUGGAUUUCCAAUCAAUUUUAGAUGCAUUGCAUUGCAUGCAUUUUAUUUCCUGAAACCUCUGGCCCAAGGCUUACCAAUGCCGUUGAGCAAAGCAGAGAACCACUUCCCACGGCCACAUAAUAUCCAACAUAAGAGUUUUUAAACAUCACAAUGCAAUAACAGUAUGUGGCAGUGGUAGCAAUGACUUUUAAAUAUCAGGUUUUCACACAGGAAUUUUGAUACAAAUCCAUGAUCUCAAAACAUACCCAAAUUAGAUAAUGCUUGAUCAGAUGAAGAAUGACACCCUGUAUUAAAAAUGUGAGAUUUAUACCCAUUUGAGGAGUUCAAGAACCAGAUAAGUCCUUGAAUCCAACAGGUUCCAUACUGAAAAAGAACAACAGUAGCCUGACUUCACAUCUCAAAAACAUUCUUAAUACCCAGUCGAAAUAGCAAAUAAAUGUUGAUUAAAAAGAACUCGAGGUACCCAUCGAUUUUCUGAGCCAUCAAUUAUGGAUUUAAGAACCCAUAAGCAAUGCAAUUGUACCAAUGACAGAAAUUUCAACCCAAGCAAAAAAAAAAAGAAAUCAAUUCUAAUGAUACCAGACUUCCUACAACUACAAUUCUAUCCCUGAAGUUCUUAUCAAUCGUUGACAACCGAAAUGAAUAUCUCGAUUCAAAACAAUCGCUCUACAGGUAAAUCGACACAGUGAAUACAAAAGCAGAAAGAAGAAAGAAACAAAGAAAGAAAACUCAUAUUGAUACUCAGAUUAAGCAAACAUGAAAAUUAAAUCAAGCAGAUGAAAGUAAAGUUUUCUUUCUUUGAAGACACUAUAUAAUCGACAGUUUUCUUUAUUUGAGUACAUUGCAUGUAAAGUUACAAACUUUACCUGAAAAACUGCUUAAAAAUGAAACUCAAAUCAGCAAGCUACAUACUGGAAUUCGGUGCAAAUGAUAAGCUCAAUCUCAAAUAGUAUAAAAAUACACAAAAAUGGAAUGAAAAAAUUUUGAAAAUUCAAAAGCACUCAACUUAUCUAUUUGAUCUGAGCAGAGGAUUGGGAACUUCCCAAAUCUCUAGUCCCACGAAUCCAUCUUGGGGAAAAUUUAUUGCACUCUUUGCAUUCAAACACCAAAUUUCAUGCCACCAAAAAAAAUUCAAAUUAAAACACAAUAAAAAUUCAAAUGCAAACGCAAAAACCAAUAAAGUGCAUAACAACAUAAGAAUAUACCUGAGAAACUAACAAAUUGGAUCCCGCCCAAAAUCAACCAAACUCGACCAGGCACAUGUUAACAAAUCCUCCAUAGAUUUUCACUCAAAGAUAUCUCAUCCGCUCUGCACCGAAAAUGAAAAAAAAAAUAUGUAUAGAACCAAAAGAAGAGGAUAAGAAAUACUGAACCAAACGAAAUACUGCUCAAAAUAUGGACAAAUAAGAACAAAAUUGUCUUCAAUGUUGGGAUAUAUAUAAAUUUUUUUACCAAGAUCAAAGGCCAAAGCGGCUUGAACUCUAUUUGAAUCACAUAACACAGUUAUGGGAACAAAUUAAACCCUAGACAAAGAGCAAUAUGACAGCUCAGAACUAUUGACCAUGAAAAACAAUCUUGAAUUUGCUUCUUGUGAUGAUACACAGUUCACUUUUAGCUUUACCUGAAAUGCAGGUGGCUGUGGGGUACUUCUUGACAUUGCAGGUAAUGAUGGUGCUUAAGAAUCUGUAACGACCAACAAAGUCCAGUGAAUCAACGGAUAUAGAUCGUGAAUGAAAGCUGAGAUCAGGCCAUAACUUGAAUAUUACAAAAGUACCUUUUUGUUUACUGGACGAGCCUUAAACUUUGGAAUUUUGGCCAUCAUCUCUUCUUCCAGCUCAGCAGUACUCUCUUCACUCUAACUGGAGCGCACACGCUGUGAUGUCUCAAAUUCUGGCUCCUUUGGUCUUGUUAAGGCUCAUUUCGGCUUCAUCUGAAUAAUAGAAACAACAUCAACCUCUAUAGCAAAAAAAAUUUAUUAAACCUGACCAAAUAAAUAUAUAUAAAAGUGUAAAGAAGUGAAAGAACUUUAAGCAGGGUGAAGCUCCUUUACGUGUGAAAGAGAACCAUUAGCAUGCGGCAGCGACAAGUCUCUGGUACUUGAUUGGAACCUGUUCAUCAUUUCUGCCAUUGAAACAAAUGGUGCUGCAGGUUCCCGAACCUAAAUAUGUAGAUUGAGAAAGGAUCAACUACUCAAUUCUGAUAUUGCAUAACAACAUGGAGUGCAAAAGAGGGAUCAAAAGUACAAACCGUCCUGUCCUCUUUUUGAGUUUUAAUAGCAGUUGAAAAAUGUGUGGCACUGUAUAACCUAGUUUUGACUUGUGGAGCAAUGUUUGGGUUAAGAAUCUGCAUUUUAAGGCACACAAGGAAAAACAGUCAUGGGAAAUGUCUAGAAAUAAUCUUCACCAAACGACAACAAAGAGGCUUCUAGAUGUGAGUCAACACAAAUUACAGAACUAAAAGUAACCUGUCUAGAUCUUCCAGCAUCCAACUUCUGCCGCUUAAUUGCCUGAUUCACCUGAGCUAACAUGGAUGUGCCGGUUGCAUUUUUCACGUUCUCUUCUCUGUAAGUUUCAGUCAAAUAUACAAUUAGGACAUAGCACUGGCGUAUAAUGAAUUCAAGAGAUACCAGAUAAAGUGAAGCACGCCAACCUUUUCAUAGUAUACGGUUUAAUAUGUGAAAAGUGCAAGUGACUUUUUCCCCUUGGCCCUGAUGGGUUUCUGACCAUACUUGAUAUCUUUUUAGCUGUCUGGUGGUUUUUGGAAUAAAGAUCUCCCUUCUUGGAAUAAUUCAUGGGUGGCUUUGGAGUACUAGCUAUGGAAUUACUAUUCUCCUUCUCAUUAGUUAUAUCAGUUCUCUUAUUGGAAGAUACUGCAGCAGCCAGAACACUGCAGAGAAGAAACACAAUGAGAAACCUUGGAGCUAGAAAGAGACCUAAGAGAGCAUUAGAUCAGCAGAAAGAGGAAAACUUACCUUCCAUCAUCUUUCAUGCAUUUGUCCUCUACUUUAUCAGCAGAAAUCUGAAAGGAAUACAUUAGUGAUAAGGAGCCACAUGUAAUCACGAAAAUGUGAAUUGCAGAGAGUAAAGUCAAAUUACCGUAGUGGCUUGUCUUGCACUGUUUUCAUCUUUAGCCACCCUGGGAAUUGUUUCUUCCUUCAAUUCAGGAGUGAUCUUCAAGUCAGCCUUUGUUUCAUCAGCAGCUUUUAAAUCAGAGGAUGAUUCAAGGUUCUGCAAAAGUUAAGCCAUCUGAAACAAUAAGCUAAAAGGUUCUCAAAUUUCAAGGAGAUAAAAGAAAAAAUUGUACAAGAUCACCACCUUCUGCAUAUGUUCUGCUUCAGUAAAGUCGCACAUGCUCUCUACUGUAAAGGAUCUACCAGUCUUGAUUCGAGGCAUGAAAGCUGCACAAACAAAUGUGUCCAGAAAAUAAUCAAAACGUUUUCAUAUCCAAAGAACACAAGAAAUCACCUUUUGGGAUCUUUUCAAGUCUUGAUGCUCAGUUUUUUCAACAAGCAUAACCAGCAAAACCAGUCCUCACUCUUCAUUCAACAAAAUAAACCUUUAAGUUCAUACCAGUACAAUGUAUAAUCCAAAGGAAACUUAGUUGAGAUGGACAUUAAUCAAAUCACUGGUUUAGUAUGGAGAUUGGUUUCAAACUUCCAGCAGUAAGUGGUAAGGCCUAUAUCUUAAAGCUAUUCUGUUAUCCUAAGAAACGCAUGGUUGAACAUGUUACUUUUCAUUAGCACAUAACUAGUUACUAAAAGAAGUGGAAAUGAAUACUUAUGUAACUAUCACAUGUCCACUAGUGUUGGAGUGAAUCCUUAGGAAAGAAGCUCAAGUUCAAAACAUGAGAGAAUUAUCACAUGUCGAGCAACCAAACUUUACCAAAGUAAUUUUGUGAGGAAGAAAUACUCGCGUUCAAGAACUUAAGGUCACCCAUCUACAGUAGAUGCUACAAUAUAAUCUUAUGUCAAAAUUCUAAAUGUUGCAUUGAUUUUAAUGUCAAGGCCGUAUAGCAACAUACAAUAUGCUUCGCACGAGGUCUUCAACAAGAGUACUUUUCUUGCUGCACAUCCAUACCUUAGUCCAAAAUAUUGGUUGCUUAUUUCCAGUGGUCCUCAUGUUGGUACUUUGUAAAGAGUGUGGGUUUCUCUCUCGUAUUUUCAUAUGUAAAAGAUAAGCAUAUGAAAUGAGAAGCAGGUAAACUGAUUUUAACAAAUCACAAUUGCACAUUGAUUUAUAAGCAAAAAAAAAAUAAGAACAAAAAAUUUGCAAAACAUUUAUGAGGAGAGCAAGAUACCGUAAUUGAAUAAAUUUGCCAUCUAAAGGUGCCUCGAAAGUUGUCCAAAAAUGCCCAGUGCUCCCUAUUUGAUAUAGAUAAGCAGAAAUGUUACUCCAAAUUUAAUAAAGUCAGACAGUCUGCAAUAAAAUUAUAUAGUUUUAGAUAAUAAUGAGAAAAGAAUAAAAUGUUGCUCCAAAUUUAGUCAACGCACCUUUACCAAAAGAAAAUUCACAGAAGCAAUUGAGAGGAUAAAUAUGAUACUUCCAAACAGAAAGAAAUACAGAAAGUCAGAGAAAUUCCACCUCCUUAGAUGUAAAGUACUAUUACAACUGCAAAACAUAUCAAACUCCAUGCAUAAGAUAGGCCCCCUACAUAAGAUGGAUAUAGUUCUACAGAUACCACAAUAACUACUAUAUGAAUAGGGUAAGAUUAGUUAGCUUCCCAUCACCUUCCUUCUCCUGCCUUUGAGGAACCCAAAUAUAAGAAUAUUAAACUUCUGCAUUACCGAAACCCCAAAUCAGUCUCCACCAUUCAGUCAAAAAAAUGAAGCAUUCCCGGAAGCAGCACAACUCACCCGAUCUUUCAGAAGAACAAGACACUUGAGUGAGAUAUCUGAGGCUUAGCCAAGCUUUCGAGCUUGAUGAAACCCUACCGAAUAGGGUGAACAACAAAUCAUACCGAAUAAAAAAAAGUGUGAUAAUUAAGAAUAAGGUUUACUUACUUUUUUCCUAAAAAUUGGUCCAUCCGAGCCUCCCAUCUCCCACACUUAUGCAAAGUCACUCUAUAUUUUAAGCUACCUCUAGGGAACUCGUCACUUUGUCGGGGAAGUACAUCCACACAUUCCUCCUUUGUUAAAUUGCUCAUCUGUUCAGCAACAUAUUACAAAAGAAUAUAAUCGAUCUUCCCUAGAUCCUCAAAAUCCCAAAAAAAGAAAAAUGAAUAGCUGGUUUUACUGUUGAAGACAAGUUAAAAACUGUUCAAAACUAGGAUGUAUGCCGGCGCGUUGCAGCUGGUUGUGUAAUAGAUAUGUGCCUGUUUUUACUGAUGAUUUCAUUGUUACACUACACAACUAAAAGAAACCCCCAAUUUCAUAUUAUAGAACUGGACUCGCACCUCUUCUCUUCCCACGCGCUGCUGCGGUCUUUUAUUUCGAACCAAUGACUUUAUAGUUUUCUGUUAGUGUUGAUCUGGAUGCUGUUGACUGGCACUGAAAAACUGGGUAGCAAGAUAAGGAAACAGUAAUGUAUCAUUAAACAAUGAAAUUCAAAGGAUGGCAAUAUUUAGAACAGUAACAUACGAAAUUUAGAAUUAAUGGCAAAUAAAAGAGGGAUGCUGAUAUUGCAAAAAGUUUAAGAUACAUAGUUGGGGAUACAGAGAUGCCAUGCGCCAGGGGUUUGGUGAAGGUACGGUUUAAAGUUCCCCUACUGAUUAUAGAGGUACUUUGAUAAUAACCAAGUUCCAACUACUAUUUGCAGCUCUUGCUUGUACAUAAAAGCAGAGAUGCAUGCAUACAGUAAAUCACAAUUCUCUUCCAAAUUCAUAAUCAGAUGAAAUAUAUCAACUGCAGUAUAAAAUCAGAUUAACCAAGUAUAUUCGUAGCUCUUCAUUAAUGAAAAGUAUUAAAAGGUAAUUAGAUGUUGAGUUCAUAACUAAGCCGGAUGUGCAAUAGAGUUAAAGAUAAGCAUGUGUGUACUGGAUCCAGUAUUUAUGACCAUUCUAUUAAUGACCUGUUCGUUUGGGGACAGAUGAGAGUCCAUUGAUGACUUUAAACAUCCCAUCAGGUGAACUUACUAUGUAAACACAACUUAUCAAGCUGCUCCUUCAGGGUCUCGAGAUCCUUCUCCAACAUCUCCAUCUCUCUCACCUUCCUUCUUUCUUGUCCUGUUAACAAAUAACAUAAAGUCAGAAGUGUACGAUAGAGAUAUUAUAAUGAAGAACUACAAAUGAACAUGUAAAUAAAGAAAUUUUUAUUGAAGCAGCAUACAACAAACAUCAAUCCUCCUAAAACUGUUCUAAAAGCACAUAUCAACCAUUCACUAUAUAAAAUUCAUAAGGAAUUGUGAAUUGUGGGUUCAGAGCAGAAUUGUUUACACAACUAACCAAUUGGUCAACAUGUACAAAUUAUCAAGCUGAGCAUAUCACAGAAAAUGGUACAGAGAACUACAGAAUGCAAACAUAUACAAUUCAGUAUGGUCCAUAAUCAGAUAAUCCAUGUAAUUUAGUUAUUGAUAGUAGCUUGGUCAGGUUCUAUCACAGCUACAAAAUUCCUUAGCCUAUAUUUUGAAAGUAGUACCAAGGCGCUCGACCUAGAACUACAGUGUUUUUCCAUUGAUAUCUUCAUGGUGACACUCAUGUAAAUUUUCAGAUGUUCCUUCACAUCCCAGAUUCUCAAAAAAAAGUAUAUUAAUGUGGGAGAGGAACAAAGAUAAAUGGAAGUAUGAAAAAAGAUACCAAGAAUAUAAUGGAUAAAUGAAACAGCAAACUCAUAAAUUCUCGCCUUGACCUCACUGUGUGACAGGAAGUUUCUUGAGUUAUGAAAUAUCAAUCUCAUGCCUUCAACCUAGAAAGAAAACAAAAACUACUUAAGCUUCUGUAUUGAUUUCACAAAAAGAUUCACAUUCUGUGUUGAUUUCACAAAACAGAUUCACACAUAGAGAAUGCCUCUUACCCUAAUGUGUAAUUAAAUGGAUAGGCCCACUUCUGAAUGGCAUUAUCAACUGGAAAUUGAAAUGCAUAGGAGACAUGAACAGAAAAAAAAGUUCCCACUAAUUGAGAACAAAGAGUAAGUACAGAACUGCUGAAUUGAGAACAAAGAGGUAUCAAUGCUGGUAGACAGUGACGAUUUGGAGUAAGUACAGAAUCUGGAAAAAAUACUGAAGCUGGGAAUUAUAUUGGCAAAUGAACACUAAUAAUUGAAAAGCUUAAACCUUUGGGUGAUUGGGUGGGAGAGGGAGAUGGGUUUUACCUGAGGAAGAUCUGAAAGUGAUUGUGCUUGGAGUGCUCUGCGGCUGCUGCAACUUACACCACCAUGGCUCUGCUUUAUGGUUUCUGAAAUUGUGGCGAGGUAUAGGUUUUAAAGGCGCUUCAAUGGGCCUCCCUCAUAUCUCUGAAGCUCAUUCAAAGGAUUUGGACUACCAUGUCGAAAAGAGCAGCGCUUUAAUCAAAACUCCCAAACUCCCAAGAGAGGUGAUCAGCGAAUAUUGCCCGAAAAUUAAACAAAUAAGGCUAAGCCCAUAAACUUGAAUUCAGCAAGAACGGAAGAAAACAUUCCCACCAAGCUUACAAAAAUCUCAAUUGAAACAGUUUACUUGACUAAAUUAUGGCUCCCUAUGCUUGAUCGAACACCUCCGGCAUUAAAAUCAAACCAAAAAAGAUAGGCACAGAAACCUGAAUUCAGAGGAGACAAAGCUUUACCGAAAACACCCAGAUCCGUCAGGCCACAAUCGCAUAGAAAAGGAAUCGAUCGGAAAAAGAAAACAAAAUAAAAAAACUACAACACAGGAAGACGCAAAUUACCAAUCAAUGAAAGUUGAGGAAGACGCAAAUUGAAGCAUAAGAUGAAGUGCUGCAUAAGAUGCAAAUUACCUGGAUCCAUAAAAAAAGUCAAGUUCCUGCACCCCUGCUUAAAUAAAAUAAAAAAUAAAAAAAAGAGCAAACACAUCGGUAGAAUCCAUUAUAAAGAAUACACCAGAAAAACUAUCUCUUCUAAUCAAAAUCCUCAAAACACACUUAAACCAAAUAAACUACCAAUAAACAAAUCUCAAAUGCAGAAACACACCAAGGCAGUGAAAAGACGUAUCCCUGAAUGAAAUCAAAUCAAAUCAGCAACAGAUCCUUACUUCAGAAACUGAUAUCUGCAUAUCCAAAAGUUCAUGUCUCAACCAUCUUUGAACAACCUGCGACAAAAACUAAUCACAAUUACUAAAUGGUAGUAAUAACAAUAUAGAGUAAAUUGCUAGAUUAAUCUGAACCGACAUUAUACGGUUAAAGAAAUUACCACCAAACAGAAGAGAAUCAAAACCAAACAACCCACAGUUAUUAUCCAAAAAGACAUCCUAAAUAUUCAUCAACUGUUCAUGAACACCUACUCUGUUUUCAUUGUCAUUUGAUGUAUCUCCAACAAUGAGUUCUUUCAUUUUCUAUGAAGAUUUGUUUGAUCACAUCGGAUUCUUGAAUUAAUUAAUGGUUCUUCAUCUCCAAAAUGCUAAAAAGAACACUUUUCUUUUUCUUCAUCAUUCUUCGUUCCACCAUCGAAUUGGUCCAGUAUUGUGUCUGCAUCUUUAUCUUGAAAAGCUCCUGAUGUUCUUUCAUUCUCCAAGUUCUAGAAAAAAAAAAAAAAAUCCAUUUGUUGAGGAUACUCGAUUUCCAUAUGCUGCAUACAUGUGCAGUGCAUCAUUCAUUUUAAAAUGCAUGAUCAAUCAAGCUCAGUGGGAAUACAACUGAGGACAUUGUAUCAUAAUCCACGCUGCAUAAUCUAAGGAAGAAGUUUGCAACAUUUUCUCAGUUGUCAUUUGCAGAUACCGUGAAAACAUUUGGCCAGUUGCUUAAAAAAUUGGCAAUUCACAUAUUCAUUCAACUGUAAAUUCGAUUCAUGUUUAAAAAAUUGUAAAUCUAAAUUUGUUGACAGAAUAGCUAACUAACUUACAUAACUGAUAUUAAACAUCAAACACCAUAAAAGCUUGAUAGAAACUAUUGAAAAAGAAUAAUUACGACAAAGAUUCUGUAUGCACUAAUUACGACAAAGUUCCAUUUGAUUUUGAUGACUUCACUUUUGGUGUAUAUAGUUUAUUCUCAUCACUAAAAUUUUCUGUUGCUGAAUUCAACUGGACCUUGCGACAUAAGCCAAUGUGUUUUUUCAAUAUUUUCAAAAAGCACAGAAGCAUGUUCAGUAAAUACCACUCGAGGAAUCUUGUUAUUCAUGGGUACAAAUUUCAAUUAAAUUUUUAGAGCUCUAACUUUGUAAUUUAUUAUCAGCCCGGAAACAGCAAAUUUGUUAUCAGCAAAUUGAGGAAAAUUGGUUCAUUUCUUACAUAACUUCAAGUCUUGACAGAGCACACAUAAAAAAAUUCCAAACCAAUCAAAAUAUAUUUGCGUCAUUACCUUAUCUUAUCCUCACUGCCAAAGAAGAUAAUUAAUAAGGAAUCAACAUUAUUCUGAUUAUGUUCAUUGAUUGAAGAUGAUAAUUGGAAUAGAAUAAUAACAGACUAAGACUUCAGUGUUCAGUGAUUUAAAAUGAUAAACAGACUUAAGACUUGAAAGAUUGAAGCUUCUAUGAUCGUGAGGCAUCAUUUCAAUAGAAAUAAUAUAAAUACUACAUUGCAAACAAAUUAAAAGCAAAACAAUAGGAAGAUGCAAUCUAGCAGCACAAAAGAGUUUCGUGCAUUACAAUCAUAGUUAGAAGAUAGAAGUUACAUUGUAAUAGAAGACAAAGUCAGAUAUAGUUGUAGUUUUUAACAUCAUACAAAAGAUAUAAGUUGCAGGUCACCAUAUAAUUCACCUCAUAAUACAUUACUGUUGUAUAAUUGUAAUGUAGGCAAGCCUCUUUUAACAUGAACAACUGGAAGAUGUUUAAUUACAUAAUGAAUAUAUUUUAUAUUGAAGUGAAAAAGGAAAGGCCAAUAACUCUCAUAUUUAGUAGUUGACUGUAUAAGGAAAUAAAAGAACAAUGAAGUAGUAUUUAAUAUUAAUUUGUUAAUAAGUCAAGCACUGUGAGAUUGAAAUUAGCACUAAACAAAUGACCGUUGCAUCCAAAUCUGGAAGAUGAUGACAGUGUAUUAAUCUGUGAAGCCUUCUUACCAAAUCAAAGAUCUCAGUUAUGUAAAAGAGCAAAAGAAAAAAGCUGAAUCAAUAGUGUGUAGUCCUGACUUCUAACCAUUGACAUGCUGUUAGUUCUAAUACAAAGGCAGUGAGCACAAACGGAUUAAGUUCCCCAAUAACUCUUGUUUCCAUAAUUUUGCUCACUAUUUAUUCCAAUCAGAUUUCAUCUCAAGUGCCAAACAUAAUCAUAAUAGUUUGAUAAAAAUAAAGAGAAAGUUGUCAUUCAAUGGUCAACAAUCAUGAUGAAGAUUACCACGUAACUAUGGAAAAAGGUCGGGUUUGAGCAGCAAGUGAAGAGAUAUCAGGAUGUUGGCAUUACCUUAUUUGCUUCUUUGUUCCUUCUACAACCGGAAGACGGUUACUGUGAUUAUCUUUCAUCUUCUUGAAAGCUUCGAGUAUCAAGUCUUCGAGUAUCUUCUUCAACUCCAUCUUUCUUUUUAGAAUUUUGGCAAUCUGCAGUUUUUCUGCAAUGGACCCUUCAAAGACAUAUGAAGGAAAUUAAUGAUACUUCAAAACUAAGUACUUAAACAAACAAUUAAACAGAGAUGAAGAAAAACAAAAGACAAAAGAGUUUUCCUACCUCGAAAUGGUGUUCCGUGUGGCAAAGAUUUACACGAAGAAAGCAAAAAAUUAAGUUAGGUCUGCAAAAUCAAGCAACACAUAACAGUCCCCUCACAGAGUUAUCCAGAAACAUUUACAAACUAAGGUUCAUUAUAAACAUUUACAAACAAUCCUCUUUGAUUAUCUUAGAAGUGCUCAUGAAUCAAGACCAAAUAUUAAAAAGGCAAUUACCAAAGCAAUAGGGUGAGACUGAGGCACCCAAUCUUCGUCAUUUAUCGCACUUCGAUCACGUUCUCUUUUUCUAGGGCUUGAUUACUACUUCUACUUCUCUAUUUCAUUACACUCUAUUUAGAAAUGGUAACAGAUCAACCGAAUCCAUAAAUAAAAUGUUCAAUACCAAAAUAAACUACAAACCUUUGAUGUAACUUGGGUCCGAUCUGAUUAGUUCCUUCACAAAACCAACUCUGGCUACGAUUGAAUAAGACCUUUACGAAAUCAAAACAAGAACAAUCAUCGUUGCAAAACUGUAGUAAAUAUCAACCACCAACCAAUGUGAUUCAAUGCCGUCAGUUUUCAUGUAGGUAGUUUUACCAAUUUUUACUGGGGAGAUUAAACAGUACAAAAGAAAUCAAGAACGUGUUCUAGGGUAGAGCAACUGAAUUUUAGUAGGAGUUGGUAACUUUUUUCUCUCCUUCAAACGUGGUCAUGAGUUUGUUUCUAAUUGUGAAAGGGAUUUCUGGAUUUAGAGUUUGUCUAUUUUAUCCUCUAUUUGUUAAACUCAGCUUCAUGCAAGAGGUUUUCAUGUAGGGGCAAUUAUGAGGAUAUCUGAAAAUUUAACCAUGACCAGUUCCAUAAGCUAAAUUGGCCAAUUAAUAGAGAUAACUGACAAUUUGAACUAAUAAACUCGUGUUAUGCACAUGAGCACUCAGCUUUCCUAAGUCAAACAGGAAAUUCCAAGUCAACUCAUUUCAUAACAAUUAGGAACAUCUAGGGUUUUCGACGGCUCUAUGUGUGGGUCUCUUCUUUAAGCUCUGAAAGAGGGCAUGGGAUUUGAUUUGAGGUGCUGGGAAGAAAUGAGGAGGAAGAACGUGAAGAUUAGGUUAUUUGAGUUUCUUUUUCUGUGUGCGGCUAGGUCUCCCCUCUUCCAAAUGAGAUGAUGCGUGUGUGGCUAGAGAUUUGAGGAUAUAAUGAAUGAUGUGGCAUCUUGUGAUUGGUUGAAGAGGGAAAAUGAAGUGAUGCCGGUGUGCACGUGAUGGUCUCCUUCCCAUUUUGCAUAAUUAAACAACUCAUUGAUUAAUUUGUAGUGCCGCACGUUUUGGGUGGGAGAAGUUAAUUAAGCUCUUAAGCUUAAUUAGUUAGUUAACUAAUCAAGCUUAAUUGCUUAACUAAGAUAACUACCAUCUCGUCUUUUUGCCAAAAACUCUUCUUUGCUCCAAGUUCGAGUCAUUUCUCUCAUUUCCGUAACUUCCGUAUAUUUCCUACAAAAUAAAUAAAAAUAGAUUAAUUACUAUGAGAAUUAGCUAACUCAUAGUGUUUAAGUAGUAAUUAAGUGUAUAAAAAUACACGUAAUUACACCCCCACACUUGAACUUUGUUUGUUCUCAAACAAAUUAAAUAAAACAUAAACCGAAAACUACUAACUUAAACACACAAAUGCAAAUUAGUGGUGCUAGCAAGUCUUUCCAACCAUAUCCUCGGGGAACUAAAUUAUGUAAAUGACAAUGAAUUGAUCAAGCAUAUGUAUAGGUCUCAAAAAUUUAUUAGGUAAUUAAUAUAUAACAUGUAAAAGAUGUUUAUGUUCUAGCCAUGUGUCAAACCAAUUUACGACAAGUAAGUACGACAUACUAAACUUGGAUUAACCGCUAAACUCACAAGGAUGCACUAAAUAUUUCCGCUCAAGUGUUUAGGGCUAAUUGUGUUUCACUUGAUAACAAUUUCGCAAAUUUGGUCUCUAUAGGCUUGCUCUUCUACCGCAUCUCCGCUAGGUAGCUUCACAACUUUCAAGAUUAUGGGGUAUUUUAUUUGGUUAAAAUGGGGUUAAGGGCAUGUAGCUAAUAUAAAUGAAGGAUUUGAAAAUAAUAAGUCCAAAGAAAUCGGUGAAGUAACUCUCUCUUGUAGAGAUAUUAGAAUUUUGCUUUCAAGUGCUAGCUCACCCUCUCUAUUCCCAAUAACAACCCACUAACAAGACUAUACAAUUUUUUUUUCUUCUACAUUUUCUUUUCUUUUCUUUUUGUCCCUCUAUUUUUUUUUCACAUUUUCUUUUCUAUACAAAAUCACCACCCCCACACUUAUUCUUUUGUAACCUCACACUAUUGAGUUUUUCUUUCUUUUCGAAGCACUCGAACAUAAAGUUACUCUCUCGAGUUGUUUCACCAACUACCAUGGAAGAGUAGGAUAAAAUGUAUAGGCUAGGUAGGAAUUUGUGGUGCUAAAGAAUAAAAAGGCUAAGUAUAUACAUAGGCUCAAAGUGGCAAUCUAAUGGUAUAUCAUUUCGGGCACAUGCUUCUUUGGCCAUGGUGGUUAUUACUCCUAAUGCCUCAAUCUUUUUCAUCUCGUCAUGAACUAGCAAGUUGCCUUGAAGGGUAUGAAGCAAGUUCUAGAGAGACCGUAAUCGCAAAAUUGGCACACAUGAAGAAAAAGUAAAUACGAACAAUGCAUAUUUAUCAAGAAGGCUUAAAAUCUCAAAAUAGGUAUGCAAGUCAUACAAGUCUAGAUAUGCUUUCCCUACUUGUCAAAACUAGCACUCAAGCAUACAAUCACAUGUCNNNNNNNNNNNNNNNNNNNNCACAAGGCCUUGACUUCGAUAAUGGAUGCCCCAUAAAAGCUCAAGGUGCUCAUGAAGAUCAACUUCAAAUAGAAUGUACAAAGCUCUCGAGCAUGAAGUCACACAAAAGGAGUAAAGAGACAAGAUCAUCCAUUAAGCUCUUACACUUUGCCACCUCCAACACAUCUCAAUAUUGCCCUAUUCAUGCUCUCCAAAGAUGAAAUGAAGUGCAUAGAAGUCCAACCAACCAAAUGAACAAAAGGUAGUGAGUGAAGCAAACUUUCAGCAAUGACCUUUUUCUCAUGAAAUGCUCAUAUCUCAAACUGAGAAUGUGAUAAAUAGAUGAGGCUUCCCUUAGUGGAAAGUAGACUCAGAGAGCUUUCUAACCAUAUGAAGUAGGCCACCUAUCUCCCAACGAGAUAAAAACUAAAGCCGUCAAAGUUGCCGGUUUGUCAUGAAGUUUGCUGCUGACCCUCAGUCACCAAAAAUGCAAUAUCUGAAGCUCCAGAGGUGCAAAGUGGGUGAGGCCAACUGGAGGAAAAAUUAGACUCAUGUAAUCACAUUGUGUUAAAUUUUCACUGACAAAUGAUCUCUGAGUCAAAAUUGGUUGGCCUCGAAACUCACUGAACUUUUCUGCAGAUUCCGCUGUGCCCUGUUUCUGCCCUCUGUCACUUGGAACAUAUUAUCUGUAGCUAGGGAAAUGAAAACUGAAAACUGUUUUACCAGCAUGCACUAGACAUCUGAAGGCACAUCUCUGAAAAAUUUCAGCUCAAAAUGACAUGAUAUGUAGAAGAAGUGCCUCUUCAAAGUCAUUGCACAGUAGCAGUCUCUGUUCUGAUCUCCAUGCUUUGACCAUUUAAUAACUACAGUUCCAGUGACUCAAAGAGGCUAAAAUUUGGAAACAACACAGUAGACACAUAGGGGUAAUACUCCAAAAUUUUUCAGCUCCAAAUAGCAUCCAUACGGAAAAAUAUGAUCCCCCAAAGUCGACUGAAAAUCUGGACAGAAACUGUUCACUUCCCCGUUCUUGCAUUCUUCACAAUUCCGAUUCCAAACACCUCCCAACCUCCCAAAAGUUACUAUAAAGUCUUAUUCAACACAAAAAGAAGCUAAUAAUAACAGGAAUGUUACCGAUGAUGUGCUGGGGUUGCCUCCCUAGCGAGCGCUUUGUUUAAGGACGUCGUUGCCGGUCCAUAAGAUGUGAGUUUCAUCAAGUUGGAUACUUCUCAAGUGCGACGACCCUAUGUUAGGGGCUAAGGGAACCCUUGACAUAUCAUAGAGGCAUGACCAGGAGCUACAAAAGAAUACUCCAGUUUGAGGCCAAAAGAGUAGCCUCUUAGCUUUCCUCUUCUCAAUUCUACUUCGAGGAGCCAUCCUUACCUUCUCCUUCAAGGUAGAUGUAGAAAUGGUGCUCAUAGGAACAAUAGGUGGUAGAGGCUCUUGGAAGUGAUGGGGAAGUUUGAUCACAAGAGCUCCAUUUCCUUUCCAAUCUAUUACCUCAUUGUAGAACCAUAGACCACUUAAAUGUGGAUUGAGAGNNNNNNNNNNNNNNNNNNNNUUUGAAAGGUACAUUAGGUUUCUUUUAUCAUCACUAAAGUGUUGUAUGUGGUCAGAUUAACCGCUUCAUUAUAAACAUAAUUGUUUUAAGAUAUGACGAAUAAGUCUAAAUAUCAUAUAACAUUCUAGGUUUAGGUUUUCGGUUCGUCGUUUACAUGACUUAUAUUUUUUAGGGUAGGGUCAUCAUCAUUCUCGUCAAACUAUUGUAUGUCACCGUGAGAGCGAGCGAGUGAUUUGCUUCAUUCGUGGGUGGUUUCUAUGUCCUCAUGUUAGCUUCAUCCGUCACUUUAGCAUUGGAGUGCAUUAUCUUCUCUCAUAUUUUUCUCAUAGCCUGUUGAAAACUUGUGAAUCGAGUUUUGCAUGCCUCAUCAUAAUUAUUCGUCUCCUUAUCAAAAGACGUCCUUGAGUAGCUUCAGGUCACUCUAAUGCAUCUCAUGCUUUUGGCAAAAUGGUUCAUGGUUGUACCCUAAAUGUCUCGAGUGAAUACUGGCCAAAUUUUACAAAGGUGAUGUGUUUAGAUGCACAUCUUAACAUGAUAUUUGAAUCUUUGAUGAUUCAAAUCAGAAAGAAUAUUUGUAGAAGAAGCUGGAAAAAAAAAUAUACAAAAGAAAAAUAUAUAUACUUUGGCGUAUUGCUAUUAACACACCCCAUCUAUUUUCAUAUCGACACAUGUUUAUUUUAUUUACAAACUUGUCACUUUAAUUUGAUUGAUUAUUGGUUAAUAGCAUCACCCUGAUACUACUUUUGAAAGGUACAUUUGGUUUUUUUGUCAUCAUGAAAGUGUUAUAUGUGGUCAAAUUAACAGUUUCAUAAUUAUAAUUGUUUUAAGAUAUGACGAAUGAGUCUAAAUAUCAUAUAACAUUCUAGGUUUAGGUCAUCAGUUUGUCGCUAACAUGACUUACACUUUUUUGGUUUUCAAUAUGAGGGUCAUCAUCAUUCUCGUCAAGCAAUUAUAUAUCGCCGUGAGAGGGAGUGAUUUGCUUCAUUCGCUGGUGAUUUCUAUGUCCUCAUGAUGGCUUCAUCUAUCAUUUAGCAUUGGAGUCCAUUGUUUUAUUUUCAUCUUCUCUCAUAUUUUUCUCAUUAUAGCCUGUUGAAAAAUUGAGUUGUCACUCCCCAAUUUUCGAAAGGAAAUUUUCAAAAUUUUUGGCAUGAUAUAACUUAAAAUAGUAUAAUCCCAAAACCUGCUUUCAACAAAAUUCAAGAAAAAUAAACUCAAGGCGAAAUGUAAAUUUACACACAACUCCAAAUUGAGUUAAAUAUUACAUUUCCUUGUUUACAUAAACUUGAAAGUCAAGAAAAUGAAACGCUCACAUGAGUUUAAUAUUGUCCAUCCCAAUGUAUAUAGAAAAAAUAAAUAUACAAAAAACAACCAAAACCCAACAAAAAAAAACCCUAGCCACUAGGUCUCCACCUCAACCCUGCUGAUCCUCACCUGCAGGUCUAACCCCUACACUAAGAAAUGGUGCACCGGGUUGUAAACAACAAACCUGGUAAGCUAAAAAGCUCGUAUGAGUAAACUCAAAAAUAACAAAACAUUUAUCACAUCCAAUAUUCCACAAGAGAGAUUUGAUCCAUAAUUAAAAACCACACAUCCAACACAUCACCCAAGAAAUGUACCCAUGAGUCCCAUAUAUUUAAUAAAAUACCCCUCAUGACCUACAACAACACUAUGUGUACCCAUGGGUCUCAGAUACCAUACAGUAUCUCCCAUGACCUACACUGACAGACGGACUAUAGUUCUAUUCCUAACCGCAACCAAUCACCCGGCCAAAGGCUUGAAACCCGGUUUGACUGUCUAAUAUCAAACACAAAAAUGAUAAAUAGCAUCUUAACCGCAACCAAUCACCAAAUUAAGGGCUUGGAACCCGGUUUGGCUAUUUAUCCAACAAUCAUAAUAUCACAACAUUAUCCUCACAACACAAUAUCACAUCAUUAUUCUCAACAACACAAUAUCACAUCAUGAAUUAUAUCCUACCACAUGAAUAUAUUUACAUGAACAAUUAUAGAUAUUCCACAAGAAUAAUCUAUCAAAAAUAAAGAAAAUUAUGAUCACAUGAAUCUCAAAAUAGCAUUUAAAGAAACUUGUUUUAUCUUACCUACGAGCCGUUGACGAUCAAGCUCAUAUAUUUUUAAAAUAAUUAAAAGCAUAUUAAUAAAUCUAACAUCAUCAUCAUUAUCAUCAUAUGACCAUAAUAAUAUUUGGUUUGAAAGUGAACCUUGGUGAGAUUUACUCACCUAGAUAUCCUGCUGCAAAACUCCCAACACAACGAAAGCAAGCCAAUCACAAAAUCACAAAUCACCUAAAAUCACACAAUUAAACACCUUAGAAACCAAAGUAGUAAAGGAUAACACAAUACCCUUAAACUAACCCUUAGCUCAAAGGGAGGACAACUUCCCAUUGUCGUUGAACUCAACGACACAAUAGAGCUGCCUCAACUCUUCAAAACCUAAACUCUAACCCAACCAAGCCAACACAAAUAAACUUAAGUCCUAACAUGCCAACCUUACUUAAAAUCUAGCCAUACUACCACUCAACAAGCUCACAGCAGCAAGGACUAGCUAACCACAGGAAACUAAGGCCGCAACUCAGCCGGACGCGACGCCACGCGCCGCCACGCGCGGCGGCGAGUGGCCCCCACGCGCCACCCCAAACUUCCGAAUUAGGAGAAACUCACAACAGCAAAGUUGAAGCUUGAAGCAAGGGGAACAACUUUCAUACCUGAGGUUUCAACCAAUUUUGGCCGGAACCGGCCGGAAACUACCCCGAACAGUGACCAGAAAAUUCAACUACAAAACCUGCAAAACCGGCCUCAAAACCUCAAAAACUUGCUUCAAUCCAUGCCUAGCCACAACUAGAAGGAGGAGAGGAUCAAAACUCACCGAGGUUUGCCUCUCGUCGCCGCCGUAUACGGCGGUUCCGACCGGUGGCACAACAGCCCCUUUUUGCCGGCCAAAACGUCGUUUCCGGUGUCCUACACCGAGCAGCAGCUGCCCAGCCUUGAAGAGGGCACUUGUGGGAGUCGAACGGGACCGGCGGCGGUCCAAAUGGCGGCCGGACGGCAGAGCUAGCUCCGGUAGAAGUUUGGUGUGCGGGUGAGUUCAGGAGAGGGAAAAGAGAGCAGAGAGGAAAGAGAGUGAAGUAAGUGGGGAGAGUGAGAAAAGAGAGAGCUGUUUAGUGUUAGGGUUUCCCAAAAUAACCCGCACACAUUUUUCUACUUAAACACUUUCCACACCCGGAACCUAAUUUCCUCUGACCAAAUUUUUCUCAUACGACAUCCGUUUUAGGCGUGCCGCAUGUCUACGAACUUGUAUCGACAAACUCUACAACUUUCAUGAAGAAAGUUUUCGAAGAUAACCUACGGAAAAUAAAGUCAACUUUUGGCCUCUUAAAAGUCAAAGCACUUUAAAUAAACUCCCGAAACUUCAAGUUCGCAUAAACCCAAGAAUUUUCAUAAAUAAUCCUUCAUUAAUUAAGGGAAUAAUACAAGGAAAAAUGAUAUGAAAAUCUAGGGUAUUACACGAGUUUUGCAUGCUUGAUCAGAAUUAUUAGUCUCCUUAUCAAAAGACGUCCUUGAGUAGCUUCAGGCUACUAGUCUAACGCAUCUCAUGCUUUUGGCAAAAUGGUUCAUGGUUGUACACUUUGUUUACACCCAAAUUAACAUUUUACCGAACAGUAAAUGUCUCGAGUGAAUACGGGCCAAAUCCGUGGCCUACGUCGCAUGUUAUCGACGAGCCUGAAAUAUUGGGUUUACAAGUGAUGGCCUACAACGAAAUCGUACGAGCUGAACGGUAAAGUUCGCAUGCGAGAUGGAGUUUGCAUGCAAAGAGACUUGCGAAGUUGCCAUGCGAGUUAGACAAGGCUUGCAUGCGAGGAGGUAGAGUUCGCAUAUGAGUUCGCAUAGAAGAAGGACUUCGCAUGUAAGGACUAGGAAACAUAAGUUAUCCAAAAUGACUGGUCGACUACGUUUAAUUGCUUGGUGGAGGACUUACGAAGUAGGUAUGCAUGCGAAAAGCUAGCAAUAUUUGCAUGCGAAGAGUUGGCUAUAGUUACAUGCGAAAAAGGAGAUCAUUAUCUUUGGAUUUGUAAUACAUGUUGCCAAGGUCUGAUCAUUAUCCCUCGUCUAUGUGUGAAAUAUAUGUGCAUGAAAAGGGCCUGGCUCGCGCGUGCGUUUAAUAUAUCGAACAUCGAAAUUAAGGGCAAUAUAUGUGCAUGCAAAAUAAUUUUGUGUAAAAUAUGCAAACAUAUAUUUUAAAGAUAGUCAUCGGGAAAGUUGUUAAAAAGUUUAUGUGUUGAACACAUAAUUAUAAAUUGAGCAACUCAUUAUAGUAAUUUGAUGAUACAGUUUGUAAUAAAAGAAUAAAAACUAAUGAUACAGUUUAUAAAUUGUGCAAAAUAAUAUAUGUGCAAUAUAUGUGCAUGCAAAAAUAUAAAAGAAUAAAAACUAAUGAUACAGUUUCAAAUAUAGCCCAUUUAUAAUAAAAGAAUAAAAACUCUUUAUAAUGAAAGAAUAAAAACUAAUGAUACAGUUUCAAUGUCAGCAACAUCAACAUGUUACCACAUUCGUACAUGUAUAAGGUCUUGCUUUUUCUUCAAGUUCCAGAGCUGUUGGUACCGAUUCCAUUCUGUAUUUGCAAUUGGUUAAUGGCUGUUCAUAGUUGUUAUUUGAAGGUAUCUUAGUGCAAAUGAUUGAUUUCUUUUCUUCCCGGUAAUCGUUGCUCCGUGCACUCCUGUUUUCCUUUUGCAUCUAACUGAAUUUAAUUACUCUUUCAAUUCCACAUUUUCUAUUUAUUCUGUGUCAUCAACUUUAUGUAUAUUUUGUUUUCAGAUUGGUUUACUUGCUUUGGGUUUCUAUUUGUGUUCUUAAUCUGUUCCUGAAUCAUCUCUUGCUUCCAUUUCCAAUGAAGGUUGUAUCGAUGACCUCUGUAAGAUAGGAACGCUUCAAUGCUUGGCCUAUAGAGUAAUAAAUCUUUUUCCAAAUUGGUAAACCCUAUAGAAAUCAAUGGCUAUAUAUGUAAUACAUCUUUUUCCAAAUUGGUUUGGUUUAAUUAAUGGAGACUAGCUUUCCUGAGAACUAUAAAUGUGCUAUAUAUAUUUGGUUCAAUCUGAGAACUAUAAAUUCACAAUUUUUAUGCAUUACUNNNNNNNNNNNNNNNNNNNNAGUGUAGUCUCUCACCUCACUUGCAUUUGAACUCUCAUAACCAAGCUCACUUUCUUGUACAUCACCAUCACUAUCAUCAUCUUUAAUUUGAAUUAAAGACUCAUGCUCAAGAUUGAUGUACACUUCUUCUCUUGGAAUAUGCUCCACUUGAUCAAAGAAAGGCUCUUUGCAAAUAUAAAGUGGUGCGAUGUUGCUCUUGAAGGAUGCUAGCUUUGACAUAAUCCAUGAUUGGACCGACACUCUCACAUGAUGCUUUAAAUUGAGCAAACAAUUAUGCAAUGGAUGAGUGUCUCCGCUCUCACACUUGAUCUUGAGGAGAUUGCUCAUAUCUCAUUUGGUAUUUCCAUCCAUGAUUCCAUCGUUCCAUAGCUCAAAUUAGUAAGAAAUAAGUACCUAUGGAAUCCCAAGAGUGACAUUAGUAACAAAAAAUUAAAAAGAAAGUAGAGAAAUUUUAUUAACACAUCCCUAAUUACUAGAUACACAUCUCAUUUUAAAUACACCACCUAUUGACUUUGUUAUUUUAACAUUCUAUUAGAUACACAUACCCAACCUUUCUACAAUACCCUCACUAAAUACACAAUCCAUUUACUAAAUACACGUACUUUUUUAGACCUGUUACUCAAUUUAUUCAAAAAAAGAAAAAGAAAAAAGAGAGGAUUAUAUAUAUAGCAUCAUCCCAAGUUCUAGUUUGGUGUCAGUUUGAACUACCUAGCAUGAGUGAAUAGUAGAAUCUAAAUUUCAAACUUCAAUUUGUACUAUCGAUAGUAAAUCCUUGAUAAUUUAAUAUUUGAUAAAUUAAUAACCUUGAUUAUAUAAUAUUUUUUAUCAGUCCCGAAAUAAAGAAUUAGCAAAAUUGUCGUCAAUAAAUUAACAAUCCCGAUUGAAUAAUAUUUUUUCCGGUCCCGACAUUAUUAAUUUAUAGAGGUUUAAAUUAUAGGGCUUGGUAUCUUCACAUACGUUGUUCUCGUAUAAAAGAAGAAAACUCUUAAGCGAGAUAUUUUAUUUCAACAAGUUUUCUUUACUUUUGAUAUGAAUGUCUCUUUUGGUAAUUUUACGUACCCACAAAGUCUUAUAUAAUUUGUAGAAAAAAAGAUAUGUGUAUCUAGCAUUUAGGGAUGUGUUAAUAAAAUUUCUCAAGAAAGUAAAAAAAUAAGCACACAAAACAUAACUAACUAACUGGAACAAUUUUUUUUUCUUUUUCCUUUUAUCAAAAAUAAACAAAACAUAAACAAAUAUGCUAAAGUGACCUAUGACCGAUUCACCAAGGGAUUAAGGCUAUUAAACCUUAAUCCCCGGCAACGACGCCAUUAAUUUGAAGAAAAUGAGAAAGCCAAGUCAGUGUCGUAUUCAUUCUUUUAUUUAUACGGUUCAGAAGACAAGCCAAGUUUAAUGAGAACUUCAAAUGGAGUGGUUUUAUUUAUACGAUUGGUGUGAGGACACGGCCAUGUAAAUGAUGUAAUUGAUAGUGAAGGUAACUUCACGAGAAUCAUGCUUGAAACUUGAAAGUAGGAGUCAUCAUGCUUGUUAAUAUUCGUUGUCUAAUUUUUGAGCUCUGAUCCCAAAAUCAAAAAAAAAAAGGCACGUGUGACACGAGCGGGAGUCAAAUUGAAUCGCAAAUAGAGACGUUGCUGGAUUGAGUUCGAUGGAUNNNNNNNNNNNNNNNNNNNNAAAACUUGUGAAUCGAGUUUUGCAUGCCUCAUCAUAAUUAUUCGUCUCCUUAUCAAAAGACGUCCUUGAGUAGCUUCAGGUCACUCUAAUGCAUCUCAUGCUUUUGGCAAAAUGGUUCAUGGUUGUACCCUAAAUGUCUCGAGUGAAUACUGGCCAAAUUUUACAAAGGUGAUGUGUUUAGAUGCACAUCUUAACAUGAUAUUUGAAUCUUUGAUGAUUCAAAUCAGAAAGAAUAUUUGUAGAAGAAGCUGGAAAAAAAAAACAUAACAAAAGAAAAAAUAUAUAUACUUUGGGGUAUUGCUAUUAACACACCUCAUCUAUUUUCAUAUCCACACAUUUUUAUUUUAUUUACAAACUUGCCACUUGAAUUUGAUUGAUUAUUGGUUAAUAGCAUCACCCUGAUACUACUUUUGAAAGGUACAUUUGGUUUUUUUGUCAUCAUGAAAGUGUUAUAUGUGGUCAAAUUAACAGUUUCAUAAUUACAAUUGUUUUAAGAUAUGACGAAUAAGUCUAAAUAUCGUAUAACAUUGUAGGUUUAGGUCAUCAGUUUGUCGCUAACAUGACUUACCCUUUUUAGGUUUUCAAUAAGAGGGUCAUCAUCAUUCUCGUCAAGCAAUUAUAUAUCGCCGUGAGAGCGAGUGAUUUGCUUCAUUCGCUGGUGAUUUCUAUGUCCUCGUGAUGGCUUCAUCUGUCACUUUAGCAUUGGAGUCCAUUGUUUUAUUUUCAUCUUCUCUCAUAUUUUUCUCAUUAUAGCCUGUUGAAAAAUCGAGUUUUACAUGCUUGAUCCGAAUUAUUAGUCUCCUUAUCAAAAGACGUCCUUAAGUAGCUUCAGGCUACUAGGGCAUCUCAUGCUUUUGGCAAAAUGGUUCAUGGUUGUACACUUUGUUUACACCCAAAUUAACAUUUUACCGAACAGUAAAUGUCUCGAGUGAAUACGGGCCAAAUCCGUGGUCUACGUCGCAUGUUAUCGACGAGCCCGAAAUAUUGGGUUUACAAGUGAUGGCCUACAGCGAAAUGGUACGAGUUGAACGGUAAAGUUCGCAUGCGAGAUGGAGUUUGCAUGCAAAGAGACUUGCGAAGUUGCCAUGCGAGUUCGACAAGGCUUGCAUGCGAGGAGGUAGAGUUCGCAUAUGAGUUCGCAUAGAAGAAGGACUUCACAUGUAAGGACUAGGAAACAUAAGUUAUCCAAAUUGACUGGUCGACUACGUUUAAUUGCUUGGUGGAGGACUUAUGAAGUAGGUAUGCAUGCGAAAAGCUAGCAAUAUUUGCAUGCGAAGAGUUGGCUAUAGUUACAUGCGAAAAAGGAGAUCAUUAUCUUUGGAUUUGUCAUUAACAUGUUGCCAAGGUCUGAUCAUUAUCCCUUGUAUAGGUGUGCAAUAUAUGUGCAUGAAAAGGGCCGGGCUCGCGCAUGCGUUUAAUAUAUCAAACAUCGAAAUUAAGGGCAAUAUAUGUGCAUGCAAAAUAAUUUUGUGUAAAAUGUGCAAACAUAUAUUUUAAAGAUAGUCAUUGGGAAAGUUGUUAAAAAGUUUGUGUUGAACACAUAAUUAUAAAUUGAGCAACUCAUUAUAGUAAUUUGAUGAUACAGUUUGUAAUAAAAAAAUAAAAACUAAUGAUACAGUUUAUAAAUUGUGCAAAAUAAUAUAUGUGCAUGCAAAAAUAUAAAAGAAUAAAAACUAAUGAUACCGUUUCAAAUAUAGCCCAUUUAUAAUAAAAGAAUAAAAACUCUUUAUAAUGAAAGAAUAAAAACUAAUGAUACAGUUUCAAUGUCAGCAACAUCAACAUGUUACCACAUCCGUACAUGUAUAAGGUCUUGCUUUUUCUUCAAGUUCCAGAGCUGUUGGUACCGAUUCCAUUCUGUAUUUGCAAUUGGUUAAUGGUUGUUCAUAGUUGUUAUUUGAAGGUAUCUUAGUGCAAAUGAUUGAUUUCUUUUCUUCCUGGUAAUCGUUGCUCCGUGCACUCCUGUUUUCCUUUUGCAUCUAACUGAAUUUAAUUACCUUUUUUUUUUUUUUUUGGUUACAGGAAGGGAUCAAAACAGACCCAAAACAAAGAAUUUAAUUACUCUUUCAAUUCCACAUUUUCUAUUUAUUCUGUGUCAUCAACUUUAUGUAUAUUUUGUUUUCAGAUUGGUUUACUUGCUUUGGGUUUCUAUUUGUGUUCUUAAUCUGUUCCUGAAUCAUCUCUUGCUUCCAUUUCCAAUGAAGGUUGUAUCGAUGACCUCUGUAAGAUAGGAACGCUUCAAUGCUUGGCCUAUAGAAAUCAAUGGCUAUAUAUGUAAUACAUCUUUUUCCAAAUUGGUUUGGUUUAAUUAUUGGAGACUAGCUUUCCUGAGAACUAUAAAUGUGCUAUAUAUAUUUGGUUUCAAUCUGAGAACUAUAAAUUCACAAUUUUUAUGCAUUACUUUUUCUGUAUUGUAGUAAUUUGAUAUCAGAGAGCACGAUGAAGAUGAUUCAGAAUUCUCCUUCAUUGGCGGAGUCCCCAAGAAGCUGUGGUGCCGAAUUUUCAUCGUCCAAUCCGUAGUUCCAAAAUGAAAAAUAGGUUUGUUUUGUGUGAUUGUAAUUCUGGAUUAAUGAGUAUUCGUACUGUAUGAGAUCUUAUUGGUUCAUCGAUAUGAGUUUUUUGUAUUUGGAUAAUGUAGUUUUUUUGCUGGAGAUGCUCUAAAUGUGUUUUGUUUUCAUUCGAGGUUCUCCGCUUAAAACUAUUGUAAAUGUAUUUUUAAUGUAUGCUCUCUCAUGAGAUAAACAAAAUUGAACUUUCGUGAUAUUGUGUUUCCUUCUGGCAUUUUGUUAUUAGGUUUUGGAUUGAUGACUAAGUUAUACAUUAUAAUUGUUCUAAAUGUUAGCUACCUAUAAAUGACUACCCUAUUUCUUUUUUAUUCUGUAGUCAUGAAACUAAUGUUUUUCUUUGGAUUUUUCAGGUAACAAGCUUUGAAGAGGGCAAAUGAGUUUUAGCAAGGUACACCGUUUCUAAUCAUAUUACGUCUUCAGUUCUUAAAAUGAAUUUUAGUUUUUUAAUUGAUAGUGCUUGCAUUUCAUCCACGAUGCUGCCAAGCAGAACCUGCAAGACCGCAGACUUCACUUCUUAAAUCACACCACAAGUGCAAAGCAGAGACCAGACAUAUGCAUUUGAAAAAAAGUGUGGAAACAAAUAUAUCAUCUCAAAAUAGGUAGACAAUAUAAACCUGACGAUGCUAAUUACGUGUUAAGCUGUUUUUGUUUUCAUAUUGGACUCUUAAUUGGCCCUUAUACCUUAUGACAAUGCUAAUGCAUUUGAUCAGCUUUUUCUAUACAACAAUGCAAACAUUCUAGAUUAUGACAUGAAAGUUUUGAAAAUGUUAUCCCCUCAAGGUAUGAGGUCCCUAUGUGGUUCAGAACUUAAGGGGGGCUCAUUUUGAUUUCAUACAGGUAGUAUAUGAAAAAUGUUUAACUUUGAUGUAUAUGUUCUUAGAUUGAUUUUCCAUUUCAAGUAGUAAACUAGCUCUGCCAAAAAAAAAAAGGUGUAUAUUAGCAGGAAUGUUUAUGUUUUCUUUUCUUUUUCUUCCAUCCUUCUAAUAUUUAUACCUUCUGACUUGGACUUUGUAUUUGUCAGCACGAUCUCAUUUGUAUUAACUAAUGCUAAUGUCAAAAUCUCGAAUACGCAGUAUUACAGUACCUAGUUGGUCUCAUAGCCAAGAUUUAUAGUUCUGCAUUGUUAUGUACCCGUUCAAUAUUUGUAGCCAAGGUUUAUAUCGUAUUUCUCUUCUUUUGCAUUUCAUUAGCUCAUAAGCCCUUCAUAUUGUACUACAUGGUCUAGGUCAAUAGGCCCUUCAAAUUGUCCUUGAUGCUACAAUACACAGGGAGGAUGUAUUUAAGUCUUUAACAGGGGAGGGGCAUACACUGGCAGUUUGGAACAUAGAUCUAUCCAAGUUAUAAACAGUUUUUUGGCACACAGAUCGAGCUGCAUCUACCUAAAAUGUUCAAUGAAUAUGUGUGAUGUGCAAUUUGUAGUUGAGAUGCUGUACUUGGGAGAAUCACUUGAGCAACUCUUACAAUUAGCUCUACGGAGGAAGUUUGUAAUGUUUUCUAAUAGUUUAUUAAUUAUUUGACCGGAGACAAUUACAUUUUUUGACUGUAUUGUUGCAUGUAACGUAAACUAAUGUUAAAAGCGAAAAAAUAUUAAACGCACGCGCGAGCCAGACCCUUUAUAAAUAAUAUAUUGCACACAUAGAAACUUUCCUUGUGAUAUCAAACAUAUAUUUUAAACUUUCCCGAUCACUAUCCUUGUGAUAUCAAACAUCGAAAUUUAGAGUUUUUGUAAUAUAACAAUAUUUCAUUUCCGUAAGGAGAAAUUUUAUUCACACGUACUAAAUUUCUUAAUGCACACCAUUAUUUUUUGGAGUCACCACGGCUGGAACUGCACAAGGGCUUAAACUUUCUCUGAUCAAGCCUUUCUUCAUUGCUCCCCCUAGCCCCUACAGUUAAGCAGCAAAAACCCAGCCUGCCUCAUCAGUAUAACCGUUUCUAAAGUUCUUGAGAAAAAAAAAGAAACCAACUGCUCCUCAAACUACUCAGACCUCAUUUAAAUCAAUAAUAAAGUAAAAUGAAAUUAGACAUAAAAAAAAAAUAUUUAAAUAAAUAAAAUCAGGACAUCACACAAAUGAUAACCCAUAACAAAAAGUUUUUGAAGCCCUAUUAUUCUUCUCCGUUUGUUUAUGAGAGUUCACACAAAAAAUGCAAGCAGAUGAUGGAAAUAUGAUAUAUUCAAAGAUGGACAAUAGGAAAUGCAUAAUUAGAUGUAAAUAUGGAUGUGAUUCUCAGUAUGCAAAUGUCAUCCAUUAACAUUCUACUACAUGAUCAUCACCAAACCUAUCAAAUUUGAAUGAAGCUAAAACACAUAUACAUACUCAUAAUCUGUAAAACUAUCCACAUAUGUUACAAUAUCUUUCCACUCCUUUCAUUUCUUUUUUAUUCAAAUCAAAAAACACUAAAUCAACAGAAGAAAAAAGUAACCUGAAUUACAGAGACCAUCCACAAAUAGGCACAGCAACAGCAACCAAAAUCUACCAGCAAAAUCAAAAAAUAAAUAGUUAGCCUUAAAAGUUUAUACAGUAUACAGUGAACAUAAGGAGACAAAAAUUUCUUAUCUAAUUUCUGAUAUACAUACUACCCCCUCACCUUCUAAAACAGGAAAAACCAUGAAUGAUGAUAAGCCAAUUGAGUAUGGUAACUCUGUAAAACACACCAUUCAAAUCAUAAAGCCAAUUGACCAGCUCACAUCCACAAACAUUAAAAAUGAAAUCGAGGGAAAAUUGAAAGGAUUACAAAGACCUCAAAAAGAGACGAAGUCACUAUCUUCCAGAGCAAACCAAAUCCAAAAACUAUCUAGUCCUCUUCACCAUAGUUUCAAUAGCUGAUACUGUAACGACAAUAAGAAAACCCAUAAUCAGAAUCCAAUUUAUACAAAACCCUAACUAAAAAUGGAACAGGAAAUUUGUUGAAGGUCGCCAUAUAAUCCAUAACAGCAUUCUUCCGCAAUUCGGUAGUAGAAUAGAAUGCAGCUGCUACAUAUAUAGACAAUUGUUUCCCCUCGAGCUAUAGAAUUACAAAAUGCAUAAUUAGGGUCAUAUAAGUAAUAGGCCAUUAACCAAUAAAUUUUCAGCCUGUAUCACUGUCAUUAUCUUGAUAUUCAGUUUGGAUAGUUUUUGACUAACCAUCUAUAUAGAAGCAUAUAGAGAAAUUAGAGUUACCUUUACCACCUUAAUGCGCCGUUUGCUUCCUGCGUGCAGUUUAUGCAUCUUAGAGCCUCAAAUGGUGCCUACUCCGCCAGAUGAAAACGACAAAUAGAAACAAAACUUCAUGAGAUUGAAGAAUUGAGUAGUAAGCAAAAUUGCAUACAAAUUAAAACAACCCAACCGCAUUUAAAUGACAUCACCAGAUCACACGUGUAAGUCUGUAACCAAAUAUAUCCGGUUCCUUCAGAAUGGAGAUAGGAAGAAAACUUGGAACUAAUUAACUUAAUGAAGACAAAAAAUUAUAAAUGUAAUCAAAUAUAUAGGAUUCCUUCAAAAUAUAUAAAAAUUAGAGCAAACUACUAAAGGUAGUAGAGUUUAAGAACACCCAGAGAAAAGUAAUUGAAGCAAAGUACCCAAACCGAUUCACUGGUUAAAUAGACGGUUGAAUCUGCAAUCAACGAUUCUGAUACCAAUCUUUUACUAUCUCUGGGUUUUAGUUUGCUCUGCUCCUCAAUCUGUGUGAGUUCCACAUAAAUUUAUCACCAAAGGUAGUAAAGGAAAAAGAAUCAUAUACCACAGAAUAGAAAUAAUUGAACAAUACCUUUUAUUACCAAAGACAGCCAAAUUGAAAAAACAGUAUCUUUCCUUCUUUCAUCACACAAUCCCCAAAGAAGUACCCUUUAAGCUUAAUUGAUUAUGAUCUUCUCUUUCUGCAGACCAGCACUAACAGAAAAAAAGAGUAGAUUAGAAACGCAACUAAAACAAACUCCGAUUAAUCUUAGUUUCAAAUUCUCACAUUGCAAAGCUGCACAAGUAAAAUAUAAAGAUGCAUUUGUUUUGAAAAUAAAUUAAAAGUGUACCUCAAAACUUCAUCCAAUCCCGCCCUCUUUCAUCAUUCAAAAUCUCAAUCUCACUUGCUCUGCAUCGAAUGGAAAAAAAAGUUAAAAGAAGAAGAGGAUUAUGUGAUAGAACUAAAAGAAAAGCAUGAGAAAUUAUGGACACUAAUCUGGGAUGCCUAAAUGGCUACACAUUUGCAGAUAACAAAAAAGGAAGCUGUUAUGCCCCUUGAUAGGUUAAUUGAUCAAUCAAUAAAGUUAAACAUGCACAAAAAAAUGCAAAUCGUUUCAGUUAGUUAACAAUCGAAAACAGUAUAGAUGGAACGAUAAACAAACUCAGGAUUAUAAAAUCACUUACUCAUAGUUUACAUUACUUUCUCCAUACCUUAAAUCAAAGAAAGAAGACAAUAUACAUAUAUGAUCCACAUAUUAAAAAUAUAAUAAUAAUAAAUAAAAAAAACUCUAUCAGAAAAAUGCAAAAUUAAUUUUACAUGCUUAGCCACACUCAAGCCUGAAUACCCCCUUUCAAGCUUCAUUUUCAGCCAAAACUAAACAGAUAUAUAUAUUUAUUUCAUUGGACAUGUUAAAAAUUCAAAUACUGAUAGUUCACAUGUGAGGUCCAUGCGCUGCUUUGGUAACUAAAGGGUUGGACCUCCGUGCAAGUCUCAAUUUGCAAACAGAUGGAGGAAUAAUUGAGUUUGGCCAAUCGAGAGACUGAUCAUUGUGAUCAAACGUGGAGGUUUGUCCGCGGUCAGCUCUUUCGUAGAGAACGUGGCUUUUGGUGUGUGGGAUUAUGUGGUCAAACGUGGGAUGAAAUUUGUCCGGAGAAAGGGUGUGCGCGACGUGUCAUUUGUCCAUGCGCGACGACAUUUGUCCGCGCACGAUGGCCAUGCGAGACCAAUUUGUCCGCGCACAAUGGCCAUUCUAGACCAAUUUGUCCACGCACAAUGGUCAUGCGAGACCAAUUUGUCCACGCACAAUUUGCCCGUGCGAACUGAAUUAUCCGGAAAUGCCCAUGCAAAAUGAUACAUGUUUGAAGAAAAAAAUAUAUGAUUUCACAUAUAAUGUGUUGUGCAAAUACAAUGUAUAAUUGAUUCACAACACUAACUGCACGAUAUAUUUCUUAAUUGAUAUUAGAGCUUAUCCACAAUAGUAAAUACCCAAUGUGUUUCCUUAUGGUCAUUAGAUUUGAUUCACCAUGUGCUUCCUUGAUGGUUAUUUUCUAACUAAAGACUAUUGCCAUUGUUCAUCACCAACACCUUUGAAAGAUGAUACCUGCAAAGAAAAGGGAAACACUACUAGAAACCAAUAACAGAUAACCAAAUUGAUGCUUGCAAGCUGCAACACACUAUACUUUAAAAUGACUUUCAUCAUCUGCUAAGGAAAAUGUCAUUAAUCUGUAAUAUCAGAACAUACAGAUACAGUUUAUGCAUCCAAUAAAUGGAAAUCCAGAUAAGGGUUGUACUUUUUCUGGUCUGACAGAGAAGGGUGGGAUGGUCAGGAACACCACCAUUUGGCACUUGAUUUGAUUAUGGGGUACUAUCAUCCAAUAUCAAAAGGCCAACACAAUAUCUUGUUAUGCCUAAUUGCUAUAUCAGUGAAGCUUGUAUUUUUAGUUCAAAGUUCAAACCACCUACCUAAUAUAACAAGUCAAUACUAAUUAGCAUAACAAAAUUUGCCAAGAAGCAAAUGCACCAAACCUAGCGCUUCUGCUGCUCUUUUCUGGCUCUCUUCGCUGUAAAGCUGUAAAUGCCAACAAGCAUGCUCAUAAGAAAUUCCCUCUGAUCCAUUUCAAGUGUUUAUCCAAGCCUUGAGCCACCAUCUCCAUCUCAGGCUGCACAGAAAAAACCAUCAUCAAGAAACUGAUCCCAAACGGAACAACAAAGUUAGGAAGGAAAGUCAAUUUCUCAUGAUGCAUGUGUACAUUGAUUAGAGGCCAGCCAGGUCAUUAAAAAUAUUAUAUCUAUAUAUAUAUAGCCACAGACUCGCAAUGUUUUUGAUUCAAAAAAGACUCGCAAUGUCGGUUUGAAGUAUUUACUCGGAUUGAGCAUAAGAUAAUUUUCUUAACUAGAAAAUGUAAAACAAAAACCAUUAAACAAAGAGAAAAUAUAUUCUUAAUAACACCGUAACAAAGGUAAAAAAAAUACAGGUGAAGAAUAUACUGAAAAACUAUAAAGCAAAUGCCCUAAGAAAAAUAGCUCUCAGACAAUAUAGGAACAUGAAUAGAGGCUGUUAGUGCUAUGAGUCAAAAAUUGUUGCUUUGUUGUGGUAAAGUUGUUUGAUGAAUUAUAGAGCACGUACCGAGGACUCCUCGGGAGGGAAAAUCCGCCAAACAAGGCAUAUCUUUGACAGUUCCACUACUGCUUCUGCGUGUUUACCUUGCAUCACUAAAGCUUGCAAUCAACAAGAAUAAAACAUUAAGUGCCAAAAAUUCACAGUUAUGUUUCCAACUGUACUCCAUGGUUUUUGGAGUACAUAAUUGAUAUAAUUUUCUAAAUUGAUUUUAGAGUUCUAGACCACUGACAUUGACUAACCCAACUCAGCCGUAUGACUACAAUUAGUGAUAGCCAACAUGAAAGGAACAAUCAAAUCUGAAAAACUGAAAACUCCAAAUACAAUAAACUUACCGUCUACGAAUCUGAUCCAGCCCUUCACCCACAAAAUUUCCAGGGAAGUUUUUCACAAAAAGUUCAACAUUCUCAAAAGGAUAGUGGAUUUAAGCACAAGGCAUGGAACCACUCAUGAACCAUUGUUCAAACGCAUGAAAAGAUAAUUAAACAAGUCAAACAUCUAUAUCAUUAGGCAGACAUCAGUGGUUGAGCAAAUUGGUUCACUACAGAAUACUCUUUAUAAAACAUGAAAAACCAUGAAUUCAUAAUUGGCGAUAUAUUGAAACUACUCCCCCACUUUAUAAAGCAGGAAAAACCAUGAAUGGAUGAUAAGCCAAUUAAGUAUGGUAACACAGUAAAACACACCAUUCAAACCAUAAAGCUGAGCCACAAAGAAACAAUAACAUUGUAGGCCAAGUUGAAAGAAAAGACGAUACAUUUUAGAAUAGCUGCAACGAGAAUAAGCAAGCCUGAAUCUAAAACUACAUAAAAACCAAAAUGUGCAAUUAAUCAAAAACAUAAUUAUCGAGGAAUCUGAAGAAAAUAGAAAACAACAUUGUAGAGAUAAGCCGGCUACCUGAAUUUGUUCCAGAUGAAAAAGUUGAGCUUCUUGGAUGGCAUAAGCUCCUUCAUCCAAGUAGUCCGGCUUUUGAACGAGGAAAAUAACAAUAGGGCAGGUAAUUAGAUCAGAAACAGUUCGGAUGUCAAAAGAAGAUCAAAAUUCAGAUUCACAAUAUAAAAAACGAAAUAACAAACUUAGGACCUGAAAAAAUAUAACCCCUUACAGCCUCACACACACAGAGCACCACCUUCAAUCUAAAAUCCAAUUCCAAAACACAUGCAGAACAACAAACCAAACAGUUAAAGUAAAAAGGAAGCGAAAUACUUAUCAAAGUUGAGGAAACAUUCGAGUGACUACAAUACUCAAACUCGUACUCCAUCAGUCAAACUUGUACUCAUUCUUCAGGUCAUCUCUUUACCUCAGGAUAAUCCACAAAACAUAUGCUUGAAUUAAUUUUGGUUUAAAGAAAGGAUUGCUGAUCUAAAAGUGAAAAUAAAAUUCAGUGUGAAAGACGAAUUCCUUACCAGAUUUAUAGGAUCUAAACGCGAUUGUCUUUCCACUAAGCUCCAGAGCUGCACAUUAAUCACCAAAAAGAAUUUUAAGCACAUUUAACAGCAAACUCUAAUAGGUUUUUUAACCUUUACAAUACUAAAAACAAAAGUAAAGAAGCAAUUGUCACCUUUCAAGCAGCAUUGCCCAGUACAAAAGAAAGGAAUAAAUUGCAAAACUGAUACAGCAAUAAUGAACUUGAAGAGCAUGACCAAGUUGAAAAAUCCAUGUUGAUAAUAAGUAUCAUUGCAGUAGGCAGCUAUUCAUAUAUUCAAGUGCAUCAAUCAUAUUGCAUCAAAUAAAGUAUUCCAAGCAACCAAUUUUAAUUAAAAUCCUUAUCAGACUGCGCUAAACAUAUAAUGAAAUCAGAAAUUACUCACAGCAUUGCAAGACUGAGGCAAUAGAUCAGUGACACCAAUUCCCCUGAUAUAUUGUUGUGCUCUAACCUCCUGCAAUAAUUUUCAUCAGUGGCAACAAUAUCAAAACGAAAACGUCAAGUCUCAGUACCUAAAUAUCCUAAACUUUGGACCACAAUUGACAUGGGCAGUUACAGUGAGAACAAAAAAUUUCACAGUUGGGAUAAAAUCAAGCUACCCAUAUAGAUGCAACAGCAUCUAUAUCAAACCUAAAACUCACUUUCCAAGCUUCACUUUUCAUAUCUAGUCGGUCCCAAUCCAAUUUAAGACCAGCUCUUUAUAUUCACAAACUUUCCAAAACAAACACCCAAUUUAUAACCAAUGCACAUUGCACUAUCAACGCCAUAUAUAAUCUGAACCCACAAAACCCACCAAAAAUUGAAAACACUUGCUUUGAAAGGAAUACACCUUAUAAACCCCAAUGUAAGUCUAAUUAAACACUUGCUUUGAAAGAAAACAUAUCAAUAAUUAUACCUGUGUAACCCGAAAACCCAGAAUUACCUUCCCUAUUCUUGCUGAUGAUACGCUGUAAAUUUCGUCAAGAUCAGAAAGAGAUCAAAAUAGAUUAGAAACAGUUCAAAUUUCAAAAAGAGAGCAAAGUAGAUCGAAAUUCAGAUUCACAAUUUAAAAAACGAGAUAAAAAAACUUAGGAGAAGUAAUCAUGGAAAAAUAUAACCCCCUUAUAGCCUCACACACAGAGCACCACCUUCAAUCUAAGAUCCAAUUCCAAAACACAUGCAGAAGAACAAACCAAAUACAUAUCAAAGUUAAGGAAACAUUCGAGUGAACCCAACGGUUCUCAAGUAAAAGUGGUGCACAAUUCCUAAAUGUCACACUUUCCUUGGCAUGACUUUAAUACAGAUACAGAGAAGUCAUGAAAAGAUUAAAGCUCUUCCCUUUUUUCUAUAUAUUGUUCGGUAACAUUGAUAAGUACUAUCAAAAUCGGGUUUACAGAUUGGGGCUUGGGGAAACAAAUUCAAACAAAUAGGAACUCCUCAAUAAGUUUGAAGCACAAUUCUCAAGCACGGAAACCAAUCUUCGUGCUUGGUUUUAUCUAACGGAUCAGAUAAAAACUGUAAAUAAACAUGAAAUGAGAGCCAAAAACCCAAACUAAGUGUAAACUUCAAAAAUUCAUUUCUCACCUGAAAUUGAACAAACAGGAGAAGCUUGACAAUCACAACUACCGAAAUCCUCUUUCUCUCUGUCACAAAAAAGCAGUCAAUCCAAAAUUCGAUACCCAUAUCUCAAAUUGCCAAUAAAUCGAAAACACAGAACCAAAUUUCAAAUUUACCAUGAAAAAAGAAAACCAUAUGAUAACCCAAAACCAAAACUGAAAUCAAACAAAGAAUUACCCAGACUGCUAUGCCAAUCGACCGGACAAGAACAACAGAAAAAGCAUUAAACUUUAAUAAGAGGAUGGUGAAAAACAGGAAAGGAGAUCAAAGCAAUUGAACUAGUAAUUACAUUCAUCAUCUUUAGUUUCCAGCCAGGUCCAGUUAUCUCUGCAAAUUUGUAUUUUGGUGGCACUCAAAACCAAAAAGAAGAAAGAAACAAAAAUCAUAUUGAUACUCAGAUUAAGCAAACAUGAAAAUUAAAUCAAGCAGAAGAAAGCAAAGUUUUCUUUCUUUGAAGCCACUAUAUAAUCGAUAAAGUUUUCUUUAUUUGAGUACAUUCCAUCUAAAGUUUGUAACUCUACCUGAAAAACUGCUUAAAAAUGAAACUCAAAUCAGCAAAAGCUAUAUAUUGGAAUUCGGUGCAAUCCAUCAUUGAGGUGCUUGACUGCAGAGCAGACAAACGCCGAAUCAGCACAAAUGAGGUAAUGGGAACGGUUAUCCUUCUUAAAAUGAUAAGCUCAAUCUCAAACAGUAUAAAAAACCACACAAACACGGAAUGAAAAAAUUUGAAAAUUCAAAAGCACUAAACUUAUCUAUUCGAUCUGAGCAGAGGAUUGGGAACUUGCCAAAUAUAUAGUCCCACGAAUCCAUCUUGGGGAAAUUAUAUUGCACUCUUUGCAUUCAAACACCAAAUUCUUGCCACAAAAAAAAUUCAAAUGAAAACACAAUAAAAAUUCAAAUGCAAACGCAAACGCAAAAGCCAAUAAAGUCAAGCAUAACAACGUCAAGAAUAUACCUGAGAAACUAACAAAUUGGAUCCCGCCCAAAAUCAACCAAACUCAACCAGGCAUGUUAACAAAUCCUCCAUAGAUUUUCACUCAAAGAUAUCUCAUCAGCUCUACACCGAAAAUGGAAAAAAAAAAAUAAUGGAUAGAACCAAAAGAAAAGGAUAAGAAAUACUGAGACAUUAAAACUGCUCAAAAUAUGGACAAAUAAGAACAAAAUGGUCUUCAAGGGUGGGAUAUUUUUUUUUACCAAGAUCAAAGGCCAAAGCGGCUUGAACUCUAUUUGAAUCACAUAACACAGUUAUGGGAACAAAUUAAACCCUGGACAAAGAGCAAUAUUAGAAUCUCGAAACAGAUCCGAAAAUAAAAAGCAUACAAAACAUGCACAAACCCAAAUACUAUUCUCUCUUUCCAUACCCAAAUACUAUUCUCUCUCACUUUAUCAAUGCUGGUCUCGCUUUGAAUUUUCUGCUAGUCUCAUCGACUCACGUUAUUGCUCGUUACAAAUCAUAUUCAGAUUAUAGAAAUAACCCAAUAGCACAAAGUGGAGAACUGUAAAGUACUCACCAGAGCUUGCAGCAGUUGUUGUGGGAUAUCAAUAACUAACCUGGAAAAUAUGCAUACAUGAUUUUCAAUGGGAACUGUGGCCAUAUGCAUAAAAUAUUUGAGCAGAAACUAUCUGAAUGGCAUUUCAUGUCAUCUGACCGUCAAUCUAGACCGUUAAAAAAAUGAGGUCUAAAUAGGGUCGAAAACAAAACAUACCGGAUAAUAAAAUGAGUGAUAAUUAAGAGAAAGGUUUACUUACUUUUUGCCUAAAAAUUUGCCCAUCCGAGGCUCCCAUCUCCCACACUUAUGCAAUGGCACUCCUCUAUAUUUUGAGCCGCCUCUAGGGAACCGGUACUUUGUGGGCAAAGUACAUGCACACAUUCCUCCUUUGUUAAAUUGCUCAUCCGUUCAGCAACAUAUUACAAAAGAAUAUAAUCAAUCUUCCCCAUAUCCAUAAAAUGACGAAAUAAAUAAAUAAAUAAUUGAAUAGCUGGUUUUACUGUUGAAGAUAAGUUAUAAAACUGUUCAUGAUAAGUUAUAAAACUUCAUUACCAAUAUGACAGAAAACAAAAACAUGAAUUUUCAAAACCUCGAUCCAAGGCUAUACUAACAAAGGCGCAUGUGUCACUAUAAGAAACACAUGCAAAAAAACCCUCAUUUAGUAAAAGAAACCUGCAUGGAAAAAGCUUGUGCAAGUUCAAGUUGUGGUAUAUCUAGUAUUUGUGUCAACUUAUUAAACUUGACCAUUACACGAAAUGUAUCUCUUAUUUUUAAAUGAAGAGCUUGUGUGUUGGGCUAACGCAUUGGUAUUAAAAGUAUCUCUGUUAAACUUGACCAUUACACCAAAUGUAUCCCCAAUUUAACAACAAAUGUAUCUCUUAUUUGCACAACGCAGUUCAAGAGAUUGACAAAUUGACCAAUGCGUUGGUUGAUUUGGUAAAAGAGUAGGUACACCAGAUUUGACAAAAUAUAAUUUCAGCGCAGAAAGAAAGAAAUACAGUUUUCUUUAUGUGAGUAUAUUGCAUGUAAACUGUAACCUGAUAAACUGCUGAAAAAUGAAAAUCAAAUCAGCAAGCUAUAUACUGGAAUUCGGUGCAAUCGAUCAUUGAGGUCCUAGCUACAGAACAGACAAACACCGAAUCAGCUCAAAUCAGGUAAUGGGAACGGUUAUCCUUCUUGAUGAUAAGCUCAAUCUCAAACAGUAUAAAACCACACAAAAACGGAAUGAAAAAUUUUGAAAAUUCAAAAGCACUCCACUUAUCUAUUCGAUCUGAGCAGAGGAUUGGGAACUUUCCCAAAUCUAUAGUCCCACGAAUCCAUCUUGGGGAAAAUUUAUCAUAUACACAAUAUUCAUGCUCCUCCUCCUCACAUCAAAAACCCAAUAUCACAACCCUAAACUCCCGCACCAUAGAACCCCAAAUCAGUCAUACAAACCUGAAGUCUUAUUUCGACAAAAAAAAAAAAAUGCAGAAUGAAAAAAUAAAAGCGAAAUUGAAGCCCUCCCCUUCAUCAAUUUGAAGAUGAAUAAAUACCUUUAUAAGGAGGCCACAUAUUUUUCUAUUGUUACAGCGUUUAUGAAGCAUAUUUUUCUAUUGUUACAGAGUUCAUGAGGCAUCUUCAUAAUUAGACGCUGGAAAACUUGUGCCUAUGUUUCCAGUACUUAAGUGCUGCUGAAUAAGAUGCUGCUGCUGCAAAUUCUUGGUCAUCAAAAGUGCCUGCAUAUACAUCAGAUCAAAUUAAUGUGCUGUUAAAAUUUACCGAGUAACCAACAAAUCUCAUAUUGGGUUGAAAAAAAAAUGCUAAAACAUAAUGAUAACUACUUGUUCUCUAUCCCAAAACUGACCCUGUAAACACUCCCAACUCCUCAAUUCCCUAAAUUUGCCGUCAUAAUUGAAGUUGUUUGUUGCUGUAAGUUCCCUCAAGGUAAAGAGCAUCCACGUCGGCUGCUUUUCUUUUUUUCCUUGUUUUUACCUAUACAACAAAUUACAAUCAUCAAAGCAUGCGGUUACUAAUAUUUUAUGACGAUCAAUUUGAAACUAUGUAUAACCUUCUAUUCUACAUAUCAAACAUCAAAGGCAUCGAAAGGUCAUACCUUCAUAUUCCAACGAAAACUAUUCCAUAGGUCUCCAGCCUUCUUCCAUUAAUUAACAAUACAUGUAUCUAAAGCCAAAGAAAAAUUGUUAGGACAAAAAAGAAAAUACAAAGAGAAACCAUAGAACUUUGGUUAUCUUAUUUUGAUCCUGUUGUAUUAUGAGACUUAUAAAUAACCUUAACAUUUUCUGACCAUAAUAGACCCAUCAAUAUAAUAGAACAGCUCUGAGUAAACACAAAAGGUUCCCAAAAAUACCUUUCAGUAGACCUAAUAAGGUCUCCACUCAAUUUUUCUUUAAAUUGAAUAAAAUAAAAUAGACCUCUUCCACCAUUCACAUUGCUGACAUUACCCUCCCAUCUACACACCAGAAAUGCAUACUUCAAAACUGAACUGAAUAAUUUCCAACAAUGACUAGGACACAAUUGCUUUCAACGGAACUCACAAUUAAUACAACUUCUCUAAUAAAAGUAAGUUCAUUUCAGUACCGCUAUUUUUCCCCAAUUUGUAAAUUUUGUUCUCAGGUCUGAUCUUAACUCCUUUCCUAAUUUAAUUCCAGGGAAAUAUAUGUAUCUAAAGCCUUACGACUGGUAAAUGUUCAAGUUCAUGGUUUAUGUAAUACACAUACAUAAAAAGAAGUUGCGCUCUUACGGCUGGUAUUUGUAGUAUUCCUCCUCCAUUCUGUGUGGCAUUAGCAGUACUUGGAGCACACAGUGUACCACAUGUAGUACAUGAGACAAACAUUUGCCCUGCUAUAAACACAUUAUAAGAGAACACAUUAGUUGGACCAAGUAAGGGUAGAAGAGAUUCAUAAAAAUCAGUAAUGCAUAGAGUGCAAGAUAUAAAUGAGUAUAUUAGUCUCUCUUUCUUUUGGUCUUCCUUAAAGGAAAAUAAAUCUUCAGUUCCAUUAUAUUUCAUGAUAUGGCAAAAUACAAAUCAGGGCAGUGCAGAAAUAAAUAUCUAUCAAAUCCUACUAACCAAAUUUUGAACCUUUGACUUAGUUCCCUCACACUGGUAAUCUGAUAUAGACCCUAAACAUAAUAGAAGUCAUUAUUUCUUUUCUUUUCUACAACUUCUGAAACUAUCACUUUGAUUAACUGAGCAUAACAACUUGGUAAACCAAACGACAAAUAGGUCAUCACCUACCUUGUGCAUAAGUUGGACCAAUUUGAUAAUUAACAAAGGAUAGUAAUUUUAAAUUAUGGAAUUUGGCGUAUUUCUGCUUGUGAUAGCUCCAAUGUUUCAAGCAACCACAAAUAUACUUGAGCUUGUUAAUAGACAGCAGCCCAUUCACAUUGAUCCCAGAAACUAGGAAANNNNNNNNNNNNNNNNNNNNAUCCGCCAAACAAGGCAUAUCUUUGACAGUUCCACUACUGCUUCUGCGUGUUUACCUUGCAUCACUAAAGCUUGCAAUCAACAAGAAUAAAACAUUAAGUGCCAAAAAUUCACAGUUAUGUUUCCAACUGUACUCCAUGGUUUUUGGAGUACAUAAUUGAAUAUAAUUUUCUAAAUUGAUUUUUAGAGUUCUAGACCACUGACAUUGACUAACCCAACUCAGCCGUAUGACUACAAUUAGUGAUAGCCAACAUGAAAGGAACAAUCAAAUCUGAAAAACUGAAAACUCCAAAUACAAUAAACUUACCGUCUACGAAUCUGAUCCAGCCCUUCAGCCACAAAAUUUCUAGGGAAGUUUUUCACAAAAAGUUCAACAUUCUCAAAAGGAUAGUGGAUUUAAGCACAAGGCAUGGAACCACUCAUGAACCAUUGUUCAAAGGCAUGAAAAGAUAAUUAAACAAGUCAAACAUCUAUAUCAUUAGGCAGACAUCAGUGGUUGAGAAAAUUGGUUCACUACAGAAUACUCUUUAUAAAACAUGAAAAACCAUGAAUUCAUAAUUGGCGAUAUAUUGAAACUACUCCCCCACUUUAUAAAGCAGGAAAAACCAUGAAUGGAUGAUAAGCCAAUUAAGUAUGGUAACGCAGUAAAACACACCAUUUAAACCAUAAAGCUGAGCCACAAAGAAACAAUAACAUUGUAGGCCAAGUUGAAAGAAACGACGAUACAUUUUAGAAUAGCUGCAAGGAGAAUAAGCAAGCCUGAAUCUAAAACUACAUAAAAACCAAAAUGUGCAAUUAAUCAAAAACAUAAUUAUCGAGGAAUCUGAAGAAAAUAGACAACAACAUUGUAGAGAUAAGCCGGCUACCUGAAUUUGUUCCAGAUGAAAAAGUUGAGCUUCUUGGAUGGCGUAAGCUCCUUCAUCCAAGUAGUCCGGCUUUUGAACGAGGAAAAUAACAAUAGGGCAGGUAAUUAGAUCAGAAACAGUUCGGAUGUCAAAAGAAGAUCAAAAUUCAGAUUCACAAUUUAAAAAACGAAACAACAAACUUAGGAGAAGUAAGCACACCUGAAAAAAUAUAACCCCCUUACAGCCUCACACACACACAGCACCACCUUCAAUCUAAAAUCCAAUUCCAAAACACAUGCAGAACAACAAACCAAACAGUUAAAGUAAAAAGGAAGUGAAAUACUUAUCAAAGUUAAGGAAACAUUCGAGUGACUACAAUACUCAAACUCGUACUCCAUCAGUCAAACUUGUACUCAUUCUUCAGUUCAUCUCUUUACCUUAGAAUAAUCCACAAAACACAAAACAGAUGCUUGAAUUAAUUUUGGUUUAAAGAAAGGAUUGCUGAUCUAAAAGUGAAUAAAAUUCAGUGUGAAAGACGAAUUCCUUACCAGAUUUAUAGGAUCUAAACGCGAUUGUCUUUUCACUAAACUCCAGAGCUGCACAUUAAUCACCAAAAAGAAUUUUAAGCACAUUUAACAGCAAACUCUAAUAGGUUUUUUAACCUUUACAAUACUAAAAACAAAAGUAAAGAAGCAAUCGUCACCUUUCCAGCAGCAUUGCCCAGUACAAAUGAAAGGAAUAAAUUGCAAAACUGAUACAGUAAUAAUGAACUUGCAGAGCAUGACCAAGUUGAAAAAUCCAUGUUGAUAAUAAGUAUCAUUCAAGUAGGCAGCUAUUCAUAUAUUCAAGUGCAUCAAUCAUAUUGCAUCAAAUAAAGUAUUCCAAGCAACCAAUUUUAAUUAAAAUCCUUAUCAGACUGCGCUAAACAUAUAAUGAAAUCAGAAAUUACUCACAGCAUUGCAAGACUGAGGCAAUAGAUCAGUGACACCAAUUCCCCUGAUAUAUUGUUGUGCUCUAACCUCCUGCAAUAAUUUUCAUCAGUGGCAACAAUAUCAAAACGAAAACGUCAAGUCUCAGUACCUAAAUAUCCUAAACUUUGGACCACAAUUGACAUGGGCAGUUACAGUGAGAACAAAAAAAUUUCACAGUUGGGAUAAAAUCAAGCUAUCCAUAUAGAUGCAACAGCAUCUAUAUCAAACCUAAAACUCACUUUCCAAGCUUCACUUUUCAUAUCUAGUCCGUCCCAAUCCAAUUUAAGACCAGCUCUUUAUAUUCACAAACUUUCCAAAACAAACACCCAAUUUAUAACCAAUGCACAUUGCACUAUCAACGCCAUAUAUAAUCUGAACCUACAAAAACCCACCAAAAAUUGAAAAGCAGCAUGCUUUAGUACAAUAACGAUUGGAUCGAAUACACCUUAUAAACCCCAAUUGGAUCAAAUUUGUAUUCUGGUGGCACUCAAAACCAAAAAGAAGAAAGAAAGAAACAAAAAUCAUAUUGAUACUCAGAUUAAGCAAACAUGAAAAUUAAAUCAAGCAAAAGAAAGCAAAGUUUUCUUUCUUUGAAGCCACUAUAAUCGAUACAGUUUUUCUUUAUUUGAGUUCCAUGUAAAGUUUGUAACUCUACCUGAAAAACUGCUAAAAAAUGAAACUCAAAUCAGCAAGCUAUAUACUGGAAUUCGGUGCAAUCCAUCAUUGAGGUGCUAGACUGCAGAACAGACAAAUGCCGAAUCAGCUCAAAUGAGGUAAUGGGAACCGGUUAUCCUUCUUGAAAUGAUAAGCUCAAUCUCAAACAGUAUAAAAAACCACACAAAAACGGAAUGAAAAAAUUUAGAAAAUUCAAAAGACACUAAACUUAUCUAUUCGAUCUGAGAAGAGGAUUGGGAACUUCCCAAAUAUAUAGUCCCACGAAUCCACCUUGGGGAAAUUUAUAUUGCACUCUUUGCAUUCAAACACCAAAUUUCAUGCCACCAAAAAAAUUACAAAUGCAAACGCAAAAAACCAAUAAAGUACAAGCAUAACAAUGUCAAGAAUAUACCUNNNNNNNNNNNNNNNNNNNNCCUCCUCCAUUCUGUGUGGCAUUAGCAGUACUUGGAGCACACAGUGUACCACAUGUAGUACAUGAGACAAACAUUUUGCCCUGCUAUAAACACAUUAUAAGAGAACACAUUAGUUGGACCAAGUAAGGGUAGAAGAGAUUCAUAAAAAUCAGUAAUGCAUAGAGUGCAAGAUAUAAAUGAGUAUAUUAGUCUCUCUUUCUUUUGGUCUUCCUUAAAGGAAAAUAAAUCUUCAGUUCCAUUAUAUUUCAUGAUAUGGCAAAAUACAAAUCAGGGCAGUGCAGAAAUAAAUAUCUAUCAAAUCCUACUAACCAAAUUUUGAACCUUUGACUGACUUCCCUCACACUGGUAAUCUGAUAUAGACCCUAAACAUAUUAGAAGUCAUUAUUUCUUUUCUUUUCUACAACUUCUGAAACUAUCACUUUGAUUAACUGAGCAUAACAACUUGGUAAACCAAAAGACAAAUAGGUCAUGACCUACCUGGUGCAUAAGCAUAUAUAAAUGUAGCUUGCUUUAGCCUAAGUUGGACCAAUUUGAUAAUUAACAAAGGAUAGUAAUUUUAAAUUAUGGAAUUUGGCGUAUUUCUGCUUGUGAUAGCUCCAAUGUUUCAAGCAACCACAAAUAUACUUGAGCUUGUUAAUAGACAGCAGCCCAUUCACACUGAUUAUUAGGUCGACCCAGAAACUAGGAAAGCAAAAAAGAAAAAAAGAAAGAAAAGAAAAAAAAAGAGUGACUAUAAAUUCCAUGAAAGCGCAUCUAACAAAAAGAAAAAUAUGGAAAAUCAUGAAAUCGGCUUAAUGAAUUUUUAAACUCUUUGUCACGCAGUAGCUUUGCUAAGUAGCUCUUUCAACCUCUUGCAAUUCCUUCAUUUAGAUUUGCUGGAUUUAGUAGCUCUUUCAACCUCUUCUUUGCUCUUUUUUUUUUUAUUGUGUAAACUGUGAUCCCAAGUGUCUUGGACAAAUCAAUCUGCAUAAUUCUGUGAAAGAUUAUAUAGUGAGAAUGAUGAAGUGGCUGAAGAAAAGUAUGUGGAAGAUGCAGGGUCAUUUAUCAUUCUUGCAGUUUUAACGUAUGUCAUACUGAGGAAAUCUUAUAAUGAUUUCCACAUCAGUUAGUUGCAAGAGGUUGGCCCUCUACAUCAGUCUUAUUUGUCUGAGAGUCGAAAUUAAACAAACGCGGCGCAGAUUGCAGUCUAGUAAAGCCUAGGGGUGACGAAGGCGCAGAAGCAAUCAAAUAGACAAGGAAAAAAAAAACAAGACAGAAGAAGGUUUGAGAUGAAAAGGUUGACCUUCUUGGAUGGCGUAAGCUCCUUAAUCCAAGUAGUCUGGCUUUCUAUCGAAGAAAGAGUUGACAACAAACAUCUUUGGAAGGAAAAUGAAUGCCUUUCUGUAGAAAAAGCUUGGGCUUUUCUAAAUCUCAGACACCGCUCACAAAACCUAUACAAUGAAAUAACAGUAGACAUGUGAGUUGAUCUUAUCAUGAUUGCUCAUAAAACCCCAUAUACAUAUAUAUAAACCAAUGUCAAUUUUGCAUUCCUUUUUUUUUUUUGGUAAGAAUGAGGCCAAAGGGGCCCGGAACAAAGAAACUACAACAAGAAACUAACCAGUACUACUGGUUCUAAAACUUCUACACCUAGCAACUCCCACAAUAUCAUCAAGGAGAGCUUCAGUAACAAUAGCAGGGGGCUCAUAGAGAUAACAGAUGCCUUGAGCAUUGAGAGUACUGUUCUUGGCCAGCAAAUCAGCAACCAUAUUCCGCUCACGGUGAACAUGCUUAACAUGGACUGAGGCAAAAUGUUGAAGCAUAGACCUGCAAUUUGUCCAAUGGUGCCCAGAGGGUGAUACUCACUAUCAUAAUUCUGCAGAAGAUUGAUGAGAACAGCAGAACCUGACUCCACUUCCAAAUUGGAAAUUUGCAUGUCUAAAGUCAAUUGAAUGCCAUAAAAAGACCCCAGGCCUCAGCUUGGAGCACGUCUCCAGAACCAAUGUUAAUCAUAAAGCCAUUCUUCCAACAACCACUUCCAUUUGUAACACCUCCAGCACCAAUGUCCCCAUUUCUUGAUCUUGAACCAUCCACAUUUAGCUUGUAAAACCCAUCAGCAGGCUUAAUCCAAGAGAGGUUUUUAACAUGUUUCAGCAGCUGCAUAUUAGGCUUAGCCAUAGCCUUAGUCCAAUCAGUAGCAUAACCGAGGAUGAUAUCAGCAGGAUUACAAGGAUAUUGGUACCUAUCAUCAAAAAUACUUUUGCACCUCCAUUUCCAUAUAAACCAGCAGCAGAAAACAAAGAAAACAUUCCAACUUAAAUUGUGAAUGUGAUAGCCAUUUUGCAUAAGAUUAGCAAAAAGCCAUCCAUCCCAAUCUAAAGUAAAGGUGGCCAACAUGUUUGUAGGAAUAUUAAAAGAGCUCCAGAUCAGCCUUGCCUUGGGACAAUCCCGAAAAAGAUGAAGCAUGGUUUCAGGAAUACCAACACAAUGCUUACAAGAAGAAUUACCAGUCAAUUCUAUGAGAUCUCUGCACAUUAGUUAAUAACUUACUCGAACAAACGUCCAUAGGAAAAUUUUCAGCUUUGGAGGGAUAUGCAUAGACCAAUUCUUCAUCCAUACAUACUUCUGGUAACCAGACUCAUCACAGAUUAGCUGAUAGGCAGAUUUAACAGAAAAGAUCCCAGAGGAAGUUUUUCCCCAAAUAAUCUUGUCCAGCAAAUCACCAAACAGCAAUAGGAAUAGUAGUAAUAACAUGCACCACAUCAGUAGGUAACUGAACCAUUAACAUAUCCACAUUCCACAUUCUUCCGAUCCAAAAAUCUUUCACAACAGCAUGUAAAUCAAUAACAUCAUGAUUCAAAGCAAGAUUUUUCAAUAUACCACAUGGGGACCAUUUAUCAGUCCAGAACUUAAUAGUGCAUCCAUUCACCAAGUCUGCACCAAACACAAUACCAGACCAUGUACUGGAGCACUUUGUUGGCUUCUUAUAGUUUUCCUGUAAAAUAGAAUCAGAAUGGAGGUAUUUUCUCUGGUAAAUUUCAUUCCAUAAACCCUUAUCAUUUUGUAUCAUUCUCCAACUAGCCUUUGCAAGCAUUGCCUUGUUCAUGUCAGUCGAUUUUUUAAUUCCUAGGCCACCAAAACAUUUUGGCCUACAAACCAUAUCCCAAUUAGUUAAGUGGACUUUCCUCUGUUGAUCAGUAUCACCCCACAAGAAAUUUCUAUUCAGUCUAUCCAAACUAUCACAAAUACUAAUGGGGAGUUUAGCAGUUUGCAUAGCAUAGACAGGGAUUGAAGAGGCCACAGAUUGGAUUAGAGUAAGUCUACCUGCCAUAUUCAAAGUUUUACUCUUCCAACUAGCAAGUCUAGAUUGCACCUUAUCCACCAAGUUGGCAUAAGCGGAAGCAGAAACUCUAGAGUGAAUAAGAGGCAUUCCAAGGUGUAUCCAAGGUCUGCAGUCAGGGGAGAGCCACAAAUUCUGCUGAUAUUUUGGCAAGAGAGGAUCUUACAUUUGGAGAGCAAUAAACCCAUGCAGACUGACCUGAGAGACUGCAAAAUAAGUUCAUAACCCCCUUCAUCACAGUAGCUUGAGUAGAACUAGCUUCAGAGAAAAGGAUCCAAUCAUCCGCAAAGAAAAGAUGAGAGCUACGAGGACCAGAAUGAGAAGAUUGAAUGGGUUUCCAAUGCCCCAUUUCAACAGCAUUCUGAAUAGAGUGGGAUAACUUUUCCAUGCAAAGAACAAAGCGGUAAGGAGAUAAAGGAUCUCCUUGCCUGAUACCUCUACUACCACUAAAAGAGUUAGAUAGCUCCCCAUUCACAAUGAUUUGGUAACUAGCAGUAGAGACACAACUCAUGAUUAUUUUCACAAAAUUUGUAGGAAGCUUUACCUCAUUCAAAACUUGCUCAAUCAAGUUCCAAUUAAGCUUAUCAUAAGCUUUUGAUAGGUCAACCUACCAGGCCACAAAACCUUUCACACCCUUGGAGUUUUUACACUUAUGCAAAAGUUCUUGAGCAAUCAUAAUGUUAUCAGAGAUAUGCCUACCAGGGACAAAGCUUACCUGAUUAGGACUAAUCCAUUUUCUAAGCAAGGGUCUCACUCUAUCCACAAAUAUCUUAGAGAUGAUCUUGUAAACAGUACAACAUAAGCUAAUAGGUCUAAAGAACUGCAUGUCCUGAGGAGAAGGGAACUUAGGAACAAGAGUGAUUAAAGUAUGAUUCAAACUAGGAGGAACAGAACCAGAAGAGAAAGCCUGAGUAACAACACUAAUUAUCUCAGCUGCACAUAAGUUCCAGUGUUGUUGAAAAAAGAGAGCAGGAAAACCAUCAACACCUGGAGCUUUAAAUUUACCAAUUCUAAAUAAAGCACUGUGAAUAUCAUGCUCAGUGAUAGGUCUGUUCAUUCCAGUAUCAGGGAUUUCAGGGAACAAAGAAGGAAUAAUCACCCUUAAAUCUUCAACAGGCUCAGCAGUAAAAAGUUUCCGAAAGAAAUCCACAGCAAUUUGUUGUAUUCCAGUCAUAUCAGUUGUCCAGACACCACUAGCAUCGUAAAGACCAUCUAUUUUAUUUCUUCUUCUCCUAACAAUAGUAGUUAGAUGAAAGAAUUUAGUAUUCCUGUCACCCUCUCUGAGCCAUUUAUCCCUUGAUUUUUGUUUCCAGAAGAUAGCCUCAGCAUCUCUAAUCUUUUCAUAAUCAGCAAUAAGCUUCUUCUCAAGAUCCUAAAGAAACAGGUUAUGCCCUCUUCCUAAGCAUUUCUGAAUACCACAAAUUCUUGCGUUAAGAAUUCUUUUCUGCUUAAAAAUAUUCCCAAAAACAUUUUUGUUCCAAUCACCAUGUCAAAGUAAUUCUCAUGGUUCAGCCACAUAGCUUGAAAUCUGAAUGGAGAAUUCUUUCUGGACCCUCUAAUACUAGGAAAAAAGUUUAAUCAAGAUGGGGCAAUGGUCAGAUUUCAUUCUAGCUAGGUGAAUCAGACACGCAUCAGGAACAAAAUCCUCCAAUCACUAUUGCAAAAGCUUCUAUCUAACCUCUCCUUAACAGCAUUGUUUGACCAAGUAUAAUCAGCACCUUGGUAUCCUAAGUCCACCAAACCAUUUCUAGAGACCCGAUCUCUCAUUCCUCCAAAUCUAUAAUGGUUAGAACCACCAAUUUUAUCAGCAUAAGAAAGUAACUCAUUGAAAUCACCCAAUAAAACCCAAGGAAGGACAAAUUUCUGAGAAAUAGAGUCAAAAUAACUCCACAAGCUGCUCCUAGAAGUAUUACAAGGGCUGGCAUACACACCAGUUAAAAGCCAAGGAGAGGAACCAAUCCAAGAAACUUUAACAGAAAUAGACUGAAAGUUUGAAUCCAUAAUAUCAAUAUCCACUUUGUUUUUAUUCCAUAGAAGCCAUAUUCCUCCAGAAAAACCAUUGGCUUCUCUCACAACAAAAUCAGUAAAACCAAGAGAGAGAAGGAAUUUUUUAGCACCUUCAAACUGAAUUCUAGGUUCACAGAUAAAUAAAAUGUCAACAUUGUUCAUCUUAACCAGGUCUUGGAUAGAAGACCUAAAUUUGUCACUACCAGCACCUCUAGAAUUCCAAAAAAGGAUGCGAUCCAUUAAUUCAAGAGGAAAGGGUAGGACAAGGUCCAAAUUAAGCAUUGACCAUCUCCUCCUCAAGAGAGGAAGAAAGGUUUUCAUCCACUGUCAAAUUACUAUUAUCAGUAAAGACUUUCUCAACAAAACAAGAGGAAUCCUGAUCAGGAUGUAAGGAAGUAUUACUCUCAACCAUAUGGUCAUCAGGGGGGCAAUGACCAAAAAUACCAGAAACUCUAGAGCUAAACACAUUAUCAGCAUUCUCAAGAGAAAGCUUUUCAGAAAUAGAAGAUUGGUGUUUAGCAGAGGGAAGGGUAGAAACUUUCACUUUUCUCUGAUACUUCAUAGCAGGCUUGGCAACAAUACCAGAAUGAACAUUUGACAGGUCAACCAAAGGCACUCUAGAAGUAGAAUUAUCAUUACCAGGAAAAGAAUUUUUUCCAGAAGAAGCAUUCAUAGUAGAGGGUUUAGACAUACCAGUAGCUGAGGGAGUAGCUUUAGAAGUAGAUGGAGCUUGCAUUUUCUUCUGCUUGUCUUUGAAGCUGGUCCAAAGUUUAACAAUAGGAGAAGCUGGAGGGUUUUUUGAAGAGUCAGCAAUGGUUCCAGGUUCAUUAGUAGCAUUGGCAAUUUCAUCGUGAAGGACAGAAAAUCUUGAGCCCUUGAUAGGACUUUUCACAGUACCUCCAUGCUUAGAGGCUUUCUUCGUAUUUCUGUAGUUCAUAAGCAUCCAGGUGCCCAUAUCGUCCUUAAUUACUGAGGGUGUCUCAUUGCGAGCCUCCAUCUCAUUAGUCAUCUCAACAUUUCCAGCAGAAUUAGAAGUAGCAGAAGAGCAAUUAGGGUCACCUGAGGAAGGAUUCACAGCAGGAGAGACAAUAAUAGAAGGACACUUAUCUUUGGAGUGACCAAAGCAACCACACUCAAAGCCAAUAAGUGCCUUCAUAAAUGACACUGUAGGCAACUGACUCCACUUCCACAAAAGGCUUAAGAGGUUUACCUAAAUCCACUUCAACACAGACUCUCGCAAACUUGCCAAUAGCUUGGCCUAAAGUGAUUGGAUCAACCUUAACAACAUCACCUAGGAUUUUGCCUAUUUUCUCAAUAGCAUAGGGUAUAAAAAAUUUAACAGGUAAACCACAUAUUCGAAUCCACAAUGCCAUUUUGCCAAUAACAUCAGUUUCAGGAUUAAAAUCUGAGCUCCAUUUCCUAACAAUCAAGGUCUGACCAGCGAUAAUCCAAGGCCCUCCACAUAAAACCUCAUUCAUGUCAUCUUCUAGAUUAAACUUGACAAUGAAAUAAUCAUUAGGCAAGUCCACAAGUUGCCAACCUCCUUUAGUCUGCCAUUUGCGUCUUAGACUCUUAAGAAUGAAAUCGAAAGUAUUUGUAGAGUUAGGCUUACCCAUAAGCUUGAUGAUGACAGAGCAGCGCCAUCCAAAAUCCAGUUUGUUAUGGACCUUCUCAGAGAAGCAAUCAUUCAAACCAUGCUUGCCUUGAGGGUAGCUGCAAUCAGCAUCAGAGAAAUUGAAGUCCUCCAUCAUCGUUGUUUGAAAUCGGUCAAUAGGAUUCUUGAUCAUAGAUGCGUAGCUCAGAGAGGGUAGAGACUGAGGAGGUUGAACACAGGAAGAAUCCAAUUCCUCCAUACGUAGAUUUUCUAGAUCUGAAGAAAUAUCAUUUCCAGAUUUGGUACGUUUGCGCUGUAACAUUGAAGUAUCAGAAACUCCGCCGCUUCCGAGUGGAAGGGCGGAGAACGUGAAGACCGACGUCGCCACCACUUCAGAAAAGAAGACUAAGGAAUUCGCCGGAAAACGAAGGAAGAAUUAGGCCAAUCGAUGCAACCAGUAGGGUUCUCUCUCUUUCGCUGGGCUCUCUAGGUCACAUAUUAACUAAUGCGCGCAGGUAUGCUAUGCAUUAUUACUUUGCGUUCCUUUUAUAGUGUAUGAAGCUACCCUCGAUUUUUCAAUUCAAGAAAAUGCCAGAGUAAAACUAAGAAAGUAGAUCCUUACACUGGUUGACUGUAAAAGAAACCAAUCGAUUGAUAUAACUAAAAACACAGAUUGCUGCUUUCCAUAUUACAUGCACAGUAAUAUAAUUAGAAGCGCUGAAGUAAAAAGUAAUUUAACAUAUACCUUUUCGGAGUUGAUAUGCCAAGAAGGACCCAAAAGUUCACACCUGCAAAACAGAUGCACAUUGAGAUUUUAUCUAAAACAGAAAUUGAAAACAGACUGAAAAUAAAUGAAGCCUAAAACUGUCUUCACAACGACAAAAAAAUGAUCUAUUAUGCCCCUGACUUAACUGUUCAAAUCAUGAAAGUCGAUCUUGAAGAACUAUUUCAUGAAGCAUCAUCAAGAAAAUACACUUUCAUGUCCAAUUCUAAGGUGCAUUUCAAUUCAAUGACAUAACAAUGUGCUCUACUGUUGAUAGUAUGCCAUGUUGGAUCAAAUGGCCGGUUGAGAGGCCGCAGAGAACCUCAAGUUCUUCCAUUGAAAAUUGAAACUCUCACAAAAUGUAAUAUAGUGUUUUCAUUAUAUGCAACCACCUAGCAUUUAGUUAGAAAGGAACCCCAGUUUUUGAAGGACGGAAGGAGGCGAACAAACUAAGAAAAAAAGGGAUGUAAUUACCCUAACGUCUGCUUGUUUCUUAUGUUCACCAAUUGGAGCCUUAUGUUCCCAAUCCAUGGCACCAGAUUUCAGAUUCUUCUUAAGGACAUUUCAUUACACCAAACCAAAUACUCGAUUACGCAAAAUUUCACAAAAAACACACCUAUUGUACGACCAAGAUCUUCGACCUAUAUCUACCCACCCAAUCAUCAUCAGUUCAAAUUAUAUGACCAUCUCAGUCAUUCAAACAAAGAAUGACUAUGCCCUUUAAAUAGGAAAUACUAAAACAUCUAUAUAUAGUUUCCAAUAUAUAAAGCCAAUGCCAAACCUUAAUCGAAGCCUUGAGUCUCCUCUCAAAUAUAUCAUUAUUUCUAUGGCGAAGUAUCAUGGUGCUUUACAGAUAAUUAGUUUCAUUAUCGUGUAUGCAUGAUCAGAAUAAGGAACAUACAAAAAUCAAGAUUAACUGGUUAGUAAUUUUCGGUCAGCAUUUUACUGGGCCUACCUAUAUUCUCUUCCAAGCUCGCAUAAGUAAGCAAAAUCAUUAAAUGAAUUUUGUAGAGCUUCUUGAUAAUAUGCAAGGUUUAUACUUUCUGAAGGAAUUUGUAAUCUAAGAAUACUAACUAACUAUCAAGUAGGUGUUUAGGCAUUCAUUUGUAUAGUGGGCAGUAUAGUGAAAAUCAAUUUCUUUUUAAAUCUGCAAAUAGUAUACCUUCGCUCACAUUUCCAAAUAAUAUAUGAAAUGCAGGGCUCACAUUGUGCAUCUCACACAGAAGGCAUGUAAAUUGCAGUCUAUGAAUUGGAUAUACCUUUGAGGCAGACCACUUUUAAACACUUCUUUUCAAGCAACAGCUUGUACCUGAAGCAACGCAUAUAGAAAAAAGAACAUAAGCAUAAGACCAUAGACAAUUAUAAGGGCACUUUAACAGUUAAGAAAAAUUAACAAUAUCAUUUCCAUAGGGUUUUUACAUCUGAUGAAACUUCUACCCUAAGAUUGGGUAAUGUAAAUCAUAUACAGAAAAGCUGAAAACUAAAUAACUCAAUGCAACGAACCAGGUUCUUUUUUUUCACUUCUUGUUUUUCACGGACAGUUUUUUCUUUUCACUUUUAUGACACAUAGAAAUGAGUCUAUUCCUAUAUAACCCCUUAAAAUACAAUGAUUGAUAUAAUAGGCCAAUAUUAUACUAAUUAGCAAGAAAAAAAAGAAGGAUGAUAAAAAGAAAACAGAUCCAAAACAGUUUAUCCAAUAUAGAAUAGGUACAGGUUAUACUUAUUUGAUUGGGAAAGGAAAAAAAAAUGAAAGUAUCUUGACCAAAGAAAUGAAGAAUCAAUGCAGACCCUCUAUUCAUUACUAUCAAUAUAAUAAACUAAUUGAGUUCACAUCAAGACUUAUAUCUAAUUGGAGUCUUUAUUAGACUAACGCAUACUUUAUAAAAGCAAAAUUGGAACUUAAAUCAGAUAAAAAAAAAAGAACAGACUUCUAACAAGACUCAUCUUUACUGCACCCUUGUCACCAAUCUGUCCAAGCUAUAGUCUUUGCUUGAGCCACACAGCUUCCCCAAAAGUACCAACCUGAGUACACAAACAUGAAUUAGAUUUAAGGAAUAUUUAAAAACCCAAUAAAAAACUUUCUGAUACCCCAAGAAUCUACACACCGUGAGCCAUGAGAACACACCAUAUCUAGCUGCCAGUAACACUCUUCACCUGAGCAAUUCGCUAGGAAUCAUGAAGGACAACACCAAUUUUAGAUGCUAAAAUUAAUAAGAAAAGUAUUUUAGCAAUUCCAUAAGAAAUUUUAAAUAUUUUACUCCACAUAUUAACUCACCUUUAUCUAACACAAAGGAUUGAAACCAUCAAGAUUGUGAUUGCUUUUGUUAAAUAAAAAAUCAGUGAGCUGCAUGCAACUUCAAUGAUAAAAUAUGGUGCUCUAAAUUACAUAGUUUUAGAUAAUAAUGAGAAAAGAAUAGUUACUCUAAAUUUAGUCACGCACCUUUACCAAAAGAAAAUUCACAGAAGUAAUUGAGAGGAUAAAUAUGAUACUUCCAGACAGAAAGAAAUACAGAAAGUGCAUUUCUCAUGAGCUUGGUUUGGUCUGCUUCGAUAAUCCUCCUGCUCAUGCUGCCCAGGCUUUCCUGGAUGAUUUGAGUUCUGUUUCUAAGGCCAGAAGAACUGGCAAUUACUUUAGCAUUUAGUUUCUUUCUUCCUUUUUGCUGUGCCUUUUAGGCACCCAUUGUAACAAAAAAAAAAAAAAAAUUAACAGAAACUACAGAGAAAUUCCACCUCCUCAGAAGUAAAGUACUAUUAUAACUGUAAAACAUAUCAGGCUCGAUGCAGAUACGAUAGGUAUGUCAAUGAAAUCAAAAAGCCAACAAUGGACAUCCGGUUGCCUUUCAAAUGAAAAUUUGCCCUCAAAAUGAGCUAUUGACGUAAAUAUUGCGAAACAAUGGUAAGAACAGGUAAAUUUCCUCGGAAGUUUCUCCAUGGAGAAUUGGACACAUCCGGGGAAAAACAAAAGGGUAUAUAAGAAAGAUAAUAUUUGUUUAGAGUUUUUACACGUUUAGUACGUGAUUGAUGGUAUACAUGUCACUUUGAUGCAGUAGACAACAUACGGACAUGAAACAUUAUUGAAUCCCGAACUCAGACCCAAGCUUUUUUUAAAACAGAGACAGGAACAUGACCAAAACACAAACAAAAAAUCAUAAUCAAUUUCAAAUUGAAAUGCAAAAGUCCAAAACCCGCUAUGUUUAAACGCACCAACCUUGCAAUCAGUUUAUCAUUUACUAUAUCAUUGAGCAUGUCUUUUACAAUUGAUUCAUUCUCCUAAUGGUUCAAAAAAUCAUGUGAACGUCAUAUUUUGAACAAAACAUUAGUAGCCAUAGUCGAGCUCAAUCUUCGAUAGUGCUUGUCUUUGUAUGUUUAACAGUUGUCGUGCAGAAAUGAAACUUUAGCUCAUAAUCAAAGCAAUAUAUAUUUUUUCAUGAUCAUAAUUAGGAAAAUGCAUAUGUGAAGAUUAAAUGUCNNNNNNNNNNNNNNNNNNNNNNNNNNNNNNNNNNNNNNNNNNNNNNNNNNNNNNNNNNNNNNNNNNNNNNNNNNNNNNNNNNNNNNNNNNNNNNNNNNNNNNNNNNNNNNNNNNNNNNNNNNNNNNNNNNNNNNNNNNNNNNNNNNNNNNNNNNNNNNNNNNNNNNNNNNNNNNNNNNNNNNNNNNNNNNNNNNNNNNNNNNNNNNNNNNNNNNNNNNNNNNNNNNNNNNNNNNNNNNNNNNNNNNNNNNNNNNNNNNNNNNNNNNNNNNNNNNNNNNNNNAAAAAAAGAAAGCUAAAACAUAUUGAUAAACUACCUGUUCUCUAUCCCAAAACUGACCUUGUAAACACUGCCAGCUCCUCAAUUCCCUAAAUUUGCUGUCAUAAUUGAAGUUGUUUGUUGCUGUAAGUUCCUUCAAGGUAAAGAGCAUCCAUGUUGGCUGCUUUUUUUCUUUUUCUUUUUUUCUUGUUUUUACCUAUACAACAGAUUACAACCAUCAAAGCAUGUGGUUACUAAUAUUUUAUGACGAUCAAUUUGAAACUAUGUAUAACCUUCUCUUCUACAUAUCAAACAUCAAAGGCAUCAAUAGGUCAUACCUUCAUAUUCCAACGAAAACUAUUCCAUAGGUCUCCAGCCUUCUUCCAUUAAUCAACAAUAUAUGUAUCUAAAGCCAAAGAAAAAUUGUUAGGACAAAAAAGAAAAUAUAAAGAGAAACCAUAGAACUUUGAUCAUAUUAUUUUGAUCCUGUUGUGUUACGAGUGUUCUAAAUAACCUCAACAUUUUCUGACCAUAGUAGACCCCUCAAUAUAACAGAAUAGCUCUGAGUAAACACAAAAGGUUCCCAAAAAUACCUUUCAGUAUAAGGUCUCCACUCUCAAUUUUUCUUUAAAUUGAAUAAAAUAAAAGAGACCUCUUCCACCAUUAACAUUGCUGACAUUACCCUCCCAUCUACACACCAGAAAUGCUUACUUCAAAACUGAACUGAAUAAUUUCCAACAAUGACUAUGACACAAUUGCUUUCAAUGGAACUCACAAUUAAUAUAUCUUCUGUAAUAAAAGGAAGUUCAUUUCAGUACCGCUAUUUUCCCCCAAUCUGUAAAUGUUGUUCUCAGGUGUGAUCUUAACUCCUUUCCUAAUUUAAUUCCAGGGAAACAUAUGUAUCCUGCCAGAAAAAAUGUUCAAGUUCACGGUUUAUGUAAUACACAUAAAGAAGUUGCGCUCUUACGACAAGUAUUUGUAGUAUUUCCUCCUCCAUUCUGUGUGGCAUUAGCAGUUCUUAGAGCACACAGUGUACCACAUGUAGUACAUGAGACUGAUAUUUGGCCUGCUAUAAAACACAUUAUAAGAGAACACAGUAGUUGGACCAAGUAAGGGUAGAAGAGAUUCAUAAAAAUCAGUAAUGCAUAGAGUGCAAGAUAUAAAUGAGUAUAUUAGUCUCUCUUUCUUUUGGUCUUCCUUAAAGGAAAAUAAAUCUUCAGUUCCAUUAUAUUUCAUGAUAUGGCAAAAUUCAAAUCAGGGCAGUGCAGAAAUAAAUAUCUAUCAAUCCUACUAACCAAAUUUUGAACCUUUGACUUAGUUCCCUCACACUGGUAAUCUGAUAUAGACCCUAAACAUAUUAGAAGUCAUUAUUUCUUUUCUUUUCUACAACUUCUGAAACUAUCACUUUGAGUAAAUGAGCAUAACAACUCGGUAAACCAAAAGACAAAUAGGUCAUCACCUACCUUGUGCAUAAGCAUAUAUAAAUGUAGCUUGUUUUAGCCUAAGUUGGACCAAUUUGAUAAUUAACAAAGGACAGUGAUUUUAAAUUAUGGAAUGUGUUGACCUCUUCUUUGACACACCGAUAGUGCUCAGAGAUGCAAAAUGUCUGAUCUUCUACCAUGGCACCUUCUAUACCCUUUAUUUCUUCUCCAGUGCCUUCAUGAUCUGCAGCACAUUAUUUUUGCUAAUAGAUAUACGAUGAAACAUGUAUGUGAAUUCUUAAUACAUGAUAAAUCCCCACAAUAUGCAGCAGACUUCACUGCCCAAAUCAUGAAAGUCGAUCAUGAAGAACUAUUUCAUGAAGCAUCAUCAGGAAAAUACACUUUCAUGUCCAAUUCUACUGUGCAUUUCAAUUCAAUGACAUAACGGUGUGCACUCCUGUUGAUGGUAGGCCAUGUUCGAUCAAAUGGCCGGUUGAGAGGCCGCAGAGAACCUCAAAUUCUUCCAUUGAAAAUUGAAACUCUGGCACCUAGUAUUUAGUUACCUACUAUAUGACAGAAAGGAACCCCAGUUUGUUGAAGGACAGAAGGAGGCGAACAAACUAAGAAAAAAAGGGGAUGUAAUUACCCUAACGUCUGAUUGUUUCUUAUGUUCACCAAUUGGAGCCUUAUGUUCCCAAUCCAUGGCACCAGAUUUCAGAUUCUCAAGGACAUUUCAUUACACUAAACCAAAUACUUGAUUACGCAAAAUUUCACAAAAGAUUUCACAAAAUUUCUAUGGCGAGGUAUCAUGGUGCUUUACAGAUAAUUAGUUUCAUUAUCCUGUAUGCAUGAUCAGAACAAGGAACAUACAAAAAUCAAGAUUAACUGGUUAGUAAUUUUCGGUCAGCAUUUUACUGGGCCUACCUAUAUUCUCUUCCAAGCUCACAUAAGUAAGCAAAAUCAUUAAAUGAGUUUUGUAGAGCUUUUUGAUAAUAUGUAAGGUUUAUACUUUCUGAAGGAAUUUGUAAUCUAAGAAUACCAACUAACUAUCAAGUAGGUGUUUAGGCAUUCAUUUGUAUGUUGGGCGGUAUAGUGAAAAUCAACUUCGCUCACAUUUCCAAAUAAUAUAUGAAAUGCAGGGCUCACAUUGUGCAUCUCACACAGAAGGCAUGUAAAUAAAAAAUGAAUUAUAUAGAGGACUUCAGUGUUAAGCCAACAGAAUGAAGACAGAAAAAAACCAUCUGAAGUUCUAAUGCAUUUAAAAAAAAAAUAAAAAAAAAGUAAUUCGUGAACAAAAGGAAAUAGAGAUAACAAUAAUAUCUACCAUUGAUAUGCAAGACCUACACUUAUAAUUAUAGACUUUUCAGCUGUGCAAUUUACAAUGUAUAUUGACAGCAUGAUUGAAGUGAGGGAACCUUACCAAUCUGGAUCUGUCUUAAACUCUUCAUCAAAGUCAUAUUCAACGCACUGUGUGCUGCAAAAUCCAGUAACCACUGAAGAUGAAAGAAAUGCAACUGUAAAAAUCAGCAGAGUUGUAGAGUUUAGUGCAUAUAUAAAUGAUAUGCACAUUAAUCAUCCAAAUAUUAGUACCAAUUAAGAGCGAUCGGAACCCUAAAAACAUCAACUACACAUAAAAGCAUAGAGAUAUUCAUUGUAAUUGUAAGCUAAAAAAUAUUAAUCAUUCGAUAAUGAAGAGCGAAUCAAAUAUAUAGAAACUGACCAUAUUACAUAUUUUUCUCAUAAAGAUAGUUUUUAGUUGCGUGGAUAUUAACCAAAUGCAGUUAUAGAUCAAAUAUUCAUAAAUAUUAUGCUGACCUUCAAUUCCACUUUCUACUUUGAUUCCAAGGCCUCGUACCAUAUGGAAGCACCAACUGUUUAUAAGGUAUAUGAAGCCUUGAAAACGCAUACUUGAUUUCUCAUUAUACAAAGCCGAUCUCGAUUUUCUCAAGACGUGGUUGUUUCAGAAUCCAAAGCAAACCCAGCAUAAACUUCAUAACCGAAAAAAAAAAAAACAAUGAAAAAGAGUUUUGAUGCUGAAGAUACAUAUCAAAGUCUCCCAAAACAAAAUAAAUAAGAGCAAUUCCUACAAAAUGAUAUAUCCAGAUGCACAAACCCAAGAAAAAAAAAAAAAAGUUUACCUUGUGCAUUCAAAUAGCCAAAAAAUCGAAUCAAAAGAGAUAACUACCAUAUUAAGCGAUUCCUACUAGCUAUACUCAGCCUUGGACAAACCAUAGUGGUUUUCCACUGGUAUUCAUCCAGGAGGUCCUUACUUUUUCACCUAAAAACGGUCACAGACCAUCAAGCAAUCUAGUAAUCCUCUUGUUGUUUUCAAUGAAAAUACACGUACGGCUUAAUAAGCAGAGAGGAUUGCAUAAGAUACACAAUGUUGUCAUGGAAGGCUGCAAUUAUCAAUAUCUAAGUAAUUUUAAAUUGUUUCUCCAAUCGACCUGCCAAGAGGUAUGAAAUACAAAAAGGGGUUUAAUACCAAUUAGCCGAAUUCAACAUCAUAUAUUACAUGGCGAGCUCUCACCUUGACAACACUGUGUAAAAGCAGGAAUUGAAGUCACAGGAGGUUGAUCCUCUACAUCAGUCCUAUUAGCCUGAAAAUCAAAAUUAAGCAAGUUCAGGUUACAGUCGAGUAAAGCCUAGGGGUCUCGAAGGCACUCCACGAUCUGAAAAUUGUCAGCAGAAGCAAUUAAAAAAAAAAACAGAAAGAAGAUAGAGAUAAGCCGGCUACCUGAAUUUGUUCCAGAUGAAAAAGUUGAGCGUCAUGGACGGCGUAAGCUCCUUCAUCCAAGUAGUCCGGCAUUUGAACAAGGAAAAUAACAAUAUGGUAGGUAAUUAGAUCAGAAACAGUUCGGAUAUCAAAAAGAGAGCAAAGACGAUCAAAAUUCAGAUUCACAAUAUAAAAAACGAAAUAACAAACUUAGGAGAAAUAAGCACACCUGAAAAAAUAUACCCCCCUUACAGCCUCACAAACACAGAGCACCAACUUCAAUCUAAAAUCCAAUUCCUAAACACAUGCAGAACAACAAACCAAACAGUUAAAGUAAAAAGGAAGCGAAAUACUUAUCAAAGUUAAGGAAACAUUCGAGUGACUACAAUACUCAAACUCGUACUCCAUCAGUCAAACUUGUACUCAUUCUUCAGUUCAUCUCUUUACCUCAGGAUAAUCCACAAAACAGAAGCUUGAACUAAUCUUGGUUUAAAGAAAGGAUUGCUGAUCUAAAAGUGAAAAUAAAUUCAGUGUGAAAGACGAAUUCCUUACCAGAUUUAUAGGAUCUAAACGCGAUCGUCUUUCCAGAGCUGCACAUUAAUCACCAAAAAGAAUUUUAAGCACAUUUAACAGCAAACUCUAAUAGGUUUUUUAACCUUUACAACACUUAAACAAAAAAGUAAAGAAGCAAUCAUCACCUUCCUUGUACAAAUGAAAGGAAUAAAUUGCAAAACCGAUACAGCAAUAAUGAACUCGAAGAGCAUGACCAAGUUGAAAAAUCCAAGUUGAUAAUAAGUAUCAUUUCAGUAGGCAACUAUUCAUAUAUUCAAGUGCAUCAAUCAUAUUGCAUCAAAUAAUGUAUUCUAAGCAACCAAUUUUGAUUAAAAUCCUUAUCAGACUGCGCUAAACAUAUAAUAAAAUCAGAAAUUACUCGCAGCAUUGCAAGACUGAGGCAAUAGAUCAGUGACACCAAUUCCCCAGAUAUAUGUUGUGCUCUAACCUCCUGCAAUAAUUUUCAUCAGCGGCAACAAUAUCAAAACGAAAACGUCAAGUCUCGGUACCUAAAUAUCCUAAACUUUGGACCCCAAUUGACAUGGGCACUUACAGUGAGAAGUCACGAAAAGGUUAAAGCUCUUCCCUUUUUUCUAUUUUCCUUUUGCUGAUUGGUUUGAUCCGAAUUGAGAUAUUGUUCGGUAUCAUUGAUAAGUACUAUCAAAAUCGGGUUUACAGACUUGGGCUUGGGGAAACAAAUUCAAACAAAUAGGAACUAAGUUUGAAGCACAAUUCGCACAAUUCUCAAGCACGAAAACCAAUCUUCUAAAACUCUAAUGGAUCAGAUAAAAACUGUAAAUAAACAUGACUUGAGAGUCAAAAACCCAAGUCAAAACUUCAAAAAUUCAUUUUUCACAUGAAAUUGAACAAACAGGAGAAGCGUUAGAAAUCUGGGUCGAAAAUCAGACGCUGACAAUCACAGCUACCGAAAUCCUCUUUCUCUCUGUCACAAAAACGCGGUCUCAAUCCAAAAUUCGAUACCCAUAUCUCAAAUUGCCAAUAAAUGGAAAACACAGAACAAAUUUCGAAUUUACCAUGAAAAAAGAAAACCAAAUGAUAACCUAAAACCAAAACUGAAAUCAAACAAAGAAUUACCCAGACCGCUAUGCCAAUCGACCGGACAAGAACAACAGAAAAAGCAUUACACUUUAAUAAGAGGAUUGUGAAAAACAGGAAAAGAGAUCAAAGCAAUUGAACUAGUAAUUACAUUCAGCAUCGUUAGUUCCCAGCCAGGUCCAGUUAUCUCAUUUUGUAUUCUGGUGGCACUCGGAAGCAAACAGAAGAAAGAAAGAAAAAUCAUAUUGAUACUCAGAUUAAGCAAACAUGAAAAUUAAAUCAAGCAGAUGAAAGCAAAGUUUUCUUUCUUUGAAGCCACUAUAUAAUCGAUACAAUUUUCUUUAUUUGAGUACAAUGCAUGUAAAGUUUGUAACUCUUACCUGAAAAACUGCUUAAAAAUGAAACUCAAAUCAGCAAGCUAUAUACUGGAAUUCGGUGCAAUCGAUUAUUGAGGUGCUAGACUGCAGCAGAGGCAAAACCCGAAUCAGCUCAAAUCAAGGAAACAGAAAACCAGUCAAAAAUAACAAUGUGCAUCACAUUCUUCAUCAGAUAAAACAUGCUGUUAUGUUUGAAAAGAUAGUGACCGCCGAAGAUCAAAGCAAUUGAGCUAGUACUUACAUUCACCAUCUUUAGUUUCCUGCCAGGUCCAGUUAUCUCUCCAAUUUAGUUCGGGUGGCACUCGAUAGCAAAAAGAAGAAAGAAACGAAAAUCAGAGUGAAACUCAGAAAGAAAGAAAUACAAUUUUCUUUAUUUGAGUAUAUUGCACGUAAACUGUAACUUUACCUGGCAAACUGCUAAAAAAUGAAAAUCAAAUCAGCAAGCUAUAUACUGGAAGUCGGUGCAAUCAAUCAUUGAGGUCCUAGACUGCAGAACAGACAAACACCGAAUCAGCUCAAAUCAGGUAAUGGGAACGGUUAUCCUUCUUGAAAUGAUAAGCUCAAUCUCAAACAGUAUAAAAACCACACAAAAACGGAAUGAAAAAAUUUGAAAUACUGAGACAUGUUAACAUGUUAACAAAUCCUCCAAAAAUUGGAUCCCGUCCAAAAUCAACCAAACUCGACCGGGCACAUGUUAACAAAUCCUCCAUAGAUUUUCACUCAAAGAUAACUCAUCUGCUCUACACCAACAAUAAAAAAAAAUAUGGAUAGAACCAAAAGAAAAGGAUAAGAAAUACCGAGACAUUAGAGUUGCUCAAAAUAUGGACAAAUAAGAACAAAAUGGUCUUCAAUAGCGGGUUGUAUAGCAGAUAUACUGCUAAACUUAGUAUUAUAAAGUUCAUAACAGAUAUAAGGCAAUGAUGAAAGCCAGGUUCAGCUAACGACAUGACUUUCAGAUAUAAGGCAAUUUGAUUAUGAAAUGAAAACCUAAAUAGUUAAGUGCAGUCAUCAAGAUAAUCUUCCCAAUAGUUGAAAUCUGGAAACCGCGAGAUAGAAGAUGAAGUGAUUCACAACACCGUUAGUUGUUACCUGGUCGUAAGUACUGACUCCAAUACUCAAACUCGUACUCCUUCAGUCAAACUUGUACUCAUUCUUUAGUACAUUUCUUUACCUCAUGAUAAUCCAAAAAACAGAUACUUGAAUUAAUUUUGGUUUAACGAAAGGAUUGCUUAUCUAAAAGUGAAAACAAAAUUCAGUUUGAAAGACGCAUUCCUUACCAGAUUUAUAAGAUCUAAACCCGAUUGUCUUUCCACUAAGAUCCAGAGCUGCACAUUAAUCACCAAAUAGAAUUUUAAGCACAGAUAAAGGCAAACUCUAAUUAGGUUUUUUUUUUUUUUUUAACCUUUACAAUACUAAAGACAAAAGUAAAGAAGCAAUCAACCAGCAGCAUUGACAACCUGUACAAAUAAAAGGAAUAAAUUGCAAAACUGAUACAGCGAUACUGAAAUUGAAGAUCAUGACCUAGUUGAAAAAUCCAUGUUGAUAUGUAACACUAGGAAAAUUGCCCGUGCUGUGUUUCGAUGCCUUAUCCAAUAUUGCAUCUAGAAAUGUAGCAACAGAAUUACCCUGUUCAAAGAUUACAAGUAACAAUCAGACAAGAGAUGUAUACCUGGUCAAGCGUGCAACAUUUCUUUAUUAAAGGGCCGACAGGGCAGGCAUCACUUAGUUGUUCGUUUAGAUCCUUCAAUUCCCUUUCUAACUCUGAUAUCCCUUCAGAGUCCUGUUGAUCCAGAAUAACAAAUCAGUUAUUAAAGCUUCGUCAUAACAAAAGUAUCACUUUCUCCUACAAGCUAGCCCAAUAAGAACGGUGAAUAAAUAAAGCACAUUGAACAUGCACAUUACCGACAAAUUAAAUCAUUUUAGCUUGCAAUUUUGCAUAUCACAAAACAUGUUCUACCAAAAAAAAGUUACCUCUUUAACUGAAACUGGGGUAAUUGACCUUAUGUGAGAUGAAAUUGGUAGAAUAUUCAGUUCAUCACCCAUAACCACACAUGCUUUGCACGAUGCAAGUGAUAAUAAGAAACGCACAUUAAAACAGCCUGUAGCCUGGGAAUGGGAUUCGGUUUGAAACCUGUCAUGGACAUCCUGAAAUCAAGAAGCUCACAUAUGAGUACUACAGAUAUCUUUCACUUGAAAACUGCUGUGAAGAGCAGCUAUGACAUAAAUACUGAAUGUAUAGCACGGCAGUGCUACAACAGUUAACAAGUAAAUUUUUCAGAUAGAAAGAAAAUAACAAGCCUAAACAGUACGUCGCUAUGCUUAACUAUAGUGUCUCUGAGAGCUGUAGCAGUAGAAGAAUAGAUUCAUACCAUACCAUGGUGUAUAAGUUGGUGAGUGAGGUCAAAGAACGAAGCAACAGUAUGAUUAGUCCGCCACCCUCCACCGUCUCUGGAACCAUUUCUGAUUCUGCACUCCCUCCCUAAUGUUCCUUUCUCUAUGUCUCUCUAAUAAACCCCUCCCUAUUCAAAACCAAAAUGAAAAGUCAGCCAAUAUAUUCACAGCGGAAAAAAAAAUCACCUAAAUCUGAAAAAUGGACAUGAAGAAUAUGAAAGUAGUAACAGGAUUUUACUCGAUAAAUGAUUUGAAGACUAAUUACAAUUAUUUAAUAUAAAAGUCACCUGGAUUACUAUUUGUUACAUACAAAUCGGAACUGUAAAAGUAGUUUGAUCUAUGAAAAAUAGAAAAUAAUAUUAUUAAGAGAUGAUAAAGAACUAAUAGCAAAAUGAAAAAUAAACUUUAAAAGAAUCAAAGUGACCUGCAAACCCGGAAGAACAAUCAAAGUCAAGCCUCAGAUGCUGAUGCCCUUGCCACAAACAGUGUUAAUCAUGAACUUGGUUUCAUUGCUUUUGACCAUCCUCCCAACCAUGCCGCACAAGCCUUUCUGGAUGACAUUGCUAUUGUUUCUAGAGCUAGGAUGAGCUCUUCCUCUAAUUUUUAGUCUGUUUGUUUUUUCUGCUUUUUGACCAACGUAACAAAAAAAAGAAAGUCAAGCCGCAGAUACCUCACUCAAUCUUAGACGUAAAAUACUUGAGUAUCCAUUCUUUCACUCUUUCUAUUCUAUUGCAAAUCCACAGAGACAUUGAAAUGUGAAUGAAUUUGGCUAGAAAACAUAUCUUGUUUGCAUAUAUCGGAUGUAAAUUGUUUUUGGCCAUGCACAGCAAUCAAAUCUGCAACUAAAUAUUUUUGCUCAGAACUGUCAUCAUUAACAUUCAACGGGUACAUUUUUGGAUUUUCAAUCAAUUUUAGAUGCGUUGCAUGCAUUUUAUCUAUGUGUACAUAUUUCUGAUGAACAGCUAAAUCCUAAUGUGAGUUAUCAAAAGGUCUGCAAUCACACCCAAUGUGAAAAGUAAAAUAAACAGAACACAGACCUUCAAUACGGAAUUAAGUCCCAGCAACCUUCACCGAACCUGCAAAUAAAAAAAAUAAAAAAUAAAAAGUAUUCGCAAGACCCAAUCCAAAAUCCAACUGGUCAUGUGAAUAAAUAAUAGCACACUCAAACUCACAUAUCAAAAAAGGACUUCAUCCAUACAGUACUCAUUUAAUCACGUUGCAUACAACAUUGCAAUCCUAAAUUCUUAACCUCAUAAAAGCUGCAAACCCUCCUAUCGUAUCUAAAGAUGGAAAAAUCUGUCUGCAUUAUAAUAUAGCAGCAAUCCUUCUUAACAAUGCAUGGAGCUUCUCCAUUUAGAAGGCAAAAGAUCAACCAUUUUUGCAGCUCAUCAUCAGAAUUUUAUUUUAUUUUUACAUGUACAAAGUCUUUGAAGCCCUAUUAUUCUUCUCUGUUUAUUUCUGUUCUAAUUCACACAAAUAAUGCAAGCAGAUGAUGGAAAUAUGAUAUAUUCAAAGAUGGACAACAGGAAAUGCAUAAUUAGAUGUAAAUAUGGAUGUGAUUCUCAGUAUGCAAAUGUCAUCCAUUAACAUUCUAUUACAUGAUCAUCAACCUCUAUAGCAAAAAAAACAGUUUAUCAAACCUGACCAACUAAGCUUCGAUUUGAACAGCUGCUUGCUAACUGACUCUAUGUUCUUUUACACUCCAAUAGGCGUAAUGUGAAUCAUUUCUAGAAAAUAAACAGUUAGCCUUAAAGGUUAUAGUUUAUACAGUGAACAUAAGGAGACAAAAAUUUCUUAUCUAAUUUUUUAUAGACAUACUACCCCCUCACCUUCUAAAACAGGAAAAACCAUGAAUGAUGAUAAGCUAAUUGAGUACGGUAGCACUGUAAAACACACCAUUCAAAUCAUAAAGCUGAGCCACAAAGCCACACAGCAGAGCUCUUCAUUAAUUAGCAUGAACAAAAGAGAGAAGAAAACGAAAGGAAAAUCAACUUCAAAGAAAAACAAAAUCCGAACCCCAACUGAAAAGCAAAGAAAACAAGGACCAGCUCAAAUCCACAAACAUUAAAAAUGAUAUUGAGGGAAAAUUGAAAGGAUUACCAAGACCUCAAAAAGAGACGAAGUCACUAUCUUCCGGAGCCAACCAAAUCCAAAACCUCUCUAGUCCUCUUCACCAUAGUUUUAAUAGUUGAUACUGUAACGACAAUAAGAAAACCCAUAAUCAGAAUCCAAUUUAUACAAAACCCUAAGUAAAAAUGGAACAGCGAAUUUGUUGAAGGUCGCCAUAAAAUCCAUAACAGCAUUCUUCCGCAAUUCAGUAGUAGAAUAGAAUGCAGCUGCUACAUAUAUAAACAUUGUUUCCCCUCAAGCUAUAGAAUUACGAAAUGCAUAAUUAGGUUAAUACAAGUAAUUGGCCAUUAACCAAUAAAUUUUCAGCCUGUGUCACUAUCAUUAUCUUGAUAUUCAGUUUGGAUAGUUUUUGACUAACCAUCUAUAUAGAAGCAUAUAGAGAAAUUAGAGUUACCUUUACCACCUUAAUGCAACGUUUGCUUCCUGCGUGUAGUUUAUGCAUCUUAGAGCCUCAAAUGGUGCCUACUCCGCCACAUAAAAACGAAAAAUAGAAACAAAACUUCAUGAGAUUGAAGAACUGAGUAGUAAGCAAAAUUGCAUACAAAUUAAAACAACCCAACGGCAUUUAAUUGAGAUCACCAGAUCACACCUGCAAGUCUGUAACCAAAUAUAUAAGGUUCCUUCAAAAUGGAGAUAGGAAGAAAACCUGGAACUAACUUAAUGAGGCCACAAAAUCAUAAAUGUAAUCAAAUAUAUAGGAUUCCUGGUAGCUUAAUCUUCGAUAGUGCUUGUCUUUGUAUGUUUAACAGUUGUUGGGCAGAAAUGAAACUGUUUAGCUCAUAAUCAAAGCGAUAUAUAUUUUUUCAUGAUCAUAAUUAGGAAAAUGCAUACGCGAAGAUUAAAUGUCUAGUAUUUAUUCAGCUAAGUGUAGGCAUUAUUUUUUAAAGAGACAAAAAAAAAUGAACUAUAGUUUUCUCCCAGCCUUGCAAACGUUUAUUUAAAUCUGCAGACUUGAAAAGUUUAAUAGAACUUAUUUAACUUAAAAAGAUAAUUAGCCAGGUAAAAGCAUUUAAAACCAUAGGAUAACAAUGCCUACACUUAUACCUUUAGGAGUGGAACCAAUUUAAACUCCAUGAGAUCUUAAUCAUUCAGUUGUACCUUUUUACAAAACAAUCAAAAAAAAAAAAACAAUUCAUGAUACAAACAUCAAGAUCAACUGGUUAGUAUUUUUACUCAAGCUACCUAAAUUUUCUUCCAAGUAGGCAUAAGAGGGCAAAUAAUUAAAUGAGUUUUGUUGAGAUAUUUUGAUAAUAUGAGGUUUGUAUUUUUUGUAAGAAUUUGUAAUCUAUUAAAGCUGACUAACUAUUAUGUUGAAGUUUAUGCAUUCAUCUGUAUGUUGGGUAGUAUAGUAAAGUUGACCCUGUUUUAGGGAAGAAAGAAACACAAAUUUCACAUUCCCAGAUAAUAUAUGAGAUGCAGGGAUUUCAAAAUUUAAUGUCACUAUACAAAUAGAAAUUUUACACAACUUUAGAAAAGAAACAAACCUGAGUAAAAAGAAAAACCCAGAAAAAGAAAAAUGGAGGACUGCAAACAAAGGAAUAGCAGUGGAGAACUGAGACCAAUAAACCUUUACAUGAAAUCUGCAAAUAAUAAACAGAAAACGAUGAGAUUCUGCAACUAAUCGCUAUAAUUUUACAACAUUGUAAUUUACCCUCUCACUCACUACCAUCAUAACAGAACACAAAUAUAAACUUUCCAUAAAAAAUUUCACAGUUGGGAUAAAAUCAAGCUAUCCAUAUGGAUGCAACAACAUGUAUAUCAAACCUAAAACUCACUUUCCAAGCAUCAGUUUUCAUAUCUAGUCAGUCCCAUUAAUCCAGUUAAUACCAGCUCUCUAUAUUCACAACCUUCCCAAAGCAAACACCCAAAUUAUAACCAAUGCACAUUGCACUUCAGAUUAGUACUGUAUUUGUUCUUAAUUGAGCUCACAUCAAUACUUAUAUCUAAUUGAAGUCUUUAUUAGACUAACGCAUACUUUAUAAAAGCAAAAUUGGAACUUAAAUCAUAUAAAAAUUAUAAAAAAAGAAGUUCUAACAAUACUUAUCUUUCUGCUGGGUGGUUUUUGUAACUGAAGAUUCUGCUGGCCUUUUCUGCAAGCAGGAGUGAUGAAGAUCAAAAUUCUACCACUACCCAGAUUUUGCGAUCACUGGAAGCUGAUGAAGUGGCGCGAAAACGAAAGAAGAAUAAUGAUAGUGAGCGGAAGAAUAAAGACAGGGAAAGAAAGGUGUCGAGAUAUCUGGAAGAUUCAGAGGCGGCAAGAGAGAGAUGCCCAAAAAGUUCUGAUAUCUAAACCCUAGCAAGAUGCCCGCACGUUGCAGCGGGACUUUGGCGUAUUUCUGCUUGUGAUAGCUCCAAUGUUUCAAGCAACCACAAAUAUACUUGAGCUUGUUAAUAGACAGCAGCCCAUUCACAUUGUUUAUUAGGUCGGCCCAGAAACUAAGAAAGCAAAAAAGAAAAAAGGAGUGACAAUACAUUCCAUGAAAGCGCAUCUAACAAAAAGAAAAAUAUGGAAAAUCAUGAAAUCCGAUGAAUGAAUUUUUAACCUCUUUGUCACGCGGUAGCUUUGCUAAGUAGCUCUUUCAACCUCUUGCAAUUCCUUCAUUUAGAAUUGCUGGAUUUAGUAGCUCUUUCAACCUCUUCUUUGUUUUUUUUUAUGUGUAAGCUGUGCUCCCAAGUGUCUUGGACAAAUCAAUCUGCAUAAUUAUGNNNNNNNNNNNNNNNNNNNNAUUCUUGCGGUUUUUAAUGUAUGUCAUACUUAGGAAAUCUUAUAAUGAUUUCCACAUCAGUUAGUUGCAAGUGGUUGGUCCUCUACAUCAGUCCUAUUUGUCUGAGAGUCAAAAUUAAACAAACGCAGAUUACAGUCUAGUAAAGCCUAGGGGUGACGAAGGCGCAGAAGCAAUCAAAUAGAUAGGGAAAAAAAAAACAAAAGAAAAUAGAGUUAAGCGCACUACCUGAAUUUUUUUGAGAUGAAAAGGUUGACCUUCUUAGAUGGCGUAAGCUCCUUAAUCCAAGUAGUCUGGCUUUCUAUCGAAGAAAGAGUUGACAGCAAACAUCUUUGGAAGGAAAAUGAAUGCCUUUCUGAAGCUGAAGCUUGGGCUUUUCUAAAUCUCAGACACUGCUCACAAAACCUAUACAAUGAAAUAACAGUAGACAUGUGAGUUGAUCUUAUCAUGAUUGCUCAUAAAACCCCACAUAUAUAUAUAUAUAUACACAGUUGAGAUCAGAGACGAACGUCCGCACGCCCUUAAAGUGCGGACGUCCCUCCGUUCUCCACCGUACGGCUCCGACGACGGCGCGCCUCCACCCUAGCGUGAGAGAAAGUGAUCAAGGACGCUGCUGGAGGCCGCUAAGGUGGAGGCGCACCGUCGUCGGAGCCGGACGGUGGCGAACGGAGGGACAUCCGCACUUUAAGGACGGUACGGAUGUCCUUUUUGGAACGGCUCCGUAUAUAUAUAUAAAUAUAUAUAUAAACCAAUGUCAAUUUUGCAUUCCUUUUAAACUGUAUGAACCUACCCUCGAUUUUUCAAUUCAAGAAAAUGCCAGAGUAAAACUAUAAGAAAGUAGAUCCUUACACUGGUUGACUGUAAAAGAAACCAAUCGAUUGAUAUAACUAAAAACACAGAUUGCUGCUUUCCAUAUUACAUGCACAGUAAUAUAAUUAGAAGCGCUGAAGUAAAAAGUAAUGUAAUUAAUAUACCUUUUCAGAGUUGAUAUGCCAAGAAGGAUCCAAAAGUUUACACCUGCAAAAAGGAUGCACAUUGAGAUUUUAUCUAAAACAGAAAUUGAAAACAGACUGAAAAUAAAUGAAGCCUAAAAUUGUCUUCAACACAACAAAAAAUUGAUCUAUUAUGCUAUUAUGCCCAUGACUUCACUGUCCAAAUCAAGAAAGUCGAUCAUGAAGAACUAUUUCAUGAAGCAUCACUGUGCAUUUCAAUUCAAUGACAUAACGAUGUGCACUACUCUUGAUAGUAGGCCAUGUUGAAUCAAAUGGCCGGUUGAGAGGCCACAGAGAAACUCAAAUUCUUACAUUGAAAACUGAAACUCUGGCACAAAAUGUAAUAGUGUUUUCAUUAUAUGCAACCACCUAGUAUUUAGUUACCUACUAAAUGACAGAAAGGAACCCCAGUAGUUUUGUGAAGGACGGAAGGAGGCGAACAAACUAAGAAAAAAAGGGGAUGUAAUUACCCUAACGUCUGAUUGUUUCUUAUGUUCACCAAUUGGAGCCUUAUGUUCCCAAUCCAUGGCACCAGAUUUCAGAUUCUCAAGGACAUUUCUUUACACCAACCCAAAUACUCGAUUACGCAAAAUUUCACAAAAAACACACCUUUUGUUCGACCAAGAUUUUCGACCCAUUUCUACCCACCCAAUCAUCAUCAGUCCAAAUUAUAUGACCAUCUCAGUCAUUCAAACAAAGAAUGACUAUGCCCUUUAAAUAGGAAAUACUAAAACAUCUUUAUAUAGUUUCCAAUAUAUAAAGCCAAUGCCAAACCUUAAUCAAAGCCUUGAGUCUCCUCUCAAAUAUAUCAUUAUUUCUAUGGCGAGGUAUCAUGGUGCUUUACAGAUAAUUAGUUUCAUUAUCCUGUAUGCAUGACCAGAAUAAGGAACAUACAAAAAUCAAGAUUAACUGGUUAGUAAUUUUCGGUCAGCAUUUUACUGGGCCUACCUAUAUUCUCUUCCAAGCUCGCAUAAGUAAGCAAAAUCAUUAAAUGAGUUUUGUAGAGCUUUUUGAUAAUAUGUAAGGUUUAUACUUUCUGAAGGAAUUUGUAAUCUAAGAAUACUAACUAACUAUCAAGUAGGUGUUUAGGCAUUCAUUUGUAUAGUGGGCGGUAUAGUGAAAAUCAAAUUCUUUUUAAAUCUGCAAAUAGUAUACCUUCCCUCACAUUUCCAAAUAAUAUAUGAAAUGCAAGGCUCACAUUGUGCAUCUCACACAGAAUGCAUGUAAAUUGCAGUCUAUGAAUUGGAUAUACCUGUGACGCAGACCACUUUUAAACACUUCAUUUCAAGCAACACCAACUUGUACCUGAAGCAACACAUAUAGAAAAAGAACAUAAGCAUAAGACCAUAGACAACUAUAAGCGCACUUUAACAGUUAAGAAAAAUUAACAAUAUCAUUUCCAUAGGGUUUUUACAUCUGCUGAAACUUCUACCCUAAGAUCGGGUAAUGUAAGUCAUAUACAGAAAAGCUGAAAACUAAAUAACUCAAUGCAACAAAGCAGGUUCUUUUUUUUCACUUCUUGUUUUUCGCGGACAGUUUUUUCUUUUCACUUUUAUGACACAGAGAAAUGAGACUAUUCCUAUGCAACCCCUUAAAAUAAAAUUAUUCAUAUAAUAGGCCAAUAUUAUACUAAUUAGCAAGAGAAAAAGAAAGAUGAUAAAAAGAAAACAGAUCCAAAAUUCAAUGCAGAACCUCAAUUCAUUACCAUCAAUAUAAUAAACUAAUUGAGCUCACAUCAAUACUUAUAUCUAAUUGAUGUCUUUAUUAGACUAACGCAUACUUUAUAAAAGCAAAAUUGGAACUUAAAUCAGAUAAAAAAAAGAACACAGUUCUAACAAUACUCAUCUUUACUGCACCCUUGUCACUAAUCUGUCCAAGCUCUAGUCUUUGCUUGAGCCACACAGCUUCCCCAAAAGUACCAACCUGAGUAUACAAACACGAAUUACAUUUAAGGGAAUAUUUAAAAACCCAAUAAAAAACUUUCUGAUACCCAAGAAUCUACAAACCGCGAGCCUUGAGAACACACCAUAUCUAGCUGCCAGUAACACUCUUCACCUGAGCAAUUCCCUAGGAAUCAUGAAGAACAACACCAAUUUUAGAUACUAAAAUUAAUAAGAAAAGUAUUUUAACAAUUCCAUAAUAAAUUUUAAAUAUUUUACUCCACAUAUUCUUUCUCACAAACUCACCUUGAUCUAACACAAAGGAUUGAAACCUUCAAGAUUGUGAUUGCUUUUGUUUAAUAAAAAAUCAGUGAGCUGCAUGCAACUUCAAUGAUAAAAUAUGGUGAUCUAAAUUACAUAGUUUUAGAUAAUAAUGGGAAAAGAAUAAAAUGUUACUCUAAAUUUAGUCAACGCACCUUUACCAAAAGAAAAUUCACAGAAGCAAUUCAGAGGAUAAAUAUGAUCCUUCCAUACAGAAAGAAAUAAAGAAACUGCAUUUCUCAUGAGCUUGGUUUGAUCUGCUUCGAUAAUCCUCCUGCUCAUGCUGCCCAGGCUUUCCUGGAUGAAGUGAGUUCUGUUUCUAAGGCCAGGAAAACUGGCAAUUGCUUUAGCAUUUAGUUUCUUCUUUUGUAACCAAAAAAAAAAAAUGAGCCAACAAUAGACAUCCCGUUGGCUUUCAAAUGAAAAUUUGCCCACAAAAUGAGCUAUUGACGUAUAUAAGAAAAGAUAAUAUUUGUUUAGAGUUUUUACACGUUUAGUAUGUGAUUGAUGAUAUGCAUGUCACUUUGAUGCAGUAGACAACAUACGGACAUGAAAUAUUAUUGAAUCCCGAACUCAUACCCAAGCUUUUUUUAAAACAGAGACAGGAACAUGACCAAAACACAAACAAAAAAUCAUAAUCAAUUUCAAAUUGAAAUGCAGAGGUCCAAAACCCGCUAUGUUUAAAUGCACCAACCUUGUAAUCAGUUUAUCAUUUACUAUAUCAUUGAGCAUGACUUUUACAAUUGAUUCAUUCUCCUAAUGGUUCAAAAAAUCAUGUGAACGUCAUAUUUGUUCAAAACAUUAGUAGCUCAUAAUCAAAGCGAUAUAUAUUUUUUCAUGAUCAUAAUUAGGAAAAUGCACAUGCGAAGAUUAAAGGUCUAGUAUUUAUUCAGCUAAGUGUAGGCAUUGUUUUUCUAAGAGACAAAAAAAAACAAAAAUGAACUAUAGUUUUCCCCCAGCCUUGCAAACUUUCAUUUAAAUCUGUAGACUAGAAAAGUUUAAUACAACUUAUUUAACAUAAAAAGAUAAUUAGCCAGGUAAAAGCAUUUAAAACCAUACGCUAACAAUGCCUACGUUUGAAUAGAUAGUGACUACCGAAGAUCAAAGCAAUUGAGCUGGUACUUAUAUUCACCAUCUUUAGAUUCCAGCCAGGUCCGGUUAUCUCUCCAAUUUAGUAUUCGGGUGACACUCGAUAGCAAAAAGAAGAAAGUAAGAAACAAAAAUCAGAUUGAAACUCAAAAAGAAAGAAAUACAGUUUUCUUUAUUUGAGUAUAUUACAUGUAAACUGUAACUUUACCUCAUAAACUGCUAAAAAAUGAAAACCAAAUCAGCAAGCUAUAUACUGGAAUCGAUCAUUGAGGUCCUAGACAGCAGAACAGACAAACGCCGAAUUAGUUCAAAUCAGGUAAUGGGAACGGUUAUCCAUCUUGAAAUGAUAAGCUCAAUCUCAAACAGUAUAAAAACCACACAAAANNNNNNNNNNNNNNNNNNNNUUCAAGAUUGUGAUUGCUUUUGUUUAAUAAAAAAUCAGUGAGCUGCAUGCAACUUCAAUGAUAAAUUAUGGUGAUCUAAAUUACAUAGUUUUAGAUAAUAAUGGGAAAAGAAUAAAAUGUUACUCUAAAUUUAGUCAACGCACCUUUACCAAAAGAAAAUUCACAGAAGCAAUUGAGAGGAUAAAUAUGAUACUUCCAUACAGAAAGAAAUAAAGAAAGUGCAUUUCUCAUGAGCUUGGUUUGGUCUGCUUAGAUAAUCCUCCUGCUCAUGCUGCCCAGGCUUUCCUGGAUGAUUUGAGUUCUGUUUCUAAGGCCAGAAGAACUGGCAAUUACUUUAGCAGUUAGUUUCUUUUUUUGUAACCAAAAAAAAAAAGAAAUACAGAAACUCAGAGAAAUUCCACCUCCUCAGAAGUACUAUUACAACUGUAAAACAUAUCAGGCUCCAUGCAGAUACGAUAGGUAUGUCAAGGAAAUCAAAAGCCAACAAUGGACAUCCCGUUGGCUUUCAAAUGAAAAUUUGCCCACAAAAUGAGUUAUUGACGUAUAUAAGAAAGAUAAUAUUUGUUUAGAGAUUUUACACGUUUAGUAUGUGAUUGAUGGUAUGCAUGUCACUUUGAUGCAGUAGACAACAUACGGACAUGAAAUAUUAUUGAAUCCCGAACUCAGACCCAAGCUUUUUUUAAAACAGAGACAGGAAGAUGACCAAAACACAAACAAAAAAUCAUAAAUUUCAAAUUUAAAUGCAGAAGUCCAAAACCCGCUAUGUUUAAACGCACCAACCUUGUAAUCAGUUUAUCAUUUACUAUAUCAUUGAGCAUGACUUUUACAAUUGAUUCAUUCUCCUAAUGGUUCAAAAAAUCAUGUGAAACGUCAUAUUUGUUCAAAACAUUAGUAGCCAUAGUCGAGCCCAAUCUUCGAUAGUGCUUAUCUUUGUAUGUUUAACAGUUGUCAUGCAGAAAUGAAACUGUUUAGCUCAUAAUCAAAGCGAUAUAUAUUUUUUCAUGAUCAUAAUUAGGAAAAUGCACAUGCGAAGAUUAAAUGUCUAGUAUUUAUUCAGCUAAGUGUAGGCAUUGUUUUUUUAAAAGUACAAAAAAAAAAAAAUAGAACUAUAGUUUUCUUCCAGCCUUGCAAACUUUCAUUUAAAUCUGUAGACUUGAAAAGUUUAAUAGAACUUAUUUAACAUAAAAAGAUAAUUAGCCAGGUAAAAGCAUUUAAAACCAUAGGAUAACAAUGCCUACGUUUGAAUAGAUAGUGACUGCCGAAGAUCAAAGCAAUUGAGCUAGUACUUACAUUCACCAUCUUUAGUUUCCAGCCAGGUCCAGUUAUCUCUCCAAUUUAGUAUUCGGGUGGCACUCGAUAGCAAAAAGAAGAAAGAAAGAAACAAACAAACAAAAAUCAGAUUGAAACUCAGAAAGAAAGAAAUACAGUUUUCAUUAUUUGAGUAUAUUGCAUGUAAACUGUAACUUUACCUCAUAAACCGCUAAAAAAUGAAAACCAAAUCAGCAAGCUAUAAACUGGAAUCGAUCAUUGCAGUCCUAGACAGCAGAACAGACAAACGCCGAAUCAGUUCAAAUCAGGUAAUGGGAACGGUUAUCCAUCUUCAAAUGAUAAGCUCAAUCUCAAACAGUAUAAAAACCACACAAAAACGGAAUGAAAAAAUUUGAAAAUUCAAAAGCACUCAACUUAUCUAUUCGAUCUGAGCAGAGGAUUGGGAACUUCCCAAAUCUAUAGUCCGACGAAUCCAUCCGGGGGAAAACUUAUAUUGCACUCUUUGCAUUCAAACACAUGCCACCAAAAAAAAUUCAAAUGAAAACACAAUAAAAAUUCAAAUGCAAACGCAAAAGCCAAUAAAGUCAAGCAUAACAACAUCAAGAAUAUACCUGAGAAACUAACAAAUUGGAUCCCACCCAAAAUCAAACAAACUCGACCAGGCACAUGUUAACAAAUCCUCCAUAGAUUUUCACUCAAAGAUAUCUCAUCGGCUCUACACCGAAAAUGAAAAAAAAAUAUAUAUGGAUGGAACCAAAAGAAAAUGAUAAGAAAUUGCUCAAUUUCAAAAAGCAAGCCAGUUAUGUGCUAUGACAUAGGAAUAUUACAGAGAAGUUAAAAACAAAAAUAUCUCGGAUAAACCUGAAGUCUAAAGCUUUACCGGCAAAAUCAUACCAGAAAUGAACACAACCAUCAAAUAUAAGUAGCAAUCGUAAAAGCUUCAAUGGACCAACCAGNNNNNNNNNNNNNNNNNNNNACGAUCAAAGACGAAAGCGGCUUGAACUCUAUUUAAAUCACAUAACACAGUUAUGGGAACAAAUUAAACCCUGGACAAGGAGCAAUAUUAGAAUCUCGAAACAGAUCUAAAAAUCAAAAGCAUACAAAACAUGCACAAACCCAAAUACUAUUAUCUCUUUCACUUUAUCAAUGCUAGUCUCACUUUGAAUUUUCUGCUAGUCUCAUUGACUCACGUUAUUGCUCGUUACAAAUCAUAUUCAAAUUAUAGAAAUAACCCAAUAGCACAAAGUGGAGAACUGUAAAGUACUCACCAGAGCUUGCAGCAGUUGUAGCUGCGAUAUCAAUAACUAACCUGGAAAAUAUGCAUACAUGAUUUUCAAUGGGAUCUGUGGCCAUAUGCAUAAAUAUUUGAGCAGAAACUAUCUCAACGGCAUUUCAUGUCAUCUAACCGUAAAUCUAGACCGUUAAAAAAAUGAGGUCACAAUAGGGUCGAAAACAAAACAUACCGGAUAAAAAAGAGUGAUAAUUAAGAGAAAGGUUUACUUACUUUCUGCCUAAAAAUUGGCCCAUCCGAGUUUUGAGCCGCCUCUAGGGAACCGGUACUUUGUGGGCAAAGUACAUAUACACAUUUCUUUGUUAAAUUGCUCAUCCGUUCAGCAACAUAUUACAAAAGAAUAUAAUCAAUCUUCCCCAUAUCCACAAAAUGACCAAAAAAAUAAAUAAAUAAUUGAAUAGCUGGUUUUACUGUUGAAGAUAAGUAAUAAAACUGUUCAUGAUAAGUUAUAAAACUUCAUUACCAAUAUGACAGAAAACAAAAACAUGAAUAACAAAGGCGCAUGUGUCACUAUCAGCAACACAUGCAAAAAACCCUCAUUUUGUAAAAGAAACCUGCAUGGAAAAAGCUUGUGCAAGUUCAAGUUGUGGUAUAUCUAGUAUUUGUGUCAAUUUAUUAAACUUGACCGUUACACCAAAUGUAUCUCUUAUUUUUAAAUGAAGAGCUUGUGUGUUGGGCUAACGCAUUGGUAUUAAAAGUAUCUCUAUUAAACUUUGACCAUUACACCAAAUGUAUCUCUAUUAAACUUGACCAUUACACCAAAUGUAUCCCCAAUUUAACAAAUGUAUCUCUUACUUGCACAACGCAGUUCAAGAGAUUGACAAAUUGACCAAUGCGGAGUUUGAUUUGGUAAAAGAGUAGGUACACCAGAUUUGACAAAAUAUAAUUUCAACUCAGAAAGAAAGAAAUACAGUUUUCAUUAUGUGAGUAUAUUACAUGUAAACUGUAACUUUACCUGAUAAACUGCUGAAAAAUGAAAAUCAAAUAAGCAAGCUAUAUACUGGAAUUCGGUGCAAUCGAUCAUUGAGGUCCUAGACUGUAGAACAGACAAACGCCGAAUCUGCUCAAAUCAGGUAAUGGGAACGGUUAUCCUUCUUGAAAUGAUAAGCUCAAUCUCAAACAGUAUAGAAACCACACAAAAAUGGAAUGAAAAAAUUUGAAAAUUCAAAAGCACUCAACUUAUCUAUUCCAUNNNNNNNNNNNNNNNNNNNNNNNNNNNNNNNNNNNNNNNNNNNNNNNNNNNNNNNNNNNNNNNNNNNNNNNNNNNNNNNNNNNNNNNNNNNNNNNNNNNNNNNNNNNNNNNNNNNNNNNNNNNNNNNNNNAGCAUAGUAAGGCAUUCAGCACCUGUUGACCAAUGAGAAGGUUUUCUCGUUUGAUAUCUCAAUGAAUUACGUGCUUUCCAUGACAGUAUAUAAGGGAUGGGGCCAAUGAUGCAACAUACUGCAAAUACCUCAUACGAAAAAAAAUCAGAAUUUCUAUUCUAUAAACAACUGAAAGAGAAUGAAUUCGACACCACAAAAAAACUUACGGUGGCUGCACGUCUUUCACUAAAGUAUUUACACUUCUGGAGUUCCUCUUGUAGUUCACCUUUGGCGGCAUAUUCCAAUAUCAAAUAAACUCGUUUCUGCAAUAAUUAAAAUUCCACUACAAGGGUGAGUGACUCUGUACCAUAGUGGUUCCAUUAACUAGGAGACGUUCAAUUUGGUGCAAACAUAAACCACCUAUGAGCACUAUACCUGAUCAUAAAAGUAGCCAUAAAGACGUAGAAUAUUGGGAUGGCGAAGAUGACUUUGUAUUUCAACUUCCCGACGAAACUGAUGCUCAACCUGAGAUUGUUGCAACUGGCUCUUGAAGAGGACUUUGAGUGCCACUAUGUGAUUGCUCUGUUUCAGGCAUAGAUACAAAUCAAGAACUGUGUAUACACACCACUAAAAGCAGGUAAACAGAGAGAUACAACACCACGAUGAUGCAUAGCAAACACUCAUUUCCAACUUAAAAUUGCAAAAGGACACUCCACAUCAUUUGAUAAUAAAGCACAUUGUCGAAUCAAGAUCCUCCUAGUUAUAACUCCUUCCCAUACAUCUUUAGUCACAACUCUUGCACCCGCCAAAUCUGCCAUCAGAGAAGCAUUCAGGAACAUCUAGUCAUGAUAUCUGCAAAUUCCGAAGGUGAUUAUGAGUUCUCCUUUGAGCAAAAAACAGGCAAAUUAGGGCCAUUAAGAACAUCAUCAAUACAUGGUUGAUAGUGGGCAUGUUAGAUUAACACAGAAGACAGUCUCAUACAACAUGAAAACAAAAUCAAUAUAUUAGGUCUUAUUAUGAUCAUAUUAAAAUACAUGCUUUGCACUAGAUACAUAUGCAACGCAGUACUCUCUAACCGGAGCGCACAUGCUGUGAUGUCUCAAAUUCUGGCUCCUUUGGUCUUGUUAAGGUGAGUUUAGGCUUCAUCUGAAUAAUAGAAACAACAUCAACCUCUAUAGCAAAAAAAAAUUUAUUAAACCUGACCAAAUAAAUAUAUAUGUGUAAAGAAGUGAAAGAACUUUAAGCAGGGUGAAGCUCCUUUACGUGUGAGAGAGAACCAUUAGCAUGCGGCAGCGGCAAGUCUCUGGUACUUGAUUGGAACCUGUUCAUCAUUUCUGCCAUUGAAACAAAUGGUGUUGCAGGUUCCCGAACAUCAAUCUGUAGAUUGGGAAAGGAUCAACUACUCAAUUCUGAUAUUGCAUAACAACAUGGAGUGCAAAAGAGGGAUGAAAAGCACAAACCGUCCUGUCCUCUUUUUGAGUUUUAAUAGCAGUUGAAAAAUGUGUGGCACUGGUAUGACCCAGUUUUGACUUGUGGAGGAAUGUUUGGGGUUUGGGAUUAAGAGUCUGCAUUUUAAGGGCACACAAGGAAAAACAGUCAUGGGAAAUGUCUAGAAAUAAUCUUCACCAAACGACAACAAAGAGGCUUCUAGAUGUGAGUCAACACAAAUUACAGAACUAAAAGUAACCUGUCUAGAUCUUCCAGCAUCCAACUUCUGCCGUGAUUCUCCUGAGCUAACAUGGAUGUGCCAGUUGCAUUUUUCACGUUCUCUUCUCUGUAAGUUUCAGUCAAAUAUACAAUUAGGACAUAGCACUGGCGUAUAAUGAAUUCAAGAGAUACCAGAUAAAGUGAAGCACGCCAACCUUUUCAUAGUAUACUGUUUAACAUGUGAAGAGUGCAAGUGACUUUUUCCCUUAGUCCCUGAUGGGUUUCUGACCAUACUUGAUAUCUUUUUAGCUGUCUGGUGGUUUUGGAAUCACUUAGAAGAUCUCCCUUCUUGAAAUGCAUAGGAGACAUGAACAGAAAAAAAAGUUACCCACUGAUUGAGAACAAAGAGCAAGUACAGAACUGCUGAAUUGAGAACAAAGAGGUAUCAAUGCUGGUAGACAGUGACAGUUUGGAGUAAGUACAGAAUCUGGAAAAAAUACUGAAGCUGGGAAUUAUAUUGGCAAAUGAACACUAAUAAUUGAAAAGCUUAAACCUUUGGGUGAUUGGGAGGGAGAGGGAGAUGGGUUUUACCUGAGGAAGAUCUGAAAGUGAUUGUGCUUGGAGUGCUCUGCGGCUGCUGCAACUUACACCACAAUGGCUCUGCUUUAUGGUUUCUGAAAUUGUGGCGAGGUAUAGGUUUUAAAGGCGCUUCAAUGGGCCUCCCUCAUAUCUCUGAAGCUCAUUCAAAGGAUUUGGACUACCAUGUCGAUAAGAGCAGCGCUUUAAUCAAAACUCCCAAACUCCCAAGAGAGGUGAUCAGCGAAUAUUGCCCAAAAAUUAAACAAAUAAGGCUAAGCCCAUAAACUUGAAUUCAGCAAGAACAGAAGAAAACAUUCCCACCAAGCUUACAAAAAUCUCAAUUGAAACAGUUUACUUGACUAAAUUAUGGCUCCCUAUGCUUGAUCGAACACCUCCGGCANNNNNNNNNNNNNNNNNNNNCAAAAAAAAAAAAGACAAACACAUCGGUAGAAUCCAUUAUAAAGAAUACACCAGAAAAACUAUCUCUUCUAAUCAAAAUCCUCAAAACACACUUAAACCAAAUAAACUACCAAUAAACAAAUCUCAAAUGCAGAAACACACCAAGGCAGUGAAAAGAUGUAUCCCUGAAUGAAAUCAAAUCAAAUCAGCAACAGAUCCUUACUUCAGAAACUGAUAUCUGCAUAUCCAAAAGUUCAUGUCUCAACCAUCUUUGAACAACCUGCAACAAAAACUAAUCACAAUUACUAAAUGGUAGUAAUAACAAUAUAGAGUAAAUUGCUAGUAAUAACAAUAUAGAGUAAUAACUAAUCACAUAUACGGUUAAAGAAAUUACCACCAAACAGAAGAGAAUCAAAACCAAACAACCCACAAUUAUUAUCCAAAAGGACAUCCUAAAUAUUCAUCAACUGUUCAUGAACACCUACUCUGUUUUCAUUGUCAUUUGAUGUAUCUCCAACAAUGAGUUCUUUCAUUUUCUAUGAAGAUUUGUUUGAUCACUUCGGAUUCUUGAAUUAAUUAAUGGUUCUUCAUCUCCAAAAUGCUAAAAAGAACACUGUUCUAUUUCUUCAUCAUUGUUCGUUCCACCGUCGAAUUGGUCCAGUAUUGUGUCUGCAUCUUUAUCUUGAAAGGCAUGUCAAUCCACUGUUUCCACAAUUGCUAUCUUCUUGGCGAAAACAUGCUCCUGAUGUUCUUUCAUUCUCCAAGUUCUGAAAAAGAAAAAAAAAUCCAUUUGUUGAGGAUAUUCGAUUUCCAUAUGCUGCGUACAUGUGCAGUGCAUCAUUCAUUUUAAAAUGCAUGAUCAAUCAAGCUCAGUGGGAAUACAACUGAGGACAUUGUAUCAUAAUCCACUGUUUCCAUAAUUUUCCUCACUAUUUAUUCCAAUCAGAUUUCAUCCCACGUGCCAAACAUAAUCAUAAUAGUUUGAUAAAAAUAAAGAGAAAGUUGUCAUUCAAUGGUCAACAAUCAUGAUGAAGAUUACCACGUAACUAUGGAAAAAGGUCGGGUUUGAGCAGCAAGUGAAGAGAUAUCAGGAUGUUGGCAUUACCUCAUUUGCUUCUUUGUUACUUCUACAACCGGAAGACGGUUACUGUGAUUAUCUUUCAUCUUCUUGAAAGCUUCCAGUAUCAAGUCUUCACUGUGGACACUAAUAACCUGGCUAAGAAAGCAAAGGAAUAUUAAAAUUGGGACACCAAAUUUACCAUCAAUCAAGCUUAGUAGUCAGGAAGACUUACCUCAUCAGAGGACAUAAAACGAAGUCCCAUGCGGCAACGCAGUCGAACUAAUCCUAACUUUGCAUUGCUUCAAACCAUGAGUAAUGUAGUUAUUUAUAGUGGCUCGGCCACGUUCUAUCACAGCUACAUUCCUCAGCAUAUAUUUUGGAAGUAGUAGCAAGACGCUCAAUAUUUGAGAUGGCUUCCCAAAUAUUUUGCCUCUGUAAUAGAACAACAAUGUCAGUCAGUCAUUCACACAUGCAUUNNNNNNNNNNNNNNNNNNNNNNNNNNNNNNNNNNNNNNNNNNNNNNNNNNNNNNNNNNNNNNNNNNNNNNNNNNNNNNNNNNNNNNNNNNNNNNNNNNNNNNNNNNNNNNNNNNNNNNNNNNNNNNNNNNNNNNNNNNNNNNNNNNNNNNNNNNNNNNNNNNNNNNNNNNNNNNNNNNNNNNNNNNNNNNNNNNNNNNNNNNNNNNNNNNNNNNNNNNNNNNNNNNNNNNNNNNNNNNNNNNNNNNNNNNNNNNNNNNNNNNNNNNNNNNNNNNNNNNNNNNNNNNNNNNNNNNNNNNNNNNNNNNNNNNNNNNNNNNNNNNNNNNNNNNNNNNNNNNNNNNNNNNNNNNNNNNNNNNNNNNNNNNNNNNNNNNNNNNNNNNNNNNNNNNNNNNNNNNNNNNNNNNNNNNNNNNNNNNNNNNNNNNNNNNNNNNNNNNNNNNNNNNNNNNNNNNNNNNNNNNNNNNNNNNNNNNNNNNNNNNNNNNNNNNNNNNNNNNNNNNNNNNNNNNNNNNNNNNNNNNNNNNNNNNNNNNNNNNNNNNNNNNNNNNNNNNNNNNNNNNNNNNNNNNNNNNNNNNNNNNNNNNNNNNNNNNNNNNNNNNNNNNNNNNNNNNNNNNNNNNNNNNNNNNNNNNNNNNNNNNNNNNNNNNNNNNNNNNNNNNNNNNNNNNNNNNNNNNNNNNNNNNNNNNNNNNNNNNNNNNNNNNNNNNNNNNNNNNNNNNNNNNNNNNNNNNNNNNNNNNNNNNNNNNNNNNNNNNNNNNNNNNNNNNNNNNNNNNNNNNNNNNNNNNNNNNNNNNNNNNNNNNNNNNNNNNNNNNNNNNNNNNGUUCAGUAGAAACAAUUCAGUACCUGAAAGAAGUCAAGGGAAGCUGGAUGCUUUUAGGGAGUAUAUGACGCAUGUCGGAGACCCAAUAAGCCGCCAUUGACGGCUUUCCGUCUUCCGCAAUUAGAAUCUCAUAUUUACCCAAGUCCUAAUCUCAUAUGUAAGUAGAAAUAUAAACAACUUGCAGAGGAUCAACUCUCUUUUCUCCUUCUCUGCAGUUAGUCGGAGUCUGCCUUUCUCUCCCUCUCUCAGUCUCACCCGGCCUCUCACUCAUCUCCUAAAAUCAAGAAAAACGAACUCAAAUAAACCCAACAUUGAGAUUCAAGAGAAACAAAAUCGAACUACCACUCACCGAAACAAAAAACCACCAAAAGAUGCAGAAUCAAAAUCGAUGCUCUCGAAACUUCAGGAUAGAGCAGAACGAAGAGAUGAAAUGCGAGAGGGAAGAGAACAGAAAUUGAAAUUGAAAACGAUAACAGAAAUUGAAAACUUACCAAGAAGGAGAACGAAACGAUUCAACUCCGAUUAACACUGUUCUCUGAUCUCCUCUUCCUCUCUUCCUCUCUCUUCCAAAUCGCCUCUUUCUCUCUCUCCCUACGAUUUCUCUGAUCACCUCUUCCUCUCUCCUUCUCUCUUCCCAAUCGCCUCUUUCUCUCUCUCCCUACGAUUGAAAACCAAGCUUUCCGCAUCCACCCCCUCUCUCCGCUGCUGCUCUUCUCUCUCGCCUGUGGCAAGUCGCGAGAAGACUCGCGAAAGGGCAAAGGAAGAAAAAGUACAGGAAGAAAAAGCCCAAGCCCGAGCGACAUGCAGCCCAAGCCCGAGCGAGACUGCACUGUUCUGAAUCAUUUUAUGCAUUAAAAGUUUGGAAACAUUAAGACUGUGAAAAAGAUAGAUACAUCCAAAACAAAACAAAAAACUAACAGGGACAUAAAUACUUUAUUCUAGCUUGUGAGAAGUAAAAGAAAAGAUGAAAUACUGAACAUUUAUAUAAAACCAUUUAGUUUAUCUAAUUGGAUAAAAAAUAAAUAAAUAAAUAAAAAGUGUACCACACCAAACAAAAACAUUAUCAAAACCGAUCAACAUGACAAAAUCCCCUAAUAGAAAGAAAGAGAGAGACUUACAGUUGCUUCAUUCUGGCAAUAACUACAGGAAAGAUAUGAACUCAGCAAGUCAUGCGUUGUACGUGAACACAUAAAGCUCAAAUUAGCAGCUGAAUUCUUCAAAAGAGAAUAAAUAUGAAGAAACUGACCAAAUUCAUUUUCACCUGACUGCACAGCUGACCAAAUGGGUUUGCAAUGAAACUCAAUGUGAUGAUGAUGGCAUUUUUCCCCUAAAUUAGAAUUAGGUGAUCAUUCUCUUUCUCUCCUCCUCCGUCAGUUGUCCCCGAAAACCAAAGUAAGUAGAGAAAGAAGAGAUUAAACAAAUUUGAGAGAAAAUUGAAAGCCAAUUACCCUUAACAGAAGCAAAACUCGAAUCAACAAUUCAAUGUAAAUCGGUACAAUCGCUAAUCGAGGUCUCCUACUGCAGCAUGGAGAAAACCUGAAUCAGUUCAAAUCAAGGGAAACAAAAAAACCCAAUCAAAAAUUCGAAUAACCCAAUCAACUUUUGAGAAGGAGACUAUCGAAAUGAGAAGAAGAAAGAGGAAAGAGCACACCCUCUCCACCCAUGGUUGAGACGAAGGAGACCGGACUUGCCGCAGAAAGUAGCUAGAGUUUUCUAUGGGUUUAGUGUAUUUUCAGAAGAGCGAGAGUCAGAGAACAACGUACAUCCUCUGAAAAGAGGAAUUUGCACGGCAGUCAAGGGCUCUUGGAGGAUAUCCAUUUCCAUCUAUCUCUGGAAGUUUCGGGAGAGCGCAAGAAGACGCAGAAGAUAAGAAAUAACACGCGGCAAGAGCCAAGAGACCAGCGAAUAUCAAGGCCCAACACCAGGCGCAUCACUGUUCAGAAUGCGAACAGUAAGGCGGCGCCAGCGCCUAUAAUAGAUAGUUAAAUAUCCAACACGCUUCUGUGCACAUUUUGCAGCCUUAACCUGUUACAAGGACCGAUAUGGAGAUGAAUAUAUAAGCCAUGUUGCUGUGCCAGCUUGAUGAACUUGAUCACAUCAUAUCUAUCCUCAAAAAUACUAACAUUUUGAAAGCUGUUCAUGAGUAUAAAUGCAUAUAUAUCUUGAGGGAAAAGUAGAAUUUAAUGUCCUUUGUACGUAAUUACAGAGAAGAUCUGUUUGAUGAACCUCUGCAUGUAAUUAAUGUCCUUUGUAUCAAAAUACCAAUUUUACUAAUUCAAAAUCAGAAAUGAAAAUUCAUUCUUUGAAGUAUAAUCCACGUGCAUCUGCAUUGAUCACAGUUUUCACAUAAACACUCUUAUCUCUAUAAAGGAGAAGUCUUUUUAUGCACAGUAUGUUUUUGUACAUUAAUUAUUUACCUAGAAGACUAAACCCACAUAGACAUAGAAAAGGUAGCAAAUCACCUAUACAAAAUCUGGAAUCAACUAAUACAAACAAUUUUGGCCAAAUCUUUUUUUCAUUGUUACAAAAAAAAUAAAUUAAAGCAGAAGUCCCCAAAGAUUCCCAACUAAAUGAAUAAUAUAGAAUUGUUUGAAAUCUUGAAUGUAGAAGAAGUAGCACAUACCUAUGAACCUCCUCCCUAUUCAAACACCAGAAUGAAAAAAGUCAGCGAAAUAUAUUCAGUGGAAAAAAAAAUUCAAAGAUCUAAAAGAUUCAUGUACAUGCAUAUAACUAUCUGAUUGGGAAAUCGGUACUAAUAGUUAGAAAGGUGAAGACGAAUGGUAUAACUAUCAGACUGAUAUUGAUCGACACCAAAAUUUUAGUGCUGACGGAACCUAAAUUGACCCAAAACCUCAUUAUCUUGAUGCUUGAUUGAAACCCAAACUCGCAACCACAGUGAUCAGCGAAAUCGAACACCUUCUGCAUUAAUCACCCAAAAAUCGACCAAAGGAGAUGAGCGACCAUAUUGAGCGACUCAUAAACCCAUAAUUCAAGAUCCAAAUCAAAAAAAUAAAAUUUCAAAGGAUGAUGCUUACCUUAGGAAACCUGAAUUCACCCAAAACGGUUACCUUAGUUUGAUCUCCACUCUCUUUCAGACUCUCUCCUCUGUUGUGACUUGUGUCGAAACCAAGACGUAGAAAAGAAAGAAAACGAAACGAAAGCCAGGGAAGAGACGCACGGAGACGGUAGACACACACGUGGAAGUAAAUAGCUAACACCUGUCAUGCCAGAAUUGUAACUCGGCGGAGAACGGAAGGGCAAAAACGGCAGCCCAACGUUCCCUUAGAAAUAGUAGGUCGGCCCCAGGCCGCAUAAUAAUAUAGUAAAUUGAAAAACAAAAAUGAAAGGAAUUGAAAACCCAUUACCCAUAGACACCAUAGACAUCUUCUUCUUUCGCAGCUUCAAAACCACUCACAACUGAUUCAAAAACCUCAGUAAAGGUUUGAAUUUGAUUAUCCAACCCAGCCAAAUCCUGCAUAAAAUAUGAGGAAAACAUGACCAAUCUUACCAAACCGGAAAAUCCGAAACUCAUUUGCACCACCAAAGCUGCAUGUGCCAGAUAAGAAGCUUACCUUGAGCCGAAUCCCUCAAAAGAUCUUACACUACAUACCUGAACUCUAUAAUAGUAUAAUUAUCCUAACACAUAAUUACAACAAAAUAGGAACCCACAACACUAAGAUGUCGUAUUGGGCUCACCCCUCCUUUUUUUCCCAAAUUCAGACCUCCUAUUUUUCCUUCAUGAAAACCCAGAAAACUAAACUUUUUAUAAGUCGUAUCAUAGGAAGUGAGAAAGGGAAGAAAAUGAGAAAAGCAACUUACCGAAACAAAAUACCAUAUGUAGAACUCACCAAGACGCAUGCCAAUACACCAAUAACGUACCUGAAACUCUUUGUUCAUCAAACCCAUUAAACCCAAUAAUGUUCCACAUGAAAAAGUUGAGCUUCUUGGAUGGCGUAAGCAGCUCCUUCAUCCAAGUAGUCCGGCAUUUGAAAGAGGAAAAUAACAAUAGGACAGGUAAUUAGAUCAGAAACAGUUCGAAUAUCAAAAAGAGAGCAAAGAAGAUCAAAAUUUAGAUUCACAAUAUAAAAAACGAAAUAACAAACUUAGGAGAAGUAAGCACACCUGAAAAAAUAUAACCCCCUUACAGCCUUACACACACAGAGCACCACCUUCGAUCUAAAAUCCAAUUCCAAAACACAUGCAGAACAACAAACCAAACAGUUAAAGUAAAAAGGAAGCGAAAUACUUAUCAAAGUUAAGGAAACAUUCGAGUGACUACAAUACUCAAACUCGUACUCCAUCGGUCAAACUUGUACUCAUUCUUCCGUUUAUCUCUUUACCUCAGGAUAAUCAACAAAACAGAUGUUGGAAUUGAUUUUGGUUUAAAGAAAGGAUUGCUGAUCUAAAAGUGAAAAUAAAUUUCACUGUGAAAGACGAAUUCCUUACCAGAUUUAAAGGUUAAUCGAUCAAUCAAUAAAGUUAAACAUGCACAUAAAAAAUGCAAAUCGUUUCUGUUAGUUAACAAUUGAAAACAGUAUACAUGGCACAAUAAACAAACUCGGGAUUAUAAAAUCACUUAUUCAUAGUUUACAUUACUUUCUCCACACCUUAAAUCAAAGAAAGAAGACAAUAUACAGAUAUGAUCGACAUAUUAAAAAAAAAGAAUGCAAAAUUAAUUUUACAUGCUCAGCCACACUCAUGCCUGAAUACCCCCCUUUCGAUCUUCAUUUUCACCGAAAAAUGCAUACCAUCAACUUAGGAAAAAAAUAAUUCCAAAGAACCCAACAAACUUAGAUUGACUAAAGAAUCCAAGAAAAAGCAGCCGGAAUGAAACAAACAUAGUAAAGUGGGAGAUAAGAGUAUCAGCCUUUAACAACAGAAGCAGGUUCACAAGGUCUCUUCUUAAUGGUUGCAGGAGUGACAGCAAGUACUUCAUGCUCAGCUGGAGCAUCCUGACCUUGUAGAGAUGGAACUUAACCCUCAGCAGUUGAGCCAUUCUCCUCACCCAAGCGAGAUCUUCUCCUCUCAAUGGCCUACACUGAGUGCACGUUUGGUACCCAGUACUGGGUUAGACCUCCUUAAUUCUUAAGACUGUCCUGGACUAGUGUGGACUGCCUUAAAUUGUACUAAUACUGGGCAACGUUUGGUGUUGCAUGGGAUUAGGAAAAAAAGUUCUAAAUUAGAGAAGUCUCAUGUUUGGUGAUGCAUUGGACUGGACUACUCUAACAUAACAAUCUAAACAAUCUUAGUCUAACAAUCUAAACAAUCUAACAUCUAACAAUCUUGGUCAUUGAAAUUUUGACAUGAAAUCGAAAAAAAAAAAAAAUUGACAUUAACUACACAGAACAAGUACCUCAAAUAUGGAUAUGCCCUUAACAACUUAUAGAAACAUGUGAAAGAAAUAUGCAGAAUCCAAAAGAGAGAAAGAAACCUGUGAAAGAAAUAUGCAAAAUCUCCUAAAGAACAUAGAAGCUGAGUUGAAGAUUCUAAAGAAGAAAACCGGAAGCUUUUACACAAAAAAAAAAUCAGUUUACCUGCUAUGGACUUCAGGCAAAUUGUACCUGAAACCUUAGUUGAUUAAACAGUAGGAAACCAAGCAACAUUGUCUGUUAAACAAAGGAUCUAAACAUCUUUGAUACCACUACAGCUCUAUAAAUUUUAUCAAUCCAUAGCAGUAACUGUUUUACCACCAGUAUCUAUAGACCAAACCACACUUCCACGCUACCCUUAUCAUCAAACACAAACACAAACUUAUUUGCAGUCCACACUAUCUUCGUGUUGUCCAUGUGCAUAACACAAAGAAUGAAUAAAGUGACAUCUUGAGUGGUGACAAAGCCAAAAGCAAAAUCAGAUUGAUUAGACAAGAGAAACAGCCCAUCAUUAUCAAUCCAAUUAAUCUGAGCCCCUUCAAAACCCGGACUAAGUUUCCCAAAAUUUCUAACACUAGCCAGGCAGGUUUCCGAGGAGAGAACAGACAACAAUAUGAAGCCUAUGACAUGAAUCAAGUUCCAACCUCCCAUGGCUACUCUAAGAACCAGAAUUGAGGUAAGAUUUUGACAAUUCAAAAUUUCAAAUAUUGAAGAAGACAACACAGCCAACCAAAUAGACUAGAAUUCUUCACAUCAGAAAAAGGGACACAAAGAAAAGGAGGGUGUGAAAAAAGAAAAAGAAUGAGGUGGCCAAUCACAGGAUCAAGGUUCAGUAACUGAAUCUACACAAUUUCUAGCAUAAACAUAACCACAAAGCUUCUUGAACAAAAAGGUCCAUUACCAAAAGGAAGCACAGCAGAAGAGAUUUGGAAGCUGAAUUGAGAAAGAGGAGAAGAGAAAUAAUUAGCAGAGAUGAAAAAGAAGAGAACUUUGACUCGCUUAGAAUCAAGAUGAGAACAAAUAUGUGAACAAAGAAGCUUUCAACGGUUCAACACAUGUAUCCAUCAGAUCAUAAGCAAAGCUUUCCACAUUUUAAUAAUUUCAACAACAUUUUCACCUUACCAUUGACAUCUAAUAUCAAUUUCAAUCACAUAAUCUAAUCAUGACAUCUAGUGUAAUCAUGCAUUUUCUCUCAAACCAAACAAGAACUUAGACAAAAAAAGAACACAAGCACUGUUGAAUAAACAUCAAACAUAUUAUUCAAAUUCAAAUGGUACCAUUGUCGAUUAUCUAAAGCAAUUCGGUGAUCUCGUCUUUGCCUCAAUUUCAACAUCAGUAACACAAGGAUUGUACAAGCAGACACAUUCUCUAAAUGCCACAGUUCCAACAACAAGAUCAACAACAGAUUUCUUCCAUCCAUAUCUAAAAGUAAAAAAAUUGAAUCAACCAACAAUUCACAAGAAUGACAAAUUUAUAAAUACAAGACAGGGAACAAUUCACCACGAUCAAUCUCUUUGUUUUUUUGCUUAAGACGAUUGACUAUGGAUCGAAUAGAGAAAAACUGAUUAUCAAAGAGAGAGAGGAAGAAAUAGAUGGACGUACCUGCUGACGAAUCCGGGAAGAAGAUGGCGGCAAGCUUGGCCUUGGAGGUGUCGACGGCCUCGUGGUCGGGGCGGGGGCGUUGAGGACGGAGCGGAUCUGGGAGACGUCAGAGACGGCGCGGGUCAGAGAGGAGGUGAAGAAUGGAAUCGUCUAUGAAAUCAGAGAGGAGAAAAGUUGUGGAGCAGAGAUUCUUUUCGGGGUGGAAGUGGAACAGAGGAGGUGAAGAAGAAGAGAGAAGAGUUGUGGAGGAGGCGAUGCGAACUGAGAGAGGUUAGUGAGGUCUUAGCUAAGGGCCUCUAAUCGGAAUACCCACGCUAAGCCCUGCUAAGGAGGCGAAAUCAGAAAACAGGUCCAAGUUAAGCCCAUUAAUAUUAGUACCGAGAGAGACCAAACAUGGGAUUAGCCUUGUUUCACUCCUUAUUUAACACUGGCUUAGAUAAUACCGGGUACCAAACGUACCCAGAAAGUACAGUGUAAGGCUCAUAUUAACCAUAUGCUAUCGAUACAUAGUGGCUGAUAAUAAAUCAUUUUAUAAGAAUAAAUAAGAGGAGCUAGUUUCACAACUGACAACAGAAAACCUAAAGGUAUGUUUCAUUAACAUGGUAUAACUAUGAACCAAUUAAUAGAGUUGAAACAUAAACCUUCACCAAGUUUUUCACAUGUCCGUCCCUUUGGAAAUUAAGUAAAGGCUAGACGAAGGAAUGUCAAUAAAGAGAGGCAUAACAUUGAAAGAGUGAACUUUACUGAAAAAUAGUAUUUCUUAUUUAAGAACACUAAAACCAGCAGUAGAAGCAGGUUUGAUAAUGAAGGUGUGUGGUUAUGAACCAAAUGACACUAGUUGUUUCACAACUCAAGAAGACAGCAAAGAGAGGAACACUUAAAUAUCUAACCCACUAACGUCGAGACACACACACACAGACAUAUAAAUCAAUCACAAAAUCAAUACAAGGAAACUCAUUGAUCAAUAACCCAAUCAAACAAAGAAAAGACGAGGGUAACACGAAUCACUGAAAUUAUAAACACGUCUACUUGGUAAUAAACCCAAUAAUGUACCUGAAACUGUUUGUUCAACAAACCCAUUAAAGCCAAUAAUGAUACUGAGACCAUGGAAAACAAGUGAGACUCUUUGUUCAUCAAAACAAGCAAACAACAUAGACAAUGUGACAUGAACCGCUACAGGUACAAGCAAACAAAAUAAAGACCCAUUUAUAUAUACACUGCAAAAUGGAUUCAAUGAAAAUUUUCAUGAAACAAACCAACCAUUCAAUAUAUUACAGCAAAUAAAUAGCCAAGAGACCCAAUCACUGAAAAUAAAGAGCACUGAAAGCCUAAUAUCCAAUCAAAAAAUUUGGGGAUUUAGGAUUUUGGCCAUCCCCUGAAAUUCUUUGAAGCCCUAAAACUAAUGAAACAAAGUGAUCCUCACCUAGUAAUCGCAGUUAUAUCAUGCAGAGGGGUUCUUGGGUACCAAGAAGGCAACACGCUGUUCGAUCUCUGUCCCCUUCUCCGGCUAAGACGUCCACGUCCACGUCCACGCUCGAUUCCGGUUCCCGGAGUCCUCAAACUGCUCGGUGCCACUCCACCGCCUGUCCCCCAAAUCCCUAGGGGCCGCUGGGUCACCGAAGUUGCCGCCGCCCGCUCCGCCUCUGAGCGAAGGCCUCGGCGAUGUCGAACGGCCUCACCAAUCGGAAUCGCGUCUCAGCCGGCAUGUUGAUCGAUCUGAAAACGGGAAAAUCAAACCAAGAUUAGCACUCAAAUUUCAAAGAAAAGAACAUUCCCGAUCAAAACUAGGGUUAACUCAAACCGCCGGAGACAAAAACCGUCACCGAAAAAUUGAAAACUGAACGGCGACUCAGACCGAUCUGAGCGAAGAAGAAGCAAAUAUUUGAUUUACCUGAAUUAGUGUUAGGAUCUGAGACCUAACGCGAGAGAAAGGAGAGAAGGGAAGAAGAGAAUUGGGGAAGAAGAAACUAAAUUGCAUUCAUAAAACAACUAAUUAUGCUUAAUUAACACAAGAGGGUUUGGUGGUGCCUCGAAUUCGAAGAGAAGGGGAGGAAGGAGAAAAGGAGAGCUCCAUGUUGAAAGGACCACGACACACACUUGGAUAGGCCUUUUAAACAGACGGUGUCGUUUGGACGAAACAAAAAAGAAGAUAGAAAGAUUGGUGAUGCGGGGGAUCGAACCCCUUACCUCUCCCACACAUUUUUUUACUCCUAUGAUGUUGUUUUUUUUUUUUUUUUAAGAGGACCACAUCAUUGUGAACCAACUACACAGAGGAAUCAAAAUUUUCAAAAAUCUUGUAAAAUAGGAUAUGAUCGGAAUAGUGAAAUACAACUAAUGUUUUAAAAAAACACAAACUUCCGGUAAUGUCUGGACCCCGAUAAACGCGGUCAACCCUAAUUACAUUUAGACACUCCUACGGAGAGCCUAACCACCGGAGGGUCAAUUUAACAAAAAAAAAUUCAUGGGGUUCCUAAAGCUCAGCUUUAGGUUCGAAAAAGGAGAAAAAUAGGGUUUCGCACGAUGCCGGUCAACCGCGUUUUAGGUAAAAAAUGAUGUUGAAUUAAGGUUGACCGAUUCGAUGGGGAACGUAACAAAUGGUUGAUUUUUUUCAAUAGACCUAUUUAAUUAGCAUUAUUACAUCAGACGGUGGAAUUUUUAUUUUACAUAUUUAUGACCUCGGAUCGCCUCGUGUCUACUAAAGCGAUACAACUUGUUUAAUAUGUUACUAGAAAGGCCUCGCUCGCGUAUGCGCUUGUUUGUUUUUGUUAAAUAUAUUAACCAUGUACAUAAUCUUCACUCUUUAACUAUGUUGUGCUUUAAAUGUCGUUUAGGAGUGUGUUAUUUGUAAUUGUUACUGCAUGCAAACAUUAGUGAAAAAAAAAAAAAAAAUUACACUCGAGGCCUUUGUGUCUCAUCCUUUGAAGCCAUGUAUCAAAUCAUGCAUUCAACAUAGAUUUGUCCAUGAGAACUUGUACAUCAAAUAGUGGACAAUGGUCAUCAGUCAUCACUACCUUGUAAUACUCUUUUUUGUACGUCCUCCCCUUUAAAAGAAGUAGUUUCUGGUGUUGCUUAUAGGCUUCCAUAUAUGAGAGAGCGGAGAGCUGAAAUAUAAACAUGAUGAUUAUUUGAGUGAAAGCCUACCCAAAAAAAAAAAAAAGGAAUUGGAAAAUCUUCCACAUCCAUGAAAUGGAUCCCAUUACCCAAUGAAAACAAAGACCGGUGAUAUCAAUAAUAGGUAAGAAGUAUCCAAAUAAAAGAGAAUUUAAAAAAAUAAAUAAAUAAAAACUCAAUGUCAAAUUUUGACAAACUCUAAGUAUAUUAUAGAUCACUUCCUUCUUAACAGUUUUUCAUUACGGGGUUGUUGUUUUUUUCUUCUUGUUCAUUCUCCCUGUUUUAUUAUUAAGAAAAAACAUUUAGUUUUCAAAAAACAUUAAGCAGAUACAAAAACAAAGACACAAAACUGAACGAUACAUCCUUAAUCCAAACUUAGACGUUUCAAUUCAUUGAAGCUUCUAUGAACCUUUAACUUCCCGUUGAUGUCAUGAUUUCACACAUUUCUAAUGAGACACUUUGAUUUUCCUUCUUAUCUUCUUCAACUCCAUCUUUCUUUUUAGAAUUUUAGCAACCUGCAGUUUUAGAACGUGAAGAAAUGAGGUGAUUUGAGUUUCUUUUUAUGUGUGCGGCUAGGUCUCCCCUCUUCCAAAUGAGGUGAUGCGUGUGUGGCUGGAGACUUGAGGAUAGAAUGAAUGAUGUGGCAUCUUGUGAUUGGUUGAAGAGGGAAAAUGAAGUGAUGCUGGUGUGCACGUGAUGGUCUCCUUCCCAUUUUGCAUAAUUAAACAACUCAUUGAUUAAUUUGUAAUACUGCACGUUUUGGGUGGGAGAAGUUAAUUAAGCUUUAAGCUUAAUUAGUUAGUUAACUAAUCAAGCUUAAUUGUUUAACUAAGAUAACUACCAUCUCGUCUUUUUGCAGAAAACUCUUCUUCGCUCCAAUUUCAAGUCAUUUCUCUCAUUUCCGUAACUUCCGUAUAUUUUCUACAAAAUAAAUAAAAAUGGAUUAAUUACAUUAUGAUUACUAUGAGAAUUAGCUAACUCAUAGUGUUUAAGUAGUAAUUAAGUGUAUAAAAAUACACGUAAUUAAACCCCCACACUUGAACUUUGUUUGUCCUCAAACAAAUUAAAUAAAACAUAAACCGAAAACUACUAACUUAAACACACAAAUGCAAAUUAGUGGUGCUAGCAAGUCUUUCCCACCAUAUCCUCCGGGAACUAAAUUAUGUAAAUGACAAUGAAUUGAUCAAGCAUAUGUAUAGGUCUCAAAAAUUUAUUAGGUAAUUAAUAUAGGAUUAAAUUCAGUUUGCCCCCUCCUACUUUAGGUCAAUAAUCAGUUUAGUCCCAUAUCUUUUUUUUAAUAACGUUGGUCCUUGAAGUUCUAUUUCACAUCAGUUUAGUCUAAUUUUUGAAUUGCUCUCCUUACUAUGACAUCAUGCGCUGAGUUGUCUGCGACACAAGGGCUCAAUUUCUAAUUUAAAAAGGCAGAAUAGUCAUUUUAUCAUAUUAUGGUCUUCAAAUAAUUCAAAAUUAACAGAAAUGAUUUUGAGAGAAAAACACAGUGAUGCACAGUACCUGCCGACCAAAAAUAAUCUUUGCUCUUUGCUACGCCACAAUACCCACCUCCUCUUCCUCCCCACACCCACAUCUCCAAUCCCACCAGAGCCCAACUCGACGACACCGUUCGUUGUCGGGACGCAGACCAUGGUCUGAAGCCCGAACACCUGACCUUGGCGGGCACGCUCGCAAGAAGAGGCGGCGAAGCGGUCCGGCCCGGCGACCCAGACCGGGUUGGAAUGGAAGAAGUCCUGACCCGGCAGCCCGUCGCCGUUGACGAAAUUCUGGGUCAUGGAAACGAGGAAGAACCAUUAUGUGUAAGUGACCUCUUGAUCGACGAGGGCGUCGUCGACGGAGGUGUCAGCGCCGGAAGUCAAGGAGUUCAAGUCCCUGAGAACUUUCUUGCGGUACUCUUGCUCGACCAGAGACGUCGUCGUUUUGGGCUUCGUUUUUACUUUGUCCCUCUCGUCCUUGUAGAACCCCUCGCCCCAGCCGAGCACGGAGGCGCCCGACAUGUCGUACGACGACUGCCAGGAGAUGGCGUAGGUCCAGCUCUCCCUGGCGCCCUCGAUCAAGGCAUGUAGCCACUGCAUAAGGGUCUCUUGGUUGAACUGCGCCGAUACCGGAGUCGGCGCCUGCGCCGGGGGGCGGGGGUAGUCCGACAUGGAAGCCAAAGACUGGGGCUGGUGAAGCGGGUGGGCGGCGGGAUGGGGUCGGCUGGGCGGCCCAGAAGGAGGUGAGAUCGAAGUUACUUAUGAAGGCCUCCAUGAGGGAGGCGUUGUCGUCUAUCCAGAGAUUCAUGGUGGGUGGUAUCCGGUAGUCCGUCAUGUGAAUGAUGUGAUGAAACACAACGUUUGGGUUAUGGUGGGAUUGGAGAAGUGGGUGUGGGGAGGAAGAGGAGGUGGGUAUUGUGGCGUAGCAAAGAGCAAAGAUUAUUUUUGGUCGGCAGGUACUGUGCAUCACUGUGUUUUUCUCUCAAAAUCAUUUCUGUUAAUUUUAAAUUAUUUGAAGACUAUAAUAUGAUCAAAUGACUAUUCUGCCCUUUUAAGUCAGAAAUUGGGCCCUUGUGUCGCGGAUAACUCAGCGCAUAACGUCAUGGUAAGGAGGGCAAUUCAAAAAUUAGACUAAACUGAUGUGAAAUAGAACUUCAAGGACCAACGUUAUUAAAAAAAAAGAUAUGAGACCAAACUGAUUAUUGACCUAAAGUACGAGGGGGCAAACUGAAUUUAAUCCAUGAUUAAUAUAUAACAUGUAAAAGAUGUUUAUGUGCUAGCCAUGUGUCAAACCAAUUUACGACAAGUAAGUACGACAUACUAAACUUGGAUUAACCGCUAAACUCACAAGGAUGCACUAAAUAUUUCGGCUCAAGUGUUUAGGGCUAAUUGUGUUUCACUUAAUAACAAUUUCGCAAAUUAGGUCUCUAUAGGCUUGCUCUUCUACCGCAUCUCCGCUAGGUAGCUUCACAACUUUCAAGAUCAUGGGGUAUUUUAUUUGGUUAUAAUGGGGUUAAGAGCAUGUGGCUAAUAUAAAUGAAGGAUAUGAAAAUAAUAAGUCCAAAGAAAUAGGUGAAGUAACUCUCUCUUGUAGAGAUAUUAGAAUUUUGCUUUCAAGUGCUAGCUCACCCACUCCAUUCCCAAUAGCAACCCACUAACAAGACUAUACAAUAUUUUUUUCUUCUACAUUUUUUCUUUCUUUUCUUUUUGUCUCUCUAUUUUUNNNNNNNNNNNNNNNNNNNNACAAGGGAUUGUAGUGUAGGACCUCAAGCUUCGUAUCCUCUUCACUAAACAAGGACUCAUCCUCCACAUAAGACAAGGCAUCCUCCUCUUCGGAAUCAUCUUCAAGUAGCUCUCCACUAUUAGGAAGCCUACAUUUCCAAUAUUCCACCCAUUCCGUAGAAGAGUAGUCUCUCACCUCACUUGCAUUUGAACUCUCAUAACCAAGCUCACUUUCUUGUACAUCACCAUCACUAUCAUCAUCUUUAAUUUGAAUUAAAGACUCAUGCUCAAGAUUGAUGUACACUUAUUCUCUUGGAAUAUGCUCCACUUAUCAAAGAAAGGCUCUUGCAAAUAUAAAGUGGUGCGAUGUUGCUCUUGAAGGAUGCUAGCUUUGACAUAAUCCAUGAUUGGACCGACACUCUCACAUGAUGCUAUAAAUUGAGCAAACAAUUCUUCAAUGGAUGAGUGUGGAGGCUCUCACACUUGAUCUUGAGGAGAUUGCUCAUAUCUCAUUUGGUAUUUCCAUCCAUGAUUCUAUCGUUCCAUAGCUCAAAUUAGUAAGAAUAAAGUACCUAUGGAAUCCCAAGAGUGACAUUAGUAACAAAAAUUUAAAAAGAAAGUAAGAAAAUAAGCACACAAAACAUAACUAACUAACUAGAACAAUUUUUUUUCUUUUUCCUUUUAUCAAAAAUAAACAAAACAAAAACAAAUAUGCUAAAGUGACCUAUGACUGAUUCACCAAGGGAUUAAGGCUAUUAAACCAUAAUCCCCGGCAACAGCGCCAUUUAAUUUGAAGAAAAUGAGAAAGCCAAGUCAGAGUUGUAUUCAUUCUUUUAUUUAUACGGUUCAGAAGACAAGCCAGGUUUAAUGAGAACUUCAAAUGGAGUGGCUUUAUUUAUACGAUUGGUGUUGAGGACGCGGCCAUGUAAAUGAUGUAAUUGAUAGUGAAGGUGCUGGUGAAGGUAACUUCACGAGAAUCAUGCUUGAAACUUGAAAGUAGGAGUCAUCAUGCUUGUUAAUAUUCGUUGUCUAAUUUUUGAGCUCUGAUCCCAAAAUAAAAAAAUUAAAAAAAAUGGCACGUGUGACAUGAGCGGGAAUAAAAUUGAAUCGCAAAUAGAGACGUUGCUGGAUUGACUUCGAUGGAUGAUCACGGUUUCUACGACGUAAUGGGAUCGAAGACUACACGUGUCAUUUUAAGGGUGAAAAAGAAAAUGAGUGGGGAGUAGGAUUCUGACAAGUGUGUUUUUUACAAUAUUUUAGGUUAUGCAAGUUGAUUAGGCUAAUUAUUAGCUAGCUGAAUGCCACGUGGAGAGUGUCCAAUUUUACAAAGGUGAUGUGUUUAGAGUCGAUGCACAUCUUAACCUGAUCUUUAAUGAUUCAAAUCAGAAAGAAUAUUUGUAGAAGAAGCUAGAAAAAAAAACAAAUAACAAAAGAAAAAAAUAAUAUAUACUUUUGUAAAGGUAACAUUAGGUUUUCUUUUGUUCAUCACUAAAGUAGUUGUAUGUGGUUAGAUUAACAGCUUCAUUAUAAACAUAGUUGUUUUAAGAUGUGACGAAUAAGUCUAAAUAUCAUAUAACAUUCUAGGUUUAGGUUUUUGGUUCGUCGUUUACAUGACUUACAUUUUUUAGGGUAGGGUCAUUAAUUCUCGUCAAACUAUUGUAUGUCACCGUGAGAGCGAGUGAUUUGCUUCAUUCGCUGGUGGUUUCUAUGUCCUCAUGUUAGCUUCAUCUGUCACUUUAGCAUUGGAGUCCAUUAUCUUCUCUCAUAUUUUUCUCAUUAUAGCCUGUUGAAAACUUGUGAAUUGAGUUUUGCAUGCCUCACCAUAAUUAUUCGUCUCAUUAUAGCCUGUUGAAAACUUGAAAGAAGCUGCAGCAAGGGGUUUCCAAGAGGGUUUCUGAAAAUGAAACCGCCUGCCGCAUAGCUACUCUUCACAGAUCCAUCAAAAUUUAAUUUAACCCAAUCACUAGGGGGUGGAGACCACCUUAUCAGAUAUCAUUCUCAUAGUUUGAUAAGUACUCCUGACUGUGCAAAGAUUGGCCGAAUUCUGGAGGUGGCUCAUUGCAGCAGCAAGAGUCGAUCUAGGAUUAGGCUGUUUGCCCCGAAAAAUGGUAUCGUUUCUGGUUUUCCAAACCUGCCAACAGAUAGUGAUUAAUUUCUCAAAUAAACUUGCGUCAUAAGGAUUUUCAAUGAACCAAUUAUGAAUAACUUUAAAAAAGCCUUCAUUCCAGCUAAUAGGGGGUGACAUGUUGGAGUUGGUCCCCAAAGGUCUUUUGUGAACCUGCAAUAUCCAAACAGAUGAUCAGUAGUUUCAUUAUCCUGAUUGCAUAAAGCACAAGAAUUAUCAUGCACUAUACCGAAUCGAGAAAGUCUAUCUUGGGUUUUCAGUCUUCCUCUAAGGAGAAGCCAGCCAAAGAAUUUAAUUUUUGGCUGGAGGUUCAGGGCCCAAAGCUUUUUGAUCAGCUCGAUCUGUUUAUGUUUUUGACAAUCCUGUAGUUGUAGCCAAGUAGCCGACUUUAUAGUAAACUUCACAUGCUGAGCAGUGCCCCAAACGCACUCAUCUGCAGAGGGAUUAGUGGGAAUAGGCACCCCAAGAAUUUCCUUCACAAUGUUCUCAUCAAGAAAACUCCUCAGCUUUACAGUGUUCCAGCCAUUUUCAUUAAAGUAAUCGCUCACUAGCUCAUCUAAGUUAAUGUUAUUCCUAAGAUGGGUAGGAAUAAGUUCGACAAGAGGAUGAUCAAAGACCCAGUUAAAACAGCAAAAGUUAAUUGACUUACCAUCACCUACAAUCCAUCGCAUACCUUUAAUGAUUAGGUCCCUUGUGUCCAGAAUACCAUUCCAAGCCAUUGAGUUUCUUUGCUUCUUUUUGGCCUGGAAAAAAGAACAUUUCCCGAGAUAUUUCUUCUGCAUGACCUGCUCCCACCAAUUGUUUCUAUCAGUAAUUACUUUCCAGGCAAGUUUUGCAAUUGCAGCCUUAUUAAAGAAAUCGGCUGGUCUAACACCUAGACCACCUAGAGCUUUAGGUUUACAUAUAUCUUUCCAAGCCACAGGAGUUUGUUUCAUAUCUGAACCCCACAAGAAAUUUCUUCCUUGUUUGUCAAUUUCAUUGGUCAAGUUCUUGGGGCACCGAAAAAGGACAUUACAUGGUUCGGCAUACCAGAAAUGUUUGCUUUGAUAAGGGUAAGUUUACCUGCCCUCGAGAGGGUGCUUUGUUUCCACCCUGAGAGUUAUUAGAAAUUCUCUGCAAGAGUUCCUUGGCAUUAACAGGGUCUUUCCACCACACAACAUUGUGAAUGCCUAAAUAUUUACCAAUAGUUCUUUUCUGUUGGAUAUUAAUAAUAUUCGUAAUUUCAUUCCUAAUGCUGUGAUUAACUUUUGAGGAAAAGAAAAGUGAAGAUUUAUGGAAGUUAAUCUUCUGACUUGAAGCAGCAGAGAAAGCAUCCAAAACUUUGCAUAUGUUCCUGGUAGCAUUUUUAGUGGUCUUUGCAAAAAUUAAACAAUCAUCAGCAAACAUCAAGUUUGAGAUUCUGAAACCAAGAGGGGAAGAAAGAAUUCCCACCUGGGCUUUACUGUUCACUGCCAAAGAGUUAAACCGUUUGAUUAAAGGUUCCAUUGCUAAAAUGAAAAUAUAAGGGGACAAGGGGUCACCUUGUCUUAUACCUCUUGAAGGUUGGAACCAGCCCUGAGGAGAGCCAUUGAGAAUAAUAGAGAAGGAAACAGAUUUAAUGCAAUGCAUAACUAACUCAAUCCAAUCAUAGUGAAAGCCAAAUCUCAAAAGACAAGCUUUAAUAUUAAGACCAAUCAAGUAAAUCAUAAGCUUUUUCAAGGUCUAGUUUGACUGCCAUGGCUCCAUUCCUUCCUAAUCUUCUUUGAAAAUCUGAGAAGAUUUCAUGUGCAAUCAAGAUGUUAUCCUAUAGCCCUUCCUGGUGCAAAAGCACCAUGGUUUUUCGAUAUACAUUUUCCUAAAAGAGGUCUUAAUCUUUUGAUCAAAAUUUUGGUAAUGAUUUUAUAAGAGACAUUGCAAAGGCUAAUAGGUCUGAAAUCAUUUACCUUAGAGGGAUUUUCUACCUUGGGAAUCAAGGCAAUAUUGGUAUGGUUCAAGUGUCUGAUUAGAUCUCCAUUGGUAAAGCAAGCUUUAAUCAUUGGUAUCACAGUGUCUCUUGUCUCCUUCCAGCAACUUUGAAAGAACAUUGCAUGCAGACCAUCAGGUCCGGGUGCUUUAAGCGCUCCAAUAGAGUUAACUGCUUACAGAAUUUCAUCAUCCGUGACCUGUUUCAAAAGAGCAUUAUUAUCCUCAGCUGUGAUUUCAGAGUUAAUAAUAGAUAUAAAAUCCAUAAUACUAGUUGCACUUGGAGGUGAAUCCUGGUGAAAUCUUUUCUUGAAGUCCUGUCCAAGAAUAUGAGCAAUAUCCUCCUCAUUCGAAGUCCAAUUUCCUUCUCUAUCUUGUAGCUUAGAAAUAUGGUUAACCUUCCUGUGAAUGUUUGCUUGAGCUUGAAAAAAUUUGGUGUUUCUGUCCCCUAGUUUAAGCCAAUUUGCUUUAGCUUUUUGUGCCCAAAAAACUUCCUCUUGUUUCCAGAUUUCAUGUAGGCUAACACGAACUUGAGCAUCUCUCUGCUUAAGAUAAAUGGAGCUUGGGUUGUUCAUGAGUUGUAAUUGGAUCUCAUCACUUUCCUUGUUCAGUUCCUCCAUUCUUUUGAAAAGGCUGCCAAAUUCUGAUUUUUUCCAAGAUCUGGCAACAUUAGAAAACUGGCCUGCAAUGGUAAUAAAAUUCAACAUAGGGUUAUUAUUAAAAUUUUGGGACCAAACUUUUUUCACUAAAGGGGCAAAGUUUGGAUGGGAAAUCCAAAUAGCUUCAAACUUGAAGGAUUUAGUAGUAUUCCUUCUGGGUGAAUCUAGAGAGAGGCAGAUGGGACCAUGGUCCAAAGUAAUAAUCGGUAGAUUUUCCAAUUUCGCAUUUGGAAAAUCAUUAUGAAAACUAGUAUUAACAAUGGCUCUGUCUAAUCUUUCAAAAAUCACCGAGUCAUCUACAUGCUUAUUUGUCCAAGUAAAAGGUAAACCAGAAGCCACUAGAGACACCAAACCAUUGUUGUUCAAGAAAUCGCAAAAAUUUAGCAUAAACUUCGUUACACCACCAAUACCCCCAAGUUUUUCCUCAGGGGACAUAUUGAAGUCACCCAUUAACACCCAACAAGAGUUAUUAGUUGGGCUGAGCAUAGAAAUUUCAUUCCAUAAGGCAGCUUGGUGUUCCUUUUUUGGAUAGGCAUAAUCAAAGGUAAAUAAGCAAGAUUUAUUUUCUCUGAGGUUAGUAACAUUGCAAUGUAUAAAUCUUUUGUGAGUAGAGAUAAUUUGGAUAGACACAGAUUUUGAAUUCCACAGCAAGGUCAUACCUCCACACUGUCCAACAGAAGGAACAGAAAUAGACUGAUCAAAAGGCAACUUCCUGGUUUUAUUUAAAGUAGUAGCCGAUGAUCUAGUAUCAAUGACACAUAAAACCUCAAUUUCAAAACAAGAAGUAUAAAAGAGUGCUUGUGCUUCAAAACCAUCCCAAGCACUCCCUCGGCUGUUCCAAGACAUUACUUUCAUUUUUUGUCCAAGCUUAGCAGAAAAAGCACUGCCAUCAUCUUCGGCAGAUUCAUACAUGAGAGUAUCAAUGAAGGUUGUAUCGAUGACCUCUGUAAGAUAGGAAUGCUUCAAUGCUUGGCCUAUAGAAAUCAAUGGCUAUAUUUUUCCAAAUUGGUUUGGUUUAAUUAAUAGAGACUAGCCUUCCUGAGAACUAUAAAUGUGCUAUAUUUGGUUUCAAUCUGAGAACUAUAAAUUCACAAUUUUUAUGCAUUACUUUUUCUGUAUUGUAGUAAUUUGAUAUCAGAGAGCAUGAUGAAGAUGAUUCAGAAUUCUCCUUCAUUGGCGGAGUCCCCAAGAAGCUGUGGUGCCGAAUUUUCAUCGUCCAAUCCGUAGUUCCAAAAUGAAAAAUAGGUUUGUUUUGUGUGAUUGUAAUUCUGGAUUAAUGAGUAUUCGUACUGUAUGAAAUCUUAUUGGUUCAUUGAUAUGAGUUUUUUGUAUUUGGAUAAUGUAGUUUUUUUGCUGGAGAUGCUCUUAAUGUGUUUUGUUUUCAUUCGAGGUUCUCCGCUUAAAAUCUUUUAUUCAUUCGAUGGAAGCUAUUGUUGGAUAUUCUCCAGAUAAAAGUCAGAAUAUGAUUCUUAUGGGUGGUUUAAGAAAACAUGAUUUGCGCAUAUAGUCGGAAAUAUUUCUCAUUAUUAUAGCGGAUCUUUAAAAAAAAAGAUACCUAAAACUAACAUCAUAUAACCCAAUUGAGACAUUGUAGAAUAAGCUAAACCCUUCAUUUAAUCAAUGUUAUUGUUAACUUGUACAGUUCACACUCUUUGGCUCUACCUAAAAUUAUCUAGUACUAGAUCUUUCACAACGAGAUCCAUUUAUACAGUAACGGUAUUUAAUUAUGAAGAUUGGCUGAAGGGUGGUUAUUGGAUCAUUUACCAACCUGAGUCUGAUAGACUCUAUCAUUUAUUUUAUAGAAAAUGAUAUCCCAAUACCAUAGAUAGUUGUAAAACACAGAAAAACCAACAUUCAACAAAUUUAAACAAAUAAGGACAUAAGCCCAAGCCCACAAGGCAUAGUCCCACGCCUUGUCAGCAAUUUUUAAGUAAAAUACUUAAAAAACCAAUCUUUUCUAAAAAAACUACAAAACUGCCAUGACUAAAAAUAUCUUCUCUCUCUGAUCUGUCAUACUCUCUCUCUCUCUGCACACCACACAACGCCGAUCGAAUCCGCCGUAAUUGCUAGAUCGACCUCAUCGAUCGUCUCCGCCGCCUGCUAGAUCGACUCAGCCACCUGCACCUCGCCGAUCGACUCCGCCGCAGCUAGAUCGACGCCGCUGUUAUGAGCUAGGGUUCCGAUUGGGACGAUAUUCCCGAUUUGUGUCCUCAGGUGAGAUUGGGAAUCGACAUGUUGAUAAGGAAUGCGAAUUCGUUCCGAUCUUGAAGCUAGGGAACUAAUCAAAGCUCAGAGAAAUGGACGUGGACUCCUCGAUGGCGCCGGAGGCCGAUCACGAUCCGGCUGUACAGAACCAGAGCACGACGGCGGUGGAUGGGGGAGAACAGCUAGGAGAACAACAGCCUCAGUCUCCGGCUUCCCCGGCGGCGCAACAGCUUCAGUCUCCGGCGUCGCCGCAGUAGACUCCGGUGGCCGGACCGAGGCAUGCCCCGACGUACUCGGUGGUCAAUGCGAUUUUAGAGAAGAAGGAGGAUGGGCCGGGGCUGAGGUGUGGCCACACGUUGACUGCGGUCGCCGCUGUUGGCGAGGAGGGCAGUCCUGGAUACAUUGGACCCCGGCUGAUUCUGUUCGGCGGUGCCACCGCCCUUUAGGGCAAUUCUGCGGCUUCUGGGACUCCAUCGUCAGCUGGAAGUGCCGGAAUAAGUAUGUUGUUAUCUUNNNNNNNNNNNNNNNNNNNNUUUCAGCAAUGACCUUUUCUCAUGAAAUGCUCAUAUCUCAAACUGAGAAUGUGAUAAAUAGAUGAGGCUUCCCUUAGUGGAAAGUAGACUCAUAGAGCUUUCUAACCAUAUGAAGUAGGCCACCUAUCUCCCAACGAGAUAAAAACUAAAGCCGGUCAAAGUUGCCGGUUAGUCAUGAAGUUUGCUGCUGACCCUCAGUCACCAAAAAUGCAAUAUCUGAAGCUCCAGGGGUGAAAAGUGGGUGAGGCCAACUGGAGGAAAAAGUAGACUCACGUAAUCACAUUGUGUUAAAUUUUUACUGACAAAUGAUCUCUGAGUCAAAAUUGGUUGGCCUCGAAACUCACUGAACUGUUCUGCAGAUUCCGCUGUGCCCUGUUUCUGCCCUUUGUUACUUGGAACAUAAUAUCAGUAGCUAGGGAAAUGAAAACUGAAAACUGUUUUACCAGCAUCCACUAGACAUCUGAAGGCACAUCUCUGAAAAAUUUCAGCUCAAAAUGACAUGAUAUGUAGAAGAAGUGCCUCUUCAAAGUCAUUGCACAGUAGCAGUCUCUGUUCUGAUCUCCAUGCUUUGACCAUUUAAUAACUACAGUUCCAGUGACUCAAAGAGGCUGAAAUUUGGAAACAACACAGUAGACAAAUAGGGGUAAUACUCCAAAUAUUUUCAGCUCCAAAUAGCAUCCAUAUGGAAAAAUAUGAUCCCCCAAAGUCGACUGAAAAUCUGGACAGAAACUGUUCGCUUCCCCAUUCUUGCAUUCUUCACAAUUCCGAUUCCAAACACCUCCCAACCUCCCAAAAGUUACUAUAAAGUCUUAUUCAACACAAAAAGAAGAUAAUAAAAACAGGAAUGUUACCGAUGAUGUGCUAGGGUUGCCUCCCUAGCGAGCACUUUGUUUAAGGAUGUCGUUGCCGGUCCAUAAGAUGUGAGUUUCGUCAAGUUGGAUACUUCUCAAGUGCGACCACCCUAUUGUUAGGGGCUAAGGGACCCCUUGACAUAUCAUAGAGGCAUGACCAGGAGCUACAAAAGAAUACUCCAAUUUGAGGCCAAAAGAGUAGCCUCUUAGCUUUCCUCUUCUCAAUUCUACUUUGAGGAGCCAUCCUUACCUUCUCCUUCAAGAUAGAUGUAGAAAUGGUGCUCAUAGGAACAAUAGGUGGUAGAGGCUCUUGGAAGUGAUGGGGAAGUUUGAUCACAAGAGCUCCAUUUCCUUUCCAAUCUAUUACCUCAUUGUAGAACCAUAGACCACUUAAAGGUGGAUUGAGAGGUAAGAUCACCUCAAGCUCAAUCUUCUCAUUAAGUACAAAUAUGCUCAAGGUUCUACAAUUCACCUUGGGAAGCUCAUGAUGGAUCUCCAUGGGUGUGGGAGGAGAGAAAGUCCUAGACUCUUCAACAUCUUUAUCAUCACAAGGCACCAAAGAACCCUCCUCCUCUUUGGGAACAUCACCCUCAAUGAAUAAAGGAUUGNNNNNNNNNNNNNNNNNNNNNNNNNNNNNNNNNNNNNNNNNNNNNNNNNNNNNNNNNNNNNNNNNNNNNNNNNNNNNNNNNNNNNNNNNNNNNNNNNNNNNNNNNNNNNNNNNNNNNNNNNNNNNNNNNNNNNNNNNNNNNNNNNNNNNNNNNNNNNNNNNNNNNNNNNNNNNNNNNNNNNNNNNNNNNNNNNNNNNNNNNNNNNNNNNNNNNNNNNNNNNNNNNNNNNNNNNNNNNNNNNNNNNNNNNNNNNNNNNNNNNNNNNNNNNNNNNNNNNNNNNNNNNNNNNNNNNNNNNNNNNNNNNNNNNNNNNNNNNNNNNNNNNNNNNNNNNNNNNNNNNNNNNNNNNNNNNNNNNNNNNNNNNNNNNNNNNNNNNNNNNNNNNNNNNNNNNNNNNNNNNNNNNNNNNNNNNNNNNNNNNNNNNNNNNNNNNNNNNNNNNNNNNNNNNNNNNNNNNNNNNNNNNNNNNNNNNNNNNNNNNNNNNNNNNNNNNNNNNNNNNNNNNNNNNNNNNNNNNNNNNNNNNNNNNNNNNNNNNNNNNNNNAUAACACAUGGCAUGCAGAAAAAGAUUGUCCUUAAUUGUUAAAAACUGUCCUUAGUUGUUUAACAACAACACAAGUGGAUUUAUUUGUGUUUCAAAUCUUUUUGGAGGAUGUAUAUGUGAUUUGCUAUUUAUUUUAUAUUUCUUCAAUGUAAGUAAGGUAAAAAAAGGCGAAUUCCAUUAUAGAGCCGUAUGCAAUGCGCAAAAGAUGCCUGUACGGUUGUUCAAUUAUAUCUUUUUUGAUUUUUAUUAUUCUUUAUCUAUUCACCUUUCACUUUCAUCAUGAAAGAUAGAAGAAACAUUUUUUGUGUUAUAUCAUAUAUUAUAUCAUUAGGGUAGCCAUUCCGCCCAUUUCGUCGAGAUAAACAAGUCGUAUUCUGUCAUAACUCGUUCCGGCCAAGAAAAAAAACACAGCACCAAUAAAUAUGUGAGAAAUUAUUUGUAAAAUUGUCCCAUUGAGCCCUGUAUCGCUUAUAGAACCAAUUCCUAUAAUUAUGAACCCAUAUGAGAUACUAAAGAAUAGGCUAUUCUUUUUUUAAUCAGAUAAGAAGGGCAGUACAACCCGGAACAAAAUGAGGAUAAUGUAUUGGCAAGAAUGUUAGACCAUAAAGAAGCUAUCAUAUCCCAUUUAAGUUGUGUCACACCCCAAUUUUCGAAGGAUAAAUUUCAAAAAUUUGGGUAUGAUAUAACUCACAAAUCUUAAUAUCCUAAAACCUGCUCAACAACUUCCAAACUAAAUUCAAAUACUGGAAAUGUAAAUGUCAACAAUUCAUCAACCGAGUUAAACAUUACAUCUCCUUAAUUACAUCAACUUCAAAAGUCUAAUAAUAAUAAAGUCGCUCACAUGAGCUUAAAAACAAACUGCCAUAAUAAAAUAAAAUAAAAUUCACAGAAACUAAAAUCCUGCCACUAUGCCUCCGCCUCAACCCUGCUAAUCAUCACCUGUAGGUCUAACCUCUACACCAUGAAUUGGUGCACCGGGUUGUAAACAACAAACCCAGUAAGCUAAAAAGCCGGUAUGAGUAACUCUAAAAAAUAACUCAACCUAACAUCACAUAGAAUAAUACGGAAAUUUUCCCAUAUUUAUAUGCACAAGACAUAGUAUUCCCACAAGAAUAACCUAUCAAGAACCAAAAAUAUUAUAAUUUCAUGAACCUUAAAAAUAAUCAUAUAAUAGGAAAACUUGUUUUAUCUUACCUAUAAGCCGUUUGCGAUCAAGCUCAUAUAUUUUAAAACAACAAAAAAUAAAAUUUUUAAAUUAAAAACAUCAUAAUCAUCAACAAUUGCAUCAUUAAAAUUCAUCAUCAUUUUAUCAUUAUAAACCUUAUCAUCAUCAUCCUCUUAAUUAUCAUAAUCAUCAUCACAAUAACCAUAAAUAAUUGGUCUAAAUAUGAACUUUGGUGAGAUUUACUCACCUAAAUAUUCCCGUUGCGUCUUCACAAUAAACUCAAGAGCCAAGCUCAAAUCAAUUCCACAAGCUACCUAAUUAACACAAUUGAUAGCCUUUAAUUAGCACCUUCAGAUUAAAGGAUAACAAAACACCCUCAAACUAACCUUAGCCCAAAAGAGGACAACCUGUCACACCCCAAUUUUCGAAAGAUAAAUUUCAAAAAUUUUGGCAUGAUAUAUCCUAAAAUAUUAAAAUCCCAAAACCUGUUUCAACAAAAAUCAAGGAAAAUAAACUCAAUGCGUAAUGUAAAUUUACACACAACACCAAAUUGAGUUAAAUUACAAUUCCUUUUUUACAUAACUUGAGAACAAGAAAAAGAAACUCUCACAUGAGUUUAAUAAAUCAUAACCCAGUGUAUAUAAAAAGAAUAUACAAUGAACAACCAAAACCCAACAAAAAAAACCCUGCCACUAAGCCUCCACCUCAACCCUGCUGAUCCUCACCUGCAGGUGUAACCCCUACACCAAGAAAUGGUGCACCGGGUUGUAAACAACAAACCCGGUAAGCUAAAAAGCUCGUAUGAGUAAACUAAAAAACAACACAACAUUUAAUCACAUCCAAUAUUCACAAGAGAGAUUGGAUCAAUAAUUAAAAACCACACAUCUAACACAUUACCCAAGAAAUGUACCCAUGAGUCCCAGAUAUUUAAUAAAAUACCCCUCAUGACCUACAACAACACUAUGUGUACCCAUGAGUCCCAGAUACUAUACAGUAUCUCCCAUGACCUACACUGACAGACGGACUAGAGCUCUAUUCCUAACAGCAACCAAUCACCCGGCCAAAGGCUUGGAACCCGGUUUGACUGUCUAAUAUCAAACACAAAAAUGAUAAAUAGCAUCUUAACCGCAACCAAUCACCCAAAAAGGGCUUGGAACCCGGUUUGGCUAUUUAUCAAACAAUCAUAAUAAAUUUCACAACCUUAUCCUCAACAACACUAUCACAAUUAUUAUUCUCAACAACAUAAUAUAUAUCACAUCAUUAUUCUCAACAUCACAAUAUAAAGAAGACUUGUUUUUAUCUUACCUAUGAGCCGUUGGCAAUCAAGCUCAUAUAUUUUUUUAAAACAAUUAAAAGCAUAAUAUUAAAACCAACAUCAUCAUCAUUAUUAUUAUCAUUAGGUUCAAAUGUGAACCUUGGUGAGAUUUACUCACCUAGAUAGCCCGCUGCGUUUCCGCAAAACACAAGAGCAAGCCAACUCACAAUUUCACAAAUCACCUAAAAUAACACACAUAUUAACCUUAGUAACAAACACAACAAGGAUCAAAGUACUCUUAACUUAAAGGUUGCCCCCAAGAAGGGAAAUCCUUCCUCCAAGACCUCCCAAGGUCAUUGAACACUUAACAACAACCAAACUACCUUCAAGAUCAAACUUUCUAAGUUUUCGAUCUAAUGAACACAAUUAAACUUAAGUCCUAGCAUGCCAACCUUGCUUAAAAUAUAGCCAUACUACUACUCAACAAGCUCACAGCAGCAAGGACUAGCUAACCAUAGGAAACUAAGGCCGCCACUCAGCCGGACGCGCAGCCACAGGCGGCGGCGAGUGGGCCCCACGCGCCUCCCUAAACUUCCGAAUUUGAGAAAACUCCUAACAACAAAGUUGAAGCUUGAAGCAAGGGGAACAACUUUCAUACCUGAGACUUCGACCAAAAAUGGCCGAAACCGGCCGGAAACCGUCCCGAACAGUGACCAGAAAAUCAAUGACAAAAUCUGCAAAACCGGCCUCAAAACCUUAAAAACUUGCUUCAAUCUAUGCCUAAACACUACCAGGGGAAGGAGAGGAUCAAGACUCACCUAAGGAUGUACCUCGUCGCCGCCGUAUACGGCAGCUCCGACCGUGGCACAACAGCCCUUUUUCCGACUACUAAGCUUCGGUUCCGGCGUGCUACACCGAGCAGCAGCUGCCCAGCCUUGGAGAGGACGCUUGUGGGAGCCGAACGGGACCGGUGGAGGUCCAAACGGUGGCCGGACGGCGGAGCUAGCUCCGGCAGAAAUUUGGUCCUCGGGGGAGCUCGGGAGAGGAAGAGAGGGAAGGAAAAGAAGAGAGAAAAAAAAAGAGUGAGGAGAGAGAUAGAGAGAGUGCUGUUUUUAGUGUUAGGGUUUCCAAAAAUAACCCACACACAUUUUCCUACUUAAACACUUUCCACACCUGGAACCUAACUUCCUUUGACCACAACUUUCUCUCCCAACUUCCGAUUUAAGCGUGCCGCGUGUCUACGAACUCGUAACGACUAAAUAAGGCUGCCUCCAAUCCUCAAAACCUAAACUCAAACCUCACACAAGCCUAAGCUUAAGCUUAAACUUAAUGUCCUAACAUGAAAUCUUUGCUCACAACCUAGAAUUUUCACCUCUCAACAUGCUCACCACAGCAAGAGCUAGCUAACCACAGCAAACUAAAGCCAUAAACAAUGCCGGAUGUGCUGCCACGUGCCGCCACAGCAGCGGCGAGUGAGCCCCACGCUCCUCCACCAACCUCAAAAUUUGGGGAAACUCACAACAGCAAAGUUGUAGAUUGAAGCAAGGUGAACAACUUUAAUACUUGAGGUUUCAACCAGUUCAGCUGGAAAACGCUUCGAAACACCACCCCACAACCAAACUUCGAAUCUGCAAAAACCAGCGCCCAACUUCUAUUUUUAGGUCACCAAAGAGGCAUAAACAACUCUAGGCAAAGGAGGAGAGCAAGACUUACCAAGCCUCAACCAAAUUCGCCGUCGGAAGAAGAAAAUCCGGCGAUGUAGACCGGAGCUUCACCAGCCCAGUGCUCCUCCUCUAGCUCCAGGCACGGCGUCGCACCACUACAGGAGGGAAGAGAGUGGCCGUGCGAUCCAAAAGAGACCAGUGGCGGCCGAAACGGUGGCCGGACGGCGGACUUCCGGCCGGCGAAAUUCCUGGCAUGCGUGAGGCGUCGGGAGCUCGGGAGAGAGGAGAGAGAAAGUGAAACUGAUUUUUAGGGUUUCUAAAAAUAACCCACAACACUUUUUUACUUACACACUUUCCCAAAUCUGGAAACUAACUUUCUCUGACCAUAACUUUCUCAUACAAAGUCCGUUUUACGCGUGCCACGUGUCUACAAACUCAUAUCGUCGUGCUCUACAACUUUUGUUAAGGAAGUUUCUCGAGAAACCCAACAGAUUAAAAAGUCAACUCUUGACCCUUCAAAAUAACGUAUUUCUAACAAAGAAAUCUCUCGAACACCUCCGCUCUUCCUUCGAACCUCAAAACACACUAACUUCUAACUCAAAAAUUCUCAAAUAAUAUUAGAAACUAAUAUUAAUAUUCCAAGGUAUUACAAGUUGGGCCAGUCUCUUAAAUGUAUUUUUAAUGUAUGCUCUCUCAUGAAAUAAACAAAAUUGAACUUUCGUGAUAUUGUCUUUCCUUCUGGCAUUUUGUUAUUAGGUUUUGGAUUGAUGACUAAGUUAUACAUUAUAAUUGUUCUAAAUGUUAGCUACCUAUAAAUGACUACCCUAUUUCUUUUUUAUUCUGUAGUCAUGAAACUAAUGUUUUUCUUUGGAUUUUUCAGGUAACAAUAACUUUGGGUUGUUGGAAGACUUUGAAGAGGGCAAAUGAGUUUUAGCAAGGUACACCGUUUCUAAUCAUAUUACAUCUUCAGUUCUUAAAAUAAAUUUUAGUUUUUUAAUGAUAGUGCUUGCAUUUCAUCCACGAUGCUGCCAAGCAGAACUUGCAAGACUGCAGACUUCAUUUCUUAAAUCACACCACAAGUGCAAAGCAGAGACCACAUACAUAUGCAUUUGAAAAAAAGUGUGGAAACAAAUAUAUCUCAAAAUAGGUAGACAAUAUAAACCUGACAAUGCUAAUUACGUGUUAACCUUGUUUUUUUUUUUCAUAUUGGACUCUUAAUUGGCCCUUAUACCUUAUGACAAUGCUAAUGCAUUUGAUCAGCUUUUUCUAUACAACAAUGCAGGCAUUCUAGAUUAUGACAUGAAUGUUUUGAAAAUGUUAUCCCCUCAAAGUAUGAGGUCCCGAUGUGGCUCAGAACUUAUGUUUAACUUUGAUGUAUAUGUUCUUAGAUUGAUUUUCCAUUUCAAGUAGUAAACUAGCUCUGCCAAAAAAAAAGGUAAUAUAUUAGGAGGAAUGUUUAUGCUUUCUUUUCUUUUUCUUCCAUCCUUCUAAUAUUUAUACAUUCUGACUUGGACUUUCUAUUUAUCAGCACGAUCUCAUUUGUAUUAACUAAUGCUAAUGUCAAAAUCUCAAACACGCAAUAUUACAGUACCUACUUGGUCUCAUAGCCAAGAUUUAUAGCUCUGCAUCGUUAUGUACCCGUUCAAUAUUUGUAGCCAAGGUUUAUAUCAUAUUUCUCUUCUUUUGCAUUUCAUUAGCUCAUAAGCCCUUCAUAUUGUACUACAUAGUCUAGGUCAAUAGGCCCUUCAAAUUGUCCUUGAUGCUACAAAACACAAGGAGGAUGUAUUUAAGUCUUUAACCCGGGGCAUACACUUGCAGUUUGGAACAUAGAUCUAUUCAAGUUAUAAACAGUUGGCACACAAAUCGAGCUGCAUCUACCUAAAAUGUUCAAUGAAUAUGUGUGAUGUGCAAUUUGUAGUUGAGAUGCUGNNNNNNNNNNNNNNNNNNNNUACUUAUUUGAUUAGAAAAGGAAAAAAAAAAAGAAAGUAUCUUGGCCAAAGAAAUGAAGAUUCAAUGCAGAAACCUCAAUUCAUUACUAUCAAUAUAAUAAACUAACAUCUGAACAUUAUGUUUGUUCAUUCCUUUCAAUACACGCAGCAUUUUUCUAUCACCGUCAUGAAACUCCUACAAUAUUGAUUACUAAAGAAUUUGCAAAUCAGUAUCAUUCUUCUUAACAGAGUUACAACAGCUGUAGUUAGACCAAACAAUAUGAACUCACUCAUAUAUCUAUUUCUUCAAACCCCCAAUUUGCAAUUGCCUUAGAAAAAUUGCCCAAAUCGAUAAAAGUAUACCUGUUCAAAACCAAAACCACUCACGCUGAAUCUUGAGGUUUCAGUACCUCAGAAGAAAAACUCUACAAACAGUAGGAAAAGUUUGGAAAGAUCAAUGUUACUGUAGUCAUUAUUACAUUAUAGUUAAGUACGUAAUGUUAGCAGAUUAAUGACAAGUAGUUAUAUAUACAAUUCUCUCUUGGUUUUCGAAAGCCCUCUUUUUCAGUUUAUAACGAUCCCAGGCUUUUGGUUAUUCAAAGCCACUGUGAGUUCCUAUUGUUAUAUCAACACCACAUUUGUAAGUCAUACUUAAAAUGAAAACAGCAGUAAAAUGAUGACAAAUUUUGUAAUCACUCAACAGCAUCAAUAUUUGCAGUACUAACCUGAAAACAAAAACUUCCCCUUUUUUUCUGUCUUUUUUUUCGAAUUCAGACUUCCUUUCUUUUUCUCUAUAGAAACCGAGAUAAUAAAAUUUGUAUUAGUUGUAAUUCAAGGAAAUUGUUGUUGUUCACAUCGAUGUAAGAGAAUAAACAAACUUUAUAUACUUGCAGAUGCAAACCUACCAGAUAUGUGAAACAGAAAGAUGUCAUUGCUGAAUUUCAAAUCCUUAUCUUACUCUAUUUGACGUUGCACAUUUCAGCAAAAUAAGAUGUAGCGAAGAAGUUACUUUAUAAACAAAGACAUGAUGAGACCGAAAACAGAAUUAGGACAUGCACUUUGAUGUAAAGUUAAUCAUGAAAAGAUUCUGCUGUGACACAAUUUCUAGACUAGACCCACAUGCACCAAAAACAUGACAAACCCAGAAGCCAACAGAGUGAGAUUUGAGGGCAAGCAUACCGGGAAGCUAAACAUAAUCGCAACUUCAAGCCUAACCUUUUCAAUUUUAAAAGAUCCUGCAUUCUAAAAUGGACCAAACCAUUAUCAAAACAUUCAGAAUUCUAUAUAGGCUAUACAGUGUCUAGGAACAUUCACAAUUAUUAAAACCAAUGAGGAGGUUAUACCUAUUGUUACAGCUAAUUCCUUCGCUUUACAUCAUCUUUAAAUACCUACAAAUCGUAAGAUUGAAAACAUGAACAAACAUAAAGCAAUUAUAGUAGAACAAAAUAUGAAAAGUAAUCAACUACAUCCAUCAAACUGUAAAACAUGAUAGCCAUACCUUCAUACCUUCCCAAUCAAUGACCAAUAUCCCAAAGCCAUAGCCGAGGAUAAUCCAAACCCCUGAAACGUAAAUUGUGAUAUCAAUUGAAAUCCAAUGAAAAAGUGAAACCAAAGUACACAAAACNNNNNNNNNNNNNNNNNNNNUCUACGGAGGAAGUUUGUAAUGUUUUCUAAUAGUUCUUAUUAAUUAUUUGACCGGAGACAAAUACAUUUUUUGACUGUAUUGUUGCAUGUAACGUAAACUAAUGUUAAAAGCGAAAAAAUAUUAAACGCACGCGUGAGCUAGACCCUUUCUAAAUAAUAUAUUGCACACAUAGAAACUUUCUUUGUGAUAUCAAACAUAUAUUUUAAACUUUCCCGAUGACUAUCCUUGUGAUAUCAAACAUCGAAAUUUAGAGUUUUUGUAAUAUCUCAAUAUUUCAUUUCCGUAAGGAGAAAUUUUAUUCACACGUACUAAAUUUCUUAAUGCACACCAUUAUUUUUUGGAGUCACCACGGCUGGAACUGCACAAGGGCUUAAACUUUCUCUGAUCAAGCCUUUCUUCAUUGCUCCCCCUAGCCCCUGCAGUUAAGCAGCAAAAACCCAGCCUUCCUCAUCAGUAUACCCGUUUCUAAAGUUCUUAGAAAAAAAAAAAAAACCGACUGCUCCUCAAACUACUCAGACCUCAUUUAAAUCAAUAAUAAAGUAAAAUGACAUUAGACAUAAAAAAUAAUAUUUAAAUAAAUAAAAUCGGGACAUCACACAAAUGAUAACCCAUAACAAACAUUGAAAUCAAACAAAGAAUUACCCAGAUUGCUACGCCAAUUGACUGCACAUGAACAACAGAAAAGCAUUGCACUAUAAUAAGAGGAUGGUGAAAAACAGGAAAGAAGAUUGAAGCAAUUGAGCUAGUACUUACAUUCACCAUAUUUAGUUUCCAGCCAGGUCCAGUUAUCUCUCUAAUUUUGUAUUCUGGUGGCACUCGAGAGCAAAAAGAAGAAAGAAAGAAAAAUCAGAUUGAAACUCAGAUUAAGCAAAGAUGAAAAUUAAAUCAAGCAGAUGAAAGCUAAAGUUUUUUUUUUUUUUUUUGAAGCCACUCUACAAUUGAUACAAUUUUCUUUAUUUCGGUACAUUGCAGGUAAAAACUGUAACUUGACCUGAAAAACUGCUUAAAAAUGAAACUCAAAUUAGCAAGCUAUGUACUGGAAUUCGGUACAAUCACUAAGCCUUGGCAAUGUGCUUUAUGUUGAAUGCUCUUGAUAAUUAUUAUUAUGUAGAACCACACAUUAUAUUUAAGUGCGCAUGUAAAAUAAGCAAAAUGCACAGGACUAAUGUGGGUUAAACAGUAAUACCUCAACCAUGAGAACACCAGGCAUAAAGUUCUCAUUGAUUGUCACAUCUUAAUAAGCAACAGUUGAAACCCCUGGGUUGUACUCGAUCUCUCUAUCCACCAAAAGAAAUGGAAACCUGUAAAACACCCAAAAGCCAAAAUGAUCAAAACUUUAGAAACAAUCACUAAAUUUUACUAGGCCUACCUAUAUUCUCUUCCAAGCUCACAUAAGUAAGUAAAAUCAUUAAAUGAGUUUUGUAGAGCAUUUUGAUAAUAUGUAAGGUUUAUACUUUCUGAAGGAAUUUGUAAUCUAAGAAUACUAACUAACUAUCAAGUAGGUGUUUAGGCAUUCAUUUGUAUGUUGGGCGGUAUAGUGAAAAUCAACUUCUUUUUAAAUCUGCAAAUAGUAUACCUUCACUCACAUUUCCAAAUAAUAGAUGAAAUGCAGGGCUCACAUUGUGCAUCUCACACAUAUGGCAUGUAAAUUGCAGUCUAUGAAUUGGAUAUACCUGUGACGCAGACCACUUUUCAACACUUCUUUUCAAGCAACAACAGCUUGUACCUGAAGCAACGCAUAUAGAAAAAGCACAUAAGCGUAAGAGCAUAGGCAACUAUAAGCGCACUUUAACAGUUAAGAAAAAUUAACAAUAUCAUUUCCAUAGGGUUUUCAUCUGAUGAAACUUCUACCCUAAGAUUGGGUAAUGUAAAUCAUAUACAGAAAAGCUGAAAACUGAAUAACUCAAUNNNNNNNNNNNNNNNNNNNNAACAGCUCUUCACUAAAGCAUGAACAAAAGCGAAGAAGAACGCAAUCGACUAAAAAAGAAAAAACAAAAUCGGACCACCAACUAAGAAGGAAAUCCAAGAAAAAUUCGAACCAAACAGAACCUAAAAGAAAAAAAAAAUUUGAACAGUGAAUUGGUGAUAGCUAUACCGAUUUGCAGGCACCGAUAUGAUUCAACAAAACCACUUCAAACCGCAGCAAUCUGUCAUCCCAAAUCGAAAACCAAUCACCCGAAUCGGUCUGGUAAUAAGGAUGAUCAAGAGAAGAGAAUAAUUGUGAUCGAUGAACAAAAGGAAAGAUAAUAGACGAACCAAAAAGAAAGAGAAAAGAAAUUUACAAUAGAUAAAAGAAGGCUUACUCCGCUCUACUCAACUCUCGUUUCCUAUACUAUAUCGAAACAGAACAAGGGAGAGGUGGAGAGGUGGAGGCUCGGCUUAACAGAAUUAGGUGGAGAGAAGAAGAUUGGGCAAGAGAGAGUAUGAAGAAAGUUCGCGAACACAUCACUCUGUUUGUGCUAUGUCAUGGGGGGCUAAACGCUGCUCUCUUUUCUCUCUCAAUUUUUUUGGGUCGAUUUUCUCUCAAAUUCUCUAGGAUCUUCUUUUCUCUCUCUGCGUUUCUGGAAACUGAGUAAAACAGAGCAAAAUGCACUAAACCUUGGAAUUCAGUCCUUCAAUGAAGUUCUGAUAUUUCAAAAAUGCACAGACAGAUAGUUCUCUCUCCAAUUUUGUAUUCUGGUGGCACUCAGAUAGCAAAAAGAAAGAAAAAUCAGAUUGAAACUCAGAUUAAGAAAACAUGAAAAUUAAAUCUAGCAGAUGAAAGCAAAGUUCUUUUUUUUUUUUGAAGCCACUAUCAUAUACUGGAAUUCGAUGCAAUCGAUCAUUGAGGUCCUAGACUACAGCACAAACAAUAACCCGAAUCAGCUCAAAUCAAGGAAACAAAAUACCCAGUCAAAAAUCACAAUCUGCAUCACAUACAUUCUUCAUCAGCAUACACGAAAAUCAAACCCAAAACUGCAUGCACAAAAGUCAGAUAUGUUAAUCAUUCAAUUUAAUUCAAUCUUAUUAGUGUUAAACAUGCAUCGACAUCAAAUAAAAAAAAUGAAAUUGAAACCUGGAAACGAAUAAUGAAGCCGUCCUUUUUAUCGAUGUGAAUUACCCAGACUGCUAAGCCAAUUGACCAGACAUGAACAACAGAAAAAGCAAUUCACUUUAAUAAGAGGAUGGUGAAAAACAGGAAAUAAGAUCGAAGCAAUUGAGCUAGUACUUACAUUCACCAUAUUUAGUUUCCAGCCAGGUCCCGUUAUCUCUCCAAUUUUGUAUUCAGGUGGCACUCAAUAGCAAAAAGAAGAAAGAAAAAGAAAUUAAUAUAUAAUCUUGUACAUACAUGAUUGAUAUAUAAUCUUCUAAAACGAUUAUACAAAAAUUAGGAAGUUCUACACACCUUUGUGCAUUCAUAUCUACCUCAGUUCUGAUUGCUUCCAAAGAGUGUCAUCAGCACCCAUAUGAGACUUGAGUACUCUGUCAGUAUCUAGUUGCCUGCUCCCAUGUGUUGCCUGAACCAAAAGAUGCAUUCACCUGGCUAGUCCACCCACCACCCCCAGCUGUGGACAACUAUAUAUCUGCAUACACAUUUGAUGAAUUUAGAAACAUGAGAUACGCACAAACACACAAGCAUGAAGAGAUCAUGAACAAUCAAACCAAAAUUAUUGACAUGUUAACCUUUGCAAAAUAUAAAACGUAGAACAGUUGUUAAGAUUGAUUAUAACAUGAAGUUGACAAAAAGAUAACUGAAAUAAAAAAGAGAUAACCUUUCUCAUGAAAGCCAAAGAAACGAAUGUCUAUAAUUUCUUGACCACUAUACAAAACUUUGUGAGCCAAAAGCUAAAAUGACUAAUGAAAGGAUAUAGUUGGGGCAAGAAAAUUCAGCUCUCUUUAUGGCAAUUGUAGGGUGGAGGUCAAAAAGAAGAUUGAUCUCUGUGUUAAAUUGUUUCUCCAAUCGUGCUGCCAAGAGGUAUGAAAUACAAAAAGGGGUUUAGGACCAACAAGCUCAAUUUCAUAUAUUACAUGGCGGGCUCUCACGUUGACAACACCGGAUGAAAGAAGGAAUUUAAGUCGCAGGAGGUUGAUCCUCAACAUCAGUCCUAUUAGCCUGAAAACUGAAAUUAAGCAAACUCAGGUUACAGUCGAUUAAAGCGUAGGGGCCUCAAAGGUGCUCCGCAAUCGGAAGAUGUCAGCAGAAGCAAUCAAAAAAAGAAAAAAAAUAACAAGAUAGAGAUAAGAGGGCUACCUGAAACUGUUCCAGCUUCUUGGAUGGUGUAAGCUCCUUCAUCCAAGUAGUACGGCUUUUGAUCAAGGAAAAUAAGUAAUUAUCAUCAGCAACAAAUCACAAUCACACAACCGAGACCAAAACAGACACCAAACCAAAAAAGAAACAAAUCACCUAUAGUUGAAAUCUGGAAACCGUAAGGUAGAAGAUCAAGUGAUUCAUCAUCUGCCAACAAAUCACAAUCACACAACUGAGACCUAAACAGAUACCAAACCGGAAAAAAUAAAAAGUAGAAACAAAUCCACCAAUAGUUGAAAUCUGGAAACCGCGAGGAAGAAGAUGAAGUGAUUCAGAACACCGCUGGCUGUUAGGUGUUACCUGAUCGUGAGUACUGACUGUAAUACUCAAACUCGUACUCCAUCAGUCAAACUUGUACUCAUUCUUCAGUUCAUCUCUUUACAUCAGGAUAAUCCACAAAACAGAUACUUGAAUUAAUUUUGGCUUAAAGUAAGAGUGCUGAUCUAAAAGUGAAUACAAUAUUUAGUGUGAAAGACGAAUUCCUUACCAGAUUUAUAGGAUCUAAACCAGAUUGUCUUUCCACAGGUUCCAGAGCUGCACAUUUACCUCAGGAUAAUCCACAAAACACAUACUUGAAUUAAUUUUGGCUUAAAGUAAGAGUGCUGAUCUAAAAGUGAAUACAAAAUUCAGUGUAAGAGAUGAAUUCCUUACCAGAUUUAUAGGAUGUAAACCAGAUUGUCUUUCCACAGGCUCCAGAGCUGCACAUUAAUCACCAGAAAGAAUUUUAAGCACAUUUAAUAGUAAACUCCAACAGUUUUUUUUAACCUUAACAAUACUAAAAGCAAAAGUAAACAAGCAAUCAUAUGAUGAACCUUAAAAACAAAGGAACCCAUGCUUUUAAGGCCUCUUGCUGUGACUGAACCCCUGCAACAUUGAUACCAUGUACAAAUGAAAGGAAUAUAUUACAAAACUGAUACAGCAAUACUGAACUUGAAGACCAUGACCAAGUUGAAAAAUCCAUGUUGAUAUGUAUCAUUUCAGUUGGGAUAAAAUCAAGCUAUCCAUAUCCAUAUAGAUGCAACAGCAUGUAUAUCAAACCUAAAACUCACUUUCCAAGCAUCAGUUUUCAUAUCUAGUCAGUCCCAUUAAUCCAAUUAAUACCAGCUCUCUAUAUUCACAACCUUCCCAAAGCAAACACCCAAAUUAUAAUCAAUGCACAUUGCACUUCAGAUUAGUACUGUAUCUGUUCUUAAUUGAGCUUACAUCAAUACUGAUAUCUGAUUGAAGUCUUUAUUAGACUAACACAUACUUUAUAAAAGCAAAAUUGGAACUUAAAUCAGAUAAAACAAAAACAGAGUUCUAACAAUACUCAUCUUUACUGCACCCGUGUCACCAAUCUGUCCAAGCUCUAGUCUUUGCUUGAGCCACACAGCUUCCCCAGAAGUACCAACCUGAGUAUACAAACACCAAUUACAUCUAAGGGAAUAUUUAGAAACUCGAUAAAAAACUUUCUGAUACCCCAAGAAUCUACACACCGCGAGCCAACACACGAUAUCUAGCUGCCAGUAACACUUCACCUGAGCAAUUCCCUAGGAAUCAUGAAGGACAACAACAAUUUUAGAUGCUAAAAUUAAUAAAUUUUAGCAAUUCCAUAAGAAAUUUUAAAUAUUUUACUGCAUAUAUUCUUUCUCACAAACUCACCUUGAUCUAACACAAAGGAUUGAAACCUUCAAGAUUGUGAUUGCUUUUGUUAAAUCAAAAAUCAGUGAGCUGCAUGCAACUUCAAUGAUAAAAUAUGGUGAUCUAAAUUGUUGUAUAAUUUGAAAUCACUUGUAAUAUACAAAAUCUGAUAGUUAUAGUUGAUCAAUUUCAAGUUGCAUGCAACCAUAUCAACUUUAUAGCUGAUAUCCUUGACCUUUACUUAGGUGCACUUGAUGUCUCUGUUGAUUUUUGAUGAGAACAUGAAAUUCUCAUUAAGCCACAAACGGGCAAAGAAAAACAGAAGAAACGCUGAAAAGAAAAACACGAGCACUGGAAACAACCAAGCUAGGCUAGCAAAACUAAGCAAAACAACACAAAGAACACAGAAAACACAGCAGAACUUUAUAUUGUUUUAUUCUUAUGCAGAUUGUAUAGAAUUUUCAAUAUGGUCAUAUUCUAGUCUACAACGCCCAAUUCCCUAUUUGGUUAUAUGAUAUAAUCAUGCCUAACUGACAUGGACUUGACAAGAAUUACAGAAUGAUAUUAGAAGGAAUAGUUCAUAGACAACUAACCGUAUAAAGUCGGUAACCAUUCAUCUCCUGACGGACAAAAUACACAAGACUCUGUGGCCAAGUUGAUCCACUGGUCAAGCACAUUAGAUGGCUUUUGUAGAGUGGCUUGAUCAAUAGGGACAGAAGGGGCAAACCGUUCAAUCUCAAGUCUCUUUGCAUUCUGAACAAGGAACCUAUAGGCAUUGUGCCAUGGGAGAAAUAUGUCCUUGACCUGAAAUUAACCAAAGGUAAAAGUACCACUGGAUCAAUUCAAAGAACAAAGAUCAACAAACAGCACUCCAAUAUGAAAACAAUAAUACCGGAAUAGAUGAAUGACACUCAGAACACAAUAAACUCCUUCCUUCUUGAAACGUAAUGGUUGCGCGCGCACAACAAGGAGUUAAUUAGGUAUAAUUGUACUGCAUCUUGCACAACAGAAAUUUGAUUAGACAUGAUUUUUGUGAAAUAUAUCAUCUUCCCACCAUUUGACAAAGAAACCAGGAAGAGAAAAGGCACAGAAACUAUAAUACGAACCGUCAGUUACAAUAAACACAUACAGCUACGUACUGAUCGAUAACAUCAAUUGGUGGAGGAAAAUUUUUCAGACUUUCUCAUUUUUUUUCCAUCCUCAGCAAGUACAAGUCCAUUGCAAAUGAGAUUCUGCAAGGCAGGUUUGCCAAAUAAUGCAGUAGAUAACACCAUAAGUGUGUGAAACCUGCAUACUCAGAAGGAAACAAUGAGGCCUAGCUUAGACAUUGGAAACUUGUGCCCAAGUUAGGAUAACAGCUGACACAAAGGAAUCUAAUCCUACAAUAGGCAGCCGACAGUCAUUAUAUUAAUUAAAAAGAAAAAGAAACAACUUAUGAACAGGCAAAAGGGUUUUCCUAUUAGUUACCAAAAUAAACUCCCUAUUAUGUUUCCAACUGUACAUCAUAUUUUUUGGAGUCUUCAUCUAACACUCGAAUUCAUGUUAGUUCGAGGGCCUGAAGCUUGGGAAGGGCAAUCUACAUUAGAUAUCUGUGAACCUUUCUGAGGGUAGAUCCUUCUCCCUUCAUAAGUCUGCCAAUGAAUCUGGAGAAUGGUAUCAAAACUAAUAAAAGAAAUAUAGAGGAAGAACAGAGGACAAAUGUUUGUCUAGUGAUGAAAUCAGAUGUUGUAGAUGAAAAAUAAGUAGCUGAUUUAUCAUACCUGAAAAAUUUAAAGAUAAACAGUUGUUCAGUUCCUGAAACACCUAUAAUUUCAGUUAACCCCUAAUGAAUUGUGAAAGGAGGCUGACCUGAGAGUCGUUCCAAUACCUUAAGUCAGAAUUAUUUGACAAUGAUAGAAUAUCUUACAUCAAAAAAGAAAAAAAAAAAAAAAAAAAAAACCAAAACUGAACUCAGCAUAAACCAAAAGGUCUGAUCAAUCAAAGAUCAUAACGAAGAAAAAGAAAAUUGAGGGAAAAGAGCAAAAGUGGUUUUCAGGGAAUGUAACAUGACUGCAGACUCUCUUGCCAAGACAAGCAUUGAUCAUGCUCCGGAUCAUAUCACCUUUGAGAAUCCUCCCGUUCAUGCUAUUGCUGCCUAUUUAGAUGAUUUGGAUGGUAUUGCUAGAUCAAGAAAGUCUGGGAACUCUGCAGAGUGGAACAAUGGAAAGAAAGGGCUAGUAAAAAAAAAAAAAAAAAACCGACAGUGCCCCACAAGUCUCAUAUACAGAACUUGAAAUUUAUACAUUAGAGUUUGAGGGAAAAGAAAUAAGGCUAUAGGUGAGCAGAAAAGUAUCCUAACUAAAGUGUAUUAGCAUAUAAAUAGUUCCAUAAAGAAAUUUUUGUUGAAAAUUAACUGUCCCAAACGAAUUCCUAAACCCAUCAUGAAAGUGAAAGCUACAUCUAAUUGCAUUAGGGACCUGCAAAUAAGACAUUUUUUCUAUUUCUGUAACCUGAUACUACAACUACCUCCCAGUAAAUAGAUUAGAAUGUCUCUUUUCUCGUCAAUCGCCUUGCUUAACUGUUUCCAAAUAUCUACCCUUCACAUAUGCACUUGCUUCCCAAGAAAUAGUAUCUCUAUACAGUUCCGUCACCAUCUGGGUCAAUGGCUUAGCACCAAAUAUAUACAAACUUGCACCAGAUUAACUGGCCCGUAACUAGAAAAAUUUCAAACGUUUAAUGAAUUGUUUUGUAGCCCUAAGAAUAAUUCCCCAAUUAUAGAAUUCUGGCAGUUCCGUCUAUAUUUUUUUCGAACACUAGCACAGAAAAGUACCCGGACCUUAUGACUUAUAUUUGUCAGAAGUAAAACUAUUUUCGCUUAGAAAGGCCUCUUUAAUUACCUUAAUUUGACUUGUUUGAUGUGUUGUCGAGUUGAGUUCAUCAAACCCCAAUUCACUUUCUCUAACAUGAUCCUACUAGAUACAUGCUAGAGAAAGAGGAUGGAAAAGAAACCUCAUGGUCGAAACAAGAAUCUUGAGCCCAAUGGUAAUCAUAGCCAAAGCUUACCAUACGCAAAAUAUAACUGUCUCAGACAAGAAAAAGAGAUGUAAGGAUUACAUAUAAUAUACCUGUACACAAAACCAAAAUGCAACAUGUGUCGUUGCUCAUAUCUUGUUUGCUUAAUUUCAACUUUCUGAACCUAUUUUACCAACGCAGUCAGUGAAAUCAGUAAAAAUUUGCAGAUGUGCAAUGGACCUAGAAAUUUAUUAUUAAAUUGUACAAGUUAUUAUCAGCAAAAAGUGGACAUAGGGGACUAUCUGAAACACUGUUAUAGUUGAGAUGGACAUUAAUCAAAUCACAAGUUUAGUAUGGAGAUUGGUUUCAAACUUCCAGCAGUAAGUGGUAAGGCCUAUAUCUUAAAGCUAUUCUGUUAUCCUAAGAUACGCAAGGCUGAACAUGUUACUUUUCAUUAGUACAUAACUAGUUGCUAAAAGAAGUGGAAAUGAAUACUUACUUAACUAUCACAUGUCCAUUAGUGUUGGAGUGAAUCCUUAAGGAAAGAGGCUCAAGUUCAAAAUAUGAGAGAAUUAUCACAUGUCGAGCAACCAAACUUUACCAAAGUACUUUUGUUAGGAAGAUAUACUCGCGUUCAAGAACUCAAGGUCACCCAUUUAGAGAAGAUGCUACAAUAUAAUCUUAUGUCAAAAUUCUUACUAUUGGAUUGAUUUUAAUGUAAAGGCCAUAUAGCAACACAUACGAUAUGCUUCGCACGAGGUCUUCAACAAGAGUACUUUUCUUGCUGCGCAUCCAUACCUUAGUCCGAAAUAUUGGUUGCUUAUUUCCAGUGGCCCUCAUGUUGGUAUUUUGUGAAGAGUGUGGGUUUCUCUCUCGUAUUUUCAUAUGUAAAAGAUAUGCACAUGAAAUGAGAAGCAGGUAAACUGAUUUUAACAAAUCAGAACUGCACAUUGAUUUAUAAGCAAAAAAAAUAAGAAUAAAAAAUUUGCAAAACAUUCGAGGAGAGCAAGAUACCGAAAUUGAAUAAAUUUGCCACCUAAAGGUGCCCCGAAAGUUGUCCAAAAAUGCCCAGUGCUCCCUACUAGAAAUAGAUAAGCAGAAAUGUUACUCCAAAUUUAGUAAAUCAGACACCCAACAAUAAAAUUAUAUAGUUUUAGAAAAUAAUGAGAAAAGAAUAAAAUGUUACUCUAAAUUUAGUCAACGCACCUUUACCAAAAGAAAAUUCACAGAAGCAACUGAGAGGAUAAAUAUGAUACUUCCAGACAAAAAGAAAUACAGAAAGUCAGAGAAAUUCCACCUCCUUAUUACAACUGUAAAACAUAUCCGGCUUCAUGUAGAUACGAUAGGUAUGUCAAGGAAAUCAAAAGCCAACAAUGGACAUCCCAUUGGCUUUCAAAUGAAAAUAUGCCCUCAAAAUGAGGUAUUGACGUAAAUAUUGCGAAAGCAAUGGUAAGAACAGGUAAAUUUCCUCGGAAGUUUCUCCAUGGAGAAUCGGACGCAUCCUGUGAAAAACAAAAGGGUAUAUAAGAAAGAUAAUAUUUGUUUAGUGUUUUUACACGUUUAGUACAUGGUAUGCAUGUCACUUUGAUGCAGUACAUAACAUACGGACAUGAAACAUUUUUCAGCCAAGAUGUCUUUAUUGACAAUGCAGACAUUGAAACAACAAAAUAUGCUAAUGAAAUCUGUGAUUUGAUCAAAGUUGUUUCUGUUCCUUUUUGUUUUCUUCUUCUUUCCUAUUAAUUUUGAAAAUAAUUGACCAAUUCAAACGUUCAGGAAACUUAGUUGGUGAUUUGGUAUAACAUCACACUUAGGUGCACUUGAUGUCUCUGUUUUAUUCUUAUGCAGAUUGUAAAGAAUUUCAAUAUGGUCAUAUUCUAGUCUACACAACUAAAUUCCCUAUUUGGUUAUAUGAUAUAAUCAUGCCCACCUGACAUGGACUUGACAAUAAUUACAUAAUGCUAUCAGAAGGAAUAGUUCAUAGACAGCUAACCGUACAAACUCGAAAACCAAUCAUCUCCUGACAGACAAAAUACACAAGACUCUACUUUGUGUGGCCGAGUUGAUCCAUUGGUCAAGCACAUUAGAUGACUUUUGUAGAGUGGCUUGAUCAAUAGAGACAAAAGCAGCAAACCCUCCAAUCUCAAGUCUCUUUGCAUUCUGGGCAAGGAAUACGUCUAGAAUGCAAAGAGACUUGAGAUUGUACCAUGGAAGUAAUACGUCCUUGACCUGAAAUUGACCAAAGAUAAAAGUACCACCGGAUCAAUUCAAAGAACAAAGAUCAACGAACAACACUCCAACAUGAAAAUAAUACAGGAAUAGAUAAAACACACUUAGAACACAAUAAACUCCUUCCUUCUUGAAAUGUAAUGAAACAACAGGAGAGUUAAUUAGGUAUAAAUCGUACUGCAUCUUGCACAACAAAAAUCUGAUCAGACAUGAUACUGAAACUGUAAUACGAACAGCGAGUUACAAUAAACACAACAGCUGCAUACUUAUCUAUAACAUCAAUUGGUGGAGGAUAAUUUUUCAGACUUUUUGCUCGUUUUUGCUUUCCAUCGUCAUCAAGUACAUGUCCAUUGCAAAUGAGAUUCUGAAAGACAGGUUUGCCAAAUAAUGCAGUAGAUAACUAAGAGUAUUAGCAUAUAAAUAGUUCCUUAAAAAGAAUUUUGUUGAAAUUUAACUGUCCCAAAUGAAUCCUUAAACCCUAUAUGACACCAUGAAAGUGAAAGCUACAUCUAAUUGAAUUAGGGACUUGCAGAUAGAAAGGCAACCUUAUACUACAACUGCCUCCCAGUAAACAGAUUUGAAGGGCAAUGUCUCUUUUCUCAUCAAUCUCCUUGCUUACCACAGAAGCUGUUUCCAAAUGUCCACCCUUCACAUAUGCACCUUCACAUAUGCACCUGCUUCCCAAGAAAUAGCAUCUCCCGACAGUUCCGUCACCAUCAGGGUCAAUGGCUUAGCACCAAAUAUAUAUAAACAUGCAUCAGACUAAUUGGCCUGUAAUUAGAAUAAUUUCUGACUUUUGAUGUAAUUAGAAUAAUUUCAAACUUCACCUGUACGGCCCUUUAACCUCUUGUGAUUGCACCUCACAUAAAUAUUUGUCAAGUUGUCGAGAAACUUCAAAAGAUAUGGAACCACCUCUAAAGUAUUGUAUACAAGAAUUAGAAUCAGAAGUGGAUUGUUUUAACUGAAACAGAGAUGUUUUACUCAUAAACAAUGGAACUCAAAUAUAAUGCAAAACUGACAAGCUUUAACAAGAGAACAUAUAAACCACACAACCAAACUGCUUUUGGAAACCUCAAAAACCAGUUCCAAAAAGAAAUCUCAAAUAGAAUGCGAAUGAACUAGACUAAGAACUAGACUAAAAGAAAACUCAAUUUUAAUGACAUUAAGUAAAUAAGUCAUUAAGUAAUUUUGACAAACAAAAAGAAACAAAAGAUUUAAAUGACAUUAUAUUUGAAUUUAUGAAAUUCCAGGGAAUCCUCAUCUAAGUAUUAAGUACUGAUUAAUUCUAAGUAAGCUCCCUCAGAAAGCUUAAAUAUCUAUCAAAACCCCACCCUGACUCUAAAAUAACUUCUAGUUAGGUACAAAAAAUUUCCAGCACCAGUUAUAUAGCCUUGUUUCAUUGCACUCAAAAACUAUUAAGGAUGCAGAUAAAUGGAAACAUACAGACUCGUUAAAAACAAAACAUUGCUUCACUCAUAGCAGCCUUUGUAUUAGUAAAUGCAUAUACAUUAGGAAUUCAUAUAUUCUGCACUACAUAUGUUCUGCAUUAGAAUAUAAGAGAUUUUUUUUUUUUUUGUCGAAAUCCCCUUUUCCCAGAAAUAUGAAGCUACCCUUGAUCUAAGGUUCUGCUAUAUACAGAUUCUCGUAAAAAUUAAGGAUUCAAAGAUAAUAAAUGUAAUUCUGCAACUGAGAUUCCAAAAGCACACCAUCAAUGAAUAACACCAAUCAAAAUUCAAGGUAUGCAAUUCAAUAACCACCUAUAAAUCACUAACAGUAAAAAUUAAUAAAACAAAUCAACGAAAGCACAAAAAAAGGAUGUGAAAUCCACACCACACCCCAAAUUAUAAUCCACACACCCACUUUCCAUUUUCAGUAAUCAUUUUCAUAUGAAGACAAAAUUUAAAUCACUAAGGACAAAAUUUAAGUUACUAAAAAUAGAAAGUGGGUGUGUGCAUUACAAUUUGGGUUGUGUGAAUUUCACUUCCCCACAAAAAAAUUGAAAUCCCUAACAGAUAAGGACCAAUACCCACAAUUUCCGUUUUAUGGACUUUGGAUAAGCCAACAGUUCGCGUCCUUAUUUUGCUGAUCGAUCUCAAUGGCCCCAACACCUUACUCUUCAUGUAGAGUGAGAUUCAUGUCGAUCUAAAAUUCCAAACCAAGCCUGAAUCUAGAACCACAUAAAAACCAAAAUGUGCAACUAAUCAAAAACAAAAUUAUUGAGGAAUCUUAGGCUAAUUAAUGAGAACAACAAAAAGUUAAGCACACCAAAAUUAAUUAGUGAUGGCAUGAAAUUUAGAAAGAAACUGUAACCAAAAAAAAGAAAGAAAGAAAUUAAGUCACAGUUAAUGUACUGCAACAACAUUGGAUACAUAGUUGAACAUUAAGAAUUUAUGAUCCAUUAGAAAUGCAUACGACUUGCAGAUUAUGAAUCUCUAAUGCAAGACUGGUUUUUAUUUAAAAGUAUGAAAAAGGCUAGCCUAGUGAUAGCUUGGUUCCAUAGGGUUACAUCAUCAAUACGUCAAAAAACGCCAAAUUGAGGACCGCGGCUAUAUGGAAUAGUGAUAUGAUCUAUAUUGUGCCGGUGAAGAUCAAUAACCUGUUAGAAUCAACAGAAAAUAUUCAACUCAUUUGCAGUAACAAAAAAUAUCAAGAGAAAACUACAAUCUUUUUCCUUUUGUUAUAUAGGCCCCCUACAUAAGAUAGGCUCCCUACAUAAGAUAGGCCCCCUACAUAAGAUGGAUAUAGUUCUACAGAUACAGGACCAAUAUCUACUAUAUGAAUAAGGUAAGAUUAGUUAGCUUCCCAUCACCUUCCUUCCUUCUCCUGCCUUUGACAAACCCAAAUAUAAGAAUAUUAAACUUCUGCAUUACCGAAACCCCAAAUCAGUCUCCAUCAUUCAGUCACAGAACACAGAAAAGAAAAAAGAAAAAAAAAUGAAGCAAUCCCGGAACCAGCACAACUCACCUGAUCUUUCAGAUGAUCAAGAGACUUGAGUGAGGUAUCUGAGGCUUAGCGAGGCUUCCAAGCUUCAUGAAACCCUACCGAAUAGGGUCAACAACAAAUCAUACCGAUUAAAAAAAAAGUGUGAUAAUUAAGAAUAAGGUUUACUUGCUUUUUGCCUAAAAAUUGGUCCAUCCGAGCCUCCCAUCUCCCACACUUACGCAAAGUCGCUCUAUAUUUUGAGCUACCUCUAGGGAACCCAUCACUUUGUCGGGAAAGUACAUCCACACAUUCCUCCUUUGUUAAAUUGCUCAUCUGUUCAGCAACAUAUUACAAAAGAAUAUAAUCGAUCUUACCCACAUCCUCAAAAUCCCAAAAACAAAAACACCAAAAAAUGUAUAGCGGGUUUUACUGUUGAAGACAAGUUAAAAACUGUUCAAAACUAGGAUGUAUGCCCGCGCGUUGCAGCGGGUUAUGUAAUAGAUAUGUGCAGCCGGUUCGACGAAAAAUAGUAUAUAGUUAAAUUUCCUGUCAUAUUGUCACUACACAGAGUUGUAAGAUGGAGAGUAAGAGACAAAAACAAAAUCGUUGUGAACAGAAGACAAAGUCCCUGAACUCAUAUUCUCUAUAGAAACAGGACAAAGGUGAUGCUUGCUAAUUCACACCUUUCAUACACACAAUGGUAAAUUAGCUAAAGUUGCAUAUGCAUUAAUUCAAAGUAGUACAGUAUCUCACAUCCUUUUGCAGUCCAAUUGCAGGUGUGAAAAAGAACUUACAUUCAUGUAAAUAAAUGACAUAUCAGGUAUAUCACACACCAAAUUGAAUCAUAACAUUGAAAUUGCUAAUAUGGAGGUUUGGAUAUUAUUAACAACAAUGAUAUAAGAAAAUGCAAAAAGCGGAUUGCAGUUGGGAAUGAUAUUAACAAUGUUAGGAAAAACCAAAAAGGACCAAAUGUUCAGAGAUUGAUCAUUUUAAUCUACUUGCUGAGAUAAUCCAAUAGGUUAAUUACCUCAGCGGUUUUUAAUUACCUAAGCUGUCAGUACGCCUUUCCCUAUUGACAAAUAAAAUCAGGCAGUCAGCUACUGUCAUUCCUACUGUCGAAAUUUGCAGGCACAUUUCUUUCUUUUGUAGGCUUACCAACUAAAAAUGAUUAAUUGGUGAUAGGAUGAUAGGAAGACAAAAGAUGUGGAUACUCAUACUCAGAAGUUCAAAAUUUAGGAUCUAGAAAAUUUACCUUUGCAAUUGUGAAACUUUUUGAAGGAUCAGAAUUUUUUUUUCUUCUGUUCUUUUCUAAACCCCGCAAACAAAUAUUAAAGAAUAUAGUGGAUUUAAGUGUUCAGCCAACAUUAUUCAACCCAAUAAAAGUCCACCAAAGUGACCGUUAUAAAAGGGAGGACCAAAAAUACAUAAUUUGCAGCAAACUUUCUAUAAAAUUGAGUAUGAUUUCACCUAGUCUCCUGAAAACAAACCAUCAAAAUAUGACCUAACAGAGUUUGAAAGUUAAUCAUAGAUUAUUAACAUGCCCAUAACUAAAGGAUUUGCCAUACAAAAAAAUUCCCAGAAUUUGAAAAUAUCCCUAGCUCAACUACCUCUACUGCUUACUCAACUACCUGUUCAACUGUUCAGAGUGCUUGCCUGACAAAGCUCAAAUCAAAGCAUAUAGGAUGGAACAUUAUUCACAAAAUAAAAGUAUAAAUUCACACUAACGGUUCCUCAAAGUCUGAAAAAGUAUAUAACCAUACAUGCCAUUUGAGAAUAUGGUUUUUCCUAAAAACCUAUCUAGCACUAAAUCUUCAAUGCAGUUGAAUUUUUCAAAAGUAAAAAAUAAGCAGUUGAAGAACAAAAUUACCUAUAGCUUUCGUCUGGAAACAUUAACAAUUUGGUAUCUGGUACAUAACAUGGAGUUAAAUUAGAUUCAGAAACCAUACCACACAGUAACACUCGUAGUUUAGCAACCCAGAGUGCUAAUUUAUAGCUCAAUAAAAAAAUAAUCAGUAACAGUAAAAGGUAGUACCUUCCUUUGCUUAUUCCAUCUUCAAUUAGAUCUUUGCUGAGACCUAAGAGCACACGAGUGUUUAGAGAAGUCCUUCUGAAAAAUCGAUUACUUCUAAGAUAUCUGAAGACGUGAAAAAGCAUUGCAUAUUAAACCAUGAUACACCAAAGCCAAUCACACGAACUUUCAAUCCAUUAGACGCAACUGGAAAAAUAAAAUCACUUGAAUUGAAAAUGUAUUACGCAUAUCCAUCUUCUUAUUUCCCAGCUCCAAAUCCAAAUAUAUAUAUCGAUGUGAAUUACCCAGACUGCUAUGCCAAUUGACCGGACAUGAACAACAGAAAAAGCAAUUCACUUUAAUAAGGAGGAUGGUGAAAAACAAGAAAUAAGAUCGAAGCAAUUGAGCUAGUACUUACAUUCACCAUAAUUAGUUUCCAGCCAGGUCCCGUUAUCCCUCCAAUUUUGUAUUUAGGUGGCACUCAAUAGCAAAAAGAAGAUAGAAAAAGAAAUUAAUAUAUAAACUUGUACAUACAUGAUUGAUAUAUAAUCUUCUAAAACAAUUAUACAAAAAUUGGGAAGUUCUACACACCUUUGUCCAUUCAUAUCUACCUCGGUUCUGAUUGCUUCCAAAGAGUCAUCAGCACCCAUAUGAGACUUACUACUCUGUCAGUAUCUAGUUGCCUGCUCCCAUGUGUUGCCUGAACCACAAGAUGCAUUCACUUGGCUAGUCCACCUACCGCCCCCAGCUGUGGACAACUAUAUAUCUGCAUACACAUUUGAUGAAUUUAGAAACAUGAGAUCAUGAAGAGAUACACACAAACACACAAGCACGAAGAGAUCAUGAACAAUCAAACCAAAAUUAUUAACAUGUUAACCUUCGUAAAAUAUAAAACGUAGAACAGUUGUUAAGAUUGAUUAUAACAUGAAGUUGACAAAAAGAUAACUGAAAUAAAAAAGAGAUUUCCUUUCUCAUGAAAGCCAAAGAACGAAUGUCUAUAAUUUUGUGAGCCAGAAGUAUAAUUCUAAAGGAAAGCUAAAACGACUAAUGAAAGGAUAUAGUUGGGGCAAGAAAAUUCAGCUAUCUUUUAUGGCAAUUGUAGGGUGCAGGUCAGAAAGAAGAUUGAUCUCUGUGUUAAAUUGUUUCUCCAAUCGUGCUGCCAAGAGGUAUGAAAUACAAAAAGGGGAACAAGCUCAAUUUCAUAUAUUACAUGGCGGGCUCUCAAGUUGACAACACCGGAUGAAAGAAGGAAUUGAAGUCGCAGGAGGUUGAUCCUCAACAUCAGUCCUAUUAGCCUGAAAACCGAAAUUAAGCAAACUCAGGUUACAGUCGAUUAAAGCGUAGGGGUCUCAAAGGUGCUCCGCAAUCGGAAGAUUGUCAGCAGAAGCAAUCAAAAAAAGAAAAAAUAACAAGAAGAUAAAGAUAAGAGGGCUACCUGAGAUUGUUCCAGCUUCUUGGAUGGCGUAAGCUCCUUCAUCCAAGUAGUACGGCUUUUGAUCAAGGAAAAUAACGAUAGGGCAGGUAAUUAUCAUCAACAACAAAUCACAAUCACACAACCGAGACCAAAACAGACACCAAACCAAAAAAGAAACAAAUCACCUAUAGUUGAAAUCUGGAAACUGCAAGGUAGAUGAUCAAGUGAUUCAUCAUCUGCCAACAAAUCACAAUCACACAACUGAGAUCCAAACAGAUACCAAACCGAAAAAAAAAUAAAAAGUAGAAACAAAUCCACCAAUAGUUGAAAUCUGGAAACUGCGAGGAAGAAGAUGAAGUGAUUCAGAACACCGCUGGCUGUUAGGUGUUACCUGAUCGUGAGUACUGACUAUAAUACUCAAACUUGUACUCCAUCAGUCAAACUUGUACUCAUUCUUCAGUUCAUCUCUUUACCUCAGGAUAAUCCACGUUACAGAUACUUGAAUUAAUUUUGGCUUAAAGUAAGAGUGCUGAUCUAAAAGUGAAAACAAAAUUCAGUGUGAAAGACGAAUUCCUUCCCAGGUUUAUAGGAUCUAAACCAGAUUGUCUUUCCACAGGCUCCAGAGCUGCACAUUAAUCACCAGAAAGAAUUUUAAGCACAUUUAACAGUAAACUCUAAUAGUUUUUUUAACCUUAACAAUACUAAAAACAACAGUAAAGAAGCAAUCAUAUCAUGAACCUUAAAACAAGGAACCGAUGCUUUUAAGGCCUCUUGCUGUGACCGAACCCCUGCAACAUUGAUACCAUGUACAAAUGAAAGGAAUAUAUUGCAAAACUGAUACAGCAAUACUGAACUUGAAGACCAUGACCAAGUUGAAAAAUCCAAUUUGAUAUGUAUCAUUUCAGUAGGCAACUAUUCAUAUAUUCAAGUGCAUCUUCACAACCCAAUUCUCUAUUUGGUAAUAUGAUAUAAUCAUGCCCGACUGAAAUAGACUUGGCAAGAAUUACAGAAUGCUAUCAGAAAGAAUAGUUCAUAGACAGCUAACCGUGUAAAGUCGGUAACCAUUAAUCUCUACACAAGACUGUGUGUGGCCAAGUUGAUCCACUGGUCAAGCACAGUAGAUGAAUUUUGUAGAGUGGCUUGAUCAAUAGGGACAAAAGGGGAAAUCUCUUCAAUUUCAAGUCUCUUUGCACUCUGGACGAGGAACCUAUAGGCAUUGUACCACGUCCUUGACCUGAAAUUAACCAAAGAUAAAAGUACCACUGGAUCAAUUCAAAGAACAAUGAUCAACAAACAGCACCCUAACAUGAAUAGAUAUAUAACACCUAUUUUUGUCAAAUAUAUCAUCUUCCCACCAUUUGACAAAGAAACCAAGAAAGGUAAAGGCACUUAAACUAUAAUACAAACAGUCAGUUACGAUAAACACACAGCUACAUACUGAUCGAUAAAAUCAUUUUUUUUCCAUCUGAGCAAGUACAAGUCCAUUGCAAAUGAGAUUCUGAAAGGGAGGAUUGCCAGAUAAUGCAGUAGAUAACACCAUAAGUGUAGAACCGGGAUCAUAAUCGGAGGGAAGCAAUGAGGCCUAGCUUAGACAUUAGAAACUUGUGCCCAAGUUAGGACAAAAGCUGACACAAAGGAAUCUAAUCCUACAAUAGGCAGCCGACAGUCAUUAUAUUAAUUAAAAAGAAAAAGAAACAACUUACGAACAGGCAAAAGGGUUUUUCUAUUAGUUACCAAAAUAAACUCCCUAUUAUGUUUCCAACUGUACUUCAUAGUUUUCAGUUUUCAUCUAACACUAGAAUCCAUGUGGAAAGAAGUAUCAUUGCCACACAUGUACAUACAUAAUUGAUAUAUAUAUAUAUAUACUAGAAAUUAUACCGGUGCCUUGCUACGGGAUUUAUUUGCCAAAACUAAACGGAUACUUUUUUUUUCAUUGGACAUGUUAAAAGUUCAAAUACUGAUGGUUCACGUGAUGAUCUUGGCCUACCCAUUUGGAUAGGAUAGGCACAGAUUGUGAACAGCAACACUAAGAACCACCACAAUUCAGAUAAUAGAUGAAACUGCAUCCAGGAACCCAGAAAGAGAGGUCGAGUGCCUAGAAUCUUGUACAGAAGUAAAAAAAAGAGAUUAACUUUCUCAUGAAAGCCAAAGAACAAUGUCUAUAAUCCAAUGACCACUAUACAAAAAUUUGUGAGCCAGAAGCAUAAUUCUAAAUGAAAGCUAAACAAACUAAUGAAAGUAUAUAGUUGGCGAAAGAAAAUUCAGCUGCCUUUAUGACAAUUGUAUGGUGGAGGUGAGAAAGAAUUUUGAUCUCUGUGUUAAAUUGUUUCUCCAAUCGACCUGCCAAGAGGUAUGAAAUACAAAAAGGGGUUUAAUACCAAUUAGCUGAAUUCAAAAUCAUAUAUACAUGGCGGGCUCUCACCUUGACAACACCGUGUAAAAGCAGGAAUUGAAGUCACAGGAGGUUGAUCCUCUACGUCAGUCCUAUUAGCCUGAAAAUCAAAAUUACACAAGUUCAGGUUACAGUCGAGUAAAGCCUAGGGGUCUCGAAGGCGCUCCACAAUCUGAAGAUUGUCAGCAGAAGCAAUCAAAAAGAAAAAAAAAACAGAAAGAAGAUAGAGAUAAGCCGGCUACCUGAGUUUUUUCCACAUGAAAUAGUUGAGCUUCUUGGAUGGCGUAAGCUCCUUCAUCCAAGUAGUACGGUUUUGAACGAGGACAAUAACAAUAGGGCAGGUGAUUAAAAAAUAUAGAAAAGAGAGCAAAGAAUACCAAAAUUCAGAUUCACAAUAUAAAAAACGAAAUAACAAACUUAGGAGAAGUAAGCACACCUAAAAAAAUAUAACCCCCUUGCACACAGAGCACCACCUUCAAUCUAAAAUCCAAUUCCAAAACACAUGCAGAACAACAAACCAAACAUUCAGUAGGCAAGCGAAAUACUUAUCAAAGUUAAGGAAACAUUCGAGUGACUACAAUACUCAAACUCGUACUCCAUCAGUCAAACUUGUCAAAGUAAAAAGGAAGCGAAAUACUUAUCAAAGUUAAGGAAACAUUUGAGUGACUAGUGACUACAAUACUCAAACUCGUACUCCAUCGGUCAAACUUGUACUCAUUCUUCAGUUCAUCUCUUUACCUCUGGAUAAUCCACAAAACAGAUGCUUGCAUUAAUUUUGGUUUAAAGAAAGGAUUGCUGAUCUAAAAUUGAAAAUAAAAUUCAGUGUGAAAGAUGAAUUCCUUACCAGAUUUAUACGAUCUAAACGCGAUUGUCUUUCCACUAAGCUCCAGAGCUGCACAUUAAUCACCAAAAAGAAUUUUAAGCACAUUUAACACCAAACUCUAAUAGUUUUUUUAACCUUUACAAUACUAAAAACAAAAGUAAAGAAGCAAUCAUCACCUUCCCAGCAGCAUUGCCUUGUACGAAGAAAGGAAUAGAUUGCAAAACCGAGACAGCAAUAAUGAACUUAAAGAGCAUGACCAAGUUGAAAAAUCCAUGUUGAUAAGUAUCAUUUCAGUAGGCAAUUAUUCAUAUAUCAAGUGCAUCAAUCAUAUUGCAUCAAAUAAAGUAUUCCAAGCAACCAAUUUUGAUUAAAAUCCUUAUCAGACUACGCUAAACAUAUAAUGAAAUCAGAAUUUACUCACAGCAUUGCAAGACUGAGGCAAUAGAUCAGUGACACCAAUUCCCCUGAUAUAUUGUUGUGCUCAGUGGCAACAAUAUCAAAACGAAAACGUCAAAAGUCUCAGUACCUAAAUAUCGUAAACUUCGGACCACAAUUGACAUGGGCACUUACACUGAGAACAAAUUCUGCAGCUGAUAAGUUCUUGAGGAAUCAAAAAUUUCACAAUCAAGCUAUGCAUAUAGAUGCAACAGCAUCUAUAUCAAACCUAAAACUCACUUUCCAAGCUUCACUUUUCAUAUCUAGUCGGUCCCAAUCCAAUUUAAUACCAGCUCUUUAUAUUCACAAACUUUCCAAAACAAAUACCCAAUUUAUAACCAAUGCACAUUGCACUAUCAACGCCAUAUAUAAUCUGAACCCACAAAAACCCACCAAAAAUUGAAAAGCAGCAUGCUUUAGUACAAUAACGAUUGGAUCAAAUACACCUUAUAAACCCCAACGUAAUUCUAAUUAAACACUUGCUUUGAAAGAAAACAUAUCAAUAAUUAUACCUAUAACCCAAAAAACCAGAAUUACCUUCCCUAUUCUUGCUGAUGAUACGCUGCAAAUUUCGUCAAGAUUGGAAAGAGAUCAACAUGGAUCAGAAACAGUUCAAAUUUCAAAAAAAGAGCAACGAAGAUCGAAAUUCAGAUUCACAGGAAGUAAGCAAUGAUGGAAAAAUAUAACCCCCUUAUAGCCUCACACACAGAGCACCACCUUCAAUCCAAGAUCCAAUUCCAAAACACAUGCAGAACUACAAACCAAACAGUUAAAAAGUAAAAGGUAGGAAGCAAAAAUACUUAUCAAAGUUAAGGAAACAUUCGAGUGAACCCAACCGUUCUUAAGUAAAACUGUUGCACAAUUCCUAAAUGUCACUUUCCUUGGCAUGCCUUUAAUAAAGAUACAGAGAAGUCAUGAAAAGGUUAAAGCUCUUCCCUUUUUUCUAUUUUCCUUUUGCUGAUUGGUUUGAUCCGAAUUGAGAUAUUGUUCGGUAUCAUUGAUAAGUACUAUCAAAAUCGGGUUUACAUACAAAUAGGGGCUUGGGGAAACAAAUUCAAACAAAUAGGAACUUCUCACUAAGUUUUAAGGACAAUUCUCACGCACGAAAACCAAUCUUUUAAAACUCUAAUGGAUCAGAUAAAAACUGUAAAUAAACAUGACUUGAGAGCCAAAAACCCAAACUAAGUGUAAACUUCAAAAAUUCAUUUCUCACCUGAAAUUGAACAAAUAGGAGAAGCUUUAGAAAUCUGGCUCGAAAAUCAAAUCAGACGCUGACAAUCACAGCUACUGAAAUCCUCUUGAUCUAACAAUCACAGCUACUGAAAUCCUCUUGAUCUCAGUCACAAAAAAGCGGUCUCAAUCCAAAAUUCGAUACCCAUAUCUCAAAUUGCCAAUAAAACGAAAACCUUGAAUCAAAAUCAAAUUCAUCAGUAAAAAAAAAAAAAAAGAUAACCCAAAACCAAAACUGAAAUCAAACAAAAAAUUACACAAACCAAAACGCAUUACACUUUAAUAAGAGGAUGGUGAAAAACAGGAAAGGAAAUCAAAGCAAUUGAGGUAGUAAUUACAUUCACCAUCUUUAGUUUCCAGCCAGGUCCAGUUAUCUCUGCAAUUUUGUAUUCUGGUGGCACUUGAAAGCGAAAAGAAGAAAGAAAGAAAGAAAAAUCAUAUUGAUACUCAGAUUAAGCAAACAUGAAAAUUAAAUCAAGCAGAUGAAAGCAAAGUUUUCUCUCUUUGAAGCCGCUAUAUAAUCGAUACAGUUUUCUUUAUUUGAGUACAUUGCAUGUAAAGUUUGUUACUUUACCUGAAAAACUGCUUAAAAAUGAAACUCAAAUUAGCAAGCUACAUACUGGAAUUUGGUGCAAUCCUUCAUUGAGGUGCUAGACUGCAACACAGACAAAACCUGAAUCAACUUGAUCAAGGAAACAGAAAACCCAGUCAAAAAAACAAUGUGCAUCACAUUCUUCAUCAGAUAAAACAUGUUGUUAUGUUUGAAAAGAUAGUGACUGCCAAAGAUCAAAGCAAUUGAGCAAGUACUUACAUUCACCAUCUUUAGUUUCCAGCCAGGUCCAGUUAUCUCUCCAAUUAGUAUUCGGGGGUACUCGAUAGCAACAAGAAGAAAGAAAGAAAGAAACGAAAAUCAGAUUGAAACUCAGAAAGAAAGAAAGAAACACAGUUUCCUUUAUUUGAGUACAUUGCAUGUUAAGUUUGUAACUUUACCUGAUAAACUGCUAAAAAUUAAAAAUCAAAUCAGCAAGCUAUAUACUGGAAUUCGGUGCAAUCGAUCAGUGAGGACCUAGACUGUUCUACCUAGACUGCAGAACAGACAAACGCCGAAUCAGCUCAAAUCAGGUAAUGGGAAGGGUUAUCCUUCUUGAAAUGAUAAGCUCAAUCUCAAACAGUAUAGAAACCACACAAAAACGGAAUGAAAAAAUUUGAAAAUUCAAAAGCACUCAACUUAUCUAUUCGAUCUGAGCAGAGAAUUGGGAACUUCCUAAAUCUAUAGUCCCACGAAUCCAUCUUGGGGAAAAUUUAUAUUGCACUCUUAGCAUUCAAACACCAAAUUUCAUGCCAACACAAAAAAAAUUCAAAUGAAAACACAAUAAAAAUUCAAAUGCAAACGCAAAAGCCAAUAAAGUCAAGCAUAAUAACAUCAAGAACAUACCUGAGAAACUAACAAAUUGGAUCCCGCCCAAAAUCAACCAAACUCAACCAAGCACAUGUUAACAAAUCCUCCACAGAUUUUCACUCAAAGAUAUCUCAUCGGCUCUACACCGAAAACGAAAAAAAAAAAUAAUGGAUAAAACCAAAACAAAAGGAUAAGAAAUACCGAGACAUUAGAGCACAUAAGAGCACUGGUUUUCAAAACACUAUCUCUUGUCUUUUAACAUACCCAUCUGAGGAGGGAGGUAAUCAAGAGUGCCACACAUGGUCCGCCUGCGAUUGAAUGUGUGUACUGACCACCCAAAAUCUGCUAUCUUGAGUUCACCUUGACAUUAGAAAUCUACAUUGACAUGAAUAGCAACAAAUAUGCAUCAAUAAGUCAUAAAAAGGAAACAUAUAACAGCAUAGUAAGGCAUUCAGCACCUGUUGACCAAUGAGAAGGUUUUCUCGUUUGAUAUCUCGAUGAAUUACGUGCUUUCCAUGACAGUAUAUAAGGGCUCAGGCCAAUGAUGCAACAUACUGCAAAUACCUCAUACGAAAAAAACAUCAGAAUUUCUAUUCUAUAAACAACUGAAAGAGAAUGAAUUAGACACCACAAAAAAACUUACGAUGGCUGCACGUCUUUCACUAAAGUAUUUACACUUUUGGAGUUCCUUGUAUAGUUCACCUUUGGCGGCAUAUUCCAAUAUCAAAUAAACUCGUUUCUGCAAUUAAAAUUCCACUACAAGGGUGAGUGACUCUGUACCAUAGUGGUUCCAUUAAUUAGGAGACGUUCAAUUUGGUGCAAACAUAAAGCACCUAUGAGCACUAUACCUGAUCAUAAAAGUAGCCAUAAAGACAUAGAAUAUUGGGAUGGCGAAGAUGACUUUGUAUUUCAACUUCCGGGGAAGCUGAUGCUCAACCUGAGAUUGUUGCAACUGGCUCUUGAAGAGGACUUUGAGUGCCACUAUGUGAUUGCUCUGUUUCAGGCAUAGAUACAGAUCAAGAACUGUGUAUACACACCACUAAAAGCAGGUAAACAGAGAGAUACAACACCACGAUGAUGCAUAGCAAACACUCAUUUCCAACUUAAAAUUGCAAAAGGAGAUUCCACAUCAUUUGAUAAUAAAGCACAUUGUCGAAUCAAGAUCCUCCUUAGUUAUAACUCUUUCCAAUACAUCUUUAGACAACUCUUGCAACCGCCUAAUCAGCCAUCAGAGAAGCAUUCAGGAACAUCUAGUCAUGAUAUCUGCAAAUUCCGAAAGUGAUUAUGAGUUCUCCUUUGAGCAAAAAACAGGCAAAUUAGGAACAUUAAGAACAUCAUCAAUACAUGGUUGAUAGUGGGCAUGUUAGAUUAACACAGAAGAUAGUCUCAUACAACACGAAAACAAAAGCAAUAUAUUAGGUCUUAUUAUGAUUAUAUUAAAAUACAUGCUUUGCGCUAGAUACAUAUGCAAUGCAAAAGAUCUAAUAGUAUGAUUUGCAAGAAACACAGUUUAAUAGAUACCACCAAGUCUAAUAGUAUGUUUUCCAAAUAAAAAGUAAUGGACACAGGGGAUAUCUAUCUUAGCCUGAAUUAGAGAUUGGAUACACAUUUGGGAUAUUUGAGAGGGAAGUGAAGGCUUUUAGAAGAGCACUAAGAGAUAGUGUAACACCUAAACGAAUAUGCUCCUUGAAUACCUAUGAACCUCAGUUCGUUCAAAAUCUCAGGAAAUCAACGGAAACAGGAGAACAAAGUUCUUGGUUUGCAAGCAGGAACUGAAGAAAUAAAAGAAACCUACCAUCAAACUCACAAACAAACAAUGAAUCUAAUUCUCUAAUCACAAUAAUGAUCAGAGCAUUCAUAAAAAAAGCUACAUUACUAUGAAGCCUUUUACUAUUCAAAGCCCAGAUCUUAAAAAAGGACAUGAAGAAUAAGGAAGUAGUGACAGGAUAGCUGAUUUUGGAGUACUAUGAAGCCUAAUUACAUUUUUAUAAUACAAAGAACAAAAGUUACCUGGAUUACUAUUUGUUACAUACAAAUUAGAACAAUAAAGAAUAGUUUGAUCUAUGAAAAACAGAGAAUAUUAUUAUUAAGAGAUGAUAAAGAACAAAUAGCAAAAUGAAAAAUAAAAUUUAAAAGAAUAAACUGAGUAACAUAUGAAGAUGGAAAAGAAUAAAGAAUGAGUUUAUAAGAGAAAGAAUGACAAUAAUGUAUUACAGUGCAACACUUUCUUGCAGUUCUCAAAAUGCGCUCUCUUGGAUUCUGAAUCAGUUAUACAAUGUAGGACCUCACUCUCACCAUCUGUUAAAAAAGAAAAAGGGAAAAAAAAGGGACUUCAGACAAUAACAAAAUAGAAUUACUACAAAAUCCACAGCAAUUUAUACAGAUCCCCUGAAAUCAAAUUAAGUAGAGUACUCUACUCCAAUUGCCACGCCAAAAAAAUGAAACUGAAAUGAAGUAGCUAUUUUCAUGUGUAUAUUAAUUCCUAGUUUGACACUCCUCAAUGUACAUACCACACGUUACACAGCUCUUCAAAUUCCAUUUGCUCUAAUCCCUGUUAGGCUACCUUCCCUAGAAAAUUUGCAGUUCACCUAAACCGCAUAUACCUAUGGUAAACUGAACACCGGAGCAUCACGUAUGCCUAUGCCAACCUAAACGACACCAUAUGCACAACUCUGUUAGCAGAGUCAACCAUUUACAUCGUAAAAGGUAAAAGAAAAAUGUUCACUUCUACCUUUUCACUCUCAAGCUCUCUCAAGCUCUUUCCUCAGUCCUCUCAACGAAUCUUCAAGUCCUCUCACUCAUUAUGAAGAGCGGGCAUGUCUGUCUUGACAUAGAUCAUUAUAGCCCCUACGAAUUUGUUCACUUCUUUUUAUUUACUCUAUUAACUGAAGAUGACCUAUACAUAUUUGAAAUAUUUGAAUCACUGUUAUAUUAUUAAAAGGAUUUUGAAAUUAAAGAUCAAAACAUUUGAACUGAAGCAUUAACCAUACCUCCAUUACCUUGAGAACUGAUGAAUUGGAAAUCACCCAAAAGAAACCAGAACCAAGCAUCAACAGUAGACCAUAGUGAUUACUAAACCAAACCUCAAAAAAGACGACCAGCAGAAAACCUAGAAUCAAAAUCAAAUUCACCAGUAAAAAACAAAAGAUAACCCAAAACCGAAACUGAAAUCAAACAAAGAAUCUAUGCCAAUCGACCCGACAAGAACAACCGAAAACGCAUUACACUUUAAUAAGAGGAUGGUGAAAAACAGAAAAGGAGAACAAAGCAAUUGAGCUUGUAACUACAUUCACCAUCUUUAGUUUCCGGCCACGUCCAGUUAUCUGUGCAAUUCUGUAUUCUGGUGGCACUCAAAAGCUAAAAGAAGAAAGAAAGAAAGGAAAAUCAUAUUGAUACUCAGAUUAAGCAAACAUGAAAAUUAAAUCAAGGAGAUGAAAGUAAAGUUUUCUUUCUUGGAAGCCCCUAUAUAAUCGAUACAGUUUUCUUUAUUUGAGUCCAUUGCAUGUAAAGUUUUACCUGAAAAACUGCUUAAAAAUGAAACUCAAAUCAGCAAGCUACAUACUGGAAUUCGGUGCAAUCGAUCAUUGAAGUACUAUACUGCAGCACAGACAAAACCCGAAUCAGCUCAAAUCAAGGAAACAGAUAACUGUGCAUCACAUUCUUCAUCAGAUAAAACAUGUUAUGUUUGAAAAGAUAGUGACUGCCGAAGAUCAAAGCAAUAGAGUUAGUACUUGCAUUCACCAUCUUUAGUUUCCAGCCAGGUCCAGUUAUCUCUCCAAUUUAGUUAGUAAUCGGGUGGUACUCGAUAACAAAAAGAAGAAAGAAAGAAAGAAACGAAAAUCAGAUUGAAACUCAGAAAGAAAGAAAUACAGUUUUCUUUAUUUGAGUAUAUAACAUGUAAAUUGUAACUUUACCUGAUAAACUGCUAAAAAAUGAAAAUCAAAUCAGCAAGCUAUAUAAUGAAAUUCGGUGCAAUCGAUCAUUGACGUCCUAGACUGCACAACAGACAAACGCCGAAUCACAGGUAAUGGGAACGGUCACCCUUCUUGAAAUGAUAAGCUCAAUCUCAAACAGUAUAAAAAUCACACAAAAACGGAAUAAAAAAAUUUUGAAAAUUCAAAAGCACUCAACUUAUCUAUUUGAUCUGAGCCGAGGAUUGCGAACUUCCCAAAUCUAUAGUCCCACGAAUCCAUCUUGGGGAAAAUUUAUAUUGCACUCUUUGCAUUCAAACACCAAAUUUCAUGCCACCAAUUUAGACAAGAAUGCAAUUUAAAAGAAAAAUGCUAGCAAUUAGACAGAAUUAAAUAAAGAAAAGCAAAUAUACAGAACCACUUACCCAUAUUUCUCUUCUCCUGUCUCAGCCCAAAAUAUGUUAACGAAUAUUCCAGUCUCUUCCUCACAGCAAAACACAACAACCCUGAAUCCGCCAUGUUCGGCCUCUCUUACAAAGAAUAUCUGUUUGAUGAACCUCUGCAUGUAAUUAAUGUCCUUUGUAUCAAAAUACCAAUUUUACAAAUUCAAAAUCAGAAACGAAAAUUCAUUCUUUGAAGUAUAAUCCACGUGCAUCUGCAUUGAUCACAGUUUUCACAGAAAUACUCGUCUCUAUAAAGGAGAAGCCUUUUUAUGCACAGUACGUUUUUGUACAUUAAUUGUUUACCUAAAAGACUAAACCCACAUACACAUAGAAAAGGUAGCAAAUCACCUAUACAAAAUCUGGAAUCAACUAAUACAAACAAUUUUGGCCAAAUCUUUUUUUCAUUGUUACAAAAAAAUAAAUUAAAACAGAAGUCCCCAAAGAUUCCCAACUAAAUGAAUAAUAUAGAAUUGUUUGAAAUCUUGAAUGUAGAAGAAGUAGCACAUACCUAUGAACCUCAACACCAUCAAAACUUCAAGCAAACUACAUAAACAGCAAAACCAAAUUCUUUGUUUUCGAGCAGGAACUUAAAAAGGAAUAAGAAAAAAAAAAGAACUACCAUGAAACUCACAAAUAAACAAUCUUACCAAAUAAUAAUAAAGUAUUAAUCAAAAGCUAGNNNNNNNNNNNNNNNNNNNNAAAAAAAAAUUACAAAGAUACUAAAAAAUUCAUGUACAUGCAUAUAACUAUCAGAUUGGGAAAUCAGUACUAAUAGUUAGAAAGGUGAAGACGAAUGGUACUAAUAGUUAGAAAGGAGAAGACAAAUGGUAUAACUAUCAUACUGAUAUUGAUCGACACCAAAAAUUUUAGUGCUGACGAAACCUAAAUUGACCCAAAACCUCAUUAUCUUGAUACUUGAUUGAAACCCAAACUCGCAACAACAGUGAUCAGCGAAAUCAAACACCUUCUGCAUUAAUCACCAAAAAAUCGGACCAAAGGAGAUAAGCGACCAUAUUGAGCGACUCAUAAACCCAUAAUUCAAGAUCCAAAUAAAAAAAAAUAAAAUUUCAAAGGAUGAUGCUUACCUUAGGAAACCUGAAUUCACCCAAAACGGUUAUCUCAGUUUGAUCUCCUCUCUCUGAUCUCCACUCUCUUUCAGACUUUUUCUCCUCUGUUGUGACUUGGGCCGAAACCAAGACGUAGAAAAGAAAGAAAAAGAACGAAAGCCAGGGAAGAGACACACGGAGACGGUAGACACACAUGUGGAAGUAAAUAGCUAACACCUGUCAUGCCAGAAUUGUAAAUAAGCGGAGAACGGAAGGGCAAAAAUGGCAGCCCAACGUUCCCUUAGAAACAGUAGGUCGGCCCCAGGCCGCAUAAUAAUAUAGUAAAUUGAAAAACAAAAAUGAAUGGAAUUGAAAACCCAUUACCCAUACACAUCUUCUUUCGCAGCUUCAAAACCACUCACAACUGAUUCGAAAACCUCAGUAAAGGUUUGAAAUUGAUUAUCCAACCCAGCCAAAUCCUGCAUAAAAUAUGAGGAAAACAUGACACAUCUUACCAUACCGGAAAAUCCAAAACUCAUUUGCACCACCAAAGUUGCAUGUGCCACAUAAGAAGCUUACCAUGAGCCGAAUCCCUCAAAGAUCUUACACUACAUACCUGAACACUAUAAUAGUAUAAUUAUCCUAACACAUAAUUACAACAAAAUAGGAACCCACAGCACUAAGUUGUCGUAUUGGGCUCACCCCUCCUUUUUUUCCCAAAUUCAGACCUCUUUUUCCUUCAUGAAAACCCAGAAAACUAAACUUUUUUUAAGUCAUAUCAUAGGAAGUACGAAACGGAAGAAAAUGAGAAAAGCAACUUACCGAAAAAAAAUACCAUAUGUAGAACUCACCAAGACGCAUGCCAAUACACCAAUAAUGUACCUGAAACUCUUUGUUCAACAAACCCAUUAAACCCAAUAAUGAACCUAUUCUUGCAGCAGUUGUUGCACCAGAGCUUGCAGCAGAGUUGUUGCUGGGAUAUCAAUAACUAACCUGGAAAAUAUGCAUACAUGAUUUUCAAUGGGAACUGUGGCCAUAUGCAUAUAAUAUUUGAGCAGAAACUAUCUCAUCGGCAUUUCAUGUCAUCUGACCGUCAAUCUACACCGUUAAAAAAAUGAGGUCUAAAAAGGGUCUACAACAAAACAUACCGGAUAAUAAAAUGAGUGAUAAUUAAGAGAAAGGUUUACCUACUUUUUGCCUAAAAAUUGGCCCAUCUGAGUCUCCCAUCUCCCACACCUAUGCAAUGGCACUCCUCAAUAUUUUGAGCCGCCUCUAAGGAUUCUUCAUUCAAAAUCUCAAUCUCACCUGCUCUGCAUCGAAUAGAAAAAAAAAAAAAAGUUAAAAGAAGAGGAUUAUGUGAUAGAACUAAAAGAAAAGCAUGAGAAAUUAUGGACACUGUAAUAAUCUGAGAUGCCUAAAUGGGUACACAUUUGCAGAUAACAAAAGCCGAAACUGUUAUGCCCCUUUAUAAGUUAAUCCAUCAAUCAAUAAAGUUAAACAUGCACAAAAAAAUGCAAAUCGUUUCACGUAGUUAACAAUCUAAAACAGUAUAGAUGGCACGAUAAACAAACUCGGGAUUAUAAAAUCACUUACUCAUAGUUUACAUUACUUUCUCAAUAACUUAAAUCAAAGAAAGAAGACAAUAUACAGAUAUGACCGACGUAUUAAAAAAAUAAUAAUAAAUAAAAAAACUCAAAAAAAAUCUCAUGAGAAAAAUGCAAAAUUAAUUUUACAUGCUCAGCCACACUGAAGCCUGAAUACCCCCUUUGGAGCUUCAUUUUCACCGAAAAAUGCAUACCAUCAACUUAGGAAAAAAAUAAUUCCAAAGAACCCAACAAACUUAGAUUGAUUAACGGGAUCCAAGAAAAAGCAGCCGGAAAGAAACAAAACAUAGUAUAGUGGGACAUAAGAGUAUCAGCCAAAACUAAACAGAUACAUUUUUUUUUCAUUGAACAUGUUAAAAGUUCAAAUACUGAUAGUUCACAUGAUGAUCUUGGCCAACCCAUUUGGAUAGGAUAGGCACAGAUUCUAAACAGCAGCACUAAGAACCACCACAAUUGAGAUAAUAGAUGAAACUGCAUCCAGGAACCCAGAAAGCGAGGUAGAGUGCCUAGAAUCUUGUACAGAAAUAAAAAAGAGAUUACCUUUCCCAUGAAAGCCAAAGAACGAUGUCUAUAAUUCAUUGACCACUAUACAAAAAUUUGUGAGCCAAAAGCAUAAUUCUAAAUGAAAGCUAAACAAACUAAUGAAAGUAUAUAGUUGGCGAAAGAAAAUUCAGCUACCUUUAUGACAAUUGUAGGGUGGAGGUGAGAGAGAAGAUUGAUCUCUGUGUUAAAUUGUUUCUCCAAUCGAGCUGCAAAGAGGUAUGAUAUAAAAAAGGGGUAUAAUACCAAUUAGCCGAAUUCAAAAUCAUAUAUUACAUGGCGGGCUCUCACCUUUACAACACCGUGUAAAAGCAGGCAUUGAAGUCACACGAGGUUGAUCCUCUACAUCAGUCCUAUUAGCCUGAAAAUCGAAAUUACGCAAGUUCAGGUUACAGUCGAGUGAAGCCUAGGGGUCUCCAAGGCGCUCCACAAUCUGAAGAUUGUCAGCAGAAGCAAUCAAAAAGAAAAACAAAACAGAAAGAAGAUAGAGAUAAGCCGGCUACCUGAAUUUGUUCCACAUGAAAAAGUUGAGCUUCUUGGAUGGCAUAAGCUCCUUCAUCCAAGUAGUCCGGCAUUUGAACGAGGAAAAUAACAAUAGAGCAGGUAAUUAGAUCAGAAACAGUUCGGAUAUCAAAAAGAGAGCAAAGAAGAUCAAAAUUCAGAUUCACAAUAUAAAAAACGAAAUAACAAACUUAGGAGAAGUAAGCACACCUGAAAAAAUAUAACCCCCUUACAGCCUCACACACAGAGCACCACCUUCAAUCUAAAAUCCAAUUCCAAAACACUGCAGAACAACAAACCAACCAGUUAAAGUAAAAGGCAAGCAAAAUACUUAUCAAAGUUAAGGAAACAUUCGAGUGACUACAAUACUCAAACUCGUACUUCAUCGGUCAAACUUGUACUCAUUCUUCAGUUCAUCUCUUUACCUCAGGAUAAUCCACAAAACAGAUGCUGGAAUUAGUUUGGGUUUAAAGAAAGGAUUGCUGAUCUAAAAGUGAAAAUAAAAUUCAGUGUGAAAGACGAAUUCCUUACCAAAUUUAUAGGAUCUGAACGCGAUUGUCUUUCCACUAAGCUCCCUGCACAUUAAUCACCAAAAAGAAUUUUAAGCACAUUUAACACCAAACUCUAAUAGUUUUUUCAAACCUUUACAAUACUAAAAACAAAAGUCAAGAAGCAAUCAUCACCUUCCCAGCAGCAUUGCCCUGUACAAAUGAAAGUUAAAAGUAAAAGGUAGGAAGCAAAAAUACUUAUCAAAGUUAAGGCAACAUUCAAGUGAACCCAACAGUUCUUAAGUAAAACUGUUGCACAAUUCUUAAAUGUCACACUUUCCUUGGCAUGACUUUAAUACAGACACAGAGAAGUCAGGUUAAAGCUCUUCCCUUUUUUCUAUUUUCCUUUUGCUGAUUGGUUUGAUCCGAAUUGAGAUAUUGUUCGGUCUCAUUGAUAAGUACUAUCAAAAUUGGGUUUACAGACGGGGGCUUGGGGAAACAAAUUCAAACAAAGAGGAAAUUCUCACUAAGUUUGAAGCACAAUUCUCAAGCACGAAAACCAAUCUUUUAAAACACUAAUGGAUCAUAUAAAAACUGUAAAUAAACAUGACUUGGGAGCCAAAAACCCAAACUGUGUAAACUUCAAAAAUUCAAUUCUAACCUGAAAUUGAACAAACAGGAGAAGCUUUAGAAAUCUAGCUCGAAAAUCACAGCUACUGAAAUCCUCUUUCUCUCUAUCACAAAAAAGCGGUCUCAAUCCAAAAUUUGAUACCCAUAUCUCAAAUUGCCAAUAAAUCGAAAACCCAGAAUCAAAAUCAAAUUCAUCGGUUAAAAAAAAAAAAAACAAUAACCAAAAACCAAAACUGAAAUCAAACAAAGAAUUACCUAGACUGCUAUGCCAAUCGACCGAACAAGAACAAGAACAACAGAAAAAGCAUUACACUUUAAUAAAAGGAUGGUGAAAAACAGGAAAGGAGAUCAAAGCAAUUGAGCUAGUAAUUAUAUUCACCAUCUAUAGUUUCCAGCCAGGUCCAGUUAUCUCUCCAAUUAGUAUUCGGGGGAUAGCAAAAAGAGGAAAGAAAGAAAGAAACGAAAUUCAGAAUGAAACUCAGAAAGAAAGAAACGCAGUUUUCUUUAUUUGAGUACAUUGCAUGUAAAGUUUGUAACUUUACCUGAUAAACUGCUAAUAAAUGAAAAUCAAAUCAGCAAGAUAUAUACUGGAAUUCGGUGCAAUCGAUCAUUAAGGUCCUAGACUGCAUAACAGACAAACGCCGAAUCAGCUCAAAUCAGGUAAUGCGAACGGUUAUCCUUCUUGAAAUGAUAAGCUCAAUCUCAAACAGUAUAGAAACCACACAAAAACGGAAUGAAAAAAAUUGAAAAUUCAAAAGCACUCAACUUAUCUAUUUGAUUUGAGCUGAGGAUUGCGAACUUCCCAAAUCUAUAGUCCCACGAAUCCAUCUUGAGGAAAAUUUAUAUUGCACUCUUUGCAUUCAAACACCAAAUUUCAUGCCAACACACAAAAAAUUCAAAUGAAAACACAAUAAAAAUUCAAAUGCAAACGCAAAAGCCAAUAAAGUCAAGCAUAACAACAUCAAGAACAUACCUGAGAAACUAACAAAUUGGAUCCCACCCAAAAUCAACCAAACUUGACCAGGCACAUGUUAACAAAUCCUCCAUAGAUUUUCACUCAAAGAUAUCUCAUCGGCUCUACACAGAAAAUUUUUAAAAAAAAUAUGGAUGGAACCAAAAGAAAAGGAUAAGAAAUACUGAGACAUUAGAGCACAUAAAAGCACUAGUUUUCAAAACACUAUCUCUUGUCUUUAGACAUAAAGAUGAAUUUACCAAUCACAACAUCGACAUAUUUUCUGAGAUUUUCACAAAGCAAAUUAAUUCACCCAUAUAUGUGUCUUAUUAAAAGAUUACCGACUAAAAGUAUUUUCUGGACAAAAACUUAAACUUAGUGAAUAUCUUGUACAUAGUCCAUCCCAAAGAGUGAUUAAAAUGUAAAAUGAAAUGAACCUGUGCAAUUAUUCUACAACUUCAAUUUGCUCUAAAAGGUCUUUUGCGACCUGAAAUCACCACGAAAAAUCAAAUCAAUAUGAGAAAAAGUAAAGAGAGCAUAAAAUGGGAUAUUUUUGUCUGUGGAUCAAAGUUCACAUUACCUAUUUCAUUUACCUGCCCAUUUUAGCUUAAAUGAUUCAGAUUAAAUUUUUAUGAUUGGAAAGGAAUGAGGAAAUUGAAAUUCAAUAGAAUCUGUGAUUUUAUGUGCAUAUGAUAUCAGGAACAUAUAUACCAAUUCCUACAACAUAUAUACAUGGGAUAAGUGUACACCAUAAUUUGUCUGCAACAAUAUUGCUUUUCCAAAUUGAGAUAUUCUCCUUAAUUAUGUCCCAGAAAAUUUUGUCUGCUGUUAAAUUUAUUCCACAAUAAGAUCAAAUUUCACAUACAUCAUCAAUUAAGAUUCUCACGCUAUCGCCAAAAUUGUAAUCACAUCCGGACAAUUGAAAAAAAAAAAACAAGAACAGCUCUGUUUGGCUACUCAGGGAAAAAAUGCAGCGAAAAAAAAGGGGAUCAACCUAACAAAAGGUGCAAGCUUAGAACCAACAUAUACCAAUUGAAAACGAAGAGAAUGGAGUCUACCGAAUCCAGCGUUAGUAUCAAUUAUGGAGUGAGCAGGGAGUGAAAACGGAAUCAUUACCUGACCUUCAAAAUCGGCCUUCAGUUUCAAGUUCCGGUCCUCAAGAGUAAGCCUCACCUGAAAAACCAACAUGCAUCCACUAAUAACUCAGACACUUAUUUUAUUAAUUUUACCAAUUGUGUAGUUUAUUUUCUCUGAAAGUUUAGCUGAUAGCACAAUUGUGUUCACCAUUCUCCAAUUGUAAGCAAUUACUCAAUCCAGAAAACAAAACAAUCAAAAACUAUAAAAACAAAAUGAGAUUUCUAGCAAAGUCAAGUCCGGGAGAGCCAAGAUUUUGUUUACCAUCGAAGAGAGGAGUCAGAGGACCAGUUCUUCCCAUUUCCUUAAAGACGAACUGAAAAAAAAAAUAAAAAAUUGUGCUCAAGCUUCCUGUUUCUUCUUUCUUUCUUUUUAUUCCAGUUUUGAGUUGAUCUCUGAUUCUACAGGAAAACUCAUAAAACUAACAUAAGGUAGCAUGCUAUUUUGAGGAAUUGAUCAGUAUCUUACUAAAACACACAAAAAUUAAUACAAGUAUAAGCAAACAGCACAGAGAAUGUGACAUGAAUCAAUACAGGUAUAAGCAAACAAAAGUGAGACCCAUUCAAAAACACACUGCAAAAUGAAUGCAACGAAAGUUUCAUGAAACAAACCAACCAUUCAAUGAUAGCCGUGCUGGUUUAAUAAUCUAAUGUAAAUAAAAAAGAGACCAAUCAGCCAGGAAAUCAAAUUUCUUGUGCAAUUUACGGAUCAAACAACACAGAACCAGGAGGCAACAAUCGAAUCACUGAAAUUAAAGAGCACUAAAAGACUAAUAAUCAGAGACCCAUUUCAAUUGGCAACACAUUAUCUUACCAAAAUUUGGGGAUAUAGGGUUUAUGGCCCAUCCCCUGAAAUUUUUUGAAGCCCUAAAACUAAUCAAACACAGAACUCAGAGAAAGUGAUCCUCACCCUAGUAAUCGCAGUUAUAUCACCGAGAGGGGUUCUUGGGUACCAAGAAGGCAACACACUGUUCGAUCUCUGUCCCCUUCUCCGGCUAGAACCUCCGACCGGCGGCGUAUUCUCUCUGGCUGGAGUCAUCAUCCCAAACGCACUACGUCGACGCCCGAUUCCGGUUCCCGGAGUCCUCAAACUGCUCGGUGCCACUCCACCGCCUGUCCCCCAAACGCACUACGUCCACGCCCGAUUAGGGUUUGGUAUUAAGGUGGAGACGGCGUUGUUGUUGUUUCGUCCACGCCCAAUUCAGGACAUGGUUAUCUGGAUGAAAAUGAAAAAGAGACGAGGGUUGUGCGAGCCUGCGAGGUGUGUAUUUUAGGCCCCGAGCACUGUGAUGGUAGAGAGAGACGAAAAUGAAAAAGAGACACGAGCAGAGCUGUUUAUGAAGGAGCGGUUAAAUGGGGGGUCUUACUGAAUUUAGGAAAAUUAAUACUUUUUAAAAAUUGAAACAUUCAAAAAUUAAAAUAAACGGGGCUACGUGGUACGUAAUAGCACACCUAUUAACGGUGAUCGAUGUUCUACAGGCAUAAUCGGUUACCAGGAUAUAACGAAGUAAAAUAAAAAAAUUAAUACUCUGUUUUCCCAAAAUUAAUCAAGUCUCAAUGCUUCCCAUUAUUAACUUUAAUACUCUGCUUCCCAUUUCAUACUUUCACAAGCCCUUUAUUUUUAUUACUAAUAAAAUUGAGAAACCAAAAACAGUAUUUUGGUUGAUAAAUUCUCAACAAACCCAAAACAAAGGAAACGUUUCCAUGUGUAAUUCGUUAACAAUAUAUUGUUUUUUGUUAACCAUAUCUCACCGUUGUCGAAUAGUGCUCUAACCUUAUAAUGUUGAAAAUUCGGUUUAGUCAUGAGUGUUGACUGAUUAUUUGAUAUUGAAAUAAUCCCGUGAUGUUGAAAUGUGAAAUAUAUCUACCUUUGUUUUAUGGUGGUAGAGAAAGCAAAGGUAGAGACGGGGGUGAUGGGUUUUCCAAGAAAGAGGGGUCAUGGAAGACAACUAAAGAAUAAAGAGUAUCAAAAGUUCUUGUAUGCACCAACAUGCAUGUGAACCAUCAAUCAUUAGCCAAUCAUAAUCAUUCAUUUAAUACCGUCAACUAAUGACACUAACAUCAAUAUUAAUUCUGUUAAAAAUAAUUGAAGCAAAAAAAAACCAUCAAUAUGGUAAAAAUAUGUAAGACUAGAGUAAAUAUUUAAUGGAUAAUAAAAAAAUUUGUUACAACCAGAAUUUUUUUUCAUUUGUUCUGAAGAAGUGAAGAACAACUCAACCAAUUUCAUCAUCUUCUCUUCCUUCUGAUCUGCUCCUAAACAACCAAUUGAUAUCGUGGAAAUUUUCCAACUCGAUCACUAAACCAAUGAUCUGCUUCUCUUCCCUUUGAUCUGCUCCUAAAUCAAAUCCCUUAUUUACUUUUUUAACACUUCAGUUUUCCAUCAAUCACAUCCUUAAUCUACUCCCAUAAACCCCAAUCCCCAUUCUUCCCACAACCUCAUUUCGAUCACUACAUUCUAACUUUCAAGCUAUGCAGCUUCGGCUUUCAGCCGUUCAAUACUUCAACCCAUGGAAACCCAGUAGCGUGAAGACCCAAAAAGGCUACGGCUUCUUCGAGAGACUUUUGAUGGUUUGAGAUCCAAAAACUCUAAACUCAAAACUUGUUUAUUCGAUUAACACGAAUUCUAGCUUUGAGUCGAAAUUUUCUAGGUCGGCGAUGAACUUCUUAGUUGGGGAGAUGGAGGGUUGAAACUUGAAACGGUGGAAAGGUUUUGGCUUUUACUGUUGUUCGACUUUUGGUAUUUGUUUGACUACAAACGACUAGCUAACGUUCUGUUAAGCCACGUGAAUUGCACACCCCUGGUUCAAGUACACCAUGGUGCACUGAAUCUGCUCCGCAAAGAGUAUACUUGGAAAAUGAAGCAGUCUUUUUUAAUACUGAUGAUGAUGUGGGAUGCUAGAGUGCGGCUAUUGAGACCUCCAAAUUUGCUCAGUGUACCUCUCAUUCUCUCUACACCUCCAUUUUACUUUUAAAUACAAACAUUUUCUCAUUAGACCUCCUUUCAAAUUCCUGAAAUAGCCUUGUUUUUGUAAUUCACAUAUAUAUUAAUAUAUUACUCAUUACACCUCUUAUUCACUCACUAUACCUCCAAUUCUUUUUUUUCUUUUUGCAUGCGAACAUCCAUUCCCGACCUUGAUUUCUUAAUUUUCUUUAUUUUUUGUAUUUUUUUAUUUUGCAUAAAAUGUCACUAGAUAUUCAUUUUUUGAUCAAAUUAUAAGAAAUAAUUUUCAAUGACAUCAAUUUUCGAGAAAAGUUCAUUCGAAUCAUAAAGAAUACUAUUCUCUUAAAUAUUAAAAAAAACAAGGAUUGUGUCUCAAAUUUUAUUUAUCGAUCAUCAAAUGAAUGUUCUUACAUGAACUAUUCUAUAUUUUUAUUACUUUUGUAUUUCUAUUUUACAUAUACUAUUUUUUUGUAAGUUUAUAUUUUUGUUUUUAUACUCAUGAUGAUAAAUUAUUUUAAUAAUUGAUAGAUCAUAAUUUGUAAAAAUAUUUACUUUUUUAUAAUAAUUGAUAGAUCAUAAUUUUUGUAAAAAAUUUCACUUUGUAUAUGCAUGUGACAUGUAUGAUAAUAUAAAUAUAUAAAUACUUUAAUAAGUAUGUGAUAAAACUAGAAAAUAAAAAUCAAUAAGGAAAAUAAUAAUAUGCAAUCCAUUAUGACAUUAUUAUUGAAUUAGAAAGUUUAGAGAUAAUAAAUGUAAUAUUACUUUUUGUUUAAUCAGUGUCCUUAAUAGUCAUUGUGUAAGAGGAUAAAUAUGUUAUUUAAUAAUUCAUAAUAAAGUGAGGUCAAGUGAGAAAAUUUAGAGGUCUCAAUAGCCGCACUCGGGAUGCUAAUGCGGUACUUUCUUUCUUAUUUGAACUUUUAUUGUAUUAGGGUUUCCCAAAAACAUUUUCUUUUGCGUUAACACCUCUUAAUGAGUUGAUGUGGUGCUAUUUUUAUACUUUAUCUUCAUAUCAAUAAUGUGUUUCUUUAUCUAUAAAAGUAAAUAAAUAAAUAAAUAAUUGAAUAGCUGAUUUUACUAUUGAAGAUAAGUUAUAAAAUUGUUCAUGAUAAGUUCACAGAAAACCACUAUUGAAAAAAAAACUCAGCUUUCUUAAGACAAGAAUUGAAGAACUCAAGUCAGUACUCACUUGUUUCAAGUCAUCUUCAAUGUCAUCAUUUAUGUCAGCCUCUACUCCCCUGAACUUGAUCGCAGCUCUAUCAUACACUGCAGAAAAUAAUUUAUAAUAAGUAACCAACUAAUCAUUAAAAUUCCUACAUGUUUUUGGCUCACAUUUUCUUUGAGAAAUUUUUUGUUUGUUUCCCUAGAAAAUAUAAGAUUUUUUAUGGCAAGCAAAAUAGUACUCACCAAGCAGCUGCAUGUGUUUAGGGUAUGCUGUGUUAAAUCAAACUAUAGGGUGUCCAAAACUAAAAAAAAAAAAAAAAACUUAUCAGAAAGACCAAUUUAUUUGCAAAGACAAAACAAGUGUCAUUUUGUCAAUUCAUACUUGCAUUCAUAGAAAAAGAGGUACUGAAGCUUUAAAGUGGCAUAUUUCAAUUCAUAGUUGGUGGUAUACUGAUAUACAUACUACUCUCUCACCUUAUAAAACAGGAAAAACCAUGAAUGAUGAUAAGACAAUUAAGUAUGGUAAUACUGUAAACACACACUAUUCAAACCAUAAAGUUGAGCCACAAAGAAACAUUAACAUUGUAGGUAAAGUUGAAAAAAAAGACCUACAUUUUAGAAUAGCUGCAAAGAGAAUAAGCAAACCUGAAUCUAGAACUACAUAAAAACAAAAAUGUGCAAUUAAUCAAAAACAUAAUUAUUGAGGAAUAUAAAGCAAAUAGACAACAACAUUGUUACAAAAAUUGAAGAAAAAAAAAGAAAAAAAAGGCAGACACCCAUACACCCAUCUUGAGGAAAAAAAAUUAAUAUCAACUAAACAUUUACUCUGACUCGGAAUAUACUCCUUUAUUUUUCUGCACUAUAAAGCAAAUGAAAAUAUCAAACACACUAUGACCACAGUUUGAUCUAAUUGAACGAACCCAAAAGAUUGAAAUCCUUGAUCUAACUAGAAAAAUAUAAAAAUCUAAGCAAAUACAGAUAUGACAAAAUAUGAUUUUUUCACUCACCUUGAUCCAACACAAAGGAUUGAAACCUUUAGAGCUAAUACUGGCAUUCAUCACCAUUGCUAGUUUCCAGCCAGCUCCAAUUAUCUCUUCAAUUUUAUGAUUGUUUUUGGUAAAUCGAAAAUCAGUGACCUGCGCACAACUUCAAUGAUAAAAACUAGUGAUUUAAAUCGUUGUGUUUGGCCCUUACACACAAAAUCUGAUAGUUAUAGUUGAUCAAUUUCAAAUUGCAUGCCACUUUAUAAAAGAAAUCAUCAAAAUUUUGCAGAACCACAAAUGUAAAGACAUUAGUUUUAUUUCAAAUAACAUUGCAAAGUUGAAAGAAAAGAUUGUAACUACAAAACAUAUAAACAGCUUAUGGAGUAACCUCUAUGAAUUUUUUUUAAGCUUCGAUUUGAACAGCUGCUUGCUAACCAACUCUAUGUUCUUUUACACUCCAAUAGGCGUAAUGUGAAUCAUUUCUAGAAUCCUUGUGUCAUUGUAAUUCCAGAAAGAAAAUCUUGGUUUUCUGAGCUUCUUGAAUACAGGAUUGAAGACCAGACUGCAUUUUUCAAACGUCAAUGAGACUUUCAGAAGAAAAAAAGAAAGGGCCUGAGUAUUGUGUUUGAUAUGACAUAUUUUGAAAAGUUACCUAUCAAUGACAAAGAGACCCAUAACUUACAUUCAAUAAGUAUGAAAUUCUAGGGGAAUCCUCAUCCAAGUAGACUGAAUUACUGAUUGAUUCUAAAAUAAGCUCCUUGAGACAACUUAAAUAUCCAUCAAAACCCUACUCUCACUCUAAAAUAACUUCUAGUAGGUAAAAAAAAUUUCCGGCACCAUUAUAUAGCCUUGUUUCAUUACUUUCAAAACUGUUAGAGAUGCAGAUAGAAGGAAACAUACAGAUAGAUGCAACCGCAGUAUGUAUAUCAAACCUAAAACUCACUUUCCUUCAGUCUUCAUAUUUAGUCAGUCCCAAUCCAUUAAUAACAUUUCCAAAGCACCAAAUUGCACUAUCAAUCAAAUCCAUAUAUAACUUGACACCACCAAAAUACACACUUUAUAAACCCCAACAUAAUAAAUUCUAAUUAAACAAUGAGCAUGAAAGAAAACAUUAAAUCAAUAAUUAUACCCAUAAUUGGCUUCUGCCAUUCAAAAUCAGCAUCCUCAAAACAAGAUCAAAUUUUGAUUACUAGAUAAAAACCCUAAAUCCAACCACAGCCGAAAUCUCAACCCCCAAUUAUCCUUAACGAUUUCCCAAUUUCCCAAUUUCCCAAUUCCCAAUCCCAAACCCUAUUUGACAGAGAUCAUCCACAAAUAGGCACAACAACAACAACCAAAAUCUGCCAGCAAAAUCAGAAAAUAAAUAGUUAGCCUUAAAGUUUAUAUAGUGAACAUAAGGAGACAAAAAAUUCUUAUCUAAUGAAAUAUAAAUCAUAAAAAAAUUGAAACAAUCUAAUAAACUUUUCAUAAAACUCUAACCACAGUUUCAACUAACCGAAUAUUACAGUAAAUUUAUUUGCGAACAUGUUGGACCAAUAAAAAAGAAUCCAAAACAAACCCGCCACCUGAACAUAACAGAAUACCAUAAAAUUCAUAAUUGAAUAGAAACAAUGAAAAUGAGUUCUGAUGUUGAAGAUGCAUAACAAAGUCUCCCAAAAUAAAUAAAUAAAAAGAGCAAUUCCUAUAAUAAAGCAUAUCUUCAUCAACUCUAGUACACCAUCAUUAACUCAACUAUAAAGCAAUAUUGAGAAAACUGUUUUCUAAGCAAAAUAUUAGAAACAUGAUUGAAUUGAAGUUUUAGCCGUCAAUUUAAUCCACAAGACCACAUUGGAAACAGAUUAUUCGUAUGUAAAGACUGCAACUGCAAAACAUAUUAACAUAUUAACAGACACAGUUAAGGAGUUACCUCUAUGGAUCAAAACAAAACGAUAUAACUGGUUUUAAUGACGUUAUCUUUGAAUUUAUGAAAUGUCAUUAUGAAAUUCCAGGGAAUCCUCAUCGAAGUAAGACUGAAUUAUUGUUUGAUUCUAAAUAAGCUCCAUGAGACAGCUUAAAUAUCCAUCAAAACCCCACCCUGACUGUAAAGUAACUUCCAGUAGGUUCCGACACCAGUUAUAUAGCCUUGUUUCAUUGCUUCCAAAACUAUUAAGAAUGCAAAUAAAAGGAAACAUACAGAUUCAUUAAUAACAAAACAUUGCUUCACUCAACCUUUGUAUUAGCAAAUGCAUAUACAUUAGGAAGUCAGAUGUUAUGCGCUACAACUGAAGCUGCCCAUAUGUUCUGCACCAUAACUCAUGUUCUGCAUUAGAAUGUAAGAGAAUUUUUUUAAUUUUUUUUAUUGAAGCUACCCAACCUUUGUAUUAGCAAAUGCAUAUACAUUAGGAAGUCAUAUGUUCUGCACCAUAACUCAUGUUCUACAUUAGAAUGUAAGAGAAUUUUUGUUGUCAUACCCAGCAAUAUGAAGUUACCCUUGAUCGAAGGUUAUGCUAAAUACAGAUUCUCGUAAAAAAAUUAAAGAUUCAAAGAUAAUAAAUGUUUCUUAACAACGGGUAAUACUGGAUUUUACAGGUAAUUUCACAACUAAGAUUCCAAAAACACACAAAUCAAUGAACACCAACCAAAAUUCAAGCUACAAACUCCAUAAAAUCCCAGAACAAAACUGAGCCUGCAAUUCCAUAACCACUUGAAAAUCACUAACAUUAAAAAUUAAAAAUAUAACAAAUCAACCAAAGCACAAAAAGUUGAAAUCACAAACAGAUAAGAAAGGCCAAUACCAACAAUUUUUGAUUUGGUUUUAAUUCAGUGAUAUUAACAGUCUUUUUUGGUAAUUUGGUUUCCCAUGAUGAAAACCCAAGAUUUAAUUUUAGAGAUUUUAGAGGGAAAACGGUUCUGAUAAGAAUUAGAAGGUUAUUUUUGUCAUUAUAUCUUUUUUUGUGGGCCAAAUGCUGGCCACAUCAGCAAACAGACGGCACCACCAUGAUAGAAAUUGAACUCCAGCCUUUCUUUUAUAUCAAAAUCAAAAUUUGGGUAUCACAUUGGUAGUUUUUAAAGUCUGAGUAUCAUUUUGACAGUGUCACACACACAAGUUGAGAUUUCGGCGCUGCAUUUUAUUCCUUAAAUAAUGACUUCAAUUAUUUAGCGUGUGAAAAAAAGAAAAAAGAGAAAAGGAAGGUGCUGACUGGCAGAAUGCAAGGCGCACUUUCAAAUUAGGUUGUGUUUUGUCUUUUUCUUGGUUAUGUUUUUUGCUUCAUCUGAAGAAAACGUGAAGAACCCCGUUAGACAAGUAUGGUCGAUCGGAAUGAGGAGUCGUUGCCGCAGCUGAAGAAAUCACGAACUAUAACCGGCGACGAGGCAACCCCAAUCUUCCCGGGCCCACUGUUCCCAGCGGUUCGACGCAACGCUUCGGACCAGCGCGACUUCUCGGAGCGUGACUGGGUCUUUCCGUCGUUCGUGCUUCCGCAGAAUCCUUCGAAACGAAGCAGCAGCAACAAGCACCGCGCCGCCUCCUCCUCCGAUGCAUCCGUCACCUCGCCUCAGCUUGCUGCUGCUGCUGAGAGUAAGAAAAUUAAGUUGGUGACCCCGAGCGAGUUGACUCGCCCGAGUUCGCGGACCCGGACUCGAGAUUUGAAACCUUUUUCUUUGUUGUUAUUUUUGGUAAUGGAUCCUCUAGCCAUCUUUCUUUCAUUAUUGAUUUCGAUGCAUUUAGAUCUCUCAAUUAAAAAGGAAAAUUUACAAGCACAAAAGAAAUGCCUUUUUUUAGUUUGAUAUCAUCCCACUAGUUUCCAAUAUUAUUGUAACUUAGCCUACAGACUAGACAUGAUUGUGUAUUUGUACUUGCUGCAUUUGUGCUCUUGGGACACAACGGUUCAUAAUAUGAAAUGAUAAUGGAGAAAUACAAGCAUGACUGUAUUUAGGGUUGAAUAUUGGGAACUGUUGCCAUUGUCCUACUUUUAAAUCCUUUCAUGGCUCAAUGGUGAGCAAAUUUACUGGACAGAAAUUUAAAUUCAUGUCUGGUCUAUUUCCCUGUAUUUGAUCAAUUGCAUUUAACUUCUGUUCUUGCAGCUCACUUUCAUUUGUAUAUUAUCUGUACCUUAUGCAGUUUAUCUGCGGCAAAGAGUUGCAAAGCUUGAGGUAUGUCUCAUGGUUUGAACAACUCCUAAGUUUCCCAUUUAAAUUCUUCUUUUGACAAGCUAUAUUACAUUAACCUAACACUACAUUGUGAUGCUUUCAGGAAAUUUGUAUGGAUAAAAAUAUUGGUACAUAUGGCAAUAUUGAGGCUUCGCUGUCUGAUAACAAUCCGACAAUUUUGAGUUUUCCUAAUGCCGAAAGAAGAACUGUUGUUUUGUAUUCUGUGGUCUUUACCCUAGCCAUGCCAAUUGUGUUGUACAAACAUCUUGAUUAUUUUUCCCAUUUGACGAGCCUUUCAAGAAAGAAGAAUAACAAAGAGGAGGUUCCCUUGAAGAAGAGGAUAGCCUAUAUGGUGGAUGUGUGCUUUUCUGUAUAUCCAUAUGCCAAACUACUGGCACUUCUCUUCGCAACAAUAUUACUAAUAGGGUUUGGUGGAUUGGCAUUGUAUGCUGUCAAUAAAAAUAGCUUUGCUGAAGCCCUCUGGCUUUCAUGGACUUUCGUUGCCGAUUCUGGAAACCAUGCUGAUACAGAGGGCAUUGGGCCAAGGAUAGUUUCUGUCUCUAUCAGUUCAGGAGGCAUGCUGAUAUUUGCCAUGAUGCUUGGGCUUGUUUCUGAUGCUAUAUCAGAGAAGGUUGACUCACUAAGGAAAGGGAAGAGCGAAGUCAUUGAAAGGAACCACAUACUCAUUCUUGGAUGGAGUGAUAAACUGGUAAGUUUGAGACAUUCAUGCCCAGAUCAAAGUGCUGAGGAAGACCAUUAUGGAGACUUAAAUCUAUCUGCUGCUCUUUUUUUUUGUAUUUGUUUCCUGUUUUUCUUUUCUUUUCUAUAUCCCAUCUUAUUUCAUAAUGAUGACAAAAAGAAACAAAGUAAUAAAAAAAAUUGAGAUUAAUAUAUUCAAAGCGAGAGAAGAAAUGAGUGGCUAUUCAAGCAAGAUGACAAAGAUUUGAGAAAAGUUUCAUAUUAGCUUUCCUACAGUUUACAGAAUUAGGAUUUCUAAAUAUUAUUUUUUCAUAAUUGUUGUUCAAUAUAUUAAUACAGUCUUAGAAAAUAUAUUUUAGUGUUCUAACAAAAGUGGCCUAUCUAUAAUGGCUAUAAUGGAAAAUUUAAUGAUAGUGACUAUAGUGAAAGAUGGUGAUUAAGUUUAGUGAUAAAGGUGGUGUUUUUAAUAGUUCAGUGACGAAAGUGUCAGAUUUGUCAUAGUUGAGUGACCAUAUGACACAGGAGUGUUAGAAGCUUUAACUUGGCUGUAUUAUACAAUGAAUUACAGCUACUCACAUUAAUCAAUCUAGCUGAAGACUCUAAACCAUAGUUAUCUAGUCAAAUAGUGCUGGUGGUGGGUAGUGUGAGAAUUAAUUGGUUUGUCUUCUGUUAUUGGUUUGUUUUUGUUUGUUUCUAGGAGUUUCAGUUUCCCAGCAAGUCUCAGUUGAUAUUUACUAGUCUUCGGGAAGGUACAUAGGUUGGGAGGUUUUUCCAGGAGUCCUAUUAUAUUUUAGACUCCUUUGUAUUAAAGAAGUCAGUUUUUGGAGAGAAUAUCAGAAUAGACGUUUCCUGGAGAAACCUUCUUUCUUACUCUGUAUCUCGUUGGUUCUUAGACCAUUGAGUGGUGAGUUCUUUUGAUUUCUUGACAGACACUUAGUUGGUGAAAUUUCUGUCUCCUAGUGUUGGUUGGGAAUAGGUUCUUGUUUAUCUUUUAAUCUGCUGUUCCGGUAUCACCAUAUGUGAUUUUUAGCCUAUAAGAUCUAAGUUUUAGUUCUGUAUUUAUCUUUACAUGGUUUAACAAACAACUCUUGGUUUAACAAAUACAAUUCCUAUAUUUGUUCCAUUAAAAUAUUAGCAUGGAGUUCCCUUGAUUGCUCUUCUGUUCUCAGUUUAGUUGUAAAACAUGGUCUCUAACGGAGCUUUUAUUAAGGACUCAUACUUAAAAGUAAAAGUGAAAACUAAAACGUAAUUUUACUGCAGGGUUCGCUUCUCAAGCAGCUUGCUAUAGCAAACAAGAGUGUUGGUGGUGGUGUUGUUGUUGUACUUGCUGAAAGAGACAAGGAGGAAAUGGAGAUUGAUAUUGCAAAACUUGAAUUUGACUUCAUGGGUACGUCUGUUAUAUGCAGAAGUGGCAGUCCUCUUAUUUUUGCUGACCUAAAGAAGGUAUAUUGGGGAGAUUUGAUAUAUGCUCAUGUACCCCUACUACUUCUACUUCUGUUUCUUGUCUUGUCUGAGUGUCCAGUAUACCCUCUCUCAAAAAACAAAAACAAAAAAUUCUAUAGCCGUUCUUCCGACUACUUGUAGAUUUUAUUGGGACGGCAUUAUCAACGGUUGUUGUCAGAAGUGCCUCCUAAUUUUUCAGUCAUUUUUUUUUUUGCUCNNNNNNNNNNNNNNNNNNNNNNNNNNNNNNNNNNNNNNNNNNNNNNNNNNNNNNNNNNNNNNNUCUUCUCUCUCUCUCUCUCUCUCUCUCUCUCUCUCUCUCUCCCACUUGUCUGUUUUUCUAAAUGCAUUCCUUUUCAUUUUCUUGUUCUUGAUUAGAUCUCAAGAAACUAUAUCUUGCUAUUCAGAUUAGCUUUGUUUUCUCAUUUCCAGGUCUCAGUUUCAAAGGCGCGUGCUAUCAUUGUAUUGGCAUCAGAUGAAAACGCAGAUCAGGUUAAUUCCAUUGUGAAUGCCCUCUUACAUUACCCCUUGUAGAAACUUUAGUCACAUGUGGUGUUCAUAUUUCAGAGUGAUGCACGUGCUCUGAGGGUUGUUCUCAGCCUCACUGGGGUGAAAGAGGGUUUAAGGGGACAUGUUGUUGUAGAGAUGAGUGACCUUGAUAAUGAGCCUCUGGUGAAGCUUGUUGGAGGAGAACUCAUUGAAACUGUAGUGGCACAUGAUGUGAUUGGGCGGUUAAUGAUACAGUGUGCUCUACAGCCUGGUCUUGCGCAGGUAUUGUUGUUAUCUAUACUUCUUAAAGGACCUGGUAAUCGUAGAAAUGACUAAUAAGAGUAGAUUUGACUGUAGGUAAAAAGUUUGUUUCCCUAAGUUCUAUAGAUGUGAUUUCUUUCUGAUUGAAGUAAACUUGCAUAGUAACAGAGUUCGGUGGUGUGACCGAGGUGGAAUGGGGUAGGGUUGGAUACGCUGGUUAAGUUGGGCCACUUUUUGUGCCAGGGAUUACAUGGUCCCAUAUAUAAGCAGGGUGGGACCUAUAUGGUUGUGCAAACUUCUGUUUUCCCAGCUUAACAAUACAGGGUUUGGGAAGGUCCUAAAACCUACAUUGAUAUAGGUGCUCCGAAUUCUAGCUUUAUCGUAGGAAAAAAUUGAAAGAUUUAAAUAAAAAUGAAAUCUAAGACUUAAAUAUUCCUUCCGUAUGUUUGAACUAGUCUGAUGUUAUUAUUGCACUUUGCUAUUCAUUUUCCCAGACUGUUAUGAUUACCUCACAUUAAAUGCUAAUUCUUAUAGCCAAAACUUUGAAGCAAGGCGUCAUCUAUCAUUCUCAUUGAAAAUUAAGAUCUACUUUCAAACAAAAGAUAAGAAACCCCAAGUCACCUAGCACCACCAAGUACAGAGUGGGGAGGCUUCCCGUAGUCUCCUUUCUUCUAUUUUUCUGUUCCGUUCUCCUUUGGUUAAAUCUUUUGUAGUCAAUGCCAAGUCCCUUGUGCUGACUUUAUCUGAUCCCUCAUCACAUCUUUUUCCCUUAUCAGUGAGGUCGGUCCUUCCCCCAAUACCCUCUCUAAAAUAUAUGUUUAUCCCCGAUUAGAAAAAAAUUCACUCUUAUAUGCCCACUUGCUUUUGGCAAUCUUCAUCUGAUUCUUGUGUGGUUAAGAGUUUGUUGGGUUCACUAUUAUUUGCUCAGUCUGCAAUUUCUUCUUGGUUGGUGAGAGGCAGUGGGUUCUAGUACGGCUUCAGUUUGGCGGUACUCUCAUGCUUUAGGUUUAUAAAUUCUUCUAGAUUUUUGAUCAUUUUGAUUCUGUGGGCUUGGCCAGGGAUCAUAUUUUGGUUCGCUGGUGGCUUUGUAAUUUUAGUGCGGCUUUUAUCCACUUUGCUAUCGCGGGUUUGCCCUUCUUGGCCUGUUGCUUUUGCUGUGUUGUUGAGUUUGGCAUCUUUUCUAAUUAUCUUGAUGUAAGUUAAAGUUACACUGUAAGUUAUUGAGUUUAUUAAAAAAAAAUAUUAUUAAAGGAAGGGAGUUCUGGGAAAAGUCUUAUGGUAUUUCUCAUCAUACUUUUAGCAGGAUCUUUUAUUAAAUAGGCAUCCUCAGUUUUCUCCUUUGCAAAACUAGUCUUCAUAAAGAAAAUAAUUUCUGACUUGUCACAAUGAGAAUUAACAUUAGGAGAUUAGGAUUCCAUUGAGGGAUUCCAUUCUUGACGUCAUCUAGGUUCCACUCCUCAAUGUACUUGAAUGAUUAAAAAUGUCAACCUUUUUACUUUUCAUUCAUGUAUCAGCAAUGCUAACCGUACCUAAAUAUAAAAUUAUAUAGAAUUGAAUUGCAGUCCUACUCAACAUUUGAUAAAUCCUGGACUAGUAUGAUGAUAAUGAAAUGGUUAUAAAGUUUCCUAUGAAUUUUUAGCAAAUUAGGUCGGAGAAAGGGGUUCCUCUUCGCUGUUCCUGUUACAUGCACACGUUGUUUGUAUGUAGAUUGCUGUUAAACUCAGUGAAAUUUGUCCUUUAAUACUGUUUCAAGGAUAGGAUGCCUAUGUGUUUUAGAGUUGCACACAAUACAUGCACAACCACAACCAGAUACUUGUUUAAUCCGUCUUUCUCUUGAUCCGUCUUUCUCUUGUCAUUUCUCCACCAUUAUACUGUAUAAUAUCUGUUUUUCAAUUCUGGAAAACCAUUUGUACAAGACUUUCUUUGGUAUGAAUAUAGAUAUUAUUGCUAAUGCAUUAUUUUUCUGUGGUAAGAUAUGGGAGGAUAUAUUGGGAUUUGAGAAUGCUGAGUUUUACAUCAAGAGGUGGCCUCAGUUGGAUGGUCUUCGUUUUGAAAAUGUGCUUAUUUCAUUUCCUGAUGCAAUUCCCUGUGGGAUCAAGGUGGCCGCAGAUGGUGGAAAGAUAAACUUAAAUCCAGAUGAUAAAUAUGUUAUAAAAGAAGGGGACGAAGUUCUUGUUAUAGCUGAAGAUGACGACACUUAUGCUCCAUCUGCCAUUCCAGAGGUUAUUGAUCUCUUCUCUAUGUAGCAUCAUGAAGUAGAAAAUCUAUAUUUGCUUGUAGCAACCAUAUCAUAUAACUAGAACAUAAAAUUGUGAGGACCUUUGGCAAGAUUCAGCCGAAAUCAUGCAAUAGUCGUGUGGGAAACUGUUGAACAAUUUAUCAUUAGAUUUUGGUAGCCCACUCACAUCCAUGCAAUGGUUCAGUGGGCUGUAACUGAAUAGUAGGUUGCUGUGACAGCAUGGUUGUGGGUCAAGAUAGUGGGCUGUUACUAGAAUCGUGGUGGUUGGUGACCAUGAAUGGUAGUUGUUUUUUUUUUUUUCUUUUUUUUUCUUUUCUUCUCUCUCUCUCUCUCUCUCUCUCUCUCUCUCUCUUCUUUUUCUUUUCUUGUGUUUCAAAACAAUUGGAGAGGUAAAGAAAUGAUAAAAGGUACUAAGGUAGUGCAUAGAGGAUCUGUAUAGUUGAAAGGAAAAUGUUCAUUGGUCCCAGUGUGAGUUAAGAAACAUAAAUAGUAAAAAAAAAAUAUAAUAUUCAAAGACUGGAUAAUAAAGUUGGAAGGUAACCUUUGUGGCGUAGUCAAUUGUUACAUGAAAGUGCCACAUUGUUCCUCCAAAAACAGGUUUGACACGUUCUGAUGGCAGGGUUGGAGAUGCUAUUUUGCUGUGAUUAAUGCUUAGAGAUUUAAUAUUUCAAACUAUAGCAUCUUUCUUUUCUGCUUCUAUCUCUGUAUGAGUAUAGCUAUAACCCACUAUGUUGCUCAGUCAUAAUUACUUGGUAUACACAUGCUGGUUAAAUUUACGGCACAGUUUCUGGUUGUCAGUAAAUCAUAUAUGGACUGUGUCCAUGUAUUCUGUUAUAUUUCUUAUGGAAUCAAUAAUUGUCUUACAGUAAUACUAAUAGUGUAUCUAUAGUUACUCAUUUGCUGCAAGAAAUCAACAUUGUAUUAUGACUAGUAUCCUUUAGUCCUUUCUAAGUAAAGAGAAUAUACUUUUAUUUUCCUAUUGAACAUACCUGAGUGUUGUUGUCCUUUCGGCAGGUAUGUGCUGGCCUUUGUCCAAACACUGUUGAACCUCCCAAAUACCCUGAGAAGAUAUUGUUCUGUGGCUGGCGUCGUGACAUAGACGAUAUGAUACUGGUAACUCAAUUAAUCCAUAUUUUCCUUUCCCUACAUUAGCUAUACCUGAGGAACAAAAUAGUUUUGGUUUAUGUGGGACGAGAAACAAGUUAACUAUCCUAAGAGUGACAGGAAAUCUGUUUCCUCUGAAAUCCUUGGAUUCUUUGUGAUCCUCUCUCUCUCUCNNNNNNNNNNNNNNNNNNNNCUCUCUCUCUCUCUCUCUCUCUCUCUCUCUCUCUCUCUCUCUCUCAAACAAGGCAACCUUGGUGAAUAUUAAAUGAUACAAAAAUAAAAUAAAAGGUCAUCAAGUGGAAAGUCGGAUUCCAGUCAUUCCACGAAUAACUCAGGUUUCAAAACUCUUGACUUGAUUUGUUGAUAUUCCAUUCUUCAGGUUCUAGAGGCAUUCUUGCCUCUAGGUUCGGAACUUUGGAUGUUUAAUGAGGUUCCAGAAAAAGAAAGAGAGAAGAAACUUACAGAUGGUGGACUUGAGAUUUCUCGAUUGGAGAACAUAAAACUCGUUCACAGAGAAGGAAAUGCUGUGAUAAGACGGCAUCUAGAGAGUCUUCCCUUGGAGACUUUUGAUUCUGUAUGUACCAAUCCACUCCUCAUAUUUCAGAAUUUGGUUACCACCUGCAUAAUGUUUUCAGCUGGAGCUCAACUGUUAAUUGUAGCACUCAUCAUGCCACUUGUUUCCUUGACCAUUGACACUGAUUCAAAUAUAAUAGCAUGCUAUGCCUCUAGACAUAAAUGAGUCAAUUUCAAAGUUUCCUUAAGACUACUUUUUAUCUGAUAGCUAACUCUAAGCCGACAGAUAUUAAUUCUUGCAGAUGAAUCACUAGAGGACUCUGUUGUGCAUUCUGACUCUAGAUCCCUUGCCACUCUUCUCCUUAUACGAGAUAUACAGGUAACUGUAAUUGCUGCAUCCUACAAGACAUGUCACGCGAUAAAAUAAAAGGCUUACAUAAUUGCUUAUCAAAACCUGUGAUAAUAUCUUGCUUGUUCUAGAGUGCAGUCCUUUAGAAAGGGGAAACAUGUUUGGGCCCACACUAUAGUUGGUCGAAUGAUGCAAACGAUCCAUUAAUAAGUUCCCUUAAGGAAUCACCCUUGGAUUUUUAAUUUUUAGUUUUUUACUGUAGUUUUUUAAAUAUUUUGAAAUGUGAUGUGUUGGUAAGUAAUCAUCUAAUUCAUCUUCUAUUGCGUGCCAAGAGGUCAUAAAAAGGGGUGGAUGGUUAUCCUACCACUUCCACUCGUACAGUGUCUGAGUUUUUUCACUCCUGUUUGCUUGAUCAAUCACCAAUAAAAAAAAGUUUAUUGCUCCUGCUUGCUUAAUGAAUCCCUAUAAAAAAACUGUUGAAGCAUUAAUGCAUUAUCAUAAUAUUGAUAAAGUUUGAUUACUAAACAAUGAUAUUCUUUUGUUUUGGAUUGUAGUCAAAGCGUCUUCCUUACAAAGAAACAAAGCCAACUUCCUUACGGUUAUCUGCAUUUUCGCAUAGCUCUUGGAUUUGUGAAAUGCAGCAAGCUUCUGACAAAUCGAUAAUAAUAAGUGAAAUUCUGGAUUCUAGGACUAGAAACCUGGUCUCUGUUUCCAGAAUCAGUGAUUAUGUGCUGUCAAAUGAACUUGUUAGUAUGGCUCUGGCAAUGGUUGCUGAAGAUAAGCAGAUAAAUCGUGUUCUUGAAGAGCUAUUUGCGGAGGAGGUACUCUCCAGUCUUUCUGGAAUUGAUUUUAUACGAACAUGCUGUGGUAGUUUAUAUGUGCAUUAGGAAAACAGAAAAAACAAAUGAGGACGCAGUGUAAGUUUUGUAGGCUUUGGAUAGAUCAAUAUGGACAAGUUGAAAUUAAGAACUGAAACUUUAUAGGCUUGGAUUAUUGUGGUUGAAUGCAGGGGAACGAGAUGUGCAUAAAACCGGCUGAACUCUAUUUAUACGACCAGGAAGAGCUCUGCUUUUAUGAUAUAAUGCUUAGGGGUCGUCAAAGGCGGGAAGUUGUGAUUGGAUUUCGCCUUGCAAAUACAGAGAGGGCCAUAAUCAACCCAUCACAGAAAUCAGCAGUACGGAAAUGGUCUCACGAUGAUGUUUUUGUGGUCAUCUCCAUAAGUGAAUGAAAUGUCAUUUUUCGCAUGUAUUAAAUGGAGUACGGGUGUCAUCUGGACCUACCUGUUUGUCACUUCCCAACUUGAUACAGCAACUGAUUUAAUGAAUUCAAGGGUCUAGUCAUUGGCUUACUAUACUGGAAACGAAUGUUCUGGAUUCAUGGGGGAAGAGAUUUGUCGUUGUGCAGUGCCUGUUCAUAUUGAACAACAUGGUGUCAUCUCCCACUCGAGUUCUUUGUAGAUAGUCAGAAUGUCUAGUUGCUUAUAUGGAAAAGGGAUAUCUGCAUUGUAACUUAAAAUCAGAAUAUCUAGUUGCUUAUAUGGUGCAACCUGCAAGCAAUCCUUGUAGUUGAACAAUUCUGUCUAGCAUGACAGAUUGACAGAUUCUGUAUCUGUCAAUUUGUAUCGACAGCAUGUUCGUAUCGACAGCAUGUUGUUAACUAAGAUUUUUUUUUUUUUAAGGUAAGAAUGAGGCCAAAGGCCCAGAACAAAGAAACUACAAAUAGAAACUAACCAGUACUACUGGUUCUAAAACUUCCACACCUAACAACUCCCACAAUAUCAUCAAGGAGAGCUUAGCAGGGGGCUCAUGGAGAUAACAGAUGACUUGAGCAUUGAGAGUACUGUUCUUGGCCAGCAAAUCAACAACCAUAUUCCGCUCACGGUGAACAUGCUUAACAUGGACUGAGGCAAAAUGUUGAAGCAUAGACCUGCAAUUUGCCACAAUGGUGCCCAGAGGGUGAUACUCACUCUCAUAAUUUUGCAGAAGAUUGAUGAGAACAGCAGAAUCUGACUCCACUUUGGAAAUCUGACCAGCAAUAAUCCAAGGCCCUCCACAUAAAACCUCAUUCAUGUCAUCUUCUAGAUUAAACUUGACAAUGAAAUAAUAAUUAGGCAAGUCCACAAGUUGCCAACCUCCUUUAGUCUGCCAUUUGCGUCUUCUUAAGAAUGAAAUCAAAAGUAUUUGUAGAGUUAGGCCAUCCAAAAUCCAGUUUGUUAUGGACCUUCUCAGAAAAGCAGACCUUCAAACCAUGCUUGCCUUGAGAGUAGCAUCAUAGAAAUUGAAGUCCUCCAUCAUCGUUGUUUGAAAUCGGUCAACAAGAUUCUUGAGCAUAGAUGCGUAGCUCAGAGAUGGUAGAGACUGAGGAGGUUGAACACAGCAAGAAUCCAAUUCCUCCGUACGUAAAUUUUCUAGAUCUGAAGAAAUAUCGUUUCCAGAUUUGGUACGUUUGCGCUGUAACAUUGAAGUAUCAGAAACUCUGCCGCUUCCGAGUGGAAGGGCAGAGAACAUGAAGACCGACGUCGCCACCACUUCAGAAAAGAAGACCAAGGAAUUCGCUGGAAAACGAAGGAAGAAUUAGGCCAAUCGAUGCAAUCAGUAGGGUUCUCUCUGUUUCGCUGGGCUCUCGAACAAGGACGAGAUGUUAACUAAGAUUUUUGUAACAAUCAACACCUAAUUUAUAUUUUUUAACAAUUCUGUCAUUUAAAAUGAUGAUUGUGAUAGUCUGCUCUAGAUAAUUGAGAGUUUAUGAAAAAUCAGUUAAAUUAUUUAAGUUGAUUAUUUGAUGAUGAUAAUAAUAAUAAUAAUAAUAAUAAUAAUAAUAGAAAAAGAAGAAGACAAAAACUACGGUUGCAGUUUUACAAAAGCGGAGAUGGGUUUGAUUAUCUGUGAGUAUAUCGGUAUAGCCAAGAAUAAGAGCAACGCGCACUCAAUACUUUUUUUUUUGGAUACAUGGGGCCAAAGGCCCAAACAAAGGAACAACAGAUGUUGAGGAUGAAAAUCUGGUUAGGGGCUAAAAAGGAAUGCGCACAGAGAGAUCCAUGCAAAUUGGGAUUUAUCCGUCAAGAGAUUGUUCACUAGACCUACGAAGCGAACAAAGAGGUUGAGGGAAUGUCCGGAUUGCUCCGGACAAUUGCCCUCUAACGCUCAAGUUAGACAUCUUAGUAGACAAUUUGUAACUCAAAAUGGGGGAAUGAGUUAGUUACCUUUAUUUGUGAGGCUAGAUGCCUAUUUAUAGAGGUUGAGCGAGGUAGAUUAUCUUCAUGGCUGUUGACAGCCUGGCACGAAAGGAAUCUUCUAGAAGCGUGCAUAGAAUCGAGGCGCACACGUGCGUCCACGUGUCCGGUUGGGAUGCGUUCUGGGGUAAGUUUAUGAUAUGAGAACGCACACGCAAGGCUAAUUAAAGCGCUUGGCAUUGGUUCCCUCCACAAGUCCCCCAAAUUCCCAGGUAAGGAUAAUGACUUGGUUGGAGAUAAUACAGAUGCAGCAAUAUAUUAUACAAUAAUACUAUUACAAAAAAAUUAAAAUAAAAUAAAAAAACAGAACAACAUAUUUCAGAGCAAAAAUAUUGAGGAAUGUACAACAAACAAUGAGCAAUAUUGUAGCCAAAUUUGAAAAGGAAAAAAAAAAAACUUUACCCAGCAUUUGAUAUUAUUGAUGUUGAGGAGAAGCUAAAUAUGAACUGAACCCUCAGGGCUAACCCAAAACUGAAUCCUUGAUUUCCUGCAAAACAAAGCAAAUGGAAAUAUCAAGCAAACCAAACAUCCAACACAUUAGACUGUAGAAAAAGAAUCCAAUUCAUUUCAAAUCAAUACGCACGUCAUUACCUAUGUUCAUCAAUCAUGAACAACUCAUAGUACAAAUACAUACCCUUAAUGAAUGCAAUCAAGGCUAUAAUAUUGAAUGCUACCGAUAUGGAAUAAUUAUAUUUACAUAAUUGACUUCCAAAAAAAAAAGGUUCUUCAUAGGAAAGCACAUGUUCUUGCAUUAAACUUUAAAAUGAGAGUGUCCCAUCUUGUUUCUAGUACACAUGAGGCAUUGGAGGUGAGGCAACCUGCAUCCAAAUUUUAGUAAAGCAGAGUUAGAAUAUGAACCCAAUUUUCAUCAAGUUCAUGCUCAUAUUCCAUCAGCCAAAAUGAAUUACACAUAUCUUAAAACACCCAACAGACUAAAAUGCAGUACAGAUGUACAGAGUGUCAAACACAAAGCAAGAGGGCAUCUGAUAUUCAUAAGUUCAUAAGUGCAUUCUAAAGACAUCAUAAAAUGCAUCAUUCAGGGUUAGUUUUGUAUAAAGAUCCAAACUUUAACACAUACAAAUGGAUUCUAACAAAAAAAGUUUACAUUAGCCUAAAAGGAAAAAACAUGAAAAAGGAGUUGUGAUAACAACAUCUGGUGGACAUCAAUGAAGUAAGCUGAAACAUCAAUAUGCAGCUUAAAUUUUAGAAGCUUAUGAAAUACAACAUUAGUAAGUGUAACCUGUCAGGGAAAAACCUUGAGAAGUCAUCACAUGUGGGACUAUCUCUAGCCAGGUUGUUAUGAGACACAUUCUGCAAGAAAUCAAUUUCAUGUUAGAAAAACUGAAUAAUACAUGGGCAAUCUUAUAUCAGACAGCGCUAAACAUAAAUUGAAAUCAAAAUAUUCAGAAACAAUUACUCACAGCAUUGCAAGACUAAGGCAAGAGAUCAGUGACAUCAAUUCCCUUGAUAUUUUGUUGUGCUCUAACAACCUGCAAUAAUUUUCAUCAGUGGCAACAUUAUCAAAACGAAAAUGUCAAGUCUCAGUACGUAAAUAUCCUAAACUUUGGAGCACAAUAUACACUAUGUGUCCCCGCGCGCUGCCGCUGGUUAAGAUCGACAAUUCAUAUAACAGUAAUAAUACACAAAAAUAUAAGCAGUACGUACUAAGUAGUUGUUGUUGUGAUAUCAAUGUCUGUUACAGUAGAUUAAAUCUUUGCCCAUCACAAAUGGAUGUUAAAAUACACAAUAUAGAUAAAAGGUAGAUAACUGUACUCUACAUCUUCAGAAUCCAACACCGCUGUAAUUAUGUACAAAAUUCUGGAGCUUUUUCGCGAUGGGUCUUCAUAUUUUGGUUUCUGAAUCGCAUUCCUCUUGUGAGUUAUGAUACUGAUAUUAUAUAUUUUUCUUUCCUUGGCUGUUCAAAAUUUGGACACCAAUUCAUUUUUAUUGACUCAUCAGAUCAAACCAAAAUUGUUGCAAGUUUGGGCAAUAGUUCUAUCAUGUUCAGACAAGAAUCAUGGUGUCAUCCUAUUACUAGAAGCCACAAGAACUCAUAGAAAGCAUCCUGAAGUGUAUGCCCUAUUGAAGGUUGUCACGUCCCAGCUCAAACUAAUAGCAAACAAUACAAAUUCGAAUGGGUAAAGGACAUGAAAGUACGAACUUCAGAGCCUCUUUACCUCGACUUUCGUCGUUGAUCGAUCAAGCAAUAGCCACAGCGCAGCUCGCGCCGUCUAGGCUGUUCAAUAGCCACCAAUACAACGAUCCGAGGUGACCGUCAAGGCGGUUCAAACGAAACGGAAGAUCAUGUCAGGCCGGUGCAUCCGGGUUCUUCAAUCGGGUCACGAGCCCUGAUACUUGCAUUUCAUGAUUCAGAAGGGAAGAACUUGCCUCACAUCUCGAAUUCAAUUCAAAUAUCUGGGUUGAUAAUUCAGACUUCAAAGGAAUCAGAAAAAAGAAAGGGAGAGAUUCUCCUCCCCCCGUGCUUAUCCUUUCCUCUUUUCUUAUAUAAACCCAAAUGGACGUUUUAGAUUAAACGGUGGAGGUGUAUAGACCAGAUUGAACCAUGCUUAUUUUAUUUUUAUUUUCUUUCUCUAAUAUAUCUAUAAUUAAAUCAUAGUACACAUGAUUUCACUUAAAGGAGGAUCUUACAUCAUCUAAAAUCACGAAAAGUUACUCUCGAGCACAAUUUAGAUUCUGAGAUCGUCAAAUGCUCCUCAAGCAGUCUCAACUGAGCUAGACUAAUAUAUAGUUUAUGUUACUAACUAAUGUCGGGAUGUUAUAUACUCACCCCCUUAAAGAAAAUUUCAUCCUCGAAAUUUAUAACGGGUUGGUAACAAAUUAACAAACAUAUAAUCGGAUAUUAGCGAAUAAUACGUCUACAUUUAACAAGCAAGCAUAUUGGUUUUAACAUAUUGUGCAUUUAGUACUUUGCUGCAAGACACAACAGUUGUAAACAAAAAGAAAAUUAAACAAAAACGAAAUAAAGUCUCAAUUCGUAUCACAAUGUCACGUGGAGUUUUUCUCGAUUCAUAACUCUCAAGGUUGAACACAUACACAUCACACGAUAAUUCAGAAUUUGUCAUGAGAUAGGAUUGAGUCUCUUUCGAACUUCAAAGUUACAUAUCAACACUUUCUACUCCACAUCUCAUAAGUUCGUACCUUAUUCACAACAUAUAUGAUCGAGUACAUACACAUCAUCACACAAUUUUAACGAAUCAAAAUCUAAACAAAAGUGAGAUCACAUCUCCACAUAACAUAUCACAGAUCAGAAAUCUGUCUAGUUCGCAGUUGAUCAUGCAAAAUUUCAAACUUCAAACACUUGCACAUAUCCUCUUCUUCUUUUUUUCUUUGUCUUUUUUUAACUCAAACAAGGGAAGAACAUUUUCACAAAGUACUGAUAGGAACACUCACAUCCAUAUCCUUAUUCUCAACUGAAAAAGGGAGAGCCAUUUCAUGAAAUAUAGAUCAAAACACAUAUACACGUCCCUAUUCAAAACUGAACAAGGGAGUGCCAUUAACAAAGUACGGAUCGAAACACAUAUACACGUCCAUGUUCACAACUGAGUAAAGGAGUGUCAUUUCAGAAUACUGAUCGAAACACAUAUACACAUCCCUAUUCACAACUGAAAAAGGGAGUGUCAUUUCACAUAAUGCAUAUCAGAAACAUACCACAUCAUUCCCCUGUGGAUGAGGCCCACACUAACCCCUGUGGCCGAGGUCCACACUCUUCCCUUGUGGAUAGGGUCCACACUAACCCCUGUGGCCGAGGUCCACACUCUUCCCUUGUGGAUAGGGCCCACACUAACCUCUGUGGCCGAGGUCCACACUCUUCCCUUGUGGAUAGGGUCCACACUAACCCUGUGGCCGAGGAAUACAAAAAGAUCUCAUAACAGAAACGACAUAUAUACCACAAAUAUAUUCAUCAACAAGCAUCUAACUUCAGAAUUUGGUCACGAUUAAUCCACACUCCAUAGAAAUUCACCAUAAUCUCUAAAUCAGUAGUACACAUAUAGAAGUUCAUGAGCACAAAGUUUCAAACCAAUUCUGAAUUUUAAUUCCCACUCAAAUUCGAAUUCAAACCGGUGCACUACAUAACAAGAACACAAUUUCAGAACAGAGCACUCAACCUCAGAAAAUCAUCACAAUUCACCUACCCUAUCAAAUAAUACCAAACUUUCCAGAUCAAAAGUUCACAUAUAGAAGAACAUGAUUACAAAGUUUCAGACCAAAUAGAGUCCUAAAUCCUGAUCAAAUUUAGACUCAAAACUGCUACACUGCAAAUAUCAAUACAAUUUUCAGCAUCAAGCACUUAGCUUUGGAAAAUCAACAUAAUUUAUCUACCUUACCAAAUAACACCAAACUUUACAGAUCAGUGGUACACAUAAAGAAAAACAACUCCACAAAAUUUCAAACCAAACCAAAUCCUGAAGCCCAAUCAAAUUCGAAUUCGAAACAGUAACACUACAUAACACAACUACAAAUUCUGAACGGAGCACUUAAAUUCAGAAAAUCACCACAACUCAUCUAUUUUAUCAAAACACACCAAAAUUUCCAGAUCAAUAGUAAUCACAUGGAAGAAUAAGGGUACAAAAUUUCAAGUCAAACGGAAUCCUGAAUCCUAACCAAAGUCAAGCUCCAAAACAGUUCAGACAAUAUAUUGAACAUAUACUAAUCUUUCUAUUCUAAUCCUUGAGUUUACUCUCUCUUUUCUAACCCAAAAACUUCAGACCGAAAACUACUUCAGAUAUAUGCAAAGACACACUUCAAGUUUAGAAGACUUCAAUCUAUUGUCUAUCAGCAUAAAUUCCAAAAGAUUUAAGCCAAACUAAUUUGUAAUAAACUUACCUGAAGAAAAUGAUUGCAGCUUCAGCUAUUUCUAAGACGAGACAAGACGUAUGAUAUGAAACCUCCCUUUCUUGCAUCUUCUUUUCCCUUCUAUGGUUCUCAGUGAUCACAUGUAGUUACAUAAAUGAAUAAAUAUGAUAAUCAAUGAUACCAGAUUGACAUCACCUUACAUUAACCAACACAUUCUCUCUAAAAUAUGGUUACUAACUUUUUGAAGCCCUUAAACUUAUUUUCCAAAACAUACACAGCUAUACAUACGCACAUAUAGUUGGUGAGUAAAAAGGCAGACAUAAAAAUUUAUAUCUGAAGCUAUAGAAUAAUAAUCUGAUAUACUAGAAUAUGUAUAUGAGUCCUUUAAGCUAGCAGCCCUUUCAUACUUCUAUUUUCCCUUGCAUGAUCCAACAUUCCAACCUCUCAAAUCAACAAACCGAUUCUCUUUCAUAGCACUAAUCUGCCUUCAAAAUAAUAAGCAAGUUACCGAUCAUCACUCAUUCAAUUAAUCCCACUGAGUAACACAUCGUUCAUAAAACCCAAAAACACAAGAGUGCCACUUUCAAAUUUGAACAAAGAAAAGAAAAGCCUCAAAAUUCCCCAAAAGAAAAAAUCAAUGCGCUAAGCCAUCACCAUGAAGAAAAAGAAAAAUAGAAGAUCAUAAACCAAAUAUACAAACACAGCGACUCACCCUCAUCUUCUCCAACACCACAUGCAACUAAGAAACAUCAAACACCAACUUGUAAUCAAAACCACUUAAAAGUCUAGACCUUGACCGAUCACAAUUCACAAUAAUCAGUAUCAAGCUCUUACGAUCAUGAAAUUGAAAGUCCAAUCCGUUCCUCCCCAACAAUUUAUACCCUGGCAAUCAUAUCCCUGCUCUGAUACCAUUUGUCACAUCCCAGCCCAAACUAAUAGCAAACAAUACAAAUUCGAAUGGGUAAAGGACAUGAAAGUACGAACUUCGGAGCCUCUUUACCUCGGCUUUCGUCGUUGAUCGAUCAAGCAAUAGCCACAGCGCAGCUCGCACCGUCUAGGCUGUUCAAUAGCCACCAAUACAACGAUCCGAGGUGACCGUCAAGGCGGUUCAAACGAAACGGAAGAUCAUGUCAGGCCGGUGCAUCCGGGUUCUUCAAUCGGGUCACGAGCCCUGAUACUUGCAUUUCAUGAUUCAGAAGGGAAGAACUUGCCUCACAUCUCGAAUUCAAUUCAAAUAUCUGGGUUGAUAAUUCAGACUUCAAAGGAAUCAGAAAAAAGAAAGGGAGAGAUUCUCCUCCCCCCGUGCUUAUCCUUUCCUCUUUUCUUGUAUAAACCCAAAUGGACGUUUUAGAUUAAACGGUGGAGGUGUAUGGACCAGAUUGAACCAUGCUUAUUUUAUUUUUAUUUUCUUUCUCUAAUAUUUUUAUCAUUAAAUCAUAAUACACGAUGGAGACAUGAAUUCACUUUAAAACAAGGAUCUUACAUUAUCUAAGAGCAUCUCCAGUAAUAGAGUUAAAUUUAUUACUAAAUUUGUCAACAUUUAGAUUUAAAAUAGUAAUUUUUGAACUUUUGCUCCAGCAGUAUUACUAAAUUAUAUACAUUAGCUAAGUUUUAGUUAAUUGUCUCCCAAAAAUUGAUAAUUUAUCAAUUUUCUCUAUCAACUUCUUAAGUAUACUGCUGGAGCAAAGAUUCAUUUAAAAAUUGAUAAAUCUCUAAUUUUUUUCAAUUUAUCAAUGCUGCUGGAGAUGCUCUAAAAUCAUGAAAGCACAUUUUAAAUUCUGAGAUCGUCAAAUGCUCCUCAAGCAGUCUCAACUUAGCUAGACGAAUAUAUAGUUUAUGUUACUAACUAAUGUCAGGAUGUUAUAAAGGUAAUUGAACACACAAUUUUUUCCUACGUCUCUCUAAUUAAUCUUAUCUUUCCACCAAGAACCAUUGAUUUAUCAUUACGUUAAAUUUAUUUAUUUUUUGUGAAAUUUCUAUCCUAAUUGUUGUUAUUUAUUACAUAUUGGACAUGUAAUUCACUGGUUUGUAUACACAAGGAGUUUCUGGGUUUCGGCUCUUCUCAACUCUCAGUCUCAUCAUGGGCAUCUGCUUUUGUUUUAAUUUUUGAGGAAGACUGUAUAUUUAGAUUCAUUAGUAGCAUUGCCUUUGGGACAGUUGGUUAAGUAGGUUUUUUGUUCUAGUCAUGAUCUAUUUUUUUGAGGAGAAAGUCAUGAUCUAUUAUAAAUUGAGAGAUUUAUGAAUAAUUUUGGUGUUAAACAAGAGUCCGGAUUGUGUUUUUACUGUUUUAUGAUGAAGUGUUAAAUUUAUUCACCAACUGUGACGGUUUGUGUGUCUAAGACCAUCUCCCAUCAUAGGCUAAAAAGCCAAAUUUAGCCUAUAGUUACUCCCACCAUAAGCCAAAUUACAAUUCCCAAGGUAAAAAAUUUAGCUUGAGCUAUUUUGUAAGCCAAAUUUGGCUUAUGAAAUUUGUAGGCUAAAACUAAGUAUUAUUUUAUUCAAACUUUAGAUUUUGUUCUUCUAAUUUCACUAGCAUCUAAAUUGAAAAUUCGUUACUAACAAAAUUUUAUACCAUUGUGACGAUCUCGACGAGAUAUUUCAUAUGAGUCCCAUAUCGAAUAUAUUUAUAUAAAAAAAAAUUUCAUGAUUAAUUAUUGAAUUAAACAAAUAAAUGAUAAAAUAAAAAUAAAUUGAUUUAUCUAAGGAUUUAGCUUACUGUAGGAGUGCUUCUUUAGGCCAAAAUACUAUUAAUUUGGCUAAAAAUUUUGCUUAUAGUGAGUUAUGGUGAGAGAAUUUAGUAAGUUAAAAACAGAUUUUAUAGAAUAUUCUUAUUUUGUAAGCUAAAUUUAGCUUAAAAUUUGGCUUACAGCUCUAGGUGUGUAAUUGCCUGCAUGGAUACCCAUUCAAAAAUUUGAUUUUUUUUUUUUUUUAAUUUCUAUGGAGUCACCAUUCAGUUCAAGGACCCACAAUUAUUUACUCACCAAAAAACCGAUAGUGACUUUGUUUGGUUAGCCAAGCCAGCGAAAGGGACCAACAGCAAUAUUAGUCACUAAAGCCGUGUCUAUUAAUUAUCCCCACUAAUCAAUUGUGUCCUUUGAUCCAACACACACCAUUUUUAAUAGCCCACUUCUAUGGUAGUGAAAACUGACAUCCUUGGAUAAAAAAAUAAAAAUAAUAAAAAAAAUAAAAUCUUACCAAAACAACUUUAAAUAAUAUAUUAAAGGUAUUAAACGAUUUACAGAAAAAAAUAAACAUAUUAUUAGGGGUAAUAAAUAUUGAGAAAUCCAUUAAUAAAGUUUAUAAAAGGUAACUCAUAAGCCACAAACAUGAAGCACGUACAGUAAACCUUGUAUUUCUUACCACAACCACGUACAGUAACUCAAAAGCCACAAACAUGAAGCACCACGAGUACCUCUCCCUCCUCCUCCUCUUCCUGCUCUUUCUUCACGUGGACGACAAAACGGGCCUUCUUGCCUUCAACUCAGGCAUCACGACUCAACGGUAACGACGGCGGACGAGACUAUUGUUGUUGUUUCGGCUUCGGCGUAGAGUCGACGGCAACGACGGUAAUAACAGAGUAAUCGACGUCGUGGAUGACGAUGUUAUUGGUGACGUAGACGUCGGGACGCGAGAGUUGGUCUUGAAGAGGCUGAGAUCAGCAUAAGUGAGGUGCUGAGGGACGACGUGAUAAGGCAAGAAGAUCUGGUUGGCGAUGGGAAGGCACGAAACGGCAGCGUUUUCAGACAUGUGUGGUGUCGUGUUAAUUUCUUGCGUUUAGAUUGAUUUUCUUUAUUUGCACCCCGAGUAAAUAUACCUGACCAACAAAAAGCAGUUACCUGAUAUUAAUCAUAAUCAUAGUAUGAAUGUGGUAAGAUCCAAGACUAAAAUUUCGACAAUCGAUGAUAUUUUGAUUCUCUAACAAAUAGAUUUUUCAAAGAAAAUAUUGAGAAAUAUUGAUAGGGGCAAAAUUUUGAAAGGAAAGUAAAAAUUAUGUGAAAAUAUAUACACUGGUUUUUUGAUACUUAUAUACUAAAAUGUUCUUCAUGCUAACCAAAUAUCACUUCAGUAGAGUUGGUUGGGGGAGUUUGAACAUGGGGUUGCUACGGUUUGAUUCCCCUCACAUGCGCUUUGACUUUUAUUCCAAUUUUUCACAUAUGGGCCGAGUUGAUGUGAGUUGGGUCGAACUAAUGAUAUAAUCUUGUGUGUUUCGGCAAAAUAUCGAAAUUUUCUCACGAUAUUCAGUUGAUAAGCAAAGAUAAUAUCGGAUGAUGAGAAAAACGAUAUUCUCGGCGAAAUAUCGCUGAAAAUCCCGAUUUUAAAGACCAUGGGUAAGAUCCGGAUCAAGCUCGAGGGGGUCCAGAUCGAGAUGCAUACUUGUGCCAGUUGUGUGUUGUGAGGGAUGGGGAUGGAAUAUUUAUAUUUAAGAAAGAACACGGUGAAACACGGAUAUGUUUUAUUCAGUACUUCUCAACAACCAACCAGUCUCUGAAUCCGAGAAACAGAACCAAAUUCGAAAACAAACAAGAUUGUCUCGAAAAAGGAAGUAGAAAGAAGGGUGUUGCACAGGCAGCCUAAUUGAACCAAAUACAAAUUCAAAUGCAAAUUCAAAGGGAACCACAAACGGACCCAGCAACAGCUUAAUCAGCUAGCUACGAGGGGGGGGGGGGGGGGUGGAGGGAGGGAGUACAUUACAUUACAUGCAUUGGAUAUAAGAGAUGGAUGGGUGUGGGCGGAUGAUGAAACAUAUGAUUUUUGAGUAACACAAAUGAAUUAGUAGCCUGCAGGCUUGUAGGCGAUGAAACUGAUGCACUGAACUUGACGGACAUUGUCGAAUCCGAUGAUACGGAUGAAAGCAUUUGGAUAAGCCUUCUUGGCCUCCUCGAGCUCCUUCAACACUUGGGAAGCGUCGGUGCAUCCGAACAUGGGCAACUUCCACAUGGUCCAGUAGCGGCCGUCGUAGUAUCCCGGUGACUUGUGGUUCUCACGGUACACGAAUCCUUUCUAUAUAUACACAAUUACAGUUACAGAGCACCACCGGUACCAAUAAUCAGUAGUUAAACAAGUACAAUUAAUUUAACUUGAGUAAAAAUUAUAUUAGUGAAAAAAUAACUAAUUAAUACCUCCAACUCAAAUUCCAAGCAGGGAACCCAUUUGUUGCGGAGAAGGAAAUCAACUUCCUUGGCCAAGGACUCGGAAGUAAGCGGUGGAAGGUAGGACAGCGUCUCGAACUUCUUCAAACCAACUGGAGGCCACACCUAUACAGAAUAUAUAAUCGGAGUCGAUCAAUUAGUAAGGUAGGAUACCUAGCAAGUAAUUAAGCUUCACGCUAGUAAGUGGAAAUUAAACUAUAUAUAUACGAUGGUGAAUUAAUUCACCUGCAUGCAUUGCACUCUUCCGCCAUUGCUUGGGAGUGAGGUAAUAUCACUGUUGGUCUUUCUGGUGAUGGGGAAAGCUGAGGCAGACUUGAGGCCAGUGAAUGGCGCAACCAUGCUGGCUUGUGCCGGGGAGGCGGCGGUGGCGACUGCGGCAGCCGAUGAUGAGAACAUGGAGGAGGCCAUUACUGCUUUAUGCUUUUGUAUAGCUGAGCUCUAGCCCUCUUCUUUCUUCUCGAGUGGUCGAGUUGAGGAAACACGCUAUACCUAGCUUCGUAUAUAUAAUGGUAUGAUCCACCACAACCACAUCCGACCACCCCAGUUCAAUUGACUCUAUUCAAGACGAAUUGUGGACCGUCAGAUCCUUUAUGUGAUGACAUUACGCUUUAUCGACCACAUAAGGCAAGAAAGUUUUGAUUUCUAGCCUUAUCAUCGUUACUCACCACAACGACCAUGCCACGUGGAUCCGUAUUAUCUUAUCUAAUCCAGGGCGGAACGUGAAUGAGUGAUGGUCAUUGGCUAAAGUUUGUUUCAGUCGUUAGAGAGGGCAAAGGGGUAUUGUCCUCACUUUCUAUUCCUUAUUUCGAAAACACACGCACUCGUCUCGCCUACAGCCUCUCAAUCCAAAACAGUAAACUUCUCGUUAACUUUUAGCCUAGGUCUGCCAUCAACCAACUAACCUUUAUGAUAUUACGGCCGAUGCGACAAACAAUAUAUAUUACCUUUUAAGUAAUUAUUUUUAAGUGAUCUGAUCACUUACCUUUUUUUUUUUUUUUUGGUAGAACUUGAUCACUUACAAUUCUUCUCUUAGCACAUAACUUAAAAUACAUAAAAUGGCUUAGUCAAAAAAAAAAAAAAAUACAUAAAAUGUAUAGAACUCAUAUGGAAUAACAUAUAGGCCCCAACAUGUGUAGUUAAGAGUUAUUUAAGGUGAUGAUGGCGCUUUAUUUGUUAUACGAGAUCAAAAUGGUACUUCCUUAAUGGUUUGUUCACGGAAGUAUUUCUAUCCAUGUUAUUGAAUCUUCUUUGUUGAAUGAUGGUUUAAAACAGUAGCGGAGCCAGAUAUUCAAAUGUACUGGGGCACAAAAGUAAAAUAAUACAAAAAAAAAUCUUAUAAUAUAACAAUGUAUUCGUUAUUCAUGAAUUGAUAAUCGAUAUAGAUUUAAACUAUGUUUUUAUUUUAUUUUAAUUGAGUUUUCAAUCACGAAUGAAUAACACGAGUGAUGAAGCUAAAACAUUAUAGGUGAGAACCUUUAGAAAUUAAAAAAAGAAAAAAAUAGCUAUAUAUAUAUAUACAUACACACAUGACUAUUCCAAUGAGGAAUUACUAUUUUUGUUCAUUUCUAAGGAUAGACCUACACCAUUUGAUGUGUUUUUUAAUGAGUUUGGAUAAUUGAGAUUAAAACAAAAAGUUUAACAUUUUAUAUCAAACAUAGAAUUUGAAGUUUAUUCAUUAUGUAUCCUAAAAAUAAACACGACUUGAGGGCGUACGAACCCGCCCAUCUGUCCUUGCCAAAAUAAGUUUUCUCUAUUAUUUUGAAGGACAUUUGACCAUUACCAACUAAUUUUAUGAGCUUAUUGCCCAUUCCAAUAAUAACAUUUUACUCAUUGCCAAUUUGAACAAAUCUGAAAGAAAAAGACAAUAUUAUCCUACGUAAAUAUCAACUAUUAACUCUCUCUCCACCGGCAACCUCAUCUUUGCCUCCACCUUCUUCGACGACCUCGUCCUCGCCUCCGCCAGAGCAACAUGGUGGUGUCGUCCAGACGGGAGCCGGAUGCUGAGUCCUCGCCGUUGGAUCUGAACCAUGCUCACGAUACCACUAGCGGCACCGCCGGAUUCGGAUAUUUGAUGAGUUCUUCUUCCUGCGCAUCACCAGAUUUCGCCGGUUAGAGCCGUCAUCGGUGUGAUUCGACCGGACUGAACUAGCAUGUACGUGAUUCGAUGGCAGAGUGACUCAGACUCGUCCACAGUGGUCGAUCUAAACCAGCAGGUACGUGAUUCGACCGAGGAAGGAGGAUUCGACCUCGACCUUAACCUGACUCCUCUGACAGAUCUCACCUGAUUUUUGGUUUUAGAGGAUCCGAAGGAGGGUUCGAAAGAUGAUUAGGAAACUUCUUUUUUUCUUUUUAAUUUUUUUUUUUGUUUUACCUAGGGGCUAGUAAUCGUUUUGUUUACUAGAGGCCAAUAAUACGUUUUUACUAGAGCCAAUAAUUUUUGUUAAUGUGUUUUAUUUUCUCUUGGAGGUAGUGAUUGUGUAGAUAUGGUCAAAUUGUUUAGUUUUGAAAAAUAUGGAGGGUAACAUAUCAAUUUAGAGUAAAUUACAUAGUAGCACAUGACCAAAUUUACAAACACAAAAAACCCACUUUCAAUAAUUUUUAUAUAAUAAAAGACAUAAGCCCAAGCCUACCACCAACUAAGCCCAGACCUGACUUCAAAUUUCACUCUAAGAAGACGAAAAACCUAAUCGUACAACAAAAUUACGAAAUAUGCCAUUGAGUCUAAGACUUGAUUUCAGAUCUCUCUCUCUCUCNNNNNNNNNNNNNNNNNNNNUAUAAAUUGAACAAUGAUAAUCAAAAAUUUCUAACAAAAAUUAGACGAAAUAAUAUGUAAAAAGAGGUACCAAAUAGUAAAUAUAGAUUAAUUAUAUUAAAUAAUGAAAUAUUUCAUAAAUUAAGGGUAUUUUAGGUAGUUUGGGAUGUGUAUUAAGUAUAAUACUGAAAUGAAAAACUUGAUAUGUGGUGUAUUAAGUAAGGGGUGUGUAUUAAGAUAUUAGGGGUGUGUAUUUAAAAUUUCUCUAAAAGAAAUUUAGUUCCUUAAGAAAAAAUAGUUAUUAAUUAAAACAAACAAUGAAACCCAGUACCAUUUGGUGUAGUGACAUAAUUUUUUUCUUUUAGUAAGUGAAAAGAUUAUGAGUUCGACUCACACAAUUUGUAAUUUACUUAAUAAAAAAAAACAAUCAAUGAAAAGAAUGAAAUUUAUUAGAUAAAGAAGGAAUAGGACAAGAUGCGUUGGGUUGCCGAUUUGAGAGAAAGUUGUUUUGCUGACUUAGAGUCCCUCUCGCUUUAUUUCAAAAUUCAAACCAUGUUUGGGGAUCUGAUUUCCUCUCGGUUAUGUACAGAAAAAGUGAGAGAGAGAGAGAUGAGAGCCCCAAUUCUAAUUGUUUGUCGGAUCCUCAGUAAUUUGAUGGAGGAUUGGAGAUCGUCGUUGCUCGGGAUCGUUUCUCGAUCAUUCUCAAUUCCAUGUAAGAAGUGGCUCUCUCUGUUCCUUGUCAAUUUGUGUUUCGUGAAUUUGAGCAUGGAAUUACAAUCCAAUUAGGGGGUGCUCUCUCUGUUGUUUGUUUUGCCUUAGAUCUACAAUCAGAUAAUUGUUUUCCGAGAAUUAGUUUUGGUUGUGGCCUUGAAAAAAGAGAGGGGUUUGUUGCCUCGCUUGUUUCACUAUCACAUAAAGAGAAGGGUUUACCCUUUGAUCUGUUGUUUGCGACCUCAAAUUGUCAUUGCCUUUUCGAUGCCCAUCUGUUGCAAUGUCCUAAGAAUUUACCUGAGAUUGUUCCCUUUUAAGUUCAUGCAUGUUAAAUGUUGCUGAAGGGCUUUCUAAUCUAGAAUGUUGAGUUGGUCAUAAACUUGCGUCUUGUCUUUCCUUGAAUUUAUAUGAAUGUGAGCAUGAAAUUACAAUUAAAAUAUUGGUGCUCCCUCUUUUUGUGGGGUUGAAGUACCAGUUUUCAUGAUUGGUAUUCCCUCUGCAUGAGAAUUGGUGGUGUCCACUUCAUGAUUACUAUGUUUCCUUUGAUUUAUGAGUUGUCUUCGAUUAAUUGGUGGUACCCAGUUCAUGAUUAUGUUGUCUAAGAGAUUAUUAUUGUGGCCUUGAAAGUAACAAUUGAUCCCUAAAGAAAGGGUAUUAAGAGAGAUUGUUGGAAAGAGAGAUUAUUGUUGCAUUUCAAAGUUCAUGAUUUUGCACUUUGAUUUAUGAGUUGCCUUUGGUUAAUUGGAAAAAGAGAUAGUUGUUGCCUUUCAAAGUUCAUGAUUAGCGAAUCUUACCUAAGUAUUUGUUAUCUGAGCUCGCAAAUUUCUAAUGCAAUGAGCUCGUAAAGAGAGAUUGUCGUUGCCUCUUAAUCUCUUAAAGUAUAAUUCUGCACUUUGAAACUUGAGUUAGUUGAACCAUUCAAGGCUAAUAUUUUUGUAAAGAAUUGAGACACCCAUUUCCCCACACCAUAGUAGGUAAAUUCUCAACGUUUUUCAGUUUAUUUUUUCUUUUUCCAUCAAUGAAAUGCCCAAAAGUUAAGGUUUCUGUAAAGAAUUGAAUAUUACAUCUUCUCGAUUUUGACUCUAGCAUUCAAUUUUUUCUUUUUGCAGAUGAAUUGGAAAUGAGAAAAUUGGUAUUCAUGGUGGUUAGAUUCGUGUUUGAGAUAAUGAUUCUCUUGUCCGUUGUCCCCAAUAGUCCUCUAAGAUGUAAGAAUGGUUUACCAUUUGAAAAGUUCACUUGGUAGUUGUACAUAUGUCAACCUUUUGAUUUGUCGCUGCUUAUACAAUCAAAGUAAUGAGCUAUGACCAAGCUAGAAAGAGAUAUUAAAAUUGUCAUGGCCUUUUCAAUGCCCAUAUGUUGCCAUUUCCAAAGAAUUUACCUGAGAUUGUUCCCUUUUAAGUUGUGGUAUUGCAUGGCUUUUUAAUAUGGAAUGAUGUAUUUUUUAUUAUAUUCAUCUGUCUACUUUGGGCAGUUCAUGAAUUUGCGUCUUGUCUUUGCUUGAAUCUUUAUGAAUAUGAGCAUGAAAUUACAAUCAAAAUAUUGGUGCUCUUUCUUUUCUUGGGAUUGAAGUACCAGUUUGAAGAUUGACGCUCCCUCUUUUUUAAGGGUUGAAGUACCAGUUUUCAAGAUUGGUAUUCUCUCUGCCUUGAUUCUCUGGUGUUGCCCUGAAUGGCCCGAUAUAUUACCAAAGAAUUACUUCAAAUUGUUGCCUGAGAAUUGGGGGUGCCCAGUUCAUGAUUAUGUUGCCUGAGCAGUUAUUGUUGCCCAUCAAAGUUCAUGAUUCUGCACUUUGAAACUUGAGGCUACACUUACAAUCUUUUACUUACAUGUCUUCUGCCUUGAUUCUCUAGUGUUGGCCCGAUAUUAUGACCUAGUAAUUGUUGCAUGAGAAUCGGUGGUGCCCAGUUCAUGAUUUUGUUGCCUUCGAUUAACAUGUUACCUUCUAUUCUAUUUGAGUUGCCUUAAAUUAGUAUGUUGUCUUCGAUUACUAUAGUUUCUUCGAUUUAUGAGUUGCCUUCGAUUGACUGGUGAUACCCAGUUCAUGAUCUGUUGCCUGAGAGAUUAUUGUUGCCUUGAUGUAAUGAUUGAUCCCUAAAAAAAGGGUAUAAAGAGAGAUUGUUGGAAUGAGAGAUUAUUGUUGCCUCUAAUAUUGUUACCUUUGAGAUUGUUGCCUUUCAAAGUUCCUGAUUGGCGAAUCUGACCUGAGUAUUGGUCAUUUGAGCCGCAUAUUCUAAUGCAGUGAGCUCGCAAAGAGUGGUUUUUGUUGUUUUUCAAAGUUCAUUAUUCUGCUCUGUAUUAAUAUAUGUUAUCUUGUAUUAUUUUAUUCUAUUGUCUCGGAUAGAGAUUAUUGUUGCCUUGAAAAGAGAGCGAGAGUUUGCUGCCUUGCUCGUUUCAGUCAUCUCACAUAAAUGUGUUACCGUUUAAAGGGUCUAAUAUAUUUUUGCCAUUUAUUUCAUGUUUUGCAAAUCAUUCAGACCAUGGUGGCCUUGAUCCCUCAUUUUCGGAUAUGUUGCCUUGUCCCAAGAAUUAAAUUGUUAACAUUUUGCAAAUUCGAAACUGUCUUUGGUAUCAAACCAUUCAUGAAUUUGCGGUUGUCUUUGCUUGAAUCUAUAUGAAUCUGAGCAUGAAAUUACAAUCAAAAUAAUGGUGUUAAUUUCAUCUUUUCCUGGCGUUGAAGUACCAGAUUUGAAGAUUGGUGCUCCCUCUUUUUUAGGGGUUGAAGUACCAAUUUGAAGAUCUGUGUUCCCUCCUUAUUUUUUUUUCUUGUUGUCUGCUACAACAUAUGUCUCUCUCCUUGUGAAUGUGCCUUGGCUAGACAUCACUGAACGCCUUCAUUAUGGAAAUACAAUUAUCAAAAAGGUUCUCUUGGAUUCCAAGUUCAUGAUUCUGCACCUGGAAUCUUGAAUUGGUAUGGAAAGAGAGAACUCAUUGAGGCUGCACUUACAUGUUUUUAUUUGCAUGUCUUCUUCUUUGAUUCUCUGGUGUUGCCUUCAUAUUUUCACCAAUAAUUGUCGCAUGAAAAUUGGUGGGGCCCGGUUCAUAAUUUUGUUGCCUUUGAUUAAUAUGUUACCUUCUAUUCUAAUUGAGUUGCCUUGGAUUAAUAUGUUGCCUUCAAUUACUGUGUACCCUUCGAUUACUAUGUUUCCUUCGAUUCAUGAGUUGCCUUUGAUUAAUAUGUUGUCUAUGAUUUAUGAGUUGCCUUCAAUUAACUGGCGAGGCCCAGUUCAUGAUUCUGUUGCCUUGAAAGUUUAUGCUCUUACUAUUAAAAAUAACAAUUGAUUGCUAAAAAAUAGGUUAUUAAGAGAUUGUUGGAAAAAGAGAUUAUUGUUACUUCGAAGAUUGUUGCCUUUCAAAGUCCCUGAUUGUUGAAUUUGACCUGAGUAUUUGGUCAUGAACUCUCAAAUUUCUGAUGCAGUAGCAAAGAGAGAUUAUUGUUUCCUUUCAAAGUUCAUGAUUAGCGAAUUUGAUUUGAGUAUUAGUCAUUUGAGCUUCCAAAUUUUUAAUGUAGUGAGCUUUAGCAAAGAGAGAUAUUGUUGCUUUUCAAAAGUUCAUGAUUCUGCACUUUGAUUUAUGAGUUGCCUUCGGUUAUUUGGUGGUGUCUCUUUCAUGAUUCGGUUGCGGUGUUGCCUAAGAGAUUAUUAUUGUUGCCUUGAAAGUUCAUGCUCUUAUUGUUAGAAAGUAACAAUUGAUCUCUUAAAAAAGGGUAUCAAGAGAGAUUGUUGGAAAGAAAGAUUAUUGUUGCCUCUAAGAUUUUUGCCUUUCAAAGUUUGUGAUUAUCGAAUGUGACCUAAGUAUUGGUCAUUUGAGCUUGCAAAUUUCUGAUGCAGUUGGCUAGCAAAGAUAGAUUAUUGUUGCCCAUUUAAGUUCAUGAUUCUGCAUUUUGAAACUUGAGUCAGUAUUGAACCAUUCAAGGGCUGGCUUUCCAACGAGAACUCAUUGAGGCUAUAGCCUCUGAGAUUGUUGCCUUGUAAUUCUCUAAGAUCUCCUUUAUUGCCAACUAAGUUUGAUAACAAAUGCAAUUUUCUCAGGUUUAUACAUAGUUCUCAUUUCCGUUUUGUAAAUGAUUAAUUAUAUCUUUUAGAAUCUGCAGAAAUGCAUUUUCUUUGUUUGAAAAUGCUACAGUACUAGGCUUCAUAAGCUUUGAAGACCCCUUUGUGCAUGCUGCACAAGCCUUUCUUGAUGAUUUGAGUUCGCUAGAAGAUCUGCUUCAUGCUUUAAUAUUUAGCUGUUGGCUUUUUGUUUGAGCUCGUUUGAGCUCCGUUUGUAACCCAAAAAAAAUGCUACAGUACUAAAAGACUGAUACAAAAGAUGCUUUGUGUGGGGAAUUGCUCCAAAAUACCAGUAUAUGGCACAAUCAUGUGCGUUGAUCAUGCACCUAGUUCACAAAUAUGAUUUUGUUGUUACCCACAUUGUCGAUGCAGUUGCUGGUGUUGAGAAGAAGUAUGCAGAUGAGAGCCUAGCUAAUUUUCUUAUCAGAGAGAUUGGGAGGACAAAUCCAAAAGAGUACAUCAAGGAUACAAUUGAGGCUGAAAAAGAUUAAUUACAAAAGACCCCCAGAAUUAUGGGGUCACUUUCAUUUUGGUAUCUAAUUAUUAAAAUCUUGCGUUUACAUGCCCGAAGUUCUCCCCAUUAGACAAGUUAAUACUUCCGUCAGUUACCUGUCAGUUUGGGGCGUUUUCUGCUAACGUGGCUUGCCUAGGACCCAAACAGCUGUUAGUUUCUAGGUGGAAUUGAGGGAUAUUUUAGUCUAACUCUAUUUUACUCUGCCUAAAAAGGCAGUAAAAGGUGGAGGCAGAAUUACGCAACUGAAACGAUUUGUGAUUUCUAUCGCUGAUUACCCCUGAUCCACAACUGAAACAAUGCCGGAUUAAGCAACUCUAGGUUUGAGUGGGUACUCCGAUUUGUGAUUUCCAUGGCUUCGCACAACUAGAAUAGGCCUCCCCAUAGCCCCUCUACUGUAAGCCCUAACUUCUUUUGUAUGAAAUUACGUUUUUGUGAUGAAGUAGACGAAGCCCUAAUUUGGGGUUGUGAGAAAUUGGGGGGAAUGAUAGGAAGUGAAGGAUGAUAGUGAUUGUGUGUUUGAUUUUACUUGGGUGGUUAUGGGUUUUGUUAUAUGCGGCACGAAUCAGUGUAGAAAAUGAGGAAACGGGUUUUUCAUCUUGGGUUGUGGGGUUUGUUUGUUUGGUCACAUUUGUGAUUGUAUUUCAUUUCUUUCAAAGCUGAGAAAGAGAGUGGUUUUCCAUUUGUUUGUGUUGGGAUUGAUGGUUUGCAUUGACAAAGUGACAUACUGAGCUGCACUAAAUCAUCUGUGUUAAUGUUAAUUUUGGUUUUGAAGAAGAAGAUUGGUGUUCACGAGGUUCAUUGGACAAGAAGAGGAAGUUAACAAGAAAAACAGACAGCCAGAGUAGCAUGGGGCGACCACGGCUGCCAUUUAAGUAAAAUAGAGUAAUUUAGAGUUAGACCAAAAUAUCCCUCAAUUCCACUUGGAAACUGACAGUUGUGGGUCCUAAGCAAGCCAUGUCAGCAGAAAACGCCUCAAAUUGACGAGGUAACUGACGGAAGUAUUAACUUGUCUAACGGGGAGAACUUCGGGUAUGUAAAUGUAAGAUUUUAAUAAUUAGGUACCAAAAUAAGAGUGACCCCAUAGUUUAGGGAGUCUUUUGUAAUUAAUCCGGCUGAAAAUGUACCUCUUUUGGUGGAACUUUCUGAUCGGUUACCAAAGUUGAUGUCUGUAAAUAUUGGUCUUCUUGUCCCACAUUUUGGUGGGGAAUCUUAUAAAAUAAGAAAUGCUCUUGUUGGGGUCUUGGGAAAGUUGGUCGCAAAGGCUUUCAAAGAUGCUGAGGGUGAAGUCGAUUCUAAAUCUGUUCGUAUUCGAACCAAGCAAGCCAUGUUGGAAAUUUUGCUUGAGCGGUGUCCAGAUGUAUCAGCUUAUACCCGGAGUCGGGUUCUUCAAAUUUGGGCUGAACUAUGUGAUGAACUUUGUGUUUCAAUUGGGUUGUGGAAUGAGCUGGCUGAAGUUGCUGCUGGGAGGUUAGAGGAUAAGAGUGCAAUGGUCAGAAAAUCAGCGCUAAAACUACUUAUCACGAUGUUGCAGCACAACCCAUUUGGCCCACAACUUCGAAUAGCUUAUUUGAAGCAACCCUACAGCAGUACAAGAAGAAGCUGAAAGAGCUUGAACCAGAGACUCCCUCAGAAAAUGAUAUGAACAGAUUACCAUCUUUCAAUAAUACAUCGGGGAAUAAUGAGGUUGAUGACGUAACUGCAGGGUUGACUAUGGUGCAGCAGGAUAGCUUACCUGAUAGUUACUUGCCUGAGAUGGAAGAAGAUCUAGUUCAGAAAGACGGGUCUGUCCCAGAUGUUGUGAACUUAGAACAGACCAGGGCUUUGGUAGCUUCACUUGAGGCUGGACUGAGAUUUUCAAAGUUUAUAUCUGCUACAAUUCCAACACUUGCUCAGAUGAUGGCAUCAUCUUCUGCCACUGACGUUGAGAACACAAUAAAUUUGUUAAUGAGAUGCCGGCUGUUUCAUAUUGAUUCCUCAGAAGCAUGUCUUCAUAAGAUGUUGCCACUGGUACGUAUUGCUCAUGCCCUAGGAAAUGCUUUAUAAUUUCAAUUCCGUCAAGAACUUUUCUUCUCUGUUAAUUCUUGAGCACCUGGUCUGGGCAUGAUUUUUCUGUUUGUACAUGUUGCUUAUAAUGUCCUAAAUGUGUCUUGGCUUUUGUAGGUAUUUUCUCAGGACAAAUCCAUCUAUGAAGCUGUGGAAAAUGACUUCAUUACAAUUUACAUAAAGAAAAACCCCGUAGAAACGGCCAAGAAUCUUAUAAAUCUUGCGAUAGAAUCAGAUAUUGGAGAUCUAGCUGCCCUUGGGUAUAUAGUUGGUGCCUUGGUGUCCAAAGGCAACAUAUCCAGUGCUGCGAGUGAUUACUUUAAAUCUAUGAAAUUUGUUUGAAGAUAUUUCCUUUGCAUGCCAAAAGCAACAAGAAUCUCUGUAUGGUUUUCAGCUUUCAAAAGUGAGGGUACACUGUAGAUAUAAAGUCAACUCUAAAGUUGAGGCAAUUGUCCAUUUCUGGGAAAGUGAACAAGUGCAUAUUGAAAAGAUAAUGAGCAACCAUGAUAUUGAUUUUAGAAUACGAUUUAUGUUUCUUUUUGGUAUAUUUGGUNNNNNNNNNNNNNNNNNNNNAGUAGCAGUAGUAGCGGAUAUGUUGAAGGGUAGUUUGGUAAAAUAUAAUGACAGAUGGCAUGUGGGUAUUAAAUUGUCCUAAUUUGUUAAUUUUUGUCCUUAAAUGUAUAAGAUAAUGAGUAAAGGAUGUAUUUGUAAACUGAAACUUAGUUAGUAACUAAUAUGUAAUUUACUAUUUAACUUACCCAUAAAAUCUUAAUAGAAACAUAAAAUAAUAGAUGUGUGUAUUAAGAGAUUAGGAGUGUCUAUUUAAAAUUUCUCUUUCUUUUAUUAUUGUAAAGAUAACCAUUUGCACAAAAACAUGGUUUCCAAAAUCCAUUUCAAUAAACUUAUUUGUGUCCAAAUACAUAAAUAUUUAUUAAAGUCAAAAUAAAAUAAUAUUUUUAAGACAUUUUUACCCUUAGUUCUUAUACAUGCUUAGAGAGAAAAAGUGUAUGAGAGGCAGUAAGACUUUAUCGGAAGCUCUUUGGAUAUCCUGACACCAUCGUCGAACUCCGGUCACUAGUUGCUGGAAUCUUGUCGAUUGCCACCAGAAUCUCGCCUAUCACCAGAGUUUGGUGCCGGAAGCUUAUCGAACUUUUUUAAAUGUCAUCAGAUCUUGCCAAAACAGUACCCUCUCUAAAAGUUUAUUGAGGGGCAGUAAGAUUGAAAAUUUAUUAGAGGACAAAAACUUGAAAUCUCAUCGAAACAUCCCGAAAUAAUUUAUAAAAUCUAAUAGACGGUUAAUUAGAGGGCGAUUAUUGGUGACAGUAAAUGUUGAGAAGUAUUUUACUACCCUAAUAAAAAAAUUAUUAAGCGACAAUAAAGACAAAAUUUUACUAAAAUAUCUCCAAAUAAUUUAUAAAAAAUAAUAAACCAUUUAUUGAAGGAAAUAAAUGUUCAGAGACUUCUUAUUACCCCUAAUAAAUGUUUAUUGACCUCAAUAAAUUGAUUAGUAAAUUACAUAUUAGUUACUAACUAAGUUUCAGUUUACAAAUACAUCCUUUACUCAUUAUCUUAUACAUUUAAGGACAAAAAUUAACAAAUUAGGACAAUUUAAUACCCACAUGCCAUCUGUCAUUAUAUUUUUACCAAACUACCCUUCAACAUAUCCGCUACUACUGCUACUGUCGACAUGUGCUACUGUCGACGAAAAUGUGCUACUGCCAAAGUAGGAAUGUGCUACUGCCGGUGCUAUUACAAUUUUUUCCAGCAAUUCUUCGGAACCAAACAAAGCUGCUACUGUGGCGAUGCGAAAUCUUAUGCUACUGACCACUGAAUAGCUGGUGCUACUACCAAAUGUACAGUAGCAUCACUCAUACUCAUCCAGAUCUAGGAUUUUGAAGCUAAUCAAAAUCAUAAUCAAUUGCUACAAAACUAAAGCACAUAGCAAAACAGAAGCUAGCCCUCCAGUUCCACACAACCCAAUACCAAUUGAAGCUUCAAUUUCCACAAUACCAAAACACCGCAAUAAACGAAGAAAAAGCACAAACCAGUUGUUGUAGUCAGAAUCGAAGAACCACUGAGGGAACCAAACGGAGGAAUGCAUAGAGAUCAAGCGAGCUAUCGUUGGAUUGCGCAGUGGAACUCGUCGGCCUCAGAAUGGAUGGGAUCGAGCUUUGGUUCAGUAGCAGUCGUCGUGGUCGUCGACCAUCUGCAUCGGNNNNNNNNNNNNNNNNNNNNCCCGCAGAUAUCAGCGUGAUGGGAUUUCUUUUGCUUCAACAUUAGUGGAACUACUGCAGCUCAAAGUUAUGGGGCAUUAUCUAUCCUUUGCAUGCUGGGGCGGAACUACAGUCCAGCCUGACGAGGUUUUGACCCUUGUCAGCUUUUCUGCAGAUACGGUGAUAUUAGGAAAUCUUUAAUCAACUAAUGGUAUAUAUAGGUGUGUUUUUAUAGUGAACCCCCCUCAAAUCCUUUCGAAAACAAAGAAACCCACCGACCCCAUGUUACAGAAACAAUAAGAUAAUGAAUCCCUAGCUAUUCACUUGAUUAUCAUCAUCUUUAUAAUAAAAAAUAAUAUAAAUAAUGAUAAAUUUAGAAAAAAGUACUAUAAUAUUUAUUAGAAACUCAAAGUUAAAGUAAAAUUUAAUAAGAAUAUUUAAUGUCAUUAAGUGAUUACUCUCGUAAUGAAUUACAGCGUUCUACUUUUAUUUGCUGGGAUUUGCAAUCCCUACUUGAGUAUCUCUAUACAGAUGACUAUUUAUAAGUGGUUUACGACUAAAUGAAAAAUGAAAAACGUCUGAAAAUUCUGAACUCAGUGAAUUUUAUCUUUAGAUAAUUUAGGUCUGAUUAUUAAUAUUUAUAAUAUUUAUUGUCACUAGAGAUAUUAUCAUUAUUUUCGUAAAAAUGAUCGUUUCUAAGUAAUAUCAAGAAUACGACUAUAUUUACCAGUUAUACCUUAGUUGUUAUAAUUUGUAGUAAAACACGUUGUAUUAUAAGUAAUUAUCUCAAUCACAACAAAAUUUACAUAAAGUAAGGUAUUAAUUACUAGAUAAAGGAUUUUAUUACACAAACAACGUAUUUACUAUAUGUACAUCAGUUUUACUAUUAUUACGACAAUUUGUUGUCAGAUUGGUAAAAUAGUUCUCGACUUGUAAUUAGAAAAAUUACUACAAAUACAAGCUUGAUUACUACUUUUUCAACAGUUUGUCGACUUAUGAAUCGACAUUAAGAAUUUCAUAAAGAACUACUAUGAAAUUGACAUUAAUUACUACUUUCACCUCAAUUUUAGUUAAGGGAAAAUGCCCAUUUAGUACUAAUUGUCACCCUUCAUUGCCCAUUCCAAUGUAAAUCUUUUAUAUAAGCCCAUUUGAAUGAAAAUAAACUUUUUUUGUGCCCAAAUGGUCAAAUCUUUACUAAAGUCUUAACAAACUAUAUUAUUUUAAAACUAUUUUGCCCCUACCUCUUCAACAUGAAAAACUUGGCCGGAACCUCGAACUCCGGUCACCGGCCACCGGAAUCCGGUCACCGAAUUUUCCCACCGGAAUCCGAUCACCGGAAUUUCCUCGCCGGACUCCGGUCACCGGAAUUUCCCCGACCGUAGGACUCUGGUCACCAGAAUUUCCCCGGUAACCAGUUACUGACCCCCAAUAACCAGCUACUGACACCUAGUAAUUAGUUACUGACUAGUUACUGACACCUAGUAACUAGUUACUAACCCCAAAUAACUAGUUACUGACCAGUUACUGACCACCAGUAACUGAGUUACUUUGGUCAUCGGCCGCCGGAACUGAGUUACUGACCCCUAAUAACUGAGUAAUGAUUCCUUAAAAGGCUAUUGACCUUAGGUAACUCAAUUACUAACCCCUAGUUAGUAAUUGAGUUACUAACCCCUAGUUAGUAAUUGAGUUACCGACCCUCAAUAAUCGAUUAGUGACCCCCAGUAAUCGAUUACUACCUUUAUGAAAACUACAAAGUACGCACUUAUUUGUCAUGCUUCCCCACAAGGAUCUAACUCUCUAUGAAUCUAUAUCUCAAGCAGAAGCCCACGUCCACCUUGCAGAUUAGUAGCUCCGGCCAGCAAGCCCAAACACACCAAUAGAACCCCAAAAAAAAAAAAAACCUUAACCAGCGCCGGUAGCACCAGAGCAGGGGACAGCCUUGUCGAUUACAGUGACGGACAUGUCCGACCCGAUUAGAAACUGUCGGGCUGUGGUCAACCCGAUUAUUCCAGCUCCGAUGAUCAAGACAUUGAAUGUUUGGGAUGCGGAUACCGGUUCCGAAACCGAAGAGCGAGCGGGUUCGGAUCGGGUUGCGGAGGCAGAGAAUGAAAUCGGUUUCGAUUUGAAUUUGGAGUUUGAUUGAGAGGCGAAGUGGCGGAAGGAGUGGAAGUAAUUCCGGGAAGAGAAUACGGCGUCGUUUGUGUGAGGGUUUGGGUGUGAGAGAAAGGUGGAAGCUGAAGCCAUUAUUGGGGCUUUGAGGGUUGACUUGCCCAUAUUGAAACUUUGAAUACCAUUUGAACCUGGCGGCAGGUUUGCCUAUUAGACUAGCUGAGAGAAAGAGAGUCGUCAAGGUUGUGUCUGUCGUCGAAGAAAGGAGAGAGAGAGAGAGAGAGAAGGAAANNNNNNNNNNNNNNNNNNNNNNNNNNNNNNNNNNNNNNNNANAGAGAGAGAGGAAAACGAGGAAAACGAGAUCGGGAAUAAGAGGAGGAGAAAGAGAUAAGAUUUGUGUGGUUUAGUUAUACAAGGUAAUAACGUUUUUUUUUAAAAAUUAUUGGAAUGGGCACAAGGAUAAGACUUUAAUUGAAAUAGGCUUUAGUUUUCAAAUAUUUGGAUAUUUGAGCAUUUUCCCUUUAGUUAAACGAUAUAAAAAUGUCGUCACAUAACUUAAAACUUCUUAAAGAACAUGAUUUACGAUUUAUAAAUAUCCUUAUUACGUCAUAAUGGUCUUAACCACAAUUUACUCAUAUUAAUAACAUUUUACUUGUAUAAUAUAUACAUAUAUAUAUAUUUUCUUUUUUUAAAAGAAAAUCAAUUUGCUCUCUCUGCGACUCAUCUUCCCCGAUGAGCAAUGACCAUAAUUAGGAAUGGAACAAGUAGAAUCCAAGUCUAGAAUAGGAAUGAAACGCACCCCACGCACGUAGAAUUGGGAAUUUGGGUCGCUGCUAGAGUUUCAAGACUGGUGGCCGCCAUGGCCAAAUUUCGUGCCAAGCUCCUGUUUAUCAGCCGAUUCCGGCUUGGACUUGGUGGGUGCCUUACCGAUCGGGGGAUUUAGGGAAUCUCAAGUUUCGCUCAAGAUAGAGGCUGGGUUCUCGAACCGAUAUUUCUACAAACCUCUGCGCGAAAAGGAUGAGCCAGUGUACUGGGUUUUUGAGAUUGGUGUACCGGAUAUUCUAGAUGACGUCCUCGAAGUUCUUUACCUCGCAAAUUGGGAGUCACAAUCCACAACUAUUUCCGUCAGGCUGGAGAAGAUUCGAGGUCAGAAUUCUUCCUUUACUCUUCACGAAAUUAACUGGGUUCAGGUACGUUUCUACCUUGAUCUUCUUAAUUAUGACUUCUCUUUUUUAGUUAUUUGUCUCUUUAGAAAUUCAAUAGCAUACUCUACUGUGCGUUGGGUUUUCUGGAGUGUGUUUGAUAGGUGGCACUGUCAUACGUCUCCACUCUUGGAAAAUUCGUAUCUUAUUAUCUUGUGUGAGUUUGAGUUUAAAAAUUGGGUGGUUAUUAGAUGUGAAAUCACAACUGUUGAGGACAAGACCAAAACAAUGAUGCAUCUGUUAGUUGAUUCAUAUGUACUUUACUGUUGGAACCAAAUUGGAGGUCGGCAGUGCCUCCUCAUUGGACUUCCUUUUGAUUCUAAACAAGUUUGAUGUGUUUGAGGAUUGAUGUGUUUGAGGAGAAGGAGAACGGGUACCACUUACUCAGUGUGACUGGUUUGAUGAUUUUCAUCCAGUGAUUAGCCGUCAUCUGUCCAACGGGAACAACAGCAGCAACAACAUUAAUAGUAGCCCCUCAUUGGGUCAUCUUGCAGCUUACUACAUUGGAGUAAAGUUCAAGAGGCUAUAUUCUUCCCUAACUGGAAAGAAACUGUACGUUUCUCUGGUAAAAGGAUUGCAGCCUAAUAGUGUAGAUGCAGCUCUUAAAUAUUCAAGGGAGAUUUUAAAAUGGGAUGAAGAGAGAGGCAACUUCAGCUUUGUUUAUUCUGCCUACAGCACUGAGGCAAGCUCGUAUUCACAUUAACGUCAAAUUGAGAACGCUUGUAAAUCAGUUUGUAUUGUCGUGGGAGACUAAGCAAAUCCACUGUAAAUGUAAUGGUAUAUGUGUAUAUGAACAAUAGAAAGAUUGUUCCUUUCACCAGACCAGUCCUUGCUGGUUCAAGAUAUGAAAGAUCAAUAGAUCAUUAUUUUACACAACUAAGCAUGUGAAGCAACUACAAUUACUAUAAUCUAAGCAAAACCUAACUCUCUUCAUUCUCUUUUUUUCUUGUUCUUUGAGCCACGAGGUCGACCACAACCCCUUUUGGCAUGUACUUGGGUCUUGGCAUGUACUUGGGUUGUAUGCAAGACUUUAUCAUUAUCGCUUUGUGCUAUGUCUUCUUGUUUUCUCUUCCUUUUCUUGGCUGGUUUCGUGGUCUUGUCUUCUUCUUCUUCUUCUCAUCCUCUGCCUUGGAUGCAUUCUCAAAAUCUUCCAUGAAUUUUAUAGUAUAAAUGCCGCAAUCAAACCAACCUGAACAAAGUGACUUUCCCUGGUGUGAUUGUAUUCAGUCUCUUGGAGUUCUUUCUAACACCAAAACCCAUGACCUUUGCGUAAGCGUAGUAAAAAGACUCGGCAUCCUCCAUAGUCUUAAACUUCUGCCCUUUAAUGUCUUCUGUAGACAACUUAUCAUAUUGAACUCCCUUGUAUUCCAUCUCAUUACCAUCACUUUGUUUAAAAGCUGAAGGUUUGCGCAGUCCAUCCAUGCCUGUAAAAGAAAAUGAAAACAAAAAUAUAUUAAGCCCCUUUAAAGCUUAAUAAGACACUAGCACAGAUUAAGCAUUGAGAAAACUCUCGUACUAAAAGCUGCAUAAAUGAACGGGCUUCUUCAUUGAUCUGUUUCUAACAACUGGGUGGGGUAGGAGGAAAGAAAGGCAACAAUUAGAGUGCCAACUCAAUAUGUUAUGUCUCCCUAAAUAUUCAGCAAACAAGAUUUGUACUUCUUUCAUUGCUCAGAUAAAAAUAAACAAAUAACUAUACGGAGCAUGGGAUUCUAUUUGGCAAGACAAGCCCAAACACAAGUCUGAGAUUUUAUUUUGUAUGUAUCAUGAAAGGAAUAAGGAAAAUAUCUAAUAGGUAAUGGCAACUAAUAUCCACUACCCAGAUUCUAACAAGGCAUACAGUAAAUAGACCCUCACUCUGCACUAAAAUUGGACUGUGUGGACGGAAUCCUAAUUUUCAAACAGGCAGCUAAUAUUCAUUUCAUUUCAUUCCUUAUCUUCCAAAUCCAACUAAAGUAAAAGGAGACGUAUACAAGUAUACACUCACCAUAAAAUAAAGAAACUGAAACAGAGAUGGAUAUUGGCAGCGUUGAAAAAUACCAAGAAAAUAAUGAAUCAGCACCAGUAAAUCGCAGUAAAUUAGAGGACAAAGAAAAGAAAUGAUACCACAAAUGAAUACAGAAUAUUGAUCAUACAGACAAUCUACUUGAGAUCGGAUUUUCUACAGCAAAGAAGUUGUAAAUGCGUCAAAAAAUGAAUAAUAAGUUCUCAGAGUGACAAGCCAAUUGAACUUUAACAAGCUACCUCCCUUCUAAAUGGGCAUCCUCAACAGAAAACAGUCACAGAUCAACACUUGCACCACAAUCUUAAUAUGCAAACAACAGACAAUUCAACCCAAAUAUUCACCUUAAUGUUGGCCCCUGAGUCGAUUACAUACAGAAAUUCUCGUAGAACAUUGUACCAUUUAGUCUUUCAGUCAUGAGUGUAAUGACAAAGCUAACAGUUUUGAGUGUUUUGAUUGCUUCCAGAAACUUGUCCUUGUAACUUUAUCAAAGCCAUUGUUCCUCCCUAUUAUUCUAAUCUCAAUCUCAAUAUAAAUCAGUUUCUCCAAACAAGCUUGAAGAGCUGGAGCACCCAUGUUAUGAAAAAUCUCAUUCAAUGAUGCAGGCCACAGAUAUAUACAUGAUGAUGAUUCAUAAAACAAAUGUGAAGCCAUUGGUGGCAUUUGAUAAAGUCAUAUACAUCACUAACUGAAGCAUUUGAUCGAACAGGUGGUGGGCAUCAAAUUUUAAGCAUUUUGAUCAACAUAUUAUCAAUAACACACCGAGUAACACACCAAGACCAGUGGAAUCAGUACAAGUAACACACCAAAUUAUCAAUUAAAUACCCACAGCAUGAUCUAGCAGCUUUCUGAUAGCAAAAACCCAUACCCAAUUAUCAUCGAACUAAACAUCAAACUGAUUCUAAACAAAAACCCAAACACCCAACAACUAAUUCAUACCUUAAACUCUUCAAAUUGAGGAGAAUCUUCUGAGGUGGAGAACUAGAGAUGAAUGGAUAAAUGGAUGAAAGAGGUGAAAGCUGCUUGGAGUACCCUCCCAAAAGGAAAAAGAUGUGUCUGUCAGGUUUGGUUCUUCAUAGUUGGGUUGGGCGGGUUCGACCAGAAAUGCUAUGCUUACACACAAGACUACCCCUCUUCCCGAAAGCUUCGUGAGGACUACUUUACGACGACGGACGACUAACCCAAAUCGUAGUGGGUUUACUGCACAAGGCCCUGCAGAGGAAAAGCUUUAUCUCAGCGAAUAGAAGAUGCUCUCCUCUUCUCUUCACCCUAGGUUUUAAUAGGUGCAAAUCGAUCUGUUUAAUGAGUUAGGUUUUUUAAAUUCUGUUUUUAUUUUUUAUUAUAUUUUAUAUAUAUAAAUUAUAAAAUUAUAUGCUACCCGGUAAACAAGUUACCCUAGAAUUUCCCUUAACAAAUAGCAAGUGUUUUUCGUUAUGCGGUUCCUGAUGUAAUAUGCAAAUAAUCGUAUCAAUAAAAUGAAAGAAGAGUAUGAAGAUUGAAAUCUUUCUACCAUUUUGGUAACCUUAGAAUUAGAAAAGACCAUGCCAAGCAGACAUAUAGAAUUUUCCCUAACAAAUAGCAAGUGUUUUUCGUUAUGCGGUUCCUGAUGUAAUAUGCAAAUAAUCGUAUCAAUAAAAUGAAAGAAGAGUAUGAAGAUUGAAAUCUUUCUACCAUUUUGGUAACCUUAGAAUUAGAAAAGACCAUGCCAAGCAGACAUAUAGAUCAUGAAUGGACUCAUAUGAUUUCGUAAAAUGCAUGUAUAGUAUGUUCUCUGCGGUAUUCAUUUCAAUCUACAAGUGUAUUUCUCAGGUAGUAUUAUUAUAGUUUGAUCCUGAAUUUCUGUAAAAGCGAGACACUUAAUUGUGCAAAAUAACACAUUAUAAAAGAGUACUUAUAUUAUAUUCUACUUUUGAAAAGUUAAGAAAACAGAUUUUAGUGGGUCUUCACUUAAUUGUGUCGGUCUUUCUUUUCAAUCCAUCAAACUACAAUGACCAUUUUGUUUUUUGCAUGAAUAAUACAUAGCCCGCUGCUUGAAAAUGGUUUUGUUUUUUUUUUUUUUUUUUGUAAGCAGUUGUUUGUUAGUUGCUGAUGCACAAAAAGACUAGAAAAGUAUUAUGGUUACUGGCUCUAGAGCAAUUGAAGUCACUGGUCAUGUACCUGCAAUGAAUAGAAAUAUUCUGUACUGAUUCAAAUGUUUUAGCUGUUCUUUUGCCUCUUGCAGCAAUUGAGCAUAUGAUGUUUUAGAUUGUUAAGAAUUGAAAUCUAUGACAUGUAAUUUACAAAACCCCUAUGAGAUUUGUUAUUUUCAUGCAAGGAUCGAAAAUGAAUAUAUGUAUGUUUAGGCUACAUUUCAUCUUAGCUAUCCAAGCAUUAUGAUGAGAAAAUUAUUAUAUGGUCCAUAUAUCUUUCCUUUGUUGAUAAUAACACAUUUGUCAUUAUGAAAUAGCCACUGUUACAAAUUCUAGGAUAAUGAUCCAUGCUUGAGAAGAAAAGUUGGUCCUUUCCAUAGUAGUAGCUAGAACAGAAAUAAGAGGAUCCUUUCACUGGGAACGCUAGGACUACUAGAAUUAACCAAAAUCCACAGAACAACAUCUACUAAAGGGUGUCCAAAGUACACAAUAGCCAUCCAUAUGAUCCACUAUGUAGCCACCCAUGUCAUGACAGUGACAAUUUUUUCUGGUUUCCCUUUCAGCAUAGAGCACUAAGGCUGAAAUGGUGCCUGGGUUUCCAACUUAAAGGUUGCUAGUCAUGUCAGGUGCUAGCGCCACUUUUAGAAAUUACUCUAUAGCUGUACACGGAAUCAAAUUUGCUGGUUGGCAAAUUUGAUUCCAUUGUAUACAAGCUCUUGGGGAACUUCACCACAAGAUAUGUCUAUAUUUUGAAGUUGCGUCUUUUCAGUAUCUAUUUAUCAAAUAUGUAACAUUAUGAAAAAUCACACAUUAUAUGUAUAUCAUCUCUCUCUGUAUAUAUAUUUCUCUAAUUUGAAUUGCAUGAACAAUGUAAUCCUAUCUUUUUUUUGUUUUCUGUAUUUUUACCCUGUUAGAACAUAUCGUUUCUUGCAGCCUAAAAUCCUGCUUAUGAAACAAAUUUUUAUAGUAAUGAGAAAUUUAUCUUCCACGGAAGUGUAGACUACAAAUAUCAUCUUAUCCAAAUUUUAAGAAUAAGAAUGUGAAUCUUAGCAAAAAUUAUUGAAAUGAAAAAGGUACAAAUGAAGUUAACCUUGUAUACUGAAUUAACUUAUUGUCGGCUCCUCGGCUCCUUUUUUUUUCUUUUCUUUAUUCAACUCUGUUUUUGCAUAGAGAGCUUCUAUUUAUACCUCCAAAAACACCAUUUAGACCUCUUGCUAAAUGGACCUCCAAUUUACUUUUAAAAAAAUUAAAAUGAUAUCUACACCUCAAUUUUCCCAAAACGACCAAAAUUUGGGAUUCUUCUCCCCGAACCAUGUCUUUUCCCCUCCACCAAACUCAGUGUUAGGGUUUCACAAAAUUUCUUUUUCCUUUCGGUCCGACUGCGAUUCCGUCGACAUUGCCGCCAGACGGGAGCUUGAGGGUGUCCAGUCGGUGGUCAUGCCCCUGACGGCUGGUGGUGGUGGAGCGAAGGAGAUUGUUUACUGAUAGGGUGAAUUAAGAUGCUGUUGCUGUCUGUUGUUUGUCUGAGAGGUUGGUCUGGCAAGGGUUGGCGGAGGACAUGCGUCGUCGUUCGAGCGUGUAGGCGGUGAGGCGGAUGGGUUGGUGGUGCCAUUUUGAAAGGUAGAUCGAGAUUUUGCUCGACCUAGAUCGACUUUGAUCUGAGUUAUCUUUCUCGGCAUCUGUCUGCUUGAAGGUUAUGAAUGGUUGUGCCUCCUCUGUGUGUGACGAUUGCGGCGGAGCCCUCUAGAUGGCGCGCGACUCAGUUAGCUGGUCGGCUGAUCGGUGGACAGUCGCAGGGAGGCUGCUUUUGGGUCGGGACAUGACGUGGAUGGUUUUUGAGUUCCAAUGAAUGGGGUUGGGUUUGCACACUAUGAGCCCAGUUUGGGUCAGUUUAGUUUUUUUUGUUUUGUUUUUGUUUUGGUGUUGUUUGCCGUUCCUCUUUUUGGGCAAAGGUACGGUGUUGGUUUUGGUUGGUGUUGUUGGUGGUUUUGGUAGGUCCAUGUUACUAUCGGUGUUAACGACGGUGUUUUCUUGUUGUCAAUGUAAUAGGGAGGUUGCUUAUAUGUUGUCGGCAUUGGUAUAUAGUGUUUGGUGAGGUUGUUUAUUCUUGAGGUUGAGAGUAGGAGUAUGUUACAUUUGGACCCUCUUCGGUUCAUUGUAACCGCUGGUAUGUGGGUAAGACGAAGUGUGAAGAUUUGUUUUCCACCACCGAAAUCUCUCAUGGUUGUAAAGGUUUUUCUCCAAAAAAAAAAAUCAAUAAAACCCUUUUUCUUUUAAAAGAUUUUGGGUAUCUGUCAACCAUAUAUUGUUUUCAAAAUCCAUCCAAUUAGUUCAAACAUACUAUUAGUUAUAUUGAGCCAAACUUGUUUGUUCAGGCACAAUAACAAUUAACAAAUAAAUAACUCUCCAAGUUCCUCAAGCUCAUCUUACAACAAAUGCGUCUAAACGAAAUUUAAAAAGAAACUGACAGAGAAGAAAAGCUAAUAAACAAAAAAAAAGAAUAUAGGGUUUACAUUUGGAGAAGAAAAUAAAGAAACAAACCUAUUAAAGAAAUGAUAAAUGGUCCAAAUAAUGUCUCAUAUUUUAGAAAUGUAAAUGUUUGAUAUCAGUAUCUUACUUUCUUAUCCUGACUCAAGUUUGGUAUCCGGAACCAUUUGGUUUGUUAAAAAAUUAAUACUUUUGUCUUUUCAUUAAACUUUUUUUUUCCUACCCUAUCUCCAUCUCUUUCUCUCUCUUCAACUCAUGAUGAAACACUCUGUUCCAAUUUGUCUUCGGUCUUUGCUCCUCAAUAUCUUGGUCUCAAAAUCCAUGUCAGUAAAUUAUAUAAUGCUCAAAACCAUAUACAGAUCUUGGGCUGUUCAUCUGGGUUGGUUAAGCCCCAAAGUCCCAAACUGCUAGAACCACUUGUUGUAGGCUCUCCUUCAUUUCUUCCCUCUCCACCAAACCAUUUUCAUAUUCUUUUGCUCCUUUCGAGAGCACUUGAUGAAAUACCAUUUGAUUCUCUGUCAUUCUCAUGAAUGGUAGUUACUUUAACAUUGUAUAUUGAAGAUGUGAAGGCUAAGAAACCUAGGUUAUCCAGAAUAUGUUGUAUAAGCAUUUAAUAUUUGUUCUCUUAUUGAAUUCUGCAUAGCGCCAAGUGAAUCAGCGACAGUUGAUGUGCAUAAUUUGAGCAGUUGAAAAGGAUGGUUCUACCUGUUUUCUAGCUGCGUGACAAAUCGAUUUCUCAUGUAGAGAACCAAAUUGUAAUAACAUGAACUAUUCAAAGAUCAAGAGGCCCUUCCAUCCUAGAAUCCGUAGUCCACACUCUUCCCCUUGCAGCACUCAUCACCAAUCCGAUUGUCAUACUGAAUUUCACCACCGCCAUAUAUAUAUAAACGUUAUGAAGCGGACGUCCGUACUGCACUUAAAGUACGGACGUCCCUCCGUUCUCCACCAGACGGCUCCGACAACGACGCACCUCCACCUGAGCGGACACCAGAGGCAUCCCUGAUCACUUUCUCUUGCCGGCGAGUCCGCCGAAUACCAGUUUGCAGCCAAGAUUAAUCUUGUCUGAAGUUUUGGGUCGAGGUUGCUGUCCAGACCUUCAAAUCGAUCUUGUCGGCAAGUGAAAGUGAUCGGGGAUGCCUCUGGUGUCUGCUCGGGUGGAGGCGCGCCGUCGUCGGAGCCAUCCGGUGGAGAACGAAGGGAUGUCCGCACUUUAAGCCCAGUGCGGACGUCAGCUUCAGAACGAGCCUAUAUAUAUACAACCUCGACCAGGGGGCGCACGUCCUUGAAAUAACUAAAGUGCGAACGAACUGAUCUGAGCCGUCGAUCACUUUAAAUGAAAAGCAACGGUGUACGAUUAGUUUCUCUAAAACCCAAAGCGGGUCAAGACAUGACCCGACUCUUCACGUACUCUUCAGUUUCUCUCUCUCCUUCUCUCAACAAUCUGGGCUCAAACUUCUAAUUUCUCCUCCCAAUAUCCAUGCAAUCCAAUCUAUGUCUUCUCUCCAUUGAUGAUUAAACUCGUAUUAGCUAGGUUGCACGAGUCGCCAUUGAAGCUUUCGUUUUCUUUCUUUCUGUUUCAAUAUUGCAGUUCUGUGGUACAUAUAGCUAGCCCUUGGGGAUUUCACGCCAAAAGUUGGAGAUUUGGAACCAUAUAAACUCACAUAGAUCGGUAUGGAUUCUGGAUUUCUUUUUAUAUGUGUGAUUUUCAAUCACAAAAUUUAGGGUUUUACCAUAUUUGGGAUUUUUCUUUGAGGAAAUUUUUCAAAUGGUGCCCCAAGUUAAGCUCAUUCAUCAUUUUGACAUCUCAAUUUUGAAAACUAUGAUAAUGGUACCUCAACAUUUAAACCCGAUCUAACAUUAGUUCACUUCGUGAUUAACACCGUUAAGUUGAACUUUAUCCAUGGGCAAAAUUGUCUUUUCAUAUUUUCCCUCCCCAAAUCUUUUCCCUCCACAAACAUUUCUCUCCAGAAUAAUGUCUUUUUUCCGAUCAGUAUCAGAAUUUGUGGUGAGCCAUAUGUCAGCUGCAUACAAAAAUUAGAGACAUUUAGAAAUUAUAAUACACCAUUGGUCAUUAAUAUCCAUCAUUAAAAGCAGCUUUUGCAACCCACCAGGGAGAGAAAAAAUCAACAUUGAUUAAAGUGCAUUUUGUAUCAAGGACAAAAGUUCAUGAACUAUGUUGCACGGACACGGACAUAGAGCUCUUAUCUAUUACAAUACUAUUUAAUCCCAUAUAACAAACAUGCUCUAAGGGUAGUGCAACAGGUUCUCUCUCUAAAUUUGGGGAGGAACUGGGGAUAGCUCAAAUCCAGAGGCUACUGUUAGGUUACUUGUGAGGAGUUCUUGUAAGCAUACCGAGUCUGCUUCUAGAUUUUAGGCUUUGUAGUCAGCUGAAUGUGGUGUAAAGUUGAGCUGUCAACUUGCAAAAAUUUGCAACUGUUGAUAUAUAUAUAUAUACACACACACACACAUGGAUUGAAUAUGUUGAUAUGAUUAACAAGGACGCAUCUUCAAUGCUCUUUCAGAUUAUGACACAGUAUAAUGACUGAAUGUGUUCAACGCCAUCAUUGACAUAAACUCUGGUCGAAUUUCAUCAGGAUUUUACCAUAGUAAAACACCACAACCUCAAACCCUCUCCGAGGAAAAAAGGUAGAAAGUCAAAUAUGACAUAAACAACAGUUGCAUAUAUGAACAUAGGACAUACAAGCACAGUAAGAUACAUGAUUUUAGUUCAAGCAGUGAUAGCUGCUAAACAGCUUAUACUGGCUGAUAUCGUCCCUGAGCUUGCAGUACUUGAAGCUCAAUGGUUCCCAAUAGACUUCUUACAACUACAAUGUAUGCCAUUCUUUGAACUACCUUACUUUCCACACUAUCAAAGCUCCAAAAGAUUACUCGGUCACACCAAGUACCAAAAAAGCAUAAGAAAUGACUUCAAGAUCUGUUAAAAGCACGACCAUACUGCACAAAACUACUUAAAGUACAUUUACAAUCUAAUUCAACUAGCUAUGGCUGCUGUUAAUCAUGCAUUACCUGAUAUCUUCUUCAGCUUGUAGUACUUAGAGUUGGAGUAGCCAUCUGCAUUGUUCCCAAUUUCCUCCUAAAACUACCGGUUCUCUUCCUAGAAUAUACAAGGUUACAACUACUUGGAGUUGGAGUAGCCAUCUGCAUUGUUCCCAAUUUCCUCCUAAAACUACCGGUUCUCUUCCUAGAAUAUACCAGGUUACAGCUGAGCCGGUUCUUAUCUUCCAAAGGCAGAAUACACUUGGGUAAAUCAGAAAAAGGGACUACCGCGUUGGAUUUGGGAUCCAACCAGGCAAUAGGAGUAGCAUUAGAAACAAAUUCAGCAGAAUCCAAAUCUACCUGAGUCUCUUGACUCUCCUCUGCCUCUGGUGGCAUACAUCUUGGCCAAUCCAAAUCUCUGAUCAGUGCAUCUACAGUGAUGUUUCUGUUAUCAUCAAUUACCUGAGUCUCUUGACUCUCCUCUGCCUCUGGUGGCAUACAUCUUGCCCAAUCCAAAUCUCUGAUCAGUGCAUCUACAGUGAUGUUUCUGUUAUCAUCAAUUACCUUCACCACCAGCUCUUCCCACACAUCUCUAAUCGGACACGUCCACUCCUUGAUAUUCUCCUCAAACCCCUCUGUGACCCGCACGUCAUACCAAAUCUGUUUCAGGGACACACCAGCAAUGAAACAUUCUUGCUUGUAUUUCUCUAUCAGCUCAAGAAACACCCACACCCCACGCUGCUGCCAACUGUCUGUAGCCUCAUCCCAGUCCUGCGUAAUUCGCAGCUUAUCAAUUCCAGUCUUGAGCUCAUCCCCCAAAUCCGGAAAGAAGAUCAUCCUCUCCUCUGCAAUCACAAUGCACAUCAAUCUCAAGACCUAUACCCAACAAAACAUCGAUUUUAAAGAAACAUAUACAUACUAAAUUCAUGUUUCACAAUACAUUAUUCCACUAAUCAAUAGUCAUUCUAUAAAUCAAGGUACAUGCAUGUAAACGAACAAUCAAAGACAAUGUUGAAAACAAAACCUGAACCAUCAUUAUGAUCGAAGAUGACACCUUCGCACCAAGCUUCAUCAAGAAAAUAAUCAACACAGAGACCAUACUCAAGUUUAGAUUUUGAUAACUCAAGCUUGGGCGGAAAAGGCCUUAUACUCCCCCGAUAGCAACUCCGGUCCACAUUGCCGGAAUCAAGGCCAUCCAGAAUGGGUGAAACGGGAACGACAUCAACAACACUAGUGCCAUCAUCGUUCUGAAAAUUAUGGUACUUGACGUGACGACGUCGUUUGCAGUCGAUGGAAAUCACAGUCCCCGGGUGCCAGGAACCCUGAAACCCUUCUUCUUCACUCCUCAUUUCGACUUUGGCAUUACUGACAAGCUUUCUUUGGGUACGCUGCUUCCUCUUCCUAGAUUCCAACGCCGCCAUUGAAAUUGAGAGCCACGGUUUAAAGUGGGGAAGUGGAAUUUAAUCCAAAAUGAGUAACUGGGACAGUGUCGCUACUCGCUAGGGUUUGAGCUUUGGGGGUUUUGAUUUGGAAGAACCAGAGGAAGAGAUGGAUAAGGGUGCGGUGGUCCUUUUCUUUUUUGGGGUUACACUCGACCUAAAAGCCAUGUUAUAAAAGGCGCCGGGCGCUAGGCGGGCGGUAACCCACGGCCUAGAGUCUGGACAGCCUAGGCGAGGAUUAGGCGGGGACUAGGCGAUUUGUAUUUUUUUAGAUUUAUUAAUUAAAAAUAUAUAUUUUAUACAAUUUAAUAUUUGAAAACGGUCAAAUAUAGAUAAAUUAUUCAACAUAAUCUAGUCAUACUCGUUUAUAAAAUAAAUUAUAACUAAAAUUUAGCAUAACUUCCCGUAAAAGUGAGCAACAACAACAAUAAACAUAUACACUUCUAAUUUUAAACACACAAUUAACUCUUAUACUCUCAUACUCCCCACAAUAUAACAAUCCCAUCACAAAAAGAAAACAAAAUUAGCCGAAGAGCUUAGCAGCCUAGGCGGGCAAGGCGGCGUCUAGGCGGGCUAGGCGGCAUUUAGGCGAGCUAGGCGGCCGCCUAAUAGCCCACAGCCUGGCACAAAGGCCUAGAAGAAAAGCGAGGCGGCUUGUUGCAGCCUAAAACCUAAGCGGGGACUAGGCGGUCCUAGGCGGGGCCUUUUAGAAGCUUGCCUAAAAGGCAAUACAAAAUAAACAAAAUUUUUCUGUACUGUACCAACUCACAAUUUAUUACGCACACGGAGGUUUUGUUUUUUUAACACACAGAUGUCUAGUUACACCCCUGUGCUGAAAUUUUUAUACACGAUAUUUUCAUCUUUACCCAUAUUAUUUUGGCCCAAUUACAUAGAAGUCCAGUUUGAGACAUUUUCUUCCAAAUAGGUCCACUCAAAUAUUUUUAUCCACAUAAGUCCACCCAAGCUUAAGUAGAGUCUUAUAUUAGGUAUUGAAGUUCAACAAAAUUACAGACUGCCAUCCAACAAAAAAAAUUAGAUUUUCUCUCUUAUAUUUACAAAAAUGCCACUAAUGUAAAAAGUCAACAACCUCAAAUGGUCUCCGGCUGACCUCCGGCGAGGUCUCCGGCAAACUUUUCGGCUUGACUCCAACGAAUUUUCGACCGACCAUAAGUGAGGAUUCUAAUGACCACAAAAAUUACUACCAUUGACAACAAAAUAUACUAUCGCCGGCAAAGAAAAGUACUACCACUAACAACAAAAGAUACUACCGAUAACAAAAAAAGUUACUGCCACCAAUAAAGAUACUACCGAUAACAAAAAAAUAUACUGCCACCAAUAAAGAAAACUACUACCACCAAUAAAGAAAGCUACUACCGAUAGCAACAAAAACUACUAUUACCAGCAAAGAAAGCUACUACCAGUUACAACAAAAGAUAUUACCGCCAGCAACAAAAGAUACUACCGCCGAUAAAGAAAGUUACUACCACUGACAACAAAAGAUACUACCGAUAGCAAAAAAAGCUACUGCCACAAGCAAAAAAAGCUACUACCGAUAGCAAAAACUACUAUCACCAGCAAAGAAAGCUACUACCACUUACAACAAAAGAUACUACCGCCAGCAACAAGAGUUACUACCGCCAGUAAAGAAAUCUACUUUCACUGACAACGAAAAAUACUACUGUCAGCAAAAAAAGAUACUACUGCCAACAACCAAAGCUACUACCGCCACCAACCAAAGCUACUACCGCCACCAACCAAAGAUACUACCGCCAUCAACAAAAACUAUUACCACCAACAAUAAAAUCUACUCAUAUGAGAUUGAGAAAGAUACUAACAUAGACAUAGAAAGAUACUAUCCAAUGUAAAAAAGAUACUACCAUUAUUUCUAAAAGAUAUUUUUCGUUAUUACAAUAAUUGUUCUUCACAAAAGAUACCGCAACAAUUAUAGAUUACUACUACAAUACUUGACGCGGCUCACCUUCACUCUCUGCAACAAUUAUUUACAAAGCUACUUAUAUGGUUGUGAAAAGCUACUACUAUAGUUUGGGAAUCCUACUACAAUAGUUGUUUAAAACUAAUGUCAAUUUUAAACCCAUUCAAACCGCUCUCACAAUAUUAUCCAAUGAAUGCUUCAUAUCAAUAAAGAACAUAAAAAUCUCAUCAAUAUACAUGCACCUCGCAUAUGGUUGUGUGUCCAUGGGUAGGUCACUGCAAAUUCAUAAUAAAGGAAAAACAAUAAGCUUCUAAUAUCAAUCAUAACCGAAUGACAAUAUCUAUUGCAAUCAUAAUAAGGUGCACAGAGUGAGAAAGCUACUAACACAAAUUGGAACAAACACCAGUAUGUAUAGAUACUACCUUAGGCACAUAAAGAUACUAUCAUAGUAGUAGAAAAAUACGACAACAAUUAUAGAAAGCUACUAUUGUGAUACGAAAAGUUAAUGUAGCCUUCUAAAAUGAUAUAAUUGUACAAAACUACUUCUGUCGUUAUAAAAAACUACUACCGUAGUUACAGAAAUCUACUAUAGCAGUAAUAUAAAGCUACUCUUUUUGAACUCUCACAAGCUUCACCUCCACUUGAUUUCCUGCAAUUCGAAUCAAAAUCACAAUCCGUCAACACAUGCGAAUCACACACAUAUCUCGCGUUUGGAUUUACAGAAUCGUAGAGAGAAACAAAAAUUGAAAGAAAGAACUGCGUUACCUUUGUGAGAUCUGAAGAAUUAGAAGCAGAUUGAGAUUGAUUUGACUCCGACGAUCUUGACGUCGAGAGGUCGCAACUCCAGACAGCAAGGAUGAUUAUCUGCGCGCCACCACGUAAUCAAACAGUGUGGUCCUUCAACACCUUUGUCAAAGUUCUGCACAUCACCGACGAAUCACCUUUGUCGUCACAGUCUCAAACUCAUACGAGAAGGUGCGGAGAAGAAGACGACGAGGCUGAUUGGAGAAGGUGCGGCCGGCGAGGACAAGGGGCUGAUCGGAGGAUCGGAAGAGGUAGAGGAAAGUCCACGCGCAUCCGGCAGAUCUACUAAGGCGCAUAAAUCUCUGCUUCAGUAGAGGAGGCGUGUGAGCGCGUCCGGCGAACAUGAGAUUCCAACGGCGGCAGGUGUCGAGCAGGAGGCGGACGACAUCGUCAGAGUUGGUUGGACCUUGUAGAUCCGGCUGCGCGUUGAGGAGAUGCAAUCAAGGCUAAACCGGAAGUCGCGUCGAGACGGCGGCGCCUUCAUCAUGGCGGCGUCGGAAUCGAAGCGGAAGAACGGGGAGAGAGAGAGAGAGAGUACUUUUUAAUUUUUUUUUUUUAAAAAGAGAGACUUAUUUUUUAGAAGGGAGAGGAUCAAACUUGGUGUAAAAGAGAGAAGGAUAUUUUGGGUACAUCAUAAAAGUAAAGUGACAGAUUUAGCCUUAAAAGUGGACUUGUAUGGGUAAAAAUGUUAAGAUGGACUCACGUGGACUUUUUAUACACGAUAUUUUCAUCUUUACCCAUAUUACUUUUCUGAAUACACCUCCACUAUGCCAAACAAUAACAUCUCUCUCUCUCAUCUGAACCCAAGCCUACAUUGCACGGAAACACGAAAACAUACGCGUUUCCCGUUUCUGAAACGUUUCGGAAACGAAACACACGGAAACACGACAGAAACGCGUUUCUCCUUCUUUGGAAACUCGGUGGAGUAAUUCUCCUGGAAACGUGGGGAAAACUUGAUAUUUUACCCUAACAAAAGGGAUUAGGUCGUGUUCGCUGCUCUGUCUCGUCUUCGUGUUCGUCUGCUCCGUCUCCUCUUCGUGUUCGCUGCUCCGUCUCGUCUUCGUGUUCGUUUGCUCUUCGUCUUCAUCUUGUCUUCAUAUCCUCUUCGUGUUGGACUGCAAAAUUGAAUCAAUCAUGUUGUAGCAGAGCCUUCUUCAGCAUCUCGAAGGCUUCGCUCACCUCUUCCUCCACUGCAGAGCCUUCUUCAGCAUCAAUUUUGGGUUUCGCCUCUACCUUCUCUCCUUCCUCCACUGUAGUGCCUUUUUAAGACCGAAUUUUGACAAGUUUCACUUAUGUCAUGCUUCUAUUAAUUGGUAUUGAUAGUUCUCUUUGCGAUUCAGUAAGUUUUUUCUUAGAAUGGUUAUGGAUUGUUGUCUUGUUGAUGCCUUAUAGAAUGGUUAUGGUUUGUUAGGUUGUAAGAGUUGCUAAUUACUAUGCAUUGUUGAUGCCUUAUAGAUGUGGAACAGUUGAAGUUCUUAGGAGCUAGUUGAUUGGUAUGGACAGUUGAUGCCUUUUCUGGAAGUCACUUAGCUGUUCAAUUAUUAGCUAGAAUCUAUCUAUUUCUUAUUAAAAGCUGGAACAAUAGGGAGGGAGGAAGAGAUGAGAGGAAUUGAUAAGCAUGUUGUCUCUGUCCUGUUUGCUGCUGCUGUUUGAUUACCUUGUUGGUGUGCAUACCCUGUUUGCUGCUGCUAUUUGAUUACCUUGUUGAUUUAGGAACACUAUGCUAAGAGGGACACCUCCUGUUAGGGCAAGUGCAAGUGCAAGUGCAAGUGCAAGUGCAAGUGCUAAUGCAAGUGUUAAUGCCGGUACUAGCAAUGAUUCCAAUGAAGCGGUUGGUCCCGAAAUUGAGAUGAUAGAUGGUAGAGCACCAUUGUGGAAAUAUGUUAAGAAGAUUGAAAAGUGCGGGACUUGUGGAGGAAGUUGCAGGUGGUAGUGUAACUUCUGUCAGUUGUAUUAUAAUGGGUCUCACACUAGAGUGCGACAAUAUCUAUUGAAGGAAGGAGGAGUGGGGGUUAUCGUUUGUAAAAAAGUUAACCCCCAUGUAUUUGCUCAGAUUACUAAAUUGGUGAAGGAUUGCAAGGAGAGAAUAGCAAAUAGAGAAGCAAGACAAGUUCCUUUGCCAUCAUCAACAAAAGGGAGUUCAGCAGCUCGUGGCAGCUCUUCUUUUGUGAGUUAUGGUGACUACACAAGAGCACCAACAACAGCAGCUGAAGGGAAGAAAAGAAGGGCAGUAGGUGGUGCUAUUGAAAAGUCAUUCCAAAACGAAUCAAGGGAAGAAUGUAAUGGUGAGAUUGCUAGGAUGUUUUACACCAGUGGUUUAUCCUUCAAUCUAGCAAGAAAUCCACACUAUCGGAACUCUUAUUUUAGAGUUUCUACUCUUUCGGGCUAUGUUCCACCGGGUUAUAAUGCUAUAAGAACAACACUCCUUGCUAAUGAAAGGAAGAAUCUUGAGAAUCAAUUGAUGCCAUUGAAGUUUGCAUGGAGAGAUAAGGGUGUGAGCAUUUGUAGUGAUGGUUGGUCCGAUGCACAAAGAAGACCCUUGAUUAAUGUGAUAGCUGUUUGUGAGAGUGGUCCAAUGAUGUUGAAAGCUGUAAAUUGUGAAGGAGAAUACAAGGAUCAUCAAUUGAUUGCCAACUUGUUUAUUGAUUCUAUUAAGCAAGUUAGUUAUGAAAAUGUAGUGCAAGUAGUGACCGACAAUGCUCAUGUUUGUUCAAAGGUCGGUGCUUUGAUAGCAAGUAAGUAUCCUACUAUCUUUUAGACUCCAUGUGUUGUUCAUACUUUGAAUCUUGCUCUUAAGAAUAUUUGCACACCUUCUCAACCUUUAAACAAUGUGGAUGUGUAUGUUGAAUGUUGUUGGAUACAACCGGUUGUGGAGGAUGUUAUGUUUAUUAAGAAUUUCAUUAUGAAUCAUGGAAUGAGAUUAGUUAUGUUUAGUGAUCAUUGUAAUUUGAAGUUGCUUUCGGUUGCUCUCACAAAGUUUGCAUCUACAUUUAUUAUGCUCAAGAGGUUUAAGACGAUCAAAAAUGGUUUGCAACAAAUGGUGAUUAGUACAAAGUGGGAUGAUUAUAGAGAAAAUGAUUAUAGGAAGGCGGGUAGGGUGAAAGAAAUGUUGUUGGAUGACUUAAUGUGGGAUAACAUUGAUCAUAUUCUUUCUUUUACCGAGCCUAUCUAUGAGAUGAUUAAGAAGGCGGAUACAGAUAAGCCUUGUCUUCAUUUAGUGUAUGAAUGGUGGGAUAGUAUGAUGGAGCAAGUGAAGAAGGCUAUUUAUAGGAAAGAAAUGAAGCAAAUUUAUGAAAAAUCUUCAUUUUGGGAUGCGGUGCAUAAAAUUCUAUUGUCUCAUUGGAGCAAAGACAAUACACCCCUCCAUUGCUUGGCACAUUCUUUGAAUCCCAAGUAAGUACAACACCUACCACUAGUAAAUAAUUUCAUUAUAAUUUGCUUAUUUCAUAAUUAUUUGAUCUCGAACAAAUCUUAUAGAAAUUAAUAAAUUAUGCAUAUUUAUAUUUAGUUUGGAAUGGCUUGAUGAAGAUUCCCAUCGGGUUGCUCCUCACAAGGAUUUAGAUGUUACAAGGGAAAAGAAAAAUUGUUUUCUUCGAUACUUUACCAAUGAGGAUGAUAGAAGAAAUGCUAACAUAGAGUAUGAUAAUUUUUCUGUGUAUGCAAGGGUUUGGAAGUGGAGAUGUGAUGAAAGAUAGGUUAUAUUAGAGCCACUAACAUGGUGGGUGAUUCAUGGAUCUUCGACACCAAUUCUCCAAACCAUAGUCUUUAAAGUGUUAAGUCAACCUUCUUCUUUCUCAUGUUGUGAAAAGAAUUGGAGUACUUACAAUUUCAUUCACUCUUUGAAGAGGAACAAGUUAGCACCACAAAGAGUGGAAGAUUUGGUAUUUGUGCCACUACCACAAAAAAACAUCAGACCACGGCCAAAAAACAUCAUCUGAUUGUUCAGAUUACCGUUGUCUUUUUGCCUGCCAUCUGAUAUAUUGUAGAAACGUCGUCUAACUACUGUCGACAGCCAUGGAAUGUCGAUAGCGUACCGACAUAUUUUGUGUCGUGUGACAUACAAUCACAUCACGGUUUUACAGAAUAACAGUUAUGUGAUCACUAGUCAUACCACGCUUGUUCUGAGAACUGAUAUCUAAUAUGGACUCACAAGUCGGUUUUAAUGAAAAUUUUCAGUUUAAUUUAUUUCCAGUUAUAUAUAUAUUUUAUUAUAUCUUUUUUCAUAAUCCAGUUUCAUAUUUAGAAUAAAAAUAAUUUCAAUAAAAAUAAAUAUUCAAUACACAUUAAUUUCAAUAAAAGCAAAGAGAAAAAAUGUAUUCCCAUCUUCUUUUAUUCCUUUCUCAAAUCAUCAUUACAAUAUCUAUACUGGAGAACAAUUUUUAAAACAUUACAUAAUACAAGCAACUACAUAAGGGUGAGCCUUCUAUAAUGACAAAUUUGAACUUGCAGAAGAAGAAUUGUAACAGAUGAUUAACCUUCAAUCUUCUACUCUGAAUAUUCUACAAAUGCAGUGCAUAGCUAUGAGAACGAAUGUGCUGCAACUUUGUAAGCAGCCAUUUCGAGUGCACCUCAUCACCAAACUCGUACAUAGAAGGAAUCCCGAAACGACAGUUCUUAAAGAAUACUGGAUAUUGGCAGCAUGGCAUCCUUUCUUAUAGAUGCAUUCACUGGGAGGGAACCAUUUCAGUAAUCAAAUCAAUCUCACUCUAGAUCACCACCACAUCUUAAACUAAAAUGUAGCAUCACUCUGACGUUUGAAAUCAAAUGCAUCUACUUGAAACAGAGUUUCUGCAAUGACGAUCAUGUAAUUCCAAUCAAUAAAUAGUAUAUGCAACUUUGUGUUUCCAUGCAACAAAACGCUUCAGUUGCCAAAAGAAAAAAAUCAAAUGCACAAGAAAUUAGAUAAGUCAUUUUGGUGACAUUAGAGCACAAGAACUAAAAUGCACAAGGAAGCUUUGACAUACCAAAACAACAUUUACAUAUGACAUAUACAUUAUUCAUAGUCAGAUAAACAUGCAACAAAUAGAUAUACAAAGUAAAGUGCAUGACUGGUAAUGUUAAGUCUGUUAAUAUAGACCUUACCCAAGAAAGCUUAUCGGCUCUUUAUUUUACCAGAAAUGAGAACAGGUAUAGUGGUGUUCUUUUCACUUAAUUUGUUUAAAAACCUGAAAGCAUUAUGUCAUUGUAAAUAACAAGGCUAGGUAAAGAAACUAGAACACAAUCAUGGACUAACUAAAACAAAUGAACACUCACGACAAAAGCUAGGAAUUCAUUACAAUAAAUUAGAAGAAUUGUAAACUGUAAUCUUUGAGGGAUUCAAACCCAAGAACAACGUCAUGUGAUUUCCUUGAAAGUGCUAAGAGGAAGUAGAUUAUACAAUGAAACUAAAAUGCAACAGUUAAGCAACAUUGGUAACUUAAAAUUAUAUAUGAAGACAACUUAAAAUGCAACAGACAAGUUGCCAUUGAGCUAUUUAAAUCUUAAUAGGAAAACAAAAAGACAACUUAACAUAUGCACCAAAUUGAAGUGACAGGCACAAAUUACUGAACUAACCAGCGAAUUCCGGUAGCAAUUCUUUCAUUGAGCCAAAGCAUCUUCACUCAGAAAUCCUUGAAGAAAAACAAAACAUCUCAUAAUCAAAUACAAUUAUGAAUAACAAAGCAUCUCAUGGUCACCCAGAUAUUAUUGCCUCUCCCAGAUGGGUGCUUAAAUGGCUUGAGAGCCUAUUCAUUUCAAUUUGAAUAAGAAGAUAGAUGUUUGAGAACCUAUAACCAAUUAAAAGAAUAGAACAGAACAGAACAUAACAUCAUAUACAAAACACAAUAAGAGAAACUCUUCUCUACUAGCACUUGCAAGGUACCAGAUAGAGUAUCAUGCACGUGAGAAUCAAUCACCUAAAAUGCUGGAGAAGUUAGACUUGAGAGCAUCACAUAGUAGAAGCAAGCACAGAAAGACCUACUCUUUAAGUCUGUUAUCAAGAAAUAAGGAGGUCACUGCUUUAGCUUUCCAAAUUGUUCCAUAAUUUUCAAUCCUAAACUUAAAGAUCCAGUUUCACUUAAAAUUCAAAGCUUCUAAAUAUUCACUAGUAACAAAUUACCUACAACACACAAAUCCUAACUUUCUUACUUCUUCAUUAUACCACCAACAGCAACUUCAAGCUACUAAAAGGACACUGACCGGAAAAAUAAGCCUAAAACAUAUCCAUGCUAAGGAACUCCAACCAUUUUCAAAGUUUAACUAAAGAAAGCAUACUGUUUGUAAGGAACAUCUGAAAGCCCCAUAAGACAUCAAGAGACCCCUUGCAUCUGUCCCUCUUCCCAUCAAUGAAAAGCAAAGUAGCAGACAUGAACGUCCACCCAAUCACAAAGUUGAAUACCCCUUCAAACAUCUGAUUCAAACUUACAUCCCAUUCAAAUCCACAUACUUCAAUUGGCAGUUAAAUGUAACCAAAUCUACUUACCAAAAUUAAUAAAAUAUAACUGAGGCAUCAAUAAAAUUAAUACCAACUACUCUUCCAUAAAGUUAAACCACAGAAAUGAUCAAGAACACAGUAAACAGAACUUCACUACCAAAAUACAUAAUCAACUUGAUUUGAUCAUACCAGAGUAGAGGCAACACAAAGAAGAAAUCCAAAGAGAGGCCCAGAAGAGAAUUUCUUUGUUUCUGAACCUAUAGCCCACACUGGGUCUCACUGCAGUAUUAGGAAACCCAAAAUCAUUAAUAGCCAUAUAUGAAUUUUGCUCAUUCAUUUUAAGAAAGAAAAAGAACCCAGAAAAUAUUUGAAGUACAAUUACAUACAGGAGCAUAAAGAAGGAGAAAUGAAAGGAGUCCAGUAGAUAUGAAGCAAACCUCAUGUGUUUACAGAACUGCAACACUUCUCUCUUUGGGGUAAGUCAUAUUACAUACAAAGCACUUGAUGUUAGUUAUCUUUCUCAUUGGUUAAAGGCAAUGCAAACGUUGUACCCAAUAUAGUAAUCAGUUAAAAGAUAGUGCAAACUAAUUAAAUCAAGUUAUAUACUAAUCAAAUUUCCAGAACAUCUUAGUAGAGGAUGACCUCACUGUCCACCUCCCUUGGAGCUUGGCCUGUGCUAGACUCAUCAUAGUUCCACUUGGGAAGUUUUGAGGGGUCACUUACUGGUCCUGGCAACAUCUUCACACACCCAAAAACUAUUAUUAUUCUCUCAAUCAAUUAACCAUACCAGAAUAGAAUAACAAUGAGAAACUGCAGAGAAGUUACUAACCCUUGAUUUGCAGAUAAGUUACAAAGAGAAACAACAAAGAACUAGCUGGAAUAUAUGCAAGCCAAGUAGCUGAUUGGAGAGUUCUCCAACAACUUCUUACAAUAGGAACUGAUCGAGUAGCAAUUAUCAACUCUGUUUUCUUGAUCGGUGACAAGAAGUCAACAAGAAAUCAGUUGAUAAGAUAGAAAACAACAUAAGCUGAACCCAAGUCUCUAUUAGUGCUAUCAUUUCCACAAUAUGGCUGAUUAUUGACUUGACUUGGUAGAGAUCCUCGGUCAAUUUAUUUAGUAAGACAGAGCUUUCGUUUCAGAAACUUCUCACAGAGAACCUUGUUGACUUGUGACAAAGAGAGACUGCAGAUAAGUUACUAACCCUUGAUUUGCUUCUGAGGUCCAUGCCAGAUCUAGCAAUCCUGUGUACAAAAACACAUUAUGAGCUUCUCUAUAGACUCUCUCUAUCUCUCUCCCAACCUCACAGAAAGACGCACUAUAGCCUAUAGGCUGACCUGACUGAUCCGUGGAGAUUCCUUUGUGAAACCUAUAGGCUGCUCCCACGUUGGUGUGAAUCCAUUGAACAACCCAACACAAAAGAAGAAACAGUUAGAAAUCCCUAAACUAAAAACCCUAGAAAUUUCAAUUGAGAUUAAAUUGGGGACAUUUACCUUUGGGAGAAUAUCAGCUUUGAAGCUAGCUAGACUACGGUGAAGGGGUUCUUCGUAUGAGAAUAUGAGUUUUGAGAAGACGGAUCAGAUGCCUUGGGAUCUCCUAGGCUGCCCUUGGAACUUGCCGAACUCAUUAUCGGAGAUUAAAUUCGAAACCGUAGGGAUGAAAUCCAAGUGGGGUUGGCUCGCCGACAGCUUCGUCGUCGUCGUCAUCUCCGACGAGGUAGAGAGAGUAGAUGUGGGUUGAGAGAGAGAAAAAAACGAGGCUGUGGGUGAGCAUCUGUUUUUUGUUUUGGUCUAGCGAAUAUGUCGAGAGAGGUGAGGCCGUCGGUUACCUAGCUGCUUAGGUUUUUUUUUUUUUUUUUUUUUUUUUCUAAGUGUUGGGGGAAAGUUUAAGUUUGGGCUGAAAUGUGAGAAAUUUUUAAAUUUUAUGGGCUGACGUGGUCCUCCGAUCCAAUCAAAUUUAGACAUGUGAAUUUUUACAACUAAAAUAUAAACAAAUAUUUUCUAUUUUUUGUGAAAUAACAUUCAUGGGUAUUUAGCAAGUUCAAACUAGGGUCUAGGGUAUAGGGUUUAAAGUUAGAGUUUAGGGUAUAGGGUUUAGGGUUUAGGGUUUGGGGUUUAGGGCUUAGGGUUUAGUAUUAAAAAAACAACAAAAAACCUAAAAUGGUCUUUGACAAAAUAGCUGAAAUAAUUUUUCGUAAAGAAAAUCUGCAUGUUUAAAUUUGAUUAGAAAGUAGGACCACGUCAGACGGUCACGUGGUCCUCCCGUAGCACUGAAAAAUUUCUCCUGAAAUGUUGGGGGAGGGGUUCGGCAUGUUGAUAUUUAAGCCAAGCGGCAAUUAGGUUUCAUUCAUUUUGACAACCAAUCACACAACAUUUAAACUAUAAAUGUGGUCUAAUGCCCAAAAUUUAAGGUUUUGACAUUCCCUCCAUCAAGUUUCGUGUUUCCCCUACAAGUUUGGGGUUGAAUUGUGAGGAGAUGUCAGAGGAAAAUGAUGGGGAUAGGGUUUUGCUGAAAAUACAUCCACUCACACCACAGUUUUUUAACGAAUCGUGGUAUCACUCCUACAUGUUGGACACCAUUCAAUGUGGGAAACCUGGCACUCAAAUUUUUACACUUUCACAAGACAAUUUUUUAGAAAACUGACAUCUAAAAAGUUAAAAAUCAAUCAUACGAAGGGUUAUCAUUAUACGUCGUCUGAUAGACGUUGGUUAAAGCGGUUUUUGUGGUAGUGUGCAUACCAAUCUUCGCCUUUUAGCUAGGCAAUGCCCAACUUACAACAAAGGUGCAACUCAUAAGUGGGAUAUUGGAGGUGAUGACUUUGAUUCAUUGGAAGACUCUAAUGUUGGAAGGCUUGAGAUUGCCAACCUUUCACUUGAUGAGCCAUUGUUGGAGUCGGUCUUGUUUGAAGAUGAUGAGUUUGAAGAGGAAAACAUUCAGGAGGAUGAUGUUGUUGAAGCUUAAUUUGACUUAUUUGUAUUUUAAUUUGAGUAUUUGAAUAUGGAUCUUUUCUCAAACAUUUGUUUGGUUUGGAUUUGGAUUGACUAUGUGAUGAAGAAUCUUUGUUAUUUGUAUUGUAAUUGAUUAUGCAUGCUUGUUUGGAUUUAGAUUGAUGUUUUUUAGUAAGAAACUAUUUUUUGAUGUUAUUUUUUUAAUUAUAUUUAUUAUAAUAAAUAUUAUAUUUAGUUUAAUUUUGACGUUUCGAUUAUGCAUGCACAUUUCGUAUCGGACUAUAUUUGAUUUUGAUGUUUCCGCGUAUCGGAUCAUAAUAGAAACGGAAACUUCCGUGCAACAUAAACCCAAGGUAUUUUGAGAAGCUCUCUCUCUCUCUCUCNNNNNNNNNNNNNNNNNNNNCUCUCUCUCUCUCUCUCUCUCUCUCUCUCUCUCUCUCUCUCUCUCUCUCUCUCUCUCUCUCUCUCUCUCUCUCUCUCUCUCUCUCUCUCGUCUGAAUUCAAGGUAUUUUAAGAAGCUAGCAAGCCCUUGGGUUUGUCUUAGGUUUUGAUUGUUGGGAAUUGAUGAGCAUUGAUUAAGUUCUCUCUGGGCGAAAUAAAACCAAUUUUUUGUACGUGCAUAAUUAUAUAACCCAGAACUUUGAUCGUGUUAACAAACUUAAUAUCAGAAACAACAAUAAAAUUUAAAUUGAAUAUUUACUGUUAAACAUACCGAAAUGCUCCACCCAAAUUAUUGACUUUUUAUUCGCCUAGCAGAACAGUAGCAUGACAAGAACAAGACCACGAGAGAAAAUAAUUGCCAUGGAUGGGUGAUAUUUCAGUAUGUGAUGAGAAAGCAACAACACAAUAGCCAUGGAAAUUGGGUUUUUUUGUUUUUUGUAUGUAAGGGUAUAGUUGAGAUAAAUUUUUUUCAAAAUUUAAGAGAGGUACACGCAGCAAAUUCGGAGGUGUUAGCAGAACCUCCCAAUCACAUAUACCCCAUUCAAAAGGAUUUGAAACACAAUUACAUCAAUCUACAUUUGUUUCAAACAAAUAAAGACAAUUUCUAACAAAUAAGAACAGAUUGUUUUAAGCUUGUCAUGUGUCAUGUUUAAUUUACCAAACUGACCUUAGACAAAUUAAAUGCAAUUAAAUCAGACCCCACCAUGUCUUACUUUAGUUGCUAUUGCACUUGCUGGUAUGUUACUGCUAUUGUCAUGGUUUAAUUAGCUGCUAUUAUAUUUACUGGGUAAUUAGUUGUUAUUGCACUCUUUAAAUAGCUGAUACUACACUUGCUAGAAUGUUACUGCUAUUGUCUGCUGUCAUGGUUUAAAUAGAUGCUACUGCACUAUAGCGGUGUAAUUAGUUGCUACUGCAUUUGCUGGAAAGUUAACUGCUACUACACUAAUAUUCUUCAAAUCCUGCUACUACCAUCUCGCUAGAAUUUAGCUGCUACUAAACUUGUACUCGUCAUGUUCUUCUACUACACUGAUACUCUUCCAAUCCUGCUACUACACUGAUACUCUUCCAAUCCUGCUACUACAUUGUUAUUCUUCUAAUACUGCUACACUGGUACUCUUCCAAUCCCGUUACAACAUUAGCAAGAAAUUCAGUUGACGGUACUACAUCCUUCCUGGCCAUCUAUAAUAAAUACGCAACAACAUCAUCAAUCACAUAAUCUCUCCAAUCCUUCACCAUUAUCCUCCAAACCAAGCGCAGUAGCAACAACACUGUUUUACUUUGUCUUUCAGCACCAUUAUAAUCAACAUUUAUGACAUGAACAACUCAUUUCUCAAUUAAUCUAAAUCACUAAAGGCAGCUCUUAUUACCUUGCUCUUUCCCGCAAAUCAUAACACUGAAGAACUUAUGCGUUAUAGACUUAUAGUAGCCUUUAUUACAGAGUAGUCGCAACACUUCUGGGGACCACCAACUCCAACAUCGCACUUGAUCAGACAAUAGUGGUUCGAAACCAUGAUUACAAAUCUCUUACAGCGAUUGUAGGGCUCCGGGUGGAUUCGACUGCUCCUAUCGGACCAAUUGACGACUGGAAAGCGUGGCCGCUGGAGAUCUACAGACGGUGGCCAACAAGAACGACAUUGUUAGCUUGGAUUGGGGUUCUUAAGGUAUGGGAUUGGAUUUGGGCUUUUGGGCCUCGGUUUGGGCUUAUUCCUUUAUGCGGGUCUUUUGGUGGACCUGAGCCAAACCUUGUCCUGAAAUUGUCUACUCCGUCUCACAUGACAUCCUUGAGAUUUGAUCGAGGAUAGGCUAUCUCUAAUAAUAAGGGCAAGGAGGUAGUUUAAUUUCCUUGUAUCUUACCUAGACAUCUGAUGGAAGACUAUUCUUGUUUAAAUCUCGAUUUUACUUAGUUGUACACCAAUUGAAGUCCGUAGGCAACGACUAUUUCCGCUACAUGAGAUUUAGAUAGAAAUAGUUGGAAGUUAGAUGUGAUAGGCUUAAUUGAGUGGAUUAUGUAAAGGGGUCUGGUUCAAGGGACACUCUUUUUAACACAAAUUUUGACACCGAUUGUGAGCCAUUGGAUUUUAAAAUGCUCAACGGUCCAAAUUUAUUAUCUGAAUGAUGUCAGCACAACACCAAGUGAUGUCAAAAUUACAUGUCAUUUUAUAUUUCUAAUCUCAUAGUAAACUUUUCUUCAAAGCAAAAUUAAAAUCUGAAAAAUAAAAAUCAACAAAACCAUAAAAAAAACAAGGGUGCGGCUAUUGUCAGCCCACCAAAUGCUUAGUUUACCCUACAUUAAAAUUUUACACAAAAUAUUCUAAUAUUAAACCCCACAAUCAAGCAUUUUUGUGAAAAAAUAAAAUAGAACUAAAAUCUAUUAAUGUGAAACGACAACAAUUCUCUAUACUGCAUAUAUCUCUCAAAUCAUAUUUGAUAGUCGCUUCAAUCUUCAAAGGGGUGGUCAUCAUUGUGGUGAGAUUUUUAUUUUUUAUAUAUUUUUAUAUUUGUGGCUUCCUUUUUGAUAAACAGAGGACCAGCCACACAUUGAUAUAUAUAUAUAUAUAUACACACACACACACAGAGGAUGUGAAGCAGACGUCCGCACUCCGGCUUAAAGUGCGGACGUCAUCUGUUCUCCGCCGUCUCACACCGGCGACGGCUUCUCUCCUUCCCAGACGACAGCACAGGCUUCCAGGACGGUUUCUCUCCUUCCAAGACUAGUCGACGACAAGUUUUCCGGCCGGAUUGAAGCUCUGGACGGAAAACACCAUGAUUGAUCAAGGUUGGCCGGAAAACUUGUCGCCGGCCAGUCCUGGAAGGAGAGAAGCCGUCCUGGAAGCCUGUGUUGUCGUCCGGGAAUGAGAGAAGCCGUCGCCGGCUUGAGACGGCGGAGAACGGACGACGUUCGCACUUUAAGCCGGAGUGCGGACGUCCGCUCCACAUCCGGCCUAUAUAUAUNNNNNNNNNNNNNNNNNNNNNNNNNNNNNNNNNNNNNNNNNNNNNNNNNNNNNNNNNNNNNNNNNNNNNNNNNNNNNNNNNNNNNNNNNNNNNNNNNNNNNNNNNNNNNNNNNNNNNNNNNNNNNNNNNNNNNNNNNNNNNNNNNNNNNNNNNNNNNUAUAUAUAUAUAUAUAUAUAUAUAUAUAUAUACAGCCCUUCUCGGCUGCAGACGUCCGCACCAAAGUUUUUGGUGCGGAUUUCCAUUUUUGCACCACUUCCCGAUAGAAUUUCCUCAAACUUCCUUCUAGACAUAUUUAGAUUAUCUUGUGUAGAUCAUCUCUGCAAAAUUUCAGCCAAUUUGGUGAUCGUUAAGGCCCUCAAAAUGGAAAAACAAAUGGAGAUGAUGAACCGGACAGAAUUUAGUCCAUCAGAUUUGUUUUUCGAUUUUGAGGGCCUUAAUGAUCACCAAAUUGUCUGAAAUUUUGCAGAGAUGAUCUACACAAGAUGAUCUAGAUAUGUCUAGAAUGAAGUUUGAGGAAAUUCGAUCGGGAAGUGGUGUAAAAAUGGAAAUCCGUGCCAAAACUUUGGUGCGGACGUCCGCACCUGAGAAUUCAUGUGUGUGUGUGUGUAUAUAUAUAUAUAUCAAAAGGAAAAACCUCAAGAAAGAGAUCGAGGAAAUCAUAGGAUGGUUGAGAAAGUUGGAGGUAUGCGUAAAAUAUAUCAAUGAAAUUGUAAUUAUUCUUAGAUUCAUCUCUUUUAUAUUUUUUUCUUGAGAAAAGUAAAUCUCUUUUAUAAUUUGAAGUUAAAAGAAAGAAGAAAAAUAAAAAACAGAUUUUCUCAAACUGUUAAGGGUAAAAUUGGAACUCUAAGAGCAUAAAAUAAGACGUAGGGUGAACUGAGCAUUUGGUGAGGUGGAAAUAGCUGCACCCAAAAAGAAAAGGGAAGAAUAAAGCAAUAAGAAUGACUAUUGUUCUUAGGGUAUACAUGAUCAAAAGAGAAAAAAAACGAAAAAAGAAAAAAAACAGCAAAGAACCCAAAGACGUCAAUUGCCAGAAGCUAGAAACAUCGUCUUUUAAUUUCAAGUUGUCAUCCUAUUUUCCAGCCAUUCUCCCAAUUACUUUGCUAAUUGGAACUAAACAAUUCCACAAAUACUAGGUGGCAUUCAAAAUUCUAGAAUCAUGCAUAUUGAUCAUGAAUUCGACAUCAGUGGUAUCUAUGCUAAUUGCUCAUUGAUUUGUCACGUCUCAUCAAGGGAGAAUAUGUACAUGAAGAUGACAAAACCAAUUCAGAGAUUGAGAAUGGAAUCCCAAGGUGUGAUAAGGGAAGCUAUCGUGAUAAGCUAGAAUGCCAACCAACUCAGGGUGAAGGCACAAAUUACUUUUGUCUUUUGACACGGAGCGGAUUCAGUGCACCUUGGUGCACUUAAACCAUACUAACAGAUAUAGACGACGUUAGUCACACCCAACAAAAACGAGCCACGGUAAAAACCAAGGAAUUGAUUGCUCUCUCCUGCUUCCCAUUUAUCAAUCUCACCCCAACCAGACCUGACCUGAUUAACCAUCACCCAUACGUCUACAACCCAUCAUCGAUCGACUUGCUGAUGUCCUAGAAAUUAUCGAUCUUGUUCAUCUUGUGGAUGGAGGAUCAAAUUUUCCAAUCCCACUCUGACCGAAAGUGAACCCUCUCAUUAUCUCAAAUGUUGACUUUCUCGUUGGCGGCAUCGUUCGCGAAACAUAGUCGGAAUUUUGGGUUUCUUACAUCUGAGUUCAAAAAGCCAAGUCCCUCGACGGCAGCAUCAUAGAACCAAGUCCCUCGACAUCUGAGUUCAUAUGCAAACUCUAGUCAGUAAUAACUAAAGAAACCCAGCAAAUUUGAGUUUCAAGAGCCGAUAUUUAUCUUGGCUUGUGGCUAUAUCUCGGACAUGGGAGAACUGGGUUCGGAAUCAGAUUUGACUAAAAGAAGCUUAGAGGAUGAGAAAACGAAGAGAAAGGAGAUGAGAAUGAGCUUAUUGCCUUUUGCUGCAUGUAAUCGCCAUGGUUUGAUGAGGUGGGUUAAGUCUGGGCUUUUCUUCAUUCAGCUAAAGCAUUGCGACGGAUCUGCGACGUGGUUGGAUAUGGAAUCGAAGGAUUUUGGAUCAGGUUGUCGUGCGGGUCGGUCAGUCAGGUGAGACCUGGCCGAGGGUGGUGGCGUCUCUUGACCGUUCAUGGGAGUUUUGGAGUCAUAGAGUCAUGAAAGGAAAGGGAGAGAUGACAGAGAUGAUGUGGUCGUUUUGUACUGGUUGAUUAACUAGCUUUUUCUAUUUCUUUUUAGUUUACAUUUUCAUUUUGUAUUUAUUGAUACAAUUAAGUUUGUUUCUCUUUCUAUUUUAGUUACCUUUUUAUUCGUUCAUUUAAUUAUGUAGUUCUAUAGUAAUUUUUUUUAAUAGGGUAGUUCUAUAGUAUUGUAAAGCGUAUGGUUGAUUUUUUAUCGAUAUAUUAAUUUGUUUUUUCCAUAUAUAUUAAAGGCAUAUCAAUAUAAACUGUAUCAAGAAUGUUCCGUCUAUUUGAGUAUUAGGUCUAGUCGUCUAGAUAAAAUUCUAAAACUUAUUUUUCUGAAGUGAUGUUAAUAAAAUCAUUCAAAAUUUGAUUUUUAAAGAGUUUGCGACCACAUGCUUGAAUGCCCAAGCUUCAACUAUUAUGUAAGAAAUUUACAACUUAGGAGCUCCUGCCUCUAAAUUUAAUUACUCUUUGGAAAUUUUAAUAGAUAAAAACCAAGAGAUAUAAAUAGAUGUUUGGUUGAUCACAUUGAUCUGGCUCAAAUCGAGAAUGAAUGUGGCUAAAGUUUGUACAUACCAUUUUAACCAACUCCUUUUGCGUCGAUCACGUUGAUAUACAAUAAAUCCAGACAUUAGCGUAGAUAGAAGAACAAUCCGUACUAUAUAUUAAAUCUAAAAAUGGAUAAAUUUGAUAGAAAUUUGAGUAUUUAUUGUUUAGUGAAAGUUUUAUUUGUAAACAUAUCAAUCAAUAUACGGGUUGCAUGAAAAAAUAAAUAAAUUAGACCACAAAGAAUUUAUUCAAUGCUAAUAGAAAAGAAACUGGAAACAUAGACAUUGUGCAAUACCCACACCACCACAAGUUAAGCGUUCUGUAAUAGGUACAAUAUUUUAAAUGAAUCGUCGACGAUCCGUCGUCUUUAUAGUUACGGUGUUAAGGUUGAUCGUGCGGACGAACAUUUCAUUAAAGACAGUUAUUUGUUUUAAAUAUAAUAAAAAAUAAUAAUAAUAAUCCCUCUUUGCGUUUCUGGAAACCAAAAAGGAAAUAAAAAGUCUCAUUAAAAAAAGACUUAAUUGUGUAUCAAAAAAAAACAAAUAAAUAAAAAAUAAUAAAAGUCGAUCAAUUAUCAAUAACCUCUCCCAUUGAUAUUGGAAUUAAUUGCCCAUGUAAUAUUUAUUGUAGCUUUACCUAUUUUUACCAUGUUGAUUGGAUUUUUUUUUGUCUUAAUUAUUUAACGGUGUUAGCAUCGAUGUUAGUGUUAUACAAUUGACUGCAUUAAAUGAAUAAUUGUGAUUGGUCAGUGGCUAUUGGUUCACUUGUACCUUGAUGCACUGAAGAACUUUCGCUUUUGGCAUCAUUGCGUUUAGGGUUUAGUGUUUUCCUUGAGUUAUUUCUUCUUCUCUUCUUCUUCCUAUUUUUCUCUUUCGGAGUUUUGUUGAUUUUGAUUUUUCAGAUUUUAAUUUUGCUUCGAAUAAAAGUUUACUUUUAGAUUAGAAAUAUAAAAUGGCAUGUAAUUUCUACAUCACUUGGUGUUGUCCUGACAUCAUUCAAACAAUAAAUAUGGAUCGUUCAGCAUUUUAAAAUCUAAUGGCUCACAAUCUGUGUCAAAAUUUAUGUUAAAAAGAGUGUCACUUGAACCAGACCGGUAAAGAGGGCUACCUAUCAAUUUGUUAUUGCUUGUUGCCAAUUAGACAUUUUGGUCGUGAGUAGACAAGUUAAUGUAAGCGACAUAUUGUUGUGGACAAGUUAAUAAAAUUGUCUAUUUAAAAACAAAAAAACAAAAACAAAAAAAACAAACAAAUAGAGAAAUGCGAGAUACACAAAAUCUAACUAUUAUUGGGUUCGACUUUCCAUGCUCUGAGCUAAAAUAUGAAGCUGGCGAUGGACUUCUACAAACCGACUUGAAGGCGAUCACAAACUGUCUCCAAGCUCGGCAUGGGUUAAACACGUACUAAAUACAGAAUAUGAAAUAACUUGUCCAGAGUCCAGACUAGUCCAACUAGAUAUACUGACUCUAAUGCCCUAAUAUACUAACAAUAACACACAUGAACCUGCUGGUUGCCAUUGCUGAAUGGCCUGCAAAAAAAGACGCAGCCUUUGAGCAGUAUCCGGCUUCUUCUACUCUAUUAAGGGAAGAAUGGUGUCCAUGCAGGAGGAAACUGAAAAGUCAGAACAUCCCUUGUAACUUGUACGAAAAAAUGACAGAGUUGCAAAGGGAAGGAUCAUGUAUAGGUGGUAUAUGAUCAUUUUGAAAUUGAAAGAGCUCGAUCCAAUAGGAGGAGAAAUAAGAGGUGGGCUAAUAGUGAUUAGAAGAUAUGAGAAAGACAUAGGUACGUGUGAAAAGUGAUUAGGGGAGAAAAGUUGGUAGUUUGGUGUUGUCGGUGGCAAAGGCAGAAGAGAAGGGAAUUUUCAAUCUUGAUCUUUCCAAAAGAAAGGCUGCAUAGGAUAAGAAGAUGAAGCAGAACAAGAGUUGUCAUCCUGUUGCGGAAAGUCAUGCCGAUUCGAAUUAUUGGCGGUAAAACCGUUAUGAUCAUGAGAUGGCAGCACAAGAUUGUUGGAAGUCAUGUCCAACUCUAAAUCAUCCCAGACAGGACUACCAGGACCCCAACCUUGUGGAAUUGCAUUCAGCCAAGCCUCUGCCAUUUCUCCCCAAACCAUUUCUUGUGUUGGGGCAUCUGACAUGAUCCCUCCUCUUUCUCCAUGAUUUUCAACCUCAAGUUGAUGGCUAGUGUCAUCGUCUUCCUGGGGCUGUGCAUAUGGCGCUGGUGGAGGUGCAACUGUUUCGUUAUCUGAAAUUGGAACCUGUAACUGUAAAUCAAGGUUUUUCAGCUGCUGCAUACCUUGGGACCUCAAUGGCUUUGAAACUUGUUGAAUCGGCGCAGCUGCUGAAACAGCUGCAGCAUUAUCAUUAUGUUUCUCUUUGUUGAGGAAAAGCUCAGGGAAAUUAAGCCUAGCAUUCUCUCCUCUCAACUUGAAGGCCUCGCGGUCAUAAGCCAUGGCAGCAUCUUCAGCUGUGUCGAAGGUGCCGAGCCAGAGGCGAGUUCUGUUUCGAGGAAGACGAAUUUCAGCUACCCAUUUGCCCCAAUGCCUUUGCCUUACUCCCCUGUAAAGCUUACUGGUACUUAUAGGCAUUGCUGGUGGCCUAAUACCACCACUACUAUUAGCACCUCCAAACCUGUUCAUCAUCAUCAUCAUCCUUCCUCUUGGACUCAAAUUCAAAGCAUCACUCCAAUACUGAAGCAUUUGCUGUUGCUGGUGUUGCUGCCAAGAUAUCAUGUGUUGCUGCUGCGAAGCAAAUGAUAUCAUUUGCUGCUGAUUUUGUUGUUGCUGCUGCUCCACAACGUGUGUAUUUGGCGGGAACUGAUUAGGCUGCAGACCUGUGCUAUGAAAUUGGCGGGGAAAUUGGAUAGGUUGCUGCUGCUGCUGCUGAGGCAGAGACCCAUCAAAAGCAAAAGGAAAGACUAUUCUUGAAGAAAGAGGACAACAAGAAGUGAUUGUUGAUGUGUCUGAUGAACUACGAGGAGGAGGAGGAGGAGAUGGGAUUUGAAAUUCAGGGGAAAAAGCAGAGGAUCGGUGCUGAUGGCUACGUUCAGGGCUCUUGAUCUUCUUAAGAGGUCUAUUUGAUACUGGAGCUUCAUCAAAAACCGGCUUCCAUUGAUGCCCCUCCAACAGAAAAUCAUGUUCCUUGCCUUUGUCAAGGUCACAAUCUUUGCUUGUUUCCAUCUGAGUUUCAAAGUUUGAUUCACCACUCCUUUUUGCUGCGGCCAUGCUUUAUGUUCGUUUUCUCACUUUCUCCAAAGCCAAAGAAGAUUCAAUCGAAUUUGAGGUAUUGAACAAAACAAAGGAAACUCGAAAAAGAGACCAAAAUUCUAUACUCUACCCAGAUACAAGAGUUGGUUAACCAAUAGAAAAAAGAAUCUGGGUUUCACUUUGAAUAUCUAAUCCCGUCGAAUCCAAAACAGCAUCGUGUUCCAAAACAUAAAAUGCAUCUGAAAUAUUUUGACGAACACAAGGAGAGAAUGCAAGAGUUCGGGUUUGAAUUUGAAGUCUUUAGGUGGCAGAGCAGCAGAGAUGUUUCUGGAAGAAAAAGAAAAAAAAGUUGAGAGCGGAGGGGUUGAUCGAGAAACAGAGGUGAGGAGACGUGGGGUUUAUAAGAAUGCAUAUAAAGAGAGGAGAGAAUAUGUUGGGAUUGGUCGGCUUUCUUCGGGCCCUACACGGUUCAUUGUAGCUUUCCAUUUGCAACUUCCACCACCCAUUUUGUUUCUUUCUCGCAACCCAAGUCUGCAUGACACAAAAAACAUGAUUUUGUAUGAUUACGUGGAUUACUUGCAUAACAUUUUUAAAGAGUUAAAAAAGAAAAAGAAAACGUAUUUAAAAUUGGCCUCUCACCGUCCAAGUUUCCUAAAGACAAAACUAUAUGAUUAGUGGUAGGUGAUUACGAUUGAAAUGGUAUACGAAAAAACAAAAAGAUGCAGAGGUUAUAUAUUGGAAAGAAACAAGUCAACAACGGUUUAUGCUAUGCAAGUAAUCCACGUAAUAAUGGUCAGUCACACCCCCGGCCCUUUCGGUGGAAGCAAUAGAAAAUAGGUCUUGUUCCACAAGUCAACAAACCAUACAAACAUAAAUCCCUAAAACAAUUAGACGACUUCAAUUUUGGUCGGUCAGAAUCGGCACGUGUCGGUGGUCCACUCCUCACCUAUUCAUUUUCUUUUCUCAUUCUUGUUUAUCAACAACAUUAACAUUAUGUUCAAAUCCACCACGGAACAACAAAGAGGUUCUGAAAUAUCUUAAAUCUCAUCGUCAUCUUAAAAACAAAGAUAUUUUGGAAGCAAAGAAACAGGAGAUGAAGUAAUGACGAUAGAAGCAUUACCAAUAAAUGCGGAGGGCGGUAGUACUACAAAGCCUUCAUUUAGAGAUUUUAGAACAUGUUUACUAACCUGAAAUAGAAUUAAGAGUGGUAUAAUUGAUUUCAGAAUGGGUGAAUUCCGGCCUUUACUAACAUGUCAAGGUAUUUGAAUAGAUGUGGGUCCCACUUACUUAUCAUAAAUUGAUUUUUUAAUGAAACCCCUUAUUUGAUACCCAAGGGGGAAGAUAGGUAUCAAAAUCAAGGUAAUAAAAUCAACUUUUUCUCUCCAAAAUAUCCUCAUAUAAUUAUAAUAUUUCUAAAUUACCCAACCCUAAAAAUAUAUAUUAUAUUUAUGGUUACAUCUCAUCUAUAUGAGAGUUUAACGUGUGGAAGAAUCGACCAAACUAGGUCACGAAGAGGUAGGUAAGAGCGUUUUCGUGUGAUAAGUGACGAUAGAUUAGGGUUGACCGCAUCGAUCAAGUUCCAAACGUUGCCGAAUUGAGUUGAAUUUUAUACCAUAGCCAUGUUUUACUAUAAUGAUCAUAUCAGACGGUGGAAUUUUCAUUUUAUGAAUUUUAGUCAUCGGAAUCACAACGUGCCUACUAAUAGGCUAUAACUUGUUUAAUAUGUUAUAUGCAAGUGUACAACUUUGUAAACCAAAUAUAGAGAGGAAACAAAAUUUACAAAAAUCUCGUAAAAUAAGAUGUAAGCGGAAUGGUGAAAUACGGCUAUGGUUGAAAAAUUCUAUAUUUCAGGUAAUGUUUAGGUCUCGAUAAAAGCGGUCAACCCUUUUUACGCUUAAUCUUCCCUAGGGGAGCCCUAUCAACGAGAGGUAAACAUUUCCAAAUUUUUACAUGUGUGGUUACAUCUCAUCUAUAUGAGAGUUUAACGUGUGGAAGAAUCGACUAAAUUAGGUCACAAAGAGGUAGGUAAGACCGUUUACGUGUGAUAAGUGACGAUAGAUUAGGGUUGACCGCUUCGAUCGAGCCCCGAACGUUGCUGAAUCGAAUUGAAUUUUAUACCAUAGCCCUGUUUAUUAUAAUGAUCAUAUCAGACGGUGAAAUUUUCAUUUUGUGAAUUUUAGUCAUCGGAAUCACAACGUGCCUACUAAUGGGUUAUAACUUGUUUAGUAGGUUAUAUGUAGAUAUACAACUUUAUAGACCAACUAUAUAGAGAAAGCAAAAUUUUUAAAAAUCUCGUGAAAUAAGAUGUGAUCGAAAUAGUGAAAUACAACUAUGGUUGAAAAAUCACGUAUUUCGAGUAACGUCUGGAUCCCGAUAAAAACGGUCAACUUUUUUUUUACAGUUAAUCUUUUCUAUCGGGAGCCCUAUCUUCGAGAAGUAAAUCCAUAAAUUAACGUCACUUAUCACACGAAUACUGUAACGCCCCGUAUAUAACCUUACCUAUUUACCGGGUGUUUCUUCAAGUUACUGAGAAAUUUAACCGUACUCGGUAACUUAGUAGUUAACACUUGAGUUUAUUUUUAAGUUUUUCUCGAAAUGUAAAAUUCUUAUUAUAAGGCCCCGAUAUCGUUGUGCGCGUCAACACGAGUUCACCGAUGUCUUCUACGAAUUUUUGAAAUUUCGGAUAAUUUUAGAUUAUCAUUCAUGAUUUUUAGUUUUACCAUUUAAUCUGUCAAAUCUGGGCCGUUAAUUUUUUAGGUAAAAGGGUUGAAACCCUAAUCCCUUCCCAUUCGGAAUAGAGAGAGGGAGAGAGACUGAGGAGGAGAGCGACGGCGCCCCGGUCCCCGUCCAGGCGCGCCUCCGCCGCCGUGAGGCCGUCGCUGGACGAUUGGCGACCACCGUUCAGCUCGUCUCUCUCUCCUCUACCUCCUCCUAACUGUCGAUUGACAUGCAUCCACCACCUUCUUAAGAUCGAAAAUCCAAACCCUAACCUCCAAAUUCAAAUUCCGGCCAAAUCCCUUCUCCCCCGGCUAGUUCAAGCUUCUAGAAGGUAAUUUCACUUUUCCCUCUUCGUUUUCCAUCCCCGUUGAGCUUCGAUUUUCAGAAAUAGAGCCCUAAUCCGAAUUUCCUUUUUGGGUUCGAGGUUUGGUUUCCGGCAAGGGGUUGCGUUCUUGGGGUUUCGGUGAAUCUAUCGAACUCAGGCGAGCCUAGCAACGUUUGAUGGGUGCCCACUAUGCGCCUUGAAGGAGGCUUGGAGGCAGCUGUUACUGUUUCGGAGGGAGGCAGUGGCUUUGGGUGAUUGGCCGAGUGUCUUUAAUCUUGACUUUGUUCUCAGCGACUCUCCGAUUUGGUUUUAGCUCUACAUUCACGUUUUGAAUAGAUUGGAGGUAAGGGUUAUGAAUUGAACUGCACCUUUUGUUAGGUUGAUCCCCUCUUUUUUUGCUGCAUUUUUUUCCUGAGUAGCCAUACAGAGUUUUUCCUCUUCUCUUAUGUUGUUCUUUGUUUUUUUUAAUUGUCUGGAUGUGAUUACAAUUUUGGCGUUAUAGCGUGAGAAUCUUAAUUGAUGAUGUAUGUGAAAUUUGAUCUUAUUGUGGAAUAAAUUUAAUAGCAGACAAUUUUCUGGGACAUAAUUAAGGAGAAUAUCUCAAUUUGGAAAACCAAUAUUGUUGCAGACAAAUUAUGGUGUACACUUAUCCCAUAUAUAUAUGUUGUAAGAAUUGGUAUAUAUGUUCCUGAUAUCAUAUCCAUAUAAAAUCACAGAUUCUAUAUUGAAUUUCAAUUUCCUCAUUCCUUUCCAAUCAUAAAAAUUCUUAUGCUCUCUUUACUUUUUCUCAUAUUGAUUUGAUUUUUUGUGGUGAUUUCAGGUCGCAAUAGACCUUUUAGAGCAAAUUGAAGUUGUAGAAUAAUUGCACAGGUUCAUUUCGUUUUACAUUUUAAUCACUCUUUGGGAUGGACUAUGUACAAGAUAUUCAUUAAGUUUAAUUUUUUGUCCAGAAAAUGCUAUUAGUCGGUAAUCUUUUAAUAAGACACAUAUAUGGGUGAAUUAAUUUGCUUUGUGAAAAUCUCAGAAAAUAUGUCGAUGUUGUGAUUGGUAAAUUCAUCUUUAUGUCAACAGUUAAUAUGUGAUAUUAUGUGUGUCGCAGGCCACUUUUGCUAGCAAUAGGCUGCCUUGCAUUGCAUAUAAGGGCAGGUAUGCUCAUUGUUCCUUUCACUUUUACUGUUGUUCAUGUCCGGUGAUUAACACAGCAGUCUGGGCAAUUCUUUGUUUCAAUUUUCAAUUAUGGUUACGGCCUUAUGGGUUAUCAUUUGGUUUUUUUCUUUCAUGGUGAAUCUGAAGUUUGGUUGUGGGUUUCCGAAUUUUGGCAUUUUGAGAUAUGGGUAUCGAAUUUUGGAGUGAGACUGAGAAAGUGGAUUUGGUAGCUGUGAUUGUUGGCUUCUGAUUUUGCAGCCAGAUUUCUAAAGUUUAAAUUUAGUCUGAGUAAUUGGCUUCAACCCACAUUUAUUUACAUAUAUAUAUAUAUAUUUUUUUCUGAUCGGUUAAAGUUUUAGAAGAUUGGUUUUGUGCUUGAGAUAUAUGUAUGAUUUUUUAAGAUCAACUUAUUAUCAGUAUGUUCACUGUUUCAUGGAACAUAAGUAUGGAGCAUUAUUUUCAGCUUUAUUUGUUGCAGCCUUCUCACUAAUAUUAUGAGAGCAAGAUGCAAUUAUGUUUCUACGAAGCUUGCUGAAAAACAGUCCAGAACCGAUGGCUAUAUUCAAGAUCAACUUUGAGGAGAAAAAGGCUAAUGAUGAAGAAAGAGUUGGCUGCAAGAAUCGGUUAGGUGCAUGUAUUGUGUCACUAUUGUACCUCUAGAGAAAGAUAAAACAGAUUCAGACAUCUUCCACCAAUGGCAUUUGUGAAGGAACCCGUUUCAGAACUUAAAUUUUUUAUCUAUUGUAGUAUGGGUUUGCGAGUGUUAUUUAAUUUUUUUAUCUAUUGUAGCAUGGAUUUGCGAGUGUUAUGAUUUAUCAGACCAUAAGAUUCUCUAUGUUGCAUCAAGAACAAUAGUUAACCUCACACACAUACAACACACUUCCGCCACGUGCUGGAAGGCUAGUAGUUUAUUAAACAAGUCGUUAUACCACAUUAGAAGCGGAAGACUAUUGUGGUGGAUGUCGGUUGACAAUCACUUGGAUUUUUCGUUUUUCAAUUUGAUUUCAAUUUGAAUCACUUGGGUUUUUUUCUCCUCUUCUAGUACUUGGCUGACAAAGAAAUGGAGCCGUAAUGAAGAGAAGUAAACAACAAAAUUACACUGCAGCAAUACUACUCGUCAAGUGGCUCUGUUAAACUAAGUUGAGCAGCUAGAACUAAGAUAAAAAAACUCCUAUACUUCUUAGUUUAACGUUCAUGCACAACUAAGCAGUACCCUUGUUUUGUUCAGUACCUGAAAUUACACAAAACAAACUAAUCAUGAUAAGGCAAGGAAACAAAAUAAUUGACAAAUUCAGUAAGCAAUUUUAUACACAGUUUUUCAGCACAAACAUAGAUGGUUCAACAACACAGAACAUAUGACAAAACGCCGAAAAAGAGGCUAAUCAUACAUAGGCUGGACUCUAAAACAAAUAGCAUUCAAUCUUAUUCACAACACAAGAUCACAAGUCCACACAUCAUACGUCAUAUGACAAAGUUUUCCACAAGUCGUGCUUUAUUCACAAUCUGAGCACAUUUACAUAUCCCUUUUCACAACUAAAAAGGGAAGAAUCAUACUUUUCGAAACAAACAGAUGAACAUCCCUAUUCACAACUGAAUAAGGGAGUGUUAUCUCACAUAGUAUUUAUCAGAACAAACGAAUACACAUCCCACUUUUCACAACUGAAAUGGGAGAGCCAUUUCACAAACACUUAUCGGAACAAACGCAUAUCCCCCUUCACAACUGAAAAGGGAAAACCACGUUGUUCACCCGUGUGGCCGAGGUGUACAUUCCAGAACUCAACCUAAUAUAGAGAAGGUACUGAAUGUAACAGUAUUUGAAAUUACAUUUGAAAUUUUUAUAAGUCUUCCAAGUUUCUUAUCAUCAACUUUGGAAAUGGCCAUCACAGUAAACAAAUAUGGCAUCUAAAAAGGUAACAGAACUAUAAAUGAUAGAUCUAAAAUCAGGCAGCAUGAGCAAAGUGGAACUACAGAAUUUAUAAUAUUUAUUACCUCUUUAGUCUCUUUGCACAGGCUUCUUUGUAAAGCUCCUUCAAGGUACUCUCUUUAGGUUGCUGCAAACUUCACUUUGGUGGAGCUUGGUGAUAUGGUGUCUUGCUCUGCAGCUGUUGCAGCUCAGUUGGUUCACAAUCUGCAUACCAAUACAAUUAAUUGAAGCAAAAUUCACUAUUCAGUAUUUGUUCAAUCAGAAAACACAGAAUACAUAAUCAAUCGAACAAAUACUGAAUAUCAAAAACAAAACAGCAUAAAAACAAAUAAGACAGUUCCUGGAAAAUGCAAAGUAACUGCAUCUAUUGAUUCACUACCAAACGGAAAUUUACAGACAAGAAAAUGCAAAGUAACUGCAUCUAUUGAUUCACUAUGAGAGGGUAUUAUUUACAUAAUUGAGUGAUGCACAUAAAGCAUAAGAAAAGAUUAAUCAUCAACAAACAAGACCACAAGUUUCCAGCCGCCUGGAGUGAAUAAGAGCAACUGCUUAUACCAAAUUGGUACUAAGAUUUUCCACUAGAAUUUCAGUACCAAACAGAAAACAUUAAACAUCAGACUCAAUGAUCAUCAUCAAACUGUUUACUAAUUCAGUCAUGCACAUCAAGAAUCACAAACGAUGAAUCAUCAACAAAAAACAAAAACCAUAAGUUUCCAGCUGCCUGGAGAAAAUAAGACCGAUCUACGUUCGCAACUUCUUAAACCAUUUUGGUACUAAGAUUUUCCACUAGAAUUAAACAUCAGACUCAAUGAUCAUCAUCAAACACGCUCCCAAUCAGUGACCGCAAUUAUAUUUAUCACAUCACAAUCGUGCAAAUCAAAUCACAGUUUCUAUACACAAUUUCAAUUAUAGUUUCACACUAAUAACAAACUAACCUUGUACGAAUCAGGUAUGCCGAUGGUAAAUGAGGGCAGAUGCUUCACCAAAUGCUUCAGAAUAACUAAGGUACCUAACAUUAGAUAAAUGAAAACAGAACCGGGCAGGAAAGUUUUAAGUCUCUUAUGUUGAUCACAGGACACAAAUUGCUACACAAUUAUAAUUCUUUUUUGGUGCAGCUGUGGAACAGAUAUCAUGAUGCAGCAGCCAUAUCAGUUGCAUCUAACUAUCAUAUACAACUCAGAAAGAUGUUUGAAAGAUUUAUGGUGAAAUUUCCAUUUUGUUCAAAGGACUUCAUGUUAGUAGAUAUUAGCUUUAUUUCAAUGCAAACAUGUUUGCAACAUGACCUUGCAACAUAUCCUGAACAAGAUCAAAAUUUUCCUCUAACCCUAAUCAAACUUAGUUUCAAGAUUAACAGACAGUUUAAGGAUGCAUAACAACUUCUAUAUUCAACUUCUUUGAAAAGAGUGGCAGAAUUGCUUGGGGAAGAUUAAUUCUUAGUGCCUCUCAAGUAAAACUGUAAUGUAACCAACUGAUGGAACCAGCUACUCUAGAAACAUGUAAAGAUGACAUUUCUACAUGCAAUUGAUGCAAAGAUAUGUAUCUGGUGGAUAUGAAAUCAUAUACUCAAAUGAUAUGCAGAAAAUUGAUUUUGCAUACAGAAGUGGCUAACAUUUAAAAACCCAGUAUGAGUAUUAACUGAAAUUUCUAAAGCUUAUUCAUGCUUGUUCAUGCUUAGUUGUUUAUUAGUUCAAAUAUGUAAUUGAACUGGUAAUCAUGUAUUCCUUAAUCCAACAAUGCGAAUUUAUCUAAACUAGCCUAGGGAUUACUCUCUCAUGUUUGAUAGGGUAUUUCCAAAACUUGAGAUGCCAACUGAAAAAGACACAAUGCUGAAAAAAGGUGCAGGCUUUAAAUAAUAAUAUCGGAUCACUUUGCCUGAUAUGUUUAUUAAUCCUGGAGAACAAAUAAAGCAUCCAUCUUCGACAGUAGGUGAAGAUAGUCUACCAGUACUAUUCUUGUCAAAUCAAAGAAUUCAAAAUAAACCGAACCUAACAAUUCAUUAUUCUGUGGGGAUAUUCUACUGUGGGAUGCCAAAUGCUGAAGAUGCUAUUACUUGAGACCAGUCACAAGACAGAGACACGCUUUGAAUCCCACAAGGAGUACUUUUAAAACUAGGAACUUAGACAAAGAUGACAGCUAUCCUUUUGUAAUCAUUCUGAUUAUCCAUAGACGAAAAUGAUCAUAUAUGUACAUUGAUAGUAGCUCAGAAAAAUGUAAAUGUAAUUAUGUACCAUAUGUAUAAAGAGACGGGGUUUCAGUAGAACAUGAGAAAAAGGUUAAAAAUUGAUGAUCUCCAACUAUUUAUUUCCAAAAGUUCAUACACAAAGUAUUAUGUUGAUUGCCUAAGAUAGUACCCAAAUCACAUAAUCAAGACAUAUCCUACUACAGCUCUUAACCAUUUUAUCUUGCAGAAAAUCCCAUAAUCUUCAGAAAGCUUGCUGCAACCAGCAAUCUAUGAGAUCCACAUUUCUUUUUGUUACUUCAAAGCAUGUAAGCCAACAAUGCAACAGCAUGGCGAAUCAUGCAAGGACAAAUACUAGAAAAAAAAAAAAAUAAAAAAGUUUUAGGAAGAAAUCUCAGGAACUCCUAACUAACCAAAAUUAUCUCAACUGAUAUGUCAUUAGUUGUUCUGAAAGUGAGACAGUUCAGAAAAAGCAUGAAAUUGCAGAUGGCUAAUCCAAUACCAGUAUGAACAACCCCAGUUCAGAGCUACCUCAAGUAAACCCAAAAAACACAACAAACUCUAUUCUACAAAAUGGGAUAACUUUCCUCAUGAGGAAUCUACGUUGGAGCAGCAAAACAGCAAUCAUUAUAAGUCCAAGACAUAAAUAUAUGAGGUUCUUAACAAACAGCAAUCAUUAUAAUCCAAAACAUGAUACAGAGAGAUGCUACGCAUAACUUAGAGACAAUGACUAAUUUAAGGAACUAUCGAUUUCAUGCACGUUAAGAGUUUCACAGGAGCAAAUUAUAUCAAAAGUACAAAGCAUGUUAUCAAAUUAUAACAAAACAAAUUAUAACAAAAGUACAAAGCAUAUAGCACUUGGGUCAGUCAUUGUCUAAUAUAUGGAAUGGUACAUAGCGUGUUCCUCAGUCAUUGUCUAACUAAAGGAGGGUUAUCAAUGAAUCAAAAGGGAUGACUGAGAAAGAGAGAGAAUUUAACCCAGACCAGAUUGUAAAAGCAUAAUCUCAUAAUAAAGCUUUAAACCUUUAACACAAUCCUUAACAAGCAAAUCAGACACUAAAAACUCCAUGUUACCUGAGAUCUUCAAUUCAGUAGAUGAUGGUGUGUUCCUCAGUCGCAUUCCCAGGCCUCGACACCAAAACACAGGCCACUAGUCCUGCAUUUUCAAAAACACAGGCAGACGUAGUGUUAUAUAAAUAUCUUGUAGGCUAUAAGUAUUGACCUGAUAGGACUUAAAUCAUGACUCUUGCUGAAAUUGAACUAAAUCUAUAAGAUGCUGUCACUGCAUCUGGUAAAGUAAUAGGUAAAAAAACAGUUAGAAACUCAUAAUGCAACUGCAACAAUAGGCCAGGCCAACGUAGGGGAAUUUAAGAAACCAACUACCCAUGUACAUGUGAGCAUAAUUCACAAUGGCAUUACAAUAACUAAUUAAACAAAGAAGAAUACUGCAUCCAAGCACAUACCCGGGAUCCAGACAAGCCAAAGCUAUUAGCUUGUGUAAUUGAUGUGUGUUGUGCAAAUCAACUGGAAGUAGCUUAUAGCGGUCACUGAGCCCUUAUCCUCUCUACAAAAGUAAGAAAAAUUGCUAAAAUGAUGUUCUCAGAGGAGUUCAAAUAGUUAAAUGUGUACAACUACUGAGAUAAAUAUCCCUUUAGUCCUUCAUAGUUCAUACAGAGUUGGCAACAACAUUAGAUCAACCCAGCAUUCUCACCCAUUACUUGAAUAUACCGAAUUCACCACACUAGUUAAAAACUCACACUCUACUUAUUGCAAAAUUGUACGAAAACCACAAACAAGAUGAGCAUUAGUAAAGUUUGAAGUAUUUUGUGUGUUUUAAUCAGUAACAGUACAACCCCUAAGCAUCUAGUGUGCUCGAAGAAGCCGAUUCAACCCUGUCAAACUGAUCCAAUUACCCACCAGAAACAAACCCAAUAAAAGGAUUCAGCUUGUUGAAGAAGAGAGAUGAAAGUAGACCCAAACAGAGAGAAGAGAUGAAAUUGUACCUGAGAUCUUCAAUUCAGCAUAUGAUGGUGUGUUCCUCAGUCGCAUUCCCAGGCCUCAACACCAAAACGACGGCGACUGAACACCACCGAGUCAACUCGGCCUUUGAAGUCGGUGGCCCGUCAACCCGAUCAGGCAAAUUGAACUCGAUCACCAAACUUCAAGAAACGAAAAUCAAUUCCUAACUCAAGAAACGAAAAUGGAUCACCACCCACCUCUCUCUCCUAACUUCAGAUCUUUUUUGACAAAUCCUACCAAACUGAAGCUUCUUCAACACACCAAACCACUAUUCCCCAAUUAAAUCGAGCUACCCACCUCCAUAUCGUCGUCGCGGAGGGAGAAUUACCGAGAGUUAUGCACAACACGCGCUAAAAGCUUCUCCACCCGCUGCUUGACACGUGCUCCAGACAGCCGCAGUACUCAAGGUACUGCGUACAUUCCAGAACACACCAUACAAUGCAUACCAUUCAUUAAUCAUCUGUGCAAUGUAUCCAACUAAGAACAGCAGUAUGAUGAAAAUACCAAGCUUAGUCCUGUCACUGGCUGAAAAUUCCUUCUCCAAGAGAACCAAACAAGUUGCAAAUAAACCUACUUCACUGGAAACCGAGAUGAUCUCAACCAACUGAACCUUUUUCUUGAUAAACAUGCGGCUUCUUAAGAACGAGGAAGAAAAGUUGAAAAGAGGUUAUGCACAGUAAGGUAAUUGAAGGAGUUCUUGAAUUCCAUCUUUCCAUGUAGAGACCAGCCAUGAUCCCAACAGAAACCCUUUUCAAACAUUCUAAUAGUGUGUACGUAGUAUAUUCCGAGUAUACCAAACAGUUUCUGGAUAAAAGGUGCUUCUGCAUCUUCUGUUUCAUCAUCAGAGUCAAUAAUACGCUCACCUUGCUUGCGAGCAUUGCCCUCAGAAAUCUAAGAGAGCAUGUAUUUUGGAGGGCCUCUCAGAUCUUCAAAGAGAGGGCCAAAUAUAAUUAGAUAUACAGAGCUUGGUUUUUCUUUCCAUGUCCACUGACCUCUUUUUCCUGGACCCAGUGUCGCUCGGACAAUCUCUUGAAACCAUAGAAAUUUCUCUCCUUCUUGAUGUACUUCCUUGUAUUGAAGUAACUUCCCAAAUGUAAUGCCGACUGAGAGGAAAAGGAACAAGACAGCAAAAAAGAUGUGAUAGCCAACAACAGACAGCCAACUAUAACUCCAGAUGACGCUCCUCCUAGAACAAUGGAAGUAAGAAUUAUUACUUCCCAAAAGUCAUGAAAAGAAAGCAAGCAAGACAAUAUAGAGUUAUAGACACAAGUUCCCAUAUGCUAGACUAUCUGGACAUUAGUUCCAACAAUGCACGUCUUUACCAAAGCAUGAGAACUAGAAAAGGUUAAAAAUGUUUGGGAAGUACCUUUAACUAGUGCAGAGGAGGCCUCACAAAUACAAGGUAGUGCAAGAAUUACAAGAAAUAUCUCAAAUCUUGGGAAUGCGAGUGCUCCAUAACCACUCUGUCUCUCAGAAUUUUUCUUCCUCAGUUUCAGAAUGAAUAGGAGUAAAAUAUGUACUAGGAGCAAGCUACCACUACAGAAACAUGGUUCUAUCAAAAUUCCUCCACCUACAGAAACACAAUAAUUUUUAUUAGUCAAAAUGAAUAAAAGAUAUGUAUGUAGUUGUCAUUUGGAUGAUUAUUAGGCCAUUUUGCAAUGCCUAUAUAUAGAUAUGUAUGUAUAAGUGAUGCAUCCAGUUAACUUACCUGUUAGAGUUAUAAGAACCGGAGAGAUACUCGGCUUCAGGUUUAAAAUUUUCACCCUCCAACUGCAGAAUGCAACCACCAUAAGUAUAUACAAUUAUUUUAUACUAAUAUGAAGCAACUAAUUACAACUUUAAAAAGAAAAAAAAACACAUUUAUCACCUCAAAGAACGGUCUGUAUGCUAUUGGAGUAACUGGAAACCCAUAUACUGAAGUAACCUUAUCAGAACUCUCUUCUUCUAGUUGCUUGCUUUUGAAAAUUUCUGAAUCAUAACCUUCAGUAGUGUAGGACUUCGAGCAUACAGACUUGAGGUAUAAGGACUUCAGUGGUAUAAGGACUUGAGGCUUGGAAGCUCUUCCCAGAUUCCCAUGGGAGAUUGAAGUAAGGAAUACUCCAUUGUAAACCCCUUGAAAAUUCAUACAAUCAAUUGGCAAUGUAACUGCCAACCAUCUAGAGAGUGCAAAGAUUUGUAUAUGACAAGCAAUUCUCUGGAAAAGGGCAAACAGAGGACAGUUAAUUUUACAGUUGUUUAAAUUUGUCCAGAAAAGUUAGUGCUCAAAUGAUGCCACAGACCGGUCACUGUAUACAAGGUCUUCAAAUGUUUCAAAACGAAAAAUAUGUUUUCUAGAUACCUAAUCUACACUGUCUUAGGUCCUCCAAUCAUUAAUUUGACUAAGCAUGAAACCAAAAAGCUUUGGUGCCUUACAAAAAGAUUUCUUGCUGGAUGAGAUGCCAAAGAAGAUGCUCUCCUAAAUGUCCAUAGGGAUUUGGAGGCUUGCAGUUGAAAAGAGCAGUCACAAAUGUAGAUUGCAGAGAAGAUAUCAUGGGCACUGUAUCUGUAAAUUAGCCAUAUUUUACAUCAUUAAAUAACUGGGAAAAGAAACAGACAAACAUCCACACCUUUAGAUGAAAAUCCUUCAAAUUCACAAACUAUACACUUGCCAAUGCUGAUUAAAACUAAGUAGAAAAGGAAAUCCUUACAGUGUGAUACUUGAAGAACAUUUGAUGCUAGGUUUUUGUUUCCAGCAACAUCCCCAGAUAAGUUUUCAGGAACAUUAACCGAAACAAUAUCAUUAAUUGCUUCUAUAUUGACAGUGUUACAUACUCCUACUUAUUUCAUGAAAGCUGUAGAAUAGUAAAGAUUCUCUUAGGAUGUACAUUAAUAAAGGUAUAUAUUCUUCGGUGCCUCUGUAAAUGUCCUCCUGAGAGGACUAAAGAGGAGUUGAAACCAAAUACUGGCUUCAUGAACUUUAUUAAUAUGGGCAACCUAGGUUUAAAUAUCUGAGAAGUGUGUACGAGAAGCGGAUAAUGUACCUAGGUUAAUCCUUAGGAAAAAUGAAGGAAAAAGUUAUAGAUUGUUAAGGUGGGUUGAGGUAAUGGCACUUAUGUUUGGAGUACAAGAUCAAGGACCACAUAACUUUGGUAUAAAAAGUUAGUGGGCUCGGAAUACUUUUAUUAGUAGGGAGCCCUUCUAGUGAGGUUAACACUACUUAAAAAGCCCUUCUAGUAUUCAAAACACUACUUAAAAAGUUAGUGAUGUUUAUCAGUGGGCUGUCACUUUGGUAUUUAUAGUAUUGAUUUGUAUCGCAGGGCCGAAAUAGGUUAACCAUACGCUCAGAUUUUUGUAGAAGAGGUAAUGGAAAUUAUGGAAUUGGUUGAGUUAGACAGUCUCAAGGAUGCUCUAGUCGGACUACCUGGAAUUAUAGGGUUGUCAAGGAUGCUCUGUCUUUUAAUAAACACAGUAUAAACCCAAAGCAUCAAAAUCCUUCACUCUCCUCCUCGGCGUUCUAGCUGCUCAAGUUCCAUGUCCAACUAAUGACGUAAACUAGCUACUUAUGAUACUUCACACCUUCAUAAUUCUUCCCCAUUAAAAAUUCCCAAAACCUAGAAAAAUCAAAAACUUUCCUCAAACAUAUAUAAAACUCCAAAAACAGAAACCCCCACCGACCAGAAUCCUUUUUCUCUAUGUUUAAUUCAACUUUUCUCAAAAUCUUAUUUCUCUCUGCUUCACCUCUUCUUCUUCUCCGGUCCUCGCUCCCACUAAUACAUACAUUUAUCAAUGGCCAAAGAGAAGCAACAUAAAAGAGAAAAGAAGCUAAAUUUAUUUUUAAGGUUGCUAUAGUUUAGGUUUUGGGUUUUAUUUUUAUUUAUUAUUAUUUUUUAAAUUAACAAUUAAUGACUUGGCGUGUCGGAAAAGUCAACAUUUUCUGACACGCCGAUACGUGUCAGAGGCGAGUCGGCGUGUCGGACACUUUGACACUCCACUGGUAUGAAGUGUCAGUGCAACAUAGAUCCUCACUAAUUCUAGGACUUGGUCUCGAAUACUGAUUGUGAACUAUCCAAGAAGGGUACACUUCUCUUCGGGAUAGUAAAUAAAGCAAAAUCUCCUUUAUUACAUUUUCCCUUAUUACUAACCCCUUGAACAGGAGAACUUGAAAACCUAGGUAUGAUCUGCUUCUACAAAUAACAUGAUGCCUGAUUGACUGCUGUAUGAGGAGGUAAGCCGCUAGCCAGGACGACAUACCAGUCAUUGAUAGUGUAAAGAACUUGAACAUUUAGAUGCUCUGUGCACACUUUAAUCAGUCCAUCCCUCAAAACUUUUCAACUAACAACAGAACUUUGGAUCCCAGAACUUUCAACCAUAGAUCCAAACUUUGUAUAUUUUAAAAUAGACGGAAAAGCCACAUAACUGAAUAUAUAAACCAACUUUCUCUAAAUUCAGGGAUCAUAUCUUAUCAGCUAGAAUAACCUUUAGAACUAACCUUGUAUAAUUGAGUAACACGAAACCAGAACCCAGCAGAGCAACAUAUAAAGUAGCAGGAAAUCAGAAUGCAGCUGCUGAAAGUAAAAAUCAGAAUCCUAGUGUUCCUUACUUUUGCUAACCAUACUAUUAAUACCAGAAUCUAAAUGCUUCAACAUAGAACCUGAAUCUUUCUAGAAUUCAAAUUUGGCAUUUUUUCAGAUUCUAGCUUUCAUCAAACUGAAUGUCCGAAUUGUGGACUAAAUUCACUACUGCAGUGCACAGUAUACAACAAAACAAAAGGGCCGGAUGCUCACAUUAGCAAAAACUAUAUGGGACGGUCGAUAAGACAUGUCUUACUUAGACGCUAUUCAACAAGUAAUCCAACAAAUAAAGGAAUAGAAGGGCAUAAAUAUAGGCAAAUGUUUUCAUGCACAGCUAGUUAGGAGUUCUGAAUACAAACGGGUGAAAUCCAAUCCAUAGCAUAAUGAACUACAAUGUUGUGUGCAUAAACAUUUAAAGAUCAUUGUUAGUAAGGUAAUAUAAAGUGACAAAAAGGUCUAUGGUAAUGCCAAAGCUGAGAAAAAAUUGACUAUUUGUGACAGCAAAACUCAGAUUUGUGAAAAAUUGGUUCUUAUGAUCGUUGUAUGAAGACAAACAGGAAUAACAAGUUUUUCCUACAUUUGUUUCACUCGAUCUCUUUCCUCAAAUCCUAACCCCAGUUCUGGAAGGCCAAUUUUCCCUUGAAAGAUGCUCAAUAAUUCAGGUACUUGCUCUUUAUACUUGUCCACAAACCUAUGCAAGAAGUGGUCUUUCCUUCCCAUUAAUGCGGUGCCAACUAAAGAAAAUUGUCCCUCCCUUAUUAAGCCCUUCAACAGCAGAACUCUAAUAACUGACCACCUAGGUAUGAUCCACUUCUCCAAACUAUAAAUUAGAAUACUGGGAUAUUUAGCCACAUCAGCCGGCUGCAAACCAAUUUCGUUCACAAGAAAAUCCAUUUUACUUGAAACGUUCUUCUCAGAGACGGUUAUAAAGAUGGGAUUCUUACUAAAUGCCAACAAUAUAUCAUCUUCAGUCCAUCCACACUUUCUAUAAAACUCCUUCUUCUGUGCCAACUUUUCAUCCAUCACAGAAAUUACAUACAGUGCUUUCAAAAACCCAAAGCUUGAAGGUGAAAAUCCCAUGCUGAUGACCUUGUUGACAUUUCCAUUAAACUCAUCGGCAUCGGUUGACGUUGUAACCAGAGUCUCAGGCCUACACAGAUUGAGUGUGGAUUCCGGCACUUUUAGUGACCUCAGAAAUGAAACAUUGUGGGAAACAUUGCUCAGUAUUUUGGCCUUAAACAUCCUAUGGGAUUUCAUAAUGAAACAAGGGACCUUUCCAUCAGGGGUACCUAUAGUCUUGAUGAUAUCAUAACAAGGUCUGAUAUUAUUCUCUAAGCUCAUCUUCAAGACAAUUGGGUUACCGCAAAGGGCCUGAAUGAGAUCAGUGCCUGUAAUUCCAACAGAGCCAAAGAACUCGAGUUUCGGCAAAAGGGUCUUCUCAGCAUUGACUACGAGCAGCUCUGGGAGUUUCUUGACAAUUUCGGAGAUGUGGGUAUCCCCAAAUCCAUGGUCCUUGAAAAGCUUAACAACAGAGUCUGGUUUUUCUGGGGAGUCAAACUGUACCCUCUGCUUCUUGAACAAAGAGAGAGCAAGUUCUGGGGAUAACCCACAUGAGUUUAUAAGGUAUGAAACUGUAAAAGAGCAAUCUUUUUCAUCUUGGGUAUUUCCUAACAAUGAUUUAGAUGUGUAUAAUCUUGUAAAAUGAAGAUAGGUAGUUAAAUUAACAGCAUUCCUACUGGGAAAUAGUAACUGCAAUCAUCUACAGCAAAAACCGAGCAUAGUUGGAGCACACAGUCUAUCAGAGGCAAAGUAUUUGAAAGCAAAGAAGAAGCAACUCACCGAAACACUUGCUGUUGAUCAAUUGAAUUGAUCACUUCCUUCUUCAAAUUCGGAUCCUAGGGUUUUCUGUAUCUUCAUCGAUUUGGGGUUUUAGGGUUUUUGAAGCUCAGCUCAGUAAAGUAGGAAGGCCAGCAGUAGUAAUUAUGUGUGCAAGUGAAAUAUAUGGCUUUAUACUCGAGAGUAAAUUUAACUAAAUAGUAAGAAGUAAAGGAGUGAUACGGGGACAUCAAAACUUUUUAACAAAAACGAAUACCAAAUGAUGUGGCACUACCCACGUCAACACUUUAAUUUUGAUAUAUUGAUAACAUGGAUUUUGUGACCUUAGCUUAUUGAUGACAUGAAUUUUCUAUUAAACAAAUUUAAAAAAUUAAAAUCCUCAAUUUUUCCAUCUCAAACCCUAAUUCAUUAAUCUCACGAACUUUUCAGAUCAUUGUUUUUCACAUAAAAUGUAGAGAAUAAAGAAAUUGAGACUGUCAUACUACCAUGAAAUCAUCUACAAAUAACAUCAACUCAACAAGCUUCAAAAAUCUUUGGAAACAAUAAUUUGAUUUGCAGCUCACUGGGUUUUGGUUCAAUCUGUAUGUAAUCAUCAUAAAAUGGUGUUUCGAUGUUAACAAUUAUCACAUGCCUACGAACAUGCCCUAAAAUGCAUAUAUACACUGAUACACACACACAUUCACAUUUCCCCAUCAUUCAAAUAUGGUAGUUUGGUUUUGCAAUAAUGGUUAGAGAGAUUGAGAUUGUAAUUUUUUUCAUGACACGAGUAUGGUGUAGGCGGAGGCAAGCAUCAGUAAAAUGGUGAAGAGACUGAAUAUCUAAUUUGUAAUUUUCAAUUUACAACAAAUGUGAUACAUAUUUAAAAAUAAAAAUAAUCAAAAUUCACCUCACCAAUAUUAAUUUAAUGUCAAAUGUUGACAUGGCGGUUGCCACAUCAUUUGGGAUCCAAUUUUUGUAUAAACAUUUCGGAUCUCAAGCAUUUUCCUUAAUUUUGUAGGUCUGUUUGACUCUGGAUUUUGAAGUUUGAACUUUGAAGCUUUAUAGACAUUUGAAUCGACAUGAUAUAACCGUAAAAUUGUGUAGUUGGCUUAUAUGAUAAUUAUUCUUUAUAAUCGGUAGACUUUGUGGUUUGUGGUAAAACUUGAAGGCAUGGUUAUCUUUGUUCAUUCUAGGCCAUGGCUGCCGACACAUUUUUAUAAUUCUUGAGACAUGACCCAACCAUGUGAGAUAGACCACCACUGUAUACAUUAUAUAAGGCAUUGCUUUAUUGAUUAUACAAACAUACAUAAUGCUCUAUGCCUCUCCCCCUGAACGUUUGGAGUUGGAACGUUCGAGUCAGAAGACAAACUCAUCAAUGCUCUCGUGUAUCCAUCAUUCAUAUCUUAUCCUUCCUUCUCUACAAAUAAAAUAACAUAGGAUUCCCUUAUCAAAUAAUGCAUAGCGAGUGAUCAAAUAAUGCAUCGCGCGUGCAGGAAGGUUAGUAUAAAAUGAUAUAAAUAUUGUAUCAAUUACACGACGAGGUGAAAAUAGAGGGGAGAAAANNNNNNNNNNNNNNNNNNNNAAUUCUUGACACAUUGCAAUAUUUUGCAUGUGGGUGACCCGACCAUGUGAGAUAGACCACCAUUGUAUACAUUAUAUAGGGCGUUGCUUUAUUGAUCAUACAUACAUACAUAAUGCUUUAUGCCUCUCCCCCUAAACAUUUGGAGUCGGAACGUUCGAGUCAGAAGACAAACUCAUCAAUGCUCUCGUGCAUCCAUCAUUCAUAUCAUAUCCCUCCUUCCCUGCAAAUCAAAUAAUAUAGGAUUUCCUUAUAUACUCUUUCCACCACACAAACACAAACACAAACACAGGAUAUAUUUUUCUGGUUUGCCUUUUGCGAUCAUUGCCUCAUCAAGCCGGAACAAACCUUAUUGUUCUUUAAAAGAACAAUCGUGAUUUUAUCUUUUUUCUAUAUACAUCUUUCCACACACCAAACGAGGGUAUUUUUUUUGGGACAAUUCUUACUAAUCUUGAUUUUAAGAAUUUUAUUUCUACCAACAAAAUCAGAUUGUAAAAUUCUCAAAAUUCAGCUUAAAUAAUAAAAAAACAGUUAUACAUUUAAUAAAUUAAAUAAACUACAAUAUGGUUUAUUAUGAAAUUAAAAAAAUCUAUGACCGGAUUCCCCAGACCCAUGAUGUUGGCCGAACUCCGACGACUUUUGACCAGAUUUCAGUCUACCAUUGACCGGGCUCCAACGACCUUUUACCAGAUUCCGACAAUCAUUGGCCGAACUCCGAUGUACCUUUGACCGUUGACCGGACUUCGGCGAUAAGGGUUCUAUAGGGGGCAAUAGGGGUAUGUCGGGGUAUGUCGGGGGGUCUAUUAGGGCAAUAAAAAGUAAUAGAUCGGACUUCAACGACCUUCAACCGGAUUCCAGCUACCUUUGCCCCCAAUAGAACCCUUAUUGUCGGAGUCUGGUCAACGGUCACCAGGUCUAUUGUGGAGACUAUUGAGGGUAGUAUGGGAUCUAUUGGGUGUAAUAGAGGUCUGUCGAGAGGGUCUAUUAAGGGUAAUAGAUGUCUAUUAGAGGCAAUUGGGGUGUUUAUUGGGAGCAGUAGGCGGUGUGUUAUAGGCUAUUUAUAGGAGUAGGGGGUCUAUAGAGGGUAGUAGGGUUCGUCGAGGGGUCUAUUGAGGGCAAUAUAAAGUUUGUCUGGGAAUCUAUUGGGGCAGUAAGGGGUCUAUUAGGAAUAGUAAGGAUCUAUUAGGGAUAGUAGGGGUCUAUUGGGGGUAAUAGGAGGUCACUGAACUCCAUCUUACUUUAUCGACCACACAUAUCAUUAAUAAAUAAUACUAAUUUAAGUCCAAGGUGAUAGUGGCCUACAAAUAUAAACGCAUGAGGCUUGCCAUGCACCAUCCAUCUUAGUCUAACAAUUAAAUUCUAGAAAACUACUUGAUACAAAUAAUUUGUGUGAGCUUCAUUUGCUAGCUUCAUGAAAUGCCUGAGCAAGUUGAUCCGGCUCUGUUUUGAUACAAGAUAGUGUUCUCCGUUACUUAUUUCUAAUACCACAUACGUCUUCACUACUUAUAAUUGCGUGAAGUGCCAAUGUAGUUAUGCAAAUAACUGGACGUGAGUGCAUUUUUAACCAGUUUGUUGGUUUGUUUUUAUGUGGAGAAUUCUCAUUAAGUUUCAAAUCUCUGCAAUUUUCAUUUGUGGCCGUAUUACAUAUUUACAUUGCAAGCCAUGAUAUCCUAAUAAUCAAAAGAGUUAAAAAAAAAAAAUGGCACCAACUCUCUCAUCCCAAUAUGACUUUGCACAACAAACAUAUGUCUCAGCCCAUUCUCUUCUUGAGUGGUACAAACAGAGCCAAACCCCAUCCCACCGUCAACCCAUCAACACCGGCCUAAUCAAAUCAUGCGCCUAGUCACAGUCACCACACCACCAACCACAUCCAAAUUUGAGUACACUUUCUUAAUGUACUUGAUCAUCUCAAUUUGAUAAAUAGAGUUCCCAUGUGAGCUAUCCAACUCCACCACAUCAAUCCCAGCCUUCGCCAACUCCUUCAACCUCUACUUACUUGACUGUCUCGUCCCAAUCGCCGCCUCGACCAACCAUAACUCUUCGAGCCCAACCGACCCAGCCCCCCGUACUUGCUAAGUGCUUAAGUUGAAUUGCUAUGAGCUUGAAGGUAGAGGUAGCCGGAGUUGGAUUGGGUGUUAGCGGCUGAGAAGAGGGUUGCACAUGAAGUGACGACGGAGGUGGAAUAGAGAGAGAGAGAGAGAGAGAGAGAGAGAGAGAAGAGAGAGAGAGAGAGAGAGAGAGAGAGAGAGAGAGAGAGAGUAGUAGUAGUAGAGNNNNNNNNNNNNNNNNNNNNNNNNNNNNNNNNNNNNNNNNNNNNNNNNNNNNNNNNNNNNNNNNNNNNNNNNNNNNNNNNNNNNNNNNNNNNNNNNNNNNNNNNNNNNNNNNNNNNNNNNNNNNNNNNNNNNNNNNNNNNNNNNNNNNNNNNNNNNNNNNNNNNNNNNNNNNNNNNNNNNNNNNNNNNNNNNNNNNNNNNNNNNNNNNNNNNNNNNNNNNNNNNNNNNNNNNNNNNNNNNNNNNNNNNNNNNNNNNNNNNNNNNNNNNNNNNNNNNNNNNNNNNNNNNNNNNNNNNNNNNNNNNNNNNNNNNNNNNNNNNNNNNNNNNNNNNNNNNNNNNNNNNNNNNNNNNNNNNNNNNNNNNNNNNNNNNNNNNNNNNNNNNNNNNNNNNNNNNNNNNNNNNNNNNNNNNNNNNNNNNNNNNNNNNNNNNNNNNNNNNNNNNNNNNNNNNNNNNNNNNNNNNNNNNNNNNNNNNNNNNNNNNNNNNNNNNNNNNNNNNNNNNNNNNNNNNNNNNNNNNNNNNNNNNNNNNNNNNNNNNNNNNNNNNNNNNNNNNNNNNNNNNNNNNNNNNNNNNNNNNNNNNNNNNNNNNNNNNNNNNNNNNNNNNNNNNNNNNNNNNNNNNNNNNNNNNNNNNNNNNNNNNNNNNNNNNNNNNNNNNNNNNNNNNNNNNNNNNNNNNNNNNNNNNNNNNNNNNNNNNNNNNNNNNNNNNNNNNNNNNNNNNNNNNNNNNNNNNNNNNNNNNNNNNNNNNNNNNNNNNNNNNNNNNNNNNNNNNNNNNNNNNNNNNNNNNNNNNNNNNNNNNNNNNNNNNNNNNNNNNNNNNNNNNNNNNNNNNNNNNNNNNNNNNNNNNNNNNNNNNNNNNNNNNNNNNNNNNNNNNNNNNNNNNNNNNNNNNNNNNNNNNNNNNNNNNNNNNNNNNNNNNNNNNNNNNNNNNNNNNNNNNNNNNNNNNNNNNNNNNNNNNNNNNNNNNNNNNNNNNNNNNNNNNNNNNNNNNNNNNNNNNNNNNNNNNNNNNNNNNNNNUUCAUAUAAUUAACGCCUGGAGUUGGAUCUCUCUUUUUUUUUAAGUGGAUUUUUAACUUUGGAGUGAAAGACUUGGUAGGGGGAGAGUUGUGGCUGAAUCCCCUUUCUCUUCCUUCAGUUGGAGCUUUUUGGUUUCAUCCAACACUCUUCCGUUUGACAUCACUGAUCCCGACAUGACUCAGCGUGACAUGGCGAGACGACAAAUCUCAAAAACUUAAGAUCUGACAUAACUUGGACAUGACAAAUUAUACUAAAAGCAUGAAAUAAAAAAUUAUGAUAUAAAUUUUGUUUUGUUUUUGUUUUCUUUGCGUCAGAACACCCAUGCAACCACUCUCUUUAUUUUUGACCCAAUCCUUCUCUAUGACCCCCGCGGGCCAAAUGGGGAGAAAACCCGUAGGUUUCUCGCCCUUGCCCCCCAUAUGCCCGUUCUUAAUUACUCUCCGUCUCUAUCUGACUAAACUCACCCAAAUCCUAUCCACCUCUUUGGAAACCAAUCCACUUCUUCUUCUUCACUCUCAAUUCAAAUUUCAGUUUCAAUUUCAAAAGUCUCUCUCACCACAAGCUUCUCUCUCUUUUGUAUGCAAUCUUCUCCUUCAAGCCCUGAUUGGAGAUCAAUGUUGCUCCUAGGCUCUGGCCACCAGGUUGACUGUGUUUGUUUGCAUUGGCCCGUCAAGACACUACGACUUUAGUGACCUGAACUCGCCGCUCGACCUGAGGACUCGAUCUGACAAGGACCUAAGCUCGGGUUUGCAGAGCCACUCGUCACUCAAGUGCUUAAAUAAUUUGCUGAUGAGCGUUCGUAUGAAUCUCUGCGUUGAUGUGCUGUGUUAGAAUGAUGAGGUGGCAUGUCAUUCAAAGUGUCGAGGCCGUGUUUGAAAAGUCAAGAUUUUGAACACUCCACAUGGCGUUUCGGAAGUCGUGUCCGGCCGUUUCAGCAUGUCAGGAAGUGUCAGACAGUUCGACUCUCCAUCAUCUGGCGUGUCCGUGCAACAUAUCAUUCGACCGUUGAACCACACCUCUAUCAGCCAGUCGAGCCCGAUCGUCUUCAAUAGCGUCGAACCCCAAUACCUGACCAUUGUGACCACGCAUUAUCACCAUGCCCAAGUGGUUCCCACCAGGACCCUAAAACAAAUUGAUCCUGGAGAAAAAUUAAGGAGGCCUCUAUAGGUAUAUUGACUAUUUCUAUUUAACACAAGAUCUCCUAAUCUCAUCAAGACAAGAAGAUGGCGACUUGGAAUCAACAAGAAUUGAAGAUUUGCAUGAUAUCAAAGGUAUUUCAUUGGUGUGUUUCUCUCAAGGUAAUAAGAUUUGAAUAUCUUUAUCAUUAUGGUAAGUUGAUCUCUCUACAUUAUAUUCAGGAAAUUGAGUAAAUACUUUGAUUUGCUCUUACUUCUAUAUCUGGUGUCUUGGAAGAUUGUUUUGAUUGAUCGUGUGCUGUAACUAAUUUGAUAAAGUGAUUUCAAUUAAGGAUGUGAAAUAUGAUCUCUGAGUGUUUGAUUCUAGUGAACUGAUAUGCAAGGAUAUUAAUAUGAGAUGUGUGAUUGCAAGUUUAAGGAAACAAUCAAUUUGGCCUAGGCAAAUUGAUGAUUGACUUAUGAUGAGAUUCUCAAAUUGAUCUUGUCACUAAUGCAAUAGUUGAGGGGAGAAUUUUAUUCUCUAUAAAAACCCUCGGCUAUAGACUAUAAAUGUCAAUCUUUUUGUAUGUAUUGAGAAAAAACUUUGAUAUCAUUGUAUCUGAGUUGAAAUUGUUCAUGCUCUUGUUACAAACUGCUUGUGUGAGUUUUUAUUACAAACUAAGUCUCUCUCUCUCUCUCUCUCUCUCUCUUACUUGCACCAGGUUGCAAUUGAGAUUGAAGAAGCUAAAGACUGUUUGGAGAAUAAGUUGUUGGUUGUGUUAAAGAACCAAGCAAACCAGGUUGUGCAAAGAACUUUGAAAGUUGGUUGUGUGGAGAACCAAAGCUUUUGGUUGUAAGAGAGAACGUGAAGAUAAAUAUGAUAGUGGGAUAGUAUCAGUUGAUUGAUAUUCAGUUUCUCUUUGUAGAGAUACAUGAAUUAGAUCUUGAGUGUGUAGAUUGAAAGGUGUAAACACAUAUGUGCUUAGUUCCUUGUGUAGUUGUGUUAAGAACUACCAAUCUUUGUAAACUCUGAUUAAAGAUUAGUGGAAUAAUCUUACCUGCAGUCUUUUCCCUCAAAGAGGUUUUUGCACCAGGUCUUUGAAGAAUUCUUGUGUUGAUUUACUUGCUUCUAUACAUUCAUUUUAGUAUCUUUAGCCUCCACACGCUGAAAUCAUGUUCCCUCAAAAAUUUAAGGUGGUUGCAGACACGACCACUGAAUGACGGCUAGCCUCACCCGUAACAGAACGCUAGCAGGUUUUUUUCAUCCAUGAGAAUCAAGCACUUAUCAUUGUUUUAGUUUUAUUGGCUUGUUUAAGAUUUUGAGGACAAGAUGAUCUUUUUUUCAUGGUAAUAAUGUGUUGUUUGUUAUAUAUAUGACCGAUCAAAAGUAUGGAUCAAAUUAUAGAUAAAAAAAUAAUAAUAAUAUAAAAAAAAAAUAAUUUCAGUUUACCCCUCUUGAGAUUUGGAGUUAAUAUCGUUUCACUCUCCAUACUUUUAAUUUUGAAAAUUUACCCCCUAAAGUUCCAAUUUUUAUAAGUCAAACACAAUUGUUAAAAUUUCUUCAAAUUUGGAGGUUAAAUAAUAGUAUGAAAUCUUAGAAAAAAUAUCCUAAAAGGCGAUUUAUGUUAUUAUAAAACUAUUUUAGCCCUUUUAGUGAGUUAUGAAGUCAAAAUUAACGUUUGAAUUAGACAAAAUUUCAGCAAUUAGGCAUGAUUUAUGAAAAUUGAAAACUUUAGGUGGUAAAUUUUCAAAAUUAAAAGCCUGAGGAGUGAAACUAAAAUUAAUCAAAAAGAAAAACAUAGGUACACGUUGCAUUCGAUGGCACGCGCUCUCUCUCCGUUUUUGGAGAGGGCUAUAAAUACAAUACAAUACAACGACCACGCUACAAUUCAAAGAAAGAGCCAACAUUGGAAGAAGCUAAUUAAUAUACUGCGAUCCCCCAACGGCUGUUUUCUUUAAAAAAAAAAACCAAAAACCAAAAACAAAAUAUAACAAACAAAGAGGAGACGAUGACAAUUUCUCCUUUGGCGUCGUCGACAUGGGGGGAUGGAUCCCUUUGCCCUUUAACAGAAGUAGCUAAUAGGUUAGAAAUUGAGGCGAGAGGUGUAAGUGGCUUUGGGAGACCAGUUGCUUGGAAUGACAUCCCGGGCGGUGAGGCUUCUUGCAGUUGAUAGUGUGGUUAUCUUGACUGAGAAUGGCCCUCUCAAAGGUCCUCCUCCUUCGAUGCACCAACUUGCUCCCCAGACAUGCCUCAUCGCUACCCACUCACUAGAGCUUGCCUGCCAUUCAACCAUAUAUCGAUCGUGGUAUAUAUAUAUAUAUAUAUAUAUAUAUAUAUAUAUAAAUAAAUAAAUAAUUCCAUUCGAAUGAAAUAAAAUUAGUUACUUAAUUCUCUUUGUCUGUUUCGUUUGUGCUUUUAAAAAAUAAAAAAUAAAAAAUAAAAAAUUAGUUACUUAAUUAAGCAUAUAUGGCCUGGUACGUACUUGUCUUAUAUGCAUUGCUCCGACGUCUCCAUCUCCAUCCUCAAACUCAACCAGGAGUGAGAGCCAAUAGUUGGUUGAACCUUCAUUCACAUGGAAGGCCACCUGCUUCCCGGGAUAUUUACAUGGUGUUCUAUAUAUACAUAUAGAGGAAGAUAUAUAACAACAUCAACAUCGCGCGUGGAAGGGGCCGGGCAUGGAAAUUGAGAAAGUCGAUCCGAAACGACAAAACAUGACCGUUAGAGGAGGAAAUGGCAACACACACAGUAAACAAACAAAAAGGAAAUUACCGUCGGUAUAGAACGGAGAGUUCGCCUCGGUUUCUGAGGAGGGCAUGCUCUCCGGCAAUAGCCAUGCGGCCAAAGGCUGCGCCACUGAGGUCGAAGUGGGUCCGCCCACCUGAGCAGUAGCCACCAGGGCACUCGUCGGUGACGAUUAUGGUGACGGCUCGCCUGGAGCAAAUGGAUUUGUCCAAACACUUGACUUUGUAACACGCGCCGCAACCCUCUCCGUUGUUGAACAGCACCGGGCUGACAGCGCCCACUCUCGCUCUCAAAGGCUUCACGUCGACUAAGGAACCGUACCCACAUGCGCCGCCGUCACUGCCGUCACCUUCGGGGCUCCCAUACCAGGUGGCUGUGGCGGGAAGCCAAUGCGAUGAUGAUGAGCUGCUGCUGCUUUGAUGAGCUGCUGAAACCAUUAUUGCUGCUGCUAGCAUUAAGAAAAGCCCAAAUCCACGCCGCGGAAGGAAGAGGAGCUGCAUUAUUAUAUAUUUUUACUAUGUGGAAUUGGCGGAAGCGGCAGCACCGGCCGGUGUGAAGAGAUCUGCCGCUGCCGACACCACGAGCAAGAGAAGAGAGUGAGAGAGAGAGAGAGAGAGAGAGAGAGAGAGAGAGAGAGAGAGAGUACGUAANNNNNNNNNNNNNNNNNNNNGGCUUCAAGAAGGGUUUAAUUCGGGGAGUGGACUGGUCGAGUGUUAUGUAUAGUGUGCACAAGUUUAAUAAUGCAAUGUUUACACCACUACCACGGAAUGUUAGUUUAUUUUAGUAGAGAGAGAGAGAGUGCCCCACCGACGACGGUUAAGGCGUUAAAUGCGCAUGCUGAUAUCCCGCAAGUACGCACAGUAUCUGUUGGGUGUUUUGGUCAUUCCGGUGCUUGAUACCGUUAAGGCUGCACGUGAUCUCGCUCAGUGGCCCAGACUUGACCAACGUAAUAAUGUGACAGCUGCUUUCUUUUGUCGACUUGUUAGGUCACUUGUGUGUUAAUUUUUUUUUUUAUUUACUUACUAAAAUGUCUAUUUUUGUUUAUUAUUGACAUGUCUCAUCAAAUAAUUUAGUUUUAUUCUUGAUAACAAAAUAUACAUGUGUCAAUAAUAAAGAAAAAAUAUACAUUUUAAUGGGUGAAUAAUUAUUGUUGGUAAAUUUUUAGCCGUAUUUUUCAUCUUAUGUAUGUAUGACGAGUCUAAUUUCAGUCUUACUUAAUGGAUUUUGGGAUAGCUAGAUCGCAAAUAAGAGGUAUAAUUGUAUUCUACCGUACUAUACUAUAAAGCUUAAAUACACCGCAUGGAAGAAACAAAGAGUGACCUAGUGCCUCUUUCUCGGGUAGUUAAAAGCAGGAACAACUUUUGGAAGAGACAUGUGUGAAUCCAUUGAGCAUUACAGCAUCAUUAGCACAAAGAAGAUAUAUUAAGAACAUGUCAUGGCCCCUUCAGUUGUGGCCUUGUGGGUGUGAAUGAGUAUCUGAUUCAUACUUUCUAGAAAGGACCCAGUUUUCUUACUUUUACCUUUCUUUUCUAACCCCCUUUCUUAUUCUUUGUGGUUUAGGACCUGAUUGUUGUAGGUGCUUUGCUUUUUAAGGGUGUACUUGGGUCGUGUUGAAAUCCAGGUGUGGGCACAUGCAGAUCCAGCUUUACAGAAGCAAAGCAGACACCAAGUUUUCCAAAGGUACAAACCACUGCCUAACAAACAAAUUCUGAUAUGAAUAUGAUAGCAGCUGUAGCUAUGUAUGCGUCAAGUUCAUUGGGGCAUACACUGAUCAAUCCAAUAAUAAUUUGUCCAUCAAACACUACCAGCCUAACAAGUCGUUAAUGAAACAAACAACCAGCCCCCAUGUGGGAUUUCUGAAUUUUGUUACACUCAAAUACUUCCCCCAUAAAUGGGAUUGAAUCCCUUCUUCCCCGUCAAUGAUGCAAAACAAUAUAAGCAAAAUACAGAUACUGAUUCUUGACCAUAACAAUCGUGCAAAGCUAACAGCCAUGAAGAAAAAUAAAAUCUUCAGUUUCAAAUGAACAAGCUGGCUGAAAACCAGACUAUUAAUAGUUGAGAGUUGCACAUAAAAAUUGCUACAUACAAAAGUCAACUAGGUAUGUAAUUAAACAGAGUUCAAGUAUAUACUCUAUGCUGCGUGCGUGCGUGUGUGUGUGUGUGUGUGUGUGUGUGUGUGUGUGUGUGUGUGUGUGUGUGUGUGUAUUAAUAUAUAAAACAUUCUAUAGUGUUAAGUUAACACUGAUGAAUUGAUGUCCUAAAUAUUUCAUUAGCUUUGAUUGCGUAUACAGUGACAGAGUUUAAAUUUGUACUUGUUCUAAACUGUAGUUCCACGUUCCAUCUGUCGUAAGUGAAUGAAUGUUAAGCCUCUGAUACUGACUUGUCCUACAAACAUCAGAUGGAGAUGACAACGCUCUUAUUUUGCCUUCGCAAGAGCACCAAAUAGGGGCAACUCCAUACAAACCAUUCUACCUGUUUAUCUGAUUUAGAAAUGAGGGGGGAAAAAAAACAAAGCAGAAAGAAUUAAUAACAGAAUAACAGUCCCACUUACAUUGUAAACUCAAAUUAGCAAUCGAAAACUGUGACAGCCGCCAAAUGAGAGAUACGGUUCAUCUCAGGUCGAUAAAUGUGGAAUCCUAUGUUGCCAAAUAUCUGGACUAGAUUCAAAAGAACCAUGGCAGUUGCCAAAGUAUGAUUUAGGAACUAAUGAUCACCCAUCCAUACAUGGUUUCACUAAUUAACAGUGGCAACCUUAGAUAUAGUAUAUAACUAUAUAUUGGUUGACAUUUGACAAGCAAAGUAAGAUUAUCUAGGUGUACAGUAUAUGUGUUAUACAAGUACGAGAAUUUCUUAUUAUACUCCAUGGUCUGAUUCGGACCGAUGACUGUCGGUCUAUUAUACAACAAUCAGACAUCUAAUUUUCUCUCCUUUUCAGUUACUCUAAAGAAAGUAGUAUCUAAAAAUGAAUGAAGAAGAUAAAAAUCAGAAUAAGAAAACAGUGGAAAAGGUACGAGUUUGAAUUGAUUGAAUCUUGAGAAUGGCCUUUGAUGAACACAUGCCCUGAACACUGACUAUUAAAAGGAUUUUAAGAAUUUUACCUUCUUGUUGAUCCUUGUAUGCCAAGCAUCUGACCCAUAGAUAGGGUCACCAAUGACAUAAGGAGGUGGGUGAUUCAGGAGUGAAACCCUCUCGGGAACAUAAUCAUCAUCACUAUCAUAAUCAUGAUGUGGCCCAAAAGCUUUGAGUAUCAUUGCCAAUAGAAGGGUUAGUCCCUGCAAAGAGAAGACAAUGGAUGAUCAACAGAAAGUAGACAUAAAAAAUACAAAAGUAAACUUCAGCCUAUACAAUACAAUCAGCCAUGGAUUUUACAAAAUAGACAUGAGAGAAGAAAAGUAAUACAAAUGGAUUAGCCAUGCUGCACGAACCAGGAAUUCCAGAAAUAGACAUGAUCAUUUCAUUUUUGAAAUCAGUACAAACUUCCUAUUCCAUUACAGACUAAGCAUCAAUCAAACAAGGGAAUAAAAUCAGAGAACAUCCGGAAAUCACACUUUUAGAGUUCUUAACAAAGUUACCAAAGUGACGGAGGUAAAGAAUCAAAGAAACAUGCACUACUGAAGCUAAAGACUAAAUUUCUACGUAGCCUCUUGAUAUUUAAUAAAGAUUAGUAAAAAGAAGUCUUCUUUCUAUUUUUUUUAUUUUUAAUGAUAGAUACUUCAUUCAAAGCCACAGAACUAGGCAGAAACAAACAUUGCAGAAGGAAGAAAUACAGCAAAGCUACUGAGUACAAGGUAAAUAAACAAAAUAAACAAAAACACAGUAGGUAGAGGAAAUGGGGACUAGCUAGGUCCUGAGAGGCCGUCAUUCCACAAAACAGAUAGUACAGAGGUUAGGGGCCUUUCAGUCCAUUCCUGGGAGCACAUCUCUUUUGAUUGCCUGGGAACCAACGAGGUUAGCAUAACAGGGACACAACCUAUCUUUUGCUAGCAAAACCAAUGCUUGGAAGGAAUUACAAUCAUGGACAGGGUAAGCCCAAAGUUUAUGCGCAUCUGUAUAUGAGAUUGAAUGUAUAGUGUAGUUCUCUCAGUGAGCGACAUUAUUAUUCCACUUCAAAAGGUAAGGCAAUGAUCUAGAUGCAUUUUCUAAGUCCCAACUCACAGAUCAUCCACAAAAAGGAGUUCAAUGCUUUCAAUAAUCUAUCUGCACCUCCAUUAAUCCAGCUUCUCCACUUGUCUUUUCGCCCCUCUUUUUUUUGUAGUUUUGAAUGAAACCUAGCAACUUGGAGCUGGUUCCCCAGCUUGGUACCCGUUGCAGAUAGGCAAGAUAAAAGUAGCAAACCAAUCUGUCAUGUCUCAACAUAUGGAAAAUAUGUGGCCUCCGUUGGUGGAUGGAAAAUCUCUUAAAUUAGUUUAUGGAUGGAAAAUCUCUUAAAUUGAUUGAGUGACCUCCAUUUUCUCAUUCAGAAACCUAGGGGUGCAAUCUUUCUGACAAAGGGAUGCAGAUCAAAAAAUAUGGUUGGGUACAUUAUGGCAAUUACUUCCUCCUAUUUACAUGAUACAUCAGUAUUUAAUUAGUUGGGAUUUUAAAGCAAACUUACAAGUAUAACACUAGAAUCGACUCAUUCCUAAAGGUUCUCUUCUAUCUCAAUCCAUGUAUACAUUUGAUCUCAUUCAAUGUGAGCAACUUCUUGAUGCACGUAUAUUUGAGUUUCCACCAUCUUUAUGUUAUUCCCUCACUACAGGUGAGAGUGUCAAUACUAUAGUUGGCUUUGAGGUCCAUCAAUCUCAUCAUCAGUUGUGUUGGCAUUACAUAUGCCAUUUACUUUUUACCUAUCUGGUUGUUCGUCUCUAGAGCUAUCCCUACGGCACUACAACACAAAGCCUUCUGCUUACUAGAAAGCUCUUAGAUUGAUCCUGACUUUUGUAAUGACACAAAUCCAAAGCAACAGUUACACCCACUAGAUUGCUGCAACAUAGUACUGUGUCAUGGUUCAGCUACUUCUGUGAUUAUGGCUUUUGUUGUUACUUUUCCAUACUUAUGUUAUCUCUCGACACCAACACCUAUGCCUUGCAAUAAGGAACAAUUAAAGUUUGGAUUUUCUUAUGAAAGGCCUAAAAAGGCUCUUGUAUGAGGAAGCACAUCAAAUUCAAAACUCAAACCCACUUUCAUGUUCUUCAAAACUAACCCAAGCUUCAUUUUAUUUUCUUUUUCUUUUUCUUUUGUACAAUUCCUUUAUUUAUAACUAAGUUUUUUAAAAAAAACUCAAAAGUGUGUUUGGGUUUAAAAAAGCAAUCCCAAACAAGCCCCAAGUAUCUUCUUCUUUUUUUUGUUGAAUAAAGCCCCAAGUAUCUUAAGAGUUAAGACUUCACUAAACUAAUAACUAGAACCUCUUGUAAGGCACUGGCACCUCUAUUUUCCACCUCUUCGCAGCUAGUUCGCUGACUUUCUCACAAUGCCAUGUACCGCCAAUCACAUUUUUGUUUCAUCUUAUCCAACCCCCAAUGUCAAAGCCUAUCACAUGGUACACUGGUUGAGGACUGCUGAGAGCCUCUUAAUAGUUUGAAUUAGAUUCCAUAAAAUGUUGACUCUUACAUUUUUUAUGAGACAUACGUGUCACAUUUCCGAUGAUUAAUCGCCCCCAGCCAACUAAUUGUUUCUGCUUUCUACUUUUGUAGUGUAAAGAAAAUAGUCAGUUCACUGAAUAGCUAAACAUACAGUAAAACCUUUAUAAAUUUAAUAAUGUCAGGACCGGUAAAAUUUAUUAAUUUAGCGAGGUAUUAAUUAAUCGAUAAAUUAAUAAAAUAUUAAUUUAUUGAUUAUUUAAUAACUUAUAUUAAUCUAUCCAAAUAUUAUUUAUUUCUUAGAUAUAGUUUUAUUUUUUCAACAAAAAUAAUAUUGUUGUACAUUGUUCAAUGUACUAUGUUGUCGAAUUUAUUACGUAUACAUUAUUUAAUAGGCUACUUUAUUUGAUGUGCUACAUUAUUCAACGUACUAUGUAAGUUCGAUGUACUAUAUUAGUUCAUUUGAUGAACAUUAAAUAAACAAAACCAUAUUUAAAUAAACAAAAACUAUAUGAAUUCUCAUCUCAAAUGAGUAAAAAAAAUCAAUGAUGACGGAUGAAAUGGGUAAAGCAUUGUGCGAGUACAAAAAUGAUAAUCCAGGUAGCACUCAAGCAUUUGCAACUGUGGGUUUUAGAAAAGACCGACUUGCAAGUGAGUCAAGGGAUAAUAUCAAAUACGAUCAAGCGAUCUUCGGAUUAUCUCUCAACUGCUCUAUCAAGUCUUUAUCAAGAAGAAACAAGCCACAUUUGACUCACUCUUUAUCAAGUCUUCAUAAAUGAAGAAUUAAUUCUAUGUAUUAAGGAACCCUUUAUAUAUUCAUUGGGGUCUAUGUGAAUUCUCGCAUUUGUAUUAUCUUAUAAAUGUAGCGAAUUAUUAAUUUAGCACGUUGUCCCCGACUCGGGGCCGGCAAAAAUUAUUAUUUUAUCGAGGUUAUUAAUUAAUCGAGUAUCAAUUUAGUUUUGCUGUAGUUAUCUACAUAUUGGUACAUACUUAUUAGUGAUUACCAUGCUAGUGAUUUUGCUGACUAGUAAUACAAUAUAUUAUAAACUUCUUUCUUUUACUAGUCUUGGAAAGAUAAAUCAACACACAAGGAAAACUUGCACAAAUACACAAGCAUGCAAAAAUGUGUUCCUACACCCUUUAGAGAGAGAGAGAGAGAGAGAGACCUGUACGCAUAUAACUGACAAGCUAAUCCAUUUGCAGAUGUCCAAGUUUGACAUUACAAAUGUUUUGAAUUGAUCAAAUUUCCCAGUUGGAUCAUCCGGAAAGUCCUGGUUAAUAAUUCAAUACCAUCAAAACAACAGGCAAGUGUUUAACAUGCUUCUUAUGAAUUCAUUUGAUUGAUUAAACAAGAUAAGAGUAAUCUAUAAAUAAAUACCUCUUCCCAGUCAUGGUUUAAGUAUAUAUCAGCAGUCACUCCAGCUUCAAGCAUGAGGAGUAAAAAGAGGAACAGCAUGUACUGUAAACAAAACAUUUUUGUUAUAUGAUUUUAUUAAGGAAUGUUAAAAAGUGCAGCCCUGUGUGAAAACAUUCUUAGAAAGGAGUGUUCUCUGUACAAUUUUGUAGUCAAAGUUUCAAACAAAACAAAACAUCUAGAUUUAAGAAAGUGGAAGAUCUAGACUUGCCACUGUAGCAUAAAAUGCACCAAACUAAGAGACAGAUACAAUUGUAGCUUGCACAAACAUAAAUGUCACCACUAAGGGUUGCAAACUUAGCAGAUAAAUGAGAAGCAACAAGUCUAAGGGCUGCAACAACUAGGCAUUCUUCCAUAAUGGAAGCUCUGAAAAAUAUUUAGAGUGGAUUAAUUUUCCUGCACUCUCUACUAGAAAAGUAGGCACUGCAGUAGGUAGUGCAGUGUAUUUUUUGAAGUGUAUUUUUUUUUUUUUCUAUAAUAUAUAACUGGCUUUCUCAAAAUUUCUGCUUGAUGCAUCUUGGGGCAUUUGCACACCUGACAAAAUUAAAUUUGAGAGAAAAUAAAAGCUAUAUAAAUAGUCAACUGUAAUUACACAAAAGUGAAGGCACACCAAUUGUAAUAAGAUACAAUACAUCUCACUGUGAAUGAAACGUCCACACAUGUACAAGUUAAUCAACAACGACACAAAUUUUGCAAGCCAUGAAAGAAAUUGACCUCACUGAAUAAAUAGAUAAAUGAAGAUAUAAGAAAAAAGAGGGAUACCAAAUAAAGGCAACAACCAUUUGCAGUGUCUGCAGCAAUAUGUCCUGAACAUGUGAUGACACACAGAGUAACCCCAAGGCCAAGAAAAAUGUAUAUGAACCUGCAGUUCAUGCAAAGAGAAAAGUAGCACUUUUAAACCAAAACUGAGAAAAAUAUAAAAAUCAGGAACCCAUACAAAAUAAAAACUGAACACAUCAUUCACCAGAAAUCAUAAAUUCUUAAUCCUGUAAACAUCCCAGCAUGCGGCAUGCCUGUUUCUUCUUAUUUCAUACAACAACUCGUGUAUCAACAAAAAAUUCAAUGUAAACCAAAUCCACUCCAAUAAAUCAGAGCCAAGAGAGAACCAAAUCAUAACCAGGUGGUGUUUUUUUAGCAUUUGAAAGUACAACAUAGCUCCAUCUUUAACUUUCUUUUCUUAAGUAUGUUUUCAUGAUAAAACGGUCCCAUGCACCUAUGGAUAUUUCCAUAAUGAGGAUCCCUUUAGGCGCACUUUGCCGGGUUCAUAUGUAUUGGUUGGCUACAAACAAAUUAGCUUUGAAGCCCCACUCUAAGAUCCUCAGUCUGCUUUCAUCUUUCAAAUUCAGAUAGAUAAAGCCUAGACAGAACAGAUAUGCGUAAAACUCUGAAAUAGCUGUUCAGAGAAAAGGCUGCAUUGCAUUCAGCACAACCCAAAAUCCAAAAUUGUAAUAGAGCCCGAGAGUGGAAUUUCAAGAAAGAAAAGAGAGGAUGAUACCAAGGUAUAGUUGGAGAAUCAGAGUCUUCAAAUGGCAAGUAACCGAUGCACUUCUGCCAGGCUCUAAUCAACCACAAGGAGUACAAGAUCAUGGCCAGCCCAACCAUCCCAUUCACCGAGUUCACCAACUUUAAUAUUGAUUGUACGCAGCUCCUCGCCAUCGCAGCCAUCCCUACAUCAAUUUUUGCAGGCAAAAACCCUAUUUAAACCGGAGUCGCUAUACCUAGAUUUAUAUUCGUACUUCAGUUUUCCUCAUCUAUCCCCAUUUUACGUGUUUCACUUUCACGUGAUAUUUUACCCAAUUUUAAUCCCUAUAAAUCAUCUCUAACAAUUUAUAUUCUCUAUGUUUUGAAGUUCGCGUAUGUUAGUUUCAUUUUAAGAUGAAUGAUGGUUAUUUCGUUAAUUUUCAGAUCGCCGUAUCAGCCGUCUAAUUUGAAGUCGACAUUUGUUCAGUCUUUGGUUUUAUUUUAAUCUGAAUGGUUUUUAGAGUCACGAUUUUUCAUCUAAAUGGUCAUUCCUUCAAUUUUCUCAGUUAAAUUGCUGACGUGACCGUUAAAAAUUACAAUGUUUUUAAAGAUCAUUUUUAACGAUCACGUCAGUAUUCUAACAUAAAAAAUUGAUAGAAAUAUCAUUUGGAUGAAAAAUCGGGACUUUAAGAACCAUUCAGAUUAAAAUAAAACCACAAGGACUAAACAAAUUUUAAUUCAAUUGAGAAAGAAUGACUAUUUAGAAGAAAAAUUGUGACUUUAAGGAUCAUUCAGAAUAAAAUGAAACCACAAGGACUGAAUAAAUAUCGACUUCAAACCAAAAAGACUAUACAGUAUUUAACUCUUCAAAUUUUAAGUCAUCCAAACCUAUAAUUAUUUAUAUAAGUUUUGCAUCUCCAACCCAUGAAGGUAAAAUCCAAACCUAUUUAAUAAUUAUAUAUCAUCAUUUAAUCACACAUGGAGUGCCACUCAAUUGUUUAAUCAUAUCAUAUCAUACAUAACUAUUUUAUAUUAAUAAAAUCUGACACUGUCUCACAUCCACGAGAAAUUUUUAAAUGCUACGGAAGGACCACGUGGCAGUCUAACGUGGUCCUACGUUCCAAUCAAAUUUAGAUAUGUGGAUUUUUUACAACUAAAAUAUAAACAAAUAUUUUCUAUUUUUUGUGAAAUGACAUUCAUGGGUAUUUAGCAAGUUCAAACUAGGGUCUAGGGUAUAUGGUUUAAAGUUUAGGGUUAGAGUUUAGGGUUUAGGGUAUAGGGUAUAAGGUUUAGGGUUUAGGGUUUGGGGUUUAGGGCUUAGGGUUUAGUAUUAAAAAACAACAGAAAACCUAAAAUGGUUUUUGACAAAAUAGCUGAAAUAAUUUUUCGUGAAGAAAAUCUACAUGUCUAAAUUUGAUUGGAAAGUAGGACCACGUCAGACUGUCACGUAGUCCUCCAGUAGCACUGAAAAAUUUCUCCACAUCCACUCACGUCACCCUCAUAAAUUAUAAGUUUAUUCCUAUUUGGUUGAGUCAAAAUAUGAUACAUUUUAGGUAAAUCGUAUUUUAGCUCAACUUAGAUAGUGGGUUAUAGAUGAGAAUUUAUAAAUCUUAAACCUAUUAUAAAUUUUAGACCCAGGGUUGAAGAUUGCCUAAUCGUGUCAUAAAUUUUAACCGCCCUUAGAUUGAUGGGAUUGAUUCGAAAUAAAAUGUCUUUGCAUGGUCACAUGGUUGCCAAAGCACUUGCUAGAGUGGAACCCUCACUCAAGUUCGAGCCCAACCGUUACAAGUCCCAAUUGAUAGGUUGUUGACCACUGAAGACCUACUGGACCCAUAGGACAACGGUGACGCAUACGAAGAGGCCUGACUAUUGGAUGCAUGUGGGCUUAUACGCAUUGGCGGAGCUAGGAUUUUAAGUUUAUUGGGGCACAAUCUAUACGUAACAACAUAAAAUUUAUAUAUGUAGUGAAGUGGAUACAUUGGGUCCCACGACAUAAAUUUCAUGAUAUGGACCCCCACGUUAUGAGUUCGAAUGCUGAUGUUGCUCAAUGUUAUUGCUGAUUUAUAAACGUGGCCAGUAGAGGGGCUGAAAUGCCUCGUUGUCUAUCGGUCAACCAGCAGAUUAGUCCUUAGGCCUAUGAAGCCUUUGGGAUAGCGCGAACAAUCCAAAAGGAGUGUGUGAAAAAAAAUUACAUUUGUUAAAAUGGUUUUCUUCGAUAACAAAAGAUAAGUUACAGAGAAAAACCCUUCAAACAACUUAAUUAAGUUUAGUUAAUGAGCCAAAUUAUAAAGCAUAUAGAGCCACAUAAAGAAUUGUGUUGGACAAACUACUGAUUGGAAUAAGAUAUCUUAUAUCAACCAAUAUCUAUUAAAAUUGAUACUUUUAUCGAUUUGGUCACACAUUAUAAUGACGAGAAAUUUUAAAUACACACCCCUAAUCUCUUAAUACACACCUCUAUUAUUUUAUGUUUCUAUUGAGAUUUUAUAGGUAAGCUAAAUGAUCAAAACAAACAUCUAUUAUUAAAAAAAAAAAAAUCGCGCUAGAAGUAUUCUUUUCAAUCUUCUACCCUAAAAUCGUCGAAAGCACGUUUUCUCCCCUAACCCCAACUCUUCUCCACAAUUCAUUUGGGUUGUCUUUUUUAUUUUAUUUUAUCUGUAUCAGCUUUAUUUUGAUCUUGCAUAUCAUAUUGUCAUGUACUAUAUCUUUAUCAUGACAUGUUUUAUCAAAUAACUAGCUAGCUAUGUUUAGUAGCUACUGUACUUCUACAGUUCUACUAACUUGUGAAUUCUGAAAACUUGUAUUGGUGAUUUGGAGUUGGGAUAUAACAAUAAUCAUUUGAUUAUAAAUUGAACGAUGAUAGCCAAAAAUUUCUAGCAAAAAUUAGACGAAAUAAUAUGUAAAAAGAGGCACUAAAUAGUACAUAUAUAUUAAUUAUAUUAAAUAAUAGAAUAUUUCAUAAAUUAAAGGCAUUUUAGGCAGUUUGGGAUGUGUAUUAAGUAUAAUACUGAAAUGAAAAACUUGAUAGGUGGUGUAUUAAGCAAGGGGUGUGUAUUUAAAAUUUCUCUAUAAUCACGUUUUAACCAUAUGACAUAGAGAAAUUUUAUUAACAUAUCCAUAAAUGCUAAAUACACAUCUUUUUUUUGUGUGACUAAUUUCAGUUUACCCCCAUCAAUUUACGUCGAUCAUUAUGUUCAUCCAUUUUCUUUCAAUUUUAUCAAAAACACUCAUCGACUUCCACUUUUCAUUAGUCGUGUCCAAACAUCUGUUUUCCAUCCAAUUUUCCCGUCAUGUGAUGACUUGCAUUAAGAAGAAAACCAAAUUUAAAGUCGUUGGGCCCACAGAAAAAGGGUAAAAUAGAAAAAUUGCAUUCAACCCCACCAAAAUCACUAAGGUUAGGGGGUUGUGAUGAGAAUGGAGAUGUGUAUCGAUAUGAGAGGGAAAUGGUCAGAAAUGUCAUUUUUCGGGAUUUGACUUUGAAUUAAAUUCAGUUUACCCCAUUGCGGUUUAGAGGUGAAUUCAUGUUAGUCCCUAAACUUUCAAUUUCAUCAGAUUUACCGCUCUUGUUUUUCGGGUAAUUUAGCUUCUCAACCCCCAAAACGUCAUUACACGUCAUCAAAUUUCAACGUCCAAAUUGGACAAAGCAUGAGUGAUAAGAGACUGUAGAUAGAAAAACAAGAGCUCGGGAGGUAAUCUGAUGAAAUUGAAAGUUUAGGGACUAACAUGAAUUCACCUCUAAACUACAAUAGGGUAAACUAAAUUUAAUUCUUUGACUUUCUUAUUGAUGCCACGUCAUCAUUUAACAGAGGAAUUAGAUGGAGAACGGAGGUUUUGAACACAGCUGAUGAAAAUUGAGAGUCGAGGGGUAUUUUUGAUGAAAUUGAAAGAAGAAUAACUAAGAUAAUGAUCGACCUAAAGUUUUACCACACAAAAAAAUACAUUCAUAUCAAAAGUAAAGAAACAGUUGAAAUCAAAUAGAAUUGAAAUUUGUUUAGUCCUUGUGGUUUGAAGUCGACAUCUGUUCAGUCCUUGUGGUUUUAUUUUAAUCUGAAUGGUCCUUAAAGUCACGAUUUGUCAUUUAAAUUGUCUUUCCAUCAAUUUUUUCUGUUAGCAUAUUGAUGUGGCCGUUAAAAACAUUGUAAUUUUUAGCGGUCACAUCAACAAUUUUUAACAGCCACGUUUGAGUCACUUUGUAUGGAGGUCUCCCAUUCUCAACAAUAUGCACCAAAAUCUUAGGAAUUUAUUUAUACCCAUUAUGAUCCAUAAUGUAAGUCUUGUGUAUCCAACAAUCCAAAAUCACAAGAAAACAUAAACAGAACUUCUAAUAUAGUAAUAUCAAACUAUGUAUGUGUAUCAAUCCAAAUCCAUAUUAAAAAAAUCCAAGAAUUAAAAUUCUAUUUCACGUCAAAUUGCUUGUGUAGAGUGAUCAGAUUUAAGCAAUCUCAUUUAUGCUUCGUUCUUCAUUGACUUGUUACAUAAAGCCAACCUUCAACCAUAAAAUUAUCAUCAAGGAGGAGCGAAGAGAUACUUUACCUCAGUGGAAGCAUGAGAGCAAUUUUGGCAGAGAGAAUAUGAGUAAUUUUGGCAGACGUGCGUAAAGAGUUGGAGGAAGUCGGGAAGAUAUACGUGCACGUUAAGAGGACGAUAUUUUUGCAGUUGGUUUGUCUUUGUGAUGAUGCUAAUCAACUGAACCAAGGAAGAAAAAAUCGAUAUUUUUGGCGAAAUUUCGUCGAAAAUAUCGUUUUUUUCACUCAGCGAAACAAUUUUCUCCCCUUAGAUUUUUUAGUCCGAAAUUAUCGAUAUAUCGCGAUAUUUUCGAUAUUUCGACGAAACUUUGAAAUCCCCAGAAAAUUACUCGCCCAAACCGAAUUUUGAAAGUUUGAAUGGAUGUGGUGUGUCAGUGUGGUCCUCAGCCGAACCUUUUGACUUUGGCAAUACUUUGACUGGUUUGCACUUUUGCACAGCAAAAUAAUUUUUGGCAGCUAAGGGAUUCGAACCUUGGUUGUUGGGUUGGUAUAAGGUUAACACCUUAACCAACUCUACUAACCAUCCAAGUUGUUUAUUUUACUAUCUUUAUAAUACAUAUUGGUUUUUUCUUUUUCCGAAUCUGAAAAGUAAAAAAAUUAGGUAAAUGUCUAAUCCCCAACNNNNNNNNNNNNNNNNNNNNNNNNNNNNNNNNNNNNNNNNNNNNNNNNNNNNNNNNNNNNNNNNNNNNNNNNNNNNNNNNNNNNNNNNNNNNNNNNNNNNNNNNNNNNNNNNNNNNNNNNNNNNNNNNNNNNNNNNNNNNNNNNNNNNNNNNNNNNNNNNNNNNNNNNNNNNNNNNNNNNNNNNNNNNNNNNNNNNNNNNNNNNNNNNNNNNNNNNNNNNNNNNNNNNNNNNNNNNNNNNNNNNNNNNNNNNNNNNNNNNNNNNNNNNNNNNNNNNNNNNNNNNNNNNNNNNNNNNNNNNNNNNNNNNNNNNNNNNNNNNNNNNNNNNNNNNNNNNNNNNNNNNNNNNNNNNNNNNNNNNNNNNNNNNNNNNNNNNNNNNNNNNNNNNNNNNNNNNNNNNNNNNNNNNNNNNNNNNNNNNNNNNNNNNNNNNNNNNNNNNNNNNNNNNNNNNNNNNNNNNNNNNNNNNNNNNNNNNNNNNNNNNNNNNNNNNNNNNNNNNNNNNNNNNNNNNNNNNNNNNNNNNNNNNNNNNNNNNNNNNNCAAGGUUUUUCAUUUCAAAUAUAGUACAUAAUAUAGAAACAAACAUCUCUUAAAGUUUGGUUAAAAAAUUUCAUGUUUUUCUUCAAAUUUCCGUCAAUUUUCUCAUUUUUUUUACCGCAAUCGAUAUUUCCCCCCAAAUUUCCGUCGAAAUUUCCAUAUUUUGAAGGGUCGAAAUUUUCUUCGAACUACUACUGUUUUGAAAUUUAAAAUUUUAUCUGCCUAAGCCCUAAUCCCUUCCCAUCCUUUUUUAUCGGAUUCUAAAAACGAAAACCAUUUUUUUUAUCAAAUUUUGUCAUUUUUACCCUUCUUUUAUAUACUUCUGAUUUGCAAGAUGAAUUUUAGGUAAGGGCAUUCACAGAGUUUUCUGAAAAUUUAACCAUUUUCCAUAAACCAAAUUGGCUUAAUUAAUACUGAUGAUGGUAACAGCGUCAUUGAAGAGAGUCAGGUGAAACAAUCCGCAGUGAACUGAAUGAAGGAUGAAAAACUGGUGGCUAUAAAACUUGGUGCAGACUGUAGAGAUUGAGGAAAGACGGCGAGAAUGAUAGAGUUACAGUGCCGUCUGAAACUGGGUUAUCCAAUCCCACCGAAAAAUUCAUCCGUUGGGGAUUUUACGUCAAAACUCAAACCCCCAUCUCCAUCUCCUAGUGCUUUACUCCUCUGUACGAACUUCAACUCCAGCUUAACCUCUAAACGACAUUCUUUCAAGUGCUUUUGUAACAAAACCGAAAACACCCAACAAGUCUCUUCCUCUUCUCAGGUACUUACAUGUUUCUCUCAUAUUUUGUAACUCUCUUCAUUAACAUGUAAUGAGAUUACUUUGUGAAUUUAAACUAUAGGGCUUCUCAGCACUGGCGGCAGAUAGUCCAUGGGAUAAUGCAACUUUGUGGAGCACUCUGGCUUUAUAUAUCUUCAGUUUGCACAUUCCUCUUAGUUUUGGAGGUUUGUCUGUGGUUGCUCAUGUAUUGCAUCAGCCUAUUCUUGAUCCACAGAUUGAGGUGAGCUCAUUUCAUUUAACAUGUGAUCACAAUUGAGCACAACUGGAUUUGUACAACAUUUGAUUUUUUAUUAAUCGAAAACUGUUAUCCCAUUAGGGAUUACAUUGAACUGAGGCUAAUGAACCACCAUUUAAUCAAAUCAAGUAGCUCAUCCAAGCCCUUGUUUGCACUAGCAUGAUCUAUUUUUUUUGGUUAAGACACUUAAGACUCAAAUUGAACAAGCAACCGUAUAGUAUCAAGUAACAUGGCAUUGUGUCCUGUGCCCCCUGGGAUGUUGGUUUGACAGAUGACUUUCUUCGUAAUGAAGGAUUCUGUUAUAUCACUGUUGCUCAAUUUGAAUAGAUUAUGUGUGGACUGUGGAGUGUGUACUGGUGGCUGGUGGAACUCUUUGCAAUUCUCAAUUUGGUAUUAAUUUUUUUUUUAAUCUUAUUUUGGUGGCGCAGGCAAUAUCAUUGCUUGGAGCUCAGAUUCUAGAGCUCAUUGCAGCAGUGAUUCUUCUGCAAAGCACUGCUAAGCCCCAGUAUAAGUUUUCAAAUUUCUUCAAACCCAGCAAAUUGUCAAAAGAGAGGAGCUGGCUGUUGGCAUCAGCUGUAGGAUUUGGGUUUCUCUUAGUGUUGGUUAUCCUUACUUCUUUCCUCGCUGAUAGAUUCAUUGGUCCCAAGGUUGGUAUCUUGAAUCUGUCUGCCUUUUUUUUUCUUUAUUCUUUAUUCCCUUUUCAUUUAAGAUUUAAUGAACCAAACGAGACCAAACUUACUUGAACAAAAGGAAAACACAUGAUACUGCCUUCUUUUUAUCUUUCCAGAACAGUACUUCAUGCUUUAGUAAUAUUGGAAGACAAGUGAGGCAUCAUCAGUUUUUACAAAAUAAAUAAAAUAAAGAAAGAAUAUAGGAUGAUGAUAGUAUCAUACCAAUGAAAGAAAUAAUUAUAUAGCUAUACAAAUAAGGUAAUGGUUUUGAGAAUAAUCCAAGCAAUCUGAUGAAGAAUAUCAGCACUAUGUAUGACUGAUUUUAGAAAGGAGGUCCUUGGCUGAUGGACUUAAUUAGCGAUGGUGUUCCAGAUUAGUUGCACUCCUUUCUCUUCCUUUGGAAAUUGUCCACUGGGUAUAGAAAUGGACAAGGUUUUGUUGAGGCCACUACUUGGCACCUCAUUUUCAUUUGCAAAUAUUUUGUAAAUUGAAAUUCCAUAUGAUUUUACAAAAAAUUGUUUUAGAUGUAAUAGUAUGUUUUUCAGUAUUUCUUUUUAUGUGCUGAUUUCAGGACCUUUCGAGUUUGUCACUGUUAACAUGUUAAGGGCAAUUGGCUCUGGUUACAUUUCAACUAUUUUUUCGUCAUUUAGUUUAAGUAGAAGUGCUUGUAAGAUUCAAAUAAGCGAUUUCACUACCAAAUUAAAUUUUCUUAGAACUGCUUCAGACAAGAAGUAAAAUAGAUUUUGAAUGGACCUAAGAAGAAAUGAAGAGCAGGGUGGACAUAUGAUUCCCAAGGUACUGGACUUUUUCAGGAUGAAAUCUAGGCUUAAAUAUAGACAGUGUUACUGAUGUUGUUCUCUGGUUUAAUCUUCAAGUCUCUUUUGAUAAGACUUAUUCUGUCAAAGAAUUAUUCCCUUAAUUCCAAACUAAUUGCUUUUAGAAAGGCUGAAAGGGUAUGUGCUGAGAAAUCAUGCCGAUUAACGCAUGUACUUUGUUCUCAGCUAAUCCUCAUUAUCAUUAAUGAACAACGUAAAAAUAUGAAGCUAUUGCUAUGUGUCAAAAGCAUUGUGCAUCUGAAAUUUUCGUGCUUUAUUAAUGAAGCUUUUUUUUUGCUUUGAUAAGCUUCUUUGAAGCUAUUAUUCAUUAAUGCGUAUUAUAUAAUUUUGGUAGUCUACAACAACCUUUUCUAAUUUGUUUUUCUGAAGUUUAUGUUAGUAUUUUCUUGAAAUAUAUAUAUAUAUAUGUACAGACUUUCUUAGGUAAUGAUGUCCUUAUUUAUUUUUACUGUGCGGAUUUCCACUUUAGACCAAUUUUUCGUUCGAAUUUUCACAUCUCCACCAUCUAGUCUUUAGAUACUAAUGUAUAGACCAUCUCUACAAAAUUUCAGCCAAUUUGGUUAUCAUUAAGUCACUCAAAACUGUGUUUUUCUGUUAUAAAAAUGAACGGUUCAAGUUCGACAGAAUUAUGUUCAUCCAUUGGUUUAAUCAAGUUUGAGUGCCUUAAUGAUAACCAAAUUGGUUGAAAUUUUGCAGAGAUGAUCUAUACAUUAAUAUCUAAAGACUAGACGGUGGAGAUGUUAAAAUUCGAUUGAAAAGUGAGUCUAAAGUAGAAAUCCGCACCGUAAGAAUAAAUAAGGACGUGUGUAGCAGAGAAAGCCUGAUGUGUGUGUGUGUGUAUUUACACAAAUCAUUUUUUUUCUUGGCUGAGGUCCUGAAUCAAGAAAUUUAUUUUACACUACUUGGUUGCAGGAUUUAAACAACUCCAUGCUGAAGGAAAUCCUGGUAAACAGCAACAUCUCAAGAGCUGCAUGUGUCUUUGUAUACUGCGUUACCACUCCCCUGCUGGAAGAGACUGUUUACCGAGGAUUUUUAUUGGCAUCAAUUUCAUCCACCAUGAAAUGGCAGUCAGCUGUUUUUAUAAGCUCAACUAUAUUUAGUGCAGCUCACUUCUCUGGUGAGAAUUUCCUACAAUUGUUCAUUAUUGGAUGUGUCCUUGGAUGCUCUUAUUGUUGGACUGGAAACUUGAGAUCCUCCAUUUUAAUACAUUCCUUGUACAACGUCAUGACCCUAAUGAUAACAUACUUAUCCUAAGCUCACAUCUAAGUCUCCUUGACAGUUUUGUUAUGUAUCUUGAUUGUGAACCUUCUUUUGUCUCAGGUAAUUGACUACACUAGGCCUCACAUGUGUUUUUAAUCACUUAUUUAAUGUUUAGAAUGGCUUUAAAUGGCAAAAGUUAAUCAUAUAUUAGAUCCUGUAAAGUUUCAGUGACAGAACAGACCCAAAAGAAGAAGAAAAAGAAGCCUAAUCUCUACUUUUGUAUAUUUGAUCAGUAGAAGACUAGAACUUGUUUCAUUCUCUAACAAGAUAAGACAUAUUGCAUAUCCUUGAAGCAGAUCUUGUGUUAUUUGGUUAUCAUUGAUGCCAAGUCUUCAAGUCUUUCUGUUUGUUUCUCUGGCCAAUAGUCAUGAAUUUUGUUUCAGGUACUCUUCCAGGAUUGUCCAUCUUUUUCAGAGUAAGAGAACAUGCAUAAUGUAGUCCAAGCUUAUGGCAUAAACAUUUUUACUUUGCUCAUGACAUCCAGUUAUUCUGAAUCUGUAAAUGUCGUAUAUGUUCUAGUUUGAUUUAGGUGAUGUAGCGGUUGCGGCUUUUUGUUAGUUACGGGAGAAAGCAAACGGUAGAGCUUUUAGUCACACCGUGAAUCCGAAAGCAACCUAUUCCCUUGAGUUUGAAGCUGGUAUGACUGUUGUUUCCCACCUGCCUUUGAUUUAGGUGCAAGUCACCCAGUUUGGUUUCCAGGAUCAGUAACACAUAAUAAUACAGCAACUCUCAUUUGACUGGUGGUUGCACAUCAAGGGGUGCUGACAAGUUGUUGUCAAGGAAGAAGCCAUAAGCCACCACUUGUGUGCGGCACUAUUUGUUAGAAAAGAGAGAUUGGUAGAAAACUAGAACUGGCAUUUGGAUUGGAAUAGGAUUCCAUUUUGCCUUAAUGUGCCAAAAGAUUCUUAUUUUGAACCAGAGAGAGAGAUGGAAUCCUAUUCCUAGAAAAUAGAAAUAGCAGCUGCUGCUACCAUGGCAUCCUAGUUUUGGAGUCUUUAUAUCGUCAGUGAUCAGUCUCUUCCUCUUCCUCUGCAAGUGUUACUUUUGUAGCAACCUCUUCCUCUUUGGCUAAUCAUAACCAAUUAAGAAGAAGAAGAAUCCAGAAAGAAAAGGGAAAGGGAAAGGGAAAGGGAAAGAGAAAGAGAGACCCACGGUGACAUGACAAUAAGCAAGUGGAAAGACAGCUAAUGCUUAUUCCGCAAUCAACGUCGGCAAAGGAAAGCCUAGCCUAUCCUCGUUGGAUGGCCGCCACGUGCGCCCAAUGAGUCAGCCUUUCCUCGUUGGAUGACCACCACGUGUGCCCAAUGAGUCAUUUGAUGGGAGCAUUUCCUCUCCAUGACCGCCACGUGUCAGUCGGUCACUUGUAUGUGUUUAUUUAUACGUGAACACCCCAGACACCUCCAUCUGUUCGUCUAGUUCUAGUCUUCUCUUGUCUCUGUGUUGGUUUGAAAGAAAGAAAAGAAAAGAAAGGAAAGCUUAAGAGGAUCGAGGAAUCAAUGGGCGGGUUUGAGCAUCAAGUGAGGAAGAGGGCCUAUGAGCUCAAGAACAUGGUCAAGAAGGGUGUCAGGGUCGUGGGGAAUUCAUGCAAGAAAGGCUGGUUUAAGGUCAAGCACAUCAGGCGCUAGCCAUGCCACCCCUUUACCUUUCACAUCUCUGUCUCUACCUGCUUAAUUUCUUGAAUCGUUUUUAUUUCAGUUUUGAUUGUAUCAUUCUACUUUGAAGUUUCUUUUACAUUCGGUUCUUGUAUUGCUUUGAUAUUCGUACGUACGUAGUACCUGUGUUCAUAUAUAUAUAGAUAAACCUUCUCUUGCUGUUGUCCAAAUUAAGUUGUGCCUUCGGAAUUGAACCGGUUCUCGAUCACAAAAGUGAUCACUGAUCAGAUCCCUGUUAUUGGCUUUUAUAUCCAUCUUCUUGCAACUGGUUUAUAUUCACAUCUCUUACAGGCUUACAGGCGCCAAUACAACUCUGAUUCACCAACUUUUGAGUAAUAGGCAGGCUCUGUUUAGGUUUUGGAUUGCCCAACAUGUACAGCUCUUAAUUAUUGGUUUUUUGCUUGAUAAAAUUCCAAGAAAUAGAGUCAUAUUUGAUUCAUCUGGCUGAGCAGCGUGUUCUGUAACCGUCUUUUGUUAAAGGACCAGAGCAGAUGAAUCUCAGCCUUCUUCUAUAAGCUUCCUGUUAACAGGCUAGAUCCAGAUGCCGACAUGAUUUUGUGUUUUUAUCUUCUUCCUGUGUACGGAGACUCUAUCAGAUAAUUUUUUGUACAUUGAAAUGGCAAAAAUUGAACUCCAGAAGUCUGCCUUUUCUUUUUCUUUUUCUUUUUGUUGCAUGUCCUCAGUUAGAUGACUGAAAAAUUCUGCUCACGGGCAGAAGCACAGGCUGUCAAUUGGUGAGCUGCUGUAUUUGCCUCCAACAAAUCAUGAACUAAUGAACUAAACGAGAAACUCAUUAAUAUAGUCUACCCGAACUAGUGUUCUUCCUACUUAGUGAACGCAGAUAUGGCAAACAUUAUUGAAAUUGACAUGAAUAAUUAAAAAGUUCUUGGCAAUGAAAUUGAGACGAGAAAGGGAAACAUGUCUUAAGCGGUUAUGCCAAAGAUCAGUGGAGGAGGUGGUGAGGUUGCAGGCUGGUUUGUUGAUGAGGUUUGGAGAAGGGUCGGUGGAGGAUCUCUUCAUCGCUAAAGCCACCAAGUAGUAUAAACCGUCACGCUCCUUACCUAAACCAAUCAUCCUCGUCGUAGCUAAAGUCUGCAAAACACAUCAAUAAGAAAAAAAAGGUCAUGAAACAAUGUAAGCCUCUAGUUAGCGGACUAACAAACAUUAAAUCCACCUUAAGGUAGGCAUACAUAGCACAUCAUGUAAAUAAUAUGCAGAAUUUAAAGGAAAUGAUCCCUUCGCAAUAAUAUGGGAGGUAGUGAACAAUUCUUUGCUCCAGAUGAAAAUAAUUUUGAGGACGAAGGAAUAUGGUCUGUUGCACCACUAUCAAUGAUCCAGCGAUUACGGGAGGUGUAUUGUAUAUGGAAUUAGUGAAAGUUUUAAAGAAGUCUAUGGAAUUUGAAAGUCUAGGUGUAUUCAAUACAGACUUUUAAAAAUCAAUCAAAGUCUGGGUGUAUUCAACUAGAUUUUAAAAAAUCAUUAUGAAUUCCACUAAAGUUUAAAGGUAUUCAAUUAAAAGAUUUUUUAAAAUGAUUAAAAGUUCAGAUGUAUUCAAAAUAUUAUUCAUACUUAUGAAAUUAAUAACUCAUGGAUAAUGAACUACACAUUUGUUACACAAGACAGGCCAGCAUACUUACCAACAUAUACGCAAAGCGCCGCACCUCUCUAACCCUAGGGAGAGAGCGAACUCACAGAGACAAAUCGCGCCUGUCCGGCUGCGCCACGCCGCCAGCGACGGUCUCUGACCUUGCAGGUGUACGCGAGGUUCGGCCGGACGGGUUAAGCUAAGUCCUUGGCUCGGAGAUGCUUGGGUAGGCUCUUCCUUUCCUCUAUGGCUGAAGAUUUCAACCGCCCCGGGAACGAGUGAAAGUGGAGAUUGGAGGACGUUUUAGAGUAGGCAAGGCUUGAUCGAAGAUAGGAGGGUCUCGACAUCAGGCAAUCUCUGUCUGAUCUCUUGGUCGGGCAAGGUUUUGUAGGUUUGAUGUUGGAUACUUUAAUCUCGUUUCACUUUGUGAUUUCUCCUAGAAUGAAGCGGCGACUGGUGGCUGUUGACGGUCGUCGGCAGGUUUGGACGGCGACGGGACGAGUUGCAGGUCCGGCUUCAGGGUGGCGAGAGGGCGGUGGCGGGGUUGAGAUCUGGGCUGGUAGAACUGGUUUUGCCCCAUCUAAUCAGAUCUGGGCUUGGACUCAAAAUGGGCUGAAGUUGGGCUAGGGCUUCCUUUCGGGCCCUAGUUUGCUUUCUUCUAUGUUAAUUACUUUCCUUAGUUUUUUUCUAAUUUCUAAGCCCAUAUUUUGGGCCUCUAUGGUUUUAAAUUAGUUUUACUAGUUUAUUUCCAACUAAUCCCUAUGUAGGUUUCUAGGAACUAAGUAGGUUUUGAUGCUUGCAGAUUAUGAUAUGUCUUUUACAUCUAGAUAGUGAACACUUUCUGUCAUACCGCGAUUGAGCGUCUUGGCGACAGAAGUUUUCAAGCAAAAUUAUCUCUAUGUAGGGCUAGAUUAUAGCUUCCUAGGCUCAUCGUCGAUGAGCGACAAUGUUCAAUGUAAUAGCACGUGAAUCACCUCAAUUCGUUUGGGUUUGUAUCGGUGUCAUUCUAGCUGCGACUAUUAAUACAAUGGGUUUUAAGCCCACCUUUGCGUCAAAAAAAAAUAACUCAUGGAUAAUUGUAGACUUUGUAGUGUAAAUUACACACACCAAACUCUAAUAUUUUUCCAUCCACUAGAGCAAAGAUUUGGAAAAGUCUACGACAAACUUUUUCUUUACAUGUGAAUAGGUUGAUUCUACGAUACAUCUUCUUUUUUUUUUAAAUAAUAUUUUGUGCUAUCAACGUUCUAUUCUACUUAUUCUUUUCAAUGUUUUUUGAAUGUUAAUAUUUUGUUGUCUUUCAAUUGUAAUGCUUGGAACCCUCGAUAACCUAAAUAUUAUCUACUAACUCUUGAUAUUAGAACCACAUGAUCAUAUAAUAAUAUUUGCGUACAUGAAUUAAACUUGUGAACAUCUAAUGUCCCAUUUUAGAACAUGUGUCUUUGGUUUACAUACAAAUAUGCGUGUUAUUAAGUUAAUAUAAUCUUUUUCGUUACCUAUGUUUAUGUAUUUCAAUCAAAUAUUAUAACUGUAUGCAUCGAAAUUAGAUAGAUGAGCACUAAACUUAUAAUCAGUGUUAUUAUGUGUUUGUCAUUGUAUCUUUAUUUUUAUUUUUUCUUUCCUGUAACUCUGUAAAUAUUGAGAAAUCUACAGAAGUCAUUCAUAUGAAAUCUAUAGAUUUCAGAAAUCAGUGAAAGUCUAUGAACUUUUCAAAGAGUCUGUAGACUUUUCAAAGAGUCUGUAGACUUUUCAAAAAGUCAGUUGAUUAAAAUAAGUCUGUAUGAAUCUAAAUACAAUACACCCCCCUACAUGAGAUUUUAGACAAACCUGGUGGAGUUUUCUGUUUAGUUGAGGCUACAUUGGCUCGAGUAUUGGUACCUCCAUUUUUAACAUUCAGAAUAGACACAAGCUGUUGAAGCUGCUCUUCGGAAAUUCCAGACACCAUAGACUUAAAAUCUUCCUUGGACAAUCCUUCAGAUACUUUAUUGGCGACAUAAUUAUGAUCAUGAUUCCCAGCUAAUAUUUAUUUAUUCAAAUGCUCCUUUGGGUGACCUGGAGGAUAACCAAUUAAUUUGUAACAAGUUUCAACAAAAUGUCCCUUGUCCCCAUAGUGUGCACAUUCCAGAACGCCCUCUGAAAGGACAUGAACGACGUUAAGCCUGAUUGGGACAUCGUCCAUCUUGAGAGUUGUAAGAACAAUCAGAUCGUCCAUCUUGUGAAUUGUAGGAGCGAUCAGACCGCUCGGCCACUUGAUUGGGAUGUCGACCAUAUUGGUUAGGUCGAUUGUUUCGGACAGCCAUAGCAGCACUUGUGCUAGAGUCUGCAACCUGUGUGGCACUAAGCAACCUCUGUUUUUCCUCUUGGCAAAGAUAUCCAUAAGCCUAACGAACUGAUGGGAGAGGACUCAUCAGAAGAAUUUGCCCACACACUGCAUUAUAGGAAUCAUUUAAACCCAUCAGAAAUCUGUGUUAGGAAAACCAAUCUGCUGCUUCAAAACAAGCAAUCAGUUUCUAGGAUAACCCUUGUGUGCAUGUUUGUUUGUUUGUUAAGACAAAGGCCCAGUUUGAGAGGGUUGUGAUUAAUUUUUAAAGGAAAAUGAUUCUUAGCCUUUUUUUUAUUGAAAAAUACUUUAUUGAACCAGACUGUCAAACAUCAAUAAGAAUUACAUCAGAAGGCUUCUCAAAAAAGAAACCCAGGACUAGCUUCUACUAUGAGCAACAAUAACUUCAUGAAGCCAUGGGGGCCCUGAUUCAUAACAAAACAUAGACUGAACCAUCUUCAAAGCAUGUCGAGCAAGAGUAUGAGCAAUCUUGUUUUGGCGCUUACGCACAUGUUUCUAGGAUACCCAUUCAAACUCUGCCUUCAUCCUACGAACUGCAUCCAUAAUUCCUCCAAUAUCGCUCAAAUCAAGUACAUUCCUGCCAAUUGCAUUGAUCACAUUGACCGCAUCUCCUGCAAUCGCCAACUCUGUUACCCCCAUUUGUAUACACAAUUUCAUCCCAUGCCAAAGUGCUAAAGCUUCGAUGAUAUGGGGUUUGAGAACAGCUUCCAUAGGCACUGAAAUGACUCCCAUCAGCCUUAAUAAAGCUUAAGAUUUAUGUCACCUAGACACAUCGCCAAUUAAAAAGAUUAUGUCAUGUCAUUCUUAAGCAAAAAAUACAAUCUUAUCUUUCCAAACCCAAUGGCUCUAGAUUAUUUUGUCUUUUUUUUAAAUCAGAUUAUUAAUUUUGUCUUUUUAUUAAGAGAAAAAUAUUGAUUUGUCUUGCUUUUAUAAUUAAAAAAUAUAUAUUUUUUGCAUUUUCUUCUCAUCACUAUCAUGCUUAGAUUAAACGUAACAUAUAAUGUGAAAAUACGUAUAUUUCUGAGAAUAUACUUGUUCAAAAACACGAAUUCUUAUGAUACACACACACACACACAUAUAAUUUGUCCAAGAAAAAACAAUUUGGUCCAGGAUUUUUUACUAUAUAUAUAUAAUUCACCCAAAAUAAAGUAUAUAUAUAUAUAUACGUAAUCAUCCCAAAAAAAUUCGAUACAGAUUUUUCUAUUCUUUAUUUUAUUUUAAAAAUUCGAUGCAAGAUAUGCAUGGCUUAUAUAUAGAUAUCAUAAUUUUAAACUGCAAAAAUAAAAUAUUAAAAUGGAACCAAAUUUCGAUUCACAAAGAUAGAAGGAAAUUUACGAAAUUGAUUUAUGAUAUAAAAGCCUAAUUUGAUAUGAUUAUUAACUUGGUCAUUAUUAUUAAUAAAUUAACUUAACUUAGUAUAUACGGAUCUAUAUUAAAAGGGUAAGAAAAUAUUUCAUAUUAGUACGUAGCAUCCAUUAAUUAUUAAGGUUAAGGUUGUAUUUUUACCUAAGAAUGAAGUGACAUGAUUUAUUAAAUUGGUGAUGUGUCUAUGUGACAUGACAUUCCACAUAGGAUUAAGACUAUAAAUAUUAGGUCUUAUUAAGGCCCUCUAGCACUACCCAUUUUUAAAUCAACUUUAGAUAUGUUGUGAGAAUAAUCAACUGUGAAAUUAACUAAUUGAUUGUUUGGUAAAUUGUGCUUUUAAAAGUGUUGCGAGUACAAAAACAGUUGGAAAUAACUUUUGUUGGUCAUAACUUCUUCACACAGACAUUGUUUUGUGUGUGAUGCAUGCCCACGAAUUUGUAUUGCUGAGCUCUACAACAUCUGUGAGGAGAGGUUUAAGAAAACCAUAACCGAUGAAAGUCAACUUUUGAGCAUUUGAAAAGGACACGUUUUUGAUAAUUUAAAUCUCCAAAAUACUUGAUCUUCAAAACGAUUAAGUAAAAAUUUCGAAAUGUGAAUUUCCACCACUCAACCUUUUAUUAAUUUUGAAAAAAUAGGAAAAAUUAAUAUUCGGAAUGGGGUCACUACAAUGUUUUACAAAGAUAAUGAUACUUAAGUAUUAGAAAAAUUUGUGCCAUAGAGCAACGACGACUCUUGGUUGCUACUUGCGUGGGGGUAUCGACAUCAUUCCUUCAGAAUCAGAGGCUUGGGUUAGGUUUCGUUCUUUGGCAGCGGAGAUCAAGUUUGUAGAGGCAAACAUUCGACAUCCUCUUGGCAGCUCAAAGGAGGAGUCGAGGCGUUUCGAAUUUCCAAGCAAACGUAACUGUGUAGUGGUAUCGAGAACGUUGAAGCAAACGUGCAUGUAUCAAAUCUCGUUCUUAACUGGGUAGAGGUACAAGAAGAGACUUAGGAGGCGGUCACGGCGAUGCGAAUCCUUUCGAUAAGGUUGCAGGAGGUUCUUAGCGGGGCCUGGAAGGGAUGGGUGUCUAGGGGGCCGUCAGAUUGAAUUGGCGACGGUAGCAGUUCCGGCAACCCUAGCCUGGAUUUGGUUUCAAUUGGGUUUGAUAGUGGUUGGGGUGCUUGUGGGUUGGGCCUUUGGCUUCAACCUAUUGCCAUCUUCUUUCUGUUAUUGGGCUCUUUUGGACUGUGAUCUAGCUUAAUGUUGGGACUCUAUGACAAGAUCCCUACAUCACCAAAUCGAGGAGUGAAUCCUUUUUUUGUUGGAAAGGUACACCUGAUUGGUCUUAAGCCUUGAUUCACUGAGCUGGGUACUUUGGUUUGGUUAUGUAGGUUACUUGCUUUCUAGGCCAAAAUAAGUCCCAAUUUGAACAUUAGUUUUAGAGACAUGUUUCAUAAGAAGCUUUUUGUAUAUGAACUUGUCCUCGAACAUCUUCGGGUUUGACCUAGUAUGGUUGUAUAAUUAAUAGAUGGGUUGUACGCCCUGUAGAGUAACAUCCAUUUCCUUCCAAAAAAAAAGUACUAGAAAAAUUGAAGGAUGCACAAUCAAAUUGAACUUAAGAAACAAAACUCUUUUGAUGUUGAUUUUUUUUUUCCUUUUAAAUGUUGAGGCUGAUUUUCUGGGAUCGGAUUUGCUCUUUUCUCUUUACAUUGAGUCCAGUCUCUCCUUCUAAAUGAAGCUAUUUGUAAUUCUAUCAUGUCAUUUUCACACCCCAAUUUUCGAAGGAUAAAUUUUCAAAAAUUUGGGCAUGAUAAAACUCAAAAUCUUAAUAUCCCACAACCUGCUCAACAAUUUCCAAAUUAAAAACAAAUACUGGAAAUGUAAAUGUUGAUAGACUCAUCAACCGAGUUAAACAUUUAAUCUCUUUAAUUACAUCAACUUCCAAAAGUCUAGAAAUAAACUACUUCGCUCACAUGAGCUUAAAACAACUACCAUAAAAUACAAAUAAAUGUAUAUCGUCAAAAACCCAGCUCCUAAGCCACUGCCUCAACUCUGCUGAUCAUCACCUGUAGGUCUAACCCCUACACCAUGAAUUGGUGCACCGGGUUGUAAACAACAAACCCGGUAAUAAGCUAAAAAGCUCGUAUGAGUAACUCCCAAAAUAAUAACCCAACAAUCCCAACAUCACAUAUAAAUUAAAAUUGGUAAUUCCUGCAUUAGCAACUUAGUUCAGGAAUCGCCUAAAAGCAAGAGAAUUCAAAAGAAACAAUUAAGAAAACACAAUAAUUUAAAAUCACUCAAAAUCAUAAAUGAAUCAUAUAAAUAAACAUAGUUCAAGAAUUCUAUUAAAAUCACACAAUUAAGAUUUAAGAAUCUCCUGCGGAUAUGCAUAGUUCAGGAGAUACUCAAAGCAAGAAAUUUAAACAACAUAUAAAAACAUCACACAAACAUUUCUCUACUCUUACUUAUGAGUUCGCUAACACUUAGUCAUCCCUCAUAAGUAACCAAACAAAUACGUACUCAUGGGUUUGUCAACACGUAGUCAACCCCCAUGAAGUACCGACAGACAGAAUAGAGCUCUAUACUGACCGUAACCAAUCACCCGGCCAAGGCUUGGUUCCCGGUCCACCACGAAGGCUCCUAAUCUAAGAAUCACCACUAAGACACACACAUACACAACUAAUGCACACAAUCACCACUAAGGCACACAUUCAAAUACUCUCCCAUCAUAACACUUAUCAAAUCACAAAAUAUAAUAUAAUCAUAACCGUAACCAAUCACCCGAUUAAAGGCUUGGAACCCAGUUUGACUAUUUAAACAACAACACAAGAGCACUUCAUAAAUUAUAUCUUUCCACCUAGAUAUAUGUAUAUAACAAAAACAUAGAUAUUCCCACCACAAUAAUAUAACAACAACCAUAUUUCAACAUCACAAAAUCACAUGAUCGGAAGUCCUUUUGAAAGAUUUUAUUUUACUAGAAAACAUAUUUUCACUUACCCAUGAGCCGUUAACGAUCAAGCUCAUUUAUUUAUUUUUAAAACAAAAAUCAUUUUCAUUUAAGGACAACUUCACAACUAACAAUAAUAAAAUUAUAAAAUAAACUCGGUUCCUUAUGAACCCAUGUGAGAUUUACUCACAAUAUAACAAUAGCAUCGUAAUCAUCACAUCAUCAACAUUUCCAUCAACAUCAUCAUCAUCAUCAUUAAUCUCAUCAUCAUCAAAAUUGUCAUCAUAACAAUUAUCAUCAUCAUCAUCAUCAAAAUCAACAUCACAAUCAUCAUCAUAAUCAUCAUCAAAAUCAACAUCAUAAUCAUCAUCAUAAUAAUUAUAAAUAUUUGGUCCCAAAAUGGACCUUGGUGAGAUGUUACUCACCUCAAAUCCAGCUGCGUCUUCGCACGCACAACACAAGCAUAUAGCUCAAAACCAAACUCUACAAGUCAUCCAAUUAACAAAAACGUUAACCUUAGUAACUAAUAAAAUACGACUUCUACACUUGUUUUCAUAAGCUCAACCACCUCGCAAUAACUUAAACAAGCUAAACAAGUCAACCAACAACACUAACACUAUCAGACAGGUUGCCACAGGCCGCCGCAGACAGCGGCGUGUGGGCCCCACACACCCCCGAAGAACUUCACCAAACCCUAACAUGCUCAAGCAACUCUACAACCUAAAAUCUACAUGCUCAUGUGCUCGUAUCGAUGAGCACCACCAAACAAGGACUACAGACCUCCCAAACCCUUGCCAGAUGCGCCGUAACGCGCCACCACCGACGGCAGCGAGUGGGUCCCACGCGCCACCCCAAAACUUCUGAAAUAGGGCAAACUCCCAACACAAAACUUGUAGAUUGAAGAGAGGGGAGCAUCUUUUAUACCUGAGGUUUCACCUUAAUCGGCCGGAGCACGCCGGAAAACUCGCCGGAAGGUGGAAAUCCACCACCGUAACUCUACACCGUGAGUCGUGCUAGGAGACUACCAGAAAACAAACCAGGGCACCAAGGAGUGUCUAUCCCGACCGGUUCCAAGCUGCGUCGCCGCCGUCGGAGGGGAGAAUUCCGGUCGGGUUGCAAACCGGGUCGCCGCCCUCAUUUUUGGCGCUCGAUUAGCGUCGAUCUGCCCGAGUCGUCCUCACUCACCAACACAGGGAGGGUUGCGCCGAGGAGAGAAAGAUUUUCCGACCGGUGCCAUCGUCUGGGUCGGCCGGAGUCGGCCGAAAAAGUCGGGUCGGGUCGGGUCGGCUGGGGUUUUGGAUUCUCUCGGGGUCGGGGAGAGAGAAGGAGAGGGGGAGGAUUUGGGUUUCUGAAAAAAGUGAGGACUCAAAAGAAAACUUUCCUAUUUAACCCAAAAUUCCCGUAAAGCCACGAACUUCCGCUGACCAUAACUUUGUCAUACGAAGUCUGUUUUACGCGUGCAACGUGUCUACGAACUCGUAUCGUCAUGCUCUACAACUUUCGUGAAGGAAGUUUCUCGAGAAACCCAACGGAUUAGAAACUCAACUCUUGACCCUUCAGAACCAUAAAACCGUUUCAGGUAAAAUAAGCAUCCGAACGUUUCCGCUCUUCCUUUGAACCUCAAAACACUCUAACUUCUAACUCAUAAAUUCCCAAAUAAUAGUAGAAACUAAUAUUAAAUUUCCGGGGUAUUACAGUCAUCAUCUCAAUCACCUUUGGAGUAGAGAUUGUGCACCCUAUAGUUGUGCUAUCUCAUUUGUAGAUCGUUUGCGCUGUGUGCAAUUUUUUUUUCUCUAUGUUUUUCCAUAUUUUAUUUUACUGACUUCUUUGAUAACAACAUUAUUAACCUUCUUUCAUGUUUUCAAGUUUAAUUGAACAAUAUAUCUUUUAAGUCAAAAGAAAACAUAAACCGUUUACUCGUUCAAUAACAUCAAACAAUGUACGACUAGCCAUGAGUUUGCUAACUUUCACUGAAAUUUUUUAUUUGUUUGAUGAUAUUGGAUAAGUAAACGAUUUCUGUUUUUCUUUAAUUUUUUAUCGAGAUAAUCUUUAGAGAUUGAAUUGUUUUAGAUCAUAUACAUUGCCCAAUAUAUAGAAAUAACAUAAAGUUUGGAUACAGGUUUGGAUGUAACUAUUUUCCAAUUCCGAACAAGCGAAUGGGCCUUCUUCAAUCCAAACUUGAAAUGCACGAAACAAAAGCACAUUUCAAGUGCCUUCGAAACUCUUCCACAAUGGCUCUUCGAAACUUUUUUGGAUCAAUCCAUAUACCUUUUCUUAAAAAAAAUAAAAAAAAUAAAAAAAAAAGCACGAAGGGGCAAUCCAGACCGUUGACAGUUUAGACCUUAUCUGAAAUGGAACACACCUAAAACUAACUAAAGGCACAUUUCGUGGGUCGAAUACGAAUAUGCCACUGGUCCAACUCUUACGGUAGUCUGCGAAGCCGAGUAUUGUAACUCGGCCUAGACAAUGUUUAGGUUAAAAGGCCGAGCCGAAAAUGAUUAAUCUGAAAAUUGAAUUCUGACCAAAUUAUCGACGGUUUCCCCAAACACCUACGGCGGCGAGUUUCUGUUGAAAUGGAGAUGGCUAUGGAGGAGUCGUGCUCUCAUUCGCUUCUCUUCCUUGCUCGCCACGCCCUUCAAUCUGACGGACGAACUCCUCGCUUUCUGAAGAAUCCUAUACAGAGUACGCCGCCAAUAUCUAGUUGUUGGAUUUUCCAAGCUUGUUUCUAGAUUUACCUCGUUUUAUAUCUUGUCGCCCAAAGUUGUAAUUAGAGGGUUCGAAACGGACUUGGUGUUUUAGAUUCUGGUGAAUUUGUCUUUAUUUUGCUGAUAUUUGUGAACAACAUAGGUCUUUAAAUUUCUAGGGAUUUGGGGUUUUAAGGUGAAUUGUCUUUGAAUUUGAGUAUCUAAGGUUUCAAGUGGUUCUUGAAUGUUCUCUGGCAACGCACACAAAUAUUGGUCGGUGGAACUUUUAAUCUUUUGUUAGGUAUUUGAAUGGCGGGGAGGUGGGACGUUGGGGUUCCCAAGACUAAUGCUUGUAGUCUUCGAGAGCAAGCAACAAGAACAAUUCUUCGCAAUGUGAGGUCACAAGGGCACUCAUAUGUUGAGGUCCGAGAAGAUGGGAAAAAGUUCAUUUUCUUCUGUACUCUGUGUCUUGCCCCAUGCUAUAGUGAUAAGGUGCUCUUUGAUCAUCUCAAGGGUAAUCUUCACAAUGAAAGAUUAGCCGCUGCUAAGGUUACUCUUUUACGACCAAAUCCUUGGCCUUUCAAUGAUGGCGUGGUUUUCUUUAAUAAUUCAUAUGAGACUGAUAAAGGGGUAGUGACUCCGGAUGACAAUAAAUGUAGGAUGUUGGAGUCUCAUGACAAUGAGAACAAUCUUGCUAUUGUCAAAUAUGGUGGAAAUCUGAAAACCAAUGGCUAUGAUCAUUGUGGUGUUGAUGGGCUUGAGUGUAAUGAGUAUAUCGAUUUGCAAGGGUUGCAGUCAAAUGUUGGAGAUUCAACUGCUGAUGGAGCAAAGUCCUCUGUGGUGAUCCCUGGUAUUGUGGUUAGGGAUGAAAUUACUGAUUUAGAAGUGAGAGAGGUGGGUUUGGGAGAAAUUGCUGCAAGGUUCCUUGGGAAAGAUGGUAUUGGUAGAAUAUGGUGUGAAUGGUUGGGAGUAAAAUCUAUAGACAGUGAGGAUUUAUGCAAUGUUCCUGAGCACGAUUUCGCUGUUGUUACCUUCAGUUAUAAUAUUGAUUUGGGUAGAAAAGGUUUACUUGAUGAUGUAAGGAUGUUGCUCUCAUCCAGCCCUACAAUAGAAUCAGGGAAUGGUGAAGGCACCGGUUGUAAGAGAAAGAAAUCCUUCUCUGACCCUGAGGAUAUCAGCGAUUCUCUAAGUAAUCAGUACGAGUCAUUUGGGGAAGAUUCCUCUGCUUCCAGUGGUACAGCAUCUAGGUUGCUUCUAGACCAUUAUGAUGAUCAGUUACUGAAUACAAGAUUUAUAUUGAACAAAUCUAUAAGGCGAGAGCUCAGACGGCAACAGCGUUUAGCGUCAGGAAGAAUGUGUGACAUCUGUCAACAGAGGAUGCUUCCUGGGAAAGAUGUAGCAACUCUCAUGAAUCUGAAGACUGGAAAGCUUGCUUGCAGUAGUCGAAAUGUGAACGGGGUGAGAGUCCUACACAUCUUACAUCCUUUUGCUUUUGACCAUACCAAUGUUUUGUAAUCGGCACCUUCUUCUUCUUCUUUUUUUUUCUUUCUAAUUCAUGUUCCAAAUUACAUUCUGUCCAUGUAUCUGGAUUAGCAAGUAAUGCACAUAUUUUAAUUUAUUUUUACAUGCAGGCUUUUCACGUGUUCCAUACUUCUUGCCUUAUACACUGGAUACUUCUGUGUGAAGUUGAGGUAAUCACAAAUCAGAAUACUGGUUCAAAAGCGAGGAGAAGGUCUAGGAGGAAAACUGCGGCCAAGUGCAAUGGAAAAGAUGCUCAGUUGAAAUCUUUGAGCCCACAAAUUUAUUCUGUAUUCUGCCCAGAGUGCCAGGGUACUGGUAUUGUUGUUGAUGGAGAUGACCUGGAGAAACCGAAUCUUCCUCUGUCUCAGGUUUGCUCUUUGCAGACAGUUUUGACCUGAGUCUUUGUUAUCAAAUUAUGCUCUCCCUUUUCUUUUCUUUUUUCCUUUUCCUUUCACCAUUUUCCUCUUCUUCUUUUUUUCUUCCUUUUUUUCUUUUUGGAUACAAGGGGGCCAAAAGACCCAAACAAAGAAAAGAGCAGAAACUAGAUAGCUCUAGCUACGUUCCUAAACUUAGCAGUAUCACACAAGUCAUCAAGAGCAGCAUUAACAACUUGUGUGUACAUAUCACACUAGGUUGCUGAAAAUAUUGUUUCACAAUUUUCCUCUUUAAGUGGAGAGAAAUAUAAAGAAAACGUGUUUCCCAAUGAAGCACACAAGAUUUGUGAAGAGUGUGCAUAUAUUUUUCUUCCUUUUUUUUUCUUUGGUUGUUUUCUUUUUCCCUUAUAAUACAAUAAUUGUGAAGCUUUAUAAGAUAAAAUCUUUUUCAAAUCUUCUUAUAUGAAAGAAAGAGGUAGGCAGGUCAAAACCGUCGUUAGUUGCUUCUAACUGUGGUGUAUAUGUUAAUGUCAGAUGUUCAGGUAUAAGAUAAAGGUGAGUGAUGCACGUCGAGCAUGGAUGAAGAGUCCUGAGAUGUUGCAGAAUUGCUCGACUGGUUUUCAUUUCCCCUCCCUAAAUGCAGCAGGAAUCCAGGUUUUUUGAGGGAUUGCUAUUUUCCCAUUAUAAAUGAGACUAACAAUCAUCAUUCCCGAUUAACAUUUACUUCUUUACUUGGUCUAGGAAAAGGUGAAAACACUAAAGUUGCUGCGUUUCUAUAGAGCACAUGAAUAGAGAGGUGGCUUCAAGAAUACAAGGGAGCCUGCAACUGUGUUUAGCUGGCGUAGCAUGUGUAUUUCACACAGGUUAUGUAUAUGUGGUGUACAUUGCUGGCCUGGCAUAUGUCUACUUAAGACUGAUUUCAUUCCAUGAAUUAAUGGCAAUAACGAUUUGUAAUUAUAUUGUAAAUAACUAAAUACCUUAUCAGAUAGAUUAUUGCUAUGCUCUUGAACCUGACUCGAUUGUCACCUGUGACAAUAUUUCUGGUUCAUCCUUUUCUCUUCACGUGGUUCUACAUUUUAAUUAUCAUUCCUUCCAUUGGGGUUGGUCUAGUCUGGUGUGAUGCGUUUUAGUCAGUGAAACGAGGCAGGUUUAGGCCAUCUUCAGUAAAGGAGAGCUAUAUCGGGAUCGGGAUCAGGGCUAAAUUUUUUAAAUUCUUGAACAAGUGAACAAAUAGAGAAAUUGUAUUCACACAUACCAGAUUUAUUAAUAUUAAAUACACAUCUUUAUUUUUUAAAAUUUUGAUGAAGAUUAUAUACACAUCUUUAAUGCAAUUUUGUCCCUUUGAUGAAGAUGAACAAAUAAACAAAAAGAAUGUAAAAACAAAAAUUAUAUACAAAUCUACAACUCUAAAAAUCCUACAGUAUGUAAACUUCCUAGUGAUAUCAAAUUUUCAUACUAUUUCGAUUGAUUGAAAAUCUUAAAGUUUUUUUUUGUCUGUAGAAAUCUUAAAGGUUAUUUGAAUAAAUUUAAAAAAAUAUAUAUCGUCAAUCACUUUGUCUCCAUUGAUUGUUUGUUAAACUUCAUUUGCUUACCAAUUCGAUUUGAUUUUAGUUGAAUUAGUAGUAUUGAUCAUAAAAAGACAAAAUUUAAGUUACAAAAAAAAAAUAGGUGUGUGGAUUUCACAACCCAAUAAUUAAUGUCAACUAAAUUUUGUAAUGUUAUGCAUAUUCAAUUAAAUUUUUAGAUACCAUUGGAUUACAAGAGUUAAUUGACAUGGACCAUUGGAUAUGCUUUUUGGCAUGAGGCACAUGGGUUGCUUUAAAAUAAGGGAUGUGAAAUCCACACCAUUUUUCAUUUUUUAGUUAACACAUUAAUAAAAAGACAAAACUUAAGUCGGUAAAAGACAAAAUUUAAGUUUACAAAAAAGAAAAAUAGUAUGUGGAUUUUAAUUUAGAGUGUGUGGAUUUUACAACCCUAAAAUAAUGUUAAUUGAUGUUGUUGUUCUAUAGGUCCCACAAGAGCUAAAGGGUUGGCUAUUUUCAGCCUUCUCCACCACCCUUGAGCCGUAAUAGCUCUUUUGACCUAAGAGCUAAAGGGUUUGCUGUUUUCAGCCCUCUCUUUAGCUAUGAAUGUGGACAACCUUCCUCCAUAUCAACAAAUCAAGUUGAAAUUCAUCACAAUUUAUUAUUUAAUUUAGAGUGUGUGAAUUUCACAACUCUAAAAUAAUGUUAAUUGGUGUUAUUGUUCUAUGGGUCCCACAAGAGCUAAAAGGUUGGUUAUUUUCAGCCCUCUCUACCACCCUUCAGCCGUAAUAGCUCUUUUGACCUAAGAGCUAAAGGGUUGGCUGUUUUCAGCCCUCUCUUUAGCUAUGAAUGUGGCAACCUUACUCCAUAUCAACAAACCAAGUUGAAAUUCAUCGCAAUUCAUUAUUUUGGCUCAACAAUUGGUGAAGAAUACCAAAAACGAAGCACAGAAGCUGCAUCACAAGUUCCCGAACCUAAAACCAAAUAAGUCUAUCGUAAGUUGAAAAUAUGGAAAAUGGAACAAAAUAUGCAGGAUUUGAAUAUGUAGAUUCAAUCCUUUGUCAAAAUUUCCCGAACCUAAAACCAAAUAAGUCUAUCGUAAGUUGAAAAUAUGGAAAAUGGAACAAAAUAUGCAGGAUUUGAAUAUGUAGAUUCAAUCCUUUGUCAAAAUUAAAACAACAGACAAAAGAACAUAAGAUUUACUAACAACAAUGUAAACCUCCCUCGAAACGUCAUUGCGAGACUUUUAAAAUAGUCCACACUAAAUCAAAUCUAUUAUAGAGUAAGAAUGAUUAAAGAUCUAUCUAAUGCUAUUCAACACAAUCACUUUACAAGUAUUCCAAACUAACUUGAUUCCAAACUGUUAACCCUAUUCUAACUCUCCUUAAAUCUAAGUUGCACACAAGAAGGAACUAAACACGUCUUCAAUGCUUUCCGAUCUCAAUUACUAUAAGAAUGACAGAUGCAAUGAUACAAGCAUAUAAUAUGACAAUGAGUAUUCACAAAUAGUAUGCAGACAACAACAUGCAUAUAUGAAUAUUUUGACUCAAUAAGACUCUGUAUUUUGGUAGAGUAAUUUCAUGUCUAUAUAUAGGGAGAUAUAGCGUCCUCUCAAAUCGAUCACCAUUGAUCACUGAUUGGGAUAAACAUGAAAACUAAUUUUGAAAACAGAAUCAGAUAUAUUUUCAUGUGAUAGGCGUUACGAAACUGGUACGUUCUCAAUUAACCCAGCAUUAUAGUAUAGAAUAAGCGGGGUAUCGUUCAAGUCGGGGACUAAGGGCUAACCUGCAAACAAUGAUCAAAAGAGUAAAUAAUUAUCAAUAUACAAAUGUAAACGUAAUACAAAAGGGUGGGGGGGGGGGGGGGGGAGGGAUUUGUUUGCUUGUUCUAAGUUCCUACUAAAAAGUAAAGCAAAACGAAAAAUAAAAUAUAUACAAGUGUGAUUCUUCCACAUACAUCAACCAACAAUUUCAGAUACAACAAACAGGACAACAUGCUUCAAGUCACACGACCAAUCUUAUUGUGAUAUCAGAAACAAAUUCGAAAUGCAAGCCUAAAGAGGUCAUGCAUCCCAUUAACUCCACUUACUUUAUCUCUUAAGUAUAGAGAAGUCUAGAACCUAAGAUAUUUCAUGUAAAGGCUGCUAUAGAUAUUCAGCGUCGACUUAGCAUACCCGUCUACCUAAACAUGAAUCAUUAAGAGCUAUAGAAUUCUGAUGUUGAACAUGCUCAAGUUUACAUAAUGCUGCUUAACUUGUAAACAUGUAACACAUAGUCUCGACUAUUAUUACAUAACCUUUACUACUUAAAUUCUGCCUAAAACUAUUAGGUGAAUUAGUUCGGAAACCUAGCAACACUAACCUGUAUAUUAGAGUUUUAGUGAAAACACAACUAUGCAUUUAAUGAAAUCACAAAGCAUAAAAUUGAUCAUAUGCAAUCACAAACCAGUCGAAACAUGCUUGAAUUUAUUCUGAAAAUUAACCUAUUCAUGUUCUUAACAACCAACCAUUCCAACUUUGAAAUCCAAUAACAGAAAACAAAGACUAAUAACAAGAUAGAAGAAACAAGCCAUGAGUUACACUUUAUGAAUCUUUAAGGAAGCUUGACAUGUUCGAAGGGUCAAACACGCUUAAUACUUCUCAGCGGCCUUCUGGAGAAGUCAUACAAAAGUGUCGGCUUGGAUUGCUUCUUGGUUGGAUAGAGCUGUCGAAAGGAGAAGGAAGGCUAACGUUGUUUCCUGAUUUUUGUGUGAAAGAAUAGAUGAUUGAGAAGUACAAAAGAAGAGAUGUUUACCUCUUUGUGCUCAUGAUGACUCUAUAACAACAAAACAUGUCAGAAAUGACAUUAUUACGGAAAUAACGUAGCCAAAUAGGAUAGGAAAUACAUUAAAAUCAUAACAUAUUAUGCGUCUAUCAUCAUGACAAAUAAAUCUAAUAAGUAUAACACACUUUUUCAAAACAAUAUGAUGAUAGUGAAUGAAUGAAUAUAAUUAUCAAUCAUAUUAGAACUUCUUUCCGUACGCAUUUGCAUAUCAGAAUAUAUGGAGUUUAAUUCCAAUAUUAAUACCAAUCAAAUCAGAACUAAUAAGGAAAAUCAACCAGAUAUUCAAGCACAUAAAACCUAUUACACAAAACACACGCCCUAAAUGGAAUGAAUAUCACCUGCAAUAAAACUCGUUUAGCAAAGUAUCAAGAAAUGAAUGAUAUCCAAUUUAUUGAGAGUUUAUUUUUUUAUAGGAAUGACAACACAUGAAUAUUAGGCCUACAAUCUCCCUCUUUGGCAUUCUUAUACAAAACACCUUAUCCAAAUCACAAAACCUGAAACAUUCUUAACAAACAACCAAGUGAGAAGAAAGAGAAACAAAUGAUGAAAAUACUUUCAAAGUCACACAUGAUCAGAGCAUAUUCUAAAUAACAUAUCCUAAGCACAACACUAUUCCCCUUUUUGUUUAGGAAUGACAAAAGGACACCAAAAAGAGUAUGAUCAAAGUCAUGUAAAUAAGAGCUGUAUAACUCAAGAGCCUAUGUAAUAGGAAUAACACAAGUGAGCAAGAGUGAGUAGCGGUUUCACUAUUCAAGAUGAAUCACCCAAGCUAAAAUAUAAUCUAGGUAUUAAUUUUCCCCUUAAGAAUCAUAUAUAUGAAAAAUGCAAAGAAUGAAAUGCAAACACACAAUGACUGGGAAGUGUUCCAUGAAUUAUAUGAAGAGGAAAAACAAAACAUUUAACCGAGGUACAAGACAUAGCUUUACACAUACACAUAUAAAAUAGACAAACUCAAUUUUCAUGCUUGACUCAAUUGACACAGCAUUCUAAGCAAGAAGCAUAUGUUGAUCAAUCAUGUAUCUUAUGUGAAAUAAGUGAACAAUCUUUUUUAUGGGGUGAUAUAUCUCAAGCUUUCAACAACUAGCAUAAGAAAUAAUAUUUCACAACCUUCUUAUAACUCCCGUGUGGGCACUUCACUUUUAUUUUUCUUUUUGGCCUUUCACACUAUCUUUAACUUUUGAAUUUUCAACCCAUGUAGCAAGUACAAUAUCAGUAGCUCCUAAGCUAGUUGUCUUUAGGGUACUAGGUGUAACAAGGAAACCCUUAAAGACAUUUACUGGAGCCAAAUUCUUGAAACCACCGGGGUGGUCAAGUCAUUCCAUUUUCUUUCUUAGGGAAAACUAAGGUGUGUUAAUGCAUGACAUGCAUCAACUUUGUCCUCAAGUUAAAAGAACCAGUCCUCAAAAUUGUAAUAUGAGUCCUUAAAGUUGUAAAAUUUUAAUUAUAAUUAGUCCUCUAGUGGUAAAAUGUGUUCUUAACUAAAGUGGUAAUUUAGUCCUCAAAGUUGCAUUAAGGAGUCAUAUUUCCACUUUAAGGUUUAAUAUUACUACUUUUAAUGACUCAUUGGUAACUAAGAAUAAUUACAACUUUAAAGACUCGUUUACAACUUUAAGGACUAAUAUUAUCAUUUUGAGAACUCAUUUUACAACUUUAGAAUAAAACUUAUGCACAUGCAUUAACACAUUUUAGAAUUUUGUCCUUCUUCCCAUAAUCUUAUAUCGUUCACCACGACCAAGACAUGUUUACUUUAAAAAUAGUCUAACCAUGCUCCAUAUAAUCAUAAAUUGAUAUUUUUCUUUUCAUGGAGAAAUAGAGAAAUCAAGUAUAACGGAAACACAUCAAGAUAUUCUCAUACCACCAUAGCAAAAGAGAGAGUGUGCACGUGAAAUUUUUCCAGGGCAACAAUGAUUAUUUUAGCAUGCUUAAAAUUAGCAAAUAAUGUCAACCAGUAUCAAAACCUGCAAACAAGUUUAUCCAUCUUAUACAGAUAAAGUCAUGGCAACUAACUAGAUAAUAUCAAUUCAACUCACUCUUUUAGACAAUUUAGGAUUGAAACCCAGCAUGCAAUCCUCAGGAAAUAUGGAUUUUUUUUUUCUUUUGAUGCAGAAGAUUAAAAAAAAAACAAAUGCACCUAAGCUAUCAUGAGAUUCAUACAAUGAAUGCAUGUCAGAUGCAUCAAACAAAAUGAGAACAUUUAUACUUCAAGCACACACCAAUAGUGAUUUUGAGUGAUUCAUCAACAUGACUUGAUCUAAAAAGGGAUAGUAAUAAGUAGUAUCAAUAGUUUUAGGCAAUCAAGAUUAUCAAUACUACCAGAAAAACAAUUACUUGUACCCUUUCUCACCCAGAUUUGCUUAUGUUUCGAAUUCUUUUCUUUAGGGAUUGAAAUAAGCUUUGCAAUCCUCUGUAUCAACUUCAAAUGUUCUUUCAGUGCAGCUUGCAACAAAACUGUUGGACUAAGAUUUCUUAUUUCCUUGUGCUUUUAAGAGUCCCUGCGAAGCAAAUAGCAUUUUGGACGUAUAUGCACCAAUUUUCCACAAUGAUGACAAGUAAGAAUAAAAGAUUUUGAGGAUUUUCCAUACCUAAGCUGUCACAACCCAGGACCCAUUCCGCCGUAACACGAUAUUGUUCGCUUUGGGCCCACCGGCCCUCACGGUUUUGUUUCCGGCAGCUCAGGAGCAGCUUCCCAGUAGGUCACCCAUCCUGGGAUUGCUCUUGCAUCAACAUGCUUAACCUCGGAGUACCCAUCCCAUCCGAAGCCGCUGAGCCACCAAAAGGCCUCGUGUUAGAUUGGAGGUGGGCAUGUACAUAUACAGCACAUAACCCCUCUCCGUUUGGCCGAUGUGGGAUAUUACAAUCCACCCCCCCGUGGGAGUCCGACGCCCUCGUCGGCACACUCGCACCACACGGCAGAGUGGCUCUGAUACCAUUUGUCACAACCCAGGAACCCAUUCCGCCGUAACACGAUAUUGUUCGCUUUGGGCCCACCGGCCCUCACGGUUUUGUUUCCGGCAGCUCAGGAGCAGCUUCCCAGUAGGUCACCCAUCCUGGGAUUGCUCUUGCAUCAACAUGCUUAACCUCGGAGUACCCAUCCCCUCCGUUCGCCGCCGGACCGGUCUCGUUCGGUCGGUCUCCCUCCCAGCAACAUUUCUAGACCGGUGACAGCUCCCCUAGCGCCGCCGUGAGUGAGCGGUGCCGCCCGAAAGAACCGACUGCCCCGAGCUUCCCUUCGCCGGAACUUCCUCCUCCGGCCACCAAUCCGGGCAAGCUUGGUACGGUUUUGUAGCCCUCCUCCCGUGCAACAACCCCUCCAAGCAGCUCCCUCCCUCUUGAGCUAGGUAAGGAGAAAUGUGGAGUUGAAAUUUCUAGGCUUUUAAGUUAUUUUCGUUCGAUUAGCCUAGUUAGGCUUGGAAUUGGGUGAUGUGUUGGUCAUGAAAGUUGUAGAGGAGAUUGAGAGGAAGAUUCUGUUAAAAUUUGGUAGCAUUUGCAGGUCGCCGGAGUUGGUCGCCGGCCGCCGCUGCCGGCGGAGCCGCUGCUGUUUUGGGAAAUUUUGUGGUUUUUGAUGUAGAAUAUUAAGAGGAUAUUUUUGAGGUGAUUUGUGGAAUUUUUGGAUGAGAUUUGGAUAGGUUUGUGAAUUUCCNNNNNNNNNNNNNNNNNNNNNNNNNNNNNNNNNNNNNNNNNNNNNNNNNNNNNNNNNNNNNNNNNNNNNNNNNNNNNNNNNNNNNNNNNNNNNNNNNNNNNNNNNNNNNNNNNNNNNNNNNNNNNNNNNNNNNNNNNNNNNNNNNNNNNNNNNNNNNNNNNNNNNNNNNNNNNNNNNNNNNNNNNNNNNNNNNNNNNNNNNNNNNNNNNNNNNNNNNNNNNNNNNNNNNNNNNNNNNNNNNNNNNNNNNNNNNNNNNNNNNNNNNNNNNNNNNNNNNNNNNNNNNNNNNNNNNNNNNNNNNNNNNNNNNNNNNNNNNNNNNNNNNNNNNNNNNNNNNNNNNNNNNNNNNNNNNNNNNNNNNNNNNNNNNNNNNNNNNNNNNNNNNNNNNNNNNNNNNNNNNNNNNNNNNNNNNNNNNNNNNNNNNNNNNNNNNNNNNNNNNNNNNNNNNNNNNNNNNNNNNNNNNNNNNNNNNNNNNNNNNNNNNNNNNNNNNNNNNNNNNNNNNNNNNNNNNNNNNNNNNNNNNNNNNNNNNNNNNNNNNNNNNNNNNNNNNNNNNNNNNNNNNNNNNNNNNNNNNNNNNNNNNNNNNNNNNNNNNNNNNNNNNNNNNNNNNNNNNNNNNNNNNNNNNNNNNNNNNNNNNNNNNNNNNNNNNNNNNNNNNNNNNNNNNNNNNNNNNNNNNNNNNNNNNNNNNNNNNNNNNNNNNNNNNNNNNNNNNNNNNNNNNNNNNNNNNNNNNNNNNNNNNNNNNNNNNNNNNNNNNNNNNNNNNNNNNNNNNNNNNNNNNNNNNNNNNNNNNNNNNNNNNNNNNNNNNNNNNNNNNNNNNNNNNNNNNNNNNNNNNNNNNNNNNNNNNNNNNNNNNNNNNNNNNNNNNNNNNNNNNNNNNNNNNNNNNNNNNNNNNNNNNNNNNNNNNNNNNNNNNNNNNNNNNNNNNNNNNNNNNNNNNNNNNNNNNNNNNNNNNNNNNNNNNNNNNNNNNNNNNNNNNNNNNNNNNNNNNNNNNNNNNNNNNNNNNNNNNNNNNNNNNNNNNNNNNNNNNNNNNNNNNNNNNNNNNNNNNNNNNNNNNNNNNNNNNNNNNNNNNNNNNNNNNNNNNNNNNNNNNNNNNNNNNNNNNNNNNNNNNNNNNNNNNNNNNNNNNNNNNNNNNNNNNNNNNNNNNNNNNNNNNNNNNNNNNNNNNNNNNNNNNNNNNNNNNNNNNNNNNNNNNNNNNNNNNNNNNNNNNNNNNNNNNNNNNNNNNNNNNNNNNNNNNNNNNNNNNNNNNNNNNNNNNNNNNNNNNNNNNNNNNNNNNNNNNNNNNNNNNNNNNNNNNNNNNNNNNNNNNNNNNNNNNNNNNNNNNNNNNNNNNNNNNNNNNNNNNNNNNNNNNNNNNNNNNNNNNNNNNNNNNNNNNNNNNNNNNNNNNNNNNNNNNNNNNNNNNNNNNNNNNNNNNNNNNNNNNNNNNNNNNNNNNNNNNNNNNNNNNNNNNNNNNNNNNNNNNNNNNNNNNNNNNNNNNNNNNNNNNNNNNNNNNNNNNNNNNNNNNNNNNNNNNNNNNNNNNNNNNNNNNNNNNNNNNNNNNNNNNNNNNNNNNNNNNNNNNNNNNNNNNNNNNNNNNNNNNNNNNNNNNNNNNNNNNNNNNNNNNNNNNNNNNNNNNNNNNNNNNNNNNNNNNNNNNNNNNNNNNNNNNNNNNNNNNNNNNNNNNNNNNNNNNNNNNNNNNNNNNNNNNNNNNNNNNNNNNNNNNNNNNNNNNNNNNNNNNNNNNNNNNNNNNNNNNNNNNNNNNNNNNNNNNNNNNNNNNNNNNNNNNNNNNNNNNNNNNNNNNNNNNNNNNNNNNNNNNNNNNNNNNNNNNNNNNNNNNNNNNNNNNNNNNNNNNNNNNNNNNNNNNNNNNNNNNNNNNNNNNNNNNNNNNNNNNNNNNNNNNNNNNNNNNNNNNNNNNNNNNNNNNNNNNNNNNNNNNNNNNNNNNNNNNNNNNNNNNNNNNNNNNNNNNNNNNNNNNNNNNNNNNNNNNNNNNNNNNNNNNNNNNNNNNNNNNNNNNNNNNNNNNNNNNNNNNNNNNNNNNNNNNNNNNNNNNNNNNNNNNNNNNNNNNNNNNNNNNNNNNNNNNNNNNNNNNNNNNNNNNNNNNNNNNNNNNNNNNNNNNNNNNNNNNNNNNNNNNNNNNNNNNNNNNNNNNNNNNNNNNNNNNNNNNNNNNNNNNNNNNNNNNNNNNNNNNNNNNNNNNNNNNNNNNNNNNNNNNNNNNNNNNNNNNNNNNNNNNNNNNNNNNNNNNNNNNNNNNNNNNNNNNNNNNNNNNNNNNNNNNNNNNNNNNNNNNNNNNNNNNNNNNNNNNNNNNNNNNNNNNNNNNNNNNNNNNNNNNNNNNNNNNNNNNNNNNNNNNNNNNNNNNNNNNNNNNNNNNNNNNNNNNNNNNNNNNNNNNNNNNNNNNNNNNNNNNNNNNNNNNNNNNNNNNNNNNNNNNNNNNNNNNNNNNNNNNNNNNNNNNNNNNNNNNNNNNNNNNNNNNNNNNNNNNNNNNNNNNNNNNNNNNNNNNNNNNNNNNNNNNNNNNNNNNNNNNNNNNNNNNNNNNNNNNNNNNNNNNNNNNNNNNNNNNNNNNNNNNNNNNNNNNNNNNNNNNNNNNNNNNNNNNNNNNNNNNNNNNNNNNNNNNNNNNNNNNNNNNNNNNNNNNNNNNNNNNNNNNNNNNNNNNNNNNNNNNNNNNNNNNNNNNNNNNNNNNNNNNNNNNNNNNNNNNNNNNNNNNNNNNNNNNNNNNNNNNNNNNNNNNNNNNNNNNNNNNNNNNNNNNNNNNNNNNNNNNNNNNNNNNNNNNNNNNNNNNNNNNNNNNNNNNNNNNNNNNNNNNNNNNNNNNNNNNNNNNNNNNNNNNNNNNNNNNNNNNNNNNNNNNNNNNNNNNNNNNNNNNNNNNNNNNNNNNNNNNNNNNNNNNNNNNNNNNNNNNNNNNNNNNNNNNNNNNNNNNNNNNNNNNNNNNNNNNNNNNNNNNNNNNNNNNNNNNNNNNNNNNNNNNNNNNNNNNNNNNNNNNNNNNNNNNNNNNNNNNNNNNNNNNNNNNNNNNNNNNNNNNNNNNNNNNNNNNNNNNNNNNNNNNNNNNNNNNNNNNNNNNNNNNNNNNNNNNNNNNNNNNNNNNNNNNNNNNNNNNNNNNNNNNNNNNNNNNNNNNNNNNNNNNNNNNNNNNNNNNNNNNNNNNNNNNNNNNNNNNNNNNNNNNNNNNNNNNNNNNNNNNNNNNNNNNNNNNNNNNNNNNNNNNNNNNNNNNNNNNNNNNNNNNNNNNNNNNNNNNNNNNNNNNNNNNNNNNNNNNNNNNNNNNNNNNNNNNNNNNNNNNNNNNNNNNNNNNNNNNNNNNNNNNNNNNNNNNNNNNNNNNNNNNNNNNNNNNNNNNNNNNNNNNNNNNNNNNNNNNNNNNNNNNNNNNNNNNNNNNNNNNNNNNNNNNNNNNNNNNNNNNNNNNNNNNNNNNNNNNNNNNNNNNNNNNNNNNNNNNNNNNNNNNNNNNNNNNNNNNNNNNNNNNNNNNNNNNNNNNNNNNNNNNNNNNNNNNNNNNNNNNNNNNNNNNNNNNNNNNNNNNNNNNNNNNNNNNNNNNNNNNNNNNNNNNNNNNNNNNNNNNNNNNNNNNNNNNNNNNNNNNNNNNNNNNNNNNNNNNNNNNNNNNNNNNNNNNNNNNNNNNNNNNNNNNNNNNNNNNNNNNNNNNNNNNNNNNNNNNNNNNNNNNNNNNNNNNNNNNNNNNNNNNNNNNNNNNNNNNNNNNNNNNNNNNNNNNNNNNNNNNNNNNNNNNNNNNNNNNNNNNNNNNNNNNNNNNNNNNNNNNNNNNNNNNNNNNNNNNNNNNNNNNNNNNNNNNNNNNNNNNNNNNNNNNNNNNNNNNNNNNNNNNNNNNNNNNNNNNNNNNNNNNNNNNNNNNNNNNNNNNNNNNNNNNNNNNNNNNNNNNNNNNNNNNNNNNNNNNNNNNNNNNNNNNNNNNNNNNNNNNNNNNNNNNNNNNNNNNNNNNNNNNNNNNNNNNNNNNNNNNNNNNNNNNNNNNNNNNNNNNNNNNNNNNNNNNNNNNNNNNNNNNNNNNNNNNNNNNNNNNNNNNNNNNNNNNNNNNNNNNNNNNNNNNNNNNNNNNNNNNNNNNNNNNNNNNNNNNNNNNNNNNNNNNNNNNNNNNNNNNNNNNNNNNNNNNNNNNNNNNNNNNNNNNNNNNNNNNNNNNNNNNNNNNNNNNNNNNNNNNNNNNNNNNNNNNNNNNNNNNNNNNNNNNNNNNNNNNNNNNNNNNNNNNNNNNNNNNNNNNNNNNNNNNNNNNNNNNNNNNNNNNNNNNNNNNNNNNNNNNNNNNNNNNNNNNNNNNNNNNNNNNNNNNNNNNNNNNNNNNNNNNNNNNNNNNNNNNNNNNNNNNNNNNNNNNNNNNNNNNNNNNNNNNNNNNNNNNNNNNNNNNNNNNNNNNNNNNNNNNNNNNNNNNNNNNNNNNNNNNNNNNNNNNNNNNNNNNNNNNNNNNNNNNNNNNNNNNNNNNNNNNNNNNNNNNNNNNNNNNNNNNNNNNNNNNNNNNNNNNNNNNNNNNNNNNNNNNNNNNNNNNNNNNNNNNNNNNNNNNNNNNNNNNNNNNNNNNNNNNNNNNNNNNNNNNNNNNNNNNNNNNNNNNNNNNNNNNNNNNNNNNNNNNNNNNNNNNNNNNNNNNNNNNNNNNNNNNNNNNNNNNNNNNNNNNNNNNNNNNNNNNNNNNNNNNNNNNNNNNNNNNNNNNNNNNNNNNNNNNNNNNNNNNNNNNNNNNNNNNNNNNNNNNNNNNNNNNNNNNNNNNNNNNNNNNNNNNNNNNNNNNNNNNNNNNNNNNNNNNNNNNNNNNNNNNNNNNNNNNNNNNNNNNNNNNNNNNNNNNNNNNNNNNNNNNNNNNNNNNNNNNNNNNNNNNNNNNNNNNNNNNNNNNNNNNNNNNNNNNNNNNNNNNNNNNNNNNNNNNNNNNNNNNNNNNNNNNNNNNNNNNNNNNNNNNNNNNNNNNNNNNNNNNNNNNNNNNNNNNNNNNNNNNNNNNNNNNNNNNNNNNNNNNNNNNNNNNNNNNNNNNNNNNNNNNNNNNNNNNNNNNNNNNNNNNNNNNNNNNNNNNNNNNNNNNNNNNNNNNNNNNNNNNNNNNNNNNNNNNNNNNNNNNNNNNNNNNNNNNNNNNNNNNNNNNNNNNNNNNNNNNNNNNNNNNNNNNNNNNNNNNNNNNNNNNNNNNNNNNNNNNNNNNNNNNNNNNNNNNNNNNNNNNNNNNNNNNNNNNNNNNNNNNNNNNNNNNNNNNNNNNNNNNNNNNNNNNNNNNNNNNNNNNNNNNNNNNNNNNNNNNNNNNNNNNNNNNNNNNNNNNNNNNNNNNNNNNNNNNNNNNNNNNNNNNNNNNNNNNNNNNNNNNNNNNNNNNNNNNNNNNNNNNNNNNNNNNNNNNNNNNNNNNNNNNNNNNNNNNNNNNNNNNNNNNNNNNNNNNNNNNNNNNNNNNNNNNNNNNNNNNNNNNNNNNNNNNNNNNNNNNNNNNNNNNNNNNNNNNNNNNNNNNNNNNNNNNNNNNNNNNNNNNNNNNNNNNNNNNNNNNNNNNNNNNNNNNNNNNNNNNNNNNNNNNNNNNNNNNNNNNNNNNNNNNNNNNNNNNNNNNNNNNNUGUCCACCUUGAUGGCGUAGUGUAGCACCGCAUUAAGGCGUGACGUGAGCGUUGGACGCGAACGUAGUAGCCCUAUAUAGACCCAUGAAUUUAUAUAGGGAGUAUGGACGAGUGUAAAUACAUACAUAUAUUAUAGAGUCUGAGAGGCUCGAUAUUUUAUGAGAUAAAAGUUUAUCGCUUGCGGCAUGCAUUCGAUUUUUCCUUAGAAAUUAAUUUGGGGAAACAUAAAUAUUUUAUUUAUUAUUUUAUUUUUGUCCACUCACUCUGACGUUAUUAAAUGUUUUCCCCUGGGCCCUUCGUUUUAAAUUGCCCAGUCUGCAGAGUUCGGGUUGGAUCUAGUAGGAGACGAGGCAUAGUCACCCGCAUUUCUGCCAGUUUUCGCCAGUAGGUUACCUGUUCAACCUACUCGUGUUUUCUUGCUUCCGCUUGUGUUUAGUAGCUCUGAAUACUUUAGAAUUUUUGUAUAUUAUGGGAUGUUCAGAAGUGUUAAAUUAAGAGUGUAAUAUAAAAUUUUUCGAGUUAGGGUUGUCCAUCUGCAAGGGAGAUUUUCUUAAUCUUUUCAGUAAAUUUUCCUUGGAGGUGGUCCCCGCACGACUUACUCUGGGUUUCAGGGUGAAAUUCGGGGUGGGUCGUGUCAUAAGCUGGCGCACAGGUGUGCAAUUCAGAGCUUGGCUGGCAAUUGGGAUCUCCUCUCCUUGGUUGUGGCUUGGGCCUUGUUAGACCUAGCCUGGGGUGGUAAUAAUUAUUUUACUGUUUUAUUUAUUUACUUGUCAUAGCAGCCUGACUAGUUUCUAGAUCAGGCAAUCUUUCUGCUACAAUUUAUCAAUAUGUAAUUACCAACAUAAAUUCCCAAAAUACCAGAUCAAGAACCCUAGAUAUUUGCAUAUUCAUAUUUAUGUACAAUUAUCAGUUUAGAUACCAAAUUCUUAUACAAUUACGAAGCAAAAUCACAAGCAAAGUAAGGUUUCUACAUUUACCCAGUUAAAAAAUCCCAAAAUUUCUAGUAAUUUUGUAGUUGAUCAUCCUCAAUUUCUCAGUUCCUUGAUGAAAUCUCACCGUAUUGCCUUAAGUGAAUUGCCUUAGAGCAAUUGCACCCAUGAAUGGAAGACAAUUGCUGAUUUGCCAAUCAAAUUGGUACUGCUUAUCCACUAUUCAUAUAAAAUUGACAAUUGCCUCUCUAUUGUCAAUGUACCAAUUGAAGGCAAUUUGCCUGCUAAUCUACUAUUCACUUUUGAAAUUUGAAUAAAUCAUUAUUUCAAAAGGUAAAAUUUAUAAUUUGUUAAUUAAUAAUGAGAUUGAUCGGACACAUGGUUAAAUGCGCCCAUGAAUCGCUUUAUUGAAUUUGCUCAUGGUCAUGCCAAUUGUAAUGAGAUACCCUUAUGGUUGGAAGAAAAUUGGGAGGAAAUGGAUAAUAAAUUGAUGGAAGAAGAAGAUGGGAAGGUAAAACUUUAGAAAAUAUUGGUAUAAAUUAUAUGGAGUAAGGUAUUCAAUUAUAUAAUUUUUAGAAAGAAACAAAUUCAGAUUUUUUUUAAUCCAAAAAAUUGUUAACCAUUGGUAUUUAAUUAUAGCCAUUAAAUCUCAAUCUGAAGGCUAUAAUCAGUCAAUCAUAAAACUUGUAGGUUGAAAACAUGUGAAAGCAGAGGCGGAGCCCACAAAUUGGUUGGGCAAAAUGAUGGGCAAAAAUCAGCAAAGGAAUUACCCAAGCAAUUAAUAUUCACCUCGGGUCCACGAAUUGGUCAUGCAAUUUAUUAUCGGUGCAUUAAUGUUUUGGUUGAAUGUUGGUGGGUCCUAUCAAUUGGUCACCCAAUGACCCAAUCAGCUCACCGGUGCAAUUGCUCUUAGAUGAAGGCCGACGAAGUGAGUCAGACAACGAUGCCUAAAGUCCAACGACGUUUUCAAGUCAUCGUAUCUGAUUCGAUUCGAUGUGGAUUUGAUUCUUUGAGGUCACCAUUAAGAGACGAUAGUUAAGCUUUUAGGUUUUAGUUUAACUUUGUGCUUGUGUCUACAAUAAUAAUGUCUACUGAAUAGAAAUAACCAAUAGAAGGUUGUUAAUGUAAUUUCCUAUUUCUUUAAAAAUUAUUAGAGGAAAUUUUUGUGUUUUUUUUUUUUAAAUGGACACCAAGUAACAUACUCGGGCUUUCAUGUUGUAGGUUAUUCAGGUUUUGACAGGCUGGAACUGGACCAGCUGUUAACUGGGACCAAACCAGACCAGACCUGUAAAAAGCUAACCGUGAGAAAACCCAGCCCAGACCAGCCGAUUUAGGUCGGUUCUGCCGGGUUUUUUCUUUUAUGUGGUGUUAUGCCCAAUCCUAGAUCAGUAGAUCUAUCAUACGCAUGCGACCCUCGACAUAAAUUUAGGCAACCGCUCAUCUGGUUUAAUCCGCAUAUAUUUCACACAUAUACUCAAUUAAUUUACAUGUAUACCAUGAGCAACUAAAAACUUUGCUCAAAACAAAAUUAGGCACAACAAGAAGCAACAAAACAGAAAUAAACACAUUCUGUUGAGUGACUUAUCAGCCUGCAUUACAUGCCUUCUCACCCUCGGACUAGUGCUGCCAGUAAGAUUAUACGAAUUCGGGUAAGUGUAAACAUUUGUUAUCGAGUUACCAAACACCCUAGCAUACACCAUUUCACCAAACAUGCCGACCAUCGGAUUGAAGACUUGUGUUGAUGUAUCACCAGGACUAUGCAUUGGUGAAGCUGCUGUAUAGCUACCUCCUAAAGGGCUGUUUAUUUGGGAUUGAUAAGGAUGACUUCGCUGAAUACUAUAAGGGCUGGUACUUGGGGUUCGUGGUGUGUCAACCGCGCAAGGAGCGAGAGGUCUUUUUGGAAUGACUAUACCAAGAUGGGGAGGCUUGCCUUUAGAUGGCUUUGUGGGCUUUGUUGUUUGACCACGACCAUAAAGUGGGACUAGAGAGGAUUCAGAGACUUCAGUUUUGCAAACAGGGCACUGUGGCUGUUUUUGGUCCUCUUGGCUUUCCGAAGAAGGGGUCUGGAAUUGAAUCCACUUGUAUAUGCAAGGCCAGCAGUAUAAAUGACCACAGAGGGUAACCACCGGAUCGCGCACAGAGUCUAAGCAAAUGCUGCAGUCGAAGUUAGCACAUGACUUGUUUUCAGUAUCUGGGACUUCAGAAACAGGAUUCCAUUUUCCGAAGGAACAUUUAGCGUCUCCACUGGAAUUAGACUGGACCACAGCAUCUUCAAAGUAUUGCUCUGUUGCCAUCUUAACGGCUUGGGAUAGAUGAUUCUUGAGUUGCUUAAAUCUGAAACAUGGUAAAGAAAAAAGGGUAAAAUUAACGUAACAUGAUGGAGGGAUCUAUACCACAUUCAAAGUAAACAAACAGAACCGACACCAAAAUAUUAUACAAAGGCAUAAUUGCCAAUUUGCUACCCUAGAAUUCACCUUGGUGUCAAUUUGCUACCCUAGUUUUUAUUUCUGCCAAUUUGCUACCCUAGAAUUCACCUUGGUGUCAAUUUGCUACCCUAACUUUUAUUUCUGCCAAUUUGCUACCCUUAUGUCAAACUUUUGACUCUAGAUAAUCAAUAUUAACCGAUUUGACAUCAAUGUUUGGACGGAGAAAUAGAUCAAUUUAUAUGACAAAAGACAGUAAAUUGGCUAAUUUUAGAAACCUAGGGUAGCAAUUUGGCAGAAAUAAAAGCUAAGGUAGCAAAUCGGCUAAUUUUGUGAAACUAGGGUAGCAAAUUGGCAGAAAUAAAAACUAGGGUAGCAAAUUGACACUUAGGUGAAUCCUAGGGUAGCAAAUUGGCAAUUAAGCCUUAUACAAAAGUUAAACAAAAAAAUAGAUGAGAUGAUUAGAUUUAUCAAUUAUAAUCUGUCCUUCUAGGAAGACUAGAACAAGGUUUUCCAUUCUCGAUCUAACGGGGAUACUGGCCCCCAAGUAAGUUUUUGAAACUAUUGAAUAUCAAGCUUGGACUACAAAUAUUAAUUUUGCAAUCAAACUUGUUACAAUCAGAAAAUCCCCACUCAAGUCUAUUUCAGAUGAAUCUAAGGACGCUUGACAGAUAUGGAUUAGGUGAGAAUUAGGCAGAGCAAGUUACAAAAGUUUAUAUGUUCAACUUCCAAAACAUGCGUCUUGCAGUGUCAAAAGGAUAGAAACCUAAAAGUAUUACUUCUUCUUCUAGAAGACCAUCAAAUAUGAAAUAUACACUCUAAAAGACAUCCAGUCAGCAUCAAAUUGAAAAUCAUACACUCUUUCACCUUAUUUAGUUUUUACUUUUGCAAAACGAACAUUAAGACUACAAUUCAAUCAUCAUAUAAAAGGAGACACCAGAAACUGCAAUAAUUUUGAGCAAGAUGUGCGACAUCGUUCGUUCCAAGAACACCAAAAACCCGACCCUCUUCGAUUCUCAGAAUCCAAGAUUCCCGAAACCAAGAUACGAAGGAAGAAAGCCCAGCCAAAGGGCAAUAUUCAAAUACAUCAAAAAAAAAACUAAAAAAGACAUAUGGGUGUGAGCUAGAGAAAAAGUUGAUGUUGAAUGCAUACCAGUAAGAGUAGAGAAGUGGGUGUUGGCUUUUCUUUGAGGAGGCGCAAAUAAGAGCGUUAUGGCAGAAGCUUCAAUGGCGGAGCAGGAGAAGGAGAGCGCUGAGAAGGGAAGAGAAGGGAAGGAAGGAAAGUAUGAGAGGAAAGAGGAACGGGGUAGCAAUAUAUAUAGAGACAAAACAUAUCACGUCUCGGAAGAAUAGAAUUUGUUAUUAAAUUUCAUAGAAAUGAUAAAUCCAGGAGCCACUUUGCUUCUCUUGUAGUCUUCUUUGAUUCAUGAUAAGUUUCAAUGCCACCCUCGAUACGUGGCAUCCAUCAUCGAUCAAAAGUCACUUAAUUUCAAUCCAUGUUUCAUUCUCACAAAACAAAAACAAACAAAAAAACAAAAAAAUCGAUCAAAAAUAGAAGAAGAGAGAAAUAAAAAUUAAAAAAAAAAAAAGGUUAAUCCAUGUUCUCUUAGUUUUAGAAAUUUUACCUUCAGAAUUUUUCAACUUCGUCAACAGUGUCCAUUGAUAAGAUUUCGUCCAAUUUAGACAUUAAAGGUUAACAUGAAUCUUUAACAAACUUAAAAUGAGUAUUUGGUUGUAAAAUAAUUGGAAACAAAUCACCUAUACCCAAAUUGUAUGUGCCCAAUAUGUGUCAUCAAUUAAAAUCUGACACAUAGAAUUCCACUUGAUACAAAACUAACAGAAGUCUAACUCUGUUAUAUUUGUAAAUUCAAUUUUUUAUUAAAGAAAAAUAAUUUCUCCAAAUCUCCACGUUCUUCUCUUCUUCCCUUCUACUUUUCUUCUUCAUUGAAUCGUCUGGGAUCUUUUUUCUAAGAUCUUCUUUUUGACUCUAACUGCGAUCAAAACCUUAAAAUAUUUUGAACUGAUAUUUGAUAACACCGAAAUCUCUUUAAUAUUCUUUUAGUUUGUUAAUCAGACAAAGUAGUAAGAAUCUGGGUUCCCAUCCUUGGUUAAUCCGGAAGAAUGAAACAUCACCAAGCGAAUCCUAAAUUCAGAACAAAGUAAUGAAAACAAACAGUGGAAUCAAGAAUGCCAUUUUCUAAUUCACAUCAAACAUACACAGAUUCAGAGAACAUGAAACAAACCCAUAAACAAAUUGUGUCUUCUCUGAUGCCAUAGAAAUCACAAGGAGCAGUUGAUCACAUUGACAAUAGCAAGAGUAAAAUCAAAUUUCCAGACAACCCAAGUGAGAAUAAUACGUAAUAAUCAAAACCCAUACACCGAAUUGACGAAAACAAACGAUCUUGAUAGCUGAAAUUGCAAUCAAUGUAGGAAAAUGAAAGACUACAGAGAAGAACCCAGAUCUCAAUCGAUGUUAAGAGAAGAAGUGCAGAACAGGGAAGAAGAGGAGAGGAGGAAGAAGAAAAGACGUGAAGAUUGGGAGAAUUUUCUUCUUUUUAUUUUUUUAAAGAUUUAAAUGAGGUUAACAAAGUUAGGACUUCUGUUAGUUUUGUAUCAAGUGGAAUUCCAUGUGUCAGAUUUUAAUUGAUGGCACAUAUUGGGCACAUGCAACUUGGGUACAGCUGAUUUGCUUCCAAAAUAAUUGUUUUAGCCCAUAAAAGUCAAAAUUAAUGUUUAAGAGAAAUUUUAAAUACACACCCUUAAUAUCUUAAUACACACCCCUUACUUAAUACACUACCUAUUAAGUUUUUCAUUUCAGUAUUAUACUUAAUACACAUCCCAAACUGUCUAAAAUACCCUUAAUUUAUGAAAUAUUCCGUUAUUUAAUAUAAUUAAUAUAUAUUUACUAUUUGGUACCUCUUUUUACAUAUUAUUUCGUCUAAUUUUUGCUAGAAAUUUUUGGUUAUCAUCGUUCAAUUUAUAAUCAAAUGAUUAUUGUUAUAUCUCAACUCUAAAUCAUCAAUACAGGUUUUCAAAAUUCACAAGAGCACAACUGUAGAAGUACAGUAGCUAUUAAACAUAGAUAGCUAGUUAUUCGAUAAAACAUGUCAUGAUAAAGAUGCAGUAUUUGACAAUAUGAUAUGCAAAAUCAAACUAAAGAUCAAACUAAAGCUGAUAAAGAUGUAGUACUUGNNNNNNNNNNNNNNNNNNNNUGUGUAUUAAGAGAUUAGGGGUGUGUAUUUAAAAUUUCUCUAUUAAUUUUUGAGUGAUCAUCGAUGCAUAUAGUUGAGUUUGCAAUUACUCUUAAUAGUUGACCUUCUAUUCCAUUAAAAAAAACCUUGACCUUUUUUCUUUUUCGGGGUUGACAACUUGACAUACUUCACAAGCAUAUACAUGCCACACAUUCGGGAGGAGCAACUCAAAGACGUUUACAUUUAGUUUGUUAAUGUAUUAAUUCAUGGAGAAAUUUUAAAUACACACCCUUAAUAUCUUAAUACACACCCCUUACUUAAUACACUACCUAUUAAGUUUUUCAUUUCAGUAUUAUACUUAAUACACAUCCCAAACUGUCUAAAAUGCCCUUAAUUUAUGAAAUAUUCCGUUAUUUAAUAUAAUUAAUAUAUAUUUACUAUUUGGUACCUCUUUUUACAUAUUAUUUCGUCUAAUUUUUGCUAGAAAUUUUUGGUUAUCAUCGUUCAAUUUAUAAUCAAAUGAUUAUUGUUAUAUCUCAACUCUAAAUCAUCAAUACAGGUUUUCAAAAUUCACAAGAGCACAACUGUAGAAGUACAGUAGCUAUUAAACAUAGAUAGCUAGUUAUUCGAUAAAACAUGUCAUGAUAAAGAUGCAGUAUUUGACAAUAUGAUAUGCAAAAUCAAACUAAAGAUCAAACUAAAGCUGAUAAAGAUGUAGUACUUGACAAUAUGAUCUAUAAGAUCAAAUUAAAGCUGAUACGGAUACAAAAAAAAAAAAAGAANNNNNNNNNNNNNNNNNNNNNNNNNNNNNNNNNNNNNNNNNNNNNNNNNNNNNNNNNNNNNNNNNNNNNNNNNNNNNNNNNNNNNNNNNNNNNNNNNNNNNNNNNNNNNNNNNNNNNNNNNNNNNNNNNNNNNNNNNNNNNNNNNNNNNNNNNNNNNNNNNNNNNNNNNNNNNNNNNNNNNNNNNNNNNNNNNNNNNNNNNNNNNNNNNNNNNNNNNNNNGAUCUUACAGAUCAUAUUGUCAAGUACUACAUCUUUAUCAGCUUUAGUUUGAUCUUUAGUUUGAUUUUGCAUAUCAUAUUGUCAAAUACUGCAUCUUUAUCAUGACAUGUUUUAUCGAAUAACUAGCUAUCUAUGUUUAAUAGCUACUGUACUUCUACAGUUGUGCUCUUGUGAAUUUUGAAAACCUGUAUUGAUGAUUUAGAGUUGAGAUAUAACAAUAAUCAUUUGAUUAUAAAUUGAACGAUGAUAACCAAAAAUUUCUAGCAAAAAUUAGACGAAAUAAUAUGUAAAAAGAGGUACCAAAUAGUAAAUAUAUAUUAAUUAUAUUAAAUAACGGAAUAUUUCAUAAAUUAAGGGCAUUUUAGACAGUUUGGGAUGUGUAUUAAGUAUAAUACUGAAAUGAAAAACUUAAUAAGUAGUGUAUUAAGUAAAGAGUGUAUAUUAAGAUAUUAAAGGUGUGUAUUUAAAAUUUCUCAACCGUUAAAGAUGGUCCUACCAACCAUUUUGUUCUUCAUACUUUCCCAUCAUUCUGCACGUAUUUUUAUAAAUUUAAAGUUUACAGAUUUAGUUACAAUAUGGAGAACUCGUCCAGCUGAAAAGAUGCAUGCAUGACCAUCUGACAAGUGUCCCCGGUGAUCACAGGAAAGCAUAAAGCAAAUGAAAUAUGUCUUAAUACGUGUGAUGCAAUGACUCCAAGCAACAAGUCAACAAAAUAAUCUUCUAGAAACACUAGAGGAGGGAACCCAGAAAGAAAGGUCAACCAGAAGAAAAGAAUAGGUCUUACCCCCUAUAUAAAAAACAAAGCUUCUAGAAGAAAAGGUUGCCACUACUAGUAGCAUUGUGAUGGCACGGGUGUGACUGAGUGGGGGAUUGAAAGGAGACAAUUAUUAAUGGGCAGUGACAACAUGUCGACAUCCAUCCAUCCAUCCAUUUUCGUUGGAUGCGGGCUUGGUGUCUGCUACGCAAUAAUUCUCGGGAUUCCCAUCACUACCCCCACCUUCGUCUUCCGCUACUAACAUACUUUUCUUCCUCACGAUAUUACAAGUUUACAACAAUCAUUCUUCAUAUUAUUUUCUAAAUAGAAAUAAUAAUUGAGAAUUAAUAAAAAGGAGCAUCUUUACUCGGUCAUUUCUUAAGUCAAAUUUUACUAAAAAUAAUUUUACUUUUUUUUUUCUUUUUAGAGAAAGAGAUGUUACUCCCGCGAAAUAACUCAUUCAUUAAUACGAUUUUAUAAGAUCAAACUAAAAGGUCAUAAGUGACCCUCAUUUACAUUCACUACUCGAUUGACUGUACGAAUACUCAAAUAAUCACCCUAGACCAUCUUUCACCAUAGGCUUAAGUACUCAAAUUUAGCCUAUAAUUACUCUCAUCAUAAGCCAAAUUACAAUUUUCAAAGUAAAAAAUUUAGCUUAAGCUAUUUUGUAAGCCAAAUUUAACUUAUGGAGUUGGUAGGCUAAAAUUAAGUAUUAUUUUAUUCAACUUUAGAUUUUGUUCUUCUAAUUUACACUAACAUCUAAUUUAAAAAUUCGUUACUAACAAAAUUUUAUACCAUCAUGACGAUCUCAACGAGAUCUUUCAUAUGUGCCCCAUAUAGAAUGUAUUCAUAUAAAAGCUUUUUCAUGAUUACUUAUUGAAUUAAACAAAUAAAUGAUAAAUUAAAAAGAAAUGGCUUUACCUAAGGAUUUACUUUACGGUGGGAAUGCUUCUUAGACCAAAAUACUAUUCAUUUAUCUAAAGAUUUAGCUUAUGGUAGGAGAAUUUGAUAAGUUAAAAAUAGAUUAUAUAGAAUAUUCUUAUUUUGUAAGCUAAAUUUACAAAAAAUAAAAUAAAAUAAAAAAAUAAUCUUUUAACGGAAACUAGAGUCCAAAAAGGUGGACAAUCAACAAAAAAAAAACCAAAAGACAUGUUGCAAUAUGCGGAGGCAUCAACCACUAUGACUGUUGCCUUCAUUGGUUACGAAAGGACGUGCAACAACAAGAUAAAAUAAACUUGCUAAUUAAUUUCUGUAACAAAUACUAGAUACAAACGGUGUAUAUACCUUGUAGGUUGAAAAUUCUUCUACGUAAUAAGGUGUAAGUGAAUCGAGCAACUAAUAUGUAAUAUUUUGAUCCGGUCAUCCAUGUCGUAUUAUCAUGCAUGUAUUUUAAUACCGUUCACAAAAUUAAAACCCAAAACACAUGAGGUGAGAACCUGAGGUCGAAUAAAAAGUACUUUUAUUAUGAGCGCUUAAUUUGAUCGGAUUAAAAAUGAAAACAAAAAUAAUAAAUUUUAGAGUCUCUAGUCUUCACUGGAUCUUCGCAUGCGGACGAUUUGAAGACUUGCACAUUAAUAAUGUAAGUGUACCUUGUAUUCGCUCGGUUAGUAGACCACAAGAUUACAUGUCUUUUCCCUUGGCGUUAGGCCUAGUCAACUCAUUAGCAGCCUUCUUAACAGAAGUCACAUCUAACAGACUCGGUUAUGGCCUAGAAAUCACUCCAUUGAGCCCAUAAGAUUCUGGCGUAAACCACGAGUCGCCCGAUCCCAGCCUCCCGAUUGAUAUAUACACUGUAGCGUAGAUCAAACGCAUGUCAAUUUCGAAGAAGUUAAGCAGUUAAGAGUAUGAUCCGACAAACAAAUAAUGCAGACUAGUUUAUGAUUUAAGGCCGGAGCACUGCAGCUGUAACUUGCAACAUACACAUAAACUAAAACUGGGUCUUGAUCGAGUCGGUCUCUAUUUUACGUUAUCCAUCUAAACGCACGCAUCAACUUGCAUCUUCAAUCAAAGCCAUCUCUAUACAUUGGGACAUAUUCUCUGUACCUAUCAUCCUUCUGAAACUCACCACCACUUCACAUUCCUAUGUGGAUCAAAUUGACCUCUUACAUUUCUCUUCCUUGCAAUCAAACUCAUGAGAAAUUAUAUUACUUUAGUAUAUAGCAAACGAUUAAUUAAUUAUGCAUUUCAUAAAAUACUAGUAGUGUCCGCUUGUUAUUUGUUCAUAACUUGAAUAUAAUUAAGCUUCUAGAAACCCUUCGCCAUACUCCAUUAUAUAAUUCAGAGUGCUAACUAGCUAGCUGAAAGUCUGAAACGAUGGAAUACAAAGUCUGAAAACGACUCACUCCCUUCCUUUUUUUGGUAGACUCCGGAGUAAUAUAUAUGGUAGAAUUAUUAUUGAGAGAUUCAAAUUCAACAUAGAGAGAAAGAGUACUGAGAUGAUCAUUUUGAACCUGAUUAGCUUAUAUCGUGAAGAGAAUAAGUUGCAGGGUAACUAAAUUACUGUUUGACUUCUCGAAACUUACAAUGACGUCUUAGACAUAUAAAGUGUCAAACACUGAUUGUACUUUUUAUUUUGGGACUAAGUAUUGCUUGAGAUGUUUUCUUUGGUUUUUUUUUUUUAUUUUUUUUUUUGUUUCAGCUCCUUUUUUGCUGCAUCUUUAGUCUAAUUAAUAAUACGAUUACAUUCAACAAUUAUUUGGUUAUUGAAUACACGUGAUUACAUUAGGCAAUUGCUGGUAGCAUAGUUUAUUCUGCUUGUCUGCUUGUGUAGAUUAGAUUAGGUUUGGGUUGCUUUGCAACUUCCUUUUUUGUGCCUUGCAUUGUAAUUUAGGUACUCAUUCCCCUAGUUUGACGGACGGAGUAACGUCGUUUGAUUAAUGAACUGAGCUCGACUCUAAAAUUGACGUUAAAUUAGUUUCAAUUAAGGUUUUUGGAUGACUUGGUGUGAAUGUUCCUGAUAAGAUGAAAACAAGAACCAAAGGGACAAACAGAAAACGAAAGAAUUCAAUAUCAAAACCCCAAGUCUUGUGGCUGGCUAGCUUACAGUCAAUCGGUGGUGGCCUCUUCUGCCAAUGCCUCUUGGGUGAUACAAUAUUAUCCAACCAACUCGAUCAAGUGGCUGCUGCUUCGUCUCAUAUUGAACAUAAUCACAUUUCAGUCUUUUCUAAUGCCUCUUUGCAAUUCGAGUGGCCACUUCUACUUCCUACAGUUCUACUUCACUUUCUAAUGAUAAUUCCUUCUUAUGUACGUAAAUGCUCCUAAACUCUAAACCCUAGUAAGUUAUUGAAAAUGGUCCCUUGAGCAUUUCAAGCUUCCAUUUCCAGCUAGCUGCUUACAAGUUACAAAUUAAAUAUGUGAUCAUGCAAACACAAACUAAGGUUGCAUUAAGAGAAUGUGAGUUGAUCUUCAUCGGCAUGAUUAAGCCGACACAGGCUGACUUUCUGAAAUAUCAUAUAACUAAACUGGUGUUUCAGCUACUGCAUACCAAUUAAUUAGUACAAUCUAUAAUAUACUAAUGAAGCAACAAAUUAAUUCAACUGAAUAUCCAGAUUGAAUAGAGAAGAAGAGCAUAUCUUAAUAUAAGAUCAGAUAUUUACGGUGAUCCUCUGUAUGGUGAAAGAUAAGAUAUUUACUACAAAAAUUAUCUGUUAAUUAAAAAAAGGAGAUAUCGAAGAAUAUAUCGGAAAUAUCGUAGACAUUUCAAUCCUUGGGAAAGACCCAGGUCUGGGUCCUCACAGGGUCUUAAGUAGAACAGAAUUCAAGUUGCACAAGUUGACCAUCUAAACAAAAUCUUCCAGGGCCAAGAAAUUCUCAUCAAGGCUAUAUUAUUGAAGAUGAUAUGAGUGUCAUAUAGAAUAGAAGACAAGAUACAAGAAACUUCAUAAUGCAUUUAUAACCAAACAACAGAGCCUUCUCAAAACAAAUAAUAAUAUUAAUAAUAACCACACAACAGAGAACAUGUGAAGAAUACUCAUUUAUAAGUACAUAAAUUUUGCAAGGCUUUGCAUACACAACUUUACAGAUGUUUCUCAAUGCUUGCAGUCAAUAUGGUUUUAGGUACUGCACCAAUUACCGUGUCCUGUUUCUCACCCUUGUUGAAAAUCAUCAGGGUUGGGACGCUCCGAAUUCCAUAUUGAGUUGCAAUUGAAGGACUAUUGUCUGUGCUUAACCUAAAGCAGUUAAGUUUCCCAGCAUACUCCUGUGCUAGUUCACCCACAACUGGAUGGAUCAUGCGGCAUGGCCCGCACCAAGGAGCCCAAAACUCAACCAGGACAGGGCCAUCGGCUUUGAGGACUAGUGAUUGCCAUGUUGCUUCGGUAACUGUGGGAACUACAUUUAUAAAGGAAAGGUGUAAACACAUUUUAACUAAAUUGAACAAGAAAAAAAUCACUGCUAUAUGUCAUUAACACAAAGGAAAACAAUGCUGUAAAUUUUAUCAUCGUUUAAACCAAACAAUUAGACGACUGUUGAAACACAAUUUCACAAGAAUAUGUUUCAGAAUAACUAUAACUAUUACUCCAUCAGUUCAAAAAGUAACCUCAUACAGUGACCAAUUAUCAAAAAUGCAUACAAAAAGAGUAUACACCUGUGCCAACAACACCCAUGUCGGCAGAAAUGUAGAUGAAUUUGCAAAAUAUUGGAAGAUUACAAACGUAUCAGAUGUACUAAUAUGUCCACUAUUCAGACUUAAUGGCAAAUGAAUGGAGCUCUCAAUCAAUACCAUAUGGAGAGGUUAAAUGUGCUUAUUCAUUACAUUGACAAGAAAUCUAUAGGUGGGACAACAGCACCAAGAAAAAGAUGCCAUAACUUUCUGGUCUAACUAACUUUCGGUUCAUUCUAGUUGACUAUGAUAAAACUAACACAGAGAAAAAAGAACAAAAAUAGUUUCUCAUUCCGAGAGCUUCCCCCUGCCUGAAAAUUCCAAAAUAUCAUUUUAUAAAAGCUCAGUGUCUUUGCCCAAAAAAGAAGAAGAAAAGGAAAUACAAGGUCAGUUCAACAUUAGGUUGGCCCAAAGCAGGCCUGCCUAACCAUGUUUAUGGACUCAUGUUGGUCAUUAAGGCUUCAACAUGUCCAUGUCGUUCCCGCUCAGCCUAUUGGGACAUGUGAUGGAAAUUUAUUUGCUUUUGACAUCAGACAUAGACAAAGUGACAGACUAACACUCUGUCAUAAAAAGCUCUAAAUUGAAUAUGUCCUGGUCCAUGGAAUUCAGGCAGGUACUUAAAUUCGUGCAUACUACAUAUAAUUCUCACCUCUCCAAACGGAAAUAUAUCCAAUACGGACAAUUGUGGAAGCGAACAAUGCAGGUGUCUAAGUUAAUUUCUUUAGCAAGUUAAAACAAAGUCCAACUGUUUUUUUUCUUUGGCAGUAGAACAACAACUUAUAUUAAUCAAGACACUAAUACAACAAGAAAGUCCCAAAGAGGCCUUCCAAACACAUACUGAAGUAAAAGAGGACAACAGAUGCCCAGAUUUUUCCCAAACAAAGCUACAAAAAUAAAACUCUUGAGCCUAAACCAGGCAGGCCCAAAGUCGAUCUGUUUAACAGAUCCCUAACUGAAAAAAAUCAGUUUACAGUUGUUGGCGCCUUUUAAUAAAAACUUCUAGGAAAAUUAACGAUGUCAGCUCUAGCAAAAACAAAGUUCUCAUUUGACAAGGAAUUUUCUUUAUUCCUGCACGGCCAAUUUACCGUCUGAGGUAUUAGUGUGAGACAGAAUCUUUUGGUGCAUUAUUAUUGUUGGACAGUAAUUUUCAUACAUAAUAAUAUUAAGUUAUCUAGCUUGCUAGUUUCUUGUGGGGUUUGGCUCAUGUUACAAGCAUAAAUAUGUUGGGAAUAUGUGCUUGAAAAAUGUCAAAAUCUGAAGAUCUUUGCGCCACAGUUAAUUACUGCCAGACAAUAUGGUUGACGGACAGUAAACUGAAAAAGAAAGAAAAACAAGUGAGGAAAGCAAUUCUGUAUGCUCCAUUUAAUGGCAACUUUCUAGGCUAGUCAUUGAUCAAAAGAACAUUUACUAUGAAAAAAGAAAAAGAAAAUACCAAGUCUCUGGUCUGAAGGCAGAGUUGAAGGUUUGCUGACGAUAGACAUAGAAGACUUAGAGAAAUUUCAAUAUUUAAUAGAUGAUCAUCAGCUCUUUAGAAGCCGGGAUAUCAAAAGGAGAGUUUGAAGUUGGGCUGUAGUUCUUUCAAAUUGUGCGCUUAUGUCGUGCCUCAAGGAAUAGGAAUUAUAAACGCUUUCCAGCAAAAUCAGGGGUGCAUUUCUUAAGAAAUGCUUUUAGCAUCGAGCAUAAAAAUUGUUCAAUGAAUUUAACCUUUGAUGAAGCUAUGAACAAGACAAUAUAUUUGAUAAGGCUUGCUCCUUUUUAUGGUCAGAAAUAAGGGUGAUACAUUUGAGGAUGGUUUUAACAAGCCAAUAUAAGUAAAUCCUAACAUCUCCUACUAUCAACCGUUGAGUAAAUUCAAACUAAGACCUGUAGGCAUUUAGGAAGCAACUUCAAACUUGAUGUGAAAUAACAAGUUAACCACAUAUUCAACUGCCAACUGUAUUCUAAACUAGCAUAGACCAAAAGAAACAAAGUAGUAAAAGUAGAGCACAAGUAAAAACUUACUGUCAAGAGCGGUGGUGUCGUGCGCUUGAGAGACAAUGGUGGGCGUUGAUGGAAGACGCGAGACUUUUGGAGCAAGGGAGGAAUACAGAGGCGAUUGAACCUUCAAUCCCCGGAAACCCGGUCUGUGGCGGAGGGAGAGGGAAACAGCCCCCGGCCUUGACGUGAUCGCCGGGAGGAGAUACGAAGGAGAAAAGAGAGCAGUGGAUUCAGUUAUGGUGGCCAUUUAAGCGGGUGAGAGAUAUACAUUGGGAUCAUGUAUAUAUAUAAGAGGUGAAUUGAGAAUGAUGAAAGUUAGAUGGUGGGAAAUAAGGAAAGGGAAGUACCGGAGUGGCGGCUUGAAGAGUCGCUAGUAGCCAGCUAAUUCCGAGUAAGCAAACACAUAAAAUAACCCAUUAACAAUCAAUCCCUUGCCUUUGGCCCCCUGUGCUUUAUUCAUAUCAUCCGAGUAUCUGCCAUUCUAUCUCUUCCGACGAAAUAUCGGACAGUAUUUUUGGGGGUUGCCUAGUGCCUUGACCGACUGAAAAUUUACGGAGAUUGUAUUCUUGUACGGUUAAGAUUAGAAAAUGUGAUCAAAAAAUAGAUCUAUCAAGAAAAUCACAUCACAAGAAUAGAAAAAUGAAAUUUACGCUUCUUAAAUUAUAAUUUACACACUCAUUUUUUAUUUUUAAUCAUCAUUUUCAUAAAAAGACAAAAUUCAAAUCAUUAACAACAAAGCUAAAUUACCAAAAAAAGAAAUAUGGAACGUAUAUUACAAUUUGAAAAGUGUGGAUUUUACUUCUCUAAGAAUAAAUAAAUAGGUCAUUAUCUGAAAAAGAUUGUAUGUAUCAUAUAUAUAGUGCUUUGAAAAUGUACUCAUUUUUAAAGAUUUUUCAAACGAAAAAGAACGCGCGUUUUCAAACGUUUUGUUUCCACGUACCUGCACCCGAUUUCAUGCAGCUCAAGUCAUUAUUUGUAUAGAAUUUUAGUAUGUGAGGGUUUUUUUUGUACUUUAAUAUUUAGUUUGGUGCAACUAUAUCAUUAUCCAUUUGGCAAUUUCAUUGGAACCAUUACCACAAGGUUUAGUUCGGUUUCUUUUUUUAAGAAAUUUUGAAGAAUAACCAUUUUUUGGCUUUCAAAUUGAUUUAUAACCAUGAUUUUUAAAAUAGUUGAAGAAUGACCAUAUGAGGUGAUGAAAUAUCAUAAUUACCUUUAAUGACAAAUUAACACUGUCCAACUCUCCCUUCUUCAGUUCUUCUUCUUCUUCUUCUUCUUCCUAAUACAAUACACGUAUGGUUGUAAUUAUUAUUUUUUCCUUCCUCCUUCACUUCUGAUCUAUUGUUCAAGUAUGAAACCAUUAGAUUAGUAAAAGCUAUGAAACAUGAAAUAACACAUUACAUAAAUUCUACAAUCAUGGUUCAUAAAUUAUUUGACAAAUCAACAAAACCUUAUGCUCAUGAGAUAUUAUUUCUUUUGAUUUGUCAAAUUCCAUCGAUCACUUGUUUUCUUUUUUCACUUCUACAAAAUCCAUAGGCGAGAAGAAUGUAAGUAAUGAAAUUUGAAACCAUUGUUAUAUAUUGAGAGAGCAAAUAUGAGAAGAAGGUAUUUAGACCCAAAGUCUUAAAGUUUGAGAACUUGAGAAGGAAGUGAAUAUUCCAGAGAAAAUAACUUUUAAUAGGUCUAAUUCCCUUGACCUGGAGAGUGGCUUCAUGAAACAAGAAGAAACAAAGAUAUAAUUAUCAAAUUAAACUAAGAAGAAAUUGCUAUCGAAGAUGUGAUGUGAAUUCCUAAAGUUGCAAGAGAUUUAGGGUUGAAGAAGAAGAAGAAGANNNNNNNNNNNNNNNNNNNNNNNNNNNNNNNNNNNNNNNNNNNNNNNNNNNNNGGUAAUUACGAUAUUUUAUUACCUAUUUUAGAAAUCAAGGUUAUAAAUCAAUUUAAAGACCAGAAAGUGGUUAUUUAUCAAUUUUUUAUUUUUUAUUUUUAUUUUUAUUUAUUUUUAUUUUUUUGUCAUUACAACAAGGUUUUGUUAACCUCAAUUUUGAUGGAUCAGUGUUAGAUACUUCCCAAGCCGGCAAUUAGUUUGUUUUCAUUGGAGGAGCAAGGGGUUUCCUCGUCCUCACUUCAACUAAUCGACUUGGUCACUCCAGUGUUAUUAUUGCCGAAGUUGCUACCCAAGCCCGGACCUGAGAUUUUAAGGCCUGAGUCGAACUCUCAGAGUUGGACCCUUAAUUUUUUUUAUAUAUAUAUAAAAUAGCAUAUAACAUUCAAAAAUAUAUAGGAUUUUUAUGCAAAAUACUUAUUAUGCAAAUAGGAUUCCAAAACCUUCGAUGGUUUAGUAAUCCUAAUUGUAUUAUAAAUUCUAUCUAUACAGCAAAUAUCUUAUCUAAUCAUGUUUGGUUGCUUCUAUUUAAUAUUUUAACUUUUUUUAUGGGUACAAAUUUAAAGUAGUAAUUGAUGGUUUGAGUCCCUCAUCAAAUGUAAUUGUCUUUGUUUUAGGAUAGUUGUCUUUAAUUCAUGUCAAAUCGCACGGCCUAAAAACUAUUAUUUUUUUUUUGGACAACUAUAAAAAAAAUAUUUUUGGGCCCCUUAGAUUUUUGGGCCCUGAGUCCCAAGCCUCUUGUGCCUCUGUUCAAAUCCGGGCCUGCUACUACCCUUCGAGCAAGUUUAUUGGCUGCAGUGUUUCAUGAUUACAAGAAUGUACGUGAAAGUGGAAGGAGAUUCAAAAAUUCUCAUUGGCUAGCAUAAAUAAUGCUUGCAUCGUUCCUUCGCGAAUGCGGACUAGUGGUAUUAGAAUUUUAAUUCGUUACUUUCAAACAAUUGAAUUUCGUCAUGUUUGAAGAGAAUCCAACUUUUUAACUAAUGCAAUCGCAAAUCUUGGUCGUACUGCUAAUUAACUUACAACGUUGGGAUCACAACCUUCCUCUUUCGGCUCUGACAGUUUUUAACUUUGAUUUCCAUAGUUUAGAUCGUUCACUGUGGAUUUUCCUAGUAAUCUUUUAUUGUUUAUUCCUAAAAAAAAAAAAGCAGUUUGAAUCGGAACCAUUAAUUAUUGUAGUAGUAUCCUUUGAAAAUAGUGAAGGGGAGCGACAAGAAGAAAAAACCCUACGGGCCACGGCCCAGCAGCAGCUUGGAUAGCAGGCACAGGCAGGAAUCCGCCAUGGCCUCCCCCUCUAGGGCCAUCGCAUUCAAAUGCUCUUCCUCUCUCGCCUUUUCUUCAAAAACGCGGAUGGACUCCAAACCCAGAACCCUCCAUAACUCAUUUUCAAGUUCAAGCGCUGCUCCAAGAGAAGCUACUGAAGCCUCUAUCACAUUGCAGGAAUGGCAGGGCUGGGGCACCACCUCCCCUGUGCCCGCUUUGGUCACCAAAAUUGUUCAGGAUUUGAAGGUUUUGGAGAAGGCUACCGAUGCACGAAUGAGCUUUGGCGGCAGUGGUGGCAAGCUUCAGGUAUCUCCUCUUCUGCUGCGGCCCAUUUUUGUUUCAAAAUUAAAUUCUACAGCAACAUGGUUUUAGAAGUAAGCUUUUCAUAUAUUUAUUUUCAGGGAGAUUUUAAAGUGCAGGAGGAUAGAAAACACAGGAAGACAUAUAAGGCUUUAGGUGAUUCUGAACAAAAGCUUCAGUUUUUCUCAGCUCGACAAAUAGCAUGCCGCGUGCUUGGGAGUAGAGGCUACCUUUGUCAAAAGGUAUUGGGCUGUUUUGCAAAAAUAUUUGUGUGCAUUUUGGCUUUUAACUUCUUCCUCCUACUGAUGCUGCCCCUUUUCAUGUUCAUGAUAUCUAAUUGGGAAUUAUUAUUUUCCAGUGCUGGCUACCUUUGGAAGAUUGUAUGUGUGCAAGAAUAGUGAAGUACCCUCUUUGGCCUCGAAUGCGAUUCUGGUUAUAUAUGCAUCCAAAGGUUGUCACUUUGUCAUUGUACAAAUCAUGUACUUUGAACACUUCUGAAAGAAAAGCAUAUAUAUUUAUAUUAUUGAAAUGAGCAGUCAGCUUUUUGCAGGAUUUCUUAAGGCAGAACAAUACUGGAAAGUUGUUGUGGCAAGUAUUUGGCACUGAAGCUGCAACUUUGUGCCUCUUCGGCAUCGUGGAACAGGAAGAAAUAAUGUGGGAUGCAUUUAAGCUUGCAGGUCUUCUUGCUUUUCCUUCUCAAAACUGAUAGGGCCAAUAAAUAUUGUGUCCUUAAUUUUAUUCUGAUAUUGGUAAUUUGCAACUUUAGAUAUUAAGCUAUUGUUUGGGAAACAUAGCACUUUCCAUAUCAUACUAAGACAUUUUUACAAAGUCUUUUGACUCUGAUUAGAUAGAUGCUUUAUUUUAGUACUUUUUGUAGCCAUUGCUAUAACACUGAAACUGCAUGUUGAAAUUAGUACUUGACAUUACAUUACCAAGUUAAAUUGAUGAACUUAAGUUGCCAAUGUUAUUUUUAUUAUUUUUCGGUGUGAAGUUGUCAGUGUGGCAAUUUAUUUUUGUUUAUUUUGUUUUUUCUAGCAGCUAGAAUUGGAAGUUUCUUAUGUUCUGUGGCUUACUUAUAUGGAUAUUAUUUGUGGAAUCAUUAAUUUAUUCUUCAAUUAACAAUAAAUCUAGGAAAAAGCAAUGUGUGGUGCCUCUAUCCCAACAAAAAUGCUGUGGUAACAUCUGUUCAGGAUGUAUUUGGCCAAGAAUCUUCAGCUGAUCUGGAAUGUCCAUAUACGAAGGUAUAAUUAUCUCAGGGCUAUGUUUGUGGAAGUUGUGUAUGAGGUUCAUUUGCUAAUGAUCCUCUUGCUAGUUGUGAAUAAGGCCACAAAAAAAAAAAAAAAAAAAAAAAAAAUACCUUUCUAGUGUCAAUGUGUUUCUUACAUGGUUAUCCCAAUAAAUUUCCUGAGAGCCAUAACUAGUGUUUCUUUUGAACAAACUAAAAACAGUUUCUUACUAUAGUUUUUUCUUCCAUCCAAACCAGUAAACAUUUUUUUAGCAAUCUGAAAGUGCUUUUGGCAUCCAGGAGGGGUCAAUUCAGAUGUUAGUUGAUUGUUACCGAUCAUGUUAAGAGGCCAUAUAAAUGGCUAGCGUAACUUAAAUCCUUCAGUUUCUUAACAAGAAAUUUCUUAUGCUUUUAUCGAGUUCAACAAUAUGAUAAAUUCCAUUUUUGACUGCUGCACAGAUAAAUGAAGACAGAACUCUAAAUUUCAUUUUGAUCGAUGGAACAUGGAACAAUUCUGUUGCAAUAUUUCGUCGUCUGAAGGUAAUAGUUUCUGUCACGCUUUUCUUUUUGGUUUUCAUUAUUAUCUGCGAAAUGCUACAUGAACAAAUUUGUUCUGUGAAUUGGGAUUUAUUCCCUCUGUUGUAGAUGAUAAUAAAGUCAUGUGUAUACUUGCAAGAAUCAGCUUUUCCUCAUCUUUCCUUUCUAUACCUUUUCCCCUGAAUAAAAUGGCAAGUCUCUGAGUGAAUGGAAAGAAAGGAAAAAACCAGUGGGAUCAUGCUUCAUGCUCCUAUUUAGUCAAAUUUUGUAAAUGUGUAGACUGUUGUUUGGUAAUAUUAACAGCCACAAAAUUUGGCCAUUGGUAUACUGACAACUGCUUUACUUGCAUGAAGAUAUCAAAUGAUGUAGUGAUGACUUCAUAUAAUAUUUCUAUGUGCAGGAUCAAGCAAAGUUAAUAUGGGGAGGAGAGGACUUCCCUUGUAUUUCCCUUGCUACUGGUGCUUCUGCAAUGCAUAAACUUAGGUAGAACAACAACUUCACUUCUGCAGUUUUCUGACUUUCUCUACUGAGGCUUUCUUUCAGUUCUUUUUGUUCUUUUCUUGUUGAACUCUUUCUUUGCUCUUCCACAAAUAACUUCUGCUCACCUUUCCCAAAUACCUGCCUUAUUGAAUCUAAUUGUUAAAUGAUUGUGUGCGCAGGCCCCAACCAUCAUUGGAUCGUACCUGUACAGCAGCAGCAGCUAUUGGCCUCCUCUCCGAGCUGCAUCUUCUUCCAGAGUUUAGCUCCCAUGGAUUUGAUAAGAAGGCUGAAGCUGUGGAGGAUGCUUUAGUUGUAUUAUUAGAGGCUUUAACAACUAGACGACUUCGGAUGGGCAGGUCCAUCAGUCGUACAGUGAGACAUAACAGCGAUUUUUGUUAACUGAUAAGUCUAAUGGUUGCCCUGAUAAGUGAUAGCUGGAGAAAAUAUUUUCGAGAAUGCGAGGUAAUCACACCAUUUUUGUGACCUUAUAUGAGUGCACACUGUGCUUAUAGAAUGCGGUUGGCUGAUUGAUAGUGGAAAUAUGUGGUCGCACAUGUACAACAUGAAAAUACUUGAUACAGUAAGAUCAGAAUCGUAUGAGAAGCUGACUUCUCUUCUUUGUUCUUAGUUUCGAUCUGUUGCAUAUUACGUAAUUGUUUGCUGGCAAGCAUCCAUAACGUGAAACUUUUACACUUUAUGUUCUGUUUGUUAUGGUUUGCCUAUACCAUUCAUACGUGAUGGCAAAUGAAACAUGAUAAUCAGCAACAGUGAAUACUGUAGCAUAUUCCAGUUUCAACAACCAAGCUGCAUCUAUUCCAAUUCUGUUAUCAAGCCUAUACUUCUAGCUGAUUGACCUAUCGUGCGCACACACGCUAACAGUCGGGUUUGUUUGUGUCCUUUUUACCAUACAGCUCUUCCAAAGAGUGCAUCUUCUACGUCAUGUGCUCUGUGUUGCGUGCUACUACUCACAAGUCACAACCAGCAUAUACUAGAUUGUUUUUUGAACAGUGGCCGCAACCCAUAUGGAGCUCCAUUUUAUCCGACUCAAGAGGUUGUAUGAUGUCUCCUGAAAAACUGAGCAAUGGCUCGUGGUCCUGGUCCAUUAUCUUUUUUCAGGCGUUUGGCUUAUAGGCUCGCACCUAGGCACGACCUGAUGCUAGCUGUACUACACUCGCUUGGAGUUCACAGCCGUGCGUCCACAUGUACGGCCCAAGGGUGCGCUUCUGCUAAGAGCCGUAGAACGCACGUGUACAAGUUUAUAAAAGUGCUUGGUGAGGUUUCACCAAGCAAUAGUGUUUACAUCUAACGGUGAUUGACCACGAUUUUUUUAGUCAUUAGGUGAUCACGUGAACACCACUCUUCCAGCAACAGUGUGGCCAACAGAGAGUUGUCUUAUGAGAGGCAAUAUCAGAAAAACACAAAAAAUAAAACUCUAGAAAUUUGGUUGUUUAACUCUAUAAACUUAAAUGAGCAGUAACUUAGACUUAAGUGACAAUACUGAGCUCAUGUAUUAACCUAGGUAAGGACGUGUGAAAGAUGUCAUGUUCUAGAAACACUAGUAAGAAAAUGAGACAAGUUAUAUCUGCAAAAACAAAAGGCAUGGUCGGUGAAGCUCAUCCUUAUCUAACCGAAACAAUCUUCCUCGUGUUUCUUAUUUUUAAAUGAAACUGCUUGGAAAUUAAUAAUCCUCCUCCCCUCCCAUUUACUAAUACGCAAACGGCGGAGACCCCCCAAUCGCUCUAUUACCUUCCCGAUCCUUGCAAGCAAUAUGGCGUCUGGAUCGUCGGGUCGGGCCAACCCGGGCUCGAAGGGCUUUGAUUUCGCCUCUGACGACAUUCUGUGCUCCUACGAAGACUUCGGUAGCAACCAGGACUCCUCUAAUGGAAGCCACAACGACCCAGCCAUCGGAACCAAUUCCACCCAGGUAUUCUUUCAUCUCUUCGAUUAGAUUAGGGUUCCGAUCAUCGAUUUCGAUUUAUUAGGGCAUCUUUGUUGCUGCUCUCAGUUGAAAUUGAGCACAGCCUUGCUUCAAAUUUAUAAACCAAUCUUUAUUUAAAAAGCUUGAUUUUGGGUAAGGCCAACAGUAGCCUCCAGAGUGAGUCAAUUUCUUUUGGUUCCUCCUAGAUUUAUAUUUAGAAGCAACCUAACAACCAAGUAGAGCCUUCGGUUUGAUUCCGCUGAUCACCGGAACCCUAGUCCAUAAUAAGAACUAAUUUUUAUAGCUCUGUAUUUAAUGGGUUAGAGCUAUAAACUACGUUAUCGAGUUUUGGUGGUUGCCAUGUUACGUGGAUGAAAUAAUAUGGAAACUUAUUGUAAGCUUUGCAUGCACAGUUCUAUAGGCAUUGAUAUGGUUGCGAGUAUUAGCUGUAAGUGUCGAGAAAUAUUUUUUAUCUACCAACACAAUUAUGUCUGAAAAACUUGCUCUUGAGACUUGAAGUGAAGAUGAGCUUUUGAAUGAAAUUAUGGUUAAUUUUGUUGUAGUCUAAAUUGAGUUCCUUUAAAAGAGCAUAUUAGGUAUUGGCUAUGUGCUUUAUAGUUUUUUGUAUAUCCAGUUCUGAAUAUAUGAUCUCAGAAAAGCUAUGUCAUUACUUCAUUAUCGGUCAUCUUGGUUGCUUGAAUGUUGGGAACUUUGUUGUUGUUCUAGUUGAUCUUGUAAACCCUAUGAGUGAAACUGAUUUUCAGAUGCAGUUAGCUGGUUCGGAUAUCGUAAGUCCUUAUAUUACAGUAGUCAACCUAUAUAUGUUACACUUACGUGAUUCAAAAAUGUUUGAAGCAUGUGAGAUUAAAAUGGAUUUGGGAAUAUAGUUUUCUCAUUUGAUAAUCGACUGCCUGAAUAUAGUGGGACUUCUCCUGAAGAUUGUUUUGUUGGUAAAAUGUAAAUUGAUUAGUAUAUCAAUUUUUCCCUCAAUAUUCUUUGUAAGUAUGUUUGUAAAAACAAGCUUCGUCUUUAAAUCUAAGAACCAGUGCAAAGGCUAAGAGUUAGGUUUCAUGUGUAGAUAGAGUGGGGUUGCUACUGCCUCAAAGUUUUUGAGAAAUAAGGGUUCAUUGACAAGAUUAUUUAUUCAACCACAUGCUAUGUUGUAAGCUGGCGAACCUCUUAUUUUCUUAGUUCAUUGAAAAGAUUAUUUGUCCAACCACAUGCUGUGUUGGAAGCUGGCGAACCUCUUAUUUUUUAUUUUUACAUAGAGAGUUGUAUUCUGCAGUUUUAUAUUUAAGCAUUCAUAAGAGUAUGACGUUCCAUUAUUUUGUGAGUUUGGCCUAGUGCUCAUUUUUUUUCAAUAGCUAUUGCUCACCAAAUGUUAUAUUUUAGAUUAGAAGCAUAGUAGAUACUAUUCUGUUUGCUGACUAGUUAGCUUUCUGCCACCUCUACCAGGAUUUUCACAAAAGUAGAAUGGCAAGAUCACCAAUGUACUCUUCUGCUGCCUAUGGCCAGCCUGAAGACUCUCUUAACCAAGAAGUAAUUGCUACUGUUGAAAAGAGCAUGAAAAAAUAUGCUGACAAUCUCAUGCGCUUCCUUGAAGGAAUCAGUUCGCGGCUGUCACAGUUGGAGUUAUAUUGCUACAACCUUGAUAAGUCAAUUGGUGAGAUGCGUUCUGAUUUAAAUCGUGAUCAUGGGGAGGCAGAUACAAAGCUCAAGUCUCUCGAGAAACAUCUUCAAGAAGUUAGUUGCAACUCUUUAUUUCUUUUUGCAUAAAUAUUUCCAUGGUGGAAUAUGAUUUAUAGGCCUUGCUUGUGUGUCAAAUUGCUCGUACAAGCUUGAUUAGUUUUCUAGGGAUUCUCUCUUGGCGAUAUAUACCUGAGGAUCUUUAAAUAAGGCAACUCUAUCUGUACUUUGGCUAUAGAUUUUUGUUAUUUGCUAGAAUUAUGAAGCAUAGAAUGUGUGGUCUUAAAAGUUGGGUUUUGAUUGAAAAUUUUGUACUCCGUGCCUCUUGUUCGAGUUCUUGAUUCUACCACACUCUGCAUCCAAGGACUUGAAAUGUCAGGAAUGGUUUCUUUCAAAUGGAAAAUUAGAGCCCCAAUAAUUGAACCUCUGUUGUCUCUUACUGUUUUAUAGUUUUAAUUCUUACACUAGGAAUAGGUUUUUGCAAUUGUUGAACUUUUGUGAUGCUCAUUUCAGGUCCAUAGGUCUGUCCAGAUCCUGAGAGACAAGCAAGAACUUGCGGAGACUCAAAAAGAAUUAGCCAAGCUUCAGCUUGCACAGAAAGGAUCGUCUUCAUCGAUCCAUUCCCAAUCUAAUGAGGAAAGAGCUUCACCACCAACCUCAGAUGGUCAGAAGACUGACAACACAUCUGAAACAGCUAACCAGCAAUUAGCUCUCGCCUUGCCCCAUCAAGUAGCACCGCAGCAACAGCCGGUGGCACCUCCACAACAGGCGCCAACUCAGAGUGCGACCCAGCAACAACAAACCUAUUAUUUACCUCAAUCUCAGCUAUCAAAUCCAGCACCUGCACAACAGCAUCCUCAAAGUCAGUAUUUGGCUUCGGAUCCUCAGUAUCGAACCCCGCAACUACAAGACCCUAGAGUGGCACCACAGCCAACACAAUCUCAAGUAAAUCAACCACAAGUGCAGACGUACUCUCAAUAUCCACAGCCAUUACCACAACAGUUGCCUCAGCAGGUUCAGUAUCCACAACAGCCCUCUAUGCAGCCUAUGCAGCCUAUGCAGCCCCACAUGAGGCCCCCAUCAACACCUGUGUACCCACCGUACCCACCUGGUCAGCAGACAAACCCAUCUCCUCCAGAGACUCUUCCAAACAGCAUGCCAAUGCAAGUAUCAUAUUCGAGUGUUCCUCAACCUGGUUCUGGUCGUUCUGAUGCCAUGCCUUUUGGGUAUAGCGGAGCUGGUAGAACAAUGCCACAGCAGCCGCCACCCCAGCAGCAGAUCAAGGGUGCUUUUGGAGCUCAACAAGGUGAUGGGUAUGCCGCUGCUGGGCCUCACCCUGCACUUCCCCCAGGGAGUACAUAUAUGAUGUAUGAUAGUGAAGGGGGUAGAAAUCCAUAUUCUGCUCAGGUGCCUCAUUACAGUCAAGGUGGAUAUCCUCCAGCAAGUGGCUCUCAGACUCCACAACCAACCACAGCUCCAAGUCAUAUGGUUCGCAAUCCACAAUUCAUUCGUAACCAUCCGUACAACGAAUUGAUUGAGAAGUUGGUGAGCAUGGGAUUUAGGGGUGAUCAUGUUGCAAGUGUAAUCCAGAGGAUGGAGGAAAGUGGCCAAACCAUCGAUUUUAAUGCUGUGAUUGACAGGUUGAAUGUACAUUCAUCUGGGGCUCCUCCUCAGAGAGGAUGGUCAGGGUAAACAGAAAAGGGGAGGAAAAUUUCCAGUUGAGUAACAGUCAUUGCGUGUGUUUUUUUAUUACGCAUUGAAUAAAGGCUGAUGAUAGGUGUAUGGUUGAGAGAUACAAGAAUAUUAUUGUAUAUCUGUGACCCCAUUGCAAGAUGUUAACGUUUGAUUUAGGUCAAUGGUGGGUUUUCUUUUAAAACGCAUUCUUGUAUAAUUGUUGGGACCUAUUUAAGUAUUUAUGGCUGCUUAUCUUUUAUAAUGAAUGAAGCUUUUUCUUGCUAGUGGUUAUGGAGGAUGUGUAUCCCACUGUAAUUGUUAUAGUUGAGAAGAGUGGCACUGCAACUGUACAGGUGUGUGCUGUUCAUCAAACUAGAGUCUCUACUUGUAUGUUUUAUCGCCUAAAUUUUGAGGUUUGGUGAUGUACGAUUUGAUUUGAAACUCGGGCAGAUACAUAUAUAAAAGAGCAAAUUGAAAUCAAUCUCGGACCUCCUCUCCGAAAAGGAAAUGCUCCUCGUCAAUUCCCGAUCAUCCUUUCUCCAGAUUUCUACAGAAAAAUUUAUGCGGAUGGACAGUAUUAUAGUUAGAGGCAUCGUAUAAUUUCCAGAUAGUGAACACGUUGGAAAACCUGUGAGAUGAAAUCUGUCAACUCAAAAGUUGCUUAAGAUCAAAGUAAAAGAGGCGCGUUUGACUUUGUAUUUAGAUCCAUCCUAAAUCAAAAACAAAAAUAUAUUUCUAAGGAAAAGAAACACGGACGGUAACGGGGUGUUUAGGACGCCGCCCAACACAGAAUGAAAUUAUGCCAAGAUUGAUUCUCUGCGGCUUUGCCAGUGGGAAACCCUCAAAAGAAGGAAAAUGAAUUUCUUUUAACACAUGGAGAACCUUCCUUUUUACUCGUUUGCCAAUACCAACAAUUAAUAAAAUUUGUUAUUUUUUUCUAAACAUUUUUAUUAAAUAACUCACACACGAACAUUAUAAUUUAUACAAUUCCUAUGUUCCGUUUUAAAAUGAAAGUAUAUGGCUCCUUAUUUGACACAUUUGUCACUUUUUCACAUCUCCACUGUUUAGUGUCUAGAACAUUUGAAGGCAAAUUGCAAAACCUUAGCCCAAGUUGCAAGCUAAAAGGGCCAUCAAGCCGGAUUGGGCUAGUCGACCAUUAAAACCUUUUUGGUCAUGCUCUAUCAAACCUACAGCUGGCAACACAAUCUGCACCGCGACACUUCACGCCGUCAUGGCCCAACACCAUCGGCCAUGACUCAAAGUGUCGUCAGUCAAGAACCCCUAAACAUAAAUUAGUCACCUACUGGAUUGCAUGACCACCAUCUACGCACCAACCCAACCAAACCAAAUUGAUGGAAACCUUGCGCAAAAAAUAGUGCUUUACCGUUUCUUUCAUUUUCUUUUUCAUAUUUUUAAGCUACCUAAGAGUAACAACUACACAACCACAUGAUGUGGUAAGAUUGGUCGAGCUGCCUAGUAUUAAAUCCCAAGGCUAGAAUUUGAGUCCUAAUUCAUCAGUUUGUGGCUAGCAGGUUAAGAGUCAUUGAGUUCCUACGUUUGCGGCAAGAGACUAGUUUGUCUUUAUCAGAUGCUCUCGUGGACACUCUGUUGGUUAGGUGUGUCAGUGUGUGUGACUAACUGGCUAACGUUACCGACAUAUUUUGUUGCUUCACUCUUUACAAUAGAUAAAAAAAACUAACAACUACAUAAUAAGUCGUAAUUGCGUCCAUUUUUUUGGUUACAAAAAAGACCUAGAAGGCCGAAAGCCACAAUAAUUGCAUCUUUUGUUCCAUAUAAAGGAAAAUUUUCAUAUCAUAUGCAAAAAUUGUUAAAUUGCUAAAUUCCAAAAUGUUCAAAUUCUUGGAAGUGUCCAUUCCGAACAUGAUUUGGUCCAAAAAAGAAGCACGUUUUGAGCUUCAUACGACUUUUGUGUUUGGUUUACUCGUUUCCAGAAAAAUAGUCUGGUUAACUUGGAACAGAAAUAAAUAAAAAUCAAAUAAAGAAACGUAAUUGUCUCUGUCUGCCGAGACGGAAAAGGAAGGGGAAAGGAAGAGGCAAAAAAUUUCGAAACAGACGGCGAGUGGGGAAACGGCGUUACGUCUUUCCAUUUCCUAUCCUUCCUUGUCUCUCUCUCUCUUCUUCUUCUUGUUUUUGACCAAAAACACACAAAACCUAAGCGGUCUCCGGCGCCAUGAGUAUCCGGCCUCCGGACCCGGAUUCCGAGCCCUACAACAUCAUCCCCGUCCACAACCUCCUCGCGGACCACCCCUCUCUCCGGUUCCCUGAGGUCCGCGCCGCCGCCGCGUCCCUCCGCGCCGUGGGCAACCUCCGCAGGCCGCCCUACGCCCAAUGGCGGCCCCACAUGGACCUCCUGGACUGGCUGGCCUUGUUCUUCGGGUUCCAAUACGACAACGUCCGCAACCAGAGGGAGCACAUCGUCCUCCACUUGGCCAACGCCCAGAUGCGCCUCAGCCCUCCCCCUGACAACAUCGACACUCUGGACGGCGGCGUCCUCCGCAAGUUCCGCAAGAAGCUCCUCCUCAAUUACACCAACUGGUGCUCCUACCUGGGCAAGAAAUCCAACAUCUGGAUCUCCGCCUCCUCCGACCACCGCCGCGAGCUCCUCUACGUCUCCCUCUACCUCCUCAUCUGGGGCGAGGCCGCCAAUCUCAGGUUCGUGCCCGAGUGCUUGUGCUAUAUCUUUCAUAACAUGGCCAUGGAGUUGAAUAAGAUUCUGGAGGAUUACAUUGAUGAGAGCACCGGGCAGCCUGUUAUGCCCUCCGUUUCCGGGGAGAAUGCCUUCCUGAAUUGCGUCGUCAAGCCCAUUUACGACACCAUCCGGGCCGAGGUUGAGGGCAGCAAGAAUGGGACUGCCCCCCACAGUGUUUGGAGGAACUAUGAUGAUAUCAAUGAGUACUUCUGGAGCAAGCGCUGUUUCGACAAGCUCAAGUGGCCUGUCGACGUCGGCAGCAACUUCUUUGUUACUAACACCAAGAGUAAGCAUGUGGGCAAGACCGGCUUUGUGGAGCAGAGGUCCUUCUGGAACUUGUUUAGGAGCUUUGACAAGCUUUGGAUCAUGCUGCUCUUGUUCCUCCAGGCCGCCAUCAUAGUUGCUUGGGAGGAGAGGGAGUAUCCCUGGCAGGCCUUGCAGGAGAGGCAAGUCCAGGUCAAGGUUCUCACUGUGUUUUUCACUUGGAGUGGUUUGAGGUUUCUGCAGUCCCUACUUGAUGUGGGGAUGCAGUAUAGUCUGGUUUCCAGGGAGACUUUGGGGCUCGGGGUCAGGAUGGUCUUCAAGAGCAUUGCUGCUGCAGGCUGGAUUGUUGUUUUCGGGGUCUUUUAUGGGAGGAUAUGGUCCCAGAGAAACCUGGAUAAGCGGUGGUCUCCUGAGGCAGACAGCCGGGUUGUGCAGUUUCUUUUGGUGUCGUUGGUUUUCAUCAUUCCAGAGCUCUUGGCCAUAACCUUCUUUAUUCUUCCUUGGAUUCGCAAUUUUAUGGAGAACUCAAACUGGAGGAUAUUUUAUGCCUUGUCCUGGUGGUUUCAGAGCAAAACUUUUGUCGGCCGUGGCUUGAGGGAAGGCCUUGUGGACAAUGUCAAGUACACUUUGUUCUGGAUUUUGGUGCUAUCUACCAAGUUUGCUUUCAGUUACUUCAUGCUGAUUAAACCCAUGAUUGUUCCAUCUAAAGCACUCGUAAAACUUGAUAAUGUGGAGUAUGAGUGGUUUCAGAUUCUCAAAAACAGCAACAAAAUGGCGGUGGGAUUGUUGUGGCUUCCUGUCGUUUUGAUAUACCUCAUGGACAUGCAGAUCUGGUAUUCAAUCUACUCCUCAUUUUGGGGGGCAUUAGUCGGUUUGCUUGCGCAUUUGGGUGAGAUUCGAAAUAUCCAACAGUUGAGGCUGAGGUUCCAGUUCUUUGCAAGUGCUAUUCAGUUUAAUCUCAUGCCAGAGGAGCAGAUGUUAAAUGCAAGGGGGACACUGAGAAGCAAGUUUAAUGACGCUAUCCACAGGUUGAAGCUGAGGUAUGGGCUUGGACGGCCUUAUAAGAAGCUUGAAUCCAACCAGAUCGAGGCAACCAAGUUUGCUUUGAUAUGGAAUGAGAUCAUAUUGAUCUUCAGGGAAGAGGAUUUGAUUUCGGACAGCGAGGUUGAGUUGUUAGAGCUACCACAGAAUUCUUGGAAUGUCAGGGUCAUUCGCUGGCCUUGUUUUCUUUUGUGCAAUGAACUGCUGCUUGCACUUAGUCAGGCCAAAGAGUUGGUAGACGCGCCUGACAAGUGGCUCUGGUAUAAGAUAUGCAAGAAUGAGUACAGGCGCUGUGCUGUGAUAGAAGCUUAUGAUUGUGUCAAGCACAUGAUACUUGCCAUUAUAAAACCCAACACAGAAGAGCAUUCAAUCGUGACAGUCUUGUUUCAGGAAAUUGAUCACUCUAUUCAGAUUGAGAAGUUCACAAAAACUUUUAAAACCGCUGCCCUUCCACUACUCCAUGCCAAGUUGAUCAAGCUUUCUGAGCUAUUGAACAAACCUAAGAAAGAUACAAACCAGGUGGUGAAUACCCUUCAGGCUCUUUAUGAGAUUGCCAUUCGAGAUUUCUUCAAGGAGAAAAGAAGUACUGAACAGCUUUUGGAGGACGGUUUGGCUCUCCGUGAUCCAUCUUCUGCUGCAGGGCUGCUUUUUGAAAAUGCUGUUGGGUUGCCUGAUCCUAGUGAUGGAUCCUUCUAUCGGCAGGUUCGGCGCCUGCACACAAUACUUACCUCACGGGACUCGAUGCAGAAUAUUCCAGUUAACCUUGAGGCGAGACGCAGAAUUGCCUUCUUUAGUAACUCCCUGUUUAUGAACAUACCCCAUGCUCCACAAGUUGAGAAAAUGAUGGCUUUCAGUGUUCUGACCCCAUAUUACAGUGAAGAAGUAUUGUACAGCAAAGAACAACUGCGUACUGAGAAUGAAGAUGGGAUUUCUACCCUGUACUAUCUACAAACAAUUUAUGUUGAUGAGUGGAAAAAUUUCAUGGAGAGAAUGCGUCGAGAAGGAAUAGCAAAUGAUGAUGAGAUAUGGACAACGAAGUUGAGGGAGCUCAGGCUUUGGGCAUCUUACAGAGGACAGACACUUACUCGAACCGUAAGGGGUAUGAUGUAUUAUUUUCGGGCUCUUAAGAUGUUGGCUUUUCUGGAUUCUGCAUCAGAGAUGGACAUUCGGGAAGGUUCACAAGAACUUGGUUCUAUGAUGCGAGACAUUGGUUUGGAUGGUUUGACCUUGGAGAAGUCACUUUCUUCCAGGAGUUUAAGUAGGACAAGCAGUUGUGUGAACUCAUUGUACAAAGGUCAUGAAGUUGGAACUGCUUUGAUGAAAUAUACAUAUGUGGUUGCAUGCCAGAUAUAUGGAACACAAAAGGCGAAGAAAGAUCCCCAUGCUGAUGAAAUUUUGUAUCUGAUGAAAACCAAUGAAGCACUUCGAAUUGCCUAUGUUGACGAGGUUUCAACUGGCAGGGAUGAGAAGGAAUAUUAUUCUGUUCUCGUCAAGUAUGAUAAUCAGUUAGAGAAGGAAGUGGAAAUCUAUCGCAUUAAGUUGCCUGGUCCCUUGAAGCUCGGAGAGGGGAAACCAGAGAAUCAAAAUCAUGCCAUUAUCUUCACUCGUGGUGAUGCAGUUCAGACUAUUGAUAUGAACCAGGACAAUUAUUUUGAGGAGGCACUUAAAAUGCGGAAUCUGUUGGAAGAAUUCAGGCGCUAUUAUGGUAUCCGAAAGCCUACGAUCUUGGGAGUUAGGGAGCAUGUCUUUACUGGUUCUGUCUCAUCUCUUGCUUGGUUUAUGUCAGCUCAGGAAACAAGUUUUGUCACCUUGGGUCAGCGGGUGUUGGCAAACCCUUUGAAAAUUCGAAUGCAUUAUGGUCAUCCAGAUGUCUUUGACCGAUUUUGGUUCUUGACUCGAGGUGGCAUCAGUAAAGCUUCCAGGGUGAUUAACAUCAGUGAAGACAUUUUUGCUGGCUUUAAUUGCACUUUGCGUGGAGGCAACGUCACCCACCAUGAAUACAUCCAAGUUGGCAAGGGAAGGGAUGUUGGAUUUAACCAAAUCUCCAUGUUUGAGGCCAAGGUUGCUAGUGGAAAUGGGGAGCAAGUUCUGAGCAGAGAUGUGUAUAGGUUAGGCCAUAGGCUUGAUUUCUUGCGGAUGCUGUCAUUCUUUUAUACUACUGUGGGUUUCUUUUUCAACACAAUGAUGGUGAUUUUAACUGUGUAUGCAUUUCUAUGGGGCCGACUUUAUUUGGCUCUCAGUGGUAUUGAAGGUUCUAUAUUGGGGGAUGAUACUAGUAAUAGAGCACUUGGUACAGUCUUGAAUCAACAGUUUAUUAUCCAGCUUGGUCUGUUCACUGCCCUUCCAAUGAUAGUAGAGAAUUCUCUCGAGCAUGGGUUUCUCCAAGCUAUCUGGGAUUUCCUGACAAUGCAGCUCCAGCUUUCUUCAGUUUUUUACACAUUUUCGAUGGGAACUCGUACCCACUAUUUUGGGAGAACCAUUCUUCAUGGUGGGGCAAAAUAUCGAGCGACGGGACGUGGCUUUGUUGUGCAGCACAAGAGUUUUGCAGAGAAUUAUAGGCUCUAUGCCCGUAGCCAUUUUGUGAAAGCAAUUGAACUCGGUUUGAUACUUACAGUUUAUGCAGCAUACAGUCCUGUGGCUAAGGACACAUUUGUUUACAUAGCAAUGACCAUCACAAGUUGGUUCAUGGUUUUGUCCUGGUUUAUGGCUCCCUUCGUUUUCAAUCCUUCUGGCUUUGACUGGUUGAAGACUGUUGAUGAUUUUGAUGACUUUAUGAACUGGAUUUGGUAUCGUGGUAGUGUGUUUGCCAAAGCUGAACAAAGCUGGGAAAGAUGGUGGUAUGAGGAACAGGAUCAUCUAAGGACAACCGGUGUGUGGGGAAAGUUGCUGGAGAUAAUUUUAGACCUUCGCUUCUUCUUUUUCCAGUAUGGGAUCGUGUACCAGCUUGGUAUUGCUGAUAACAGUAAAAGUAUACUUGUUUACUUGUUAUCUUGGAUCUAUGUGUUCCUGGCUUUUGGCAUAUUUAUCGUGAUAGUGUAUGCUCGGGUAAAAUAUGCAGCAAAAGAUCACAUUUACUACCGGCUGGUCCAAUUUCUUGUCAUUAAACUUGCACUACUGGUAAUAAUUGCCCUGUUGGAAUUCACAAACUUCAAGUUCAUGGAUAUAUUCACUAGUCUUCUGGCAUUCAUCCCCACUGGUUGGGGUUUGAUAUUGAUAGCACAAGUAUUCCGGCCCUUACUACAACGCACUAUACUAUGGGAGGUUGUUGUUUCUGUGGCUCGACUGUACGAUAUCUUGUUCGGGGUGAUUGUAUUGACUCCUGUGGCAGUAUUAUCAUGGUUUCCUGGGUUCCAGUCUAUGCAGACUAGGAUACUGUUUAAUGAUGCAUUCAGCAGGGGACUUCGUAUAUUCCAGAUUGUUACAGGAAAAAAGAAGUCCAAGAGAGAUUCGUGAUUGAAGGUAAAUUUAGUUAUUGAUCUUUCAAAGGUUUUAAUUAUGUACGUUCUAUUAUUAUGCCACCUCACAGGUCACUAAAUAAAACUUGUCAUGCAUCUAGUUGAUAAGUACUGUUAUUAUGUACGGCAAAGUUCAGUGCAUAGUCUAUGUAGGUGGGAAAAGAUGUGUUAAAUUGACAUGAUAUUCUAACAAAAAAAAAACUUCCUAUUUUUAUAUCCAUGUCAUGCUCUGCCAUUGAUUUUGAUUGCAUGCUUUUCGUGCGAGCAUGAGCUGCUUGAAUCUAUUUCACCUUAGUCACCACAUAUGAUGUCUCAUUUUGAAAUUAUCACCCAUCAGAUUCUGGUGUUAUUUCUCGUCAACCAGUUUCUGGCGUUAUGGUGAAUGGGUUUGCAUUUGGAUUUCAGAGAUUUAUUAAAAUGAACAAGGUCAUAUAUGCAUGGUUCUUAUACUGGGGCAUUGAUUUUAAACAGCUCGAUGGGAUAGUAUAUUAUGUAACUGGAAUCAUGAAUUGCUAGCCCAGGAAUAACUAUGUAAGCUGUUAUUGCGUAGCGUCUGAUAUCCCGGUUGUCACAUUGUUGGGACUGUUUUCACUAAUUAGAAGUUGAUCAUCUUAAGGAUGCUCAAUAGUUCAAACAGUGCAUAUAACCUUAAAAAAGAACAUGGAUAUUAUUAGUUUAGUGCAGGACUGCUCAAUUAUGAUGGAAUAUUUGUUUGUUUCAAACGUAAAAUAUGUUGAUAAAGCAGACUAGUUUAUAUCCAUGUUAGUUGAGGGUCUUCAACCACUUGCUUUAGGGAUUUGUGGCUUCGGGUUUUUGGGGUUAUGAUUAUGUAUAUACUCAAAGUUUCGUGGAAACCACCCUGUGGUCUUGUGAUAAUGCUUUAGAUUUUUGAUCUGCUUUUGGGAAGCCUUUAUUUAAGCUAUAUUGUAAUUAUUGUCCUAUGGUUCAAAUAUUUUUGUACAGGAUCACUGAUUGCAUUUAUUUCUGUGAUUUUUGAACUUACUAAGAGGACUGCAUCUUUUUGUUGACAGGGAUUGAUGUAGUUAAUCGUCCCCAGAGGUUGUGAGGAUAGAUUUCGAUUUUGGAUUGGAGGCUUGUGGGGUUUGAAGAGGCUAUGAAUUGUUUGACAUUUGUGGCUGGCUGGUUAGCUUGGCUUGAUCUUCCCAAUUCUAGACUUGUGUAAUUAGAUUAAUAUUGCUGGUUAGAUAUAUCUGAUGUUGAAUCGGGAACUUUUAGCACUGUGCAUAUGCAAUCUUGUUUCACUCUGCAUCGUCUCUAUAUUGACUAUAGAUUAGUCUGGUAGUUGCUCAAGAUUGUUACAACAUUUGUUUAUUCUUUUUGUGAGAAAUGCAGCUUGGCAUUCAGUGUUGUGAUUUACCUGCUGUACUUAAAUUCUUGAUCUGCAACGCAAAUCAUUUAUUGAUUUGGCUUAUUAGCUCUACAAGCAUUCUGAACAUAUUUUCGGCACUGUUGUACCGACUGCUGCUUGGAGAUGUUGCAUCUUUUUAUGUUAAAAUGGUAGUCCUGAAGGCCCAACCCGUAUGCGAACAUGAAACUUGUAGAGGCUAGAGGGUUGAGUUGGGAAGAGAUUGACGGCUCUGUGAGCAUUGGGACAAGUCUAGUUUAAACAAGGUUGAGAUGUUUUUAUGAGGUGGUGUGUUUAGAGUGGCUGAAGACAUGAUCCAAGUCAAAGCAAAUUGAUAAAGAGAGAGGUAGGAGCUAAUUAAUAUUAUUAAUAUGGAGUAGCAAAAUGAAGAAUGGCUAGCUAGAUGAUCAGCCGACAGCUGGUUGAUGCAUGCUUGACGAAAUAAUAAUUUAUAAUUGUGAUAGAUCCAAAUCCCCCUCAGUCCUCCCUCCACUACUUUACACGUCCUCCUACACCGCCUCUCUCAAACAACCCCAUUCUCUCUGAAACAAACAAAAAAAAAUGGAGGAUCCUCUGAUCCCCGGAGAAUCCAGCACUCUCCGACGCCGCGGCGGCGAUAAGGGCUUCAAACGCCGCUCCGACGCCAUCACCUUCGGCUCUUCUUUCCAGAAAGCGGCCGCUCUCGUCGACUUGGUAUCUCUCUCUCUCUCUCUUGAGUUCUUCUUGAGUUCUUCUUCAGUCUCUGAUUGAAACUUGCAGGCGGAAGACGGCAUUGGCUUGCCGGAGCAGAUACUCGAUCUCUCGUCUUUUCACAGUGCUGCCAAGUACUACUUCAUCUACAUGCGAUUCAGCUUCCUUUGGGCCCUACUCUACUUCGCCCUCUUGAUUCUCAAUUUCCUUGAGAGACCUCUUUGGUGUGCGAAUCUCACUGAUUAUACUUGCAGUGACAGAGACUACUACUAUCUUGGCCAAUUGCCUUACUUAACUUCUACAGAGUCCCUUAUAUAUGAGGUAGCUACUCUUCUACUUUCACAUUUAGAAUUCAUCACUUUCUGCUUAUGUUGCUUCAUGACACAAUCAUAUACCUACGUUUCUUGAUCAAUUUUUUAAAUUAAAGCAUGAUUAAAUCUACCAACUUCUGAGCUGAUUAAUGUGCUUGUAAAUUUGCAAAGGAUUAAUUGUUUCAUCAUAUGACUACAUAGCUGCAAGAAUAUGCAUGAAUUGCCAGAAGGAUAUAAAAGCAAUCUUUCGAGUAGGCAUCGCUUUAAAGAAUAGCUUUCUUUACUUCCAAUACUUGACUUUCUACAGAAAGUAACCACUUAAACUUCUUACUAUUAUUCUUCUUGUAGAAUUUCCCUUCUUCUUUGUCUUGUGUUUCUUACAUUACGGUAUACACUAGGUUUUACGACUGGAUAUCAGUGGCAUGCUUUACAUACUUCCAUCCUCCCAAAGUAUGACUCCAAAAUCAGUAUCAUUUGAUAUGUACUUCUUGGUUCACUAGAUGUUUAUUCUUCUUCCCUCUUAUAUGAUGGACUAUCUAUAUGGAUUUGAUUGCAUGCACUUUACAUAGGAAAUCUAAAAUACAGAACUUUUGAUAAGUAAUAAAUUUUUCUCACACACAUAGUUUCCAAAUUUCUGUGUGAAUUAUGCUAUAAAGAUUGAUGUUAGAAGAUCCAUAGAGUCCACUUAAUGUCUAGAUUCACUGAUGAGACUUGUAAUUCAUUUUUUUUUUCCUGGCCAAUUUUCUGUUGUAUUGUGCACCAGAUAGCUAUGCUUUUCUCCUCGUUUUGUUUUUUACUUUUUUUUGUGGGUGUUAAUAUUAUUACUUAUGUCAAUUUUAUUCUGUUGUCUGCAGGGCAUAACACUGAUAGUACUCAUGGUGCAUACUUUCUUUCCAAUUUCAUAUGUGGGGUUCCAUCUCUAUUGGAAAAGUCAUCUUACUAAAUUUAAGGUAGGUGUAUGGUUUGGCCUUGUACAUAUCCAAAUAAUCUCCAAUCAGCCCUUUUUUUAAGGGCAGGGGUCGGCUUUGGGGGAUCUUCAUUGUUGGUUACAGUUGGUGCCACCUAAACAUCCCUUUGUUUCUUAAGUGUAUACCUAUUUCUAGCACAGUACAUUGUAGGCCUUGGGGCAAUCGUGUAAAUUUUUUCCUCUUAUUUUGAUAGCUGCUUGGCUCAUUUUUUUUUACUGAUAGGAAUACAAUAUAGUCCAAGGAGUAAUUUACAAGGAAAGUAGGAAGUAUGUGAUGUUUUUAUUAUGUGAGGAAGCGUAAAAUUUUCUUUUACAUCUUUAGGUAAGUUUUCUUUGUCAUAAAUGGAAUCAAGUUAUGUUCUAGGAUUGUAGUUAUGUAUAGGAAGAAAUCAAUUAGCUUCUAGUAAAAGGAAAUAAGUUAAGAACCAUUCAACAAAUUAUCAUUCAGAAUAGAAUUUUGCCUGUAUAAACGUUCAUUUUUAUGAGUCGUAGCUGUUUUCUAGUGGCCAUAGUAGUAGAGCAUGAACUACUUUAUCAUUUCUAGAUGUGUACACCAUAAUACCUGUGCUUUUAUGACCACUGAUACCGUCAACAUCAUAUGUAGUGGAGAAAAUAGAGCAGCUUCUGGUAUGCAAAUGAUUAAAAACAAAUGUUCAAAUGAAUAUAUGAGAUGUUCGUCGAAUGUACUAACAUCUUGGUACUAUUUUUGUUAUGUAGUGUAAUGAUAUAUAUGUACCUUUUCUUUUUACAGAUCAUAUGCCUGUUGAUUUUGGUUGCUGAUUUGCUGGCUUAUGUUCUCUAUUUGUCUCCAGUCGCCUUUGAGUCUCUCCCUCUCCGGGUUGCUCCAUAUAUCAGAGUCAUCUUUUUCAUCUUGAGCUUUAGGUAUUGUGUGAUACCCUAUUAUGUGCUUAUAGCAAUGAUGGGGCAAUUCAGUAAUAAGUGACCUAAUGUGAAAAAUGUGUGUGUGUGUGUGUGUGUGUGUCUUCUUUAAUUAUUUUUAAUAAUGCAACUUUAGUUUUACUUUUAUUAUCAUUCUCCUAGACUCAUCAUUAUCCUUGUUAGAAAUCCUCUUUGUAUCAAUUUCACCGAGGAAGAUAAUAAAUGGAACUACAAUCACACUGAAAUUAAUCAUUUAGUUGAGGCAGCUUUAAAUCUAUUAUUAUUAUCACUUUUAUUUUUAUUUUUUUAUGGUUGACUUACCUCUACUUCCAAAAAUUUAAGCUCUUAGGUGCAGGGAACAUAUUAAGAGUCUACACUACACCCCACAUUUGGGUAUCUCUCCACCAUUAAUCCAACAUGUGGAGAUCAACUUAGCAAUUAUUAGGGAUUGUUCUGGGGGUCUUUAAUUUUUUUCAAAUGGUUAAGACAUUAGGAUGUGGGUCGACAGUUUGCGUUCCAACCAGAUGGCAUAUUUUUUUGGUCAUUUCAGGAGCUUAACAUGCUAUUUUUGAUUCAUGGCAAGAAAAGUAAGUUCUAGUGCCAAAUUAGAAACACUGAUAUCUGGUCAUCUAUUUUUGAUUUAGGAGCACACCAUGCUACUAACUGCAGAUAGUCCGGCAUGCAACUGACUUUAGGCUUGUAAAGAGAUUUGUGCCCUCCAUUUACCCUACCCAUCAAUUAUGUAAAUUGGGAAUCACUUUAGUAUAAUUGCUGGUAUGUAGAUUAAGUUCCUGAAGCAGAGUAGCCUACAGACUAAUUAAUUGUUUCUAUUAGGCCACCACUUAUGCUAUAUGGUGCAUAAUUUGGGUAGUUAAUCAUUAUUGCUUAUUGAUUUGAUGUUGUUUCAUCCUCGUUUAAUGACGUAACUACAAUUUUGAUCUGUUAUUUAUUUUCCUAAUUUCUUUCAUUGAUAGGGAGUUACGAUCGUGCAUGCUCAUCUUGGCUGGAAUGUUUGGCACAUUUUUGAAUGUCUUGGUUUGUUAACUAUCCAUUGUUAUGCUUAAUACUUGUUUUUUUUUUUUUUUUUUUUUUAAAACUGUUAAAUGCUACUUUUUGUGGGGGAUUUCACAGACUAUGAUUUCUGUGAUAAGAAGCUUCCAUUUGAUUCUGUUUUGAUUUCAACUUUUUCAGUUCCAUACAGAUGCAUAAUAUCUACUUUAUCCAUUUCACAGUUUAAUUAUUCUAUUGCAGGCUUUAGGGCUUUUAUUUCUUCUGUUUGCUAGUUGGCUAGCUUAUGUCAUGUUUGAAGAUACUGACCAGGGGACAAUAGUAUUUACUUCAUACGGUACCACGUUGUAUCAGAUGUUUGUAUUAUUCACCACAUCCAACAAUCCAGAUGUUUGGAUACCUGCCUACAAGUAAGUGUCGCCUACAAAAUUGAAUAAUAUACUUCAUAUCCCUCUUGUUUUUAGUUACAGCUAGUAAAGUUAAGUCCAUUGUUUUGAUUCAUACCUGUUUCACUUUAACUUCCAGUCAUUUUAGCUCCUUUUCAAAACUAGGACUGGGUUAUAAUUUCCUUAUAUUCCAGUUUCACUUUAUUUUCCUAAUUUUUAAUGAUGCAGAAAUUUGAACUCCUAUUCAUUUCAUAUGGUCCUUAGUUUCAGUGUCUAACGAUAUUCUGUUUUGAUUAUAGGGCUUCACGUUGGUAUUGCUUGUUUUUUGUUCUAUACGUGUUGCUGGGAGUCUAUUUUGUCACAAAUUUGAUUCUUGCCGUUGUAUAUGACAGCUUCAAAAGUCAGGUGUGGUUUAUUCAUGGGUGAAGCUUCUUUUUACUUGUGAAUUAACAUGAUAACACAGUAUGUAUUCUGCUUCUGAAUAGAUAAUUAUUUUCCUGUUUAAUUGGUACAUGUGUAUGUAGUGCUGGUAUCUUUCCUAGUACACAAACAAUAUUUGAUCGAUUAUUUCUACAAUAUUCAGGAAUAUGAAAUUUGCAGGCUAAAUUGUCAUUUUUUUUGUAGCUUGUAAAGCAAGUUUCUGAGAUGGACCAGACAAGGAAAACUAUACUGGAGAAAGCCUUUCACUUGAUAGAAAAAGAUGUUAGUGAUGGUGUUCCUUACUCAUUGGAUAUUCUUCUGGCAUGCUAUCCAUCAAGUUUUUGAUCUGUUCCAUACAUAGGAAAAGAGCUAUGAUAGUCUUUUUAUCUUUCAUGCUUACUAUAUUCUAUAUUUAGGGGGGCGACCAAAAUCACUGCUAGUUCCUAUGGCAUGAUUCCAAUGGUUUUUCUGUGCUUGACAGAAUUCUGGAUAUAUCAAUAAGGAGCAGUGCAUACGUCUAUUUGAGGAACUAAACAAAUACAGGUAAUUCAGUCAUCUAUGUUCUGUAAAUGUGACAACUUGCACUUGAUACACUGGUGAGGAUAGGAGAUUAGGAGCAACAACACGGCUUACAUUCCCUAUUUGGUACUUUUGUUGAAACUUAAAAGAAACGUUGCUAGUAUCUUCUGUUAGAUCCAGCAUGACUUUGUCUCUAACAAUCCAACUAUGGAUUCCCAACAGAGGUUGAUGGCUUAAUUAGUUGUGUAAAGGUCUUAGUGGGCUGCUAUGAUGUUGGUUUCAAAUAAAGUUUUUAUCUGACAAUUAUUCCAGCUACCUUUUCGGUUAGGUUUUUCAAAAUUUGAAUGUGAAAAGCAUACAGAAGUUUCCACCCUCCCAUGGGUCGCCAACCAGCCUAAACCUCAAACUUUGCCCCCUGUUAACCAUAUAAAACUAGCAGAAGAAAAUACUAGAUCUAAGUUAACAUCAAAAGGAAUUUUUAAAAGAUUCACCAGAAAAAAGGCACCUGAAGGCUACCCACUCCUAUCACCCAUUUUCAAGCCCACCAAACCAACACUUUUUCUACACUAGUAAAGGCAACAUUUCACUUACCUCAUUGUUUGUCUCUUUUAAAACAAACUUUUAACUCACAGUGGAGCUAAACUCUCUACCACCCCCUCUGCUUUCUCCUCACCAUCUUCUAAAACUUCAAUUUUAUAAUAGAAGGAUUUUCUACAUUUUCCUUAGAUUUUUCAUCUUGCAUAGUCAUUGAAGUACUGACAAUUGUUGCUAACAUCAGUUAGUUGACUAUUUACUUGCUUGACGAACCCACUCGCUAUUUUUGACAGUGGUCGAUAACAUCCUUUUGCAAAAUGUUUCCAAUAUUAGACGGCUACUGUUUAUUGUCUGGAGUUUAACUACUCUAUUUUUUUUCCUUAUGUCUCUUUAGGACUUUGCCAAAAAUGUCAAGAGAAGAAUUUGAGCUGAUAUUUGAUGAGCUGGAUGACAGUGGAGACUUCAAGGUAGAUAAAUUUUCUUAAAGUAUUAUUAGACUAGUUACAGUAUCUUUUAUUCCACAGAAAAAUGACUUUCUUUUUCAUCACUUAGAUGACUUUUGAUUUCCUUGUCUUUACAUAUCAGGUACUCUGUGUGUUGUAGUUCUGUCAGUAUAAAUACUUGGUUUAAUAAGUUUCCUUUUUGUUUUUUUUUUCUCUCUUCAGGGUUUGAAAGUUUAUUAAGAAUAAUUGUGUUUAUGUGGCUUUAUAGUUGGAGAAAAAGGGGCUGUCUAGGUGGUGAUCAACCGGGCUUGUGGGUUUUGGUGUUUUUCUGGGGGUUUUAGAGAAUAAAUACAUUUUGGGGUUUAGAGAGUUAGGGUGGUAAUAGUCCACCCUUUGUAUUAAAUGUUAUGAGUAUACUGAUGACAUGUGUAUUGACUUGUCUUUGAUUUCUUUGGAUGGUCUUUAACUUGUCUUGUUGGAAAUGUUUCUUUUAAUACAUUUCUUCCAUACAUACUCAUGUUUAUAUUAUUAAGCACUUGAGUAUAUUUCACUGGUUGGUUUAUUAUUAGUGUCACUUGUUGACACUCUAUCUCCUCAUUUGUUUUCUGAACUAUUCUCUGUUGCCUGCAGAUCAACGUACAAGAAUUCACUGACCUUUGUAAUGCCAUUGCCCUAAGAUUCCAGAAGGAGGAUACUGUAAGUGGAGAUUUGUCCAAGACAUGCGAAAGUUAUAUAUUUAUAGUUGAAACUGAAGUUCUGAAACUGAAGUUUGGUGCUGCAAAUUUGUGUGCAGCCAUCUUGGUUUGAAAAGUUCCCUUCAUUCUACCAUUCUCCCGUCUCUGAGAAGUUGAAGGCUUUUAUUCGGAGCCCCAAAUUCGGAUACAUAAUAUCCUUCAUACUCAUAAUCAAUCUAUUUGCUGUUAUCGUUGAAACUACGGUGAGGCUUAAACUCUUACACAACUGCCAGACUCAGGCUUUAAAGUGGAUAUAAAAUAUGAUUCUUUUUUCUUGUCAACAUGAAAAUAUUAUCUGCUUUACCUUUUGAUUUAGGCUGAUUUUGUGUUUCAUAUUUUACAAAGAGUUCAAUGGAUUUUUACAUGACUUGUAAACUAUUUGAGGCUUUGAUGGUUCCUUCAAGUGACUGUUAUUAAUCAAAUUUUGACUUCGCCUAUGAAGUGGCUUGAUUUUAUUCUCUGUUUGGUUUCAGCUUGACAUAGAAAACAAUUCUGCUCAGAAGGUAUGGCAAGUGAUGGAGUUUGUCCUUGGUAAGAGCUUAUUUGAACUUUAAUUCUUCAGGUAGUUUUUUUUAAUUUUUUUAAUUAUUAUUUUUUUAAUUCAGGUAGUUUCUUUAUGUAAGAGGAAUGAUAAUACAUAAUAUAAUGUCCAAACCAAAGAAAUUUGGUUUAUAGUCUGUUAUGAGUUACACUUGUGACCGGAGAUUAUCAUAUCCUUGGGAGUUGAUCAAGUUUAACGAGUUAAAGCAGAAAGAAUAGUUUAAUCUUGCGUAUUAGGACAUUUGAGUAAUUACAUUACACUAUCAGGUUAUUGUUGAUUGAUGUCCUGGUUUAAUGUUUCAGCUUGCAGUUGAUGUCAUUUAUCGACAAUUAAUGCUAACAAAAGCAGCUUUGAACUGUUAAUUAGUGGUUUUUUUUUCUUAUCCAUAGGGUGGGUAUAUGUACUGGAAAUGGCUUUGAAAGUCUAUUCAUUUGGAUUUGAGAACUAUUGGAGGGAUGGCCAAAAUCGGUUUGAUUUUCUGGUCACAUUGAUAAUAGGUAAUUGCACAAUCACAUCCAAUAAUUUUACUUUUCUUAUUCUUUUUCUUAAUGUAUUUAUGAACAAACUGGAUUUAAAGUGCUCAUUAUCUUUCACAGGUUUAGUCUAUUAAUUACUAGAUCAAAACAAUAAAAAACAUAGUAUUAGAAACUAUGUGGCCCAAACGGGUUCUUGGGAGGCAGAUCUACAUUUAGUACAUUAUCUGCAUUUUCUCCUAACUCGUAUGGGAACCACUGUUUAGUUAGUCAUCAUGAAAUAACCACACAGUAUUUAUAUGUCAUCUGGACCGGGUACUAUUUUUAUUUAGUUAAUGACAGUAGUUGAGAUUCUCUUUGUUAAAUUCAUAGUUAUUGACACAUGGUUCUAUGAUUUAUCAUAUUGCAUUCUGAAAACAUUUACCUAUUUCGUUAGUUGAUCUGUUUUAUAGGUCUAUAGCUGAGAAAAAAAAAAAAUUCAGUGUACAUUCUCAUCUGAUCUCAAGCUCUCUUACCUACAGUUUAUGAGUUUUCCAAACCAAUAUUGAAACAAACAUAGCAAUUUAUUACCCUAAACAUACCCCAUCUCAAGCUCUCUUACCUACAGUUUAUUUUUCCAAACCAAUAUUGAAACAAACAUAGCAAUUUAUUACCCUGAACAUACCCAAACCCACCCCCCUCUUCUCGUGGGUCACAUGGCAAUAACUAUUACUAUGGCCUGAUUGUAUUAGUGGGGAAGUAAUGUUGGCCCUAACUUUCAGUACUAUCAGUGUGAUGUACUAUGUUAGCAAAAAACAUUAAUUGAAAAGAUUUUGAUCAGAUUUUGCAUUAAUUAGAUUGUUUGCAUGUAGAAUGUAUCUAUUUAUUGUAUCAUUCGGUUUCGUCUUUUUUUUUCACCUAACUUUUCCUUAGAUUGCAUUAUAUUUGUAUGACAUCGCUUAUUAAAUUUGCAGUUAUUGGAGAAACACUAACUUAUGCUGCUCCACAAGGACUAACUUUCCUUUCAAAUGGAGAAUGGUAGGGGUUUCAAAUUUCUAAUACCCUGCAUGCCUAUUAAGUUAUAACUCCACUAUGAAAUGGUCCUAAUUUUUCUUUCUGUUGAAUUAAUAUCAUAUCUUCUUCAUGAAGUUGAAACGACUAUCAUGAUCUUUCAUCUGAAUGUUAUUUGACUACAGAAUGGUAUAAUUUGUUUUGUUCAACUGCAUUAUUCAUGAGGAUCAACACCCUAAAAGAGUCAUCAUCAGAUUUAUGGUUGGGUUCAAUGGCACGAAAUUACUCUAUUUCUUACACAUUUUUUGAACCUUUAAAUUUUAUGACUCUGAGUGGCCUAGAUUAAAAGUAGCUUUACAUUAUUUUAUUUGAAGCAAGUUACAUAGUCUUUGCGUACGGCAUUCUUCAUCUUCAUAUUCUUCAGUUCACUGCACGUGCGUGUAUUUGUAUGUGUGUGUGUGUUGUUUCUUUCCUUUUGCUUCACUUUUCUUCUUAUGUAACCAUCACCUUUCUUCUCCAGACCCAAAAGAUCAUCACUUUCCUCUUUGAAUUGGUUCCAAGACCAAAUGGAAACAACAAUUACAAAUCCAGAGUUCAUAUGAGCAUAAACAUUCAUAUGGCAGAAGUAAUUCCAGUUUCUAAAAUUUUACCACCUGUUUUCCUAUUACAUUGUAUAAUUAUAGUGGCAAAUGCUUGAAUUACGAUGAUGAUUUAUUAUGGCCAUUGAAUGAAUGAAUAUCUAAUGGUUUAAAAGCUGUGUAUCUUGUGUGAAAGUUAAAGCCCUAUCGAACCUGACCCCAGAUUUAUGACCUAGAUCUUGUGUGCAAAUUUGCUUCUGUAUUAUGGAUACUGGAUAGUAAGAGUGAUAUCAUCUGAUACGAGUAUCAGGAUAACAUAAAUACAUAAUAUAUAAGCUUGUACAAUAAGAAAAGAAAAAAGAUCUAAUGGCUUCUGCCUUUUUUGUCAACAGGAUUCGCUACCUUCUCAUUGCAAGGAUGUUACGAUUGAUUAGGCUCCUGAUCCAUGUCCAGCGUUGCCGGGCAUUUAUUGCCACGUUCUUGACUCUUUUACCAAGUUUAAUGCCAUACCUUGGGACCAUAUUUUGUGUCAUGUGCAUCUAUUGUACACUUGGUGUACAGGUAAUUCAAAGCUCUCUCCCUCUAUUUGUCUUUUGUUCCAAUAGAUCCACAAAUUUCAACAUAUAAAUUUGUGGUUCCGAUUAGCCUACAUACAUAUCCUGUACAAUACAAAUAACUUUGUACCAACUAUGAAUAAAAAAAAACAGUUUUUAUGCAUAUUUAGCUGUUGUUGCAUUCUCGUGCCAAUAUUCGAUGACAUACAUUAGAACCAUAUUUAUUUAUUUCAGUAUAUAAUAUUAUGCAGUUGGUGUGUGGGUUUAAUAUGCUUUCUUCUACUGGUCCUCUUUUGUUCCAACAAAGAUUAAUUUGUCUUCUAUGUUUAGGUUCUUAUUUCCUGUAUGUUAAAUGUAAUUUUUAACGUGUAAGGAAGAGAGAAACAAAAGAAGCAGGAUGAUCACCUGCUCAUAAUUUUCUGUUAUUUGUGUACUUUGAUGGCUCUGGACUAGUUCAUGAAUGACUCCAAGUACUUAUCUGCUCUACUUUAUGUAAAUAUGUUGUGAUUGUUGUCCAAAAUCUUUAUUGGUAGAGUCGCAACAAACUUCUAACAUAUUUAACCAUUUUUAGAUAUAGUACAUUUUCAUUCGUCAUUCGAUCAUUCUAUGCGAAUUCAAAGGUUCCAUGUAUUUAUAAGGCAAUGGUAUUUAUACACCAUUGGUAAUCGAACUCUAAUUUAUAAACUAUUUAGAUCUUUUAAAGAAAUCUACACUGUUUUAAGCUUCUCAGUUCCACCUUUAUGUUAAUUUCACAAUAUUUUGUAAGCAAUCAAUUCCUUUUAAUCUGUAGAUCUUUGGCGGGAUGGUUAAUGCUGGAAAUGCCAGUUUGGAAGCAACAGAUCUUUAUGACGAUGAGUAUCCUUUGUCAUGGAAAUCUUCAUUCGAUAUGUGGUUAUUCAUAGAUGGUUGAAAUGUUCUGCACUUCUUUAGUAUUACAAGAUAAAACCUCAUCUUACAAUAACAGCAAUAGGAUAUACAUUUCCCACAGUUAUGAAAUUUAAGUUUGAUUAGUCAUUUAGCUGCAUUUCGACAGAGGCAUAACAACAGCUAUAUUUCGAUGUUAAUGUCUAUUCCUUUGACUUUCUUGACAAAAUAAGUUAUCUACUUUUCAACUUCAAUGAUUAUCCAAAUGGGAUGGUGACACUUUUCAAUUUACUAGUCACGGGAAACUGGCAAGUUUGGAUGCAGGUAUACUUCCAAUUCAUUCAUUGUGUUUGAUGGCUCACAUUCAUUAUCUGAUUUUUAUUGAAUGUCUAGUAGACCAACAAAAAUUCCUUGUUCACAUGUCAAUUGAUCAUUUGCGCAUGCUUUUAUCUUGGAUGUCAAGUACCUUUUACUCUGUUUAUCCAAUUGUUGUUUUUCCUUGUACUCUCUAAAGCUUUUUUGGACCAAGGACUAUGCCUUCUUUUGGUUUGAUUUGUUUGAUUUUUUAUUUUUUUUAUUCUUUUGUAUGGAAACAAAAUAAAAGGUCUGGAUGCUUAUGCAGAUGUAACAUUGUAUAUGCAAAAAAUUUGUCUACCACAGCUUUUAAAGAAUACCUUUCUGUAUGAUUCGAGAUCUGGAUGCUUGUAUGUAAUCAACUUCCUGUAUUAGUUGACACUGCCAGAGGAUCCAAUACAUAUUCUUUUAAAUAUGUUAUGAAAACAGGAACAUGAUUUUAAGCAAUUCCAACUACAUUACCGAUCAUAUAUGCUUGAUGAGUAGUAUAUUUUGAAUUGCUAACUAGUUAAAGAUGAAACAAGUGUUAUUAGUGUAUCAUGUCACUAAUAACAUGUGAUUGACCAUUUCAGAGUUACAAGGAUUUGACGGGAACUUCUUGGAGCCUUGUAUAUUUUGUCAGUUUCUAUCUUAUAACUGUCUUACUUCUGCUGAAUUUGGUAAGUACUCAAAUCUUGCUUCAGUAAUUCUUGUACUUUGUUUCAUAAGGUUCUACUGACACAAAACAGAACAGAAUAGGUGUGUGUGUUGGGUGGGUGGGUGGUGGGGGGGGGGAUUAUAGUUGAACUUAUUUUUGCAUAAAUUUUUCCUAACCAUCCAAGUUUUUGGUCCAACUUUGAUAUUUAAAAAGUUAAUAAAAUCAGGCGAAUGGAAAAUCAGUUAGUCCCACUUUUUACACAUUUCCCAAGCUGGGAUGGUAAGGUAGUUGACCCCUACUUUGAGAAGUAGGUAAUUUCCUACUUGGCAUGGUAAGGUAGUUAACCCCUACUUUGAGGUAAUUUCCUUUUUGGCACACUUGAAGAUGGAUCCAUAUACAAAAGCGCUGGAAAGAACAUGGCCUGUGAUAAUCUUUAUCCAAAGACAAAUUGUUUAAAAUAUAAUCAAUAUAUAAAAAGGACAGAGCGGAAGUGAUGAUGAAUUCUCUAUUUGUUCCUCCACAUUGUGUCUCAGGAAUUCACUGAUGAGGAACAUGAUUUGGUUGUGUUCUCUGAAAGUUUAAUGGAAGUUCAUUAAAUAUCUUCGGGUCAGUAUAAUGCUCUUUUUAAACUAUUAGAAUGAGGUUAGGUAACCAUUUUUUUUUAAUCUUAAUUAUAAGCGCAUAAGUAGGUUAGCAAUGCCUUAUGCUCGUUCAUUGGCCGGAAAAUUAAUGUCUUAAUAUAGUUAAGCAUUGUGAGGUUUUUCUUAUUUAUUAUCCAAGUGGAAUUGAUUCUACUCGACUUUGUUAAAAACACUAAUAAUGUUUUAUUUUAAAUUACUGCAGGUUGUAGCUUUUGUCCUGGAGGCUUUCUUUGCUGAAAUGGAUCUCGAGUCUGCAGGAAUUUGUGAAGAACAUGAGGGGGUCAGGAUCUUUUCUAAACUUAUCUUUAAACUUACUUUCUGACUUGACAACAGGGAGUUAUGCUGCAAUUGAUCAAAUUUCUUAUGUUCUGUUUUUAUCUUACAAAAUCUAGCCAUCAUAAGAAUACUGCUUUACUACAUCUACAAAUUCAAGGAGAAAGUAUGAAAAUCAUUUGGUCAUUUAAAAUCUCUAGAUUUACUUUAAUUUGAUAGAGAAUGCAAAAGCAUGAUUAAGAGAUGAAUUUUACAAAGUAUUUGGUGUUUUGGGUAGCUACUCAUAUGAGUCCCAGGUUUCCUUGAUAUCUUCGUAAUUUGGAACUGUCCUAAUAUAUUUUGGCACCCUAUAUAUUUUAAAAUAUAGUGCAUGUAGUGAUUAAUCCCCUUGUGUUGGAGUACUACUUGCAUAUACUUCUCCACUCCAGUUGACUCCUCAAUCUCAACUUCUCGAGUAUAAUUAAGGAAUGAUGUGAUAGAGAACAUAUAUAGAGAGGCCCAAUGCGUUAUGCCUAAUAUAUGCAACUUUUCCAUUAAAAUCAGCAGAUCUGAUACAUAUCAAGGUAACCAACAAUUUGCAAACGGAUUGUAUCGAUAAAAUCUAAAGGAACAACAGCAAUAUAAUGGAAGAGCAAAAGGAUCAAUUUUCUUUCCUUUUACCUAGUCUUGACUCUAACGACGGUGUUUCCUAGAUCUUGUUGCUGGGUUUGUAUAUGAGAAUCAUGGGUAGAGUUGGAAAGUAUUUAAGUGCUGGGGGUGUAUCUAGAAAUUUGCUGGGCACAUUUCGAAAGACCCACUUUUAAUUGGAAUCUUGUAGCCAUUCUUUCUUUGACUAAUAUAUCGAGAGCUUUUUCCUAUUAUUAUGGAGGCAUCAUCCUGGACCUCUGACCAUAAUCAGUUCAGUUCUCAAUAUAUCAUCUCUUAUAAUUAUAUUUUGUUCCUUUUAUCUAGGAGGUGGAUGGAGUAAAAGACCGACGUCGAUCCGUAGGGUAUGUAAUUCUUGCGUAUUGUGGCUAUAUAAAGUCGUUACCUGCUCGUAUUCCUUGUCACAGUUCUAAACUCAUAUAUUGGGUAUUCUACAGCUCAAAAUCACGGAGCCAGAGAGUUGACGCUCUUCUUCACCAUAUGUUAAGUUCAGAGCUAAAUCAACCGCAGUCCUCCAGUGCAUAGCUUUUGUGACUCUCCUUUAUGGUAAUGAUUUUGAUGAAUGAUUUAGUUUUUCUCUUGAUAGUUAAGUUGUUCAAACGUUCUCUUAUAACAGCUAUUGUUAGUGUUUAUAUAUUUAUAUGGGGGAUAUUAUAUGCGGUUCCAACAGAGUUGGCUAGUAUUUUAUGUGGUCAUCAUUCUGCUCAAGGGAAGAAGGCCCAAGUUCUUUAGAGUUAAUAUGUUUUGGUUGUUUGAUUGGAGAGGAAUAAAUGAUUUUUUUAUGUACGUGUUUCCUUACGGCUUAUGUCUCUUUUCUCAUUCAAGAUUGGAAGGCUGCUGUAGCUUAAUCUUGUGGUUUUUGUGCUUCCUAUGUCUUGCUGAUGUCUUUUAUUGUGCUGGCACCCUGGCAAAAGUUUGCCCAUUCUUGGGACAUGGUAUCUCCAAGCAUGUGUUUUAUUUGAGCUCUAGUAGAAGAGGGAAUGUGGUGAGGAUACUAUGGAUAGUCUGAAAAUUAGGGAGCUUUAAGAGUGAUCCUGCAGGGUCAGGAUAAGUAAUGCAAUGAUGGAUUUGAUGUCAAUGAUUUUAAGUUCUGUUAAAAAUAGAGUUGCACAGUACCUGAGGUUUUUCUUAUAUGAAUUUAGAUGAGCUGUGUCGUAGUAUCACACUAGCUUGUGCUUUGCAAUUGAAUUUUGACAUUUAUUUUGUGUUUCUCUGCUUUUUGACAGGUUAUACAUGUGACUUGGUGGACCAAGAAUGAAAGAAAUGGAGGGAUUAUUUGUCGGAUUGUUGUCUGCUAAUUAAAAGUACUGGAUACUAUGUUUUUUGGGGGUCAAGGAAAUUAGAGGAUUUGGUGGUAAGGAGUAUAGGUUCCAUGGAGUGUGAUUCGGCACUAGGGUUCAGUUAAAACCUUUGUUUUUUUUUUUUAAUUUUAUUCGAUUAAGAAUUACUUGAGAAACAAACUUACAACAAAAACCCACGGAUACAGCAUUAGAACAUUUGUUGGUCAAGGUUCAGUUCAUCAGUUGAACUUAGAACGAGUCUUAUGCAAUGGUAUAACUUAAUUUUUGAUAAAGUUCAACAUUGUCAACUACUGCAUUGCAUACUAUUCAAUCCGCGUCGUUCUUUUUUCUUUUUUUUUGUAUCACAACCUCACAAUGGUAAGAAGCAAAUAUAAAUAAAUAAAUAAGAUUCCAUCAUCUUGCUGAUUUAAUCCCAUGUACAAUAUAAUAAAACCUUGCUUUAAGAUUCCGUCGGUGCUUUUCCGACUUCCACUUCCCACUAGAAUUCCUUCUACUCUAGGAUUUCCCUUCAGUCCCCUCUGUAUGAGAUCGAAGUGGGAGGCCAAAAAGGUUUCACACCUUUGGUGGCCUCCCGCGCUGGUAAUGUAAGUUGGUUUCAAUGGCGUGAAGGUGGUGCUAUGUCUGCUGGUGGACGUCGGAAUGUGUCUUAGGUCGGUGUGGCUUUUGCCAGCUUUUGGUUUUAUAUUGGGUUGACAACUCGAGAUAAAAAAUUAUAAAUGACAACCUUUUGAGACUAUUGGUGUUUGUUUUAUUUUAAGUUGAGGGGUUUAGUCAUAAACGAAUCGGUUGCAUAAGAGCUAUGUAUCUCAUGUGCCUACACGACUGGCCGUACUCGUCAUAAGGUCGGCCUAUGGUUCCAAACUUUAUUAUAGAAAAGCUUUCUUAAAACUCCAAAAGUACUAAGCAGAAAUGUAGCCACAUAAAAUUGAUAGAAGCUGAAAAUCAUCCAUGUCAUCCUACUAUAAUACAUUGAGGUGAAAAAGCUAGUGAAAUAGAAACAACAGAAAUCCAGCUACCCAAUUCCAUAAUAUCAGUUUUACAGAACACCAAAAAUCCAGUCCUAGAAAUUCAAAUCCAUUCCAGCAUGCUAAUCCAUCGUUAAUUCUCUUAUUUACCUUCCCAAUCCCAUUCAAGUCAGCUAGUCAAAUGUGUGUUUUAAGCUGCACCUCGAAACUGCUCACAGUCUGUUGAUCCAUUUCUGGUGAAAUGUGUAACAAGUGUAUUCAUCAUCCUAGCCACAGAUGACUUAAAUUCUCUUGAGCUACUGUCAACUCCAUUCUGCACUGCAUCUCCAAUAGCAGAGCCUACCACUGUACCCUCAGAAUAUGCCUUACAUGCUUCCAGAAUAUUAUGUGCACGAUUGCGAAAAUGUCCCGAGACAAAGUCCUCAAAAUACUGCAAGAAGAGACAUGCUUGUACAUCAAUAUUAAUAAUAAAUUCCCCAUGGACAGCAGUUGUGCAAUUAUUGGUCCUCUAGGCCAUAUAAAGAAGAAACCCCAGUUCUAAAACCAUGGGAGACUCUACGUGAAAUUCAUGAUGAUAAUCAAGUAAUGUCUCUUAGAGUAACUGAGCUUAGAGUUGUAAAAUUAUGUUAUACCCUGCUUUAGUAAUUGAGUAAUCAUCACUAGGUUUACAAAAACCAAGAAUAGCAUAUCGACUUGAAUAGAGUUAUUAGAUCAUUGAGUACCACAUAAAACAUGGCUUUAAUUCAGUAGCUCCUAUCUUACAAAUGGCUUUUCCUGGAAUCCAAGUCUAAGAAAAAAAGAAAAAAAAACCAGCAAAUCUAUAAGAGGCCUAAAGGUCAUGCCAGGAAUUCCUUUUACUUCAACUUUCUACCACAUUGUCCAGCAUCCUGGAAAUAUAAGCCUCAGACACAACACAAAUCCUAAACUUUAGCAAUGAAACAGGUCUGACACUCAUCAGACUAUCCUAAAAUUUGUUGCUUACACCAAACUAGAUUAGUAGGCUCAUGUUACAGAAUACCGCUCAAGCUAGAAAGUUCUCUUCAAACCCUAGGCAAAACCAUCACAAUCUUGGCAAAACUGAUUGAUGCUAAAGAACUCGAAUGGAAGGACCGUUUUCAGAUAUCUUUGAGUUCUUUUCACAAACCUGCCAUGUGUCCCUGACACCUAGCAACUCCUAAAUGGAGAUAAAAGUAACCCCAAAGCUCAAACCUAUUGAAAAUUGCUCAUGGUAGACCCACACACUCAUGCCUCCUAAAAAUAUUACACUUCAAAAUAGCACCCCUUCGCAUUCCUUUGGGAAUCUUAAGAGGCUUAGGACCAUCUGUUCCGAUGAGUAAGAUUCCAUGAAUCCCAUAUUUGUUCAAGAUUUUUUAUUUUUAUUUUUUAUACGUUGUUAACAAAUACAACCCUAGGAGAAAUUUAGUUUGUCAACAUUUUCAUGCAUAAAAACCUACUAACCACAUUUAUAUGACUAAAACAUAAAGAUGAUGUUAACUAUAGGAGAGAUGGUUAUCAAAAUCAUACCUUAGGUGGCUUCCUUAGUGUAUACAUCAUUGUCUUCAGAGACAUAAUAAAGGCCUCCUCACUGUACUUCCUGGAUUGCUUUUGCCCUUCUACUGUAGUAGACGUUUUCUCAUACCCAGGCUCAUUGAAAUAGGGGUCUGCAUUCAGAAUAAGAGCUUGUAUAGAGACCAAAACUUGUAGCAUUGUUGAUUCCCCAGGUAUCCAGUUCUCUCUCUGCUUACCGCUCCACGUGCCUAAAAGACUAAGACAAACUUUCCCACAUUCGUAUAAAUUUGGAUUUAGCCGAAGACCACCAGAAUAGUAGUACACCAUCUGAAAGAAGAAAUUACCAAAUCAAUUUCAGUAGAUAUAUACAUUAACAGUAAGUACAUUGACGGCAAAGACUUACAGGUGGUGAAUUAGGAUAGUCAGUGGGGAAGAGACAAUCAAAGACAAAAAGACCAUCAUGGUAUGGAGUGCCUGUUGGUCCUAUAAUCACCGCCCGUAGAAGCUCCAUUCUUGCUUCAUAAACCCGGACAAAUAUAGUGUCUGAAAAUAGGAAAUUAAAAUCAGAUGAAGGCUUAAACUUAUGCCUGAAAGAGACUGAUUCCUAGAAAUAGGUGAAGUUUGUAAUGAAAAAUGGGGAUAUCACACAGAGAAUAACUUAAAAUGUAAGAUAAAUAAACAGGUAAACACUGGUAUAACGUACUUGAAACAGUAUAAAAGGUUCACUUGUUUUCAUUAUUUUGCAUAAUAUCAGCUUAAUUAUUAAAAUAAAACCAAAAAUUUCACACCAAAUCAAAACAAUAUAGCUCCAAAUAUUUCCCACCAAUUUGUAAACCUAAUAGCAGCAUGUAUAGACAGGGUAUCAUAUAUAAAGUGGUGGAACUCACCAGGCAAGUCAUUCUCCAAAAUUUUCCACUCUUCCUGAAUUCUCUUUGCCCAAUUCUUGGGUGGCUGUCAUGAAAUGAGCACAAAAUUAGUUGGUAGCUUCAAAUCAAUUCAUGCCUGUGUGGGUGUCAAUCAAUUUAUUUGUGCAAGUUUGUGUUGGUAAUAUAUUUGCAUCAAUGCUUGUGUGCAUAUUUAAUAUGUACAAACAUUUGGAGCAGUCCAGACAGAGAUGAAAACAAUUCCACAGAUCUGUUCAAGAGGCACAGUUAGGUAAAUAAAGUUACCUGCUCAUCUGAGAAUCCCAUGCGACUAUAGUGAUGAUCCGAGAAAUCCUCGACAACAUCAAAUUGCUUAAAUUGUUGAAAUUUUUGGGUGAGACUAUCAUCAUUGCUGUGUUGUACGUUCUUACUAGAACUUGACUCAGAAGGACCAGCUGAACUACAUGCAGCAGAUGUACUCAUUGAACCAGAUGCAGAUCCAGUUACAAAUGGUGCAUCAGAAAUAGUUAACUUCUUAGUGGAUGGGGUGUUUUCACUUGGAGAAGGAUCCUUCAACCAGGGAAGUGAGGCUUCCACCCCAGGAGGCAAAUCUACAUUGUCAAAUUGAGAUUCGAGAGUCGAAUAAGCGUCAUCAGACAGAUAAUUGUCAUCAAAAUCAAAUUCGUCAUCAUCGUCUUCAUCACCACAAUCGUCUUCAAUGUACAUUUCAUCGUCAUUAAUACCUGACGACUCAUUGGAACUUUUGAGAGCAAUCGAAUUGGUUGAUCCUGAACUCUUGAGGGGCUCAAAACUAUCUAAAGAGCCUGCUAAACUAGCAGAGCUCCCAGGGUCACAGGCCUACAGAAAGCAGAACAGGUUAUAACGGGGGCAGCCACAUGAUAGAUUAAGCAAAGAGAACCUUCGAUACUCUGGUCUUCAGAAAAACAGCUUUAAACUCGUUUUUUACUUUCAAUUAUCACAAGUACACUUUUUCUUGCUUAACACCAAGGUUAACUUCAAUACAAACUACAGAUCUCGGUCAGAAAAUCAAGUACCAUAGGAAGGAAAAAGAACAUAGAGUAGAUGAAAUCGUCUUGUAGCUACAAUCACUGAAAUCUUAAAUACGUAAAUUUACAAAUUCAUGUAUGGAUGGGAAUUUCAAAUUGUAUAGUAUGUGUAAGUUUGAGUUUCCAAAAUUCAUUCCACUUGUCAUAAUAAUGAUGAUGGUUACCAACAGGUCUAGUGAUCACAUGAGAAGAGCGACAUGCUGAAACAGCAAAAGCUUACAACAUUGAACAUGGGCAUUGUGAUGGUGAUUUCAGUAUUCAGAAACAAGCCGCAUUAAAAAAGUGGUUACAUGUUCAAAAGUGAAAAAAGAGAUUAUGAGCAAAUAGCAACACUAAAAGAAUCAAAUUUGCAGACCGAAUAGCAAGCCCUGAAUACUAUCAAUCGCAAUCAUCGAAUAAAUAAUAGACCCACUCGUCAAAAUCAACCCAGAAAAGAAAGGGAGCGUAGAAUCAAGAAAAGACCUGAUUUUGUUUGAGUUUCUUGGAGAUGGUGGCUUCAGAGUCCAUGAUGAGAUCCAAUCCCUAGAACAAUCCAAAUUGUUGAUCAGACUCGGACCUUGUUAUAUAUUUAUAUAUGUAAAAGGAAAAUCAAAGAAACAAGAACAAAACCCUAAAACCAAAACAUACUUUGAUUCAAGUCCUUGUUGCAUGCGAGACCGAGAGAAAUAAGGAAAAGAGCCCUAUUAGGUGAUUGGACGAGAGGAGAGACAGUGUUUGGCGCCCUAUUAGGUGAGCUCUGCUAUCGUGCGCUCAAAGGAAACAGUGUGCCCACACCAAUCAGAAUUGGGCGUUUUUGGGCUUAUUCUGGAACCUGCUGUGGGUGAUUCGAAUUUGGCAGGCUACUUUACCAAUCUCCGUUUCCCAAUGGGACGGUCUUCCCCACACGAAUUGACUUGGGCCAGAAAUCUUCAAUGUAAUUAUCCAGGUAGUUUUUUUUUUUUAAGAAGAAAAAGAAAGUUACAACGAAAUUUCCUUGGACAACCAAAAUGAGAGGAAUCUAACUGAAAAGCACUAAAAGUUUAGGGGAGGGAAACUUUCAAUCCAAAUAUUUGGGUUCUGGAAAGCAUGACCCGUAUUUGCAAGAGCAUCCGCCAUGAAGUUUGCUUCAUGAAAGACAUGGAUAAGAGAGAUGUUGUCAAACCACCGAAGAAGGUGCAUAAUAUCACAAAUAAUUGGCUUAAUGCUCCAAGGGGCAUUGGUUGGAUUCCGUACAAAAUUGAUCAUCAACAACGAGUCCCCUUCGACUAGCAUAUUCUUGUGGUUGAAUCUCUUGGCAGCUAAAAUACUAUCUUUAAGGGUAAGACACUCCGAAACAAAAACAUUUGAAGAAUGAAGAGGCCAAGCACCAGCCACAAGAGGAUUACCAUGAGCAUUUCUUACACUAAGCCAUCAAAAUUGAGUUUAACCUAGUUUGGAGCAAGUGGAAUCCAUUUUAUGCAUAUAGCCUCUUCAGAAGAGGAAGAUGAUCCAGAAUUAUUGAUUUCUCUAUAAGCAGCGCCCACCGAAGCAGCAACAAAUUACUGAGGAGUGGUUGACCUAACCAGAUUGGAAAAUCACAUGGUUUCUGGAUUUCCAAAUCUGCCAACACACCAACAAGCAGUCCUCUACUUCAUUGGUUGAAGCAUUUCUUAAAAAUAAAGUCUAACCAUUCUCCUACAGAUUGAUAAGAUGUAGGAGAUGGCAAAUCACUGUAAUUUGCCCAAACAGUAGCACUGCAAGAACAAUUAGCAUACAGAUGGUCAAGAGAUUAUGUAUUAGAACCACAAAGAGCACAAGUAUUAUCAAUGCCAAUCAUAAAUCUAGCUAGAUAAGCUCUAGUUUUGAGUCUUCCUAUUAGAAGAAGCCAACUAAAGAUUUUCAUUUUAAGAGGAAUUUUCAGAUGCCAAACUCUAUUUAAAAGAUCUGCCUUUGAAUGCAUCCAAGUAGCUGAUUUAACAGAAAAAAAAAUCCAUUUGAGGCAGGACCCAAACAAAUUCAUCUUCAAAAUCUGCAAUAGGAAUAUUAACAUAAGAAAUAACAUUAACAGUAGGUCUAUCAAGAAAAUACAUUAAUUUGGGGAUGUUCCAACAACCAUUCUCAAUAAAAUCAGCCACAGUAUCGUCAAUAUCAGUCAUAUCUUUAACUAAAUAAUCUAACAGAUUAAUCAAGGAAAAAUCAUAGACUCAGUUAAAGGUCCAAAACUUAAUAUUCUUACCCUUCUCAAUAAUCCACCUUAUACCAGAAGUUAUAAUGUCUCUGACAUAGUGACAUCUAACAUUCUUUUCCAAGCAUAAGAAUGAUUGACUUUCUUUUUUAGUUCAAAAAAUGAAUGCUUUCUAAGGUAUCUCUGGGUGACAAUUUUUGUCCACCAAUUUUCUGUGUUGGUAAGAACCUUCCAACCAAGUUUGGCUAAGGCAACAUUAUUAUAAAACGAAAUUGGUCUUAAAUCAAGCCACCCGCACCCCCCCCCCCCUCCAAAAAAAAAUCUUUAGAGCAUACGCAGCGUUUGAGUAAUUGGGUGAGGGAGAUUCCCCCCCCAAAAAAAAAUCUUUAGAGCAUACGCAGCGUUUGAGUAAUUGGGUGGGGGAGAUAAUGGGUUGGAUUAACAUAGGCAUGCAGCAACGCAAAAUCAAUUUGGGUUAGUCAUGGGUAUUAGGUGGGACCCAACUAACUCGGGUAAGAGAAGGACCAAUUCUUAGUCCACGAAUUGGUCUGGGUUAAAAGAAAUGGCAGGGCCCACAUGCGCUGAUGCUACUUGUUACAGAGCCAUGUGCGCUUGUCUCCAAAGGGCAAAAAAAAAAAACUGCCAAAACAACAAGUUUUUAAUAUGGAUUGUUAGAUCUUGAUCUAAUGGACCAUAUUUAAAAGCAACGGUAACAUAACUUUUUAAUUAGAAAAUAGGUAACCAAUAGAAAUAUUAUGAACAAACUGGAAAAAAAAAAAAAUAAAUAAACAACAACAACAACAAAAUUUUCCUAUAAAUAUCAUACUACUCUUCUUCAUUUUACACACAUCCAUCUCAUCAUUCUCCAAUUUAUUUGUUCUUCUUUACCAAAAUAUUCUUCUUCUAUCCAUCUCUUUCUUCUUCAAUUUAUUUGUUCCUCUUUUUCAUUCUCUAAUCAACAAAUGGGAGAGUCGGGUACUACUUGGACCAAAAAGGAGGAAGUUCAAUUGUGCGAAUCAUGGGCGGCGGUUACCGUAUGCCCCGUCAUCGGCAAUAACCAAACCCUUCCAAGGAUGCGGCUCCAGGUCGUGAACAUUAUAUUGAAAAUUAGACGGGAUCAACCUCGGUUCGACCAUCGGGAAGCUCUUCAAGCUCAUUUCAAGCCCUUGAAGAAGAUUCUUAAAGAGUGGCACAAUACAAAAAUUUAAGUCAGCAAUCAUAGACCAAGCAACACUAAUCAAUUGGAUGAGGUAUUUUUUUAGACCAUUCACUUAAGUUAAGUGACAACUAAUUCAUAUAGUUUACAAUUUUUAUAAUAUUUGAGUUUUUUAUUUUUGUAGGAGUGCCAAAUUAAUUUAGAGUUUAUAAGGGUGACUAAGAAGCAAUUUGACCAUCAUGAAUAUUGACCCUAGUUUUAGAAAUGCACCUACUCCUCCGGUCACCCUUUUUGUUUAUUUUAUGGCUAGUGGUUCCCAAACCGAAUCACCAAUUAAUUGGUUGAAGAGGUUGUAUUGGAGACGCCUCCUAGCUUCGUUAGAAGGCCAAUGGGACAAAAGGCCACCAAAGAAGCGAGAAGGAAAAGAAAAAAUAAAGUGAAUGUGGGUGAAUCCAUACUCACCAUCACUGAGAGCAAAAAAAUUUCCAAUGAAAUUCUUAGGAAAAAAGAAGAGAAUUGUUGUGCCAGAAUAUGAAAGAAGAGUUAAUUUCAGUUUACUACCAUGAACUUUAGGUCUAAAAUCAGUUUGAUACCUCAUCUUUUUUUUUAAUCAGUUUCAUACCUAAACUUUCAAAAUGACAUCAAUCUCGACCAAAAUGACUAAAAUAGCCUUGGUUAAUCUUUUUACCCUCUCUCUCUCUCUCUNNNNNNNNNNNNNNNNNNNNNNNNNNNNNNNNNNNNNNNNNNNNNNNNNNNNNNNNNNNNNNNNNNNNNNNNNNNNNNNNNNNNNNNNNNNNNNNNNNNNNNNNNNNNNNNNNNNNNNNNNNNNNNNNNNNNNNNNNNNNNNNNNNNNNNNNNNNNNNNNNNNNNNNNNNNNNNNNNNNNNNNNNNNNNNNNNNNNNNNNNNNNNNNNNNNNNNNNNNNNNNNNNNNNNNNNNNNNNNNNNNNNNNNNNNNNNNNNNNNNNNNNNNNNNNNNNNNNNNNNNNNNNNNNNNNNNAGGGUAAAAGAUUAACCAGGGCUAUUUAGUCAUUUUGGUCGAGAUUGAUGUCAUUUUGAAAGUUUAGGUAUGAAACUGAUUAAAAAAAAAGAUGAGGUAUCAAACUGAUUUUAGACCUAAAGUUCAGGGUAGUAAACUGAAUUUUUUCCAUGAAAGAAUGAUGGCAUUUGAAGAGGCAAAAGAAGAUGCAAGGAUAAUGGGCAUGCCAAAUAAUGAUAUUUCACCCGGGUCAAAAGGAUUGGUUUAAAAGAAUGAGGAGGGACAUUAGGAGAAAAACCGAUCCUAACGCUAAUGUGGAAUGCUAUAGGCAUUUUUUUGAGGAUCCACAAUCCCCACGUAUAAUAGAGUAUUGUGUUUUAAUUGUAUUAGAGUGCGGCUAUUAGGACCUUCAGAUUUGCUCAGUAUACCUCCACAUGUUUUGACUUAUUGGAUUACAAACAUAACCUCAUACAAAAUGACAGUAAUAGACAUUGAAUUUUAAAAAAAAAUUUGUAAUCAAAUUAGUAUUCUUCAUUUUUUUUUGUUUCNNNNNNNNNNNNNNNNNNNNNNNNNNNNNNNNNNNNNNNNNNNNNNNNNNNNNNNNNNNNNNNNNNNNNNNNNNNNNNNNNNNNNNNNNNNNNNNNNNNNNNNNNNNNNNNNNNNNNNNNNNNNNNNNNNNNNNNNNNNNNNNNNNNNNNNNNNNNNNNNNNNNNNNNNNNNNNNNNNNNNNNNNNNNNNNNNNNNNNNNNNNNNNNNNNNNNNNNNNNNNNNNNNNNNNNNNNNNNNNNNNNNNNNNNNNNNNNNNNNNNNNNNNNNNNNNNNNNNNNNNNNNNNNNNNNNNNNNNNNNNNNNNNNNNNNNNNNNNNNNNNNNNNNNNNNNNNNNNNNNNNNNNNNNNNNNNNNNNNNNNNNNNNNNNNNNNNNNNNNNNNNNNNNNNNNNNNNNNNNNNAAAACAUUCAAGGAAUUGAGGUUGCCAAAGAGAUUUUCAUGAAAAAAGAGAAGAAGAAAAGAGAAAUCAAGCAAUCGAGGUAUGAAAUAGAUGUUUGCAUGUAAAAAGAAAAAAAAAUUAAAAGUGUGGGAGGUCUAGCGAGCGAAUAAGAGGUAUAAUGAGUAAAUUAUUGAAAUAUAUAUGAAUAACAAACCUAAGAUUAUUUUAGGAAUUUGAAAGGAGGUUUAAUAAGCAAAUGCUUGUUUUUAAAAAUGAAAGGGAGGUGUAAAGAGCCAUAGAGGUAUACUGAGGAAAACUGGAGGUCCCAAUAGCCGCACUAAUUGUAUUAUUCUUGAAUGACUAAGUUGAUUGUAUUAUGCAAUUUAUUUAAUGAAAUAAAUGUCACCUAUUUGUUAUGAAAUAAGAAUAGUGAAAUAAUUUUAUUUUAUUGAAAGGAAACAAACAAAACACACAUACAAUAUUAUUAAAGUUAAAUAAAUAAAACACACACACAACAUUAUUCAAGUAAAAAUAAAGAUGAUGAACUAAGGAGAACAUCACUUUAACAAAUGAUUAUGCAAAUCAUUUGUUAAUAUGAAUUACCAAUUCAUCUCGCAACGCCUUGUGGAGAUAAGCAGAACGUAAUUGGAAGUUAGCAUCUAAGAAUGCCGGUAGGGUUUCUCUAGCCCUUAAAAUUGAUUCAUGAUGGAUAACAUUACCUUCAUGAUCCACCGUUCGUUCAUAUACGCUUGCCAAUAAUGGAUGCAAAUUCAUAUUCCUCAAAUUAGUCCUCGUCAAACUCAUCUUCCAAAAUCAUGUUAUGAAGAAUCAUGCAACUUACCAUGAUAGUACACAUGUCUUCUAGUUUGAACAAGUUAGCACCAUGACGAAGUAUGGCCUAUCGAGUUUGAAGGAUAUCAAAACACUACUCAACGUCCUUACGGUAAGACUUUUGCAUCUUGGUAAAGUGUGCCUCCUUGGCAUAUUUGGGUAUGGAUAUUGCUUUGACAAAUGUCUGUCACCUCGGGUAUAUUCCAUCAAUAAGGUAAUAUGGUACAGAGUAUGUACUAUCAUUCACCUUAUACGCGACCUCCAGAGCACUUCCGUUAAUAACCCUUGCGAACAUGUUGGAUGCAACGUUAAGGUCGUUUUGAGCUCCUGGGUUACUGAAGAAUCCAUGCCAAACAUGUGUGUCGUAGGAUGCCACAGCUUCAAGAAUAACAGUAGGGUACCCUUUACGACCUGAGAAAGCUUUGGACCACCCUUUUGGACAAUUUUUCCACUUCCAGUGCAUGCAAUCAAUGCUCCCAAUCAUACUGGGAAAACCAGGUUGUUCCCCUUUGUGUAGGAGCUCGAAGAUACCAACCUUCAUACAAAUACUCAACUUGUGCACAAAAUUUCUUAAGGCAUUUCAAAGCUGUUGAUGCUCCCAUCCUGGUGACUUCAUCACAUUGAUCAGCCCAUGCACCAUAUACAAGCAUUUGUAACGCACCUGUCAUUUUUUGUUCCGAGAGCAAUCCUAGCUUUCCGGUGGCAUCUGGUUUUUGCUUCCAAAAAUCGUCGAAAUUGCAAAGGUCCACCAUGAUGCGAUUGAAUACUGGUUUUAGCAUUCGACAACGCUGACGGAAAACCGUACGUUGUUGUACACUGGACGCUCGACAAAGUAAUCCUCCAUCAUGUUAGCCCCUCUUGAUUGCCUAUGUGUUUCGACGUUAAGGGCAUAACCAGGACAUGAACCCGAGUCUGCAUCUACAUAUGGUGAUAUUGGGCAACCAAUGCAGCGGCUUGAGCAUUGUUGGACCGAAUCUACAUAAUGUGUAAUUUAUCUUCUUCAUCUCUCGCUCUCAAAUAAUUUUUUAUAUGAUCCAUGAAAAAUAUGAGAAGUGAAAUAGAUGAUAAUAUCUGAAUCUAGAAGGAGGAGAUGAAAAUGAGAUAAAUGUGUGAAUGUAGAAUGAGUUUGAGGCUUAUUUAUUGACCUUUUUAAGAGACAAAUUGUUAUUGUCUACACGUGGCGUGUCGAGAUUGAUUUGAAAUCCUAUCUGAAAUCGUCUCAAUUAUUUUUGAAGAUAACGAUAUCUGAAGAGGACACGUGUCUUUCCCACAUUUGUCUUUGAUAUAUUAUUGGUAUUUUUUUAGUUUAAUUUCUUUAUAUAUAUAUAUAUAUAUAUGUUACAUGAGCAUCUUGUGUAUAAAUAAAUAAUUAUUGAAUUCAAUUAUAAAGUAAAAGACAAUAAUUGUUUAUCAAUAAAAAAACAUUGUUAUUAAAAGGUGAAUAGUAAUUGGUUCUCGGAUCGGUCUCGUUGUUGUAUCAUCGAAUCAAGGACCAAUGACCGAUUUGGAUGAAUAGUUCAUUAGCUCGGGUUGAGGAUUGGUCCAACCCACCUAAAAUGUGUGCAUUUGCUCUUAGGUAGGCAAAUCUGAUCCCAAGCCACAUGAGGUGUCUUAGCAUCUUUUCCCCAGAAAAAAGUUCUCAUCUCUUUUUCCGGUGCUUUAGAGAUCUUAGAAUGACACUUGAAGUAGGAAAGAACAUGAUUAGGAAUAGCAUAAGCAUUGGACUUAAGUAAAAUGGCCUUGCCUGCUCUAGAAAGUGUUGAGCUCUUCCAGCCACUAAGUCUUUUAGAAACCUUAAUGAGAAGCACUCUAGCAUUCUGGGGGUCUUUCCAAAAGACAAUAUUGUGUAUUCUAAUUAAGAUAUCUACCGAUGGUAGUUUUAUGCUAUAAGCCAAGUAAAUUUGAAAUGUUCGUUUUCAAAGAAGCAUGCGUCUUAUCAAAAAAGCAGAUGGAAAACUUAUCUAGAUUGAUCUGUUGACUCAAGGAGGUAGCGAAAUUCCUUAAGAUAUUAUCAAUAUUACGAGCAGCCGUAUUAGACGUCCUGCCAAAAAUUAAACAAUCAUCAGCAAACAAAAUAUUAGAAAUUCUAAACCCUUUUGGCGAAGAAAGAAUUCCAACAUAAUUCUUAGGUUAAUCAACAACCAUGUUUAAAUGUCUAAUCAAAGGCUCCAUACAUAAAAUAAAGAUGUAUGGAGAUAAAGGAUCUCAUUGUCAAUCUUAAUCCCCGGAGGGGGAAAAGUUACCAUAAGGCUAGUAAGCUUGAGCUGGUAGGUUUAAAUAUUAUAAAAUUAUUCUACCACUUGUUAAUUAAUGUUUCAAAAAGGGAAAAAUGUCAUAACGGUACUUCGGACUAACGAGUUCAGAUCCUGCACAAACAUUGGUACAUGACGUCGUUAACUCCGUCAUUCAGGUUGUUCCUUGUUAGCUGACAAUUUUUUUUUUUUUGAUGGACAAAUUUCAUCCAUUCAUAUGUUAAUUAACUUAUUUCUUUAAGCAUUUUUUUGUUUUCCUAAUUCUCCAUCUAUGGGGUUGAAAUUUUCACUACAACGUGUGAACCACUGCCUAAUGAUACUGCGCAUCAAUAGAAUGACGAUUCAUGGACUUUUUAAAGACAACUCAUUACAAGGGAAAAAACCAAUGAAACAACUAAAAAUGUGACCUUGUCAAAAAUCAGUAGCCUCCAAUCAGUAGCCUCCAUUGGCUACUACUGUUAACUGCUACGGACCUUGUCAAAACCUUGUUCUUCAUGUAGGGAUCCCAAACACUAAACAUAUUCAUGAAUGAAAAGAAAGAAAUUCAAUUUCUUUAGCUUUGAUUCUCUGUCUGAAUUCGAGAAUAAUCGUUUAGAAGUGGAAGUGAUGGGGUUUGGGACUUAAGAUGGUGAAAUAGAGACAGGUGUUCCACGAUCUCAUUCCUCCUUAAGGUGUGCCUUCCAAUAAGAAUGGGAAAAUGUUUCAACUUCAAAGCUCACCCCAUACUUAAGCAUCAAAAUGAUUCUAGAAACCAACAAUGAAAACUACUUAAGCAUACACCCUCAACGUUGUAACCAAUCUAGGAAAUAAAAAUAAGAGAACAAAGAACAAUUCUCUAACAUUAUUAGGAGCUCAACCAGAACGAAACCAAGUUGAAACGUAACCUUAUUUGCAGAAAAGCAAAAGAAAACCAACUAGGCCAUGAGCUAUAUAUGAGCACCCAAGAAGCUGGGCACCCAGGCUUCAGCUUCCCGUUGCCGCCUUCCACCGCCACUGCACCAUCACCAUCACCAUCACCAUCGCCAUUAUCUCGCGAUCGGCCCCCCAAGAUCUCCGACAACCGAAGCAAAGGUUACCAUUCUGCUGCUACAACCAAACAAUCUGGCUCCCGGUCUUGUGGAGAUUAGAACCCAAAACCUCAUGCCUUAAGUUGUCAUGAAUGAAAACAGACACCUCAAGUAUGGUCAAGAUUCAAAGCCACGAUACAGGAGCCUAAGUCUGCCCUACAGCUAUCAUAAAAUCAAAUCUACGGUCCACCCGCCGUCGAUCCAAACAGUCGUCCUUCUCACACCCACGAUCAACGCCCUGCCAGAAUGGAGAGCGUCGCGGUCAGUCAGAUAAAGUCUUGCAGGAUCAAUGAGCCCCGAUAUAACGCUGCUGCUGCCUACACCGCAUCAGGGUUCUCAAAAGAAACUCUAGCAGAAAAACACACCACCAUCAAUUAGUUAUUAACUAAUCAUUGUGCCUUCAUUCUGUUGUCGUCUCUAAUUAUGAAACAUGGAAAGAGAAGGAGGAAAAUUAAGGAGUAUUUGACGUAGAAAGAGGGAAGAAGAUAUGAAAGAACGUAGAGAGGUUUAAAAAUAGUGAAAAAAAUCAUAACAGUAUGAAUGACGAAAGUGCCUUUUAAAAAUUGACCGCUAAAGCGCUAACAACUUUUAUAACGGAGCUAAUGGCUCUAUGUACCAUUUUUUGGUCUAGAUUAGAAUUUUAAUACCUCUUUAAUGUUUUAAACUUUUAAGACACCAAAAUUAUCAAGAGCAAAAAUUCAUGUACCUUUGGGACCAAUUUCUAGUAACAUAAAUUAGUUUUACUAAGACUUUGGUUAAGAUUUGUUCACUUGAGAAUAAAGUUGGCUCAUCUUUCGCAAUAGUCGAGUUAACUUUCCGUUAUGUCACCAUUAUGUUAAAGCAAAUAGAGUAGCCAAUAGAACACUUUUUGCUAGUCGGUGUCUAGUUGAGUACAUGUUUGUAGAGACUGCUGAUAUUAGUUCAGGUCUUUGUAAUGAGAUGUUUAGGCUCAAUGUCCCUCUCUUGUAUUCGAUAGUUUCAUUAAUCAAGGCUUGAGAGCAGCCGCUUACAAAAAAAAAAAAAAUGUUCGAGGUGACGAAAAUAGAACUAAAUGAUGGUUAUCGUAGCAGCACCCGUUGGGUUUUAAAGUCAAAAACCAAAUGAAUGAAAUGUUGCAGCGCCAAAAUGAUGGCGCGAAACGAAAAGUUGGCGCCACUCGGUCCCCGCCAACUCCAGUCCGCCUUGUUUCUUUAUAACACGACACCCACACCUUUACCCUUCACACUCUCACACCAAUUUUGCUCUGAUAGCCGCCGCCAUGGUUCUGAAGCUCAAGUUGACCAGUCCAGCCAAGUUCUACGGCAGCAGCCUCCCACGCCCUCGGAUCUACACCGACGUCAAGUUCAAUGAGGAGCGGGUCGACCCGCCUGUGCCCGUCCUGGAUCCGCUUCUCGCCUGGGCCAACGAGGCCCACUGGUCAAUGGGCGGCCUCAGCUUCAAGCGCCUCCGCUUCCAGGGCCGGAUCGAAGGCAACGUCGGCAAGCUCCGCGCCGAGCGGCACAAGAGGGCUUCUUCAAAUUCGCCUCCUCCGGCUCCGGUUGCGACCAAGCGCAGCAGAUUCAUGGCCUUGAUUGAUGAAGACGGCGAUGAGGAGGCUGUGAGGGGGAAGCGGCUUGCCGUCGAGUUCGACAGGGUGGCUGCGGAGGAGGAGGAGGAGGAGGAGGAGGCCGUGGCUUCAAGGACUCGGAGCCGGAAAUUGGAAGUGGAGGAUGAGACUGUGAUGCAAGAGGUGGCAAAGGAUGCAAGUAAGUUGAGUUUGAACAAGAGGAAAAGCAAGGGACCAAGGACAUCACCCAGAUUGGCAAACCGUCGCUCAAGCCUUGAUUUGAUCUAGUAAUUUAUGAGCUCUAAGUGAAAGAAAGAGUGCUAUUGUAUGUAUACAUAUCUCUUGCCCCUGUUUUAGUUAUUUCUGUGUCAUUUAAUUCAAUUCAGUAGUGCUGCUAGGUCACAUUGUUCUUCAAACUACUUCCUUUGUUCAUUUUCAAGUGAUCUUAACGGUUGGUACCACACAUUCUCACAGGCACUGCACUGAAUGCUGCAGCCAAUUGCAUUGUGAUUUAGAAAUGAUGCACACCACUAAAUCAGUAUAUGAAUGAAUGAAGGCAAAUCCCAACAAGGAACAGAGUUGUAUAAAUAUAUCAUCAAAACAUUUGAAGUAGUAAUCAUUACAAGAGAGCUAGUGGUGCUGCUAUCUAUACCAGAGAACUAUCAGUCCCAUCAGUGUCCCACCCAAUAAACAUAGCAGAUGGUGGUGGCCAAACAAAAACAUAGUACCAUGCCAAUUGCUUACAAGCAAAGUAAACUACACUCCAUAAUUUAGCAACCAUUUCUGGAUGUUGAUCUGUUCUUCUAUAACAAAAGGCUUGAUAACAUGGCAAUUCUUACACAUUCUGUAAUUAAUCUAAUUCCUUCGAGAAGAAACUAUAUAACGUGUAUCAUGUGGCAACACCUGCUUCCCUCUAAACACCGCAAACCACAACACAUCCUACUUUACCCCCUCCCCCUCAAAAGGAAUGAACCUUCAGCUCAAAAAUAAGCAGUUCAGUGUUUUUGUAAGCACAGCUCUUUCAAAUUUCGCUGUUCUAAAACUGGACCCUGGAUUCUAGCCAACCUACAUGUAUGUUCUAUUAUCAGCUUAUAGGUAGCUGGCCUCUCCCAUGGAAUAAUCCCAAAUUCAUCAUUGAACUUUUCCAUUCCUCCAACAAUAAACUGCCACGCUAAAGCACCUGCCCCAGCCUGGUGUUUCUUUGCAGAUUUGUAAAUGAUAUCAUAAAUAGUUUUGUAAAAUCUAUCAAGCUGGUCUGCCAAGCCAAAUUCCGUGAACAUGACUGGUUUGUUAAGUUCUUUCUCACCAUCUUCAAUGUGAGAAAGCAUCCACUUGGUUACAAAUUUCAGGUGGUCCUCCACUUCUAGAUCAUGAAACCUACCCAAAAAGUGAAAACUAGUUAGAUCUAUUUCAUAAAGUGAAAAAAUGAGGGACAGAUCUAUUUCAAAAAAUUAUGCAGUACUUCAGGUACAGAGCAUGUGUAGUUUAGCCUCAAACUGAUCAGAUCUAAUCAAAUAGAGAAUAUGAGCAAUAGCCAACUAUUUCAUACAAAUUACGAAUAAAAGAACGUACACACACACACACACACACACAUAUAUAUAUAUAUAUAGAUAAUUAUAUACACUAUAAAUAUAUGCAUACAUAAUAUACAUACAUGAUGAUCCUUUUAACAGCUAAUUUACCACUACAACAUGGUCGGUACGUGCUGUAUCCAUACUACAUGUAUUAAAAUUUUGAAAUUCUGACAAACAAAAAAGAAUCACAUAUGUUUAUAUAUAGCCUCCAAUAUCCCUAAAUCAGAUCCUGUUUUUGAAUUGCUGAUCAAAUCUAUAUAAAGAUGUAUAUCAAUACAUUGUGCAUCUCAACCAUUCACAACUAAUCUAACAACUUAGAGAACAGUCUUGGAUAAGGUCCUUAACCAUAUAAUCACUCUGCAUAUACAGUCACAACAGACUCAUCAGUGAGCACAAAAUCCAUACCAACUAUCAGAUCAAAACCAAUAGAUAUUUAUUCAGAGUGAUACUAUAUCGAGAUUGCAUAUCAAUCAUUUAACACUUCAAUCCAAAAGACUCCAAUUAGGUUUUGCUUAUCUGUGAAUACAGGACUCACAAAGAACCUGGACUAUCUCAGUCGCUACACUAAUUAUGGACGAUAGAAGCACAGAAAUCAAGAUGCAUCUUAAUAUAUCUCAAUGGCUCAUAAUGCUCUCGCGGCAAUGGCAAGCACAAUGAAUUGAAUUCACUGUUGAAGUCCUCUAUAUCCAAAGGGAUAAACAGGCUUCAUAAAUCAUGAUGAGGCUUUGCAGCUUGCUACUCUUGGAAAAUUUUCUCUAGUAAGCCAAUGAAAGCAAGUCUGCCAACUUUAUAUAACUAAUGACUAUGUCUAGAGUUGCUAGCAAGAAUCCUAAAGAUUGCAUGUCCGCUAGCCGAUCUUAACAGCUGCAAUAUGAUGAGUCUACACUACUUCAUCGUAUUUAGCGUUUAUCACAAAUUGCUAACUACAAGCAAUUUUUCAGUGGAAUAUGUGAAGAAAUUUUGUUGUUUGAUUUCAUUAUUAAUUAUUUUCUAAGUAAGAGAGUAGUUCAGUUAGAAGAAAAAGAGGAGUGUGUUAUGAAUGCUUCAAACUAGACAAUCUAACAGUGAGUAAGCUGAGAGUUACUGUCAUCUCAUUUGUUUCACAUUUCUCCAUUUGCAACAACCAAGAUGUCAACAUCUCCUUAUUGGAUGAGGGACACACGCACACAGCAAUGGUCUACUUGGGUUUUGAGUAGUGAGGCUGAGAGUUACUGUCAUCUCAUUUGCUUCGAAUUUAUCCCUUUGCAACAAACCAAAGACGUCCUCAUCUCCUUAUUGGAUGAGCACACACGCACAAACACAUUAUAGUAUAGUAAUAGAGAUACUCAAAGAACUACUAUAAGUUUGUAAGCUUUGAGUUCCCUCAAAUUGACUUCAGAUAGUUGCGUAAGUAACGUUGUAAACUGACUGAAAACACUUACCAAUGGUCAGGGUAGAUAUGAACAGAAGCAAAGUCAAUGCUGGGGAUCUUGGAGUUGCGAAUGAAAUCUGAUCCAAGUCGGGAAGCCCACCGUUCAGGAUUCACAGUUAAGGCUUUGGGGUCCUUAGGACCAUAAAAUCCUUCCAGGCCCACUGUCAGUAGAUGUUUCUUAUCAAUUAAUUUCACAAAUGCUGACAUUUCUUCUAUCCAAUCCUGCAACACAGUAUGCAACAGAAUUAUAGAAGCUCCUUGUGGACUCUAAGAAAGAGAGUACAUUUUUAUAAAGGAAAACAGAAGGCAAGUUAAAGGAACUGUAAUAUUUGAAGACGUUUUUGACUAAAUUUCUGACUAAAGCGAGUUAUUAAACAUGAUAAUGAUAAUUUGCCAAAGAAAAGUGCAUUUUGUAAACUAGGCACCCUUCCCAAUCACCCAAAUAGAUUGAUCAAUCAGCAGAAACUCAAGUAAAAUAAGAAAACGCGAUAAAAAAAAUUAAAGGGGCAUAUGGUAUUCACACCCCCUUUUCCUCUCAAUGUACUACACACACUCCCUUUUGUGUGUUAAUUAAUUUGAAAAGUUAAAGUAUUACUGUGUUAAAGGGAGAGUGAACAUCAACAUCAAAACGGUCUCUUGGCAAUUUGAAUGCAAAAUUACAUAAAUCUUUGGUGAUAAUUUUUUAAAAAAUAGGGUCAAGAGUUGAGAGCAUACUUGGAGAGUAUCGCCUGAGGCAUCAGUGCUGCAACGGGGUUCAUUUAUUAACUCCCACCCAAAAAUGGUGGGAUCAUCUCUAUAUUCAAUCCCAUUCAGAGUAUUCUUCCUCGUUAGGAUAGUCUGGGGGAACAAAAAGGAAAUGAAUUAGAAUUGGUAACAAAUGAGGCAAAAACGAACCAAAAAUCUAUAAAUAAUUUAAAUCAUUAUAGCGGCAUAACAUUAAUUUUCAAACUAUUCUUGGUAUGCAUGUUAUUUACAGAAAAGUAUCAAUUAAAGAAACUAGUGACCUAUUCAAGAUGCCAGCACAAUAAAAGAUCAUUUCUGUCAAAACAGUCAACCUCUAGAAAUCCAUACAAGCUACGCACAGCUACCAGAAAUCUCUAGUUCAUGUAUAUCACCUGUACCUCAUAGAUCCAAACUACUAUCCUAUUAAACUUUAGUCAGUGCUUUCAUGCUCAUAUUUUGCAGUUUGAAACUACAUGACACCUGAUAGUUGAUGGUGUGCACACAUUAGAUUCUUUCCUUGGAUAUUGCUAAGAACAGGGGAGAUGAAAUGAUGAAAGUUAGUAAGGCCUAGUAAGAACGUCAUGUCAAGUUUUCCCUGUUCUCCUUUUCUUUGUUAAACAACAAAAUUGCAUUGAUUGAAAACAAAAUCAACAAAGGAGCGGACAAGACAUCCACUGAGAAAAACUCAAGAAACACCCGCUAAACAUGCACCAAAGAAGGCAUGCACCAAGCGUAAGAGUUUAAUCCGUUCCAUUCCAAAUCUAGUUAAAAGCAAUACACAAGCUAUUCAGAAGUCAACUCUCAAAUUAUGUCAAACUCAUCCCCCGCACAUUCUCAGAACUUUUGUAUGUUACUCUCCGUCUAAUGGCCAAAACACAGCAGUCACAACAUAUCCACCAGAACUAUCCCCUUCUUUCUUCCUCCAAGAUUCGUCCUCUCCACCCUAAUACUGCAGCUCAAAUUGCAUCCCUUAAUACCCUUGUGCAAAGACCUAAAGCAACAGAACGGUGCCAAAGCAAAUGUUUCUUCAUUUGCGGCUUCUUCUUUGCAGGUAUUACACCAUUGAGGGGGGAUACAAGAACCAGGGUGGUUUUCUUUACCAAAUCCCAAGUGCAUAACCAAAGCUAAUAACUUUAGAAGGACUCAGCUUUCAAAAUUACAGAAUGCAGAAAGAAAAGAAAGAAGGGUUAUCCAUCAACUGCUUACAGUGAGAUUUGUAAAAUCCCAAGCACUUCCUUCAAUAUGCAUCAUUCUAUAUAACAUUUAAAUGGAGAUCUAAGGCAACCUUUAACUGUUUCCAAUUUUGGGAGGAUCAGCAAAAAUUAACAAGAGAACAAAAAAGAUUGCCAAAGGAGGACAAGGCUGAAAAAGAGAUUAACCUCCGCCAAAAAUCUAUUACCUUGAACCACUGCAGCCUUCAAGUCUAGAACAAUGGAACAUGUAGCUCUGAAAUCAACCAAUACGGAAGAAAACAAGACACGACAAUGUCUUUCUUGGUUGGACCAACAAGCGAUUUCUUUUAAGUCUUUCGUAUUUUUUUGGUACGAGUUGCUAUUCAUCCGUAGAUUGGAUUCUGGGUUACUCUCUUCUCUUUAGGCUCAGAGUGGUAGGAUGGUUUACUCCCACAAAAAAGAGAAGUGGAAGAAGCGGGAUAGAGGAAUUGGUUGACUAAUCAGGCUGACCUGAAGACUGCAUUUUCCUAUUGAUCAAUAAGAUUCAGAAUUUUGAUUCAUUUUACAUUACAUAAUUUCUCCCCAAACAUACAGCAACUAUAACCUAGUAGCAACUUGUCUUAGCUGCAAAAGUCGGUUCCACGUACCUUCUUGGUCACUUUACCUAUGACAAACCCGAAGUUGAGACUAAUAAAACAAAUAUGUUUUCUUCUUUAUUUUCAACAACAAUAAGCAUCCUAUAAAAAAAAAACAAAAUUAAAAGUAGUUUUAAACGAAAAAAAAAAAAAAAAAACUAACACUUAUGAAGUCUCAAAGUGGCAUAAAAAUGUAAUGCAUCGUCUUAUCUUUCUGGGACCCAAAACAAAAACGAAAAGAAAAAAAAUAAACAAGAAGAAGUACCUUGAUGUAACUCUUGAAAUAAUUGCGAAUGGAUGGGUCAAAGAAAAAUGAAUCAUUAGAUGCACUCAAACCAACACCUUCUUGCCAGGCCCACCUUACAUAUUGAGACUUCCCACCAUAAUUUUCCAAGUUAUUAACUAAGCAAAGUAGCAAUCUGAUGCCCUGUUGUCUUGCUUCUACAAUAACAUGAUCCAAAGCCUGCCACCCAAUCCAAUGGUUAUGAUGAAGAAUGAAUAUGGAGACGUAAGCACAUUAAGAGCAUACAAAGUUAACCAAAAGUUACCAUAAAAUAUAUUUUCCUAGGCAGUACAGUCCAAAUAAAUCAGCAGUGUGUGACUAGUUUUCUUUCAGCUGCCGUAGAGUGCUAAAUACAUGUAGUUCUUAUUUUGUUUCUAGCUUCUACACUGUUUUUGUAUCCACUUUGAAUAGCCUCUAUCAACAAGGAACCCAAUUAUCACUGGUAUGCAUUAAUUUCUACUUAGAACCGUCUGUUUACAUUUUUAGAUGGAUCCAUGAUUUAUUACUCACUUGCAAACUUGAGUGAUAUAAAAUUUAUAAUAUAUGCAAAAACCAGACCGCUACUGAACAAAACCGGGUAAAUUGAAGCGCACCCAAACAAGUAGAAAGAUAAAAGUCAGGAGACAACCACACAGAAUGAAUGUUCAAUGGAACUCUAGUUUAAUGGAGCUAAUUAGAGAAAAGGAUGAACAUGUAUGCAAUAUGAAUACCUUGAAAACUCGCUCAUCGAACUGACCAGGGGAAACCUGAAGAGCAUUGUAGUCACCAUCAUUAAAAGCCCAAGUUCGACAGAGUGUAAGACCCAUUUUGGCACCGGCUUGCAGGAUUUCUCGGACUCUAGGUCUGGUAUACUCAUCCACACCGUGAUACAUUAGCCAAUAAGAAUUCCAUCCAUUGAUGUAAAAUGGUUUACCAUCCGAGGUGAACUGAGUCCCAUUCCUUUUCACAAAAGCCAACUGAUGAUCUUCUUCACGAAAAUUGCUCCUCAAGUCCCCAAAGGACAAGUAGAUGAGAGCCAAACAUGAAGCGAAUCCGACAAUGGGGUAGAACAGACCAUUUCCUGCUGCUACCAUUUUCUUUGUAGAUAAUCUAGAGGACCUUAAAAUCAUAAAAUCCCCAAAACUAUGAGAGAUUGGAAGAAAUCAGAGAAAACCCAGAUGCAAACAAACAUGAAUGAUUCGAAAAACCCAAUCCCAGAAAACACCCAGAUCCUUAGGAUGCCUCAAAGUCGAAGAAUCCAGACCCAACCCUGAAAUUGAGGAAGGAAUAAAAGGGGAAAUGCAAAUGUGAGAUUAGGAAAAUCGAGGUAAUAAGUCUAUGCGAGAAAUGAGGAAGGUAGGAGGGCAAGUAGGGAAUAAGACAUGUUCAACCUUGAAAACAAGAGUCAACUGGCGGUGGGUGUGUGGUAGAAUAUUGGUAUCAGCUGCCUGCCGGGUGAUUAGAUCUGAGCACCUGAUUACACUGGUUUUCUUGGAGUUUAAUAUUGGACUCAACACCAGCCAUGGGCCAUGUGUGUGUGACUGUGUGGAUAUUUCCUAUCACCAAUGCCUCAAUCUCACCUACUGAAUAAUGGUGAUAUCAAGUAAAUGCAAAUCUCUCCUAAUUUCUCAGCUUGGAUUCUGCAGUAGCUCUUGGCUUUGAGCGCCUUGAGAGAAAGAAGAGGAAGAGUAAAGUCACUAAAGUGUAUCGUAUGAUCGACCACGGACAAAGGGGUUUUGGCGUUCAGUCGUGAGACUCGGGCAGAUGCUUUCUUUAUGCGGUCGGUUCUUUUCUUCUUUCUGUUUAACUUCUUCCCCUCUGUUUUCUUCUCUCUCUUUUCUAUUAAGAAGAGAAAAUUGCAUGACCAAAGCCCCAUUUGAAAACCAACGACAAAAAAAAAAACCCGACACUUUGCAGCAACUUGAAUCCAUGAGCUUCAAGAUCUUGGCAAGAAAAAAGUGAUCAUCCAAGGUUGCAAUUCUUGUAGUGACCAAAUAUAGCCACAGAAUUCACCACCAAGUUGGCUUCACCCAGAGUAUGUUUUAAAAAGAUAGAUCCAACUUAAAGUCACAGUUUUUUCAUAUAAGGUAUGAGAUAUUAUCAUCGGGGAGUACAAAUCAUUUUUAAAAUGUAAAUGACAUGUUUUUUAAAAUCGUAGUUAUUUAAAUUAAUAAAUUUAAAUAUAUUUAAAAUUUAAAAUUAUAAAAUAUAUUUAAAAUGAUGAUUAUAAGUGAUUUUAUUCUCUAAAAUUCAAUACCAAAUUGGGUCUUAAUAAGUUUAGAAUCAACUUCCAUUUCUAGUUUUAGAAUUUCAAAACUCUAAUGACAGACCCAUUAAAAGAACUUGAUUUUUUGAAGCCAACAACAAUAAGUUCACUAUACAUGGUCUUUAUUAAUAAAUCAACAACAAUUGGUUUUAUAUUUUUAGGAAACAGAUAAAUUCCAUUGAUAUGCAUCAUUAUGAUCAAGCUAGGUCAAGCAAGAACGAUCGUUGGAUCCUUCGAUAGCAUUCAUUACUACAAUCUAAGAAGGAAAAUGCAAAGACCAAACUAAAGAAAAAAAAUGCAAACCAAAGGAAACUAAAGAGGAAUUAUUACCUGUACCCGGAACAAGGCUGAGGUGGUGUUCCCAACCAAUGAGCCCAAGACAUGUGUACUUUUUUUUAACACAUCACUCACCUCAGUUAAAAUCCGAGAAAACGGUGUUACUAGUCUGCCAUUGUAAAUAAACCUUCCAGGUUCAUAUGAAAGCUCAGUUCUGUCCAUUCUCCUUACACCCAAGUAGAACAAAGUUCACCCAAGUAGAAUAAAGUUCCCACCAACAAUUAUAUAUUAAUUCGUUCAAUCUCAUAUUUCAAGCUUAUGUUUUGGUUUACAGAGAUUUGAGAGGAGAGAGAAAGUAGAUAUGAGUUUCCCUUUCUCCUCCGCCGUUAACUUCCGAGCACCACCGUGACCCACCUACUCACAGGCUUUCGACGAGUCAAUUCCUGUCUCUGAGGUCGUCGGCGACGAACGGCGGGUCGGCGUGUUAACGAGGAUGCAGAGCGGCAGCGGGGGUUGUUGAGUCGGCCCUUUACGACGUCGUUUUCAUGUAGAUUAAUGAUUAUCUGCAUUUCAUCAUUUUCGAUUACUGAAGCUUGAUCUGAAUUCUCUGUUCGGAGACGACCUGGAUAGACUUUGAGCUAGGUCCUCGUUGAGAGCGAAAUACGACAUCAAAAACCAACUCACGCCGAUAUAUAGGUACCCAGAAUUUUCUCUGGGCACCCAAGCUUUCUUGAGAAUUAGAAUCAGAACUAAAAAGAGAAGGGGAAGUUGUCUUCUAUGUAUUGGGAUCUAAGAUUAAUUCCUCACCCACAUAUAAGAAUUGUAUAUACGAGUCUGAUGCCAGAAGCAUAACCCCACCUGAUUGUUGAUCCAUGAUAAUAAAAUCAAGAUGAAUUCUUCUCCUCUUUCGGCAAAAGAAGAAGAAGACCAGCGUUGCAUAAGUUUAAAGAAUUUUACAGACUGACGCAGUUAACAGACUAACGAUCCACGUAAGUCUUAUUUAUAAUACUGUAAACGUGUCUUGGGCUCAUUGGCUGGGAACACCACCUCAGCCCUGUUCCGGGUACAGGUAAUAAUUCAUCGAAACUAAAACAAAAACAACUCCUUUAUUAACCAAUAACGUAAUACACAUUAUCCCAAAGCUUGAUUAACAUUCUCCAGGCUGACGUAGUUCUUCUUAGCAUCAUUCCAUGAACCAGUGUUGUGCGAAUCUUUCAUCUUGGACUCGAACUAUAUAUAUGGUAGUUUUUUCUUUUUUUCAUUUGAUGCUCCAUGGUUUUAUUGUCCAAGCUGCUAUCUCCCUCGCUAACUCUACCACAUUAUUAGCAGUUGUUUGCUGAAAAGUAGUCAUCUUAUGAAAGCUCAUUUGAAGUUCUUGAGAACCUGAUCAUUGGCUCAUCCAAAUCAGUAAUUGGUGGCACUUCCUCAACUGACUUUAAUGAAAUCUAGUAGUUCUUCAUCAUUAGGAACGAUCUCUAUACUCAUUAGCUGCCCUUUUUUUUUUUUCUACAGUUGUGACAAGGAGCAUUUGGUGCAUCACAAAAGUAACAUUGAUCCUGACCCUUCUAGCUUUAACCCCAACAUCAGUAAGCUUGAGUCUCAUAUUGUUAGAGCAAGUUCACCUGUUGGAUUAGAUUAAACACAGUGACCUAGGUCACUCUGGGUUACUAUGACUGGGCAGUAAUUUUCACUCGUUUGAAAUGUGAGAUUAUUGCCACAUGGCAGUGAUUGUUUAUUGAAUUUGAAAAAAAACAUUUUUAAGUGUGAGUAAUAGUUUUAGAAUAAUAAAUAUUAGAUACUAGUGUAAGCAAAUGGUAGAUAUUUAUUACAAAAUAAAAUAUAAGUGAAUUUAAGAUGAUAUAAAUAAUAAAAUUACAAUGAAAUAACACUAUGGCAUAUUUUUAUAAUUAUAUUUUUUAUAAUUAUAUUAUGGCCAAUCGUAAUUUAUUUUUUAUUUCAUUUUCUUAAUUUUUUUUCAUGCUUUUUCAGAAUAGGUAUUUAAAUAUAUUGGAUAUUAAAUAUGAUGCUCGAUCUCCUAGUCGUUCUCGACCUCUCCCGGCGAUGAAGCUCUCCCAAUCGUUCUUGACCUCUCCACCUUCAUCAGCUCCAGCCGCGUCUCUUCCAUCUCCUGGCAAUGAAGCUCUCCUGGCGUGUUGUUGUUACUCCGGCAAAUCUGUCAUCAACUCCGGCCGCCUUUCCUCUAUCGCCGCCUCCGUCUCCUCCAUCUCCUUCAGCACCGCACUCUCCGUCGUCUUCUUGCUCGCCGCACCGCACUCAGGCAAAAGCGUGAAAAGCACGCUGCUUUUGGUUGGAGGAUAAUAGUCUGUGUUCUUCACGCGUGAGGCCUCCUUCACGUGGGUUGAUUAGAGCAGCUGAAGUCAGCCACGUUUGGCUUUUGGCAGAGGUGGAAAAAUUCAAUAUGGACUGGAUUUCUCCUCUAGCCUGGGUUAGAUCUCUCCCCAAAGUUCUAGCCUAGGUUGAAAUGUGAGAAGACCCAUUUCAUGGGUGGAUUCAAGUUUUUUGGGGCUGGGUUAGAUUGCCUAUGUGGCAUCUAACCUGGGUUGGAUUUUAAAGGAUGGGUGGACUUGCUCUUACUAGCCUCUUUUGGACAUACUUCUAUGCCUAAUCAGAAGUUUACACCUCCAAAUACAAGUGUUCAUCCCCUACAGUCAUUAUAUCCAACCAUAGCAAUUCAAGCGUGACAGGCUAGGAUAUUGAGAUUUUAGGGUACGGUUGCGAGGGACUGAGAUUGAGAUUGAGAUUUUAGGGUUUAGGGUUCUUCAGGGGUGUUGUUUGUGAGACGAGAGAAAGCGAGAGAGAAGUAGAGGGACUUAGAUUGAGAUUGAGAGUUUGAAGUUUAGGGUUAGAGUCAACAUGAAUUAAGCUGGGUUAAAGUCCCUAUAAUUCAAAUUUUGAAAAAUUAACAGAGUAUUAACACUAAUGGAGACGUUAACAGAGUUAAAUAGAGUUUAAUCGGGUUAGUAAGUAAGCUAACUGGGUUAGUGAGUCAGCUAACUGAGUUAUUGUCACGUAGGCGAGGUAUGGAUACCCCAAGACAUGCAAGUGGAACCUACAGUAAAACCUCUAUAAAUGAAUAAUGUUGGGAUAUACAAAAGUUAUUAAUUUAGAGGGGUUUUAUAAAUGAAUAUUUAUUCCACUGACACUGGGUUUGGGGGUGUGACAAUCACAUAUCAUACGACAACCACCUCAGUCCCUGAGAGCCCAGCUAGGAGAGAUAACCCAGCUGUGUAACUCUUACUGUUGCCACCUGCUAUGCGACCUGAUGCCGAAUCACACUCUAUAUUUGCUGGGUUUGUGGUUAGAUCCGAGUGUAUCCAACAGCAAAGCACCGAUCUACUAGGUGCAUAGCCUAGCCACACCACUAAUCAACACCAUCUGCCCCGAAGUCACUACUUGUGCAUCCACCACCGUCAACCAAGAGCAAAGCAAAAUUGUUCCUCCCCACCCCAAUCUAUAUAGCAUCGUCCGGCCGUAAUCAAAGCAUGACAGCACAAUCGGACGGGUGACUUUUCUCUGUUAGGGUUUCUCUUUAUCCGUUCUUAUAUUUUUUAUUUUUAAUUGCUAUGAAAAUAAUCCGUAUUUUUUAUAUUUAUUUUGCAUUUUUAAGUGGCGCUACUUACACUUUGUUUUUUUUUUUUUUUUUUUUGUAUUUUUGUAUUUGUUUUUCAUUUGAUACUUUGUUAUGUAAAAUUCUCUUGAUAAAUAUUGACGAUCCAAACCGUUAUCGAAAAACCUGUACGAGACUUAUGAGUUGAUAACGUAAGAAAAGGGGUUAGAUAUUGCAAAUAUAUAAUCACAUAAAUCUAAUUUAUAAUUAAAAUAAAUAAUUAUAAUUGUAAAAUCAAGAACACAAGAUGAACAUGAAGAACACCAAUGUUUCCAACUCGGAUGUAGGAGGAGAGGAAAAAUUAAAAUCGAGUCGUGUGUCUCACACGCUUUUCUUAAGACAAGUUAUGCCUCCUCUUUCAGUGCAAAAUGUUUGAUGUCACUUGUCUCCCAGGAUACAACGACUGCUUGUGCUUUUAGAACUGCACUACUACCAAGAACACCCAACGAACUUGUUGUACCUUCUUUCUAUCACUAGAAAACUAAAACUAGAGAAUGAGAGAGACCUUAAGAGAAGAGAAGAUUAUUUUAGUUGGUGUGUUUAGAAUGAGGGAAGAGGUCACCUAUUUAUACAUGGGGAAACCUUAGAAUCACUUGAAUGUCAUGAAUAUGAAUUCAUGAGUUACAACCCUUUCACCUUUGGUGUAGUUAACACCUUGUAAUGUUACAACCUUUCAUAACACCACAACCAUUCCAUUUAACAUCUUAUGAUGCUAUAGAAUCCAAACAACCAUGGAAGGUGAAAAGUAUAAAACCGUUUCAAGUAUUCAACUUUGGGUGACUAUUCUCAUUCACCCUAUAACCCACUUAAAUUAUCCAAUUUAAAAUGGUUAAAUAAAAUAGUGAUUUUCACCAUUUUUUCCAACAGAUAGUGUGGUUGGUUUAAGGAAAUCCGGCUCGGUCAGGAACCAGGGUAUAUGAUUAGCCAGAUUAACUAGUACUACCAAGUGCUUCAAAUUCAUGGCUAUCUAUCAAACUCAUGGAAGCAAAUCCAAACUUGGAAUGUCCUUCCAUUGACACAACACAUGUCUCUAUGAACUCAUUUUAUCAUAUUCAGUAUCAACCAACCAUCUGUACGGGCCAAUGUGCCAUUGCUUAAAAGUAAAGUGGAUGAGAGAUUAAAGCCAGUUAGGUUCUCUAGGUUCUUCAUCUCUCAGAUGAAUAUCAGCCUAAAAGAUAAUCCAAUAAUGAGCACAAUUUUAAAAAGGAGAUUCAAGGUUGAACAAAUAGGAGAUAUGUAAGAAGGUAAACAAAUAAAGAAGAAAAAAAUUAACUCAAAAAAUGGGCAGAAGCAACAAGAAAGAAAGAAGAAUAUGAAUCAGAAAGAAUAUAGCGAAGAGUAUUUGAUUUUAAUGAUCACAUGAAUCAUCCAUCACUCUUGUAAUACUUUCAUCAUCUUCAUCAAACCAUCGUUAACAAGAACUCAAAAUGAGAGAGACUGUGAGAGACUGCAGAGCAGAUAGAGACCUCGAACCUCAUUCCACUAUACAAAAGCUGGAAUAUUCACUCAUCUUCCACUCAAAAUAUAACUCCCGGGAGAUGCACAAAGCUGACAAGACAUCAGCAAUAUGCCAUAACCUGCCUUGAACUCCACCUCCUGCUUAAAAGUUCUAACAUGUUGGGUUGGUCAGUUUACAAGUCUACUAAUCUUAUACGGUGGGAAAGAAUCAAAUACGAAAAAGCACCGACCAAAGAAAAAGCAACUGAAAAUUUCAGUAUUGAACAGAUUAUCAAACGCUAGAGAACUUCAUGCUAAACCAGAUCAUCAAAACAUUAAAUUGGGUAGUAUCUAAUCAAAAUACUUCAUAAGCAGCUACUACUUAUAUUUGUGAGCAGAAUUGCUUCCUUGCACAAUUGAACUACUAUUGCAACUCCUGCUAAAACUAGAAAUCACGUGGAAGCAUUCAUUCACCCUUGCUAUGAAAACUAUAGGGUACAAAAUUGAUGGAUUGGGGAAGAAGAAAGAUACCAGAUUACACAAACUAGUGAGAGAUGACAAAAUAGAAUUAAAACAAGUGAACUGUUACAGCAGAGGUCAGAGCUUUACCCUCUCUCAAUCCUCACAGGGAGAAAGGGAAACUAUACCAAAACCUGAACAAAGCCUUGAAAUCUCCUCCACAACCACCAAAAUUAGCAAAGAUUCAGUCAAUGAGGUCUGGAGUAGCAUUACUAUUCCUCCUGAAAAGGGCAAAAUAGCCCAAAACAGCACAAACAGCAGCCACCAAAUUGCCCUCCUUCAACAAAAUCUUGAACACAAUCACCACAAUCUCCCUAGUAAUCUUCCUGCCUUCGACGACCAAAGCCCUCCUGGGCUUCCCAAAAAAGGCCAAGAGAACCACAAUCGCAAUCCAAGUCACCAAGGUGGCGGGCACCAACACCGCCAGCGCUGCAAACAUGGAGAGCAGCCCGAAAACCGCGCCGAGCAGCACGGAGGCGUAGAGGGCCGGCCACCCAGAUGACGACGGCGAAGGCAGGCCUUGUAAUUUGUACCACGAGAGUAUGGAUUUGAGGAAAUUCCAAGAGCUAGUUAAGAGGAUCGCAUAGACCAGCACAAAAAUACAUACCCAGGUUCUCCUUUUGCUCAUGAUUCUGAGGAACACCAAGUAAUACGAGGGCGGCGGUGCUGCGUCUUGUUCUUCCUCGUUGUUGUCUGCCAUAUGUGGAACUUAACGAACACCUUGUUGUGUCUCUUAAUAUCAGUGGGCUGCUCUGGGACUUUGGGUUUUGGUCGGAUGAUGUUCUUGAAUGAGUCAAUCUGAGAAUAAAUUAUGGAAAACAAAGUAUAUAUAUCAUCUGCACCCAAGCAAAGAAAAAUGGGAAAGAUAAUUAUCAUCACUAUUCAUCACAAUAGGUGAAAAGCACGCACUUGAAUGUGUCGCGAGUAAGGCACUCUACUCCACGCGCGUCCCAAAUUCAGACAUUAUUUUCUCUACUAAUUUGGAAAAGGGAAAUGAUUAUAUAUAAAGCACGCCGUUCUUAAUUUUUAAAUCCCCGGAGAAUAUUGUGCGUCUGAAGAAAAGCAGCUUUUGCAUUUCCGCGGGCAACUCUAUAUCAAUGAGGUUGCCAUUGUUGAAAGUAAAAUGGAAUCAUAUACUUGGCACCGUCCAACAAGUUUCCCUCUUUCAUGAUACAUUUCUCUUCACCGAUCUAGAAGAGCAGGGACGGAGGAUAGUGGAACUGUCUCUGGGCUGUAGCCCAGACAGUUUUUCUCCAAUUUUCAAAUAGACUAGAUCAUAUUAUAUGAAUAAACAGGUAUAUAUACCAAUAGCCCAUAUAAAAAAUAUUUAAAAGAAGCCAAAACCUACUAUAUUAUACUAAAUGAGGAUCGGAAUAUGCCACCUCCACGGUUCCACCUUUUAUUUUUUCUAAAAAGAGGCAUUGGUUCAUAUUAAGUUUUCUUCUUCUUCUUUUUUCUUUUUCUUUUUUGUUUUGGGAAUGGUCCAUAUUAAGUUCUAGUCUCCAGCUGUUGCAAAACAUAAGGCUCGUCUUCAUUUUUUUCUUCGACUAUAACAUUUUUUGGUUUAUGUUAUUUUUUUAGUUUUUCAACAAAUAGUUUUUCCUUCAAUUUUAUUCAAUUCUCAAAACAUGUUAUGUGCUAUCAAUCGAUAUUGACAUUUUGAGGAUGUGAAUCUGAUUAUUUUCUGAAAUUCAAUAUCACUUCUACUCUUAUAGAUUGAUCUUCUUAAUAUCAGCUGUUAAGAAGCCAAAAAUAUUUUCUUAAUGCAAAUACAAGCAUUAUAAAUUUAUAAUUUUCAUACAUUUUAUUAAAGAAAAUUUAGCCCAGGUGAUUUUGGAAUCCUGGCUCCGUCCCUGUAGAAGAGUAAAAACUAAGUCGCAUGGAAUUAGAUACAAAUACGUACAAACGAAGUGUUUAUAAUUCAGAAGCGUUUUUUUUGUUCAUAUUUAAAAACGGGUACGUUUCGAAAUGUCUGAUCAAAAUAAUAUAUUAAUUUAUUUUUUAUUAAUAAAGCCAAAUGUUUGUCUGAAUGGUUAAAUUUGUUAAGUAUCUGCAUAUUUGUUUGUGUUGAUCAAAGUUGGUUUGGCGGUUUCCAAUGAGCUUUGCAGUUUCAGAUGAUUAUGUGCUUAUCAAAUGUUGAUUGCAUUUGCAUGUGUCUGUGUUAACUCUAGUAGAUCAUGUUUUGAAAAGAGAAUUUAACACUCAUCUUGUGUUAACAAACAAGUGAUCGAAGUAAUUAUUAAUGUUUUUCUACCCCAGUUUGCUUAGUUAUUUCUUUAAUAAUCUCAUUAUAUCUUACUAAUUUGUAUUUAGGUACAAAUGAGUAAAGAACGUCAAGAAUGAGUUAAGGAGCGUGAAAUAAGGCAAGGAUGCAGAGAGAUGAAGAAAAAUAGCUUUAGGAGAAGCUAUCGCGCCAUUAUCACCAUUUAUGGGCUAGGGAAAAUUUUGGUUGUACUUGAAGUUUGGCCAACUAAGAAUUUCUAUGCCUCAAAUUCUAAAAUAUAAACAUUGGUACAUCACAUCGCAAUUUCGACUAAACAUACAUAUACAACAUCAUUAAUGAUGUUAAAUUGUGUGACAUAUGUCAUAUUUUAAGGGGUAAAACAGUCUCUUUCUCCCCCUCACUUCACUUAUUUUUAAUUUUUUUGUUCAGACCCUCCUCACUUCACUUCACUUCACUUAGUUUACUUCUUUGAUUUUUCUUCUUACAACCCAAGCCCUCUACUGAUCAUCAACAUUGUCGUCCUAGACACCUUGAUUGCCAGAGCAAUGGAGGAGUAGAGGAUCUGAAUUAAGGCGAGAGGGAGCAAGACGUAGAAGUCCUCUCAGGUUUGAAUCAGAUCGAACUGGAAAAAGACCAGAUCGUUCAGUGGCGGAGGACGUUGAGGUCACCGUCGGUGAAAUAAGGAACGACUUGGGCCAAAUACUCGUCGUAGGACCUGAGGAGACACAGCCAAAAUGAGUGCAGAUUGUGGACUACCUGUAAUCGGUGGUGAGGAUGAAGGUAGGAUUAGAUUUAGGGCUUUUGUAGGAUUAAAAUUAGGAUUGGUUUUAUGGGUAUGAGUUUGGAAGGUCUUGUGCAGUGAUGAUCGCAAUCAUAGAAGAGGGAAUUACCAAAAUAAUCUUUGACAAUAAAUAAUGACAUAAAGUUUAACGGUGUUAUUGACGUCGGGUACAAAUUAAUACUGAGUCGGGUAUGUAUUGGAACUUGAUUUACAGAAAUUCAUAGUGGGUCUAAUUUCAUGUAUUUUUCUUGAAAUUUUCAGGCUACAAAUAUCUAAGUAGUGUAGUCUGGGCCAAGAGUUGAAGAUUUUAUAAUCCAUACAUGGGCCUAGACUCAUGAGUUGGAACCCUAACCUAAGAGAAGCUAUCUUUACCGUUCAAAGAGGGAGAGAAGGGAGUGACGGCCAACCAACAAUUAAGGAUAAUAAUCAUUCUCCAAGUCAAAUAAAGAAAGGAGAUUGUGUUAAAGACAAAUCCACGAUAAAUCAGAAUCUAAGCCAUCUAUGGAUGGAAUGCUACAAAUGUCUCAUGAGGCAGUGGUUUGCAUCCUGGUUAACGUCUUCCGAGGCAGCGACUUUAUCGUCCAGGCAGCGGGUCUGCUUCUUUUGGGAGAGAGAGAGAGAGAGAGAGAGAGAGAGAGAGAGAGAGAGAGAGAGAGAGAGAGAGAGAGAGANAGNNNNNNNNNNNNNNNNNNNNAAAACUACUACACCUAGACCUACACAUCUAGCAUCCCUAUCACAUGCCCCAUCAAAGAAAAGUGUAACCUCUUGAUUAUGCCUAUUAUUAUCCCUCUCACCUCCCUCUGCAUUAUGAUCAGUUGUAUUGGCGUGAGUCAUACCAUAUAAUAUUAGGAUUGUAAAUAUUCUGUUAUUAUUAGGAAUAUCCUGUCAUAGUUAGUUUCCUAAUAGGUUUUGAUAUCUCUUGUAUAUAUACUCCGUUCUUGGAGAAUGUUAAUAUAUCGAAACGUUCAUAUUCUCUUGAUACCGUUUGACUUGGUAUCAGAGCCGAGAUCCUCUCGGACUUGGUUUAUUAUUUCCGCUGCAAACUCAGGGUUCUUUUGAUUUGGUUAUUUGGUUGAAUUGGUUCCUUUUAGUCGAUUCUUGCUUGUUGGAGUUCUUGAUCAUUGAGGUUCUUUUGGUUUUUGGGAGUAUCUUUUGGGGAUCUUUUGUUGCUGAAGUUAUAAUAUUACUGGGGUUUCAUUCUUUCUCAUUGCUCGUCAAGUUAUUUUGUGAGAAGAAUUUGUUUACUUUAUUUUGGUGGUUGUGAUCAUCCAAGGACGUCAAAAGUUGAAGAAGACUUUGUUAAUUGCUUCAAGUGCUUGUGAUCAUUCAAGCACGUCAAGGAUCUGGGUCAAUUUUACUUGUUCUGAAAGUUUGUUAUUUGGUUGGUGAUCUGAAUAGUAAGAAAAAAAGGAGGAAGAAGAAGAAGAAGAAAAAAAAAUGGUGGAAUUGAAAGUAAUCGAAGGGGAGAAGGAAGCUUCUCAAAACUUGUCUUUCUAUGGCGCUGAAGGAGAAAAAAAUUUAAAGGGUAAUGUUUCCUUGACUAAGGAAACUCGAGGUAAAUUUGGUGUUGCUUUUCAUGUUGCUAACUUUACUGGUGGUGACACUUGGAUAAUUGAUUCUGGGGCGUCAGAUCAUAUGACCUAUGAUAAAUCCUUCUUUGUGUUCAUGUCAUCUUCGUCUAUAUCUCAUGUCUCAAAUGCAAAUGGUGCAUCUUUUCCAGUUUUAGGUAUUGGGUCUGUUCAGGUUACACCAUCCAUUAUAUUGCAUGAUGUACUUUAUGUACCCUCAUUAUCUCGCCAUCUUCUGUUUGUCUCCCAAUUGAGUUCACAAAAUAAGUGUUCUGUAACCUUUUACCCAAUGUAUACUGUGUUUCAGAUUUUGUGUUCCAGGGUGAUCAUUGGCAAGGGAGACUUGAGGGGGAGACUAUUUCACCUGGAUUGCAUGUACACUGAGUCGGCACAAGCACCGAAGCAACCUUUGGCCCUGACAUUGAAUUCUGAUCGAUUAAGUGAACUAUGGUUGUGGCAUAGACGGUUGGGCCACCCAUCUUUUGGAGUUAUUAAGAAGUCCAUGCCCUCAUUGUUUCUGGGAAUUAGUGAGUCUACAUUGCACUGCGAAACUUGUAGGGCUGGCAUUGGUAGGUAUACCAACUAUAUUUUGCAAUAACAUGUACCAACCAACUUAAAAUUGGUAGGCAAAAUCUUGUACCAAAACCAACCGUCAAAGUUGGUAUACCAACUUAGUUGGUACGGUUGGUACUCAGUUGGUACGGUUGGUAUUGGGCCUCUACCAAGUUUAAAUCGAGGCCCAAUAAACUGAAAGGCCCAGCUCAUUUAAAUCCUGUUUUUGGGCAUAUACCAAACUUCUAUCAAUUAUCAAACUAUUCAAAAUUCAAACACAUUCAAAGUUUCACACAUCAUAUAAUUUCAAAUGCAUAAACAAGCAAGAUCAAAAGUUCAAAAGUUCAAAUGCAACAAGCCAACAACGUCCAAAGUCUAAUUGCUAUGAGUAAGAGAAGAGAAGUUUUCAGAAAGUAAGAUAGAUCAUGCUAACCAAAAAGACAUCAUACAUAUAAACUUCUCUUCUCUUACUCAUAACAAUUAGAUAGAUCAUUGCAGAUUUGCAGUAUUGCAGAAAGUAAGUNNNNNNNNNNNNNNNNNNNNNNNNNNNNNNNNNNNNNNNNNNNNNNNNNNNNNNNNNNNNNNNNNNNNNNNNNNNNNNNNNNNNNNNNNNNNNNNNNNNNNNNNNNNNNNNNNNNNNNNNNNNNNNNNNNNNNNNNNNNNNNNNNNNNNNNNNNNNNNNNNNNNNNNNNNNNNNNNNNNNNNNNNNNNNNNNNNNNNNNNNNNNNNNNNNNNNNNNNNNNNNNNNNNNNNNNNNNNNNNNNNNNNNNNNNNNNNNNNNNNNNNNUCUAUCUCCUCAUUCAACCCUACCCUCUUCUUCUUCUCUCUCAUUCUCUCUAACUUGAACAGAAAUCAACAUUGCUACCCAAUUCACUCCUACUCUCUAACUAUCAAAAGGUCCAUUCUUUCUUACAAGCUAUCGGCAUUUCAUAAUCUACCUUCUAUUCAUCCAACAGAUGAAAUCAUAACUCUAAAGCCAAUGCAGAAUAAUCAAAACAAGCACAUAAGUGAAACACAACAAAUCAUAUCUCAAAGCCAAAUCACCAUCAAAAUGUUCACAGAGCAUAUAACACAAUCAACACAUAGAUUGAUAGAUAACAAUCAUAACACAUAGAUUGAUCAUUGAUAGAUACACAUAGAUAAUAGAUUGAUAGAUACAUACGGAGAUUCGAGGCUUGGUGCUGCGAAGUCGACGGCGAGUUGAGGCGCUGGCCUUCGUCGGAGAGUCUAGGCACUGCCCAACGCUGCCCUUUGUCGGAGAGUCGAGGCGCUGCCCAGCGCUGCCCUUCGUCAGAGAUUCGAGGAGCUGCCCAGCGCUGCCCUUCGUCGGAGAGUCAAGGCGCUGCCCUUAGCGCUGCCGAGUCGAUGUGGCCGAGGUGCUGCUGAGUUGACGACAAGAGAGGCGAGGUGGCUAGAAGGUGAGUCGAGGUGGCGGAGCCGUGGGGUGUUGCGAAGCAAAGAGAUGAGGCGAGAGGGGCGAGCGUGAGAGGUGACUCAGGUGAGUUACUGAGAAUAGAUCCACAGUCCACAGAGAUCAACGGCUUAGAUUAAUAAGUUUAAUUAUUAUUUUUUUUAAUAUAACUCGGUUGGUACAUGGUAUACUGUAUUUUGGGAAAAUCUGUACCAUGUACCAACCGACUUCUAAAACUUGGUACGGUAGUACUGUACCGACAACUCAGUUACCAACUACUUGGCAUACCAAUUUGUUUGGUACGGUUGGUACAUGGUUGGUUGGUAUCGUCAGGGUCCAAAUUGCCACCCCUAGAAACUUGUGCUUUGGCUAAAAGUCAUAGGUCUAGUUAUCCUUUGGCUUUUCAUUCGAGUACUAUGCCUUUCGAAUUAAUUCAUUCGGAUUUAUGGGGUCCUUCCAAAAAUUCCACUCUUUCUGGAAUGCGUUACUUUGUGUUAUUCAUUGACGAUUUUACUCGUUUGUCUUGGGUGGUGUUGCUUAAGUCCAAAGAUGCUGUUUUUUUCUGUCUUCACUGUCACAUCCCGACCCUUAUAUUUUUACCUUAUUUACUAGCGUGAUGAUAAUAAGAAUUUUACCGUCUCGAUCAUUGAGUAAAUAGUUUAAUUGGUCCCUAGAGGGGUUUCGGGGACGAUUAUGUGCGGAGGAUUAUUCGUAUGAGGAAAAUACGACGACGGUAAAAAUAGUAAAUUUUAGCUAGUAAAAGGUAAUUUUUUUAUUCGGGUAUUAUUUUUCGGGGUGUUGAAUUUUGGAAUUUUGGGUUAAAAGGGGUGUUGGGUCGGCUGGGCCGAGCCCAACCCAUUUCUUCUUCUUUCUCUUCUCCCUCUCUCCCGAUUCUCUCUCCUCCCACCCGAUUUUCUNNNNNNNNNNNNNNNNNNNNNNNNNNNNNNNNNNNNNNNNNNNNNNNNNNNNNNNNNNNNNNNNNNNNNNNNNNNNNNNNNNNNNNNNNNNNNNNNNNNNNNNNNNNNNNNNNNNNNNNNNNNNNNNNNNNNNNNNNNNNNNNNNNNNNNNNNNNNNNNNNNNNNNNNNNNNNNNNNNNNNNNNNNNNNNNNNNNNNNNNNNNNNNNNNNNNNNNNNNNNNNNNNNNNNNNNNNNNNNNNNNNNNNNNNNNNNNNNNNNNNNNNNNNNNNNNNNNNNNNNNNNNNNNNNNNNNNNNNNNNNNNNNNNNNNNNNNNNNNNNNNNNNNNNNNNNNNNNNNNNNNNNNNNNNNNNNNNNNNNNNNNNNNNNNNNNNNNNNNNNNNNNNNNNNNNNNNNNNNNNNNNNNNNNNNNNNNNNNNNNNNNNNNNNNNNNNNNNNNNNNNNNNNNNNNNNNNNNNNNNNNNNNNNNNNNNNNNNNNNNNNNNNNNNNNNNNNNNNNNNNNNNUUUAGUAGCUCUGAAUACUUUAGAAUUUUGUAUAUUAUGUGGUAUUCAGAAGCGUUAAAUUAAGAGUGUAAUAUGAAAUUUUCGAGUUAGGGUUGUCCAUCUGCAAGGGAGAUUUUCUUAAUCUUUUCAGUAAAUUUUCCUUGGAGGUGGUCCCCGCACGACUUACUCUGGGUUUCAGGGUGAAAUUCGGGAUGGGUCGUGUCAUUCACAGCCUUCCAUAAUCUUAUUCGUACUCAGUAUAAUGCAUGUGUUAAAAUAUUUCGUUCAGAUAAUGGAGGUGAGUUUGUCCAUCGUUCUUUCAAUGAGUAUUUCCAGAACCAUGGCAUCAUAGAUCAAACUUCGUGUCCACAAACACUUGAACAAAAUGGGGUGUCAGAACGGAAAAAUCGUCAUCUCUUGGACAUGGCACGGUCUCUCCUCCUAAGUGCUAACAUGCCUAAGUACCUUUGGGGAGGAGCCGUGUUAUGUGCGUCUCAUCUAAUUAAUCGUCUCCCGUCAGCCCCUCUUCAAGGUCGUAUUCCUUUUCAUGUCUUGUCUCAAUAUGUCCCUAUUCCGUCAUCAAAUACUCUUCUUGCUCGUGUCUUUGGUUGUGUUGCUUAUGUUCAUUUGUAUAAGAAUUAAAGGUCAAAAUUGGAUGCUAGAGGCCUUAAGUGUGUGUUUGUGAGAUAUGGUUCUCAUCAGAAAGGCUACAAGUGUUAUCAUCCACCAUCCCAAAGAUUUUAUGUCACCAUGGAUGUUACCUUCAAUGAAGAUGCAUGUUAUUUUUUGUCUCCUGUAACUCCUCGUAAGGGGGAGAAGUCAUGUUUUUAUGAAGAUUUGUUUAGUGAGCUAAUUGGGAGUCAAAGUGUUGAAGAGUCCAUAAAAGGAAAAAAAAAAGAAAGAUGGAGUGAACCAGUUUUACAAGAAAGUAAAAAAGGAGGCAGUAAGCAAGAUUUGCAUGACUUGUCGUCGUCCUCUGUUGACGUCGGUCACGCUGCUAAUUCGCUGACUGACCGACUUGCCAACUAGCUCGACUGACUUGCCAAUCCACUGCCCAACGUGCUCGGCGACCCACCUCCCAGCGAUCUCGCCGGCAGACCAGCCAAGCUCACCAACUGACCGAUCGGUCACUACAGAGUCAUCAAACUUCCAGGGACAUCCAAAUUCGCUGAUCGUAGCAGAGUUUCCUAGCCAGGCAGUUUGGAGCGCAGCACGACCCAGUUUGUCAUAUUCCGGCGAACCGAAUCGGUUUACUGAAAGCAGUAGCAUGGCCGACGCCGGCUCCGGCGUUCUGGGCAGUAAGGAGACUGAGUCUCCAAGUGAUAGCUUGACCGAGAAUUUGAUCAGUACACCCAUUGAUGUUUUGGGGGGUAGUAAUCCUACAGACUCGGUUUCACAUGCAACCAGUCAAUCCGUGUUAGUUGACAAUCAAGCUCAAUCUAGUUCGUCGGCAAGGGAGCAAAUUACUGAUGGAAAUCCUCAUGUGAACAGUACCCAUGUCUCUCCCUCUCUUGCACAGGUCUCUCAAGCUCAUGAAUCACCCGAGGUAUUUUCUAAUUCUUCUUCUGUGUCUACUAAUGUGCCUACCAAACAAUUGCCUAACCGUGUCACUCGUGGUCAGUCUCCAAAAUAUUAUGAACCUACUCUAAGUGCAAAAGCUCGGUACCCUAUUGCUAAUUAUGUGUCAACCCAUAGGCUGUCUAAACCAUAUGUUGCGUUUGUGAAUCAAUUAUCUAGUGUGUCUCUCCCUAGUAAAGUGCAGGAUGUAAUGCGGGAAGAUGGAUGCAGGAAAUGAAAGCUGAGAUGGAUGCUCUUGAGAAGAAUUGUACGUGGGAGUUAGUGCCAUUACCACCCGGGAAGAGCUGGUUAGUUGUCGGUGGGUGUAUACUGUGAAACAUAAUUCUGAUGGUUCGGUGGACAGGUACAAGGCGAGGUUAGUAGCGAAAGGCUACACUCAGAAGUAUGGGGUGGUUUAUGAUGAGACAUUUGCACCAGUGGCCAAAAUUAACACAAUUUGAGUACUUCUUUCGUUAGCCGCUAACCUUGAUUGGCCUUUGCAGCAAUUUGAUGUUAAGAAUGCAUUCUUGCAUGGUGAUCUGCAUGAAGAAGUUUAUAUGGAUUUGCCUCCUGGAUAUCGUACUUCUACUAGAGAGCAGGUGGUGUGCAAGUUGAAGAAGUCUCUUUACGGUUUGAAACAGUCUCUUAGAGCAUGGUUUAGCCGGUUCACCAAGUUCAUGAAGGAAAUUGGAUACCGGCAGAGCAAUUUAGAUCACACCUUGUUUCUUAAACAUAGGUGUGGUAACAAGGUGUGGUAAAGUGACUGCCUUAAUUAUUUAUGUUGAUGACAUGAUUGUGACAGGUGAUGACAUUGAGGAGAUUCAAAGGUUACAAGGUCAGUUAUCUUCUGAAUUUGAGAUGAAAGAUUUGGGUAAUUUGAAAUAUUUCUUAGGAAUAAUUGAAGUUGCUCGUGGGAAAGAUUAUAUUGUCUUCAGUCAAAGGAAGUAUGUAUUGGAUUUGCUGGCAUAAACAGGUAUGCUUGAUUGUAAACUUGUUGAUACUCCUAUUGAGCAGAAUCAUCGGUUAGCAGAGUAUUUGGAUCAAGUGCCUACAAAUAAAGCGAGAUACCAGAAGUUAGUUGGCCGGUUGAUUUAUUUGUCUCACAGCAGAGCUUAUGCAGUUAGUGUGGUGAGUUAGUUUAUGCAUAAUCCUAGUGAGGCUCAUAUGGAAGCUGUAUUUCGUAUUUUGAAGUAUUUGAGGUCUGCUCCAGGGAAGGGAUUAAUCUUUUCAAAACACAGGCACUUGGAUGUUUCUGGGUACACAGACGCAGACUGGGCAUGUAAUAUUACAGAUCGCAGGUCUACUUCGGGCUACUUCACUUUCGUUGGUGGUAAUUUGGUUACUUGGAAAAGUAAGAAGCAAAAUGUGGUAGCUCGUUAUAGUGCUGAAGCAGAAUAUAGAGGAAUGGCUCGAGGACUUUAUGAGAUGUUGUGGUUGAGACACUUGUUGAAAGAUUUGGAAUUUCGGCAGAAGAAGACUAUGCCACUUUAUUGUGAUAAUAAGACUGCUAUUGAAAUUGCUCACAAUCCUGUUCAACAUGAUCGCACAAAGCACGUGGAGGUAGAUCGACAUUUCAUUAAAGAGAAGUUGGAUGGUCAGAUUAUUUUCUUUCCUUUUGUCCCUACGGAGGAACAAUUGGCUGCUAUUCUUACGAAAGCUCUCUCAAGUAAAGCUUUUCAUGACUCUCUUGACAAGUUAGGCAUUGGUGAUUUGUAUGCGCCAACUUGAGGGGGAGUGUUGGCCUGAGUCAUACCAUCUAAUAUUAGGAUUGUGAAUAUUCUGUUAGUAUUAGGAAUGUUAGUAUUAGGAAUAUCCUGUCAUAGUUAGUUUCCUAAUAGGUUUUGAUAUCUCUUGUAUAUAUACUCCGUUCUUGGAGAAUGUUAAUAUAUCGAAACAUUCAUAUUCUCUUGAUACCGUUUGACUGUUGUCAUACAAGCUAGACUUCCAUCAAAGGUUACCUUUUAUACACGCGGUGCAAGUACAACGACUUCACUAUGCCAAGCAAUACAUCGCUCAUAAAGGAUGUGAGGCCCCAGCCUUUUUUUUCCAUGAAUUUUCUCAUUCCGAUCUUUCCACUCUCACAUCAAGGCAAACAACUCGAUCUGUCUGUUGCUUCCUUCUUUGGCUACUAACCCCAACAAAUCAAAAAAACAUUGCACUCUUCAUGUCUUAUGAAAGCCAUACAACUAGCUGAGUUUCCAGAUUUUUCUUACCACUGGGCACAUCCAUAGACUAUGCUCUACAGUCUCCUCUGAAUAACCACAUCUAUUACGACAUUGAUGAGGAGUGAUCUUGAGUUUAAACUAACGCUCAGCACACGACAAGAAAUCUUUUCCUUUAGUUUUGUUGGAAUGGUCAAUAAAAAUCUUUUUCAGUUGGAGUGGGCACUGACUCUCUUUGUUUUUGUUCAAAAAGUUAUUAGCCAAAAAAAAAAAAUUUGGCCUCUAGAAUUUGAUGCAUGAGGUUGUGACAUCUUAGGCCUCACCUCAAGUCGGGGUCUGUGUGAAGAUAAUAGAGCGCCCUAUCUUCUUCUAGUUCAAUGAGCAAGUUUCUCCUCUCCUAAGUGGUGCCAAAAAUGUGGGUCAUUUAGCGUCUCUAACAGUUGCUAGACAAAGCUUGUAUGGAUCAUUUCCUCAAAUUUCUUAUCAGUCUCAAGAAAUCUCGAGUUGAAUGUGCUUCAAAACUUGCGAUCAACUUCAUUUUUUUUAAAGAAAAUAUUUCAUUAAUAAAACUCAGGCCAAAAUGGCAACACAACACUAUUACAUUAGACAUAUUGCUCACUUAUUUGUGAGCUUAGCAGAUGAUUAAAUUAGAUAAAAAAUAAGAUACUAGGGAAAACAUAAAAAUGAAGCCAAGGUGCUCAAUUGCGGUACGCCAAGCUUUAUGUAACCCUCUAGUUGCAGCUAGCCCGCACAGUCUGCGAGCUCAAAUACAGAGAUCUAACUUAAACCAUUUUCCAUUUAUAAUCAGGCCCAACAGCCAAACUCCAAAUCAUACCUUGUUUAAGCUUGAGUUCAGAUACAUGCAAAAACAAACAAACCCAUUUCCAAACCCUACCUAAUUCAUGUUGCCCACCUUUGCCUGCAUCGCCAUCCUUGACGGCGACCAAAACUGGAUCAGCCACCAACACUUUUGACUAGUCUGCCGGAGUCAUCAUCAGUCUUUGUCUAGUGGGUGCACAAUGUGUUCCUCUUCCGGUAGAUACCAAAUUGUUUGUUGUCUUCUUUAGAAAUACCAAUGGCCAUAAAGCCACUGUUUUGCAGCUAUUCUCGAAUUCGACCACGGUCUGAAACCUUGCCUCCGCUAGCACUACCCAACCUUCUGUCAACUCAAUUGCUGUAGCCAAACGCCACCACAACUGAGGUUCUUGAGUCCUCUUGAGUGAGAUCCGAUCAGAAUUGGUAUGGAGGACUUUUGGAUGAAUCGUCCCUGGAAGACAUUCACCAUUGAUUGUUGAAGUAAGCCAUCGAGAGGUAAAGGACAAGCCACUGCUUAGUUGUGACGACGCGCGUCCUUGAUGAAAAUCUAGGCCGCGACUGCUGGCUGGGAUUAGUGAAGGGUUGAAACCCUAGAGCGAGAAAACGGUGGAGCAUUUUUUGGUUUUUCUUUUUUCGAUUACAAAAGAAACAAACAAAAGCUAAAGAGCAAAACCUCUCUGUAGUCCCUUCCCAGCUGAUCCAAAUGGAACGCUGGGGACACUGACAAGGGAAGAAAGGCAGUGAAACCAGACUAAAGGAGAAGAGGAAUGACCAAGAAAAGCUAAGCGAUAUGCUACAAAAUUCACAUUCCAAUGGACAUGCCGAAAUAUGCAACACUGGAACAAAGAUGCUAGCCAACCAAUAGCUUGAACAAUAGACUUUAUUGAUACAUGACGAGAUUUUGGCAUAUUUCAACAAAGAAUUCUGAAAAGGAAUAAACGUCGUCACAUUAAGAAGAAUGAUUUGAAUAUCGAUUAUUGGUAUUCAAAUAGGCUUCUUAAUGAUAAAAUCAUAAAUUACUCUUUUGGAUAUAUCGGGAUUCUCGAGCAAAAUCUUAGUUGAGAUUCCAAAUACAUAUUUGGAAUAAUAUUCUUUAGUAUCUAGGAUUUCAUAUCUUAUUUUUAUUUGGUUUCCUAGUUGUAGUCUAUUCUAGAUUAUGUUUUCUGAUUGUAGCAAGCUUAUGUUAUGUGCUCUAUAUAAAGCACCUCCUAGAUUGUAAUCGUAGGUGAUUGAUAUUAAUAAACUUAGAGUUUUCUUAUAUUUAUUGGUGGAUUCCAAAACAUCUUGUGGAUUCGAGAAACCCUAGUUUUGGGGAUUCAAGGCUGCGUGUUGGUGGAUUCCAACGUAUUUGCUAGUGGAUUCUAGCUUAUCUCAUAUGGCUUCUGAUGCUUGUCGGAGCUUCUUACUAUCGUGAUUACGCUUCCGUAUCAUUUAUACUCCAAGGGAUGGAAGCUUUACCAACAAGACAAUCAAUGAGGAUUUUGGAGUCACCUUCAACAAAACCUUUGGAAUCAAUUGCAAAUAGGCUGUAUGAAGACCUUCACGUAAAGCAGUAGCUUCAGCUAUCAGGACACUAGUAUUGCCAAAAUGAUCUCACAAAACAAAUCCAAUAGAAGCUUGAUGGUGAACUAUUGAAGCAUCAAAAUUCACUUUUAUAAACUCAGGAUCUGGAGGAUGCCAUUUGAUAUUAGAAUGCAUAAGAGUACUAGAGGGUGUUCGGCGAGGGUUAUGAUUAACAAAUGUAUAAUUAUUGCCAAAAGUAGUAGUAUGAUAGUAACAUUGGGUUUGCAUUAGCUACAACAUUCUGAAAAAUAAGUCGGUUGCAGACAUUCCAGAUAGACCAAGUAACCAUAAUAGCAUGUUGAAGCAUACUUUUAUCAACAAGCUGAAUUAAGGACUUCAACCAAUCCAAGAACGAUUGUGACCAAUUUAAAGGCAAACAAAAAGAAGAAUAGGACCAUACCGGUUGAGCAAAAUGACAAUGCAUAAAAAGAUGAUCAACUAUCUCAGAUUGAUUAGUACAAAAGGAGCAAGCAUUAGGGAUAUUAGGGUUAUAAACCGAUAAAGUAUCUAGUUUUAAGUCGAUUACGAAAUAAAAGCCACACAAAAAUUUUAACUUUGGGAGGUAUUUUUAAUUGCCAUAAUUUGGCUAAAAAGUCUGCAUUCAAAUGUUUGGGCUUAUUAUUUAAUUGUAUCCAAGAAGCAGAACUAAUAGAAAACAAACUUGAACUUCAAGGUCCCCAAAUAAAUUGAUCUGGACGAGGAUAUAAAGGAAGACCAAGUGUUAGAAUCUUAACAACAAUAUCAUGAGACAACGCAUUUUCUAAUGCUUGAACAUUCCAUAUAGAAUUUAGUAAUAAAAAGGUUAACAAUAUUAUUCCAGUCAAUUAAAUGUCUCUGAUCUUUAAGAAUAAUAAUGUAUAAAGGAAAGGGAAGUACCCAAUUAUACUGCUAGAAGAGGAUUGUUUGACCGUCACAAACAAUCCAGCGAAUGCCUUCAAGUAAGAUAUCACGAGAGUCUAAAAUGCAUUUCCAAGCAAUAGAAUGAGAAGUGUUUUUGCGAGCAACAAGAAAAGAAUCAUUUUAAAGAUAUUUUUUGGUAACAAGUUGAACCCACCAAUUAUCUGGUUGGAUUAAAAUCUUCCAUCCCAAUUUAGCAAUAGCAUCUCUAUUUUUCUUUUUUUUGAUUAAAUAGAGAACUAUAUUAAUAAGAGCAACUAGCCCAGAUUAAUACAAACAGGCCCGCAAGGGAAGCCCACGAAGGGGUACAAACAUAAUGUAAAACAAAUAGUCCAAACAAGAUGACGUGCUCGUUACCGGGCGUGCGACAAUUAAGAACCCUUUUUGACAAUCGUAGUAUAAGACAAAUAAAGUUCGAUCAAUCCGGGGACUAAGGGUGCUCAUGUAACAAUGGUCAUGAGAAAAGUCAGUGGGUAUCAAUACAAAUAUUUACAAGUAUUUAUUUACAAAUAUACAUAUGGUACAAUAGAUAAAAGGGGGGUUUUGAAGGUUUGUUCUAUGUUCCUACUAAAACAGAAAAUAAAAGCUAAACUAAUAUAUACAAGUGAUCGACAACUUCACACAAAACAAGAAACGAAAACACUCAAGAACAUGUAACAAAUUAUGCAAGACAUUCGGUACAGCAGUUUCUACACAUCCUAGACUUUAUUUCAAUUCCGACUCUAAUUUAGAGCCCUUCGCGGUUACUCCAAUCGUUAAGACUUCACAAGUAUUUAGAAUCAACUUCCCGUGUAAUCCUAAAUUGUAUGUUAACUCAUUUAAAGACACUUCGCGUAGAAAUUAAACAAGAGAACACAUAAGCAUAGUAAGCCGAAUCAGAAACAUGCACAAGGUAUGGCGUCACUCAUCCUAUUAACAUGCAAGUUUUCAGAAUUAUAAUUAACCACUUUUGAGCAACAAAGACCUAGACAACUUCGCGUAUGACUAAAUCAUAUAUCACUUUGGUAGAUGAAAUCACAACCCACAUAUCAACCAUGGCCUUAGGCUGUAUGCAACCAUUGAUUUUGCCUACUCAAUUCAGAAAACUAAUCGAAUACAAUCAAGAACAUAUUGAAACAUGCUGCCCUAAAUCUUGCACAGAAAAUAUCACAUGAACAAGUUUGUAACAAUCGUCAUACAUAAGUUAUAAAUAUCAGAAAAUCUAAACAUGUUACAAAACCAAAUCGGCAACCAUAAAAACAAACGAUCUUCAUAGACAAAGUGUCGUAAAAUUAUAGAAACAUAAACAGCCAUGAGAAGAAUGGAUAGCACUUUGUAGAAACCUUGAAUGGUUGCUGCAAAGGCGGUGGAAUUGGUGAUGGAAUUAUACACAACAAAAAGGGAGAUGGUGGUGGUUCGGCUAAUCUAGUUUCUGUAUAGGGUUUAUGGUGAGGAAUUGGUAGAGUUCCGGCUUGUGUUUGUAUGGAAGAAGUGAUGCCCAUUUAUGAAGCAAAGCAGCCUUUAUAUAGUGUCCAUAAAUUGCUCUUGGCCCUUAAUUCAAUCUUGAUCCAACGGUCCUCCUCGAUUGCACAAAGUCGGAUAUUUAUCUCCACUGAUAUUUUCCUUAUCUUCAAAGAUAUUUAUCUUAUCUCUAAAGAUAUUUCUAGACAUGUGCAAUAAUACUUUGAAUGUAGCUUGAAUCAUGUCCGGAUACAUUGCUUAGCCUCCAAGAGUCUUCAUAGUAAGGAUUACUUGUUCAAAUUGAACUUCUCUUUUUAGCUCCACAAGUUUGACUUUUCUCCUCUUUUUUAGAGUUGGAAUCCAAAUUUGCUUCUUCUUCCCUCCUUGGACUUGGGCCUCUUUUGGGCUUUCUACAUUUUUCUCUUAAAUCCACGAUUUAGCUGUCUUUUCUCGAUUUAUGCUCUUAUUGUCUCUACAAACACAAAACAUGUCAGAAAUGAUGUUAAUAAAGAAAUAACUUAGCCAAAUAAGGUAAGAAAACAUAUUAAGAACAUGGCAUAUUAUGCUUCUAUCACAAGAAGACCAACAAACAUAAACCUAAACUAGGGCCCAACCCUAAUAACACAAAGAUAUAACCAUUAAUCAACACUGUUGGAAAAGCAGCCGCCUGUCGGGGGGAUUUGCAGUGGAUCCAUCGCCGUCCUUUUUCCUUUGCUUGCUGCCAUGAAGUUGCGGACCUUCGCACCGGCACCCAUGGUGGAAUCUCGAGGGAUGUCCCCACUCAUUUGUCUUUGAGAAAGACAAGGUCGUUCUAGCGUCCAAAACACCGUUCAGAGCCGGUUCCGGGGACGUUUUCCUAGCGGCAACGGAGGGGUGGAGCUUACUACAAUUAGCAGAGGAGAGAGGAAGGUUUUGGAGAUUGAGAUGAGAUGGGUUGAAGAGAAGAGAUGGGAGGAAGCCUGAAAUGGGGACUUUGGCAGCCAUGGAUGGAGAUAUUUUGUGCACGGGGAGGGAAACAAACCGUAGAAACAUACCGCAAAAACAAAAUGUGGGCACUGGAACUAGAAGCCCGAACAAGGUCACACUCCCCCGACCCUCAAGCCGAAGAUCUAGAUUCGGAAGGACCUAGACCAGAGCAGGAGAGAAGGGAGAGUACAGGGAUCAAAUAUACUUUCUCUCUCUAGUUUUUAGAGAGAAGACAGAGCACGAGAGGAAAAAGGCACCCAGCAAUAGCUGCUCUAUUAAAUAUAUUAGUUGGCCUAAUACCAAACCCUCCAUGGGUUUUGGGAAGAGCUGCUUGAUUCCAAGCCACUUUAGCAGGGGAAUUGCCCCAAAAGAAAUGUUUGCAUUCUUUAUCAAAAUGAUCAAAGUACUUGGGCAUUUAAAACAAGAAAGAAUGUGAUUAGGCAUACUUGAAAUAUUUGAUUUAAUGAGAGUAAGUUUUCUACCUCUAGAAAGGGUACGAGCUUUCCAACUAGAAAAUGUGUUUUGGAUUUUGCUAACUACAAAUGAAAAAUUAACAAGAUCCCUCCAAUCUCUUGGCUCUUUGAACAUAUGUAUAGAUUAAACUUCAUUAAUCGAGAUAAAUAACGUCAUUUUUAUCCUAUAUUUAAUUAUGCUACUGCAUAAAUUGUAGCCAUAUCUGAGUCGAGAGUUAUCUUAAGGAGGCUAUCGAUUUUAUUUGGGCCGCACUAAUGACAUGAUAAUUUCAAUUUCUUGAAAAUAUCACAAUAUUAUCUUGGUAUGUUAA